rnacentral:lncRNA from 1 species
GAAGAAGGGCAAGAGCGCUGUAGCUUAGAGCAUUCUCAUGGAUUGUCUUGCACCGAAAUGUGUGUCCUGAUGAGUACACUUUUUUUGGUUAGUCGUCUCAAGUUCAGAGCGUUAUGCCAUGUUUUCAGACCUGAUUAGUACACUCUUUUCUAAAAGCGAUUGAGCUCUAGUCCAAUGUAUUGAUAAUAUCUGCUGUUGUCCUAUUGCGGUGAUGUUUAUUUGCCCUGUUCGCUAGCUGCAAUAGUUCCUAUUUGAGCAGGGUAUGAUUAUUUGUUGACUAGUUGAGUGCCCGUGCGUUGCAACGGCAACAUAUAAUACCAUGAUGAAUUAUGUACAAAUGUGUGUUUCAUUAUUAUAGUACUAUGUACGUGCUUUACACACAAUCAUAUUUGAUACCCAUAAAAAAUAUAUGUUCUAUACACAUUUAGAUCUCGAGAUGUCUCGUUCCCUCCAACGAAAUAAGUCCAAGAAAUUUUGUUUGAGGCUUAAAUGACCUCAAAACAAAUGUUUACAUUCUGACAAAUCUUUUUAAGAUGCUAGAACAUAUUCGAUCUUUAAAAAGAACCAUAGGUUCCAAUCUGAAAAAUCAGCUUGCCGACAUUGACUUGGCUCCACGGUGUUGUUGUCACCACCACACAGGAAAAUCGGUCUCUCGUAGCCGCCAAAAUGUGCCCUCCCUACAACAAAAACAUGUUAGUAUUAUUGUUAAUGAAAACGUGGUCUAAUUAGUUGCGCCAACAAACAAAUUAACUUUAUUUCUCCACAACUCUCUGUACUGAAUAAUGCUAAUCGAGGGCAGGUUUUCUUUAUGUUGGUGUUCUGGACAUGUAAUAAACUAAGGCAAAAGCGUAUGAGCACAUGUGACAGUUGGAGAGGAAAUGGAGAAGAGCUAUAUACUAAGAACACUUGCAAUCAUGUUUCAGGCAGCAGUAAACCUGUCAAAUCACUGCUACUUGUAGCUUCAAGGUACUUGAUCAAACUCGGUUUAAUAUUGAGGAAUUAUUGCACAGCUAAAGUAAGCAUUGACCCCCUACCGAAAACAGUAAGCAACAACAUGAUAAAUUCUUUCAGACAAUCAAAGUCAGAUUAGUGUUGAUAUCUUAAACCUCUGAAAAAGAUUAUAUGAAUGUAGUAGCAUGCAUGGUUCUUCCUUCUAGCCCUGCCCACACCCACACAAGAGUUCCUCCUGGGUGCUGUGUAAAGUACAGAGUACAGUGUGUCAAAUGCUAUAUCAGAGGUUCAUGCACCUUAACUUUCUGAAACAAAACAAAUAGGCGACGGUAGUUGCUAGCAGCAGCUUAUCAGUUACCAUGGCACUGGCCGACGAUACCUCCACACUCCAGUUCAAAUCUACCGUACCUUGUCGCCACCGGCGUACCGUCUCUCCUCUUCGAUGCCCUUAGGAUACAGUUGCGUAGACGCGCCAAGACCGCGAAUGAUGCUCCAAGAUCCGGCGGGCCUCCUUGGACAGAUAACCGGCCUCGAUCACGGAUGGAAUCUCUAGAGUUUGGGGGAGGGGAAGAAACGAGUGAGGGAGCUUACUGUGUAGUGAACCUCCACUCGCCAUUGAUGACGCUCUUCGCCAGCAACGAGGUACGAGGGCGAGGAGUCCGGGUUAUAGCCUCGGGCUCCCAUUCCCGGUUAUAGUAAUAAUUAAUCAGAUAGGCCAAAUGGUUCCAAAGAACCAUGCAUUUACAUGAUAAUAAAAAUGUACUUCUCUAUGCAGCCAGUGAAGCUUCACUGGCCUCUUUAGGCAAGUCUAACUGUGUUACUUCAUUAAAUACAUUAGAUAAUUAACACUUAAUAGUUAGAAAUAACAUUAGAUAAUUAACACUUAAUAGUUAGAAAUAUUGUUGUGCUGCUAAAAUGCCAACUAUUGUCUGCCAUGCAUGGAUAACAGAUCCGUAAAGAAGCAUGCCAAGACAUAACCGGUGAUACAGUUUUGAAGUACCGUUACAUAAACAAGCAGAUCAAUAGAUUUAGCUCACACAUGUAUUUAUCACCUGAAAUGUUAAACAUUUCUUCAUUACCAAUUACAGUAUUGGAGCAAGCUGUCAAUUCACAUGCAAGCUUACCAAUAUAGCCAAAGUAAGAACAAACAACUAAUUACAUUUGGACAGCGGAUGUCAGGUCAUGUGCAACUUUAAACAAUUGGAACUGAGCUCUGUUUUUUUGAAGAUAAUCAAUAAAGAAAGAAAUGCUUAUAUGGUGAGUUUGUGUUCAGCUUUAGCCAGAAAACACUCGGUCAACACAACAAAACCAGGAUGUCUUUCAAUUAGUUCAAAGUAUUAUUGCAUUCCAAAAGGUGGUUGCUAAUUUUGUAUGAGCAUGAUAAACUGGAAAGCGAAUAUGAACCUGAUUUGAUUAGGUAUUAAGGCUGCUAGCGAACACUAAAAUAACCAAGAUGGAGUCCAUCUAUUACUUUGAACAUACAUAAUGAUCGCAACCAAAAGAUCUCAUUCAAGUACAGAGCGUACGACUUAUCAGUAGAACUUUAAGUACAAUAGCAAUCAUUUAAGACAAAUGGUAAAAUAAUUUAACAUGAGGUACUCACAGGUAAGGACACAGAUCGCUAGAAAGCAGGAGCACCCGUGAGGCCAUCACCUACAUGGGAGCAUGAACAAUCCUCCUGCUGAGGCUGACCAGACGAGGGUGGGAACGUCGCGCACUUCUGGAGGCCUUUCUUCACCUCCAAGCUGAUCAACUUAGAGAAACCCGUACAUAUCUGAGCAUCCAAGGGAGCACUGCCGUCCCCUGUGGCUUCACAGGUUUCAUCAACUGAAUUGCAGAGAAAUGGAAUAUCGGCACGGGUCGGAGGGUCAUCAGCAGAAGUCACUACUGGCACUCCUUCAGGACCAUUACUGCGUGCCAUGGCUCCACAAGCUUCAUCGGCGCAGUGCUUCUCUGGCAGAAGCUGAAUACCAGCGCUAGUAGUAGAUGUCACUACCGACGCUCCCUCGAGACCACAGGAACCACCGUCCAUAAAGUGACUGGUUUAGCACUUGCAGAGACGCAGAGUGAUACAGCAACACAGCAAACGUACAACCACGCUGCGCUACUGAUGCUACAGAAACAUGGACAAGAACAGAUGUAGCUGUUAUUCCUCCUCAAUCCUCAUAGACAUACCACAUACAUCCAGAUUUAGAUGCUAAUGUUAAGUGCCAGAGAUGCAAUCGUGAAGGUGAACGAACUCCAAACAUAGCCGCAUAGCAAAGGCCGAUCUUGAGUGGCACGAAUUAAGCUUGUGGUAGACUAAUACAGUACUACGGUAGACUAAUACAAGUUAGUGUGCCAUGUUACAAGUUAGUUUUCAUUAUUUAAUGGAUGCAACCAUGAUUUAAUGACAACGUACACAAACCACAAGGUGAUACGGCCUACAAUAAAAAUUACUGCCCACUCCGUAGAGUGAUCUUGAAUACAUGCUACAAAAGCUUGCAGAUGCAGCUAACAGAGUUCAUCAGGAAUAUUAAUUAACUGAAAGUGAUCAUGACCAUGUAUCCAGGCAUAUUUGAUACAGUAUUCCUCUUGCGUAAUAAUUCUAUAAGAGCUUGAUCCAUUUAGAUAUCAUAACGCUAAUAUAGUGCUACCUCCGCUUUCGAAUAUUUGUCGCCCGGUAGUUCAUUUUUGAGCUAAAACGCAACAAAUAAAAAAGAACAUUUUUGAGCUAAAACGCAACAAAUAAAAAAGAACGGAGGGAGUACUACAGAUAUGAAUUGAGUUUGUUUUUUCGGUAAAAUUAACAUAAGCAUACGAAAAGGGAAUGAUCAAAGCAUUUCUUCUAUCAGACAAUCUAUUCCCCACUGUACCUUCUUUCCUCGGAUGACAACUCCAGGUUCACCUUGGAUCACCAUGUACUUUGUACCUCCAACGAAAAGACCAGUUGGUGCAAGAGUACCAGGUUCAUUAAAGUCCUUUAUGAUACCAGCAACCUCCUCAGGCUUUAACUGCAACAAGAAGCAGGAAACAUGGACAUGAGAACACAGGGAUAAGAGACCACAGAAGAAAAAGUUGAUGGAUCAUAUUGUGAACACAAGGAUGUAAGGAUGUAACAAUUGACGACACUCAUGACGCCCUACAUAAGAAUAGAAAUAUAAACUCAACCUCUGCUAGAACAAACAAAUGUAUAAAGCAUCACACAAUCCAAGUACUCCAUAUACCACAACACCAUGGUGAAAUAAAGGCCCGAACAAGCAUGUACUGCUGUACACUACUGACUAUGACAGAUAUUUUUCCAAAUUACAUGAUUUAUUUUCCUUGCCUAGCCAUUUGGCCUAUGGAACAAUGCAGGCCACAAGCUGUGACCAACCACGGAACACAAUACAGAUUCCCAGAUCCCAACCGAAAGUUACUUUUCAUUUAAUAAGUGCCUCACACACACAUAGGUAGUGGCAUCAGGAAAUCAUCAUUUGAUGAAAACUAAAAUUUUGCGUUUUGGAUCAAUCACACAACUGUCGCUAUAUAGGAAUAAACACAUGCAGCUCGGCCAUUGGUGCAUCUCUAGCAGCCACUCUAAUUUUACAUGUAAAACAAAUUGCUCUAGUGCUGCUGAACGAUCACUUCCACUGUCCACUGGUAACUAAGUCUAUUCAAGCGAACAACCAAAUCAGGUCGGACGCCAACAGUCCGAUCCGGCCACCCCUCAUUAGCAAAUCCACAGUACGCAGAUCAUCAAGCUUGACCUCAGCUAUAUUGGGAUCAAACGCCCGGAGAACAGCAGCAGCAGCAACCACGUCACCGAGGGAAGGGGCCUUAGAUCCGCAUCUCGCCUUAGCGACCGAGAUCCGGACAUCCCCUCGCUCCGAUCCGGCCGGGCCGCACGGCUGGGGCAGAUCCAGAGUCGCGCGGGUCUAAAUCAGCGCAGGAGCACUGAACAAGAGAAGGGGUAUCCAGGAUGCUACCUGACCCGCAACAGCGUAGAUCCGAUCUCGGAAGCGAUCCAUACAAAUCUGAUCCAACAGAAGACGGCAGCGAAAACGGCAAACAAGUCGGCGUGCGGCACAAAAUUACAGGCGCGAGCAACGAUUGAAGGCGAAUACUCUUGUGGCAGCAGGAGCAGAGCAACAACGGGGAGAAGUAGAAAUGGAAGAGGUAAGGGUAGAGACAGGUAGAUCAGGGUGGGGAGCGGGCGGGGACAAGCGUUAGGAGGACGAGGUGGGGGAUUGGGCACGCCAAGACCAAGGCUUGAGGCGGUGCGCGCAGGCGGAGGGGGACGAGAGCGCGUCGUCGCGGGGGAGAAGGCGCAGGGAUGAGCAGCACCAGCAGCCCUGCACGCACGCGCCAUCUCAUCCUCGUCGUCGCCGAAAACCGAAGCGGCGGCGCGGGACGGCGAGCGUGCCGAGGCGAGGUGGAACUUACAGGCGCGGGAGGGGAGAAGGGGAGGAAGAGGUGGCGUCUGGGUUGGCGAUAGCGCAUGGCGGGAGGCGGUCGGGAGUGGGAGGAGGAGCAGGCUAAGAGCACCUAGAGGGGGGUGAAUAGGUGAUCCUGUAACACUUAAAAACUUAGGCCACAAAAACUUGGUUAAGUGUUAGCACAAUAAUCGCCAAGUGGCUAGAGAGGAAUCUUCAACAAAACACAAUAACCAACAAGAUCAAUCACAGAGAUGGCACGGUGGUUAUCCCGUGGUUCGGCCAAGACCAACGCUUGCCUACUCCACGUUGUGGCGUCCCAACGGACGAGGGUUGCAAUCAACCCCUCUCAAGCGGUCCAAAGACCCACUUGAAUACCAUGGUGUUUUGCUUGCUUUUUCUCAAUCCCGUUUGCGAGGAAUCUCCACAACUUGGAGCCUCUCGCCCUUACACUUGAAAUUCACAAAGAAGCACAGAGCAAGGGAGGGAUUAGCAACACACUCAAGACAAGAAAUCACAGCAACACCACGCACACAAGUCGCAACGAGAGCUCACAACACAACUCAAUGAGUUCACUACUCAACUAGAGCUCUAAUUGCUAUCGCAAAGAAUCAAAGGCGCGGAAUUGAUGUCUUGGUGCUUAGAAAUGUUGUAGGAAUGCUUGUUGUUCUCCUCCAUGCGCCUAGGGGUCCCUUUUAUAGCCCCAAGGCAGCUAGGAGCCGUUGAGAGCAAUCUAGGAAGGCUGAUCUUGCCUCUGUCGACUGGCGCACCGGACAGUCCGGUGCACACCGGACACUGUCCGGUGCCCGAUUUUCUUCCAAAAAUGGCGCAGUCGACCGUUGGCAGCUAGAGAGCCGUUGGCGCACCGGACAUGUCCGGUGCACACCGGACAGUCCGGUGCCCCCUUCUAGCCAUUGGCUCAGCCACGUGUCCCGCGCAGAUUGCGCGGCCGAUCGUUGGCCCGGCUGACCGUUGGCUCACCGGACAGUCCGGUGCACACCGGACAGUCCGGUGAAUUAUAGCCGUACGUCGCCGGUGAAUUCCCGAGAGCGGCCACUUCGCUCGAGCCAGCCUGGCGCACCGGACACUGUCCGGUGCACCACCGGACAGUCCGGUGCCCCCAGACUCAACAGAGUCUUGGCUGCUUGAGCCAAGACAUUUCCAAUUGGAUUUUUCCUGUUUCCAGCACUUAGACACAAUACAUUAGUCCAUAAAACAAUGUACUAAGUCUGAGAAACAUACCUUUCUCCUUGAUUUGUACUUUGUCCACCUUUUUACACUUAGGCACUCGUGUUGGACACUAAAUCACCAAAAUACUUAGAAAUGGCCCAAGGGCACAUUUCCCUUUCAAUCUCCCCCUUUUUGGUGAUUUAUGCCAACACAACAUAAGGCAAGUAGAACAAGUACAAAAUCAAUUCAACUAAGAACUCCAAGUUGUUUUGAUUCAAAUUUGACAUAUAUGGAUCACUCUAUGCCACCACUUGGUUUGUUUUUGCAAAUCAAACUCAAAUUUCUAUCUCUAAGUCAAACACACAUGUUAAGACAUAAAGAGAGUCAUUCCAAGAGAAAUUGAUUCAUGAUUUCAAAAACUCCCCUUUUUCCCAUAAUCAAUACUUCUCCCCAUAAGAGGCCAACUUUUGACAAGAGAGACAAUAAAAGAGUUUUGACAAACCAAAAGCUCUAUUCUACUAUUUUCAAAAUCUCUCAAGUGGUAGCUGAUCCAUUUAUCGCUUUGGCCUUUAUUUUCUCCCCCUUUGGCAUCAAGCACCAAAACGGGAUCAAUCUUGGCCCCUUAACCCCAUUGCCUCACCAAAAUCUUCAAAUAAGAACACAAAGGCAAUAAGAGUACAUGAGAUGAACUUGGAAUAAGUUACCCUCUCAUCGGAGUGCAGUGGAAGUCUUUCAUGGUCCAAGUCCACCUUUUCCCUUUCAAACCUCCUUUGAGAUUAAAACAAGCAAACUCAAGCAUAUGGUUAGUCUCAAAGGGUCAAGUUGUAGCACAGCUCCCCCUAAAUAUGUGCAUCACUUGCAAAAAGGACGUGUGAGGUCCAAGGAGUGUUUGUACAACUUGAGCACCACAAUAAGCAACAAAAUGCAGAAUGAACAUGAUCAAAGGCAUAAACACAUAUAUGCUACAAUUCAAUCCAAGUUCCGCGAAUCUAGGAUAUUGAGCUCACUACGCAGCCUGCAAAAGGUCUUCUCAUCUAGAGGCUUGGUAAAGAUAUCGGCUAGCUGGUUCUCGGUGCUAACAUGAAACACUUCGAUAUCUCCCUUUUGCUGGUGGUCUCUCAAAAAGUGAUGUCGGAUGUCAAUGUGCUUUGUGCGGCUGUGCUCAACAGGAUUUUCCGCUAUUCGGAUAGCACUCUCAUUGUCACAUAGGAGUGGGACUUUGCUCAGAUUGUAGCCAAAGUCCCUGAGGGUUUGCCUCAUCCAAAGUAGUUGCACGCAACACUGUCCUGCGGCAACGUACUCGGCCUCAGCGGUGGAUAGGGCAACAUAGGUUUGUUUCUUAGAAUUCCAUGACACUAGGGACCUUCCUAAGAAUUGGCACGUCCCCGAUGUACUCUUUCUAUCGACCUUACAUCCAGCAUAGUCGGAAUCUAAGUACCCAAUUAAGUCAAAGUUAGACCCCUUUGGAUACCAGAUCCCGAAGCAAGGCGUAGCGACUAAAUAUCGAAGAAUUCGCUUCACAGCCACUAAGUGACACUCCUUAGGAUCGGAUUGAAAUCUAGCACACAUGCAUACGCUAAGCAUAAUAUCCGGUCUACUAGCACACAAAUAAAGCAAGGAACCUAUCAUGGACCGGUAUGCUUUUUGAUCAACGGACUUACCUCCUUUGUUGAGGUCGGUGUGUCCGUUAGUUCCCAUCGGCGUCUUUGCGGGCUUGGCGUCCUUCAUCCCAAACCGCUUUAGCAAGUCUUGCGUGUACUUCGUUUGGGAGAUGAAAGUGCCGUCCUUGAGUUGCUUCACUUGGAACCCAAGGAAGUAGUUCAACUCGCCCAUCAUCGACAUCUCGAAUUUCUGCGUCAUCACCCUGCUAAACUCUUCACAAGACUUUUGAUUAGUAGAACCAAAUAUUAUGUCAUCGACAUAAAUUUGGCACACAAAAAGAUCACCAUCGCAAGUCUUAGUAAAAAGAGUUGGAUCGGCUUUCCCAACCUUGAAAGCAUUAGCAAUUAAAAAGUCUCUAAGGCAUUCAUACCAUGCUCUUGGUGCUUGCUUAAGUCCAUAGAGCGCCUUAGAGAGCUUACACACGUGGUCGGGGUACCGUUCAUCCUCGAAGCCAGGGGGUUGCUCCACGUACACCUCCUCCUUGAUCGGCCCGUUGAGGAAAGCGCUCUUCACAUCCAUUUGGUACAACCUGAAAGAAUGGUGAGCGGCAUAUGCUAGCAAGAUACGAAUAGAUUCUAGCCUAGCCACAGGAGCAAAAGUCUCCUCAAAGUCCAAACCUGCGACUUGGGCAUAACCUUUUGCCACAAGUCGAGCCUUGUUCCUCGUCACCACCCCGUGCUCGUCCUGUUUGUUGCGGAACACCCACUUGGUUCCCACAACAUUUUGCUUGGGACGAGGCACUAGUGUCCAAACUUCAUUGCGCUUGAAGUUGUUGAGUUCCUCCUGCAUGGCCAACACCCAGUCCGGAUCUAGCAAGGCCUCUUCCACCCUGAAAGGCUCAAUAGAAGAGACAAAGGAGUAAUGUUCACAAAAAUUAACUAAUCUCGAGCGAGUAGUUACUCCCUUGCUAAUAUCACCUAAUAUCUGGUCGACGGGAUGAUCCCUUUGGAUCGUCGCUCGAACUUGGGUUGGAGGUGCCUGAGGUGCUUCUUCCUCUUCAACUUGAUCCUCCUGUGCUCCCCCUUGAUCAUGCGCCUCCACUUGAGGUACCUGUUCGCCAUCUUGGGUUGGGGGAUGCACCAUAGUUGAGGAAGAUGGUUGAUCUUGCUCCAAAUGUUCCUGAGGCCGUACAUCUCCAAUCGCCAUGGUGCGUAUCGCGGCCGUUGGAACGUCUUCUUCAUCUACAUCAUCAAGAUCAACAACUUGCUCUCUUGGAGAGCCAUUAGUCUCAUCAAAUACAACGUCGCUAGAGACUUCAACCAAACCUGAUGAUUUGUUGAAGACCCUAUACGCCUUUGUAUUUGAAUCAUAACCUAAUAAAAACCCUUCUACAGCUUUGGGAGCAAAUUUAGAGGUUCUACCUUUCUUCACAAGAAUAUAACACUUGCUCCCAAAUACACGAAAAUAAGACACAUUGGGUUUGUUACCAGUUAGCAGCUCGUAAGAAGUCUUCUUGAGGAGGCGGUGAAGGUAGACCCUGUUGAUGGCGUGGCAAGCCGUGUUCACGGCUUCCGACCAAAAGCGCUCGGGGGUCUUGAACUCGCCAAGCAUAGUCCUCGCCAUAUCUAUGAGCGUCCUGUUCUUCCUCUCUACCACACCAUUUUGCUGAGGUGUGUAGGGAGCGGAGAACUCGUGCUUGAUCCCUUCCUCCUCAAGGAACUCCUCCACUUGAAGGUUCUUGAACUCGGACCCGUUGUCGCUCCUUAUCUUCUUCACCUUGAGCUCAAACUCAUUUUGAGCUCUCCUGAGGAAGCGCUUGAGGGUCCCUUGGGUUUCAGACUUAUCCUGCAAAAAGAACACCCAAGUGAAGCGGGAAAAGUCAUCAACAAUAACUAGACCAUACUUACUUCCUCCUAUGCUCAGAUAGGCGACGGGUCCGAAGAGGUCCAUAUGCAGCAGCUCCAGAGGUCUUGAUGUUGUCAUCACAUUUUUGGUGUGAUGAGAGCCUCCCACCUGUUUCCCUGCUUGACAAGCUGCACAAGGUCUAUCUUUUUCGAAUUGCACGUUAGUCAAACCUAUCACGUGUUCUCCCUUUAGAAGCUUGUGAAGGUUCUUCAUCCCCACAUGUGCUAAGCGGCGAUGCCACAGCCAGCCCAUGCUAGUCUUAGCAAUUAAGCAUGCAUCUAGACCGGCCUCCUCUUUUGCAAAAUCAACUAAAUAAAGUUUGCCAUCUAGUACACCCUUAUAAGCUAGUGAACCAUCACAUCUUCUAAAGACAGACACAUCUACAUUUGUAAAUAGACAAUUAUAUCCCAUAUUACAUAAUUGACUGACAGAUAGUAAAUUAUAUCCAAGAGACUCAACUAAAAACACAUUAGAGAUAGAGUGCUCAUUAGAUAUUGCAAUCUUGCCUAAACCUUUCACCUUGCCUUGGUUCCCAUCACCGAAUAUGAUUGAAUCUUGGGAAUCCUUAUUCUUGACGUAGGAGGUGAACAUCUUCUUCUCCCCCGUCAUAUGGUUUGUGCAUCCGCUGUCGAUGAUCCAGCUUGAGCCCCCGGAUGCAUACACCUGCAAGGCAAAUUUAGGCUUGGGUCUUAGGUACCCAACUCUUGUUGGGUCCUACAAGGUUAGUCACAAUUUCCUUAGGGACCCAAAUGCAAGUUUUAUCACCCUUGCAUUUUGCCCCUAAUUUCCUAGCAACUAUCUUCCUAUCCUUUCUACAAAUAGCAAAGGAAGCAUUUAAAGCAUGAUAAAUUGUAGACGGGCCAUUCAUAACUUUUCUAGGAACAUGAUGAAUAUUUUUCCUAGGCACAUGAUGAAUAUUUUUCCUAGGCAUAUCUCUACCAUGCAUAUAGGAAGAACUGGAAGCAUACAUAGCAUAAGAAUCAUAGGCAUUACAACUCCUAUGAGACUGUAUUCUAUCAUUGUACAUAAAAGCAUGGUUCUUUUUAGUACUACUUGCCAUAGGGGCCUUCCCUUUUUCCUUGGCGGAGAUGGGAGCCUUAUGGCUUGUUAAGUUCUUGGCUUCCCUCUUGAAGCCAAGCCCAUCCUUAAUUGAGGGGUGUCUACCAAUCGUGUAGGCAUCCCUAGCAAAUUUUAGUUUAUCAAAAUCACUUUUGCUAGCCUUAAGUUGGGCAUUAAGACUAGCCAAUUCAUCGUUUAACUUUGCAAUAGAAGCUAGGUGUUCACUACAAGCAUUAAUAUCAACAUCUUUACAUCUAUUGCAAAUAACAACAUUUUCUACACAAGUUGUUGAUUUACUAGCUAUUUCUAACUUAGCAUUCAAAUCAUCAUUGAUGCUCCUUAAGCUAGAAAUCGUCUCAUGGCAAGAAGAUAAUUCACAAGAAAGCAUUUCAUUUCUCUUAACUUCUAAGGCAUGAGAUUUUUGAGCUUCUACAAAUUUGUCAUGUUCUUCAUACAACAAGUCCUCUUGUUUUUCUAAAAGCCUAUUCUUAUCAUUCAGGGCAUCAAUCAAUUCAUUAAUUUUAUCUACCUUGGUUCUAUCUGGGCCCUUAAAUAAACAUGAAUAAUCUAUUUCAUCCUCAUCACUAGAUUCGUCCUCACUUGAAGAAGCAUAAGUAGAGUCUCGAGUACAUACCUUCUUCUCCCUUGCCAUAAGGCAUGUGUGACGCUCGUUGGGGAAGAGGGAUGACUUGUUGAAGGCGGUGGCGGCGAGUCCUUCAUUGUCGGAGUCGGACGAGGAGCAAUCUGAAUCCCACUCCUUGCCAAGAUGUGCCUCGCCCUUUGCCUUCUUGUAGUUCUUCUUCUUCUCCCUCUUGUUCCCUUGAUCCUGAUCACUAUCAUUGUCGGGACAGUUAGCAAUAAAAUGACCAAGCUUACCACAUUUGAAGCAUGAGCGCUUUCCCUUUGUCUUGGUCUUGCUUGGCUGCCCCUUGCGACCUUUUAGCGCCGUCUUGAAUCUUUUGAUAAUGAGGGCCAUUUCUUCAUCAUUAAGUCCGGCCGCCUCAAUUUGUGCCACCUUGCUAGGUAGAGCCUCCUUGCUUCUUGUUGCCUUGAGAGCAAGGGGUUGAGGCUCGGUGAUUGGACCAUUCAAUGUGUCGUCCACGUACCUUGCCUCCUUGAUCAUCAUUCGCCCGCUUACGAAUUUUCCAAGGACUUCUUCGGGCGACAUUUUGGUGUACCUGGGAUUCUCACGAAUAUUAUUCACCAAAUGAGGAUCAAGAACGGUAAAGGACCUUAGCAUUAGUCGAACGACGUCGUGGUCCGUCCAUCGCGUGCUUCCGUAGCUCCUUAUUUUGUUGAUAAGGGUCUUGAGCCGGUUGUAUGUUUGUGUCGGCUCCUCGCCCCUUAUCAUCGCGAAUCGUCCAAGCUCGCCUUCUACCAACUCCAUCUUGGUGAGCAAAGUGACGUUGUUCCCCUCAUGUGAAAUCUUGAGGGUGUCCCAGAUCUGCUUGGCGUUAUCCAAGCCGCUCACUUUGUGGUAUUCAUCCCUGCACAAUGAAGCUAGAAGAAUAGUAGUAGCUUGUGCAUUCUUAUGAAUUUGCUCAUUAAUGAACAUGGGACUAUCCGAACUAUCAAAGUGCAUUCCACUCUCUACAAUCUCCCAUAUACUAGGAUGGAGAGAGAACAAGUGACUACGCAUUUUGUGACUCCAAAAUCCGUAGUCCUCUCCAUCAAAAUGAGGAGGUUUACCAAGUGGAAUAGAUAAUAAAUGAGCAUUUGUACUUUGAGGAAUACGAGAGUAAUCAAAAGAAAAGUUCGAAUUGACCGAUUUUCUUCUCUCGUAGUCGUUGUGGUCGUCAUCCUUUUUGGAAGAAGUAGACUCAUCGCUGUCGUCGUAGUAGACGAUCUCCUUGAUGCGCCUCGUCUUCUUCUUCUUCCCAUCUUUCCGUCUAUGGCCCGAGCCGGAGUCGGUAGGCUUGUCAUCCUUCGGCUCGUUGACGAAGGAUUCCUUCUCUUUGUCGUUGAUCACGAUUCCCUUCCCCUUAGGAUCCAUCUCUUCGGGCGGUUAGUCCCUUUGUGAAGAGAACGGCUCCGAUACCAAUUGAGAGCACCUAGAGGGGGGGGGGGUGAAUAGGUGAUCCUGUAACACUUAAAAACUUAGGCCACAAAAACUUGGUAAAGUGUUAGCACAAUAAUCGCCAAGUGGCUAGAGAGGAAUCUUCAACAAAACACAAUAACCAACAAGAUCAAUCACAGAGAUGGCACGGUGGUUAUCCCGUGGUUCGGCCAAGACCAACGCUUGCCUACUCCACGUUGUGGCGUCCCAACGGACGAGGGUUGCAAUCAACCCCUCUCAAGCGGUCCAAAGACUCACUUGAAUACCACGGUGUUUUGCUUGCUUUUUCUCAAUCCCGUUUGCGAGGAUGAAAGGGAAAUGUGCCCUUGGGCCAUUUCUAAAGUAUUUUGGUGAUUGAGUGCAAACACAAGUGCUUAAAUGUGAAAAUAUGCCCAUGGAUGAACAAAGUGCAAAUCACAAGUAAAGGUAUGUUUCUAAGCCUUAGUACAUUAGUUUUGUGUACUAACAUCUUGUCUAAGUGUUAGAAACAGGAGAAAGAAGAAAAGAAAAGAAGUGGAGAGUGGCUGUGUACAGCCAAAGGCGGCUUCGGACUGGGGCACCGGACUGUCCGGUGUGCACCGGACAGUGUCCGGUGCGCCAGACCACCACAGAGCAAACCAGCCGCUCUCGGGUUUUUCUCCGGCGACUUCGGCUAAAAUUCACCGGACUGUCCGGUGUGCACCGGACUGUCCGGUGAGCCAACGGUCGGCCGGGCCAACGGUCGGCCGCGCGAUCGGCGCGCGACACGUGGCCGAGCCAACGGUCGGAAGGAAGCACCGGACUGUCCGGUGUGCACCGGACUGUCCGGUGCGCCAGAUCUGCAACGGUUGGCAACGGUCGGCUGCGCUGUUUAUGGAAAUAAAUCGGGCAUCGGACAGUGUCCGGUGUGCACCGGACUGUCCGGUGCGCCCGACGACAGAAGGCAAGGAUAGCCUUCCCGAUGUGCUCUCAACGGCUCCUAGCUGCCUUGGGGCUAUAAAAGGGACCCCUAGGCGCAUGGAGGAGAACACCAAGCAUUCCUUGAGCACUCUUGAUCACUCACACAUCAAUCUCGCGCACUUGUUCGACAUUCUAGUGAUUUGAGCUCCGUUCUAGUGUGCUAGUCUUUUGAGCUCAAGUCUGGGUCUUGUGUGUGCGUAUUCGCUGUGAUCCUUGUGUUGUGUGUGAGUUGCUAAUCCCUUCCUUACUCCGUGAUUCUCUGUGAACAUCUUUUGUAAGGGCGAGAGGUUCCAAGUUGUGGAGAUUCCUCGCAAACGGGAUUGAGAAAAGAAAAGCAAGAACACCGUGGUAUUCAAGUUGAUCACUGGAUCACUUGAGAGGAGUUGAGUGCAACUCUCGUCCGUUGGGACGCCACAACGUGGAGUAGGCAAGUUUUUGUACUUGGCCGAACCACGGGAUAACCACCGUGUCAUCUCUGUGAUUGAUUUCUUGUGGUUAUUGUGUUUUGACUCCUCUCUAGCCACUUGGCCAUACUUGUGCUAACCCUUAACAAGUUUUUGUGGCUUAAGUUUUGAAGUUUUACAGGAUCACCUAUUCACCCCCCCUCUAGGUGCUCUCAAUUGGUAUCGGAGCCGUUCUCUUCAAAAAGGGACUAAUCGCCCGAAGAGAUGGAUCCUAAGGGAAAGGGGAUGGUGGUCGACAAUGAGAAGGAGUCUAUCUUCAACGAGCCAAAGAAUGACAAGUCCACCGACUUGGGCUCAAGCCACAAGCACAAAGAUGGGAAGAAGAAGAAGACAAGGCGCAUCAAGGAGAUCGUCUACUACGACAGCGACGAGUCCUCUUCUUCCCAAAAGGACAACGACGAUCACGACAAACAAAAGACGGUUAACUCAAACUUUUCUUUUGAUUAUUCGCGCAUUCCACAUAGCUCAAAUGCUCAUUUGCUCCCCAUUCCACUUGGCAAGCCUCCUCACUUUGAUGGAGAGGACUACGGAUUUUGGAGUCACAAAAUGCGUACUCACCUAUUUUCUCUCCAUCCAAGCAUUUGGGAGAUUGUAGAAAGUGGAAUGAAAUUUGAUAGCUCGGAUAGCCCUUCAUUUAUUAAUGAACAGAUCCAUAAAAAUGCACAAGCUACUACUGUGUUGCUAGCCUCUCUGUGCAGGGAUGAGUAUCACAAGGUGAGCGGCUUGGACAAUGCCAAGCAGAUUUGGGACACCCUCAAGAUCUCUCAUGAGGGGAAUGAUGUCACCUUACUCACCAAGAUGGAGUUGGUGGAGGGCGAGCUCGGACGAUUUGCGAUGAUAAGGGGCGAGGAGCCGACACAAACAUACAACAGGCUCAAGAUCCUUAUCAACAAAAUAAGGAGCUACGGAAGCACGCGAUGGACGGAUCACCACGUCGUCCGCCUAAUGCUAAGGUCAUUUACCGUUCUUGAUCCUCACUUGGUGAACAAUAUUCGUGAAAAUCCUAGGUACAUCAAGAUGUCACCCGAAGAAAUUCUUGGAAAAUUUGUGAGUGGGCGAAUGAUGAUCAAGGAGGCAAGGUACGUGGACGACGCGUUGAAUGGUCCAAUCCAUGAGCCUCAACCCAUUGCUCUCAAGGCAACAAGAAGCAAGGAAACGCUACCCAGCAAGGUGGCGCAAAUUGAGGCGGCCGGUCUUAAUGAUGAAGAGAUGGCCCUCAUCAUCAAACGAUUCAAGACGGUGCUAAAGAGUCGCAAUGGACAGCCGAGCAAGACUAAGACCAAGGGAAAGCGAUCAUGCUUCAAAUGCGGUAAGCUUGGUCAUUUUAUUGCUAACUGUCCGGAUAAUGAAAGUGACCAGGAAAAGGGGAACAAAAGAGAGAAGAAGAAGCACUACAAGAAGGCCAAGGGCGAAGCACAUAUCGGAAAGGAGUGGGAUUCGGACUGCUCCUCCUCCGACUCCGACAAUGAAGGACUCGCCGCCACCGCCUUCAACAAGUCAUCUCUCUUCCCCAACGAGCGUCAUACUUGCCUUAUGGCAAGGGAGAAGAAAGUAAGUACUCGAGAUACCACUUAUGCUUCUUCUAGUGAUGAAGAUGAAAUUGAUUAUUCAUGCUUGUUUAAAGGUCUAGAUAGAACCAAGGUAGACAAAAUUAAUGAAUUGAUUGAUGCCUUGAAUGAUAAGAACAUGCUUGUAGAAAAGCAAGAGGAUUUGUUGUAUGAAGAACAUGAUAAAUUUGUUAGUGCACAAAAUUCUCUUGCUCUAGAGAAUAAAAGAAAUGAAAUGCUUUCUUGUGAAUUAUCUUCUUGCCAUGAGACAAUUUCUAAAUUAAGAAGCAUUAAUGACGAUUUGAAUGCUAAAUUAGAAGUAUCAAAUAAAUCUAACUCUUGUGUAGAACAUGUUGUAAUUUGUACUAGGUGUAAGGAUUUUGAUGUUAAUGCUUGUAGUGAACACUUAGUUUCAAUUUCAAAACUAAAUGAUGAAGUGGCUAGUCUUAAUGCUCAACUUAAGACUAGCAAAAGUGAUUUUGAAAAACUAAAAUUUGCUAGGGAUGCCUACACGGUUGGUAGACAUCCCUCAAUUAAGGAUGGGCUUGGUUUCAAGAGGGAAGCCAAGAACUUAACAAGCCAUAAGGCUCCCAUUCCCGCCAAGGAGAAAGGGAAGGCCCCUAUGGCUACUAGUGCUAAAAGGAACCAUGCCUUUUUGUAUCAUGAUAGAAGACAUACUAGAAAUGCAAAUAGGAGUUAUGAUGCUUUUGAUUCAUAUGUUUAUGACUCUCAUGCCAUGUUUGCUCCUAGUUCUUCUUAUGUGAAUAAUAGAAAUGUUACUAGGAAAAAUGUUGUUCCUAAAAAGAAUGUUAUUCAUGCUCCUAGGAAAGUAGCAAAUGAACCUUCUAUCAUUUAUUAUGCUUGCAAUGCACCCUUUGCAAUUUGUAGAAAGGAUAGAAAAGUAAUUGCUAGGAAGUUAGGGGCAAAAUGCAAAGGUGAUAAAACUUGCAUUUGGGUCCCUAAGGAUAUAUGUGCUAACCUUGUAGGACCCAACAUGAGUUGGGUACCUAAGACCCAAGCCUAAAUUUGCCUUGCAGGUUUAUGCAUCCGGGGGUUCAAGCUGGAUUAUCGACAGCGGAUGCACAAACCAUAUGACGGGGGAGAAGAAAAUGUUCACCUCCUACGUCAAGAAUAAAGAUUCCCAAGAUUCAAUCAUAUUCGGUGAUGGGAAUCAAGGCAAGGUAAAAGGGUUAGGUAAAAUUGCAAUUUCCAAUGAGCAUUCUAUUUCCAAUGUGUUUUUAGUAGAGUCUCUUGGUUACAAUUUACUAUCUGUUAGUCAACUGUGCAACAUGGGGUAUAACUGUCUAUUUACUAAUGUAGAUGUGUCUGUCUUUAGAAGAAGUGAUGAUUCACUAGCUUUUAAGGGUGUAUUAGACGGCAAGCUUUACUUAGUUGAUUUUGCAAAAGAAGAGGCCGGUCUAGAUGCAUGCUUAAUAGCUAAGACUUGCAUGGGCUGGCUGUGGCAUCGCCGCUUGGCACAUGUGGGGAUGAAGAACCUUCACAAACUUCUAAAGGGAGAACACGUGAUAGGAUUGACUAACGUGCAUUUCGAAAAAGAUAGACCUUGUGCAGCUUGUCAAGCAGGUAAACAAGUGGGAGGAGCGCAUCACGACAAGAACGUGAUGACCACUUCAAGACCCCUGGAGCUGCUGCACAUGGACCUCUUCGGACCUGUCGCCUAUCUGAGCAUAGGAGGGAGUAAGUAUGGUUUAGUUAUUGUUGAUGAUUUUUCCCGCUUCACUUGGGUGUUCUUUUUGCAGGAUAAGUCUGAAACCCAAGGGACCCUCAAGCGCUUCCUCAGGAGAGCUCAAAAUGAGUUUGAGCUCAAGGUAAAGAAGAUAAGGAGCGACAACGGGUCCGAAUUCAAGAACUUUCAAGUGGAGGAAUUUCUUGAGGAGGAAGGAAUCAAGCACGAAUUCUCCGCUCCCUACACACCACAGCAAAAUGGUGUGGUAGAGAGGAAGAACAGGACGCUAAUCGAUAUGGCGAGGACAAUGCUUGGAGAAUUCAAGACCCCCGAGUGUUUUUGGUCGGAAGCCGUGAACACGGCGUGCCACGCCAUCAACAGGGUCUACCUUCACCGCCUCCUCAAGAAGACGUCGUAUGAGCUACUAACCGGUAACAAACCCAAUGUAUCGUACUUUCGUGUUUUUGGGAGUAAAUGCUACAUUCUAGUGAAGAAAGGUAGAAAUUCUAAGUUUGCUCCCAAAGCUGUAGAAGGGUUUUUAUUAGGUUAUGACUCAAAUACAAAGGCGUAUAGAGUCUUCAACAAAUCAUCGGGUUUGGUUGAAGUCUCUAGCGACGUUGUAUUUGAUGAGACUAAUGGCUCUCCAAGAGAGCAAGUUGUUGAUUGUGAUGAUGUAGAUGAAGAAGAUGUUCCGACGGCCGCUAUACGGACCAUGGCGAUUGGAGAAGUACGGCCACAGGAACAAGAUGAACAAGAUCAACCCUCUUCCUCAACUAUGGUGCAUCCCCAACCGAAGAUGACGAACAGGUACCUCAAGUGGAGGCGCUUGAUCAAGGGGGAGCACAAGAUGAUCAAGUGAUGGAGGAAGAAGCGCAACCGGCACCUCCAACCCAAGUUCGAGCGAUGAUUCAAAGGAUCAUCCCGUUGAUCAAAUUCUGGGUGACAUUAGCAAGGGAGUAACUACUCGAUCUCGAUUAGCUAAUUUUUGUGAGCAUUACUCCUUUGUCUCUUCUAUUGAGCCUUUCAGGGUAGAGGAGGCCUUGCUAGAUCCGGACUGGGUGUUGGCCAUGCAGGAGGAGCUUAACAACUUCAAGCGCAAUGAAGUUUGGACACUAGUGCCUCGUCCGAAGCAAAAUGUCGUGGGAACCAAGUGGGUAUUCCGCAACAAACAGGACGAGCACGGGGUGGUGACGAGGAACAAGGCUCGACUUGUGGCAAAAGGUUAUGCCCAAGUCGCAGGUUUGGACUUUGAGGAGACUUUCGCUCCUGUGGCUAGGCUAGAGUCCAUUCGUAUCUUGCUAGCAUAUGCCGCUCACCAUUCUUUCAGGUUGUACCAAAUGGAUGUGAAGAGCGCUUUCCUCAACGGGCCAAUCAAGGAGGAGGUGUACGUGGAGCAACCCCCUGGCUUCGAGGAUGAACGGUACCCCGACCAUGUGUGUAAGCUCUCUAAGGCGCUCUAUGGACUUAAGCAAGCCCCAAGAGCAUGGUAUGAAUGCCUUAGAGACUUUCUACUUGCUAAUGCUUUCAAGGUUGGGAAAGCCGAUCCAACUCUUUUACUAAGACUUGUAAUGGUGAUUUGUUUGUGUGCCAAAUUUAUGUCGAUGACAUAAUAUUUGGUUCUACUAACCAAAAGUCUUGUGAAGAGUUUAGCAGGGUGAUGACGCAGAAAUUCGAGAUGUCGAUGAUGGGCGAGUUGAACUACUUCCUUGGGUUCCAAGUGAAGCAACUCAAGGACGGCACCUUCCUCUCCCAAACGAAGUACACGCAAGAUCUGCUAAAGCGGUUUGGGAUGAAGGACGCCAAGCCCGCAAAGACUCCGAUGGGGACCGACGGACACACCGACCUCAACAAAGGAGGUAAGUCCGUUGAUCAAAAAGCAUACCGGUCAAUGAUAGGUUCUUUGCUUUACUUAUGUGCUAGUAGACCGGAUAUUAUGCUUAGCGUAUGCAUGUGUGCUAGAUUUCAAUCCGAUCCUAAGGAGUGUCACUUAGUGGCGGUGAAGCGAAUUCUUAGAUAUUUGGUUGCUACGCCUUGCUUCGGGCUCUGGUAUCCAAAGGGGUCUACCUUUGACUUAGUUGGAUACUCAGACUCCGACUAUGCUGGAUGUAAGGUCGAUAGGAAGAGUACAUCGGGGACGUGCCAAUUCUUAGGAAGGUCCCUGGUGUCAUGGAACUCUAAGAAACAAACAUCCGUUGCCCUAUCCACCGCUGAGGCCGAGUACGUUGCCGCAGGUCAGUGUUGCGCGCAACUACUUUGGAUGAGGCAAACCCUCCGGGACUUUGGCUACAAUCUGAGCAAAGUCCCACUCCUAUGUGAUAAUGAGAGUGCUAUCCGCAUGGCGGAAAAUCCUGUUGAACACAGCCGCACAAAGCACAUAGACAUCCGACAUCACUUUUUGAGAGACCACCAGCAAAAGGGAGAUAUCGAAGUGUUUCAUGUUAGCACCGAGAACCAGCUAGCCGAUAUCUUCACUAAGCCUCUAGAUGAGAAGACCUUUUGCAGGUUGCGUAGUGAGCUAAAUGUCUUAGAUUCGCGGAACUUGGAUUGAAUUGUAGCAUACAUGUGUUUAUGCAUUUGAUCAGGUUCAUUCUGCAUUUUGUUGCUUAUUGUGGUGCUCAAGUUGUACCAACACUCCCUGGACCUCACAAGUCCGUUGCAAAGUGAUGCACAUGUUUAGGGGGAGAUGUGUUACAACUUGACCCUUUGAGACUAACCAUGUGCUUGAGUUUGAUGAUUUAGUCUCGAAGGAGGAUUGAAAGGGAAAAGGUGGACUUGGACCAUGAAGACUUCCACUGCACUCCGAUGAGAGGGUAACUAAUUCCGAGUUCAUCUCAUGAAAUCUUAUUGCCAUUUGCUCUUAAUUGAAGACUUUGGUGAGGCAAUGGGGUUAAAAGGGCCAAGAUUGAUCCCGUUUUGGUGCUUGAUGCCAAAGGGGGAGAAAUAAAGGCCAAAGCAUAAAUGGAUCAGCUACCACUUGAGAGAUUUUAAAAAGUAUAAUAGAGCUUUUGGUUUGUCAAAACUCUUGUAUUGUCUCUUUUGUCAAAAGUUGGUUUCUUGUGGGGAGAAAUGUUGCUUAUGGGAAAUAGGGGGAGUUUUUUGAAAUCUUUGAUCAAUCUCUUUUGGAAUGACUCUCGUUAUGCCUCACAUGUGUGUUUGACAUAGAAAUAGAGAUUUGAGUUUGAUUUGCAAAAACAAACCAAGUGGUGGCAAGGAUGAUCCAUAUAUGCCAAAAUUGAAUCAAAACCAAUUUGAGUUUUUAUUUGAAAUGAUUUUGCACUUGUUCUAGUUGCUUUAUGUUGUGUUGGCAUAAAUCACCAAAAAGGGGGAGAUUGAAAGGGAAAUGUGCCCUUGGGCCAUUUCUAAAGUAUUUUGGUGAUUGAGUGCAAACACAAGUGCUUAAAUGUGAAAAUAUGCCCAUGGAUGAACAAAGUGCAAAUCACAAGUAAAGGUAUGUUUCUAAGCCUUAGUACAUUAGUUUUGUGUACUAACAUUUGUCUAAGUGUUAGAAACAGGAGAAAGAGAAAAGAAAAGAAGUGGAGAGUGGCUGUGUACAGCCAAAGGCGGCUUCGGACUGGGGCACCGGACUGUCGGUGUGCACCGGACAGUGUCCGGUGCGCCAGACCACCACAGAGCAAACCAGCCGCUCUCGGGUUUUUCUCCGGCGACUUCGGCUAAAAUUCACCGGACUGUCCGGUGUGCACCGGACUGUCCGGUGAGCCAACGGUCGGCCGGGCCAACGGUCGGCCGCGCGAUCGGCGCGCGACACGUGGCCGAGCCAACGGUCGGAAGGAAGCACCGGACUGUCCCGGUGUGCACCGGACUGUCCGGUGCGCCAGAUCUGCAACGGUUGGCAACGGUCGGGCUGCGUGUUUAUGGAAAUAAAUCGGGCACCGGACAGUGUCCGGUGUGCACCGGACUGUCCCGGUGCGCCCGCGACAGAAGGCAAGGAUAGCCUUCCCGAUGUGCUCUCAACGGCUUCCUAGCUGCCUGGGGCUAUAAAAGGGACCCCUAGGCGCAUGGAGGAGAACACCAGCAUUCCUUGAGCACUCUUGAUCACUCACACAUCAAUCUCGCGCACUUGUUCGACAUUCUAGUGAUUUGAGCUCCGUUCUAGUGUGCUAGUCUUUUGAGCUCAAGUCUGGGUCUUGUGUGUGCGUAUUCGCUGUGAUUCCUUGUGUUGUGUGUGAGUUGCUAAUCCCUUCCUUACUCCGUGAUUCUCUGUGAAAUCUUUUGUAAGGGCGAGAGGUUCCAAGUUGUGGAGAUUCCUCGCAAACGGGAUUGAGAAAAGAAAAGCAAGAACACCGUGGUAUUUCAAGUUGAUCAUUGGAUCACUUGAGAGGAGUUGAGUGCAACUCUCGUCCGUUGGGACGCCACAACGUGGAGUAGGCAAGUUUUUUGUACUUGGCCGAACCACGGGAUAACCACCGUGUCAUCUCUGUGAUUGAUUUUUGUGGUUAUUGUGUUUUGACUCUCUCUAGCCACUUGGCCAUACUUGUGCUAACCCUUAACGUUUUUGUGGCUUAAGUUUUGAAGUUUUACAGGAUCACCUAUUCACCCCCCCUCUAGGUGCUCUCAGAGGAAUCUCCACAACUUGGAGCCUCUCGCCCUUACACUUGAAAUUCACAAAGAAGCACGAGCAAGGGAGGGAUUAGCAACACACUCAAGACAAGAAAUCACAGCAACACCACGCACACAAUCGCAACGAGAGCUCACAACACAACUCAAUGAGUUCACUACUCAACUAGAGCUCUAAUUGCUAUCGCAAAGAAUCAAAGCGCGGAAUUGAUGUUUGGUGCUUAGAAAUGUUGUAGGAAUGCUUGUUGUUCUCCUCCAUGCGCUAGGGGUCCCUUUUAUAGCCCCAAGGCAGCUAGGAGCCGUUGAGAGCAAUCUAGGAAGGCUGAUCUUGCCUUCUGUCGACUGGCGCACCGGACAAGUCCGGUGCACACCGGACACUGUCCGGUGCCCGAUUUCCUUCCAAAAAUGGCGCAGUCGACCGUUGGCAGCCAGAGAGCCGUUGGCGCACCGGACAUGUCCGGUGCACACCGGACAGUCCGGUGCCCCUUCUAGCCGUUGGCUCAGCCACGUGUCCCGCGCAGAUUGCGCGGCCGACCGUUGGCCCGGCUGACCGUUGGCUCACCGGACAGUCCGGUGCACACCGGACAGUCCGGUGAAUUAUAGCCGUACGUCGCCGUGAAUUCCCGAGAGCGACCACUUUGCUCAGCCAGCCUGGCGCACCGGACACUGUCCGGUGCACCACCGGACAGUCCGUGCCCCCAGACUCAGCAGAGUCUUGGCUGCUUGAGCCAAGACAUUUCCAAUUGGAUUUUUCCUGUUUCCAGCACUUAGACACAUACAUUAGUCCAUAAAACAAUGUACUAAGUCUGAGAAACAUACCUUUCUCUCUUGAUUUGUACUUUGUCCACCUUUUACACUUAGGCACUCGUGUUGGACACUAAAAUCACCAAAAUACUUAGAAAAAGGCCCAAGGGCACAUUUCCCUUUCACAGGCGGGGGGCGAUGCAGUGCAUGGCGGGAGGUGUGGUGCUUCGGCGGUGGAAGAGCUGGGGAGGGGAUCACGGAGAGAUGACACGGGAUCUGGAGUUGAUUGCAGGGGAUGCCGCAGCGACGCCAUCGAUGGAAAGGAGUGCUGCGGCGGGCGGGCGCUCAGGGCAGAACCGUGCACCGCAGCCAAUGUGGACGUAUACGGAGGAUAAUUAGGGCAUAAUCUAGUUCAAAAAUAGAAUAUCUGUUCCUGAAAUAGAUAGUUCCAAGAAACUAUAUUAAAGGAAGCCCAUGACUCAGCUUAUUCUGGUCCACCCUGGAGUACCAAGAUUGUACCAGGUCUUGAAACAGANNNNNNNNNNNNNNNNNNNNNNNNNNNNNNNNNNNNNNNNNNNNNNNNNNNNNNNNNNNNNNNNNNNNNNNNNNNNNNNNNNNNNNNNNNNNNNNNNNNNAUAAUAUAUAUUAAUUGUUUAUGUUCUUUAUAUUCCUUACAAUUCAUCCUUCGUCAUUUAUAAUGUAUUUAUGAAGGUACUGCCCUUCAUAACCUUCGUCCGAAAACCAUUAUAUCCUAAGGAAUAAUGCUUCGAAGGACGAAGGACUUUACCGAUUAACAUUUUCUAUGUUGCCUUGUUCUUGACUCAUAGCAUUUGAGAACAAGUCCCCAACAUUGGCGCCCACCUCCGGUGAACUCACUUCCACUCUUGAGUUUUUUGAACACCUUCGGCGAUCAUAAACCUUCGUUAUGGCGCCGAAGAAAGCUUCAGCAACUGGGCUGCAGCUCUGCAACCGCUGGACCACAAUCAGGAGACAGUCUCCCUUCGGGAGGCCCGAAGCCAGAAAAGGAAGGCUGUCAGCCCGACACCACCAGAGGACGAGAUAGAUCAAGAAAUCGAGAUAUGGAGAUGCUUCAUCAACAAGUCAGAGGAAGAAAGAAAAGAUGGCCAGGCUAGCUGAACUGCAGAGGCAGAUAGACGAAGCCUCUGAAGAAGUUCGUCAUCUUGCUCAGGAUGAGCAACACCGAAGGCCUCAGCACCAAGACCUUCAUCAGGAGGGUUUUCCCAACGAAGAUGACUGGUAUGACAAUUUCCAUCAUGGGAAUUUUGUUUUGAGAUGCUUCUCCUCUGUCCGCUGAGCUGCAGGCUACACCUUGGCCUCCGUCCUACAAGCCGCCUCAGCUUCCCGUAUUCGAUGGCCACUCAGACCCGAAGCAGUUUUUGAUGAGCUACGAAGCAACAGUAUCUUCGUAUGGUGGCAAUGCUGCAGUCAUGGCCAAAUCUUUUGUUAUGGCUGUCAGGAGUGUCGCUCAAACCUGGUAUUCCUCCCUUCGACCAGGAACGAUCACUUCAUGGCAGAAGCUGAAGGACUUGUUGUUAACUAGCUUCCAAGGGUUUCAGACGAAGCCGGUUACUGCUCAAGCCUGUUUCCAGUGCACCCAGGAUCACGAAGAAUACCUUCAGGCGUAUGUCCGAAGGUUCUUGCGUUUGAGGGCACAGGCACCAACGGUGCCCAAUGAAAUUGUCAUUGAGGCCAUGAUCAAGGGGCUUCGGCCAGGACCGUCAGCUCAGUACUUCGCUAGGAAGCCUCCUCAAACUUUGGAGAAGCUGCUCCAGAAGAUGGACGAGUACAUUCGGGCCGAUAAUGAUUUUCGCCAAAGAAGGGAGGAGGCUUUCAGGUUUUCUGAAAUGACCAGGGGCUUCGGAGGAGGUUCUACCCGAGGCAUGUUAGAUCAAUUCAUAACUCUACACAAAAUGAUGAUGAGGGAGCCAACAGCAAAGGCCACAAUGUUCCUCACAGGCUUCGGGGCAACAGCAAGGCUCCUUCCGACCACCAGCUCCAAGAGGCAGAGGCGCCAGGGGCUUCGAGGAAGAUUUGGCGAUCAACCGAGAAGAAUCUUUUGCUUAUUCUGUGGUGAGAACAAAGGUCAUACCACCAGGAUGUGCCAUGUUACCAUCCAGAAGCAAAAAGAAAUAGCCGAAGCGCAGCACAACAGCUCAGCCGAAGCAGGUCAUGCACAUGCUUCGUAUCAUUCGCCUUACAUCCCAGAGUAUGUAGGCAAUCACCCUGCAGUUUCUGUUGCUUCGGCGAGUCAACCUCAGGCUUCCUGGCAACAACCUCCGCCUCCACCACCGCUGCAACAAGGUCAGCAGCCAGAAGGGAGCCAAUAUGCUCCACAUCAAAGGGACUUCAGAGAACAGUCCGAAGCUCGCACAGUCAACAGCACUGUGCCAGAGUCAAAGCACAUCUAUUGACAAAUAUCCUACCUUAAUAGCAAUCUUUUUCAUUCAGUUUAUUUUCUGUAAUAAAGGACAUUGUUCAGGUUUCAUGUAAAUAGUUUCGUUGAUUCCCACAAGGAAAAUAUAUUUUCUUCACAGGAUUAAAUUGUUGAAAGACUUGUGAUAACAAAGAGGACCUUCGAACUAUCGAAAAUUCUUCGAGCAACAAAAGGUCGUUCUAAAAGAACGCAGAGUAAGUUUGCCGAAGUCACAAAAAAGUCGUUCCAAAGGGAGCGCAGUGUAAGUUUUCUGCUCCAAAGUCGUUCCAAAGGGAAUGCAGAGCAUACAGCGAAAAGUCAACGCUGAUACCGCCUAAGUAAAAGGCGAAGCGCGAAAAGUCAACGCGAAUACCGCUGAAAGUAAAAGGCGAAGAAGCUCCUAAGGGAGGCUUACAGCGAAAAAUAAACGCUGAUUCCGCUGAAGUAAAAGGCGAAGAAGCUCCUAAGGGAGGCUUAUAGUAAAAAGACAAUGCUGAUUCAAAAGAUUGUGUUUUGUCGCAGGAAUGUGUGUAUCUUCGGAAUAAACACCAUCUUACACAGCAUAACAUCAUCGCAUCAUUUCGCAUAGCAUAAGCAUCAUACAUCAUGUUGCAUAGGCAAAGGGAAAAAUCAUAAUAUCACAAGGAGAUACAUUAUUGAUCUUCGGAAGUAUAGCUUCGGAAAGUAUCUUCACGAAGCCUGGAUAUUAUUCAUUAGAACAUGGAUAUUGUUGUGACAAAGAAAAAUUCCUCUUCACGAAGCAUGAAAGAAGGGAAGGUGUUUUUUCGUCAAAGACUCAAAAGCGGUACGUGUAAAGUUUCAUGCAUCGUAAAGAUUGAGCAAUAAAAACGGGUAUAUUACAUUCAGGAUUACAAAAUGUUACAAUAUAUUACAUUUCAGAAGUUUAAUUUACAAAGUAUUUAAUCUUCUCUCAGAACAACUUCUGCAGCCUCAUUCAGGAGCCGAUUGACGACUUCGUCCAUAAUGGCUUCAGCCAUCUUUUAAUUUCGUCGUCCCCUUUCGGCUUAGGGCCCGGAGACGCUUUCAGCAGGAUCUGAAGAAGGACAGGAUACGGCUACACUGCUAUUACAAAUGGCAAAACGAAGCUUAAAACCAAAAUUACAACACAAUAAAAACUAUUAGUUACUACCUAAUUGACUUUCGGGCUCUGCACUCUUUUCAGCAGCCUCAGCCACUUCUCUAGCAUCGUGAAUGCCCUUUUCACUUUUUUGAAUAAUUUCUCCGGCCAUUUCUCGGCCACCAUUAUCCCAGAUAUCGGUGAAAAAUUUUCCACGAUCAUGCUAGCUUCGGCCGAAGGAUCUCUUGCAUCUUCAAAGGACAAAGCAGCUUCAGAUUGUGCUAAAAUUUUUACAUGUCCACAGCCCUUCUUCUCUAAAAUGGUGGCAAUUCCUCUGGCACCAGAGAAAGCACAUAUAUCUCCACGGCUAUUUAAAUUUCUUCGAAGGCUCAGCUUCAUGGUCGAUCCAUUCGAUGGGAUCUUCGGGAUUGCCUCUCGUAAAGUUUUCUUCGCUUGAGAAGGCGCCGACCCUGGCGAAGCUAGCUUUUAACUUCUUAACACACUCUAUAGAUUUGUUAUAGCAUCUUUUCUUGGACGAACUAAGCUCUUCAACAGUUACUUCUAAGUGAUCUGCCCAUUGGUCGCUGAGUUCUCGCCUUGUUUCUUCAAGUAUGCGUUCUUCCUUGGCUCUGGCUAGUUGUUUUCGAAGAUCUUCAAUUUCGCGCUUCUGAGCUUCAACUUGACCCUUAAAAGAAGCUUCGUCUUCUUUUAUUUUAUUUAUCAAUGAGUGUAAUAUUUUAUCUUUUUCGAGGCCUUCGUUCCUCAGUUCAAUUACUUCGGAACGAAGGUUGCUCAGGGCUAUAGCACAUCCUUCGUCUUCAGCAUCUUUCUGUGCCCUGAGGGCAUUGCUAAGUAUCAGACCCUGCAAAGCGAAAUAUGUGUGUAUCAAUAAUUUACACAAGCGAAAAAUUUUGGUCUCAACAAAAAACACAAGGAUCCUAUUUGUCGCACCUUUAAGCUAUUAUAGGCCAGGCUGUCGGCCAGAUCGUUCUUCGACAGCACCGAGAGCCCGUCUUCUAAAGUUGGGAAUCCGAAGCUCUUGCUCAUCUCCCGGCAGACAGAAAUCUCCUUGCUGUCAAGGAGACAAUACAAAAAGUCUUCUUCUCCACUACCAUUGAAUAUUAGCGCCCCCUUUGGAUACUUCAGUUUUUGGGCAUAGCGCUGGGCCUCUUGCUCUUCUUUUUCUGAUAGUUUUUUCCCCGAAGCAUGACGAACAAUAUAAUCACGAUUUUUGGAGGAUGCUUCGGGGGCAACGACACCGAUUUCUUCAACAAAAGUUGGCUUUGUUAUUUUUUCUUCCUCAAUGUCCAAAGAUUUUAUCUUUACGGGCUCUGAGGCCCCAGCUUCGGCUUUAGUUUCUUGCUCUGGAGCUUUUGUAUCAGAAAUUUCAGUUGUUGUUUCAGGAGUGGCAGCAGCCUUCUUCGGAGGUGUGCUUGAAGAUUUGAUUGUUUCCAGUACAUCUAGCACAUUAGCCAUCUCUUUCUUUUCGGAGUCACUGCUGGCACUUUUUGAUUUUUUACUGUCUCAACAUUUGCUGCAGGGCUCACAACUUCUGGUGCUUUUUCUUCAGAUGGUUUUUUCACUUCUUCCAUUUUUUCUAUGGACGGCGCUUCGGCCAUUUUUUCGGUUUCUGGUAGCAAAAUCUUCGGUUCUUCCAAUUCUAUCAUUUUUGGCGUUUCGGCCAUUUCUGCAACUACUGGCAGCAAGGUUGGUUUGGUUGGCUUUUUAGCCUCGGUGGCCGAAGAAGUUUUCCCCGGUAAACUCAGGCACCGAAGCUGGUUCAAUAUAACGCGGCCGAUGUGUGAGGACCUUUAUCUUCUUUCUUUUCGGUUCUGGCUCGCUAGGAGCAGUUUCAGGUUCUUCUUUUGCAGAGGUUGUGUUUUUUCUCUUCUGCCUUCGAAUGGGAUAGCAAUAGUCAGGGUAGACAAACCCAAUUGCAUCAAAUACCCGAUUCAGCCUCUUCUUUUUUCGGCCUCCGAAGGCUGCUGACAUCGCAGUAUCUUCGGCCUUCGAAUAAGCCCCAAGCAGCUCAUCACUUAAUUUUCAAUGCUUUUUAACCAGUCAUCAUCCGGCUCAACGAAUUUAUCUCCGAACUUGAAGGUGUACUUCAGUCUGACAAGUCCACCUUCGUCGGCCUCUUUUAUGAUUUCUUGCGGCAUCUCCCAUUUCUCCGCGAGCGGCCAUACCCGGAAGGCAAUAUGCUCUUGUACUAAAUCUCUCGUUCCAAUAAAAGAACAGAUAACGCCGAAGGCCCUCUGGCAUUCUUCGGCAGCUUCAUUCAUUUCAACCUUCGGCCUCCGAAGGCCGAAGCUUGCCAAAUAGGGCGCAUAAUUAUACCUUUGAUAUCUUCUCGUAAUGACAGGUCAUUCUUCACAUAAAACCAUUCCGUCAUCCAGUCGCCGGGCCAUCUCUUCCGAAAGGUGGCACGAGACAGCUUGACCCGGAGCGAGAAACGAAACUGUAGCAGCCAAAAUUAUUAUGAUACUGUUCUUUACCCCAAGGUUUUGUUUCGUAGGAUAAUUCGUGUAUAUUGCAGAAGCUUUUGCAUCAGGCUUCAGACCUUGGCUUCUCACGGCCCACACGAAGAUAUUCAGCCUUAUAAUUGCCUCGGGGGUAAGUUGGUGAAGAUAGACUUCGAAGAUUUUCAGCACCUCCACGACGAAGUUGCUCAAGGGAAAUCGCAGCCCAGCUUUCAAAAAGCUUCGGUACACUACGACUUCAUUCUCUUCAGGGUGUGGACAAGUUUUCUCCCCUUCGUCGGCCCUCACAAUGGACAAAUCCUGGAAAUACCUCCCUCUCAUGUUGACAAGAUGAUUCUCUUUGAUAGUUGAUUUACCAUAAACUGAGUGGCUUGGUCGCCAGGGACGAUCUUCGGAGUCUUCACCACCGCUGUCCACAUCAUAACUGUCGCUGUCACCAGUAUCCUCAGACAAACCUUCUAAAAUCUCCUUGGUAAUUUUUUCCGUAUUGGUCUUCGACAUCGCUAUAAGAAACCCCAAGUUUUUCUCUUCGUCAAGACUCAGCUUCGUCUCAGCAGCAUCCUUCUUAUCUCCAGACAUCUACGGAAACACUAAAAAACUGUUUUUAAAGCCGAAGCUUCAAAACUAAAAGCUCAGAAAUUCUUAGUGCACAAAAGCUAAAAAUCGAGUGAGCGAGAGCAGAUGACAAGAAAGCGUGCCAAAUGAGUUUGUGGUAUGACCGUAUUUAUACGCCCAGUGCGUUGAAAAUUGAAAGACCCCGCUUGUCAGUGAAUGUUGCUAUUCUAGCAAAGGGAAGGUGUUUUUUCGGACCUUCGGCGUAAAGCCUUCGUCCAUAUCGCAAUCUUAAUUUAUUGUUUUAAACAAAUUAAUAUUGCGAGGGGCUACUGUUGGGGGCCUUCGGCUUUCGAAGGUCCUCAAAACAGGAUUUAACAGUAUUUCUGGAGUUUAAUGUGUGAACAGGUAUCUUCGGACUCAAGUCGGUAUCACAGCAGACCAGAAUAAUACGAAGGUUGAUACAGCGCCGAAGGUGUGAGCAGGAAAGCUUCGGCAUGAUAGCAACAAAAUGAAACCGACUUAAAGAUGAAAAGGCUAUUCAGACCUCGAUAGAUUACAAUAGAAUUAUUAUCAAAUGUAAAGGGCAUGAAUGUAAUUUUGCAUAGGCUGUAACCUGUGCCUAUAAAUAGGUGAACAGUAUCCCCGUACUGGGGGGCUGAUCUGGCAUUCGCUUUUGCGUCACGCUUGUACUUUCAUCUCUUUCAAGUUGAAGGUACAUUUGUAAUCCAACAUUAUUUCUGUUUAUACAUGACAGUAAUAUAUAAUUGUUUAUGUUGUCCUUUAUAUUCCUUACAAUUCAUCCUUCGUCAUUGUAUAAUGUAUUUAUGAAGGUACGCCCUUCAUAACCUUCGUCCGAAAACCAUUAUAUCCUAAGGGGGAUAAUGCUUCGAAGGACGAAGGACUUUACCGAUUAACAUUUUCUAUGUUGCCUUGUUCUUGACUCAUAGCAUUUGAGAACAAGUCCCCAACAACCGCCCAGAAAUUCUUCUGGCAAAACAUUGUUUGCCGCUUCGGAGUCCCGUCCGAACUCACAGUUGACAAUGGCAAGCAAUUUGACAGCCAAGACUUCAAGGAUUUCUGCUUCUCCAUUGGCACCAAGCUUGCCUUCACCUCAGUAUACCACCCGCAAUCCAACGGAGUUGUGGAACGUGUAAAUGGCAAAAUUUUCACAGCCGUCAAGAAGAUGCUCCUCGACGACAAAAAGGGCAAGUGGGCCGACCUGUUACCUGAAGCGGUCUGGGCACUAAACACGACUGAGUGCAGGGCGACUGGGUUCACCCCUUUCCGCCUUCUAUAUGGAUCGGAGGCCAUGACCCCGCAAGAAAUAAAACAUGGGUCACCACGGACAGUCCCGUCAGCCGUCCCCGACGUGGACGAGCCCACUUCGAAGGACCUCAUCGACGGAGACCGCGUCUUCUCCCUACAGGCUCUAAACAAAUACCAAGCUCAAACAAAAGCAUGGUGCGACCAAACAGUCAUCCCGAGGGAAUUCAACGAAGGAGACCUCGUACUCGUCUGGACAGCUCGGACAGAGUCUCGGGGCAAGCUGGAGCCCAAGUGGGAGGGCCCUUUCAUCGUCAAGACGAAGGCGUCCCCCAGUGCGUACAGGCUCACAACGCCAUCCGACGAGGACUUGGAGCAUUCUUGGAACAUUGAUAAUCUCCGCAAAUUUUUUGUUUGACUCCUCAGGGCCAGCCCACCCUUGUAAUUCGCAAAACAAUUUUAUUCUGGCCCGCACUCUUUUCCUCUCGGGGGGUGAGGUUUUUAACGAGGCGGAGCCAUGUAAUACACACGCGAAAAAUCCCCCGCAAAAAUCUACGUCGAAAAAAGACUGCAUCGACGGUCUUCGACAUUCGACCAAUACAAAGUCACCGCGAGGGGCAGCUGAAAGGGAAAUGUGCCUUUGGGCCAUUUCUAAGUAUUUUGGUGAUUGAGUGCCAACACAAGUGUUUAAAUGUGAAUCUAUGCCCAUGGGUGAACAAAGUGCAAAUCAAGAGCAAAGGUAUGUUUCUAAGUCUUAGUACAUUGGUUUUGUGUACUAAUAUACUUGUCUAAGUAUCAGAAACAGAAAGAAGAAGAAAAGAGAAGAGUUGGCUGUGUACAGCCAAGAGGCUGUUUCGGUCUGGGGCACCGGACUGUCCGGUGGUGCACCGGACAGUGUCCGGUGCGCCAGGCUGGCUCGAGCGAAGUGACCGCUCUCGGGAAUUCGCCGACGACGUACGGCUAAAAUUCACCGGACUGUCCGGUGAGCCAACGGUCGGCCGGGCCAACGGUCGGCCGCGCGAUCUGCGCGGGACACGUGGCCGAGCCAACGGUCGGAAGGGGGCACCGGACUGUCCGGUGUGCACCGGACUGUCCGGUGUGCACCGGACUGUCCGGUGAGCCAACGGUCGGCCGGGCCAACGGUCGGCCGCGCGAUCUGCGCGGGACACGUGGCCAAGCCAACGGCUAGAAGGGGGCACCGGACUGUCCGGUGUGCACCGGACAUGUCCGGUGCGCCAACGGCUCCAAGUCUGCCAACGGUCGGCUUCGCCAAUUAAGGAAGGAAAUCGGGCACCGGACACUGUCCGGUGUACACCGGACUGUCCGGUGCACCCGACGACAGAAGGCAAGGAUGGCCUUCCAGAUUUGUUCUCAACGGCUCCUAGCUGCCUUGGGGCUAUAAAAGGGACCCCUAGGCGCAUGGAGGAGAACACCAAGCAACCUUAGAGCAUUCUUGAUCAUCCACACUCAGUCUUUGCGCAUUCGUUUGUCAUUCUAAGUGAUUCGAGCUCCGUUCUAGUGAGAACUUUGAGAUAGUCUUGAGCUCGAUUCUUGGCCGUGUGUGUGCGCAUUUUGCUGUGGAUUUGUGUGUGUUGCUUCCCUUCCUUACUCCGUGAUUCUUUGUGAACAUCAAAAGUGUAAGGGCGAGAGGCUCCAAGUUGUGGAGAUUCCUCGCGAACGGGAUAAGAAAAGAAAAGCAUAACACUGUGGUAUUCAAGUUGAUCAUUGGAUCACUUGAGAGGAGUUGAGUGCAACUCUCGUCCGUUGGGACGCCACAACGUGGAGUAGGCAAGUUUUGUACUUGGCCGAACCACGGGAUAAAUCACUGUGUCUUCUCUGUGUUGAAUUCUUUGUGAUUAUCGUAUUGUGCAAGACCUUCUCUCUAGCCACUUGGCGAUUAUUGUGCUAACACUUAACAAGUUUUUGUGGCUAUAAGUUUAAGUUUUACAGGAUCACCUAUUCACCCCCCCUCUAGGUGCUCUCAAUUGGUAUCAGAGCCGUUCUCUUCAAGAAGGGACUAAUCGCCCGAAGAGAUGGAUCCUAAGGGGAAGGGAAUCGUGAUCAAUGACAAGGAGAAGGAGUCCUUCGUCAACGAGCCGAAGGAUGACAAGCCUACUGACUCGGGCUCGGGCCACAAGCGCAAAGAUGGGAAGAAGAAGAAGACAAGGCGCAUCAAGGAGAUCGUCUACUACGACGAUAGCGAUGAGUCUACUUCUUCCCAAAAGGACGACGACAACGACUACAGGAAGACGGUCAAUUCGAACUUUUCAUUUGAUUAUUCUCGUAUUCCACAUAGUUCGAAUUCGCAUUUGCUUUCCAUUCCUCUUGGCAAACCUCCACACUUCGAUGGGGAGGACUACGGAUUUUGGAGUCACAAAAUGCGUAGUCACUUAUUCUCUCUCCAUCCAAGCAUAUGGGAGAUUGUAGAGAAUGGAAUGAAAUUUGAUAGCUCGGAUAGCCCUAUGCUUAUAAAUGAACAAAUCCAUAGAAAUGCACAAGCUACUACUGUUCUAUUAGCUUUGUGCAGGGAAGAGUACAAUAAGGUGAGCGGCUUGGACAAUGCCAAGCAGAUAUGGGACACCCUCAAGAUCUCUCACGAAGGGAACGACAUCACCAUGCUCACUAAAAUGGAGUUGGUGGAGGGCGAGCUUGGAAGAUUUGCGAUGAUAAGGGGCGAGGAGCCAACCCAAACAUACAACCGGCUCAAGACCCUUAUCAACAAAAUAAGGAGCUAUGGAAGCACGCGAUGGACGGACCAUGACGUCGUCCGACUACUACUAAGGUCCUUUACCAUUCUUGAUCCUCAUUUGGUGAAUAAUAUUCGUGAGAAUCCCAGAUACACCAAAAUGUCGCCCGAAGAAAUCCUUGGAAAAUUCGUAAGCGGGCGAAUGAUGAUCAAGGAGGCAAGAUACGUGGACGACGCGUUGAACGGUCCAAUUCAUGAGCCUCAACCCAUUGCUCUCAAGGCAACAAGGAGCAAGGAGGCGUUACCUAGCAAGGUGGCGCAAGUUGAGGCGGCAGGGCUCAAUGAUGAGGAGAUGGCCCUCAUCAUCAAGUGCUUCAAGACGGCGCUUAAGGGUCGCAAGGGACAGCCAAGCAAGACCAAAGCCAAGGGGAAGCGCUCAUGCUUCAAAUGCGGUAAGAUUGGUCAUUUUAUUGCUAACUGUCCCGAUAAUGAAAGUGACCAGGAACACGGGAGCAAGAGGGAAAAGAAGAAAAAUUACAAGAAGGCCAAGGGCGAGGCACAUCUAGGAAAGGAGUGGGACUCGGAUUGCUCCUCCUCCGACUCUGACAAUGAAGGACUCGCCGCCACCGGCUUCAACAAGUCAUCCCUCUUCCCAAACGAGCGUCACACAUGCCUCAUGGCAAAGGAGAAGAAGGUAUGUACUCGAGACAGUAAUACUUAUGAUUCUUCUAGUGAUGAUGAGUCUAGCGAUGAGGAAAUAGAUUACUCUAGCUUGUUCAAGGGAUUGGAUAGAAAUAAAAUUGAUAAAAUCAAUGAAUUGAUUGAUGCCUUGAAUGAGAAGGAUAGACUCUUAGAGAAACAAGAGGAUUUAUUAUAUGAAGAACAUGAUAAAUUUGUAGAAGCACAAAGAUCUCAUGCUCUAGAAGUUAAAAGAAAUGAAAUGCUUUCUUGUGAAUUAUCUUCUUGCCAUGAGACAAUUUCUAAAUUAAGGAGCAUUAAUGAUGAUUUGAAUGCUAAGUUAGAGAUUGCUAGUAAAUCUAUCUCUUGUGUAGAAAAUGUUGUAACGUGCACUAGGUGUAAAGAUAUUAACAUUGAUGCUUAUAGUGAACACCUAGCUUGCAUUUCUAAAUUAAAUGAAGAGGUAGCUAGUCUUAAUGCCCAACUUGAGACUAGCAAAAGUGAUUUUGAUAAGCUAAAAUUUGCAAGGGAUGCCUACACAAUUGGUAGACACCCCUCAAUUAAGGAUGGACUUGGCUACAAGAGGGAAGCCAAGGACUUGACAAACCAUAAAGCUCCUAUCUCCGCCAAGGAGAAAGGGAAGGCUCCUAUGGCUAGUAGUGCUAAAAAGAAUCAUGCUUUUAUGUACCAUGAUAGGAGACAUACUAGAAAUGCAAAUAGAAGUUAUAAUGUUUUUGAUUCAUAUGUUUAUGAUUCUCAUGACAUGUUUGCUUCUAGUUCUUUCUAUGUGCAUGAUAGGAAUGUUGGUAGGAGAAAUGUUGUUCAUAAUAUGCCUAGGAGAAAUGUUGUUAAUGUUCCUAGGAAAGUUAAUGAACCUUCUACAAUAUAUCAUGCUUUGAAUACUUCCUUUGCUAUUUGUAGAAAGGAUAGGAAAAUAGUUGCUAGGAAGUUAGGGGCAAAAUGCAAGGGAGACAAAACUUGCAUUUGGGUCCCUAAGGAGAUUUGCACUAACCUUGUAGGACCCAACAUAAGUUGGGUACCUAAGACCCAAGCCUAAAUUUGCCUUGCAGGUUUAUGCAUCCGGGGUUCAAGCUGGAUUAUCGACAGCGGAUGCACAAACCAUAUGACGGGGGAGAAGAAGAUGUUCACCUCCUACGUCAAGAAUAAGGAUUCUCAGAUUCAAUUAUAUUCGGUGAUGGGAAUCAAGGCAAGGUAAAAGGGUUAGGUAAAAUUGCAAUUUCUAAUGAGCACUCUAUAUCUAAUGUGUUUUUAGUAGAGUCUCUUGGAUAUAAUUUGCUAUCGGUUAGUCAAUUAUGCAAUAUGGGGUAUAACUGUCUAUUUACAAAUAUAGAUGUGUCUGUCUUUAGAAGAAGUGAUGGUUCACUAGCUUUUAAGGGUGUAUUAGACGACAAACUUUAUUUAGUUGAUUUUGCAAAAGAAGAGGCCGGUCUAGAUGCAUGCUUAAUAGCUAAGACUAGCAUGGGCUGGCUGUGGCAUCGCCGCUUAGCACAUGUGGGGAUGAAGAACCUUCACAAGCUUCUAAAGGGAGAACACGUGAUAGGUCUAACCAAUGUUCAUUUCGAAAAAGAUAGACCUUGUGCAGCUUGUCAAGCAGGGAAACAAGUGGGAGGCUCUCAUCACACCAAAAAUGUGAUGACAACAUCAAGACCCCUGGAGCUGCUACAUAUGGACCUCUUCGGACCCGUCGCCUAUCUGAGCAUAGGAGGAAGUAAGUAUGGUCUAGUUAUCGUUGAUGACUUUCCUGCUUCACUUGGGUGUUCUUUUUGCAGGAUAAGUCUGAAACCAAAGGGACCCUCAAGCGCUUCAUCAGGAGAGCUCAAAAUGAGUUUGAGCUCAAGGUGAAGAAGAUAAGGAGCGACAACGGGUCCGAGUUCAAGAACCUUCAAGUGGAGGAGUUCCUUGAGGAGGAAGGGAUCAAGCACGAGUUCUCCGCUCCCUACACACCACAGCAAAAUGGUGUGGUAGAGAGGAAGAACAGGACGCUAAUCGAUAUGGCAAGGACGAUGCUUGGAGAAUUCAAGACCCCCGAGUGUUUCUGGUCGGAAGCCGUGAACACGGCUUGCCACGCCAUCAACAGGGUCUACCUUCAUCGCCUCCUCAAGAAGACUUCGUAUGAGCUACUAACCGGUAACAAACCCAAUGUAUCUUACUUUCGUGUAUUUGGGAGCAAGUGCUACAUUCUAGUGAAGAAGGGUAGAAAUUCUAAAUUUGCUCCCAAAGCUGUAGAAGGGUUUAAGUUAGGUUAUGACUCAAAUACAAAGGCGUAUAGAGUCUUCAACAAAUCAUCGGGUUUGGUUGAAGUCUCUAGCGACAUUGUAUUUGAUGAGACUAAUGGCUCUCCAAGAGAGCAAGUUGUUGAUUGUGAUGAUGUAGAUGAAGAAGAUGUUCCGACGGCCGCUAUACGAACCAUGGCGAUUGGAGAAGUGCGGCCACAGGAACAAGAUGAACGAGAUCAACCUUCUUCCUCAACAACGGUGCAUCCCCACCUCAAGAUGAUGAACAGGUUCAUCAAAAGGAGGCGUGUGAUCAAGGGGGAGCACAAGAUGUUCACGUGAUGGAGGAAGAAGCGCAACCUGCACCUCCAACCCAAGUUCGAGCGAUGAUUCAAAGGGAUCAUCCCGUCGACCAAAUUCUGGGUGACAUUAGCAAGGGAGUAACUACUCGAUCUCGAUUAGUUAAUUGUUGUGAGCAUUACUCCUUUGUCUCUUCUAUUGAGCCUUUCAGGGUAGAGGAGGCCUUGCUAGAUCCGGAUUGGGUAUUGGCCAUGCAGGAGGAACUCAACAACUUCAAGCGCAAUGAAGAUUGGACACUGGUGCCUCGUCCCAAGCAAAAUGUUGUGGGAACCAAGUGGGUGUUCCGCAACAAACAGGACGAGCACGGGGUGGUGACGAGGAACAAGGCUCGACUUGUGGCAAAAGGUUAUGCCCAAGUCGCAGGUUUGGACUUUGAGGAGACGUUUGCUCCUGUGGCUAGGCUAGAAUCAAUUCGUAUCUUGAUAGCAUAUGUCGCUCACCAUUCUUUCAGGUUGUACCAAAUGGAUGUGAAGAGCGCUUUCCUCAACGGGCCAAUCAAGGAGGAGGUGUACGUGGAGCAACCCCCUGGCUUCGAGGAUGAACGGUACCCCGACCACGUGUGUAAGCUCUCUAAGGCGCUCUAUGGACUUAAGCAAGCCCCAAGAGCAUGGUAUGAAUGCCUUAGAGACUUUCUAAUUGUUAAUGCUUUCAAGGUUGGGAAAGCCGAUCCAACUCUUUUUACUAAGACAUGUGAUGGUGAUUUGUUUGUGUGCCAAAUUUAUGUCGAUGACAUAAUAUUUGGUUCUACUAACCAAAAGUCUUGUGAAGAGUUUAGCAGGGUGAUGACACAGAAAUUCGAGAUGUCGAUGAUGGGCGAGUUGAACUACUUCCUUGGGUUUCAAGUGAAGCAACUCAAGGACGGCACCUUCAUCUCCCAAACAAAGUACACGCAAGACUUGCUGAAGCGGUUUGGGAUGAAGGACGCCAAGCCCGCAAAGACUCCGAUGGGGACCAACGGACACACCGACCUCAACAAAGGAGGUAAGUCCGUUGAUCAAAAAGCAUACCGGUCAAUGAUAGGUUCUUUGCUUUACUUAUGUGCUAGUAGACCGGAUAUUAUGCUUAGCGUAUGCAUGUGUGCUAGAUUUCAAUCCGAUCCUAAGGAGUGUCACUUAGUGGCGGUGAAGCGAAUUCUUAGAUAUUUGGUUGCUACGCCUUGCUUUGGGCUCUGGUAUCCAAAGGGGUCUACCUUUGACUUAGUUGGAUACUCAGACUCCGACUAUGCUGGAUGUAAGGUCGAUAGGAAGAGUACAUCGGGGACGUGCCAAUUCUUAGGAAGGUCCCUGGUGUCAUGGAACUCUAAGAAACAAACCUCCGUUGCCCUAUCCACCGCUGAGGCCGAGUACGUUGCCGCAGGACAGUGUUGCGCGCAACUACUUUGGAUGAGGCAAACCCUCCGGGACUUUGGCUACAAUCUGAGCAAAGUCCCACUCCUAUGUGACAAUGAGAGUGCUAUCCGCAUGGCGGAAAAUCCUGUUGAACACAGCCGCACAAAGCACAUUGACAUCCGGCAUCACUUUUUGAGAGACCACCAGCAAAAGGGAGAUAUCGAAGUGUUUCAUGUUAGCACCGAGAACCAGCUAGCCGAUAUCUUUACCAAGCCUCUAGAUGAGAAGACCUUUUGCAGGUUGCGUAGUGAGCUAAAUGUCCUAGAUUCGCGGAACUUGGAUUGAUUUAUAGCAUACAUGUGUAUAUGCCUUUGAUCAUGUUCCUUUAUUAUGGUGCUCAAGUUGUACAAACACUCCCUGGACCUCACAAGUCCGUUGCAAAGUGAUGCACAUGUUUAGGGGGAGAUAUGUUACAACUUGACCCUUUGAAGACUGACCAUGUGCUUGAGUUUGAUGAUUUAGUCUCGAAGAUGGAUUGAAAGGGAAAAAGGUGGAUUUGGACCAUGAAAGACUUCCACUGCACUCCGAUGAGAGGGUAACUUAUUCCAAGUUCAUCUUUAGACUCUUAUUGCCUAUUUGCUCUUAAUUGAAGAUUUUGGUGAGGCAAUGGGGUUAAAGGGCCAAGAUUGAUCCCGUUUUGGUGCUUGAUGCCAAAGGGGGAGAAAAUAAAGGCCAAAGUGAUAAAUGGAUCAGCUACCACUUGAGAAAUUUUGAAAAUAGUAGAUUAGAGCUUUUGUGUUGUCAAAACUCUUGCAUUGUCUCUUUUGUCAAAAGUUGGCCUCUUGUGGGGAGAAGUGUUGAUUAUGGGAAAAAGGGGGAGUUUUUGGAAUCUUGAAUCAAUUUUCUUUGGAAAACCUCUCUUUAUGUCUCUACAAGUGGAUUUGACUUAGAGAUAGGAUUUUGUGUUUGAUUUGCAAAAACAAACCAAGUGGUGGCAAAGGAUGAUCCAUAUAUGCCAAAUUGAAUCAAAAUAAACUUGAGUUUUUAUUUUUGAAGUGAUAUUGCACUUGUUCUAGUUGCUUUAUGUUGUGUUGGCAUAAAUCACCAAGAAGGGGGAGAUUGAAAGGGAAAUGUGCCUUUGGGCCAUUUCUAAGUAUUUUGGUGAUUGAGUGCCAACACAAGUGUUUAAAUGUGAAUCUAUGCCCAUGGGUGAACAAAGUGCAAAUCAAGAGCAAAGGUAUGUUUCUAAGUCUUAGUACAUUGGUUUUGUGUACUAAUAUACUUGUCUAAGUAUCAGAAACAGAAAGAAGAAGAAAAGAGAAGAGUUGGCUGUGUACAGCCAAGAGGCUGUUUCGGUCUGCGACACCGGACUGUCCGGUGGUGCACCGGACAGUGUCCGGUGUGCCAGGCUGGCUCGAGCGAAGUGACCGCUCUCGGGAAUUCGCCGACGACGUACGGCUAAAAUUCACCGGACUGUCCGGUGUGCACCGGACUGUCCGGUGAGCCAACGGUCGGCCGGGCCAACGGUCGGCCGCGCGAUCUGCGCGGGACACGUGGCCGAGCCAACGGUCGGAAGGGGGCACCGGACUGUCCGGUGUGCACCGGACUGUCCGGUGAGCCAACGGUCGGCCGGGCCAACGGUCGGCCGCGCGAUCUGCGCGGGACACGUGGCCAAGCCAACGGCUAGAAGGGGGCACCGGACUGUCCGGUGUGCACCGGACAUGUCCGGUGCGCCAACGGCUCCAAGUCUGCCAACGGUCGGCUUCGCCAAUUAAGGAAGGAAAUCGGGCACCGGACAUUGUCCGGUGUACACCGGACUGUCCGGUGCACCCGACGACAGAAGGCAAGGAUGGCCUUCCAGAUUUGUUCUCAACGGCUCCUAGCUGCCUUGGGGCUAUAAAAGGGACCCCUAGGCGCAUGGAGGAGAACACCAAGCAACCUUAGAGCAUUCUUGAUCAUCCACACUCAGUCUUUGCGCAUUCGUUUGUCAUUCUAAGUGAUUCGAGCUCCGUUCUAGUGAGAACUUUGAGAUAGUCUUUGAGCUCGAUUCUUGGCCGUGUGUGUGCGCAUUUUGCUGUGGAUUUGUGUGUGUUGCUUCCCUUCCUUACUCCGUGAUUCUUUGUGAACAUCAAAAGUGUAAGGGCGAGAGGCUCCAAGUUGUGGAGAUUCCUCGCGAACAGGAUAAGAAAAGAAAAGCAUAACACUGUGGUAUUCAAGUUGAUCAUUGGAUCACUUGAGAGGAGUUGAGUGCAACUCUCGUCCGUUGGGACGCCACAACGUGGAGUAGGCAAGUUUUGUACUUGGCCGAACCACGGGAUAAAUCACUGUGUCUUCUCUGUGUUGAAUUCUUUGUGAUUAUCGUAUUGUGCAAGACCUUCUCUCUAGCCACUUGGCGAUUAUUGUGCUAACACUUAACAAGUUUUUGUGGCUAUAAGUUUAAGUUUUACAGGAUCACCUAUUCACCCCCCUCUAGGUGCUCUCAGCAGCGCUGGCUACCCUCGCGUGCGACACUCCGCGCAAAAGUCGCCUAAGGGUGCAGCCGGACUAGCACAACAAGUGCACAAAAUCGAAGUCUUCCUCAAAAGACUAUCCGUGCAAAAGUCGCCUAAGGGUGCAGCCGGACUAGCACAACAAGUGCGCAAAAUCGAAGUCUUCUUCAAUAGACUAUCCGUGCAAAAGUCGCCUAAGGGUGCAGCCGGACUAGCACAACAAGCGCGCAAAAUCGAAGUCUUCUUCAAAAGACUAUCCGCGCAAAAGUCGCCUAAGGGUGCAGCCGGACUAGCUCAACAAGCGCGCAAAAUCGCAGGCGCAUUACAUCCGUGCAAAAGUCUACACCAAGAAAUUGUCCGCGCAAAGACCUACUACAGGCGCAGCUGGACCGACAUAAUAAAUGUGCUAGACCAAGUGCGCAACGCCCCUAUGGACAUAGCCGGAUGCGCGAAGGCGCACAGCCUCAUCAUACAAACUAUAGUUACACACGUACAGCGAGGGCAUCACACCUUACAUUGGUUCAACCUUCGGAAUGAUUCCCAUCUUCCUAUAGUUAAAUAGCAUUAUCCUAAGCUCCUUGUUGGAACUUGCUCUCAGACGCAAGAAGGCCAACAAGGGUGAACAGUGUAGACAGAAGGGUUACGCGUAGUUCGGACGGUACUCCGAAGCGGCAAACAAUGUUUUGCUAGAAGAAUUUUUGGGCAGUCUUUGAUGUUACUGUAGAAACAGCCCUCGCUUCGAUCCACUUGGUGAAGUAUUCGACGGCUACGAAGGCGAACUUAAGGUUCCCCUGAGCGGUGGGCAGGGGCCCGACAAUGUCCAGGCCCCAGCGCUGGAGAGGCCAUGUAUGGGCAAUCAGCUUUGUAUACUGCGAGGGGCUGCCUGACCGAGGAGAAAACUUCUGGCAGGCUUCGCAGGACCUUGUGACCCGAUUUGCGGCGCAGAUCAUUGCGGGCCAGUAAAACCUUGGCGGAUCACCUUGGCAGCUAGGGCCCUUGGCCCUGCGUGCGAGCCGCACGUGCCACUGUGGACUUCGCGUAGGAUCUGCAUGCCUUCGGUUUCGGUGACGCACUUAAGCAUUGGCUGACUGACCCCUUUUUUGUAGAGUUGGCCCUCAAUCAGUGCGAAGUCCCGGCUUCGAUGUCUGAGGCGCUUGGCCUCGCUGACGUUGGUUGGAUGAUAGUACCCCUGUAGGAAUAGGGUUAUUGGUGCCCGCCAGUCCUCGGUCAUGAUUAGGUUGACUAUGCGGUGGCCUUCGCUGUCAUUAGUUAUUUGGAGCCCUUCGGGCUCCGGACGGCUGGCGUGCCGAUGAUGUGGAAGAACACGUCGGAGGGCAAGGACUCGCCCCUGGCGGCGGCCUUGGCCAAUGCGUCGGCCUCCUCGUUCUUGGCCCUAUCCACAUGCUGCAAAGUGAAUCCCUUGAACUGUCUCUCGAGACUUCGGAUGGCCGCGAGGUAUUGCAUGAGCGCGGGGUCUUUUGCUGCAUAGUCUUUCUCGACCUGGCCGACAACUAUCUUGGAGUCUGUUUUGAUGAUACAUGUGGUGACUCCGAGGGCCCUUAGCUUGCGGAGGCCAAGGAUAACCGCUUCAUACUCUGCUAUAUUGUUUGUGCAUCUGUCGGAUUCCAAAGCGAAGCUGAGGCGUGCUGCAUAUCUGUGUUUGACUCCGGCUGGUGAGGUGACGACUGCAGCGACGCCUGCCCCCGCAUGGCACCAUGCGCCGUCGCAAUGGAUAGUCCAAACCUUCUCUGUGGACGGGUCUGGCUGUGUUAUUGGCCCAGUCCAGUCGACGACGAAGUCUGCCAGGACUUGUGACUUAAUGGCUGUCCUAGGCUCGAAGCUGAUGUGGUAGCCGGAUAGUUCGGCUGCCCACUUGGCAAUCCUCACCGAUGCCUCCAGGUUUUUGAAUAGUUCGCCGAGUCCCCUGUCUGAGGUGACUCGGACCUUGAAUGCUUCAAAGUAAUGGUGCAGUUUACGCGAAGACAUAACGACUGCGUAGGCGAUCUUCUCCAGCUCUGUCAUGUUACACUUGGACGGUGUCAGUACCUCGGAGACAUAGUAAACAGGGCACUGUCUGACCGCACCCUCAACUGUCUGCUCCUGCACUAGUGCCGCGCUGACCGCGUGCGGCGAAGCCGCGACAUAGAGCAAUAGGGGGAGCGAGGAGUCGGGGCUCGUGAGGAUGGCCAGCUCCGACAGGUACUGUUUUAGUGAGGCGAAGGCCGCUGCUUGCUCCGGUCCCCAGGCGAAGUCUUUUGCACCGCGGAGUGUUUUGAGGAAGGGGAGACUUCGCUCGGUGGACCUGGAGAUGAAUCUGUUGAGAGCGGCCAAUCUGCCUGUUAGACGCUGGACGUCCCUGGCGGACUGCGGAGGCAACAUGUCUACGAUGGCCUGGAUCUUGGUUGGGUUGGCCUCGAUGCCGCGGUGUGAUACCAGGUAGCCCAAUAUCUUGCCCUGGCGAACACCGAAGACGCACUUUUCCGGGUUUAGGCGGAGUCGUGCAUCUCGCAUGUUCGCGAAUGUCUCGGCGAGGUCGGCGAGAUGGUCCUCCUUAUUCUUGCUGGCGACGACGAUGUCGUCCACAUAUGUAAAUAUAUUUCUGCCAACCUGCCCUUCGAGUACUGUUUUGGUGAGUCUGGAGAAGGUGGACCCGACAUUCUUGAGUCCCUCCGGCAUUCUGAUGAAGCAAUAAGUGCCGAAGGGUGUUAUAAAGCUGGUGCUAGCCUUGUCUUCCUCCUUCAUGUAUAUCUGGUGAUAGCCGGAGAAGCAGUCGAGGAGUGACAUGACCUCGCAUCCGGCCGCGCUAUCGACUAUUUUGUCGAUCCGUGGCAACGGGAAAUUGUCCUUUGGGCAGGCCUUAUUGAGACUGGUGAAGUCUAUGCACAUUCGCCAUUUCCCGCUUUUUUUCUGCACCAUUACAACAUUGGAGAGCCACGUGGGGUAAGCCACUGGCUCGAUGAAUUUAGCCUCUAGGAGGCGGUGCACCUCCGCCUUGGCGGCCUCUGUCUUUUCGUCGGACAUUUUGCGAAGCCUUUGCUUUUUUGGUCGCACUGAGGGGUCAAUUCCCAAGCUGUGCUCAAUUAUGGAUCGGCUGACUCCGACCAGGUCGAGGGCGGACCAGGCGAAGACAUCUUUAUUCUUGGCCAGGCAGCAGAGAAGCUUCUCUUCUUCAUGUGGGGUAAGGUCUUCGCUGAUAGUGACUGUCUGCUUGGGCGUGGCCUGAUCGAGGGGGACAGUCUUGGUUCCGUCUUGGCUCUGCAGCUGUGCCUUGUCGUGCUGUUUAUCGGUUGGGCUGGCGGGCACAGGGACCUCGCGCUGGGUCGUGAGACAGUGCACGUUCCUCUGACCAGGCACGAAGUCCCGCUCUAUGUUGCGCGCCGUCUGCUGGUUGCCGUAGAUCGUAAUAGCGCCUAGCGGACCUGGUAUCUUCAUACAUAGGUACAGUCCGUGGAUGGCAGCUUCGAACUUAUUGAUGGAGCCCCGGCCCAUGAUGGCGUUGUAUGGAUAUACCAUGUCCACAAUAUCAAAGGUUACUUGCUCACUUCGGGCAUUGGGUGCUACACCGAAGGAGAGGGGCAACUCUAUUUUGCCAACGGGAAAGGUGCCCUUGCCGCCGAAGCCAUACAGCGGGUUGUCCGAAGGCUUGAGCAGGCUGUGGCUGAUACCCAUGCGGUCGAAGGCGUGGAGGAAGAUGAUGUCCGCCUGACUGCCGUUGUCGACUAGGACUUUGUGUUAGUCCCAGCCUGCCACGCUGCAAUUGAUGACCAUAGCGUCAAUGUGGGGGCGCUGCGCAGGUCGACGUCUCGUGCGUCGAAGGUUAGCGGUAUGUGGGACCACUUUGUCUGCACGACUGGGCCAGUGACGGUGACAUGGUUGAUGCUGCGGUAGUGGUCCCGCUUCUGCCGCUUGGUGUCGAAGUCAGUGCUGGACCCCCCUGUUAUCAUGUGAAUGACUCCGCGAUAUGGUUGAUCGGCGAAGUCUUCCUGCUUUGGGGCAUGGGGGAUGUUUUGGUGUUGCUGGUGUGGUGGUGGGGGUGGAGGAGGUACGAUUUGUACUUCCUGAUGGUGUUGGUAAGCGUGGUGCGGUGGAUGCGGGGCGGGAGCGUGGAUAUAUGGUGGGGGGGUGGCUGGUAAUUAUGCGCGACAAUUCUGGGAUUGUCGGUUGGCUGCGCCCUCGCCAUUCUGUCUCUGGUGGCCUUCGUUUCGGGGCAGUCUUUGGUUUGGUGGGCGCAGUCUUCGCCGUGGAAAAGGCAGUAGAAUCGGCACAGCGGCUACGCGCGCCCUCGGCCCCUGCCACGAGUUCCAUUUCCGCGGCCCUGGGGGGAUAUUCCUGGCGACGAGGGGGGUCAGCAGCGGGAUGCUGGUUGGCGAUGUUGUGCACUUGCUGCUGACUGCGGCCAUCUCGACCGGAGUCUGGCUGCGGAGUCCUCGUCCACGUGCGGCUGGACUGCGGGGCAUCUUUGGGUUUUCGCUGUGACUCAACCUUGCACUGGUGGAGCUCUUCGGAUUUGGCAUAUUUUUCAAAGAGCUGAUAUAGCACCUGGAGGUUCUUGGGUGGAUCUCUGAUACAGUGGCUGUAGAGGACGCCGGCACGAAGGCCACUGAUGGCGUAGUGGAUAGCGAUCUGAUCAUCGACGGAGGGCAGCUGUGACUUGAGUGUUAAGAAUUUGCGGUAAUACUCCGGCAGAGUCUCCUUUUCCAGCUGCUUGCAAAGCGAGAGCUCGGCCAAGGCAUCGGUGUCUGGGCGGUAUCCUUGGAAGUUGAGCAGGAACUUGUCCCUGAGACUUCUCCAUGAAUCGAUGGACAGCGGAGGCAAUCUGGUGAACCAGGUGAGUGCUGGGCCCUCUAGGGCGAUGAUGAAAGACUUCGCCAUUGUGGCGUCGUCCCCUCCGGCGGAUGCAACGGCGACCUGAUAACUCAUUAUGUAUUGCGCCGGGUCGGUGCUGCCGUUGUACUUGGGAUAGGUCCCUGCUCGGAAGUUAGCUGGCCAAGGCGUCACUUGCAGGUGUGGCGCCAGGGGACUUCGCUCGUCGAGGUAGUUGAUCCCUUGGAAUGGCGCGCCGUGCUGGAAGGUGUAGUCACGCGGGGGGAAACGCGGGUCUUCCGGCUGUGCUCGGUGUUGUAGGGGUGGCCCAUGCUGCAGGCCGAGGUGGCCUUCGCGUGUGUCUUCCGGUUGCGCGCGCUGCUGGAGGGGUGGCUCUUGCUGCAGGCCAAGGUGGCCUUCGCGCUGCAUCAGCGCGAUCUCACGCUCGAGGUCUUGGGCCUUCUGCUCCUCGUCGCGUAUCAUUUGCCGCACUUUGGCUAGUGCGGACACACGCUGGCGCUUGGCCUCCAGUAUCUCUUUCUGCCUCUGGAGAUUGCGGUUCUUGAGGCGCAGGGCGCGCAGCUGUAGCUGUUCUUCCGCUGAGACGCCGAGGACUUCACCGUCCUCGGUGAGGUCCGCGCCUUCCAGUGGGGCGAAGCCUGGGGGCGGCUGCGAUUGUCCUUCGGGCCCGCAGGUGCGGAAGGUGUCGUCUUCGCAGGUGCGGGGAACAUUGUCUUUAGUGGGCUCUUGGUGGGUGGAUUGGGUGAGGGCGAGGGCCUUGCCCUUUCUUAAGGCGAGCAGUGCUGCCUUCACAGCCUCGUCAGCUUUCGGGUUAGCUCUCUUGGGUGCCAUCGCGGGUGGUUUUGUCGUAGCACGAACGGUGGGCGCCAAAUGUUGGAACUUGCUCUCAGACGCAAGAAGGCCAACAAGGGUGAACAGUGUAGACAGAAGGGUUACGCGUGAGAUGGCAAAAUAGCUCUGUUAACCAGGCCUCUCACGGACACUGUGCGGGGGUAUUUAUAGGUACCUGAACGCCCAGCGCCUUGUGUUAAGGACGCAUGUGCCCUCAGCUACCUAGGUUAUCCCCAGAAUAUUCCCAUAAAGUAGGGUUACAAACUGUAAUUACAGGGAUGCCUUUACAAAUUAGGCCCGUAACACGCGGCGGCUACGCAGGGCCCGUUACAAUGGGCCGGAUCGCACGUGGGCCUCUGAGCUGGACGAGGCCGCACUGUAGGAUGCCUUCGUCGCCGGUCUUCGUCUGGUGCCGAUGAAGCGAAGGGUGUCCAUGCCUGCUUUGUCUCUGUCAGAGCAGCGGCCAAGCAACGGAGACUUCGAGCGAAGGGUGGCGUCUCUGCCUUCGCUCCAACACUCCUCACCCUCAAAAAGACUUCGCAGCUCCCCCUCACCUACACUCGCCCCAACCGGCAAGGAUAACAAUUCCCGCUUGCCAGCCCUGCCCACACGAAGCCGACCGCCAUCCACAUCACUCACUCUACGCUUCGCCACCGCCCUUCGUCGCCUACGCCCAGCACUCGGACCAGACAAAACUUCAGCAUCCGUAACACGUGGAGAAGCCUCCGCCGCAGCCACAUCCAAGGCCGCAAAGUAAUCCAAGUCCUCAUCCGAAGAAUCUUCCGUCCACACAACCAAACUCCCAGAGUCAUCAAACUCAGAAACUUAGACGUAGACUCAUCCGAUUCAUUUCCAGCGAUCACGGUCAAAGCCGCCACAAAAUUAGCAGUAGCGGUUGCGUGCGCAGGCCCAAAAUCCUGAACCUGCGCAGCAACCAAGGUUCAGUAACACAAACAAAAUUCUCUAACUACCCCACACCCACUAAGCCACCUGCGAAGACCCAGCCGCCGCCAUGGGAUCCUCCGCUGCCAGCUCUGUCGCCGCCUUCGGGGGAUCCUCCGCUGCCAGCUCCGUCGCCGCCUUCGGGGAUCCUCCACCAUCGGCACAGUGGCGGGCGACGAGCCUCCACCGGACACAGUAGACGCAGGGGCAGCGAGGGAGCCUUCACCGGUUUCCGGGGGCGGUGCCGGGUCGACCUCAGCCUCGGCCACCACCGGGUUGGCCUCUGCUUCGGGCUGCGCGCUGUUCAGGGGUCCGAAGUCCUCCACGUCCUCGGCACGCGCCAUCUACAACAUAGCACACCGAUUCAGCAAGCCCACGUAUACCCACAUUCAACGACAUGAAACAAAAGACAAACUUUACCGGAUCCCUCGCCCGGUCAGACCGCUCCCUAACCACCUCCCGACCGUAGGGGCCCCACAUCCGGUCGAAAGAGGCCCCCGCAGAGUCCUUCAUCACAGGGUCUUCGACCUUAAAAAUCUCGCGCCCAAAGUCUUCAUCAGAUCGGUCGAAGCCCUCAUAGUGACUGCACCCCUCGCGGGACAGCGCGUUCAUAGCCUCUUCGCAAGUGACGAGGGAGGCAAAGGACAUGAAUCCCUCCAUGAUGUCGGGAGCGCCAACAAUUCCUCUUGCAGCCACUCGAGGAAGCGAAGGCCCGCCUCUCAGUCGGGCACCUCGAAGUCAGCAGUCCGCGCACCCAGCUCGCGUUACGAGUCCACGAGCUGUUUGCGCGUCCGCUCAACUUCCAAGCGAGUGGAGGCCUCGGCCCUCUCCAUGCGGGCCUGCAGAGCGUUGAACCGCACCUCCCAUCCUCGGCGCGCUGGCUGGCGAGACUCCCCUCCACCCGCACCAAUUUGGCCUCUGCCUGCGCCGCCUGCGCCUUGGCGAUGGCCUGGUUGGCCUCCCUCCUCUCCUCCACCAGCUGGCGCCGGAGGUCCAUCCUCUCGCCCUCCAGGGCGACCACCUUCUCCGCCAGCUUGCGGCACUUGCUAUCCACAGCCGACUUCUCCCCGGACGACGUCAGCGUGCCUGCGCCCGAAGUCUCUCGACUUCGGCAGACACAUCUGCAGUAAGGGCACCCGACGUCACGCGGUCGGCGAAGUCGGCCGCCUAACAGACACACAUGAGACCACAAUCCCCAUGAAAGCGGCAAACACCGAAGUCCAGCUCAACUUACUUGACUCAGCUGCUGCGACGCCUCCCUCAGCCGACGGGAACACAGUGCCCGCUUCGUCCUUGACGGCAGUGACCGCCAAAAUCUCGCCGCCAGCGCUGAAAGCGCUACCCUUCACCCCAAGCACCACGGUAGACGCCGUGGUUGCCACCGCAGGCAGAACAACAACAAGUUGCCCCUCACCCGAUCCUGCAACGUAUCACCAGUAAAAAAAAGCUUACCAACGAGAUAGUCGUCCACGCUAAUAUUUGUGCCGAAGUCGCAACACGUUUCCCCGGCGAAGGCAGUUCUCGGACCUUCGCAGCUCCGUCCGGGGCCGACUUGGUUCCGUCGCGCGACCACCUUCGCGCUCUCCGGCACCUUGCUGGACUCAGGGGCGGUCGGCUUCGCAGCCAGCGUCGGCUGGCUACCGACGGGGACGGUAGCCUUCGCAAUCCCCCGCGCCUCUUCGGCCUAGCUUCGGGGAGCCUGAUGACCGCCCGGCGCUUCUGCGCAGCAUCCUGGCGAUCCUUGUUCAUCACUGCCGACACAACAGCAGCAAUAUUCCGUCCGUAAGGAAACACUCUCAAGUCAUGAGCCAUGCGAGACGUAAAAAAGUCUUCGCCAGCCGCACGGGGGAUAGGAACAUGCUUGGGCCAUCGACCCCCGGUAACCUCCAGCAUCCCGCGCCGAAGACUCCCGGAGCUCGGGCGAAGACAUCCUUCCCCUGGGGGCCGCGCAUGUCCCAUCAACUCCAUAGCGAAGCUAUCAGAGACCCCCAGUUCUCCCACCGUAGUACCUAGCUUCCUCUUUUAGUGGAUGGGGCGGCCUCCGGCGCGGGGUCGUCCUCGGUCACAGCCGCUGGUUUUUUCCCGCGGCGGUCGACGACGUCCUCCCCGGAUAACCACCAUACGGCAAAACAAUUCAACUCGAAGACCCUAUUCAGGCGGUGAGAGCACCUAGAGGGGGGUGAAUAGGUGAUCCUGUGAAACUUGAAACUUAAUCCACAAAAACUUGAUUAGGCGUUAGCACAAUAAUGCCAAGUGGCUUAGAGAGGAGUCUCAACAAAACACAAUAACCACAAGAGAUCAAUCACAGAGAUGGCAAAGUGGUUUAUCCCGUGGUUCGGCCAAGACCAAUGCUUGCCUACUCCACGUUGUGGCGUCCCAACGGACGAGGGUUGCAAUCAACCCCUCUCAAGCGGUCCAAAGACCCACUUGAAUACCACGGUGUUUGCUUGCUUUACUAUAUCCCGUUUGCCGAGGAAUCUCCACACUUUGGAGCCUCUCGCCCUUACACUUGAAAGUUCACAAGAAGCACGGAGUAAGGAGGAGAAGAACACACCAAGACAAAAAUCACAGCAACACCACGCACACAAGUCGCAACAAGAGCUCACAACACAACUCAAUGAGUUCACAACUCAACUAGAGCUCUAAUUGUAUGCAAGAAUCAAAGCGCGGAAUCGAUGUCUUAGUUUAGGAAUGCUUAGAGAAUGCUUGGUUUACUCCUCCAUGCGCCUAGGGGUCCCUUUUAUAGCCCCAAGGCAGCUAGGAGCCGUUGAGAGCAAUCUGGAAGGCCAUUCUUGCCUUCUGUCGCCGACGCCACCGGACAUGUCCGGUGCCGAUUUCCUUCCUUAAUAGCGAAGCCGACCGUUGCAGCUUGGAGCCGUUGGCGCACCGGACAUGUCCGGUGCACACCGGACAGUCCGGUGCCCCCUUCUAGCCGUUGGCUCGGCCACGUCGCGCCCGGAUGCGGCCGACCGUUGGCCCGGCGACCGUUGGCUCACCGGACAGUCCGGUGACACCGGACAGUCCGGUGAAUUUUAGCCGUCACGUAAUUCCCGAGAGCAGCAAUUCGCUGAGGCCAGUUGCGCACCGACACUGUCCGGUGCACACGGACACUGUCCGGUGCACCACCGGACAGUCCGGUGCCCCAGACGAGCUCUUUGGCUGACAAGCCAUCUUCUCUUCUUUCUUCUGUUUCCAGCACUUAGACAUAAUACAUUAGUCUCUAAAACAAUGUACUAAGUCUGAGAAACAUACCUUUAUACUUGAUUUGUACUUUGUCCACCUUUUGACACUUAGGCACUUGUGUUGGACCUAAACCACCAAAACACUUAGAAAUGGCCCAAGGGCACAUUUCCCUUUCAUCUCCCCCUUUUUGGUGAUUUAUGCCAACACAACAUAAAGCAAGUAAAAAGUGCAAAUCACUCAAUAAGAACUCAAAAUUGUUUGAUUCAAAUUUGACAUAUAUGGAUCAUUUUGCCACCACUUGGUUUGUUUUUGCAAAUCAAACUCACUUCCUAUCUCUAAGUCAACACACAUGUUGAAACAUAAAGAGAGAUAUUUCCACGAGAAAUUGAUCAAGAUUCAAAAACUCCCCCUUUUCAUAAUUAAGCCUUCUCACACAAGAGACCAAUUUUGACAAUAAGAGGACAAGAGUAUUUGACAAACAAAACUCUAACUCUACUAUUUUCAAAAUUCCAAGUGUAGCUGAUCCAUUUAUUGCUUUGGCCUUAUUUUCUCCCCUUUGGCAUCAAGCACCAAACGGAUCAAUUUUGGCCCUUUAACCCCAUUGCCUCACCAAAAUCUUCAACUAAGAGUAAACAGCAAUAAAGUAUAGAGAUGAACUUGGAAUAAGUUACUCUUCAUCGGAGUGCAGUGGAAGUCUUGCAUGGUCCAAGUCCACCUUUCCCUUUCAAUUCACCUUUGAGACUAAAUCAAGCAAACUCAAGCACAUGGUAUCCAAAGAGUCAAGUUGUAACACUCUCCCCCUAAAUAUGCAUCACUUGCAAAGGACUUGUGAGGUCCGGGGAGUGUUGUACAACUUGAGCACCAUAAUAAACAACAAAAUGCAUUAAGAACAUGAUCAAAGCAUAAACACAUGUAUGCUAUAAAUCAAUCCAAGUUCCACGAAUCUAAGACAUUAGCUCACUACGCACUUGCAAAGGUCUGCUAUCUAAGGCUUGGUAAAGAUAUCGGCUAGCUGGUUCUCAGGCUAACAUGAAACACUUCGAUAUCUCCCUUUUGCUGGUGGUCUCUCAAAAAGUGAUGCCGGAUGUCUAUGUGCUUUGUCGGCUGUGUUCAACAGGAUUAUCCGCUAUGCGGAAGCACUCUCUUAUCACAUAGGAGUGGGACUUUGCUCAAUUGUAGCCAAAGUCCCUGAGGUUUGCCUCAUCCAAAGUAGUUGCGCGCAACACUGUCCGCGCAACGUACUCAGCCUCAGCGGUGGAUAGGGCAACAGAAGUUUGUUUCUUAGAACUCCAUGACACCAGGGACCUUCCUAAGAAUUGGCACGUCCCCGAUGUACUCUUCCUAUCGACCUUACAACCAGCAUAGUCGGAGUCUGAAUAUCCAAUCAAGUCAAAGGUAGACCCCUUUGGAUACCAGAUCCCGAAGCAAGGCGUAGCGACUAAAUAUCUAAGAAUUCGCUUCACAGCCACUAAGUGACACUCCUUAGGAUCGGAUUGAAAUCUAGCACACAUGCAUACGCUAAGCAUAAUAUCCGGUCUACUAGCACAUAAUAAAGUAAAGACCUAUCAUUGACCGGUAUGCUUUUUGAUCAACGGACUUACCUCCUUUGUUGAGGUCGGUGUGUCCGUCGGUUCCCAUCGGAGUCUUUGCGGGCUUGGCGUCCUUCAUCCCAAACCGCUUUUCAAGUCUUGCGUGUACUUUGUUUGGGAGAUGAAGGUGCCGUCCUUGAGUUGCUUCACUUGGAACCCAAGGAAGUAGUUCAACUCGCCCAUCAUCGACAUCUCGAAUUUCUGCGUCAUCACCCUGCUAAACUCUUCACAGACUUUUGGUUAGUAGAACCAAAUAUAUGUCAUCGACAUAAAUUUGCACACAAAAAGAUACCAUCACAUCUAGUAAAAGAGUUGGAUCGGCUUUCCCACUUGAAAGCUUAGCAAUUAAAAGUUCUAAGGCAUUCAUACCAUGCUCUUGGGGCUUGCUUAAUCCAUAGAGCGCCUUAGAGAGCUUACACACUGGUCGGGGUACGUUCAUCCUCGAAGCCAGGGGUUGCUCCACGUACACCUCCUCCUUGAUUGGCCGUUGAGGAAAGCGCUCUUCACAUCCAUUUGGACACCUGAAAGAAUGGUGAGCGCAUAUGUAGCAAAUCGAAUGACUUAGCCUAGCACAGGAGCAAAGUCUCCUCAAAGUCCAAACCUGCGACUUGGGCAUAACCUUUUGCCACAAGUCAGCCUUGUUCCUCGUCACCACCCUGCUCGUCUUGUUUGUUGCGGAACACCACUGGUUCCCACAACAUUUUGCUUGGGACGAGGCACCAGUGUCCAAACUUCAUUUCUUGAAGUUGUUGAGUCCUCUGCAUGGCCACACCCAGUCCGGAUCUAGCAAGGCCUCUCUACCCUAAAGGCUCAAUAGAAGAGACAAGGAGUAAUGCUCACAAAAAUUAACUAAUCGAGACGAUAGUUAUCCCUUGCUAAUAUCACCAAUUUGGUCGACGGAUGAUCCUUUGAUCAUCGCUCGAACUUGGUUGGAGGUGCGGUUGCCUUCUUCCUCCAUACAUCUUGUGCUCCCCUUGAUCAUCGCUCCUUGAACCUGUUCAUCUUGGUUGGGGAUGCACCAUAGUUGAGGAAGAGGUUGAUCUUGCUCAUUUGUUCCUGUGGCACAUCUCCAAUCGCCAUGGUGCGAUGCGGCCGUUGGAAUCUUCUUCAUCUACAUCAUCAAAUCAACAACUUGCUCUCUUGGAGAGCCAUUAGUCUCAUCAAAUACAACGUCGCUAGAGACUUCAACCAACCGAUGAUUUGUUGAAGACCUAUACGCCUUUGUAUUUGAGUCAUAACCUAAAAAAACCUUCUACGCUUUGGGAGCAAAUUUGAAUUUCUACCUUUCUUCACUAGAAUGUAGCAUUUCUCCCAAUACACGAAUAGACAUUGGGUUUGUUACCGUUAGAGCUCAUACGAGUCUUCUUGAGGAGGCGUGAAGGUAGACCCUGUUGAUGGCGUGGCAGCCGUGUUCACGGCUUCCGACCAAACGCUCGGGGGUCUUGAACUCUCAGCAUGUCCUCGCCAUAUCUAUGAGCGUCCUGUUCUUCUCUCUACCCACCAUUUUGCUGGGUGUGUAGGGAGCGGAGACUCGUGCUUGAUCCCUUCCUCCUCAAGGAACUCCUCACUUGAAGGUUCUUGAACUCGGACCCGUUGUCGCUCCUUAUCUUCUUCACCUUGAGCUCAACUCAUUUUGAGCUCUCCUGAGAAGCGCUUGAGGGUCCUUGGGUUUCAGACUUAUCCUGCAAAAGAACCCAAGUGAGCGGGAAAGUCAUCAACAUAACUAGACCAUACUUACUUCUCCUAUGCUCAGAUAGGCGACGGGUCCGAGAGGUCCAUAUGCAGCAGCUCCAGAGGUCUUGAGUUGUCAUCACAUUUUGGUGUGAUGAAGCCUCCCACUGUUUCCCUGCUUGACAAGCUGCACAGGUCUAUCUUUUUCGAAUUGCACGUUAGUCAACCUAUCACGUGUUCUCCCUUUAGAAGCUUGUGAGGUCUUAUCCCCACAUGUGCUAAGCGGCGAUGCCACAGCCAGCCCAUGCUAGUCUUAGCAAUUAAGCAUGCAUCUAGACCGGCCUCCUCUUUUGCCAAAUCAACUAAAUAAAGUUUGCCAUCUAGUACACCCUUAUAAGCUAGUGAACCAUCACAUCUUCUAAAGACAGACACAUCUACAUUUGUAAAUAGACAUUAUAUCCCAUAUUACAUAAUUGACUGACAGAUAGUAAAUUUAUCCAAGAGACUCAACUAAAACACUUAGAGAUAGAGUGCUCAUUAGAUAUUGCAAUCUUGCCUACCUUUCACCUUGCCUUGGUUCCCAUCACCGAAUAUGAUUGAUCUUGGGAUCCUUAUUCUUGACGUAGGAGGUGAACAUCUUCUUCUCCCCCGUCAUUGGUUUGUGCAUCCGCUGUCGAUGAUCCAGCUUGAGCCCCCGGAUGCAUACACCUGCAAGGCAAAUUUAGGCUUGGGUCUUAGGUACCCAACUCUUGUGGGUCUACAAGGUUAGUCCCAAUUUCCUUAGGGACCCAAAUGCAAGUUUUAUCACCCUUGCAUUUUGCCCCUAAUUCCUAGCAACUAUCUUCCUAUCCUUUCUACAAAUAGCAAAGGAGCAUUUAAAGCAUGAUAAUUGUAGACGGGCCAUUCAUAACUUUUCUAGGAACAUGAUGAAUAUUUUCCUAGGCACAUGAUGAAUAUUUUUCUAGGCAUAUCUCUACCAUGCAUAUAGGAAGACUGGAAGCAUACAUAGCAUAAGAAUCAUAGGCAUUACAACUCCUAUGAGACUGUAUUCUAUCAUUGUACAUAAAAGCAUGGUUCUUUUUAGUACUACUUGCCAUAGGGCCUUCCCUUUUUCCUUGGCGGAGAUGGGAGCUUAUGGCUUGUUAAGUUCUUGGCUUCCCUCUUGAAGCCAAGCCCAUCCUUAAUUGAGGGGUGUCUACCAUCGUGUAGGCAUCCCUAGCAAAUUUUAGUUUAUCAAAAUCACUUUUGCUAGCCUUAAGUUGGGCAUUAAGACUAGCCAAUUCAUCGUUUAACUUUGCAAUAGAAGCUAGGUGUUCACUACAAGCAUUAAUAUCAACAUCUUUACAUCUAUUGCAAAUACAACAUUUUCUACACAAGUGUUGAUUACUAGCUAUUUCUAACUUAGCAUUCAAAUCAUCAUUGAUGCUCCUUAAGCUAGAAAUCGUCUCAUGGCAAGAAGAUAAUUCACAAGAAAGCAUUUCAUUUCUCUUAACUUCUAAGGCAUGAGAUUUUUGAGCUUCUACAAUUUGUCAUGUUCUUCAUACAACAAGUCCUCUUGUUUUUCUAAAAGCCUAUUCUUAUCAUUCAGGCAUCAAUCAAUUCAUUAUUUUAUCUACUUGGUUCUAUCUGGGCCCUUAAAUAACAUGAAUAAUCUAUUUCAUCCUCAUCACUAGAUUCGUCCUCACUUGAAGAAGCAUAAGUAGAGUCUCGAGUACAUACCUUCUUCUCCCUUGCCAUAAGGCAUGUGUGACGCUCGUUGGGGAAGAGGGAUGACUUGUUGAGGCGGUGGCGGCGAGUCCUUCAUUGUCGGAGUCGGACGAGGAGCAAUCUGAAUCCCACUCCUUGCCAGAUGUGCCUCGCCCUUUGCCUUCUUGUAGUUCUUCUUCUUCUCCCUCUUGUUCCCUUGAUCCUGAUCACUAUCAUUGUCGGGACAGUUAGCAAUAAAAUGACCAAGCUUACCACAUUUGAAGCAUGAGCGCUUUCCCUUUGUCUUGGUCUUGCUUGGCUGCCCCUUGCGACCUUUUAGCGCCGUCUUGAAUCUUUUGAUAAUGAGGGCCAUUUCUUCAUCAUUAAGUCCGGCCGCCUCAAUUUGUGCCACCUUGCUAGGUAGAGCCUCCUUGCUUCUUGUUGCCUUGAGAGCAAGGGGUUGAGGCUCGGUGAUUGGACCAUUCAAUGUGUCGUCCACGUACCUUGCCUCCUUGAUCAUCAUUCGCCCGCUUACGAAUUUUCCAAGGACUUCUUCGGGCGACAUUUUGGUGUACCUGGGAUUCUCACGAAUAUUAUUCACCAAAUGAGGAUCAAGAACGGUAAAGGACCUUAGCAUUAGUCGAACGACGUCGUGGUCCGUCCAUCGCGUGCUUCCGUAGCUCCUUAUUUUGUUGAUAAGGGUCUUGAGCCGGUUGUAUGUUUGUGUCGGCUCCUCGCCCCUUAUCAUCGCGAAUCGUCCAAGCUCGCCUUCUACCAACUCCAUCUUGGUGAGCAAAGUGACGUUGUUCCCCUCAUGUGAAAUCUUGAGGGUGUCCCAGAUCUGCUUGGCGUUAUCCAAGCCGCUCACUUUGUGGUAUUCAUCCCUGCACAAUGAAGCUAGAAGAAUAGUAGUAGCUUGUGCAUUCUUAUGAAUUUGCUCAUUAAUGAACAUGGGACUAUCCGAACUAUCAAAGUGCAUUCCACUCUCUACAAUCUCCCAUAUACUAGGAUGGAGAGAGAACAAGUGACUACGCAUUUUGUGACUCCAAAAUCCGUAGUCCUCUCCAUCAAAAUGAGGAGGUUUACCAAGUGGAAUAGAUAAUAAAUGAGCAUUUGUACUUUGAGGAAUACGAGAGUAAUCAAAGAAAAGUUCGAAUUGACCGAUUUUCUUCUCUCGUAGUCGUUGUGGUCGUCAUCCUUUUUGGAAGAAGUAGACUCAUCGCUGUCGUCGUAGUAGACGAUCUCCUUGAUGCGCCUCGUCUUCUUCUUCUUCCCAUCUUUCCGUCUAUGGCCGAGCCGGAGUCGGUAGGCUUGUCAUCCUUCGGCUCGUUGACGAAGGAUUCCUUCUCUUUGUCGUUGAUCACGAUUCCCUUCCCCUUAGGAUCCAUCUCUUCGGGCGGUUAGUCCCUUUGUGAAGAGAACGGCUCCGAUACCAAUUGAGAGCACCUAGAGGGGGGGGGGGUGAAUAGGUGAUCCUGUAACACUUAAAAACUUAGGCCACAAAAACUUGGUAAAGUGUUAGCACAAUAAUCGCCAAGUGGCUAGAGAGGAAUCUUCAACAAAACACAAUAACCAACAAGAUCAAUCACAGAGAUGGCACGGUGGUUAUCCCGUGGUUCGGCCAAGACCAACGCUUGCCUACUCCACGUUGUGGCGUCCCAACGGACGAGGGUUGCAAUCAACCCCUCUCAAGCGGUCCAAAGACUCACUUGAAUACCACGGUGUUUUGCUUGCUUUUUCUCAAUCCCGUUUGCGAGGAUGAAAGGGAAAUGUGCCCUUGGGCCAUUUCUAAAGUAUUUUGGUGAUUGAGUGCAAACACAAGUGCUUAAAUGUGAAAAUAUGCCCAUGGAUGAACAAAGUGCAAAUCACAAGUAAAGGUAUGUUUCUAAGCCUUAGUACAUUAGUUUUGUGUACUAACAUCUUGUCUAAGUGUUAGAAACAGGAGAAAGAAGAAAAGAAAGAAGUGGAGAGUGGCUGUGUACAGCCAAAGGCGGCUUCGGACUGGGGCACCGGACUGUCCGGUGUGCACCGGACAGUGUCCGGUGCGCCAGACCACCACAGAGCAAACCAGCCGCUCUCGGGUUUUUCUCCGGCGACUUCGGCUAAAAUUCACCGGACUGUCCGGUGUGCACCGGACUGUCCGGUGAGCCAACGGUCGGCCGGGCCAACGGUCGGCCGCGCGAUCGGCGCGCGACACGUGGCCGAGCCAACGGUCGGAAGGAAGCACCGGACUGUCCGGUGUGCACCGGACUGUCCGGUGCGCCAGAUCUGCAACGGUUGGCAACGGUCGGCUGCGCUGUUUAUGGAAAUAAAUCGGGCAUCGGACAGUGUCCGGUGUGCACCGGACUGUCCGGUGCGCCCGACGACAGAAGGCAAGGAUAGCCUUCCCGAUGUGCUCUCAACGGCUCCUAGCUGCCUUGGGGCUAUAAAAGGGACCCCUAGGCGCAUGGAGGAGAACCCAAGCAUUCCUUGAGCACUCUUGAUCACUCACACAUCAAUCUCGCGCACUUGUUCGACAUUCUAGUGAUUUGAGCUCCGUUCUAGUGUGCUAGUCUUUUGAGCUCAAGUCUGGGUCUUGUGUGUGCGUAUUCGCUGUGAUCCUUGUGUUGUGUGUGAGUUGCUAAUCCCUUCCUUACUCCGUGAUUCUCUGUGAACAUCUUUUGUAAGGGCGAGAGGUUCCAAGUUGUGGAGAUUCCUCGCAAACGGGAUUGAGAAAAGAAAAGCAAGAACACCGUGGUAUUCAAGUUGAUCACUGGAUCACUUGAGAGGAGUUGAGUGCAACUCUCGUCCGUUGGGACGCCACAACGUGGAGUAGGCAAGUUUUUGUACUUGGCCGAACCACGGGAUAACCACCGUGUCAUCUCUGUGAUUGAUUUCUUGUGGUUAUUGUGUUUUGACUCCUCUCUAGCCACUUGGCCAUACUUGUGCUAACCCUUAACAAGUUUUUGUGGCUUAAGUUUUGAAGUUUUACAGGAUCACCUAUUCACCCCCCCCUCUAGGUGCUCUCAAUUGGUAUCGGAGCCGUUCUCUUCAAAAAGGGACUAAUCGCCCGAAGAGAUGGAUCCUAAGGGAAAGGGGAUGGUGGUCGACAAUGAGAAGGAGUCUAUCUUCAACGAGCCAAAGAAUGACAAGUCCACCGACUUGGGCUCAAGCCACAAGCACAAAGAUGGGAAGAAGAAGAAGACAAGGCGCAUCAAGGAGAUCGUCUACUACGACAGCGACGAGUCCUCUUCUUCCCAAAAGGACAACGACGAUCACGACAAACAAAAGACGGUUAACUCAAACUUUCUUUUGAUUAUUCGCGCAUUCCACAUAGCUCAAAUGCUCAUUUGCUCCCCAUUCCACUUGGCAAGCCUCCUCACUUUGAUGGAGAGGACUACGGAUUUUGGAGUCACAAAAUGCGUACUCACCUAUUUUCUCUCCAUCCAAGCAUUUGGGAGAUUGUAGAAAGUGGAAUGAAAUUUGAUAGCUCGGAUAGCCCUUCAUUUAUUAAUGAACAGAUCCAUAAAAAUGCACAAGCUACUACUGUGUUGCUAGCCUCUCUGUGCAGGGAUGAGUAUCACAAGGUGAGCGGCUUGGACAAUGCCAAGCAGAUUUGGGACACCCUCAAGAUCUCUCAUGAGGGGAAUGAUGUCACCUUACUCACCAAGAUGGAGUUGGUGGAGGGCGAGCUCGGACGAUUUGCGAUGAUAAGGGGCGAGGAGCCGACACAAACAUACAACAGGCUCAAGAUCCUUAUCAACAAAUAAGGAGCUACGGAAGCACGCGAUGGACGGAUCACCACGUCGUCCGCCUAAUGCUAAGGUCAUUUACCGUUCUUGAUCCUCACUUGGUGAACAAUAUUCGUGAAAAUCCUAGGUACAUCAAGAUGUCACCCGAAGAAAUUCUUGGAAAAUUUGUGAGUGGGCGAAUGAUGAUCAAGGAGGCAAGGUACGUGGACGACGCGUUGAAUGGUCCAAUCCAUGAGCCUCAACCCAUUGCUCUCAAGGCAACAAGAAGCAAGGAAACGCUACCCAGCAAGGUGGCGCAAAUUGAGGCGGCCGGUCUUAAUGAUGAAGAGAUGGCCCUCAUCAUCAAACGAUUCAAGACGGUGCUAAAGAGUCGCAAUGGACAGCCGAGCAAGACUAAGACCAAGGGAAAGCGAUCAUGCUUCAAAUGCGGUAAGCUUGGUCAUUUUAUUGCUAACUGUCCGGAUAAUGAAAGUGACCAGGAAAAGGGGAACAAAAGAGAGAAGAAGAAGCACUACAAGAAGGCCAAGGGCGAAGCACAUAUCGGAAAGGAGUGGGAUUCGGACUGCUCCUCCUCCGACUCCGACAAUGAAGGACUCGCCGCCACCGCCUUCAACAAGUCAUCUCUCUUCCCCAACGAGCGUCAUACUUGCCUUAUGGCAAGGGAGAAGAAAGUAAGUACUCGAGAUACCACUUAUGCUUCUUCUAGUGAUGAAGAUGAAAUUGAUUAUUCAUGCUUGUUUAAAGGUCUAGAUAGAACCAAGGUAGACAAAAUUAAUGAAUUGAUUGAUGCCUUGAAUGAUAAGAACAUGCUUGUAGAAAAGCAAGAGGAUUUGUUGUAUGAAGAACAUGAUAAAUUUGUUAGUGCACAAAAUUCUCUUGCUCUAGAGAAUAAAAGAAAUGAAAUGCUUUCUUGUGAAUUAUCUUCUUGCCAUGAGACAAUUUCUAAAUUAAGAAGCAUUAAUGACGAUUUGAAUGCUAAAUUAGAAGUAUCAAAUAAAUCUAACUCUUGUGUAGAACAUGUUGUAAUUUGUACUAGGUGUAAGGAUUUUGAUGUUAAUGCUUGUAGUGAACACUUAGUUUCAAUUUCAAAACUAAAUGAUGAAGUGGCUAGUCUUAAUGCUCAACUUAAGACUAGCAAAAGUGAUUUUGAAAAACUAAAAUUUGCUAGGGAUGCCUACACGGUUGGUAGACAUCCCUCAAUUAAGGAUGGGCUUGGUUUCAAGAGGGAAGCCAAGAACUUAACAAGCCAUAAGGCUCCCAUUCCCGCCAAGGAGAAAGGGAAGGCCCCUAUGGCUACUAGUGCUAAAAGGAACCAUGCCUUUUUGUAUCAUGAUAGAAGACAUACUAGAAAUGCAAAUAGGAGUUAUGAUGCUUUUGAUUCAUAUGUUUAUGACUCUCAUGCCAUGUUUGCUCCUAGUUCUUCUUAUGUGAAUAAUAGAAAUGUUACUAGGAAAAAUGUUGUUCCUAAAAAGAAUGUUAUUCAUGCUCCUAGGAAAGUAGCAAAUGAACCUUCUAUCAUUUAUUAUGCUUGCAAUGCACCCUUUGCAAUUUGUAGAAAGGAUAGAAAAGUAAUUGCUAGGAAGUUAGGGGCAAAAUGCAAAGGUGAUAAAACUUGCAUUUGGGUCCCUAAGGAUAUAUGUGCUAACCUUGUAGGACCCAACAUGAGUUGGGUACCUAAGACCCAAGCCUAAAUUUGCCUUGCAGGUUUAUGCAUCCGGGGGUUCAAGCUGGAUUAUCGACAGCGGAUGCACAAACCAUAUGACGGGGGAGAAGAAAAUGUUCACCUCCUACGUCAAGAAUAAAGAUUCCCAAGAUUCAAUCAUAUUCGGUGAUGGGAAUCAAGGCAAGGUAAAAGGGUUAGGUAAAAUUGCAAUUUCCAAUGAGCAUUCUAUUUCCAAUGUGUUUUUAGUAGAGUCUCUUGGUUACAAUUUACUAUCUGUUAGUCAACUGUGCAACAUGGGUAUAACUGUCUAUUUACUAAUGUAGAUGUGUCUGUCUUUAGAAGAAGUGAUGAUUCACUAGCUUUUAAGGGUGUAUUAGACGGCAAGCUUUACUUAGUUGAUUUUGCAAAAGAAGAGGCCGGUCUAGAUGCAUGCUUAAUAGCUAAGACUUGCAUGGGCUGGCUGUGGCAUCGCCGCUUGGCACAUGUGGGGAUGAAGAACCUUCACAAACUUCUAAAGGGAGAACACGUGAUAGGAUUGACUAACGUGCAUUUCGAAAAAGAUAGACCUUGUGCAGCUUGUCAAGCAGGUAAACAAGUGGGAGGAGCGCAUCACGACAAGAACGUGAUGACCACUUCAAGACCCCUGGAGCUGCUGCACAUGGACCUCUUCGGACCUGUCGCCUAUCUGAGCAUAGGAGGGAGUAAGUAUGGUUUAGUUAUUGUUGAUGAUUUUUCCCGCUUCACUUGGGUGUUCUUUUUGCAGGAUAAGUCUGAAACCCAAGGGACCCUCAAGCGCUUCCUCAGGAGAGCUCAAAAUGAGUUUGAGCUCAAGGUAAAGAAGAUAAGGAGCGACAACGGGUCCGAAUUCAAGAACUUUCAAGUGGAGGAAUUUCUUGAGGAGGAAGGAAUCAAGCACGAAUUCUCCGCUCCCUACACACCACAGCAAAAUGGUGUGGUAGAGAGGAAGAACAGGACGCUAAUCGAUAUGGCGAGGACAAUGCUUGGAGAAUUCAAGACCCCCGAGUGUUUUUGGUCGGAAGCCGUGAACACGGCGUGCCACGCCAUCAACAGGGUCUACCUUCACCGCCUCCUCAAGAAGACGUCGUAUGAGCUACUAACCGGUAACAAACCCAAUGUAUCGUACUUUCGUGUUUUUGGGAGUAAAUGCUACAUUCUAGUGAAGAAAGGUAGAAAUUCUAAGUUUGCUCCCAAAGCUGUAGAAGGGUUUUUAUUAGGUUAUGACUCAAAUACAAAGGCGUAUAGAGUCUUCAACAAAUCAUCGGGUUUGGUUGAAGUCUCUAGCGACGUUGUAUUUGAUGAGACUAAUGGCUCUCCAAGAGAGCAAGUUGUUGAUUGUGAUGAUGUAGAUGAAGAAGAUGUUCCGACGGCCGCUAUACGGACCAUGGCGAUUGGAGAAGUACGGCCACAGGAACAAGAUGAACAAGAUCAACCCUCUUCCUCAACUAUGGUGCAUCCCCCAACCGAAGAUGACGAACAGGUACCUCAAGUGGAGGCGCUUGAUCAAGGGGGAGCACAAGAUGAUCAAGUGAUGGAGGAAGAAGCGCAACCGGCACCUCCAACCCAAGUUCGAGCGAUGAUUCAAAGGGAUCAUCCCGUUGAUCAAAUUCUGGGUGACAUUAGCAAGGGAGUAACUACUCGAUCUCGAUUAGCUAAUUUUUGUGAGCAUUACUCCUUUGUCUCUUCUAUUGAGCCUUUCAGGGUAGAGGAGGCCUUGCUAGAUCCGGACUGGGUGUUGGCCAUGCAGGAGGAGCUUAACAACUUCAAGCGCAAUGAAGUUUGGACACUAGUGCCUCGUCCGAAGCAAAAUGUCGUGGGAACCAAGUGGGUAUUCCGCAACAAACAGGACGAGCACGGGGUGGUGACGAGGAACAAGGCUCGACUUGUGGCAAAAGGUUAUGCCCAAGUCGCAGGUUUGGACUUUGAGGAGACUUUCGCUCCUGUGGCUAGGCUAGAGUCCAUUCGUAUCUUGCUAGCAUAUGCCGCUCACCAUUCUUUCAGGUUGUACCAAAUGGAUGUGAAGAGCGCUUUCCUCAACGGGCCAAUCAAGGAGGAGGUGUACGUGGAGCAACCCCCUGGCUUCGAGGAUGAACGGUACCCCGACCAUGUGUGUAAGCUCUCUAAGGCGCUCUAUGGACUUAAGCAAGCCCCAAGAGCAUGGUAUGAAUGCCUUAGAGACUUUCUACUUGCUAAUGCUUUCAAGGUUGGGAAAGCCGAUCCAACUCUUUUUACUAAGACUUGUAAUGGUGAUUUGUUUGUGUGCCAAAUUUAUGUCGAUGACAUAAUAUUUGGUUCUACUAACCAAAAGUCUUGUGAAGAGUUUAGCAGGGUGAUGACGCAGAAAUUCGAGAUGUCGAUGAUGGGCGAGUUGAACUACUUCCUUGGGUUCCAAGUGAAGCAACUCAAGGACGGCACCUUCCUCUCCCAAACGAAGUACACGCAAGAUCUGCUAAAGCGGUUUGGGAUGAAGGACGCCAAGCCCGCAAAGACUCCGAUGGGGACCGACGGACACACCGACCUCAACAAAGGAGGUAAGUCCGUUGAUCAAAAAGCAUACCGGUCAAUGAUAGGUUCUUUGCUUUACUUAUGUGCUAGUAGACCGGAUAUUAUGCUUAGCGUAUGCAUGUGUGCUAGAUUUCAAUCCGAUCCUAAGGAGUGUCACUUAGUGGCGGUGAAGCGAAUUCUUAGAUAUUUGGUUGCUACGCCUUGCUUCGGGCUCUGGUAUCCAAAGGGGUCUACCUUUGACUUAGUUGGAUACUCAGACUCCGACUAUGCUGGAUGUAAGGUCGAUAGGAAGAGUACAUCGGGGACGUGCCAAUUCUUAGGAAGGUCCCUGGUGUCAUGGAACUCUAAGAAACAAACAUCCGUUGCCCUAUCCACCGCUGAGGCCGAGUACGUUGCCGCAGGUCAGUGUUGCGCGCAACUACUUUGGAUGAGGCAAACCCUCCGGGACUUUGGCUACAAUCUGAGCAAAGUCCCACUCCUAUGUGAUAAUGAGAGUGCUAUCCGCAUGGCGGAAAAUCCUGUUGAACACAGCCGCACAAAGCACAUAGACAUCCGACAUCACUUUUUGAGAGACCACCAGCAAAAGGGAGAUAUCGAAGUGUUUCAUGUUAGCACCGAGAACCAGCUAGCCGAUAUCUUCACUAAGCCUCUAGAUGAGAAGACCUUUUGCAGGUUGCGUAGUGAGCUAAAUGUCUUAGAUUCGCGGAACUUGGAUUGAAUUGUAGCAUACAUGUGUUUAUGCAUUUGAUCAGGUUCAUUCUGCAUUUUGUUGCUUAUUGUGGUGCUCAAGUUGUACCAACACUCCCUGGACCUCACAAGUCCGUUGCAAAGUGAUGCACAUGUUUAGGGGGAGAUGUGUUACAACUUGACCCUUUGAGACUAACCAUGUGCUUGAGUUUGAUGAUUUAGUCUCGAAGGAGGAUUGAAAGGGAAAAGGUGGACUUGGACCAUGAAAGACUUCCACUGCACUCCGAUGAGAGGGUAACUAAUUCCGAGUUCAUCUCAUGAAAUCUUAUUGCCAUUUGCUCUUAAUUGAAGACUUUGGUGAGGCAAUGGGGUUAAAAGGGCCAAGAUUGAUCCCGUUUUGGUGCUUGAUGCCAAAGGGGGAGAAAAUAAAGGCCAAAGCAAUAAAUGGAUCAGCUACCACUUGAGAGAUUUUAAAAAGUAUAAUAGAGCUUUUGGUUUGUCAAAACUCUUGUAUUGUCUCUUUUGUCAAAAGUUGGUUUCUUGUGGGGAGAAAUGUUGCUUAUGGGAAAUAGGGGGAGUUUUUGAAAUCUUUGAUCAAUCUCUUUUGGAAUGACUCUCGUUAUGCCUCAACAUGUGUGUUUGACAUAGAAAUAGAGAUUUGAGUUUGAUUUGCAAAAACAAACCAAGUGGUGGCAAAGGAUGAUCCAUAUAUGCCAAAAUUGAAUCAAAACCAAUUUGAGUUUUUAUUUGAAAUGAUUUUGCACUUGUUCUAGUUGCUUUAUGUUGUGUUGGCAUAAAUCACCAAAAAGGGGGAGAUUGAAAGGGAAAUGUGCCCUUGGGCCAUUUCUAAAGUAUUUUGGUGAUUGAGUGCAAACACAAGUGCUUAAAUGUGAAAAUAUGCCCAUGGAUGAACAAAGUGCAAAUCACAAGUAAAGGUAUGUUUCUAAGCCUUAGUACAUUAGUUUUGUGUACUAACAUCUUGUCUAAGUGUUAGAAACAGGAGAAAGAAGAAAAGAAAAGAAGUGGAGAGUGGCUGUGUACAGCCAAAGGCGGCUUCGGACUGGGGCACCGGACUGUCCGGUGUGCACCGGACAGUGUCCGGUGCGCCAGACCACCACAGAGCAAACCAGCCGCUCUCGGGUUUUUCUCCGGCGACUUCGGCUAAAAUUCACCGGACUGUCCGGUGUGCACCGGACUGUCCGGUGAGCCAACGGUCGGCCGGGCCAACGGUCGGCCGCGCGAUCGGCGCGCGACACGUGGCCGAGCCAACGGUCGGAAGGAAGCACCGGACUGUCCGGUGUGCACCGGACUGUCCGGUGCGCCAGAUCUGCAACGGUUGGCAACGGUCGGCUGCGCUGUUUAUGGAAAUAAAUCGGGCACCGGACAGUGUCCGGUGUGCACCGGACUGUCCGGUGCGCCCGACGACAGAAGGCAAGGAUAGCCUUCCCGAUGUGCUCUCAACGGCUCCUAGCUGCCUUGGGGCUAUAAAAGGGACCCCUAGGCGCAUGGAGGAGAACACCAAGCAUUCCUUGAGCACUCUUGAUCACUCACACAUCAAUCUCGCGCACUUGUUCGACAUUCUAGUGAUUUGAGCUCCGUUCUAGUGUGCUAGUCUUUUGAGCUCAAGUCUGGGUCUUGUGUGUGCGUAUUCGCUGUGAUCCUUGUGUUGUGUGUGAGUUGCUAAUCCCUUCCUUACUCCGUGAUUCUCUGUGAACAUCUUUUGUAAGGGCGAGAGGUUCCAAGUUGUGGAGAUUCCUCGCAAACGGGAUUGAGAAAAGAAAAGCAAGAACACCGUGGUAUUCAAGUUGAUCAUUGGAUCACUUGAGAGGAGUUGAGUGCAACUCUCGUCCGUUGGGACGCCACAACGUGGAGUAGGCAAGUUUUUGUACUUGGCCGAACCACGGGAUAACCACCGUGUCAUCUCUGUGAUUGAUUUCUUGUGGUUAUUGUGUUUUGACUCCUCUCUAGCCACUUGGCCAUACUUGUGCUAACCCUUAACAAGUUUUUGUGGCUUAAGUUUUGAAGUUUUACAGGAUCACCUAUUCACCCCCCCUCUAGGUGCUCUCAGAGGAAUCUCCACAACUUGGAGCCUCUCGCCCUUACACUUGAAAUUCACAAAGAAGCACAGAGCAAGGGAGGGAUUAGCAACACACUCAAGACAAGAAAUCACAGCAACACCACGCACACAAGUCGCAACGAGAGCUCACAACACAACUCAAUGAGUUCACUACUCAACUAGAGCUCUAAUUGCUAUCGCAAAGAAUCAAAGGCGCGGAAUUGAUGUCUUGGUGCUUAGAAAUGUUGUAGGAAUGCUUGUUGUUCUCCUCCAUGCGCCUAGGGGUCCCUUUUAUAGCCCCAAGGCAGCUAGGAGCCGUUGAGAGCAAUCUAGGAAGGCUGAUCUUGCCUUCUGUCGACUGGCGCACCGGACAGUCCGGUGCACACCGGACACUGUCCGGUGCCCGAUUUCCUUCCAAAAAUGGCGCAGUCGACCGUUGGCAGCCAGAGAGCCGUUGGCGCACCGGACAUGUCCGGUGCACACCGGACAGUCCGGUGCCCCCUUCUAGCCGUUGGCUCAGCCACGUGUCCCGCGCAGAUUGCGCGGCCGACCGUUGGCCCGGCUGACCGUUGGCUCACCGGACAGUCCGGUGCACACCGGACAGUCCGGUGAAUUAUAGCCGUACGUCGCCGGUGAAUUCCCGAGAGCGACCACUUUGCUCGAGCCAGCCUGGCGCACCGGACACUGUCCGGUGCACCACCGGACAGUCCGGUGCCCCCAGACUCAGCAGAGUCUUGGCUGCUUGAGCCAAGACAUUUCCAAUUGGAUUUUUCCUGUUUCCAGCACUUAGACACAAUACAUUAGUCCAUAAAACAAUGUACUAAGUCUGAGAAACAUACCUUUCUCCUUGAUUUGUACUUUGUCCACCUUUUUACACUUAGGCACUCGUGUUGGACACUAAAUCACCAAAAUACUUAGAAAUGGCCCAAGGGCACAUUUCCCUUUCACAGGCGGGGGGCGAUGCAGUGCAUGGCGGGAGGUGUGGUGCUUCGGGGUGGAAGAGCUGGGGAGGGGGAUCACGGAGAGAUGAGCACGGGAUCUGGGAGUUGAUUGCAGGGGAUGCCGCAGCGACGCCAUCGAUGGAAAGGAGUGCUGCGGGCGGGCGGGCGCUCAGGGCAGAACCGUGCACCGCAGCCAAUGUGGACGUAUACGGAGGAUAAUUAGGGCAUAAUCUAGUUCAAAAAUAGAAUAUCUGUUCCUGAAAUAGAUAGUUCCAAGAAACUAUAUUAAAGGAAGCCCAUGACUCAGCUUAUUCUGUCCACCCUGGUAGUACCAAGAUGUACCAGGUCUUGAAACAGAAGUAUUGGUGGUAUGACAUGAAGAGAGAUAUAGCCUCGCAUGUAGCAGUAUGUGAUGUAGUGUCCACCACCUCUAGCUUCCACUACUCUCGCUCCCGCUCCACCUAUUCCCCCACCUCAUUUCCAGGAGCGUGAUGAGACUGAGGUGCAUCGUCUUGCUGUGGAUCCACAUCUGCUUGACCAUCAGAGGGCCAUAGCUACCAGGGUACGUCGGUUCAGACACGUGCCAGUGGACUCGUGGCUGCCUGCUCAUCGAGAUCCGGCAGCUGCGCCGCUCUUCAGUACUAGGACCCAGGAGUCCUUCUUCAGGGCUCAGCUGUUAGCUCAGAUUGCUCUGCGGGCUCACCUGCGUCUAGAUCUCACUGUUUUCCGUACAACGACCGACGCAGAGUUAGAGGGUCACAUCACUUAUCUACCAGGGUUAUACUCUUUGCUAACAUUUGGUGGCAGAUAUGUUGAGGAGUGGGUCAGAGUCAAUGAGUUCAUGGUCAUGUCGUUUGGCUUGACUAGUGCGCCAGCGUACUUUAUGAAUAUGAUGAAUAAGGUGUUCAUGGAAUAUCUUGACAAGUUUAUCAUGGUAUUUAUCAACGACACUCUAAUUUAUUCCAAGGAUGAUGGAGAACAUGAGGAACAUGUAAGGCUAGUAUUGCAAAGCUAAGGGAAACCAGCUCUACUCCAAAUUUAGCAAGUCCGAGUUCUAUUUGAUAAGAUACCUUUCCUUGGGCACAUUAUCACCAAUGGGGGAAUUGAUGUAGAUGCAGCCAAGGUAAAAGAUAUAUUGCAGUGGACGAUACCUCAGUCAGUUAUAGAAAUCUAGAGUUUUUUGGGUCUCUUCAGAUAUUAUCAAUGCUUUAUUGAAGGAUUUUCCAAAAUAGUGUAGCCUAUGACCUCACUAUUAGAGAAAGGAAAGGAAUUUAAUUUGACUCAAGCCUACCAAGAUAGUUUUAAUCAGCUGAAGUUGAGAUUGACGUCAUCCCUAGUGUUGGUUAUACCGAUUCUGCAGAAAGGUUUUGAUGUAUAUUGUGAUGUGUCUCGUCAAGGAUUGGAAUGUGUUCUUAUGUAGGAAGGACAUGUCAUCGACUACGUAUCUCGUCGGUUGAGGUAGCACGAGUUGAACUACCCCACUCAUUAUCUAGAACUCGCUGUCGUUGUGCACGCCUUUAAGAUUUGGAGACAUUAUGUAAUGGGAACCAAAUGCCAUAUCUAUACAGACCAUAAAACCUAAACUAUAUCUUUAGGUAGAAGGACCUAAACCUUAAGCAACGUCGUUGGUUAGAACUUGUCAAGUAUUAUGACCUGGAGAUUCAUUACCACCCUGGCAAGGUGAAUCUGGUUGCAGAUGCCUUGAGUCGAAAAGGCCAGGCUCAUACGACUAUAGCUACCCAGAUGCCCGAUGAGUUGGCAGAGGAGUUUGAUAAGCUCAACGUAGGGAUAGUUCCUCACAUAGAAGGAGUUACCAUAGAAGUGGAACCCCACUAUAGAGCCAGAUAUCUGGAAGGAUCAGAUUGGAGAUGCCAAAAUCCAAGAGAUUCAAGGCCUGAUGGUAGAGGGAAGAGGUGCAGAUUUCACGAAGGAUAAUUAGAGCACAAUCUAGUUGAAAAAUAGAAUAUGUGUUCGUGAAAUAGAUAGUCUCCAAGAAACUAUAUUAAAGGAAGCCCAUGACUCAUCUUAUUCUAUCCACCCCGGUAGUACCAAGAUGUACCAGGACCUAAAACAGAAGUAUUGGUGGUAUGGCAUGAAGAGAGAUAUAGCCUCACGUGUAGUAGUAUGUGAUGUAGCGUCCACCACCUCUAGCUUCCACUACUCCCGCUCCCGCUCCACCUAUUCCUCCAACUCAUUUCCGAGAGCAUGAUGAGACUGAGGUGCAUCCUCUUGCUGCGGAUCCACAUCUGCUUGACCAUCAGAGGGCCACAACUACCAGGGUACAUCGGUUCAGACACGUGCCAGUGGACUCGUGGCUGCCUGCUCAGCGAUAUUCGGCAGCUACGUCGCUCUUCAGUACCAGGACCCAGGAGUCCUUCAGGGCUCAGCUGUUAGCUCAGAUUGCUCUGCGGGCUCACCUGCGUCUGGAUAUCACUGCUUUCCGUACAGUGCCUGGCGCAGAGUUAGAGGGUCACAUCACUUAUCUGCCAGGGUUAUACUCUUUGCUAACUUUUGGUGGCAGAUAUGUUGAGGAGUGGGUCAGAGUCUAUGAGUUCACGGUCAUGUCGUUUGGCUUGACUAGUGCGCCAACCUACUUUAUGAAUAUGAUGAAUAAGGUGUUCAUGGAAUAUCUUGACAAGUUUAUCAUGGUAUUUAUCAACGGCACUCUGAUUUAUUCCAAGGAUGAUGGAGAACAUGAGGAACAUCUAAGGCUAGUAUUGCAAAGCUAAGGGAAACCAGCUCUACUCCAAAUUUAGCAAGUUCGAGUUCUGUUUGAUAAGAUGCCUUUCCUUGGGCACAUUAUCACCAAUGGGGGAAUUGCUGUAGAUGCAGCCAAGGUAAAAGAUAUAUUGCAGUGCACGAUACCUCAGCCGGUUACAGAAAUCUAGAGUUUUUUGGGUCUCGUCAGAUAUUAUCAAUGAUUUAUUGAAGGAUUUUCCAAAAUAGUGUAGCCUAUGACCUCACUAUUAGAGAAGGGAAAGGAAUUUAAUUUGACUCAAGCCUACCAAGAUAGUUUUAAUCAGCUGAAGUUGAGAUUGACGUCAUCCCUAGUGUUGGUUAUGCCGGUUCUGCAGAAAGGUUUUGAUGUAUAUUGUGAUGUGUCUCGUCAAGGAUUGGAAUGUGUUCAUAUGUAGGAAGGACAUGUCAUCGCCUACGUAUCUCAUCGGUUGAGGUAGCACGAGUUGAACUACCCCACUCAUUAUCUAGAACUCACUGUCGUUGUGCAUGCCCUUAAGAUUUGGAGACAUUAUGUAAUGGGAACCAAAUGCCAUAUCUAUACUGACCAUAAAACCUAAACUAUAUCUUUAGGUAGAAGGACCUAAACCUUAGGCAUGAAAGGGAAAUGUGCCCUUGGGCCAUUUCUAAGUAUUUUGGUGAUUAAGUGUCCAACACAAAUGGUUAUGUGUUAAACUAUGCCAAAUGGUGGACAAAGUGCAAAUCAAUACAAAGGUAUGAUUCUAGACUUAGUACAUUGGUUUUUGUGUACUAACAUAUUGGUCUAAGUGCUAGAAUCAGAGAAAAGACAAAUGGAAAAGACUUGGCUCAAGCAGCCAAGACUCUGCUCAGUCUGGGUGCACCGGACUGUCCGGUGGUGCACUGGACAGUGUCCGGUGCGCCAGGCUGGCUCUGGGGAAAAGGCCGCUCUCGGGAAUUGAACGGCGGCGUACGACUAUAAAUCACUGGACUAUCCGGUGCUGCACCGGACUGUCCGGUGAGCCAAUGGUCGGUCGCGCAAUCCGCGCGUGACGCGUGGCCGGGCCAACGGUCUGAUGGGGGCACCGGACUGUCCGGUGUGCACCGGACAGUGUCCGGUACGCCAACUGCUCUAAAUCGUCAACGGUCGGCUGCGCCAGAACAGGAAAGAAAUCUGCACCGGACAGUGUCCGGUGGUGCACCGGACUGUCCGGUGCACCAGUCGACAGAAGGCAAGAAUUGCUUUCCUGGUUUGCUCUCAACGGCUCCUAGCUGCCUUAGGGCUAUAAAAGGGACCCCUAGGCGCAUGAAGGAGAACCCCAAGCAUACUUUGAGCAUUCUUGAUCAUUCACACUUCGUCUUUGCGCACUCGUUUGACAUUCUUAGUGAUUUGAGCUCCGUUCUAGUGAGAACUUUGUGAUUUUCAUUUGAGCUCAAGUCUUAGCCGUGUGUGUGUGUGUGCGUAUUGCUGUGGACUUGUGUGUGUUGCUCAUCCCAUCCUUACUUCCGUGUUCAUUUGUGAUCAUCUUUUGUAAGGGCGAGAGACUCCAAGUUGUGGAGAUUCCUCACAAACAGGAUAUAGUGAAAGGAAGAGAAACACCGUGGUAUUCAAGCGGAUCUUUGGAUCACUUGAGAGGGGUUGAUUGCAACCCUCAUCCGUUGGGACGCCACAAUGUGGAGUAGGCAAGUGUUGAACUUGGCCGAACCACGGGAUAAACCACUGUGCCUCUCUGUGUUGAUAUCGUUGUGGUUAUUGUGUUUUGCAAGAACUCCUCUCUAGCCACUUGGCUUUAUUGCUCUAACACUUAAUCAAGUUUGUGGCUUUAAGAUUUAAGUUUUUACAGGAUCACCUAUUCACCCCCCUCUAGGUGCUCUCAAUUGGUAUCAGAGUCGUUCUCUUCAAGAAAGGGACUAAUCGCCUGAAGAGAUGGAUCCUAAGGGAAAGGGGAUGGUGGUCAACGACAAUGAGAAGGAGUCCAUCUUCAACGAGCCAAGGGACGACAAAGUCAAUGACUCUAGCUCAAGUCAAAAGAAGAAAGACGGAAAGAAGAAGAGGCACAUCAGGAAGGUUGUCUACUACGACAGCGACGAAUCUUCCUCUUCUCAAAAGGACGACAAAUACGAGGAGAAAAAGAAAAUGGUUAACUCGAACUUUUCUUUUGAUUAUUCUCGUAUUCCGCAUAAUUCAAAUGCUCAUUUGCUUUCCAUUCCACUUGGUAAACCCCCACACUUUGAUGGAGAGGACUACGGAUUUUGGAGUCACAAAAUACGUAGCCACUUGUUUUCUCUUCAUCCAAGUAUAUGGGAGAUACUAGAAAAUGGGAUGCAAUUUGAUAGUUCCGAUAACUCCAUGUUUAUCAAUGAACAAAUCCAUAAAAAUGCACAAGCUACUACUGUUCUUUUAGCAUCCUUGUGCAGGGAAGAGUACAAUAAGGUGAGCGGCUUGGACAACGCCAAGUAGAUCUGGGACACCCUCAAGAUCUCGCAUGAGGGGAACGACGUCACCAUGCUCACCAAGAUGGAGUUGGUGGAAGGCGAACUAGGAAGGUUCGCAAUGAUCAGGGGAGAGGAGCCAACUCAAACGUACAAUAGGCUCAAGACCCUGGUCAACAAGAUAAGAAUCUAUGGAAGCACGAGAUGGACGGACCACGACGUCGUCCGACUCAUGCUAAGGUCCUUCACUGUCCUUGAUCCUCAUCUUGUAAACUCUAUUCAUGAGAAUCCUAGGUACAUCAAGAUGACGCCCGAGGAAAUACUCGAAAAGUUUGUAAGCGGGCGAAUGAUGAUCAAGGAGGCGAGGUACGUUGAUGAGGCGUUGAAUGGCCCAAUCUACGAGCCUCAAACCGUUGCUCUCAAAGCAACAAAUAGCAGGGAGACGCUACCUAGCAAGGUGGCGCAAGUUGAAGCGGGCGGGCUAAAUGAAGAUGAAAUGGCCCUCAUCAUCAAGCGCUUCAAGACGGCGCUCAAAGGUCGCAAGGAACACCCCAACAAGAGCAAGACGAAGGGGAAGCGCUCCUACUUCAAAUGUGGUAAGAUUGGUCACUUUAUUGCUAACUGUCCCGAUAAUGAUAGUGACCAGGAACAAGGGAAGAGCGGAAAGUGGGAAAAGAAGAAGACCUACAAAAAGGCGAAGGGCGAGGCACACCUUGGAAAGGAGUGGGAUUCGGAUUGCUCCUCGUCCGACUCCGACAAUGAAGGACUCGCCGCCUCAGCCUUCAACUAGUCGGCUCUCUUCCCCCAACGAGCAUCACACAUGCCUCAUGGCAAAGGAGAAGAAGGUAAAUACUAGAAGUACUAUUACAUAUGCUUCUUCAAGUGAUGAUGAGUCUAGUGAUGAUGAAGUAGACUAUGCUAGUUUAUUCAAAGGUUUAGAUAGAACUAAAAUUGAUAAGAUCAAUGAAUUAAUUGAUGCCUUGAAUGAGAAAAAUAGAUUGUUAGAAAAUCAAGAGGGUCUUUUAUAUGAAGAGCAUGAUAAGUUUGUUAGUGCACAAAAUUCUCUUGUUCUAGAAGUUAAAAGAAAUGAAAUGCUUUCAUGUGAACUAUCUACAUGCCAUGAAUCUAUUUCUAACUUAAAGAGUAUUAAUGAUGACUUGAAUGCUAAGUUAGAAGUAGCUAAUAAAUCUAGCUCAUGUAUUGAUCAGGUAGUAAGUUGUAAUAGGUGUAAGGUUUUUAAUGUUGAUGCUUGUAGUGAACACUUAAUUUCCAUUUCCAAAUUAAAUGAUGAAGUGGCUAGUCUUAAUGCCCAACUUAAGACUAGCAAAAAUGAAUUUGAUAAACUAAAAUUUGCAAGGGAUGCCUACACUGUUGGUAGACACCCCUCAAUUAAGGAUGGGCUUGGCUUUAAGAGGGAAGCCAAGAACUCAACAAGUCAUAAGGCUCCCAUCUCCGCCAAGGAGAAAGGGAAGGCCCCUAUGGCUAAUAGUGUUUCAUUUAUAGUGAUAGAAAACUCUCUAGAAAUGCUUAUAGGAAUUGUUCUUAUGAUUCAAAUGCCAUGUUUGCUUCAAGUUCUUCCUUUGUGCAUGGUAGAGAUAUGCCUAGGAGAAAUGUUGUUCAUGUACCUAGAAAAGCAAGUAAUGAACCUUCUACAAUUUAUCAUGCUUGCAAUGCUUCCUUUGCAAUUUGUAGAAAGGAUAAGAAAGUGAUUGUUAGGAAAUUAGGGGCAAAAUGCAAGGGAGAUAAAACUUGCAUUUGGGUCCCUAAGGCUAUUGUCACUAAUCUUGCAGGACCCAACAAGAGUUGGGUACCUAAGACCCAAGCCUAAAUUUGCCUUGCAGGUUUAUGCAUCCAGGGGCUCAAGCUGGAUUAUUGACAGCGGAUGCACAAACCACAUGACGGGGGAGAAGAAGAUGUUCACCUCCUACGUCAAGAACAAGAAUUCCCAAGAUUCAAUCAUAUUCGGUGAUGGGAACCAAGGCAAGGUUAAAGGUCUAGGAAAGAUUGCUAUUUCAUCCGAGCAUUCCAUUUCUAAUGUGUUUUUAGUAGAAUCGCUCGGAUAUAACUUGUUGUUCGUAAGUCAAUUAUGUAAUAUGGGUUAUAAUUGCUUAUUCACAAAUGUAGAUGUGUCUGUCUUUAGAAGAAGUGAUGGUUCAUUAGCUUUUAAGGGUGUACUAGACGACAAACUUUAUUUAGUUGAUUUUGCAAAAGAGGAGGCCGGUCUAGAUGCAUGCUUAAUUGCUAAGACUAGCAUGGGCUGGUUGUGGCAUCACCGUUUAGCACAUGUGGGGAUGAAGAACCUUCACAAACUUAUAAAGGGAGAACAUGUGUUAGGUCUAACAAAUGUAACUUUCGAAAAAGAUAGACCUUGUGCAGCUUGUCAAGCAGGUAAACAAGUGGGAAAUGCUCAUCAUAGCAAGAACGUGAUGACAACAUCAAGACCCCUAGAGCUACUGCAUAUGGACCUCUUUGGACCCGUCGCCUACCUUAGCAUCGAGGGAAGUAAGUAUGGUUUAGUAAUUGUUGAUGAUUUUUCCCGCUUCACUUGGGUAUUCUUUUUGCAGGAUAAAUCUGAAACCCAAGGGACCCUCAAGCGCUUCCUAAGGAGAGCUCAAAAUGAAUUUGAGCUCCAGGUGAAGAAGAUAAGGAGCGACAACGGGUCCGAGUUCAAGAACCUUCAAGUGGAGGAGUACCUUGAGGAGGAAGGAAUCAAGCAUGAGUUCUCUGCUCCCUACACACCACAGCAAAACGGUGUGGUAGAGAGGAAGAACAGGACACUCAUCGAAAUGGCAAGGACGAUGCUUGGAGAGUUCAAGAUGCCCGAGCGGUCUUGGUCGGAAGCCAUGAACACGGCUUGCCACGCCAUAAACCGGGUCUACCUUCAUCGCUUCCUCAAGAAGACUUCGUAUGAGCUUCUAACCGGUAACAAACCCAAUGUUUCAUACUUUUGUGUAUUUGGGAGUAAAUGCUACAUUCUAGUGAAAAAAGGUAGGAAUUCCAAGUUCGCUCCCAAAGCUGUAGAAGGGUUUUUGUUAGGUUAUGAUUCAAAUACAAAGGCGUAUAGAGUCUUCAACAAAUCAUCGGGUUUGGUUGAAGUCUCUAGCGACGUUGUAUUUGAUGAGACUGAUGGCUCUCCCAGAGAGCAAGUUAAUGCUAAUGAUGUAGAUGAAUAUGAUGUUCCAACGGACGCAAUUCGCACCAUGGCAAUUGGAGAUGUGCGACCAUAGGAACACCAAGAGCAAGAUCAACCUUCUUCCUCAACAAUGGUGCACCCCCCAACUCAAGACGAUGAACAGGUUCAUCAAGAAGAGGCGUGUGAUCAAGGGGGAGCACAAGAUGAUCAUGUAAUGGAGGAAGAAGCACCUCAAGCCCCUCCAACACAAGUCCGAGCGACGAUUCAACGGAAUCAUCCUGUCGACCAGAUUCUGGGUGAUAUAAGCAAGAGAGUAACUACUCGCUCUAGAUUAGUUAAUUUUUGCGAGCAUUACUCUUUUGUCUCUUCUAUUGAGCCUUUCAGGGUAGAAGAGGCCUUGCUAGAUCCGGACUAGGUGUUGGCCAUGCAGGAGGAGCUCAACAAUUUCAAGAGAAAUGAAGUUUGGACAUUGGUGCCACGUCCCAAGCAAAACGUUGUGGGAACCAAGUGGGUGUUCCGCAACAAACAGGACGAGCACGGGGUGGUGACAAGGAACAAGGCACGACUUGUGGCAAAAGGUUAUGCCCAAGUCGCAGGUUUGGACUUUGAGGAGACUUUUGCUCCUGUGGCUAGGCUAGAGUCAAUUCACAUAUUGUUAGCCUAUGCCGCUCACCAUUCUUUCAGGUUGUUCCAAAUGGAUGUGAAGAGCGCUUUCCUCAAUGGGCCAAUCAAGGAGGAGGUGUACGUAGAGCAACCCCCUAGCUUUGAGGAUGAACGGUACCCCGACCACGUGUGUAAGCUCUCUAAGGCGCUCUAUGGACUUAAGCAAGCCCCAAGAGCAUGGUAUGAAUGCCUUAGAGACUUUUUAAUUGCUAAUGCCUUCAAGGUUGGGAAAGCCGAUCCAACUUUAUUCACUAAGACUUGUGAUGGUGACUUAUUUGUGUGCCAAAUUUAUGUCGAUGACGUAAUAUUUGGUUCUACUAACCAAAAGUCUUGUGAAGAGUUUAGCAGGGUGAUGACUCAAAAGUUCAAAAUGUCGAUGAUGGGCGAGUUGAACUACUUCCUUGGGUUCCAAGUGAAGCAACUCAAGGACGACACGAGAGGUUUGGGAUGAAGGACGCCAAGCCCGCAAAGACUCCAAUGGGAACUCACGGACACAUCGACCUCAACAAAGGAGGUAAGUUCGUUGAUCAAAAAGCAUACCGGUCUAUGAUAGGUUCCUUGCUUUACUUAUGUGCUAGUAGACCGGAUAUUAUGCUUAGUGUAUGCAUGUGUGCUAGAUUUCAAUCCGAUCCAAGGGAGUGUCACUUAGUGGCCAUGAAGCAAAUUCUUAGAUAUUUAGUCGCUACGCCUUGCUUCGGGAUCUAGUAUCCAAAGGGGUCUACCUUUGACUUGAUUGGAUAUUCAGACUCCGAUUAUGCUGGAUGCAAGGUCGAUAGGAAGAGUACAUCAAGGACGUGCUAAUUCUUAGGAAGGUCCCUGGUGUCUUGGAGUUCUAAGAAACAAACUUCCGUUGCCCUAUCCACCGCUGGGGCCGAGUAUGUUGCUACAGGACAGUGUUGCGCGCAACUACUUUGGAUGAAGCAAACCCUCCGGGACUUUGACUACAAUCUGAGCAAAGUCCCACUCCUAUGUGAUAAUGAGAGUGCUAUCCGCAUGGCGGAUAAUCCUAUUGAACACAGCUGCACAAAGCACAUAGACAUCCGGCAUCACUUCUUGAGAGACCACCAGCAAAAGGAAGAUAUCGAAGUGUUUUAUGUUAGCACCGAGAACUAGCUAGCCGAUAUCUUUACCAAGCCUCUAGAUGAGAAGACCUUUUGCAAGUUGCGUAGUGAGCUAAAUGUCUUAGAUUCGCGGAACUUGGAUUGAUUUAUAGCAUACAUGUGUUUUAUGCCUUGAUCAUAUUCCUUAUGCAUUUUGUUGUUUAUUCAUGGUGCUCAAGUUGUACAAGCACUCCCCGGACCUCACAAGUCCAUUUGCAAGUGAUGCACAUAUUUAGGGGAGAUGUGCUACAACUUGACCCUUUGAGACUAACCAUGUGUUUGAGCUUGCUUGAUUUAGUCUCAAAGGUGGAUUGAAAGGGAAAGGUGGACUUGGACCAUGAAAGACUUCCACUGCACUCCGAUGAGAGGGUAACUUACUCCAAGUUCAUCUCCAUACUCUUAUUGCCUUUUACUCUUAUUUGAAGAUUUUGGGUGAGGCAAUGGGGUUUAAGGGCCAAGAUUGAUCCUGUUUUGGUGCUUGAUGCCAAAGGGGGAGAAAAUAAGGCCAAAGCAAGAAAUGGAUCAGCUACCACUUGAGAAUUUUAAAAAUAGUAGAGUUAGAGUUUUUGUUUUGUCAAAAUCCUCUUAAUGUCUCUUCUUGUCAAAAGUUGGUCUCUUGUGGGGAGAUUGUUUGAUUAUGGGAAAAAGGGGGAGUUUUUUGAAUCUUUGAUCAAUUUCUCUUGGAAUACCUUUCUCUAUGCCUCGACAAGUGAAUAUUUGACUUAGAGAUAGGAAAUUGAGUUUGAUUUGCAAAAACAAACCAAGUAGUGGCAAAGAAUGAUCCAAAUAUGCCAAAUUUGAAUUAAAACAAAUUCUUGUUCUCAUUUGCUUUGAUGUUGCACUUCUAUAUGUUGCUUUUUGUUGUGUUGGCAUAAAUCACCAAAAAGGGGGAGAUUGAAAGGGAAAUGUGCCCUUGGGCCAUUUCUAAGUAUUUUGGUGAUUAAGUGUCCAACACAAAUGGUUAUGUGUUAAACUAUGCCAAAUGGUGGACAAAGUGCAAAUCAAUACAAAGGUAUGAUUCUAGACUUAGUACAUUGGUUUUUGUGUACUAACAUAUUAGUCUAAGUGCUAGAAUCAGAGAAAAGACAAAUGGAAAAGACUUGGCUCGAGCAGCCAAGACUCUGCUCAGUCUGGGUGCACCGGACUGUCUGGUGGUGCACCGGACAGUGUCCGGUGCGCCAGGCUGGCUCUGGUGAAAAGGCCGCUCUCGGGAAUUGAACGGCGGCGCAUGGCUAUAAAUCACCGGACUGUCCGGUGAGCCAACGGUCGGCCGAGCCAACGGUCGGCCGCGCAAUCCGCGCGUGACGCGUGGCCGGGCCAACGGUCUGAUGGGGGCACCGGACUGUCCGGUGCGCACCGGACAGUGUCCGUGCGCCAACUGCUCCAAAUCAUCAAUGGUCGGCUGCGCCAGAAUAGGAAAAAAAUCUGCACCGGACAGUGUCCGGUGGUGCACCGGACUGUCCGGUGCACCAGUCGACAGAAGGCAAGAAUUGCUUUCCUGGUUUGCUCUCAACGGCUCCUAGCUGCCUUGGGGCUAUAAAAGGGACCCCUAGGCGCAUGAAGGAGAACCCCAAGCAUACUUUGAGCAUUCUUGAUCAUUCACACUUCGUCUUUGCGCACUCGUUUGACAUUCUUAGUGAUUUGAGCUCCGUUAUAGUGAGAACUUUGUGAUAUUCAUUUGAGCUCAAGUCUUGGUCGUGUGUGUGUGCGUAUUGCUGUGGACUUGUGUGUGUUGCUCAUCCCAUCCUUACUUCCGUGUUCAUUUGUGAUCAUCUUUUGUAAGGGCGAGAGACUCCAAGUUGUGGAGAUUCCUCGCAAACGGGAUAUAGUGAAAGGAAGAGAAACACCAUGGUAUUCAAGUGGAUCUUUGGAUCACUUGAGAGGGGUUGAUUGCAACCCUCGUCCGUUGGGACGCCACAACGUGGUGUAGGCAAGUGUUGAACUUGGCCGAACCACGGGAUAAACCAUUGUGCCUCUCCGUGUUGAUAUCGUUGUGGUUAUUGUGUUUAAUCACUUGGCUUUAUUGCUCUAACACUUAAUCAAGUUUGUGGCUUUAAGAUUUAAGUUUUUACAGGAUCACCUAUUCACCCCCCUCUAGGUGCUCUCAAGGCAAUGUCGUUGGUUAGAACCUGUAGAUUCAUUACCACCCUGGCAAGGUGAAUCUGGUUGUAGAUGCCUUGAGUCGGAAAGGCUCGGCUCAUACGACUAUAGCUACCCAGAUGCCCGACGAGUUGGCAGAGGAGUUUGAUAAGCUCAACUUGGGGAUAGUUCCUCACAUAGAAGGAGUUACCAUAGAAGUGGAACCCCACUCUAGAGCAAGAUAUCUAGAAGGAUCAGAUUGGAGAUGCCAAAAUCCAGAUUCAAGGCUUGAUGGUAGAGGGAAGAGGUGCAGAUUUCACGGAGGAUAAUUAGGGCACAAUCUAGUUGAAAAAUAGAAUAUGUGUUUCUGAAAUAGAUAGUCUCCGAGAAACUAUAUUAAAGGAAGCCCAUGACUCAGCUUAUUCUAUCCACCCCGAUAGUACCAAGAUGUACCAGGACCUGAAACAGAAGUAUUGGUGGUAUGGCAUGAAGAGAGAUAUUGCCUCGCAUGUAGCAGUAUGUUAUGUAGCGUCCACCACCUCUAGCUUCCACUACUCCUGCUCCCGCUCCAUCUAUUCCUCCACCUCAUUUCUAGGAGCGUGAUGAGACUCAGGUGCAUCCUCUUGAUGCGGAUCCACGUCUGCUUGACCAUCAGAGGGCCACAACUACCAGGGUACAUCGGUUUAGACACAUGCCAAUGGACUUUUGGCUGCCUACUCAGCGAGAUCCGGCAGCUGCGCCGCUCUUCAGUACCAGGAUCCAGGAGUCCUUCUUCAUGGCUCAGCUGUUAGCUCAGAUUGCUCUGCAAGCUCACCUGCGUCUGGAUUUCACUGCUUUCCGUACAACGGCCGACGUAGAGUCAGAGGGUCACUCCACUUAUCUGCCAGGGUUAUACUCUUUGCUAACUUUUGGUGGCAGAUAUGUUGAGUGGGUGAGAGCAUUCUAUGGCACAGUUUCGAUCGACCCUGACCAUCAGUGGAUGAGGUUUUGGUUCGAGCAUGAAGAUGUCACUUUGCAUGCAGCUCAGAUCCGAGAGCUAUUUGGAUUCCUUGAGUCGACGACGAGGCUUCACAACAUGUGCUAUGGUACCUCAGACCCUCCUCGCCGCCCUCACAGCGGAGUAGCUCCUAGCACCGCUCACGUCAUCGCUCUGUUCAGACCUCCGUUCAUAGACGGGUCUCGACAUUCUUCUGCUGACUUCACCCCAGCGGCGAAGUUUCUAUAUGAGCUCAUGAGGCGCACCCUGCUACCGAGGAUGGGAUACAGAGAGGCUACCACUCAUAUUCAACUCUGACUCCUUGGUGCUCUGGUAUCUCACUUGGUAUUUGUCACACCCGGUUUUGGAAGGCAAACCAAAUGCGAACCAUGUACGUGCCAGGAUCAAAAACUCAUGUACACAGCGAUUACAUAAUUGGACAUCAUCACACAUUGCUCAAAAUAAAUAGCGAAAAAGGUACUUUAUUACAUCAAGAUGUCGAAGACAUCCAUAGAGUCAUUAACAUAACAUAGUCAUUAAUAUUAUCAAAGUGUGGAAUACAAAACAUAGCAGAUACAACCUUCACAGGCAUUUGACUGGGGGUUUGCCACUAACACAACUAGAACUCGUCGUAGUCCUGGAACUCCUCAGUCCUCCAUGUUGCCAGCAUCUCCUCCUGAGCACUGAAUACAGUGGGGACAACCUGAGGUGGGGUGGUUUUUAAAGCAAGGGUGAGUACACAUCAACGUACUCAGUAAAUGUCUCGUUUGGCUAAAGUGGACUAGCUGUAUGUGGAGUUAAGGUUAAGCAGUUGCUUUUAGUUGGUCAAAUAUUUAUUACUAAUAGUAUAACCAAGUUUUAGUAAUAAACCCAGUUAUUACCCAAAAGUACUCCCUCCAAGAGGAAGUACCAGAGAUCAGGAUUAUAUUCAUCAUCAUUAACCGUCAUCAUAAAAAUAUCCAAAGUUCUUCUAGUCAAAGAGGAUCCCAAGGCUGCACAACUGAUAUACCAGUUUCUAACACUAUAGAGGUUGCACACUUUACCCACGAGUCGUGAUUCCCGGAGAUCAUGACUCUCCAUUUAUCACUACCAAGGUGAAUUGGUAGGGCCUCACAAUGUAGCCUUUACAAAGACUCCCCUGGUGCAUAGCUGCUCAUUAGGUUUCUCCAGUCGUACAAGCAUAGUACCCCCUCGGCACCCACCCUUAGCAGAGCGAGCACUAUGCCCCAACCCCCAUUGAUGAUCCUCCGGCAAAGCCAACUACACCCCCAGGUUCAUCUAAUUAUUCGGCUAAGGGCAUCCCAUUCAACCCUCAUGGUUGCACUGUUAUCCCGGGUGGUCACUCAACGAACAGGUCCUUACGGAGAGGUACUCAGGAAAUAGCCUGAGUCCCCUAAAGUAUCACAAGAUCAUCAUCGGGAUAACAUCAUCAUAUCAUAAAUAUUCAUAUCAUGUUCGUUGAUUAAGGUAAAGCAAUAGCAUAAAGCUAACCAUAAUAACCCAAAGGUAAGCAAGAACAAGAUAAAUACAGACUAGUCAAUCCUUAGGUUUCAAAUAAAGUAAUGCGGGAUGGUGAAUUAUAAAGUAAGUAGGACAUAAUAGGUCAGAGGACACUUGCCUUCACCAGGUUGUUGCUUAGGAAGAUAUUCGGCAACACACUCAGGAACCACGGGCUGCACGUUGUCUAAAUAAAGCGAUCAUGCAUUCAAUACAUUUGGAUAAAGACAAAUGAACAAUACACCAAACAUAUACAAUCAAGUGAACACAUCUCAAAAGAACAGUAUAAACUCAAGAGGUAACUUGGGUUCUAGGGUGAACUAGCACACUUAGAAGUUUGUGAUUCUCUAAGUAUUAUCUAUCUCCAUAGAUUACAUAAUUUAAUUCCACUUAUUUUAAUGAGACACAAAAGUUAUACCAGGGAUAGAUUCAUAAUUUACAUAUUAUUAAUCUCACAAAGUUAAACAUCUACUUACCAUUAGGGUUCUCCUUUUUUUCUUAUUAAUAAAUAAUCCAUUACCUAAACUAAUCUAUAGUCUAGGCAUAAAAUUAAUAUGUGCAGAUAGUGAAUGAUCAUAAUUUUAACAGAUAGAGAAUAAUCUCAUGAACAUUUUGCAAUUUGAAUCACUCAAUUUGGAGUUCAUAUGCAAAAGAUAUGAAAUAAACAAGUUUUGGAAUUUAAAAUCCUAAAUUAGGUCAAAUUCUGCGAUUAAACAAAAGCCUAGGGUUCUUUCUGCAAGAAUACAGGCCUACGCACAAAAACAAGGGACUGUGGUUGAUUCUCAGAAACCUGAGGGUUAUUUAACAAAACAGCCGCGCAAAGGGGUAUCGGCCGAUCACGACCGCACGAUCGCGAACGAACGACCGUGAUUAGAUCCGAGCGUGAGUGCGCGCGUGUGGACGGGCGAGCGUGACUAACAAGCGGGACAGGGGUGUCAGUGACCUGAGGGUGAGACAAACUGACCGGCCGGGCCCAGUUGUAGAGCGCGAGCGAGGGCGCGCACCCGAGUGGCCGGAUCCAAAACGGACGGUUGAGAUUAGAUCUAGUCUAAUUAAACACAUGGGAAAUUAAAGGCAUGGGGGAGUUUCUCACCUCGACAUGGGAGUCUAGAUCACUUGAGCAACGACGGGGACACAUGGAGGCCUUGGGUCAACGACGGUGGAGCUUCGGCUGCACGGGGAGAAGACCAGUGAGCGCGGACCAGGCGAAACAGAGGGGUUGGGACAAACUAGAGGGUGUCCCGUGUUGCUGGCAAAGAGGCGGAGCUCACCAAGGCAACAGACGUGGCAGAAGCUCGACGACGGCCACGGAAUGGGCGGCGGAUCACGGCGGAGCUCCACGGGCGCGCGCAGAGCGAGAGAGAGCGAGGGUGUUCGGCUGAGGGCGCAACUGAGCGAGGGGAGCGGGUGAGUGAGUGCGGGCUCCAGAAAAGGGAUCGGGCGCAUGGCUGGUAAAUGCGCGAUCAUGGGCGCGUCCACAACAUAGAGCGCGGGUGGGAGGUUAGGGAAGGGGUAGUGGCUGACAGGCAGGGUUCGUAGGCCAGCGAGGGCAAGUGUGCGAACGGGCGGUCAACGCUGAUAGGAAGGGCCCACCGAGCAGCGAGAGAGAACGGGCACGUGCGCGAACGGAUCGGUGCCGACAGGCCGGUCCCACCGGGCAGUUGGGGGGGAGAGAGGGAGAGAGAGCGUGCGUGCGCGUACGCGGGCCGUCACUGACAGGUGGGGUCCAUCUGUCACGCAACGAGGGCGCGCGCGGCCUGGCUCGACUGAGUUGGGUCGAGUGGGCUGAAUUUGGUUUUUUCUUUUUCCCUAGAAUUUUUAAUGCCUUUUCUUUUUAUUUUCUCUAUGGAUUUAAAAUCAAAUUCAAACCAAUUCAAACAUAUGCAUCAAACCAAAAAAUAAUUUAGGCUCAGCAUGACGCAACAUUUCAUGACUCACAUAAGUUUUGACAAAAUAAAUAAUUAAUCCCUCACCUAAUUAACCUAACUCUAUUCAAAAGGAGGAGAGAGGAAGUAUAGAGAGAGACAAGAGGUAACACCUGAAUUUGGUAGGCAUUUAGAGAAGAAAUUUUAUACCCCCAAAUUCAGGGUGUUACAAACCUACCCCCCUUAAAAAGAAUCUCGUCCUCGAGAUUCAGGGUUGGUUAGCAAAGAGUUCAGGGUACUUGGCUGUCAGACCAUCUUCUCUUUUCCAGGUUGGUUCUUCCUCUGAAUGCUGGCCCCAUUUGACUUUGCACAUCCUGAUGGUGCUUCUUCGUAUGACUCUGUCUGCUGUCUCCAGCAUCUGAGUGGGCUUCUCAAUAUAUAUUAAGUCUUCUUGAACCUCGAGAUCCUCUGUUGGCAAUUACUCUUCUGGUACUCGUAAGCACUUCUUCAGCUGAGACACAUGACACACAUCAUGCACAACUGACAAACUUUCUGGUAGACUGAGUUGAUAUGCCACUUCUCCAUGUCUUGCUUGAAUCUGGUACGGUCCAAUGUAUCGAUGUGCUAGCUUGCCAUUGACUCCGAACCUUUUGAUUCCUCUAAUGAGUGACACCUUCAGAUAUACAUAGUCUCCCACUUCAAAACUUAGAUCUCUUCUUCUUGUGUCAGCAUAGCUUCGCUGCAUGUACUGUGAUGUCUUCAGAUUGUCUCGAACCAUUCUGAUGUUCUCUUCAGCCUCUAGUAAAAUGUCUGGACCGAACACCUGCAUUUUGCCAGGUUGGUCCCAAUGCAACGAGGUCCGACAAUUCCUGCCAUAGAGUGAUUGGAGUGGUGACAUCUUCAGACUGGCCUGGUAGCUGUUGUUGUAAGAGAGUUCUGCAUACGGUAACCUUUUGUCCCAACCUAACUUAUCUUGCAAAGAACAAGCUCUCAACAUGUCUUUAAGAAUCUGGUUGGUUCUCUCUGUCCGACCAUCUGUCUGCGGGUGAUAGGCUGAAUUGAACUUUAAAUGUGUGCCCAAAGCUUCAUGCAAUUGCUGCCAGAAGUGAGAAGUGAAUUGGGUACGUCUGUAAGAUACUAUCUUCUUUGGAAUGGCAUGCAAGCAUACAAUCCGAAACAUAUAGUUCUGGCAACGCUGCACUGUUAUAGGUGGUCUUGACUGGUAUGAAACGAGUCGCCUUUGUUAAGCUAUCCACUACUACCCAGAUGGAGUCAUAACCGGCUCGAGUGCAAGGAAGACCAACUAUAAAGUCCAUCCCAAUAUCAUCCCAUUUCCACUGAGGAAUCUGCAACGACUGCAACAAACCUACGGGCCUCUGAUGUUGUACCUUGAUUCUCUGACAACUGUCUCAUAUGGCAAGAUACUCUGCUAUCUCCCGUUUCAUUCUGUACCACUAAAAUCUUUUCUUCAGGUCUUGGUACAUCUUCUCACUGCCAGGGUGUAUGGAAUAAGUUGUCUCGUGAGCCGCCUUAAGAAUUAGCUCCCGAAUCGAUUUGAUGUCGGGAACACACAACCUAUCUUUAAACCACACCACUCCUCCGUAUUCACGGAAAUCUUUGCCUUUCCCAUCCAAGAUUAGCUGUCGAAUUUCAUUAAUCUUCUCAUCGUCUUUAUGGCCCUUCCUGAUAUCUUGUUCUAGAGUGGAUUCCGGCUCAACUGUCACUCCUUGGGUGUUGUUUAGAAAUCCGAGACUCAGCCUGUCAAAUUCGUUUGCUAGCUCAUAUGGCAUCGGGCAAGCGACCAUCAUGUUAACUUGACUCUUUCGGCUCAAAGCAUGUGCAACCACAUUAUCUUUUCCUAGGUGAUAAUGUAUCUUCAGCUCAUACUCUUUGUUUAACUCUAGCCAUCUUCGCUACCUCAUGCUCAAUUUUGACUGGGUGAAUAUAUAUUUGAGACUCUUGUGGUUUGUGUAGAUAUCACACUUCUGCCCAUACAAAUAGUGCCUCUAGGUCUUCAGUGCAUGAACCACUGCUGCUAACUCUAGAUCAUGUGUGGGGUAAUUCUUCUCAUGGAUCUUCACCUGUCGGGACAAGUAUUCCACCACUCUCCCUUCUUGCAUUAACACACAUCCUAGUCCGGUGUACGAAGCAUCACAAUACAUUGAGAAUGGCUUGUGAACAUCUGGUAGAAUCAAUACCGGUGCUAUUGUCAACUUCCUCUUUAAUGUCUCAAAAGACUCUUGGCACGCUGGGGUCCACUUGAACUCAACUUUCUUCGCUAGCAGUGCUGUCAUUGGCUUGACAAUCUUGGAGAAACCUUCAAUCAAACGCCGAUAGUAGCCGCCAUUCCAAUGAAACUCUUGAUUCCUCGGACAUGUUUUGGUGCUUUCUAGUCCAGAAUAACUGCUACCUUCUUCGGAUCCACAACUAAUCCAUCUCGGUUUAUAAUAUGACCUAAGAACAAGACUUCACUGAUCCAAAAUUCACACUUGGCAAUCUCGUAGCCUCUGCAAUACCUUCCUCAAAUGCUCUUCAUGCUCUUGCCCAUUCUAGGAAUAUAUGAGGAUAUCAUCAAUUGUAAAGCCCAAAAUUUGUAAAAAACAAAUCUACUUUGAGACCUAGGAGAGAGUAUUCCAAGAUUUAAGUCUUUUAUAAUAAGGGAUUAAAUAAAGGACCCUCAUAUAAUUUAAACCAACCUUUGCUGAAUAAUGUGAUUAGAGCCAUUCUCCAAAAGAAUUAAGUUUAAGAAAUACCUUAAUAAAUAUUAUACACUAAAUCUCCUCUUUUAAGUAACUAUGAACAUAUUUUAAUGGAAUAUACAUUGAAGGAAUUAAUUUUGUGUGUGCAUGGUAUACUUAAAAUAUUUGGAUACAAUAAACAAAACUAAACAUAUGUAUGUAUUUAUGCACACCAUGUUGGAGUUUUAUUUGCUGGUGUAUUUAAUCUGGGAAACCUUGAACCUUGAAUCAAAUUGGAUUUUUGAAUUUGAAACUGGGAUAAAACUGAAAACAGAAAUUAAGAAAGGAAUAAAUGGGAUGUUGGGUCGACUGCUCCCUUGACCUUGGCCCACUUCCAGUUACAUGUACCCAGCGCGGCCCAACAACCAUCACGCAUCUCCUUUCUCUGCGCCGCGUGCGCAUUAUUCGACCGACGGACGGGGCCCGCUCCAUCCCCUCCUCUCGAUGUCGUCACCUCCAUGUGGGACCCAUCGUGUAGACCGAUCUUCUAGCUCCGGCCGUUGUGGGUCGUUUGGCAGAUCUCACGCUUAGCCCAUAUACUAGCGCUCGUGUGGUCUCCGCCGCACAGAGCCCGUUGUCCGGUGUUAACCCCGCACGAUUCAUGGACCUGCACGAUGCCGUGUGGGACCACCCUGCUGGAGUCACUUUCUUCGCUACGACCGAAUCACGCGCAACAACCCCCACGCUCGAGCAACAAACUCACUGUGAUUCGCUCAACGCAUGCCGACCUUGGUUUCUCCCGCAACUGACCCUCUCAGCUCAGACUCGCCCCCUCUGACGCAUAUAUAGGUCACCGUGAACCCCUGUGCCAAUCCAGUAGCCAUGGCGUGCAGAGAUGGAAGGGAGAGAGAGGAAUUGGCCUGCCACUCAAAUCGUUCGCUGCCGGUGUGUCUUCGGCCUCGAGGUACGGACCCACUGUAGUUCUCCAUCUGUUGUGGUUGCUCAUGUGAUCGACGGGGUGGGGUUUCGCCGGAGCUGUACCAUACGCGCAUCAGGCCGCCAUGGGGGGAAAGACAUUCCUGCAUGGUUGUUCUGGUGUCAGCACUCAGCAGGGGACCUUGGGGCAUCGCUGAUCCUCGGGGCAGGUGCUCACGGGAGUAGCUAGUCGUGGGAGUCCUUGGCGCCGUCACAAUUCCUCACUGGGGCCGGAUUGCACUACUCCGGCAACUUCUGCCAUGGGGAACUGUGGCGCCACCGCCGUGGUGGGCGCAUGCCUUCGCGAUGGUGACUGGGGAAGGGAUAAAGUGUGAUGGCUGUUCAUCACGGAACCAUCAGCUCAGAAUAAGUGACAGAUACCCUUUCGCACGUUAAGUAACGACCGUGGAUUUCUGGUCCUAUGGCAAUCAUCAUGUACCGGUUCAUAAAGAGGUUUGUGUAAUAUGCACCGUUGAUCCUGCAUCCAACGGUGCUCGUUGGCCGAUACCCCUUCGGUUGAUGAAUUUGCAUAAGAGCCCCUGCCCUUUACACUAAUCAACCCGCAGUACACCUCUGCGUUGUUCUGAGUCUGGGGAAAACUUCUGGUUCUGCCCCCGUUGUUCUCUGUAAUUAGUACUCAGCCCCGAGAACAAAGAAAUUGGAUAAAUAAAUUUAGAAAUUGAUUUUUAAUACAAAAAUAAAUCCAGAAACUUGUAUAAUUCAUAUCUAAUUCAUCUUAACUCCAAAUUGAUCCAUUCCAGUUGCAAUAAUUUUGUUUUAAUAUUGUUCAUCAUCUAGUACCUUUGUUUACCCAUGAAACUUGAAUUAAAAUUAUUCACUUGAAUUACUCUAUCCUAGGUACCAAAUAACUUCGGAAAAUCCUAACUAAUUCAUUUUAACUCUAUUUCAAUCCGUUCAAGUUGCGCUAGCUUCAUAUGAAUAUUUAUUAUGCAGUAACAGUAUUAAUUAUACCAUAUUGCAUAAAUUUAUAGUUAGAUAUUUGUUUAACCUAUGUUAGUAGAUUUACCCUUUUUAAUCAAAGUUAAUUUGUCUAUAAUUAUAAGAGGACUAAAACAUGAUUUCUAAUUAAGUCAUAACUUAAAUUAAGGUUGAAAUUAGUUAUUAGGAUAUCUUUCUCACAUGGUUCAUAAUAAUCAACAUAAAACCUAGUUUUCCGGUUUAAUCACAUAAAUCUUCUAUAAAUCAUAACUUUAUAAUCGUAACUCCGAUUUUAAUCAUUCUCGAACCCACGAUCUCGUAGCUUCGCGUAGAUCAUUAUUAUUCAGUUUAUACUUAUGUUUGAUGUGAUGUUAAUUUUUUCUAUGCUAUGUUUGUUUGUAUUGCUAUGAUUAGCAGUGAGGCCACGAAUCAUCUAAAGAUCAUCCUUAGUACCAGAAAUCUCAAGUCCCAGGCAAGUUGUGCCCUUAAUCACUUUUAUUUACCCAAUAAUGUUCUUUAUAAUCAUUUAUUCAUGCAUAGGCUUAGUUUUGAUGGGACCCAAUAGGUCACCCUAGUUUGGUUAUCUUGUUACCUUGUUCACCCCUGAAUCAUUUGGGUAGUUUUGCUAUUGCUCUAUAUGGUUUUGGGAUUAAUAUUACAUUAUGUUCAUUUCCAAUUAUUCUGUUGUUUUAUUUAUUAUUCAUGUCAAGAUCAUUAUUUUUAGUUGGAAUAUGGAGCUUAACUUGAGAAACACGUGCCACUACAAGGGUGGAAUGGGACGCCCUUGGUUGACUAAUUUGGAAAGCUAGUGGAAGACUACCUUACCCGAAAGGGGCAAGGGCAGUAGGGGAGUAGGCAUGUAGGGAGGUUCUCGGGUUGAUUUUUCUGCGAUGGCGGUCAGACGAGGGAUUCCUACAUUGCUCUUCCUAGCAACUGUAGCGGGUUUUCAGAAGCUAGUGGAACUUUGUAAAGGCCUCGUAGUGGAUCCCUAGCCAUUCACCUUGGAAAUGUCUAAGGGUCUUGCAAACCCUGGCGACAUGGGAUACACGACUUGUGGGUACAGGGUACAACCUCUGCAGAGUGUAAAACUGGUAUACUAGCCGUGCUCGCGGUCAUGAGCAGCUCAGGACUCUCGCAUGAUUAAAUUAUGGAACUAAAUUCAAUUUGUCAUUUGUAUUGCAUGGGAUUUAUUAUUAAUUUUGUUCUAUUAUUAUUAUUAUGGUUUGGUAUUUACUUACAUCUGGUAAUUGCUAAUAAAAUUUUGACCAACUUUAAAAGCAAUGCUCAGCUUUCCAUUCUCUUUGGUAAGCCUUACACUUCACAUGAGCUCCCACCUUUGGUAAGUUCAUGCACAUUAUUCCCCACAACUUGUUGAGCUAUGAACGUAUGUGAGCUCACCCUUGCUGUCUCACACCCCCCCCCCCACAGGUCAAGAACAGGUACCACAGGAUGAGGUGCAUGGAGGAUGCCGUGAUGUGUUCGUGAGAUGUCUAGGCCGUCGUCGCCCAGUAAACUUUGGGUUGUUGGAUCGUUGUCUCCUCACGAUGUAAUUAUUUAUUUAUUUUGUACAGAACUCCUAUUAUAUAAUAAAGUUGUGACAUUCGUUUCUGUACCAUGAUUCAUCAUAUGUGUGAGACUUGGUCCCAGCACACCUGGUGAUUAUGUUUGCGCCCGGGUCUUGGUGCCCCGAAACCAGGGUUUGGCAGAAGUGGUAUGAGAGGAAUGUUGACUUUAGGACGAAACCUAGAUAGAACUGGACAACCAUUGUCUACUUACCUUUGCUACUCUGAUUGUUUCUAAACUUUUUUUAAUCUUUUCUCAUCUAUUUCCGCUUACUCUGAUUACUCUUACCUUUUCCUUCUAAAGACAAAUGUGGAUUUCACACUUUGAAAUCCUGUGCCUAAAGUGACCUUUAGGAAUAGGAGACCUACUCUUAGGAACAAAAUCAAAACUAUUUUUGUAAAUAUUUGUAUGCUUGAAUGUUUGUUCUUGUGAUACAUGUCUGAUUUGGAUCUUUGAUUAAGUGUGAUGAGUUGUGGAGUAAUGUCCACAACUACAUCUGCAUAUACAUAUAGGCAUAAAUAUAAAUAAUUAGAAUUCAUAAGAUAACUAGACAACCUAGAUUAUCCUCCAUUAAAGUGUAUUUAUUCUAGAUAGAGUUCUUUAAGUUGAGAAAAAAAAUUCUAUUUAUCCUAACAGGUUCAUCUUAUGUUAAGAAAAAAAUUAUCUUAUCCUCAUAAAUUGUUUAUAAGAUAAACUAGACCAACUAAGAAUACCCCAUUGGAAUAUAUCAAGCCUAAUGGAUCCAUCUUAUCUUAAAAGACUCUCUCUUAUCUUAAUAGAUCUAUCUUAUCUUAAAAAGAUUCUCUCUUACCUCAAUAAAUUCAUCUUAUCUUGAAGAGAUUUUAUCUUAUCCUAAUAGAUCUAACUGACCUCCAAAGAUUUUACCUUAUACUUAUGGAUUCAUCUUAUCUUGAAAGAUUCGUCUUAUCUUGAAAGAUUCAUCUUAUCCUAACCACUUUACUUAUCUCAUCCUAAAGUAACAACCAUGAUCUAAUUAAUGAGAUCUUAUCUAGUCUAUUCUAGUCAUACCCAAUCCUAUCUAAUCUAUUAUGAUCAUACCUAAUGUGAGUCACUCAAACAUGAUUAGCUAAUGUUGAGGAAAUGCAUUAGACCUUGCUCCUAUAAACAAGUUUGAGAUCUUAGAUCAACCUGACCCUACCCAAUAACUUGACCUACAAAAGCAGGUUACACAACUAAUCCCAUUUAGCAUAUAGCUACCUACUAAACCCUUUACCCAUCUGUUACCUACCGAUCUAUCUUGACCUCUUGUCCCAAACCCGAAGGGUGACACCUAGGCUCAAGAUGGAAGAGACCAAUCUCAUUAAAGAAGAAUAGGAAUCAAGCUAGACCCCCAAAGGAAGCUCGAUUAUACCAUGUCUACACUCACCUAAUAGCUAAAACCUGAUGUACCCUUGUUUUCUAUGCUACACCUGCUAAUGGCAUGGAGAAUUUUAAGUGUAUAAAAAUAUACUAAUUGGAAGUUCCACUUAAAAAAGAGAUACUAGAAGUUCAUAAAGAUAAAGUCAGCUUGAUAUGCUCAACUAAAUGGUAUUCUUAAAUAGGAUUAUACAAUCUAAUAUGAUCUAAUCUAGUGAGUGUUGGGGGUCUUCUUCCCCGCCGAAGGUCCUUAAGGCAAAAACACCCUCGGCAAGAUAAUACAAAGGCAUACACGACAUGAUGAUACGAAAGAAAGCCGAUGCUAUGGCUGAAGAAGCUUCGACUUAAUAUUACGACGAAGCCGAAGGUCGUCACCGACUCAAGGGAAAAAUACUGUUUAGUCCUUGAUCACUCCCAUUAUGAUUGUAUGUAAAUGCCAGGGACAUAAAUGUAAUUAUGUCUGGGUUGUGUCCCGCGCCUAUAAAUAGAUGAACAGUACCCCCGUACUGUUUAGGCUGGAUUAUAAUCUCUCUCUCACGUCAUCUUUGCAUUCACACCUUCUGGCGAACCGAAGGUAUUAUUGUAUUAUGAAUAUUGUUAAUGUUGAUUCUUGUCUAUGGAUAUAAAUAUAAAUAAACUGCGAAGAUCUAAUCAUUAUUUAUAGUAUUUAAUUUUCUUUCGCAUUCUUAUUUAUAUUUAUGAUUAUAUGCUAAAAUGAUGAAGGCAUGUUCUUCGUGACCUUCGCCUGAAGAUCAUUAUAUCCGAAAUGAAAUAAUGCUUCGAAGGACGAAGGUCUUUAACUAUUAACAAUUAUGUUGCCUUGUUUUUGAUCUAUAGCAUUUGAGAACAAGUGACCAACAUUGGCGCCCACCUCCGGUGAACUCACUUCCACAAUUGUGACGAUGGCACUGCAAAGCAACCAACCUUCAGUUACGAAGCUAGUGCUCCCGAUCACAGGCGGUUCAACUUCUGAACCAGAUAACAAGAGGCAGAAGAAAGAAGCACAGAGAAGGGUACAACAUGUUGGGGUGCAAGGACCCUUCAUAAAGUCCAAGUGGUCCCAUAUUCCAAUCACCUUCUCUCAGGAAGACCUUCAGCUUAAGGAUUAUCCUCACAAUGAUGCAAUGGUCAUAUCUUGUGUUAUUAAGGGAUUUCUGGUCCACAAUGUCCUGACCGACACAUGUAGUGCAGCGGAUAUCAUCUUUGCAAAGGCUUUCAGGCAAAUGCAAGAGCCAGAUGACAAGAUAUAUGAUGCAACACACCCUCUUUGUGGUUUCGGAGGAAAACAAAUUGUGGCACUUGGCAAGAUAACAAUGUCGGUCACCUUCGGCUAAGUUCACAACACAAGGACAGAGCAGGUUGUCUUUGAUAUUGUUGAUAUGGAGUAUCCAUACAAUGCAAUCAUUGGUUGAGGGACGCUCAAUGCCUUCGAAGCUAUACUUCACCUAGCAUACCUUUGCAUGAAGAUACCAUUGGAACGAGGGCCCAUUGUUGUGCAUGAGAGUCAAGAAGCUGCUAGAAGAGCUGAAGGAAGUUGGACAGAUUCGAAGGCUAUUCAUAACAUAAAUGAAACUGAAUCUUAUCAGCAGUAUAAGAAUAAAAGAGAAAAAGUUGCUUCGGCAGAUCAGCCAAAGCCUAUGCUUUUGUGUGAAGACAUAGCAGAGCAAAAAGUGCUGCUAGGGUCUCAGUUAUCUGAUGAGCAGGAAAAGACUUUGCUAAGGUUCUUGUUUAACAACAAAGAUGUUUUUGCUUGGACAACUAAUGAUCUAUGUGGUGUUAAUAGGGACAUCAUCGAGCACUCACUCAAUGUAGACUCGUCCUUCAGACCAAGGAAGUAGAGACUUCAGAAAAUGUCUGAUGACAAGGCUGAAGGUGCACGAAAUGAAGUGAAAAGACUUCUAAGUGCCAGUGUUAUUAGAGAGGUAACAUACCCAAAGUGGCUGGCCAAUACAGUAAUGGUAAAGAAAGCCAACGAAAAAUGGAGGAUGUGUAUUGAUUUUACAGAUCUCAACAAGGCAUGUCCGAAGGAUGAACUUCCAUUGCCAAGAAUAGAUUCCCUUGUAGAUGCAGCAGCUACUUCGGAACUCAUGAGGUUAUUGGAUUGCUAGCUAUCACCAAAUCUGGAUGAAAAAGGAGGAUGAGCCGAAGACAAGCUUCAUAACUCCUAAUGACACCUAUUGCAACCUUCGGAUACCAAAGGGGUUCAAGAAUGCUGGAGGAAGCUUUAGCAGAAUGACUGCCAAAGUUCUCCACUCCCAAAUUGGCAGAAAUGUGCUUACAAAUUUUGAUGAUAUUAUAGUGAAAAGCACAAAGCAAGAAAACCAUGUCGCUGAUUUGCAAGAGACAUUUGCCAAUUUCAGACAAGCUGGUCUUAAGUUAAAUCCAGAAAAAUGUGUCUUCGGAGUGAAGAAGGGCAAGUUUCUUGGUUGUCUGGUAUCGACAAAGGGCAUCGAAGCUAACCCGAGCAAAAUCGAAGCUAUCCUUCGGAUGGAGCCGCCAAAUUCAAAAAUGGGGCUCAACGGUUAGCAGGAAGGUUAGCAUCGUUAAACAGAUUCAUUUCAAGAUCAGCAGAGAGGAACCUACCUUUCUUUGAAAUUUUGAAUCAGUCGAAGUCUUCCAAUGGGGUCCAGCUCAACAGAAAGCCUUCGAGGAGCUGAAGCAGUAUUUGAUAGAUUUAACAACUCUAACCCUUCAUCAGGGACCCCAUUACUUCUAUAUGUGGCUGCUUCCCAUGCUGCUGUUAGUGCGACACUUGUACAGGAAAAACAAGAUGGUCAAAUAAAAAAGCAAGCAUCGGUAUACUUCGUCUCCGAAGCACUCAGCCCAUCAAAGAAAAAUUACACAGAAUUGGAGAAGGUACUGUAUGCUGUAUUGAUGGCCUCCAGGAAGCUUCGGCAUCACUUCCAAGCAUAUCAUAUAAUAGUGCCUUCAUCACAAUCCUUAAAGGACAUAAUGAGGAACAGAGAAGCUACAGGAAGGGUCGAAAAAUGGGCCGCAGAACUCAAUGAAUUCACCAUUGAUUAUGUACAUAGAUCUUCAAUACAAUCUCAGGCGUUAGCAGACUUCAUUGUUGAUUGGACGCCAGGGACUCAGAAUGAAGAAACAAUAAAAGAUGUCGAAGCUUGGACGAUAUUUUGCGAUGGGUCAUGGGGGACCUUCGGUGCAGGGGCAGCGGUUGUCCUAGUUGCACCUUCCAAAGUCAGAACAUGUUAUGCAAUAAAAUUGGAUUUCAGUUGUACAAAUAAUAUUGCCGAGUACGAAGCCCUUCUCUUGGGGCUUUGGAAGCUAAAGGCAAUUGGAAUAAGAAGGGCAAUCCUCAAGACUAAUUCGCAAGUUAUCUCAGGCCAUGUGGACAAAAGCAGUAAGGCAACAGACCCGAAGCUUGAAAAGUAUUUAGAUGCAGUCUGAAGGUUGGAAGCCUCUUUUGAAGGAUUUUCUGUAAAAAAUAUCCCAAGGGGAGAGAAUGAGCAUGCAGACUUAUUAGCUAAAUCAGCGGCACAGAGGCUCCCUUUACCUUCGGAAGUAUUUUUUGAAACAAUAAAGGCACCUUCGGUCGAGCUCAUGGAAAGAGUAGUGCUCACAAUUUCACCUGUACAUAGUGAAGAUUGGAGGACUAAAAUUGUAUCCUUCCUCCAGGGCAACUGUUUUUCAGAUGACGAAGCUUACAACAAAAGAAUGGAAGCAAGGACAAGGCCAUAUGUCAUAAUAGAAGGAGAACUAUACAAGCACGGAGUUUGCUCUCCAUUGCUAAAAUGCUUGUCCAGAACCGAAGGACAAGAAUUAAUGAAGGACAUACAUGCAAGGAUAUGCGGAGCACACAUUGGGUCUAGACCUCUGCUAGGGAAAGUUUUCAGACAAUGUUUCUACUGGCCGAAGGCAGCUUCGGAUGCAGCAGAAUUAGUACAGAAAUGUGAAAAUUGCCAAAGAUGUGCCAGAGAUCAGAAGCAACCUUCGUCUUUGACUCAACUAAUACAACCAACUUGGCCACUGUAAAGGUGGGGUUUGGAUUUGUUAGGACCGCUACCACCAGCAUAAGGCAAACUAAAAUAUGUUGUGGUGGCGGUGGAAUACUUCUCCAAGUGGAUUGAGGCAAAGCCUCUGGCUACAAUAACUUUGGCCACAGUACAAAAAUUCUUUUGGCAAAGUAUCAUUUGUCAAUUUGGAGUGUCGAAUGCUAUCACCGUUGAUAAUGGAACUCAGUUCGAUGCUGAAACUUUCAAAACUUUUUGUAGCCAAAUUGGCACAAAAAUACACUUUGCAUCAGUGAGGCAUCCUGAGUAAAAUGGGUUGGUAGAAAUGACAAAUGGAAUCAUAAUAACAGGAAUAAUGAAGUCAAUUUUCAAUCAGCCUAAAGGAAAGUGGCCAGGCGAAUUAAUAAAGGUGGUUUGGAGCCACAAUACUGAUGUAUCAAGGUCAACAGGGUUUACUCUGUUCAAGCUUCUGUUCGGUGAUGAAGCAAUAACACCGGAAAAAGAAAGAACGGGUUCAAUAAGAACCUUAGCUUCGAUAAAAGAUGAAAGUGACUGCCAAGUAACAAAAGAUACCAUAAAAGGGACCAGACUUCAAGCCAUAGAGCACAUCAACAAAUAUCAGGCUGAAACAAUAAAAUGGUGUGACAGAAAAGUUAGAUUGAAAAACAUCAAGCCAGGUCAUUUAGUGCUUCGAAGGGUGGCUAACCCCGAUACAGUAGGGAAGCUUUAGCUUAAAAGGGAAGGCCCUUUCUUGGUAGUAUCUUUGUCAAGACCCGGUUCUUACAGGCUGAAGGAUAUGAACGACAACGACAUACCCAGUGUAACACCCCUGGUGUUACUGUCACUAAAACUUGAGCAUAACAUCAUGUGCAUGGGCAUAUCAUGUGUUUGUUACACCUAGAGUGCAUUCACUAGGUAAAAAUUUCAAACAAGUUGUACUGAUAUGACUUGAUGUGUGGUUAACCCUAGGGUAAAGUGCUUAACUUCAGAUCAAGGCUUAUGGAUAUAAGUGAAGCCCAAAUAUGUGAAAACCUUAAAGGACAUGAGACAUGAUCACAGGAUAUCAAAUUUGAAGGAAUUUAGUGACACCAAAACCCUAAAGUGUUAAAAACCCUAGAAAGACCCCUGAAAGACCCUAAACAAGAACCCUAGGGAGUUAAGUGUAAAUUUUGUGCACUUUUGGACCCAAGUGGAAAAACCAAAGUAUUAGAGCACCAUAAAUCAUAUGUUUCACACAUUUCAGGAUUUGCAAAUCAAAUUAUGGGAUUUGGGCUUAUUUGCAAAAAGGCACCCUAUGCCUCUCAUGUGCCUAAGUCCAAAAUCAGUUGAAUAGGGCUGACUUUGGAGCUCUACAUCUCAGGGUUCUUGAGGAUUUUGCAAUUGGUCAGUAUAGCAAAUUUGUAGAGCUAUGUAAGGAGAACAAAUGUGAUUAAGUGACCAAGCACUAGUGUUGCACAGAAAUGAGAGAUAAAUAGGCUUGAAAUUGGACUGUCAGUGUGACACCCCAGUGUCACCUAGGGUUUCUUCUUAGAGCUAACUCAAAAUCAUUAUCACAUGUGAACCAAAUUGAGGAAAGAACAUCAAAAAUUAAGAACAAAGGUUUAAGUAAGUCUUUUUCAUCUUAAGAAAUUCUCCUUAAUCAUGCCAUGCACCUCAAGGUAAGAAGAACUCAUAAACCCUAAAUACAUAAAGGGAAUUGGAGAAAAGACUUGGGAAAAAUACAAUAUUUUGAUAUGAACUAAAUAACAAAGUUUUAGUGAACUAAAUAACCUACAAAAUAUAGUAAGGAAGUUUGGCCAUUUGAAUUUUCCAAAAUCCCCAAAUCAGUCCAUGAACCACGGCCCUAUGGGAAAAUUCAGAAAUCAGAAUUCUGAAUUUUAGAACCCUUUCCCAAGUUUAGAUGUGUUCCCUAUAUUCCAAAACUCGAAACCAUAAAGUCCAAAUAUAAAAGUGGCGCCAAAUUUCCUUGAACAUGCUCUGGUGAAGUUUGAACUCAAACAAAAACAGUUUGACACGAUUUUGGCGCAGUUUGUCCUCGGGACUCGGCUGUCUGACACUUGCAACUUGGCGACGUUACAACUCUCUGUCCCUAGCCUAAAUCCGCGCAACAUAGAAACGACAAAGCACAAUCAGGGGAACAAAUCCUUCAUAGCGAUCUUACCCAAAUUUGCGAAGAUUUGCGCCCAAUCGGCGUUAGAACACGGCAAGAAGCAACGACUCCACGUGUUCGACCGCGGCUGACACGCCCGGUUCACGCCAGUUCACGCACCCGCGCCCAGCCGUGCACGCCCGCGCGCCCUCGCCGAUCCACGACCGCUCAUGCACCACGCUGUGCCUAUAAAGCAGCCUAAGGCCUCGGGCGUACCUCCCCGCGCGCUCUCAGUCCUGCCCGAGCCAAAGUUCACCGGACUUCGCCUCGAGCACGCCGCGCCACCGCCUGCCAAGCCACCCGAGCCUCGGCCACCGUGGCUAGCUCACUCCAGCCACUUCCAGGCCGCGCUAGUCGCUCGGUUAGCUUCGCCAGAGGCCCGUGAAGCUUCCCAAGUCCUCGGACCCGACAAAGCCUCACCGGAAACCCUGAAUCACCCUCGCCGGACGUCGGUCAUCCGCCGCCGCGCGUGAACCAAGCUAACCAGUAAGCCAUUUUCCAAUUCCUCGCACCCACGUCUUCCCUAGCAUCCAGUGAAGCUCUCUAACUCGUUCAAUUGGACUAUCGCGACGUGAGCAGGCCGAAUUCCUUGCUGCCGACGAGCUCGCCCGCCUGUGCGUGUGGACCGACCUACUCCGACCACCACCACCGACGAUCCACACCUCGACGUGAUCUCCAGAGACCCCCGGACCUCGCCCGACCCUUCACCGAAGAAACCUCGCCACCGGUAAGCCCCUCCGCCCUUUUCUUCCACCGCGGUCACUGUUCCAUUAAGGGAAGGACUGCUGGUUCGUUUUAGCAAAAUCCUAGGGGGUUUUCUGCAGAGUCAUAGACUCAGAUGAAUAGUGAACCGAGGACCUGUCUGUAAUACACUUAGAACCUUUCGCUAGGGACCCAGAUGCAAAACCAUUUUCCUUUAAACCAUUUCUGUUUGUUCUUUUUAAAAUAAGCAGAGAACUUAGAAAAUUUGUAUCUUGAGAAAUGUUCAACCAAAUUUAGUCCAACCAAUUUUACUGGAUUUAAAAUAUUAUGAAUUAUCAAAUAAAAAUAUUGAACCUUGUGCUUUCUGUUCUAAAAUUUAGAGUUUGGAAUUAAAUAAGGAAACUGCCCAAACCUUAUUAAAAUGAAGAAAAAUAGUUAUGCUUCUAUGCUGGACUUAAGAAAAUUUGUAGAAGUCCAAACCCAACUUAGAUACCGUUUAAAAAUAUUAAGCACCCCAGUAUUGAAAAUUUAAACAAGGUUAUCUAUUAAAAGCCAUAAUUUCCCAAAACUUAGGAAAAUGAGAAAGGCACUAGAAAAUAAUGAAUAGUGGAUGCAAAUAUUUUUCCUAGUCUACUUAAGUAAUGAAGAACCUAGGAAAACUAAAAGGAACCCUAGUCCAGAACAAAUUCAAGGUGAAAUGUUUUAUUAGACACUAAUAAAACUAGAAAGGCCAUUAUUAAAAAUAUAAGAACAAUUUCAAAAUUGGUAAGAAAAAUUUAGUAGACUCCUAACUACUAGGACACCACUGCAAAAAUGAUAAACACCCCAGCCCAUCAUUUUAAGUGGGUUGAACAAAUAAAACUUGGUAUUGAGCCAUAUUCCAAUUAAGUCAUAAGCAAGCCAAAAAGUGUGCAACAAUGGGCAAAUAAAUUUUUACCAGAUUAUUGAUGAAGUAGGCCACCAGAGAAUAAUGCAAAACCUAUUCAAAACUACAAAAUAAUACCCAUUGCCCCUACUUCAUGAAAAGGCCAUUUAAUUCAAGAAAUUCCUACCACCCUUCCCUUAAGCAAAAAGUUACCAAAUUCUAGAAUGAUUGCUCUUGCGCAAAGAAGAAGAUAGGAAAAAUUAGAAAUUUGUUGUUUGAUAUUUUUUAAGUAUAGUGGUAGUAGAAAGCACCCCUUUAGCUAGAAAAUUUAGAAAAUCAUAGUAAAAUAACUAAUGAGUAUUAGUGGAUAAAAGUUGGUACAAAGUCAAGUUAUAACAUCUAAAUGCCAGCAAAAAUAAGUCUUAGAGAAUAACCCACUGUUAAAAGGAAGUUAUAGUUCAAAACACCCCCUUUGCCCUAACACUUGAUAAUUUUGUAAUGAGAGAACCCCUUACUUUUUAAGCCCCAAAUUUUGAGACAGAGAGUUAUACACCAGUGAGAAGCCACUGUAAUUUUUACAGAAGUUUUGGAAAUUUUUAAAACUAUCUUGUAGUUCAAACCCACCUUAAAGGCAUAAAAGAAAAAGGAAAAGAAGAGAUAAAUUAGAAGGAAUAAUGAAUUUCACCCCAAUGAAUUCAGCUAGGAAUCUUAAUAAACUUUCACUAAGACAUUAAAAUGAAAUCAGUGGCACACUAAAAUAAACUUACCAAUUAGCUUAACCAAACUUGACCCUAAUCUGCUCCGUGUACCACAAAAAUCUCCAGUAGUAAGAUUAAGCUCUACCUUAUUAAUUUGAUCAUUCACCAUCAAAGUUUAAUUGCUAAAUUGCAUAUCAUGCCAUGCAUGUAUCUUACUCAUUGCAAUCACUAGAUUGCCAUCUCGCUGACGGAGAGUACGUGCUCAUCCCUGAGCAAGGAGCUGUCCACGAGGAAGACUAGGAGCAAGCUCCGGAGACUGCCAUCGAGGAUCUCCCCGCAGCCCCAGCAUUUGAGGGCAAGCCCCGAUUUUAAGCAUAAUCGUUUAUAUAUGCUACUUUACUACACUUAAUGUUUGUAGGCUUGGAAUGUGCACUUAAGUGUAGGAGUUGCUUAAAACCGUUAGUUGCAUGAACUCAGGAUUCCUUUUUGAGAUGGAUACUAGUAUGCUAGGUCGAGUAGGUGCUUUGCUAAUUAGGAUCUUGGUAGAAGUCGAGUGUUUUUUUAGCACUCGUGUGAGGUCAGGAAUUGAUUGUAUUCAUCUUGAUAAUGGGAUCUAUGAUGGUCUAUGGACUUGGAUCUAGGGUGGAUGCCUUGUCUAUGAGACGGGAAAAAGGAAUUAAGGAUUAAUGUGUGGAUACCUGAGUCAAGCGUUUGAACGUACUAAACACAUGUCGGGAAAUAUGGUAACCGGUAAACCUAGUACCUGAGUGAAGCCGGGCGCAGACUUUUCUCCUCACUUGUCCUGAGACUGGGUCUCCCAUGCUAGCUAUGGUGGGUACAAGUGCGAUCACUGCACGACGGCAGCCGGGGUCAGUGGAGCAUUGUAUGCCAAGGCGGUGAGCCCUGGCCGCGAACGGGGAAUCGAUGGGGACGAUUGACGUGUGUGGGGAUGGAGUGCCCCUACAUGUCGUGUGUUUAGGUUUACCUUGCAAGGUUAAAACUCAAUUCGAAUCAUCUGCUUCUCGCAGCUAAUGAGACUGCUUGACUCCUUGUACUACAUUGAGUAAGAAGUGAAAUGAGGCUUUAUAUGAGAUAACUUGUUGAUUGUAUUAAAUGACUGUUACCAUGUAUGCUUAGAAAGAGCAAACUUCGCUAAAAUAAUGAUACCAGAAAUGGAAAAGCUAAAAGUUGACCUAAGAUACAGCUAGUGCUUUUGGCAAACCAUACCCCUCAGCCAAACAGCUGCAUAGUCUAGAGAUGGAGGAGUAGAUUCCUCACACCGGGUAAGUCUAGCUGAGUAUUAGUAUACUCAUCCUUGCUUGUGGUAUAAUUUUUGCAGGUAUGCUUCAGGACAUGGUUGAUGGUGUGACUUGGCCUACCACCCUGCCACCGAGAUGGACGGUCGAGUGGGAUGCUGCUCCAGCAGGAGAGGAGCAGGAGGAGUAGUGGCUAGGCCUUGCCCUAUUCCUCACUUUCGACGAUAUCGAUUAUCCGAUGCAAUCUAUCUUAUGAACUUAUUUCAGUUUACUUGAAAAACUCUGAUUUAUGUAAUAACUACAGUACUUAAUUUGAGGUUUCCUGUUUUAUUGUAUUUCCUCUGUGACUCACCUUUGAGUGGGUUAGUGGUAUUUGAUCCUGGAUAAGUGGCUUUAUCAGACUAGAUCUGAGGGACUGACGGGUUAUUCUGAUUUAAGUGCGUUGCAGCCUUUAAGGCGUGACUUGGGCACUUAAGCUGGAAUAAUUCGGGCGGUUCUGCCACAGCUAGUAUCGGAGCAAAUACCACCACAGAGAAGAACAAUAAACCAUGAAUACCAAUUUUCAAAAAUCUAAAACUUGCUUAGAAACUAGUGUGAAUCGUCACGACUAGAACGCUAGAUCUAGGACGAAAGGCCUUAGGAAUAGUGGGAGAAAUAGGUGGCUAAUUAAGUAGGCCCUGUGGGCCAGUCCUUAGCUUUCUAAAAAGGAUGCCCUAAGAGCACCCUUUUAUUCGGAGAGAAGACGUUAUUUUCAGCAUACAUGCAUUAUAAAAACUAAAAGGAUUAGAAACUAAAGAAUUAAAAAUUUGAGCUAACCCGCUUCCUUUUAAACCACCCAGGCUCUUUUAUUUUCUUCUUUCACCAUAAUCUUUACAUCUGAUACCCUUCCGUAGAUGACCUCACCUACCCCCGCCAAGGAGGAGACAUUCGUUUUAGCUUUGAUUUCCUUUCUCACGAUGGUUUUCCUUCUAUCUUGUGGGAAGUGCUUAACUCCGCCGGUUACCCUACGCCCCCUUUGUACACGGUGCAGCUGUACGAGGAGCAUCAGGUACCACGUUGCCGAGUCUGGCUGACUCUGGAGGCUCAUCCCCUUCAGCCGGGUUGGUGUUCCCUUGACUCCGAGACGAUUGGAUUUAGGACAAACGACACCACUGAAGCGGCAGCUAUGAAGACCCUGACAAAUUUCUGUGGCUACCAUCCCCUGGAGAUGGUGAUGCACCCCUUGGGACUCUUCCCUGCUUAGAAGAAGGAUGACCCCAUGUGGUGCAACCGUGUGAGCCAUGUGAAGGACGUAUGGGUGAUGUAUCCUGAUUUGGUUGGGAGGAUCACUGUUCAGUGCAUGAGCGCACUGUACAACCUUCAGGCCCUACAGAACGACGCAAUGGCACAUCUUGCUAACCUUGCUCAAACCACCAAGCUCACUCUCGACAGCCGAGAGGACUUCGUGGUCGACUUGUCCUCAGAGCUGGUAGAGAAGGACCUACAGGUGGAAAGGCUGAGCCAGCGCAUCACCACCUUGGAGCAGCAGGUGGAGAUCCGAGACAACACCAUUGAUGUCUUGGAAAACUAGCUCCAUGAUGUGCAGCAGAAACUUGAAGAAGCUAAUGACCACCUGGACAUGUACCACCUGGAGAUGGAGGCCAAUGAGGCCGGAAGCGAGGGAGAAGAGGCUCCUGAGGAGUUAGGACCAGCUCAUGGUGCCAAUGUGACUGCCUCCGCGAUGCCCCCUUCACCCGUAUCCAGUGUCGCUUCUACUACUCAGGGUCGAUGAGUCGUUUUGACGCUUUAGGAGGAUAGAAACCUACGUGAGCUUAGUAAUGACAGAUUUUGGACUAGGCUUACAGGUACUUUUCCCUAAUUGAUGUAACCCUUGAGAACUUUUGAGAUCCGUCGAAUGUUUGUAACCAUGUUAUCCUCGUUCGAACUUAAUGUUAUGAUUAUGGCAAUUUCCUUCCAUAUGAGAUAAUAGCAUGUUGUUCGAAAUUGUGAUGUGGGAUAACAAUGGCAGCAAUCUCUUUUUCAGAUGGCAGCCAGGCAGCGCCGCGGGCAUAACGAGCAAGUUCCCCCGCCGCCUCCCCCAGCUCCCACAGUGCAAGAACUGAUGGCUUAGCAGAACGAAAUUCUGCGACAGCUCUUGCAGCGCCAGCCCCACCCUCAGCAGUAUGGUGGAGGCCAGCCGCAGCGACCUCGGCCGCGGCAACCUACCAGGAGUUCCUGAGACCGCCCUUGUUCACCAAGACAGAAGAUCAGUUGGACGCUGACGUGUGGUUACGUGUCGUGGAGUCCAAGUUUCCCCUCCUCAUGGGAGACUGCCCUGAUGACACCAAGGCUCGAUUCGCCGCGCAGCAGCUUCGCGGACCUGCUCGGACUUGGUGGGACUAUUUCCGUGCGAUGCUACCUGCUGGUCAUGAAGUUUCUUGGGAGGAAUUCAAGACUGCUUUCAGAGGGCACCACAUCCCAGCUGGAAUUCUUGAUCGCAAGCUGAAUGAAUUCCUGGCACUCAAUCAAGGAACCCGCACGAUAUUGCAGUAUGCUCAGGCCUUCAACGACCUAUGCCAGUAUGUAGGUUAUCAUGCUGGUUCCGAUGAGAAGAAGAGAGACCGCUUCCGCAGGGGUCUCAACACCAAGUUGCGUGACCGUCUCAACACUGUCCGGGCUGAUAGCUUCAAUGAGUUGGUCAACCAGGCCAUCUCCCAAAAGGAUUGUAUUGUUGCUCACCGGGUAGAGAAGAAGAGGAAGGCACCAAUGUCAGCUCCCUCCGCUCAGACCCAGAGGUUCAGGACUGUUUCCCACAAUCAGAGCAGGGGAUUUCAGCAACAGGCAGGCAGAUGGGUGAUCAGGCCACCUCAGCAACAGUAGCCAUCACCCACUUGUUUUCCAGCUCCCGCUCCAAGGAACAAUCAACCUCCGUAGCAGCAGUAGUUCCGCCAGGGAAACGGGAACAAGUGCUUCACUUGUGGCAAUGUGGGCCACUAUGCCAAGAAUUGCCCAAGAAAUCAGCAGAGGCAGAUGCCAGCACCAAAUCAAGACAAGGGAAGAAAGCAUAAGGUGCAAGUCAGGCAAGGGAAGCUCAACUUCACUACUCUGGAGGAGUUACCUGAGGGAGCCCCAUCAUGACUGGUAUCUUUUCAGUUUUUAAUCAACCUGCAUUAAUUCUGUUUGAUUCUGGUGCAUCUCAUAGUUUCAUUAGCCAGAAAUUCAGUGCUAAAUGUCAACUGCCUUUCUAUCAUGCCAAAGGGUCCUUCAUGAUAGCAACACCUGGGGUAAAAUUGCAACCAACCAAUUAAACCGAAAUGUGCCUAUCUCAAUGGGAAGUAGAAUCUUCAAAACCACACUCCUGAUUUUAGGGUUAGAAGGUAUGGACAUCAUUCUCCGACUGGAUGACUCAACACCGAAUGGUGUUGGAUGUAGCUGCUAGAGCUUUGGAGAUCCGUUCUCCUACCUUCGAAGACCUUGUGUUGUAUUUACCCAGCAAAGAUUCUACUCGAUCAUGUGCUUUUGCUAUGAUAGAGUUACCCUUGAAGAAGAUUCCAGUGGUCUGUGAGUAUGUGGAUGUUUUUCGGAUGAAUUACCAGGAAUGCCCCUAGACCGGGACAUUGAAUUCGCCAUCGAGUUGCAACCGAGAACGACACCUAUUUCCAAGAGGCCUUACCGGAUGCCACCCGCUGAGUUGGCAGAAUUGAAAAAGCAAUUGCAAGAAUUGCUGGACAAAGGUUUUAUCCGCCCAAGUACUUCGCCUUGGGGAUGUCCAGCCUUGUUUGUGAAGAAGAAAGAUGAAAGCUUGAGGCGAUGUAUAGAUUACCGCCCACUUAAUGUGGUGACUAUCAAGAACAAGUAUCCUUUGCCUCGUAUUGUUGUUCUUUUCGAUCAGUUGGUCGGAGCCAAAGUGUUUUCCAAGAUAGACCUUCGCUUCGGCUAUCAUCAGAUCAAGAUACGAGCAAGUGAUAUUCCGAAGACUGCCUUCUCAACCAGAUAUGGGUUGUAUGAAUUCUUGGUGAUGUCAUUUGGGCUGACUAAUGCACCAGCAUACUUCAUGUAUCUAAUGAAUUCUGUUUUCAUGCCUGAACUAGACAAGUUUGUUGUGGUUUUCAUCGAUGAUAUCUUGGUGUACUCAAAGAACAAAGAAGAGCAUGCCGGUCAUUUGCAUGUAGUGCUUCAACGUCUGCGAGAGCACCGUCUUUAUGCCAAAUUGUCAAAAUGUGAUUUUUGGCUAAAGGAAAUUAAAUUCUUGGGUCACACUAUCUCUCAGGCAGGCAUAGCUAUUGAUCUUGAUAAGGUGCAAGAGGUGAUGAACUGGAAGACGCCAACAACUGUCCGUCAGAUUCGAAGUUUUCUGGGAUUGGCUGGUUAUUAUCGAAGAUUCAUUCCGGAUUUCUCUCAAAUUGCGAAGCCCAUAACUGAAUUGUUGAAGAAAUAAGCCAAGUUUGUUUGGGGUCAGAAGUGCGAAGAUGUCUUCCAUACAUUGAGGCAACAUCUGACCACAGCACCGAUGUUAGUGCAACCCGAUAGCAGCAAGCCAUUUGAUGUGUAUUGUGAUGCCUCUGGCACUGGACUGGGUUGUGUUUUGAUGCAAGACAACCGAGUCAUUGCUUACGCAUCAAGAGCACUCAGGCCUCAUGAGAAAAAUUAUCCCACUCAUGACUUGGAGUUAGCAGUCGUGGCCCAUGCAUUGAAAAUAUAGACACUAUUUGAUGGGAACCCACUGCAACAUCUUCACAGAUCAUAAGAGCCUUAAGUACAUCUUUACUCAGCCUGAUCUCAACAUGAGGCAGAGAAGAUGGCUAGAGCUGAUCAAGGACUAUGACUUGGAGGUACAUUAUCACCCAGGGAAAGCCAAUGUGGUAGCAGAUGCCUUGAGUCAGAAAUUGCAAUGCAACUGUGUUAUGAUGGAUUCUCGCAUCAACACCCUAUGUGAUGAGUUGAGCAAAAUGAAGAUUGAAGUGAUUCCUUUUGGUGCUUUGUCUCACAUUUCCGUUGAGCCAAAUUUGCAAGACCAGAUCAUCAUGGCCCAACUCAGUGACAAGGAAGUGCAAAUCAUUAAAGAGAACCUCCGUCAGAAGACAGAGAAAUAUAAAUGUUUCUGCCAAGAUGGAAAGGGUAUAUUGUGGUUCGAAAGCAGAUUGGUGGUUCCUAAAAAUAAGGAUCUCAAGAAGAAAAUCUUGGAUGAGGCCCAUCUCUCCAAAUUCUCCAUGCACCCAGGAAGCACUGAAAUGUACCAUGAUAUGAAGCCCUUGCAUUGGUGGACCAGAAUGAAGAGGGAGAUAGCCCAAUAUGUAUCAUAAUGGGACACAUGUCAGAAGGUAAAGGCAAGCCACUUGAAAUCAGCUGGAGCAUUGCAACCCCUAUCUAUACCUUCGUGGAAAUGGGAUGACAUCAGCAUGGAUUUUAUUGUGGGUCUGCCCAACACCUCUCGUCAUCAUGAUUCAAUUUGGGUUAUUGUGGACCGAUUGACGAAAGUGGCACAUUUUCUCCCAGUGCACACCACUGAUAAGGCUCAGAAGUAUGCAGAGCUGUACAUUGACCGAAUCGUGUGUUUGCACGGAUUGCCCCAGACCAUUGUCUCUGACCGAGGAACCCAUUUUUUUGCCAGAUUCUGGGAACAACUGCAAGAGUCUUUGGGAACCAAGCUAAUCAGAAAUUCAGCUUACCACCCGCAGACUGAUGGCCAGACUGAGAGGGUAAAUCAAAUCCUGGAAGAUAUGCUAAGGGAUUGUGCGAUCGAUUAUGGCAAGAACUGGGAUAAGCCCCUCUCCUUGGCAGAGUUUUCUUAUAACAACAGUUAUCAAUCCAGCCUAAAGAUGGCACCUUUCGAAGCCCUAUAUGGAAGAAGGUGUCGGACACCCCUCAAUUGGUCUUAGCCUGGAGAAAGAGAAAUUUUUGGACCCGACUUAGUGACUAAAGCCGAAAGGAAGGUCCAACUAAUCAGGAAGAAUCUAGAAGCUGCUCAGGCCAGGCAGAAGAGUUACCAUGAUAAGAGAAGGAAACCUCUCCAGUUCGAGGUGGGAGAUUUCGUAUAUUUGAAGGUAUCACCCACCAAGGGAGUGCAGAGGUUUGGGAUCAAAGGCAAGUUAGCCCCUCGUUACAUUGGACCUUAUGAGAUCAUAGAAGCAUGUGGAUCUGUGGCAUACAAAUUGAAGUUAACUCCAAAAAUGUCUGCCAUCCACAAUGUAUUCCAUGUAUCCCAACUAAAUAAGUGUGUUCGAUUGCCGACUGAGAUCAUAGCUGUAGCAUCCCAAAAAUUCAAAUCUUGAAAUUUUCUCAAACUCCCUCUAAAUUCAAAAUGAAUUUCAAAUUUCAUUUCAAAAUGUUUGUUUGCAAGUUGAUAACAACAAAUAAAUUACAGUGGUCUAUAUUCUCUCCAAAAUCCUCCUCAAAAUAUCCUACAAAUAUUUCCCCAGUGAUCCCCCUCAAAUUCUUUCAGAAAUACCGCCCAGAUAUUUCCCUAGUGAUCCUCUUCAAGUUCUUUCUAGAAAUACUGCCCAAAUAUUCCACCGAUAUAUCUCCAGGUAUUUUCCUCUUGAGAAAUACCUUCAGAAUCAUUUUCAAGUCCCUACAAAUAUUUUAUUCAUAACUUUCCUCAUGCUCAUACGUAUACGUAUGCCUCCAGUGUCAUACGGUGAGCUCUACAAGCUAAUCUCACUUAUACAAGACAAAUACAUGCUAAUCUCCCACUAAUCCUCUCAUCCUCCCACUAAUCCUCUCAUCCCUCCCCCUAAUCCCCCCGCCAUGGCUAUAAAUAGAGGGGCAAGGGCCUCCUCUCAUCCCACCCCAAGCCAUUUCAUGGCAACUCUCUUCCCCCCCACACACACACCCACUCCAUGUUCCACACAAGCACACACUAGCACAAGGAUCGUUCGAUCGUUCUUCGAUCGUUCGUCCCCUGUUCUUAGUUUGUUCGUUCGUUCGUCCGAUCGAUUGAUCGUUCGUCCGAUCGUUCAUGGUUCGUUCGUCCGUUCGUCCGAUCGUUCGAUCGUUCGUCCGUUUGUUCAUCCAAAUAAUCUUUUUCCUGCCGUUAUGCUGCCGAAAUUCCGAUCGUUCGUUCGUUCGAUCAUUCGAUCGCUUAUCGUUCGUUCAUAGUUCCUAUUCAUCAUUCAUCGUUCGUUCAUAGUCCCUAUUCAUCGUUCUUCCAGAUAAUCUUUGUCCUGCCGUUAUGCUGCCGAAAUUCCGAUCGUUCGUUCGUCCGAUCAUUCGAUCCUUUGUUCGUUCGUUCAUAGUCCCUAUUCAUCGUUCAUCGUUCCUAUUCAUCGUUCAUCGUUCGUUCAUACGACUAUUCACCAUCACUAUUCACCGUUACUAUUCAUCAUUACUAUUCACCAACACUAUUCACCAUCGUUACUAUUCAUUGUUGCUAUUCAUCAUCGUUACUGCUCAUCGAUGAUAUCUAUAGUAACUUUUUCGUCAUCACUAUUCAUUGUUAUUAUUCAUCGAUUAGCCGAUCACCCCAAAUUUCAACUACUCAUACAUCAUGUUGUCCAGUCCACCUAAGACCAGCCUGACCCAUAUUCCAGUCAUACGAACUCCGGUGACUGUGAUUUUCCUUCCAGUGGGAACUUCCCAUCUGGUCACCCAUCCCAGGUUUCUCCAAGUUGAGCACGCUUAACUUUGAGAUUCCUUCGAACCAGGCUUCCAAACUCAGAUUCCAAUAAUUCUUGUUUCUAAAUUCUUAUCAAACUACUCUCUAUCCAACCAUGUCAUCCCUUAAGCCUGGUCCAUAUUCCAGAAAAACUCCCAAAAUACUCUUGUCCUAUAUUCUGCCUAUAACUCUCCUGUUCAUACUAAGUCAGACGAUUCAUUCAUCACUAUUCUCACCAACAGUGAACUUCACUGUGCUACACCACAUACACCCAGCUAUAAAUACACCUAGCUACCCUCUCCCUCUCCACACACACUCAACACCCUCAGCCAAGGCAAACACCCCACCCACUCAGUUACUCUGCUCUGCCGGCCACACGCAUAGUGUCGCUUCGCCUCCAGUCCACCCUCCUGGUAAGCACCUCCGCUCCACCACCAGUAAUAUCACAACACCACAUGACACAGAUUCUACUCAAGACUAUACCCAUCCAUAUAUCACUAUUCUGACCACUAUACUAAAUAUUUGUUGGUAUACUUGCUUGGUUGUAUGUUUGCUUGUUCAUGUUGCAUAGUUAUCGGAGCGUUCGUGCCGUCUCGUGGAGGCCAGAUCUGCAAGUCUACGCCAGGCGGUGGAGCAAGAAGCCAGUUCCGCGAGCUCCCCUUCCCCCUUCGCCGAAUAAGCACGACAAGCUCACUGGAUCCCUUUGAUGCAUAAAUUACCUAUGAUGUUUUCAACCACAACCCUCAGCCUGUUAUUUUAUGCAUGAUAUGAUUUUGAGACAAGUUAUUAUGGCCACCCAGCCGCUUGCCGCAAUCAAUCCCUGAUAUAUAUGUUCCAAAUGAUUUGAGAACAGGUGUGAGUUUUCAAAAGAAAAUGCUUUUCAAAAUGUGUGUGAUGAAGGGUUUUCACCCUUAUCACCUUGUGAGUGGGAUAAUUAGGGACUCCCUGGUUUAGGGGAGGGCCUAAGGUGUUGGCUCAGCUGGUUUAGGCGUGAGCAGAAGGAUUGUCCCCUCUUAUAAGGACCGGUUUGUCAUCUUCACUACAUGUACUCUUUAAUAGUACAACCACUCGAGACUGUGUGGGAAGUCACUCAAUCUGAACUCGUACGGUCCAACCCCAGGGUUAUAAAGGCUGGGGAGCAUCGGGAGGAUAAGGAGGGGGAAAGUUUUGUUCGGUUUGGACAUGGUGGUGGCCUGACUCCUUCCGGAUAACCGUUAAGGUUAGGACGUGCGGGGAAAGAAAGAGAGUCGGAUUCGGGUCUCAUUGGCCAUGGGAUCGCAGAGCCGAACUAAUGGGUAAAGUGUACCCCUCUGCGCAAAGUUUGAAAACCAAUUCAAAUAGUCUGUGUCCACAGGAAUGGACGAGUCUGGUAUGGUAUGGCAAUUAAUGUUUUGUUUUCCAAAAAAAGAGAUGCUUUUGAAAAGUGGUUUUUAAAAGGUCUGGCUGUUGAACCGUGAGCUAUGGUGGACGGGAAGUCCAGUAGCUGUUAUUGGAAAUGAAAACCUGUGGGAAACUGCUGAGAUACCUAGAUGGUUUAGUCCAAGGGAUUUUGCUAUAAUACUGAAAAACUUCCUGCUCCUUUUGGAGAGGAUGCGCUUUGCAAAAAUACAAAAUGUUUUUCAAAACAACUCUGCAUAAAAUAUUGCUGUUUCUGCAAAAUAUCCUGAGCUCCACAUAUUCCAUUCAUUAUAUCUAAUUUCCCCAUUCCGCAGGUGAAGGUGGGUUGCUGAGUACGUUUGUACUCACCCUUGCUUAUUUGUUGUUUUUCAGAAAAGGAGAUCGGGUAAGAGUUACGACUGUUCCCAACCUUGCCUGUGGCUGUUGGACCGCUGAUUUGCUUCGCUGCGUAUAUCGGGCUGCUUCAGCCCCACUCUGAUGAUAUGUCCCGAGUUGUGGAUCAACUCUUAAAGUUGAUCGCCACCUUUAUAGGUUUGUCUCGUUUAAGCAGAUCUGUAAUCAUCUGAUGUAUAAAUGUGUUUACUAGCCUCCUGGGACUAGUAAUUGUAUCACAUUUGAGUCCCAGAGGAUUGGGACGCUUCAAUAGCAGAACCAGAAUUGGAGAUAGAACCAGAUCUAUCGUACCAAGAGUACCCUUCCAAGGUUCUGGAUUGCAAAGAAAGAUCAACUCGGGCUAAAUCAAUCAAGAUGUAUAAGAUCCAAUGGAGUAAUUACUCAGAAGAAGAGGCUACUUGGAAGGCUGAGGAAUUUCUACGUUCCAACUUCCCCGAUUGUCUACCUAAGGAAACUGGUAUGUAAUCAUGCCCAACCCCUCCCCUACCCUUUGAAUCAAAACAUAAGAAAAAUGAUCUUAAUAUAGAAAGAGUUAAUUGUAAGACUAAAAUUAAAAGGACUUCCUUCUGAAGUUGCCAAGAAGAACCUUAAUGAAUAAACCACCCACUUCAAGCAAGCAUUAACCCUCACUUCACCCCAGGAGGACUCUGACCCGCAUCUCGGGACGAGAUUCCUUUAAGGGGGGAAGGCUGUGACACCCCAGUGUCACCUAGGGUUUCUUCUUAGAGCUAACUCAAAAUCAUUAUCACAUGUGAACCAAAUUGAGGAAAGAACAUCAAAAAUUAAGAACAAAGGUUUAAGUAAGUCUUUUUCAUCUUAAGAAAUUCUCCUUAAUCAUGCCAUGCACCUCAAGGUAAGAAGAACUCACAAACCCUAAAUAAUCAUAAGUGGGCCAUUUAAGCACAUAAAGGGAAUUGGAGAAAAGACUUGGGAAAAAUACAAUAUUUUGAUAUGAACCAAAUAACAAAGUUUUAGUGCACUAAAUAACCUACAAAAUAUAGUAAGGAAGUUUGGCCAUUUGAAUUUUCCAAAAUCCCCAAAGCAGUCCAUGAACCAAGGCCCUAUGGAAAAAUUCAGAAAUCAGAAUUCUGAAUUUCAGAACCCUUUCCCAAGUUCACAUGUGUUCCCUAUCUUCCAAAACUCGAAACCAUAAAGUCCAAAUAUAAAAGUGGCGCCAAAUUUUCUUGAACAUGCUCUGGUGAAGUUUGAACUCAAACAAAAACUGUUUGACACGAUUUUGGCGCAAUUUGUCCUCGGGACUAGGCUGUCUGACACUGGCAACUUGGCGACGUUACAACUCUCUGUCCCUAGCCUAAAACCGCGCAACAUCCACACACAAACUACAAAGCACAGUCAGGGGAACAAAUCCUUCACAGCGAUCUUGCCCAAAUUCACGAAGAUUUGCGCCCAAACAGCGUUAAAACACGGACAGAAGCAACAGCUCCACGUGUUCGACCACGGCUGACACGCCCGGUUCACGCCAGUUCGCGCACCCGCGUCCAGCCGUGCACGCACACGUGCCCUCGCCGGUCCACGACCGCCCAUGCACCGCGUCGUGCCUAUAAAGCAGCCCAAGGCCUCGGCUGUACCUCCCCACACGCUCUCAGUCCUGCCCGAGCCAAAGUUCACUGGACUUCACCUCGAACACGUCGCGCCACCGCCCACCAAGCCACCCGAGUCUCGGCCACCGCGGCCAGCUCACUCCAGCCACUUCCAGGUCGCGCCAGUUGCUCGGUUAGCUUCGCCAGAGGCCCGUGAAGCUUCCCAAGUCCUCGGACCCGGCAAAGCCUCACCGGAGACCCCGAAUCACCCUCGCCGGACGUCGGUCACCCGCCGCCGCACGUGAACCAAGCUAACCAGUAAGCCAUUUUUCAAUUCCUCGCACCCAUGUCUUCCCUAGCAUCCAGUGAAGCUCUCUGACCCGUUCAAUUGGACUAUCGCGCCAUGAGCAGGCCGAAUUCCUCACCGCCGACGAGCUCGCCCGCCUGCUCGCGUGGACUGACCUACUCCGACCACCACCGCCGACGAUCCACACCUCGACGUGAUCGCUCGACCCUUCACCGGAGCAACCUCUCCGUCGGUAAGCCCCUCCGCCCUUUUCUUCCGCCGUGAUCAUUGUUCCAUUAGGGGAAGGACUGCGGGUUCGUUUUAGCAAAACCCUAGGGGGUUUUCUGCAGAGUCAUAGACUCAGAUUAAUAGUGAACCGAGGACCUGUCUGUAAUACACUUAGAACCUUUCGCCAGGGACCCAGAUGCAAAACCAUUUUCCUUUAAACCAUUUCUGUUUAUGCUUUUUAACAUAAGCAGAGAACUUAGAAAAUUUGUAUCUUGAGAAAUGUUCAACCAAAUUUAGUCAAACCAAUUUUACUGGAUUCAAAAUAUUAUGAACUAUCAAAUAAAAAUACUGAACCUUGUGCUUUCUGUUCUAAAUUUUAGAGUUUGGAAUUAAAUAAGGAAACUGCCCAAAUCUUAUUAAAAUGAAGAAAAAUUGUUAUGCUUCUAUGCUGGACUUAAGAAAAUUUGUAGAAGUCCAAACCCAACUUAGAUAUUGUUUAAAAUACUAAGCACCCCAGUAUUGAAAAUUUAAACAGGGUUAUCUAUUAAAAGCCAUAAUUGCCCAAAACUUAGGAAAAUAUGAAAGGCACUAGAAAAUAGUGAACAAUGGAUGCAAAUAUUUUUCCUAGUCCACUUAAGUAAUGAAGAACCUAGGAAAAAUAAAAGGAACCAUAGUCCAAAACAAAUUCAAGGUGAAAUGUUUUAUUAGGCACUAACAAAACUAGAAAGGCCAUUAUUAAAAAUAUAAGAACAAUUUCAAAAUUGGUAAGAAAAAUUCAGUAGACUCCUAGCUACUAGGACACCACUGCAAAAAUGAUAAACACCCCAGCCCAUCAUUUUAAGUGGGUUGAACAAAUAAAACUUGGUAUUGAGCCAUAUUCCAAUUAAAUCAUAAGCAAGCCAAAAAGUGUGCAACAAUGGGCAAAUAAAUUUUUACCAGAUUAUUGAUGAAGUAGGCCACCAGAGAAUAAUGCAAAACCUAUUCAAAACUACAAAAUAAUACCCAUUGCUCCUACUUCAUGAAAAAGGUCAUUUAAUUCAAGAAAUUCCUACCACCCUUCCAUUAUGCAAAAAGUUACCAAAUUCUAGAAUGAUUGCUCUUGCGCAAAGAAGAAGAUAGGAAAAAUUAGAAAUCUGUUGUUUGAUAUUUUUCAAGUAUAGUGGUAGUAGAAAGCACCCCUUUAGCUAGAAACUUUAGAAAAUUAUAGUAAAAUAACUAAUGAGUAUUAGUGGAUAAAAGUUGGUACAAAGUCAAGUUAUAACAUCUAAAUGCCAGCAAAAAUAAGUCUUAGAGAAUAACCCACUGUUAAAAGGAAGUUGUAGUUCAAAACACCCCCUUUGCCCUAACACUUGAUAAUUUUGUACAGAGAGAACCCCUUACUUUUUAAGCCCUAAAUUUUGAGACAGGGAGUUAUACACCAGUGAGAAGCCACUGUAAUUUUUACAGAAGUUUUGGAAAUUUUUAAAACUAUCUUGUAGUUCAAACCCACCUUAAACCCACCUCAAAUUUGAGUAAUAAACCUAUUUCUGAUGCUUUGAGCUUCAGUGGGAAUAUCAACUAAAUCUGACGUUGAUAGGCUGAAGGUUGGCUUGUUAACCGUUUUUGCAUGAGUGCAUCCGGCCUUCAAAAACACAGCAGUUGUGCCACGAGAAGCUAAUAGAGCACAAAAAUCCCCGUGCCCAGUUAUAACUUCAUCGAGAGCUUCAACUUCGUUUUCAAUAUGCUCGAAGGCCUUGGGGAUAUUUUCAGCCGAAGGGGCAAUUUCUUCAGAGCUAGCCCCAACCGAGUUGAAUAUUCCUUUCAGUCAGUUUACACAGCGGGUGGCGAAGUCCAUGCACUUGUUCCGAAGGUCUUUCAUAGACUCACGAAGCUUCGUAUUUUUCUCAGCUUCGGCUUCAGCCCUUGAUUGCAGUUCUUUUAUUUCUUGGUCGAAGCUCUCUGAUUUUUUGUUCAAAAUUGUUCGAGCAUUGACAAGUUCCUCGCUUAAUUUGGUGUUCUGAGAUUGUGCUUCCGCGAGGGAGCAUUCGAUUGCUUGCAGCAGGAAAUCCUUCUUCUCUAAAGAAGCUUCAAGAUCUUUUAUCUUAUUUUCCAAGCCUUCAAUUAUAAUUUCGUUUUUCCUAUCUUCGUUAUCCUGCUGCAUUUUCAACGCUUUGCUUAGCAGCAUGCUCUGCAACAACAAGUUAUAGUCAGAACAUUUAAUUCACCACAAAGAUGAUAAUAAUAACUUAGUCAAAGGUCUCACCUUGAAGUUGGAAUAAAAUAAGCUACCAACAAUAUGUUGCCGUCGGUAGCAGCUGAUAUCAGUUUCUAGCUUCGGAAAGCCGACACUAUUCAAUAAAGUGCUGACUAUCUUCGCCCCGGCGCGGUCGCGGAUACAUCCUAAGAUCUCUCCAUCAACCCCGCUGAAAAGCAAAGACCCCGGUUGGUAUCCACACAACACAGCAAAUUCUUUUAGCUCCAUUUUUUCUUCUUCAGAAAGCUCUUGACCACCCAGGUGCCGAAGGUUGAAAUCUUCUUCGCUCGAAGGACCGGUAUCAAUUUCCCUUUCUUUAUCUGGCGCUGUGGCCAUGUCCUCCUCUGCAGCCACAUCUUUAAUUACAUCUGAUAUAACCCUAUCAAUAUCUGGCAUUGUAGCUUCGGCUUCAUCGGUGCCCUUGGCUUCGACAGCAGCUUUAGCUUCGGCACCCGCAGCAGUCACGGUCUUAGCCGCCGAAGCUGAAGGCGGUGUUCGUUCAAUGGCUUGCAUCACAUUUACUAUUCGUCGUUUCUUUUGCUCUUUUAUUUUCUCCUCUGCAACCGAAGGCUGUCCUUUCUUCUGUAAAAAUUGUGUCAGUUCUGAUCCCAGUGGACUUAGCAGCUUGAAGGGUGGGGAGUCAGUCAUUACCUUCAGAAUCUCUGCUUCUUCGGCAGCAGAGGGCAUCGAAGGAGCUUCUUCUCCCGCUUUCGGCUCAGAAUAAGGCACUAUGCUAAGCUUUCGCUUCUUAGAAAUUGCCAUAUUUGGCUCUUGUGUUGUUCUUGGUUUCUUCAAAACUUUUUCAUCUUCCUUUAUCAAUCGGGCAGCUUGCCUACUCAGAAUGCUGACUAUUCUUUUUCUUUUUAUCCCUUCGGCCCCUUUGUCGAGCUUCUCAUAGUCAAGAUAAUCGAAGUUUAAGGCAUCCAUAACACGGUUUAGCCUUCGUUUUGGCCGGGUGUCGAAGGCGGCAAUCAUCAAUUGAUCUUCUAUUUUGGUAUAAUUACCAAGUAUUUUGUUGCACAUGGUUUCAAUCAUCUCCAGCCAUUCGUUGCAAGGUUUCUUGAAUUUUUUUUCAAAUUUAAAAUGGUAGGGGAGCCGUAUAAGCUCAUGCUUCCCCCCCCCCUUCUUUUUUCUUCGGCAUCCCCAACCACUGGAAGUUGGAAAUGUCUUGUUUGCCAAAUAUUCUUGUACUAGGUCACUAGUACUAAUUUCGGCAGCUAUCACUCUAAACUCAACUUCGGCUACCUGGCAUGGGGAGCCAAGUUGCAUAUGGCACAAGUGCCUAGUCAUUCUGAAGCUUAGUUUCAUGGGCUUCAUGACCAUAGUCAUCAAUUUCUCCCUUUUCUUCUCGUCAGCUUUCACAUAAAACCAUUCAUUUGUCCACCCGGUUGGCCAUUUAGUGCGAUAGCCAAUUAUUGGAGCCUUCAUAUCUUUUCUAUAUGCAAAGUUGUAACAGCCAAAGUUCUUAUGAAGACCAUCUGCUCUGGCCUUCGUCUAAUAGUACAGUUCGUGCACCCGGCAAAAAGCUUCGGCAUUAGCGUUCAUACCCUAGCUUCGGAGAGCCCAUAUAAAAACAUUGAGCCUAACAAUAGCAUUAGGUGUCAAUUGAUGAAGGUAUAUCUCAAAGUUCUUUAAAACUUCCCCUAUCAUGUCAUUUAAGGAGACCGAAGUCCUGCUCUGAAGAAGCUCUUGAAAACGACAACUUCGUCCUCUUUUGGAUCCGCAACAUUUUCCUCCCCAGCAAACCGGACAAGCUUGCUCUCAGUCUCCCCGAAAUAGCCAAGUUUCCUCAUCAUAACCAUGUCAUCCUCUGUUACAGUAGAUUUCCCAAACUCAAUGUGGCUAGGCUUUGUUGGGCUCAGAAUACUGUUAUCUUCUUCAUUUUCAUCGUCACUUUCGCCUCCAACUACAAUCUAUUCAGCUUCGGCAUUAGAGGCACCUUCGGCAGCAACUUCCUCUGAAACAACCAGACCCGACCGCUUCACCACUUCUGAAAUUGGUGCCGUUUCGACAAUUUCGGCCUCCUCUCCUUCAUGAGAUACCUAGCAGUGGAUCUUACCCUUGCCAUUUGUGUGUUCAGGUUCUUUGAGCCGAAGCCGAUCUCAGGUGACGAAGCGCUUGCUUGAAAAUACAACGCAUGAAGCUUCGGCUGUGGCUAAAAUUUUUAACAGCACAACGGUGUAAUAGCAAUGAAUGUCGUGGUACCUCACCAACCCAUCUGUUUAUAUAGUGUUGUAGGGGGAGAAGGUGAACCACCAUACUGCUUACACUAGCUGAGCGGUGGAUCGUCCGACGGUCGGAAUAUUUUAAUCGUUUCCCGGCAACGAGCUCAGGGAAGGUGUUUUUUGGACCUUCGGCAUUCUGAAGCCUUCAUGUUUUUUGUGGAUCGAGCUCGUUACGAAAAACGAUCUAGCACCGCGAAGGGGCUACUGUUGGGGGUCUUCUUCCCCGCCGAAGGUCCUUAAGGCAAAAACACCAUCGGCAAGAUAAUACAAAGGCAUACGCAACAUGAUGAUACGAAAUAAAGCCGAAGCUAUGGCUGAAGAAGCUUUGGCUUAAUAUUACGACGAAGCCAAAGGUCGUCACCGACUCAAGGGAAAAAUACUGUUUAGUCCUUGAUCACUCGCAUUAUGAUUGUAUGUAAAUGUCAGGGACAUAAAUGUAAUUGUAUUCGGGCUGUGUCCCACGCCUAUAAAUAGAUGAAUAGUACCCUGUACUGUUCAGGCUGGAUUAUAAUCUCUCUCGCGUCAUCUUUGCAUUCACACCUUCUGGCGAACCGAAGGUAUUAUUGUAUUAUGAAUAUUGUUAAUGUUGAUUCUUGUCUAUGGAUAUAAAUAUAAAUAAACUGCGAAGAUCUAAUCAUUAUUUAUAGUAUUUAAUUUUCUUUCGCAUUCUUAUUUAUAUUUAUGAUUAUAUGCUAAAAUGAUGAAGGCAUGUCCUUCGUGACCUACGUCUGAAGAUCAUUAUAUCCGAAAGGAAAUAAUGCUUUGGAGGACGAAGGUCUUUAACUAUUAACAAUUGUGUUGCCUUGUUCUUGAUCUAUAUCAUUUGAGAACAAUUGACCAACAGUGAGAUCUAAUCUAAUGUGAUAUAAUCUAAUGUGGUCUACUUAAACAGAUUAGUGAUACUGGUAGAAGAGAUUAGACCCUGCUAGACAGGUGUUAACUUAACUUACUACAUUAGACCAACUCAACCAUGAGCAGAAGAGAUAACCCAACCAAUAGAGUCAUGAUGGAUUGCAUAAUCUGUCUAUCCCCACCUAACAUCAAACAAAAUUUUGACCUACAUCAUGUAGUCUAUCUCAUCCACAUCUAUCUUAACCAUAUUCCCCAACUCCGAUAAAAUACACUAACCUUGAAUCAAUGAGAUCAAGAUUGGAAAAGAAAAGAUCGACAUCGACAAGGAAGGAUAUAAGAGUCAAAGCGAAUCUUGAGAUGAAUCAAGAUUUAAACAUAUUGGAUAAAUUAUUUUCCUUGCCAUAAUCUUUCUUACCUCAACCUGUCCAGCUUAUAUCAUACCUAAUAAGUAGCUGCAUACCUAUGCUCUCCUAAUCACCCAAUAUUGACUAUAAGAAAAAGAGUGAGACUCUGGAUUUUUGAACCCAUUCUAGACGAAAAGCUGAAUUACAAACCAAUCCUUUUGUAUCCCUUUUCUUACAAAUCUCGAGGACGAGAUUUCUGUUAAGGGGGUAGGCUUUGUAAAGCCCAAAAUUUGUAAAAAAAAUCUACUUUGAGACCUAGGAUAGAGUUUUCCAAGAUUUAAGUCUUUUAUAAUAAGGGAUUAAAUAAAGGACCCUCAUAUAAUUUAAACCAACCUUUGCCGAAUAAUGUGUUUAGAGACAUUCUCCAAAAGAAUUAAGUUUAAGAAAUACCUUAAUAAAUAUUAUACACUAAAUCUCCUCUUUUAAGUAAAUAUGAACAUAUUUUUAAUGGAAUAUACAUUCAAGGAAAUAAUUUUGUGUGUGCAUGGUAUACUUAAAAUAUUUGGAUACAAUAAACAAAACUAAACAUAUGUAUGUAUUUAUGCACAUGAUGUUGGAGUUUUAUUUGCUGGUGUAUUUAAUCUGGGAAACCUUGAACCUUGAAUCAAAUUGGAUUUUUGAAUUUGAAACUGGGAUAAAACUGAAAAUAGAAAUUCAGAAAAGAAUAAAUGGGAUGUUGGGCCGACUCCUCCCUUGCCCUUGGCCCACUUCCAGUUACAUGUACCCAGCGCGGCCCAGCAGCCAUCACGCAUCUCCUUUCUCUGCGCCGUGUGCGCGUUAUUUGACCGACGGACGGGGCCCACUCUUCAUCCACUCCUCUCCAUGUCGUCACCUCAUUGUGGGACCCAUCGUGCAGACCAAUCUUCUAGCUCCGACCGUUGCGGGUCGUUUGGCAGAUCUCACGCUUAGCCCAUAUACCAGCGCUCACGUGGUCUCCACCGCACGGAUCCCGUUGUCCGGUGUUAACCCCGCGCGAUUCGUGGACCUGCACGCUAUCGUGUGGGACCGCCCUGCUGGAGUCACUUUCUUCGCUACGACCGAAUCACGCGCAACAACCCCCGCAAUCAAGCAACAAACUCACCGUGAUUCGCUCAACGCAUGCCGGCCUUGGUUUCUCCCGCAACAGACCCUCUCAGCUCGGCCUCGCCCCCUCUGACGCAUAUAUAGGUCACUACGAACCCCUGUGCCAAUCCAGCAGCCAUGGCGUGCAGAGAUGGAAGGGAGAGAGAGGAAUUGGCCUGCCACUCGAAUCGUUCGCUGCCGGUGUGUCUUUGGCCUCGAGGUAUGGACCCACUAUAGUUCUCCAUCUGUUGUUGUCACACCCGGCUUUAAGGAACAAAGCCAUGUGCAUCUCAUACAUGCGCCAAAAAGACAACAUAUAUAAUAACAGAGUGUAUAGAGAUAAAUGUCAUAAAACAUCAGAGUAUUUAUUACAUAGCGGAAGACUUAUUACAAAAUAAAAGAAUAAAUAUAAAACGAACUAAGGAUCGUCGGCGCCAAUGUCAACUGAGAAACGCCACCUAGAUCAGAUCAUACUCCUCGCCUUGUGGCUCCUCCUGAACCACCUGCUCUUCUCCUAUGGGGGGGUGUGAGACAGCAAGGGUGAGCUCACACAUGAUCAUCGCUCAACAAGUUGUGGGGAAUAAUGUGACAUAAACUCACCAAAGGUGGGAGCUCAUGGAGUGUAAGGCUUAUCAAAGAGAAUGGUUAAAGCUGAGCAUUGCUUUUAAUGUUGGUCAAACUUUUAUUAGCAAUUACUAGAUGUAAGUAAAUACCAAACCUUAAUAAAUAAUAGAACAAAAUUAAUAAUAAACCCAUGCAUAUGCAAAUGACAAAAUUGAAUUUAAGUUCCAUAAUUUAAUCAUCAGAGAGUCCUGAGCUGCUCAUGACCGUGAGCUCGGCUAGUAUACCAGUUUUACACUCUGCAGAGGUUGUACCCUUUACCCACAAGUCAUGCUACCCAUCUGCCAAGGGUCGCGAAUCCCAUACACCUCUACCUAGGAAGCGCGGCAGGGCAACACUACGAGGCCUUUACAAAGUUCCACUAGCUUCCGAAAACCCGCUACAGUUUAUAGGAAGUUCCAAUGCAGGGUUCUUGGCUGACCGCCAUCGCAGCAAAAUCAACCAAGGACCUCCCUACACUGACCACUCCCCUACUGCCCUUGCCCCUUUCGGGUAAGGUAGUCUUCCACUAGCUUUCCUAAUUAGUCAGCCAAUGGCGUCCCAUUAAACCCUUGUGGUGGCACGUGUUACUCAAGUUAAGCUCUAUGUUCCAAUUAACAUUAAUGAUCUCAACAUGAACAUAAAUAGAAUAACAAAAAGAAUUGGAACAUAGAGGUAAUAAAUGAUUAUCCCAAAACCAGGUAAAGCAAUAGCAAACUACCCAAGUGAAUCAGGGGUAAACAAGGUAAUGAGAUAAACAAUCUAGGGUGACCUAUUGGGUCCCAUCAAAAUUAACCUAUGCAUGAGUGAAUGAUAAUUAGAGAAAAUUAUUGGGUAAAAAGUGGUCAAGGGCACAACUUGCCUUCAAUGAGCUCCUGCUCAGCUACUUCAAUCUGCUGCUCACCAAGAUCCUCGGUCACGGGCUCUUCUACUCGCCACAAUACAAACAAGCACAGUAUAUAGAGGAAAUUAACAUCACACCAAACAUGAAAGCAAAAUACACAGUAAUAUUCUACAUACUAAAAUAGAAUCCUAGGAACAUGAAUCAUAAUUUUUGGAGUUAUAGAUUUUAAGCUAUGGAUUUUCAAAGGUUUUAUGUGUUUUAAAUAGGAUUAAGUGUGAGAUUAAUUUUCUUACUGUUGUCAUGAUAAAAUAGGGGCUCUGAGUGAUAGAGAAUAAAAUUAUAAAAUUUUAGAAACUGGAAUGAAGUGAUUUGGAGUUAGUAUGAAUUUUCUAUGAAUUAUUGAAGUUCUAGCCAUUAUUUUCCUAUUAAAAAUCCAUUUAUAAAUUAUUUUCUCUGGUUUUAUAAUGUUCUGGACUGGGCCUCAAAUCCAGAUAAACCCAGGGGGCUCGGGGUAAGAAUCCAGAGACAGGGAAUAUCACUGGUGGACGGCGGGUUGAAUCUCUAAUUACCAGGGGGUUCUUUAACAAAAGUGCCCGCGAAGGGGUAUGGUUGAUUCCUGGUCGUCCGAUUAAGCGCGGAUGGCGCGGAUUAGAUCUAUCCUCGAUCGAAACGGUACGCAGUGAAAACCACACGAUCCAAGAUCAACGGUAUAGGCCAUACAUGCAGCGGACUCGCUCUGAGCGGCACGAUCGGAUCAAACGGCCCAGAUCCAAUGCCCAACUCGGCCCCACUAAGGCUCACUCGGAGCCGUUCAUCAAUAGAUGGACGCUCACCCUUCCCCCCAACUCCAAUAGCUGAGCGCGGUGGCGCCCAAGCUACACGGCGGCGCAUCACCGGCGCAGAAGCGGCCCAGCGGUCCGAGUGCUAGUUCCACCCCGCGCAUGGUGAUUCAGAGCGAGAUCACAAGGGUGACACAACUCGGUUCUCUGCUAAGGUGAUUGAUGGAGCAGAAUGCUCCACCCACAAUGGCGGACGACGCCGAACCCGAGCCAUGGCCGACCAUCACCCACAUUCAGAAAUUCCGCCCCCAAUUCGCAACUAACGUAUAAUUUACAGAGAAGAGGAGUGGGCGAACCAUACCGAGGGUGUUCUUACCGGAGUUAGGGCGAUUGUGAUAGGCGAGCGGCAGGGCAAGGCGGAACCGAGGCGGAGUACCUCUCCGGUGAGAGAUUCAUAACGCCACCAUUGUCCACAGCGCCAUUGCUUGCCGGUACCAACUCCGCCACGCUCCAACACCCACCAGCGUGCCCGAAAUCGACCGAGGCACCCCACCGUUAGACGCCCGCGGCGAUUCUCUCGUCAACACAAAGCUCAGCGGACACUGCAAUGGCGGACGGUUCUAGAAGAGGUGGAGGGUUGCGGCGCGACUUGGUUUGGGUGGAGGAUGAUGUGAGGGAUGGUUUAAUACGGCUGCGCAUGGUAGCCAGGUAGAGGGGAAGUGGUUGAGUUAGAGCAUGCGGCGGCGGAGAAGUCGGCCGCGCAGUGCGGACUGAUUCGUUUUCGGUUGGAGAUGGAUCUGGCUUCGGGGGCCCAUCGGUCAGUGGCACAGAGGAGCGCACGCGCGCGAUUCGCGGCUGACGGCAGGGUCCCACACGACAGCGAUCCGCGGGAACGCGUGAUGCGGCGUGAGUAUGGACAGCGGGGCCCACAAGUCGGCGCCUGGUUCAUGUAGCUGGGCUGUGCGGCAUGGAGUUAAUGGGCCAAAUUGGGAUAUAAGGCCCAGGUAAGCUUUCUCUUUAUUUUUUUUCUUUUCCUUUUCCUUUCUUUUUAUGUUUUAUUUUCUGUUUUCUUUUAUUCAUAAUUAUUUUGAAUCCAAUUUUAAUUUGAAUAUAAGUUUCACCUUUGAACCAAAUAUACAAGUUCAAACCCUAAUGUAGGAAUAUAUUUUUAUUUCCUUACCUUUAUCUAAGUACUAUUUGUUUGCUUCUCUUUUCUAAAUUCUAGGAUUCCCUUUUAAAUUCUAAAUUUACACUUUGGGACUGUAGUAAAUUUCUUUUCCCAUUAUUCUAUGUUGUCACAAAAUGCACACAAGAUAAAAUCCAGCAUGAUACAUAUUUUAGUAGCUUUUAUGUUAUUAAUUAUUUGUUUUUUUUACAUAGGGUGUUCACAUGUGAUGAUGCAUAAAGGUCAAACCCACGCAAGGAGAAAUUGUUUCUCUAUUGGUAUUAUUUCUAGCAAAUUACAAAGUGAGUGUUACAAAUCCUACCCCCCUUAAAAAUAAUCUCGUCCUCGAGAUUUAAGAAGAUCUAGGGAAAAGGUGGGGAAAAUCUAUGCGAAGCUCUUCUUCUCUUUCCCAAGUUGCUUCAUCUUCACCGUGGUGACUCCAUUGGACUUUGCACAUCUUUAUCACCUUAUUUCUCGUAACUCGAGUCAAAGUAUCCAAAAUCUUGAUCGGGUACUCCGUGUAAGUCAAAUCACCUUGAACACUGAGCUCUUCCAUGGGUAACUGUUCUUCAGGGACACGGAGACACUUCUUUAGUUUAGAUACGUGGAACACGUUAUGCACAUCCGAUAGACUAUCCGGUAACUCGAGUUGGUAUGCCAUCUCCCCAACUCGCCUAAAGAUCAAGAAUGGUCCAAUAUAGCGAGGGGACAAUUUGCCCUUAACUUUGAAUCUCCUCAUUCCACGAAGUGGUAACAUCUUGAGGUACACAUAAUCUCCUUCUUCAAAUUCCAGUGGUCUUCUAUUAUCAGCAUAGCUCUUUUACCUGGUCUGAGCCACCCUCAGGUUCUCCCUUAUUAUACAGACUUGUUCUUCUGCCUUUUGAAUAAGUUUAGGUCCAAAGAAUUGUCUUCCUCUAGUAUGAUCCAAUAUAGGAGUCCUGCAUUUCCUGCCAUACAGAGUCUCGAACGGUAACAUCUUCAGACUGGCCUGAUAACUAUUAUCAUAUGAAGACUCAGCAUAAGGUAGACUCUUGUCCCAACUAUUACCAUGCUGAAGGGCACAAGCUCUCAACAUGUCUUCCAAUUCUUGAUUAGUCCUUUCAGUUUGUCCAUCAGUCUGAGGUUGGUAGGCCGAACUAAAAUUCAACUUCGUAUCCAUAUUCUCAUGAAAACUUCUCCAAAAUCUUGAGGUAAACUGUGAACCUCGAUCAGACAUGAUCUUCUUUGGUACUCCAUGUAAACACACAAUCCGAGCCAUAUAUAACUCUGCUAGCUGAGAACCUUUAUAUGUAGUCUUCACAAGAACAAAGUGAGCCACUUUAGUCAAUCUAUCCACAAUCACCCAUAUAGCAUCAUAUCCUUUCUGGGUGCGAGGCAAUCCAGUAAUGAAAUCCAUACCAAUCUCUUCCCACUUCCACUCGGGUAUCUUCAGUGGAUGCAAUAGUCCAGCUGGCCUCUGGUGUUCAGCCUUAACUCUUUGACAUACAUCGCACAUAGCCACAUGUGCAGCCACAUCUCUUUUCAAUCCAUACCACCAAUACUUCCGUUUCAAAUCCUGAUACAUCUUGGUACUACCAGGAUGAAUAGAAUAAUCCGAGUCAUGGGCCUCCUUCAAUAUAGUCUCACGAAGGCUUUCAAUAUCAGGAACACACAUCAUGUCCUUGAACCAUAUGGUGCCUUGCUCAUCUUCCGUGAAUUCCGGACCUCGACCUUCAGUAAUCAGCUCCUUAAUCUCUUUUAUUUUAGCAUCGUCAAGUUGACCUUUGCGGAUUUCUUGCUCCAAAGUAGGUUCCACAUCAAUAGUAACUCCUUCAGUAUGAGCAACUAUCCCCAGGUUAAGUCUCCUGAAAUCCUCAACAAUCUCAUCGGGUAGCUGGGCAACAAUAACUGAAUGAACAUGCUCCUUUCGACUCAAGGCAUCUGCAACCAAAUUUGCCUUGCCCGGGUGAUAGUGAAUCUCCAAAUCAUAAUCCUUAAUAAGCUCCAACCAACGACGUUGCCUAAGGUUGAGAUCCUUCUGAGUGAAUAUAUACUUCAAACUCUUAUGGUCCGUAUAUACUUGGCACUUGGUCCCCAUGAUAUAAUGUCUCCAAAUCUUAAGUGCAUGCACAACGGCUGCCAAUUCCAAGUCAUGAGUGGGGUAUUCAUGUUUUCGCAACUGAUGAGACGCAUAGGCAAUCACAUGUCCUUCCUGCAUGAGCACACAUCCUAAGCCUUGGCCACAUGCAUCACAAUAAAUAUCAAAUCCUUUCUGUAAGUCCGGCAUAACCAAUACUGGUGGCGACAUUAAUCUUUUCUUCAAUUGAUCAAAGUUGUCUUGACACUUCUCAUCCCACUUAAAUUCUCUUCCUUUCUCCAAAAGUGAAGUCAUAGGCUUAGCAAUCUUAGAAAAUCCUUCAAUAAAUCUUCGAUAGUAUCCUACGAGCCCCAAGAAACUCCGAAUCUCUGUAACUGUAGUGGGUAUGCUCCACACCACUAUCUCCUUGACUUUAGCAGGAUCCACUGAUAUCCCUCCAUUAGAAAUGAUAUGUCCAAGGAAUGACACCUCAUCAAUCCAGAACUCGCAUUUACUGUACUUGGCGUAGAGUUGAUUAUCUUGUAGCUUCUGUAGCACCAAUCUCAGAUGUUCCUCAUGAUCACUAUCACUCUUGGAAUAAAUAAAAAUAUCGUCGAUCAAAACCACGACGAAUCUGACCAGAUCAUGAACACCUUAUCCUUCAGAUCCAUAAAAUAGGCUGGUGCAUUAGUUAGUCCAAAUGACAUAACAGUGAACUCAUAUAAACCAUCUCGGGUCGAGAAAUCCGUCUUGGGGAUAUCCGAUGACCUAAUCUUCAUUUGUUGGUAACCCGAUCGGAGAUCAAUCUUCGAGAAUACCCUAGCAUCUCUCAUCCGAUCAAAUAAAUCCUCAAUGCGGGGUAAAGGGUACUUGUUCUUCACAGUGACAUCGUUAAGAGAUCUAUAAUCCACGCACAUCCUUUGUGAUCCAUCUUUCUUCUGUACAAACAGAACCGGUGCUCCCCAAGUUGAGGAACUCGAACGAAUGUACCCAGCCUCUUGUAAUUCCAUUAAUUGCUUCUUAAGUUCCUUUAGCUCUUCUACGGACAUCAUGUAUGACCGUUUAGAAAUAGGGGCGGUUCCAGGUAAGAGAUCAAUGACAAACUCAACUUCUCUAUCAGGUGGCAUCCCUGGUAACUCCUUUGGGAAGACAUCCAGAAAAUCUCUAACCACAUGGAUGUUGUCACCAACAAACUUCCCAUCUACUAAGAAUGUCGCUAGUCUGGUGUCAGUAGUUACUGCAAUUUCAACUUCAAAUCUUUCUCCUUUGGAACUGGUGAGUGCUACGGUUCCCUUAGCAUAGUGUAUAAACUGCCUUUGCCUUUCUUAACCAUGACAUACCAAGGAUCACGUCUAUAGUGCUCUCUUCUAACACUAUAGGGGUAGCCCAUCUGCGUUAGAAACAUAGGGUACGAAAGAAAGGACUGUAGACAAGGCAGGUGAUUACGAAUUAUGUUACUUUGGGGGAUUCAUUAGCUAAGUGUGUUGCCUACUAAAGCUAAUUCAUUACCUUAUAGUGGUACAUGCUAAGAUGCCCAACUAUAAUGUUUCAAUCAAUCAAAGAAGCAAAUCAUGCAUUGUUCAUCAGCACAAUCAACCAACAUUUUUUUUUAAUAGAGAAAAUAAUUUUAAUUUUUGUCUUAGGUCUCCUAUCCCUUAAAAAGGUUAUAAAUGUAUGAUUCCAAGGUGUGAAAUCCUUCUUGUCUCAGAGUAGAAAAGGUAAGAAUGAUCAGAGUAGAACAGUAGAAGGUGAGACAGGAUCAAGAUAAGGUAAGUAUAGAAUGAAUCAGAGUAAGGUAAGUAGUGAAGGGUUUGUCCAUUUCUAUCUAGGUCUCGUCCUACAGUCAACAUUUCCUCUAAUACCACUUCUGUCACACCCGGCUUUAAGGAACAAAGCCAUGUGCAUCUCAUACAUGCGCCAAAAAGACAACAUAUAUAAUAACAGAGUGUAUAGAGAUAAAUGUCAUAAAACAUCAGAGUAUUUAUUACAUAGCGGAAGACUUAUUACAAAAUAAAAGAAUAAAUAUAAAACGAACUAAGGAUCGUCGGCGCCCAUGUCAACUGAGAAACGCCACCUAGAUCAGAUCAUACUCCUCGCCUUGUGGCUCCUCCUGAACCACCUGCUCUUCUCCUGUGGGGGGGUGAGACAGCAAGGGUGAGCUCACACAUGAUCAUCGCUCAACAAGUUGUGGGGAAUAAUGUGACAUAAACUCACCAAAGGUGGGAGCUCAUGGAGUGUAAGGCUUAUCAAAGAGAAUGGUUAAAGCUGAGCAUUGCUUUUAAUGUUGGUCAAACUUUUAUUAGCAAUUACUAGAUGUAAGUAAAUACCAAACCUUAAUAAAUAAUAGAACAAAAUUAAUAAUAAACCCAUGCAUAUGCAAAUGACAAAAUUGAAUUUAAGUUCCAUAAUUUAAUCAUCAGAGAGUCCUGAGCUGCUCAUGACCGUGAGCUCGGCUAGUAUACCAGUUUUACACUCUGCAGAGGUUGUACCCUUUACCCACAAGUCAUGCUACCCAUCUGCCAAGGGGUCGCGAAUCCCAUACACCUCUACCUAUGAAGCGCGGCAGGGCAACACUACGAGGCCUUUACAAAGUUCCACUAGCUUCCGAAAACCCGCUACAGUUUAUAGGAAGUUCCAAUGCAGGGUUCUUGGCUGACCGCCAUCGCAGCAAAAUCAACCAAGGACCUCCCUACACUGACCACUCCCCUACUGCCCUUGCCCCUUUCGGGUAAGGUAGUCUUCCACUAGCUUUCCUAAUUAGUUAGCCAAGGGCGUCCCAUUAAACCCUUGUGGUGGCACGUGUUACUCAAGUUAAGCUCUAUGUUCCAAUUAACAUUAAUGAUCUCAACAUGAACAUAAAUAGAAUAACAAAAAGAAUUGGAACAUAGAGGUAAUAAAUGAUUAUCCCAAAACCAGGUAAAGCAAUAGCAAACUACCCAAGUGAAUCAGGGGUAAACAAGGUAAUGAGAUAAACAAUCUAGGGUGACCUAUUGGGUCCCAUCAAAAUUAACCUAUGCAUGAGUGAAUGAUAAUUAGAGAAAAUUAUUGGGUAAAAAGUGGUCAAGGGCACAACUUGCCUUCAAUGAGCUCCUGCUCAGCUACUUCAAUCUGCUGCUCACCAAGAUCCUCGGUCACGGGCUCUUCUACUCGCCACAAUACAAACAAGCACAGUAUAUAGAGGAAAUUAACAUCACACCAAACAUGAAAGCAAAAUACACAGUAAUAUUCUACAUACUAAAAUAGAAUCCUAGGAACAGGAAUCAUAAUUUUUGGAGUUAUAGAUUUUAAGUUAUGGAUUUUCAAAGGUUUUAUGUGUUUUAAAUAGGAUUAAGUGUGAGAUUAAUUUUCUUACUGUUGUCAUGAUAAAAUAGGGGCUCUGAGUGAUAGAGAAUAAAAUUAUAAAAUUUUAGAAACUGGAAUGAAGUGAUUUGGAGUUAGUAUGAAUUUUCUAUGAAUUAUUGAAGUUCUAGCCAUUAUUUUCCUAUUAAAAAUCCAUUUAUAAAUUAUUUUCUCUGGUUUUAUAAUGUUCUGGACUGGGCCUCAAAUCUAGAUAAACCCAGGGGGCUCGGGGUAAGAAUCCAGAGACACAGGGAAUAUCACUGGUGGACGGCGGGUUGAAUCUCUAAUUACCAGGGGGUUCUUUAACAAAAGUGCCCGCGAAGGGGUAUGGUUGAUUCCUGGUCGUCCGAUUAAGCGCGGAUGGCGCGGAUUAGAUCUAUCCUCGAUCGAAACGGUACGCAGUGAAAACCACACGAUCCAAGAUCAACGGUAUAGGCCAUACAUGCAGCGGACUCGCUCUGAGCGGCACGAUCGGAUCAAACGGCCCAGAUCCAAUGCCCAACUCGGCCCCACUAAGGCUCACUCGGAGCCGUUCAUCAAUAGAUGGACGCUCACCCUUCCCCCCAACUCCAGUAGCUGAGCGCGGCGGCGCCCAAGCUACACGGCGGCGCAUCACCGGCGCAGAAGCGGCCCAGCGGUCCGAGUGCUAGUUCCACCCCGCGCAUGGUGAUUCAGAGCGAGAUCACAAGGGUGACACAACUCGGUUCUCUGCUAAGGUGAUUGAUGGAGCAGAAUGCUCCACCCACAAUGGCGGACGACGCCGAACCCGAGCCAUGGCCGACCAUCACCCACAUUCAGAAAUUUCGCCCCCAAUUCGCAACUAACGUAUAAUUUACAGAGAAGAGGAGUGGGCGAACCAUACCGAGGGUGUUCUUACCGGAGUUAGGGCGAUUGUGAUAGGCGAGCGGCGGGGCAAGGCGGAACCGAGGCGGAGUACCUCUCCGGUGAGAGAUUCAUAACGCCACCAUUGUCCACAGCGCCAUUGCUUGCCGGUACCAACUCCGCCACGCUCCAACACCCACCAGCGUGCCCGAAAUCGACCGAGGCACCCCACCGUUAGACGCCCGCGGCGAUUCUCUCGUCAACACAAAGCUCAGCGGACACUGCAAUGGCGGACGGUUCUAGAAGAGGUGGAGGGUUGCGGCGCGACUUGGUUUGGGUGGAGGAUGAUGUGAGGGAUGGUUUAAUACGGCUGCGCAUGGUAGCCAGGUAGAGGGGAAGUGGUUGAGUUAGAGCAUGCGGCGGCGGAGAAGUCGGCCGCGCAGUGCGGACUGAUUCGUUUUCGGUUGGAGAUGGAUCUGGCUUCGGGGGCCCAUCGGUCAGUGGCACAGAGGAGCGCACGCGCGCGAUUCGCGGCUGACGGCAGGGUCCCACACGACAGCGAUCCGCGGGAACGCGUGAUGCGGCGUGAGUAUGGACAGCGGGGCCCACAAGUCGGCGCCUGGUUCAUGUAGCUGGGCUGUGCGGCAUGGAGUUAAUGGGCCAAAUUGGGAUAUAAGGCCCAGGUAAGCUUUCUCUUUAUUUUUUUUUCUUUUCCUUUUCCUUUCUUUUUAUGUUUUAUUUUCUGUUUUCUUUUAUUCAUAAUUAUUUUGAAUCCAAUUUUAAUUUGAAUAUAAGUUUCACCUUUGAACCAAAUAUACAAGUUCAAACCCUAAUGUAGGAAUAUAUUUUUAUUUCCUUACCUUUAUCUAAGUACUAUUUGUUUGCUUCUCUUUUCUAAAUUCUAGGAUUCCCUUUUAAAUUCUAAAUUUACACUUUGGGACUGUAGUAAAUUUCUUUUCCCAUUAUUCUAUGUUGUCACAAAAUGCACACAAGAUAAAAUCCAGCAUGAUACAUAUUUUAGUAGCUUUUAUGUUAUUAAUUAUUUGUUUUUUUUACAUAGGGUGUUCACAUGUGAUGAUGCAUAAAGGUCAAACCCAUGCAAGGAGAAAUUGUUUCUCUAUUGGUAUUAUUUCUAGCAAAUUACAAAGUGAGUGUUACAGUUGUGGUUGCUCAUGUGAUCGCCAGGGUGGGGUUUCGCCGGAGCUGUACCGUAUGCGUGUCGGGCCGCCAUGGGGGGAAGACGUUCCUGUGUGGUUGUUCUGGUGUCAGCUGGGGACCUUGGGGCAUCGCUGAUCCUCGGGGCAGGUGCUCACGGGAGUAGCUAGUCGUGGGAGUCCUUGGCGCCGUCGCAAUUCCUCACUAGGGCCGGAUUGCACUACUCCAGCGACUUCUGCCGUGGGGAACUGUGGCGCCGCUGCUGUGGUGGGCGCAUGCCUUCGCGAUGGUGACUGGGGAAGGGAUAAAGUGUGAUGGAUGUUCAUCACGGAACCAACGACUCAGAUUAAGUGACAGAUACCCUUUCGCCUCGUUAAGUAACGGCCGUGGAUUUCAGAUCCUAUGGCAAUCAUCAUGUACCGGUUCAUAAAAAGGAUUGUGUAAUCUACAUCGUUGAUUCUGCAUCCAAUGGUGCUCGUUGGUCGAUACCCCUUCGGCUGAUAAAUUUGCAUAAGAGCCCCUGCCCUUUACACUAAUCAACCCGCAGUACACCUCUGGGUUGUUCUGAGUCUAGGGAAAACUUCUGGUUCCGCCCCUGUUGUUCUCUGUAAUUAGUGCUCGGCCCCGAGAACAAAGAAAUUGGAUAAAUAAAUUUAGAAAUUGAUUUUUAAUACAAAAAUAAAUCUUGAAACUUGUAUAAUUCAUAUCUAAUUCAUCUUAACUCCAAAUUGAUCCAUUUCAGUUGCAAUAAUUUUGCUUUAAUAUUGUUUAUCAUCUAGUACCUUUAUUUAGCCAUGAAACUUGAAUUAAAAUUAUUCACUUGAUAACUCUAUCCUAGGUACCAAAUAACUUCGGAAAAUCCUAAAUAAUUCAUUUUAACUCUGUUUCAAUCCGUUCAAGUUGCGCUAGCUUCAUAUGAAUAUUUAUUAUGCAGUAACAGUAUUAAUUAUACCAUAUUGCAAAAUUUUAUAGUUAGAUAUUUGUUUAACCUAUGUUAGUAGAUUUACCCCUUUUAAUCAAAGUUAAUCUGUCUAUAAUUAUAAGAGGACUAAAAUAUGAUUUCUAAUUAAGUCAUAACUUAAAUUAAGGUUGAAAUUAGUUAUUAGGAUAUCUUACUCACAUGGUUCAUAAUAAUCAACAUAAAAUCUAGUUUUCCGGUUUAAUCACAUAAAUCUUCCAUAAGUCAUAACUUUAUAGUCGUAACUCCGAUUUUAACCAUUCUCGAACCCACGAUCUCGUAGCUUCGCAUAGAUCAUUAUUAUUUAGUUUGUACUUAUGUUUGAUGUGAUGUUAAUUUUGCCUAUGCCAUGUUAGUUUGUAUUGCUAUGAUUAGCAGUGAGGUCACGAGUCAUCUGAAGAUCAUCCUGGUACCUGGAAUCUCAAGGUCCAGGCAAGUUGUGCCCUUGAUCACUUUUAUUUACCUAAUAAUGUUCUUUAUGAUCAUUUAUUCAUGCAUAGGCUUAAUUUUGAUGGGACCCAAUAGGUCACCCUAGUUUGGUUAUCUUGUUACCUUGUUCACCCCUGAAUCAUUUGGGUAGUUUUGCUAUUGCUCUAUAUGGUUUUGGGAUUAAUAUUACAUUAUGUUCGUGUUCCAAUUAUUCUAUUGUUUUAUUUUUUAUUCAUGUCAAGAUCAUUAUUUUUAAUUGGAACAUGGAGCUUAACUUGAGAAACACGUGCCACCACAAGGGUGGAAUGGGACGCCCUUGACUGACUAAUUAGGAAAGCUAGUGGAAGACUACCUUACCCGAAAGGGGCAAGGGCAGUAGGGGAGUAGGUGUGUAGGGAGGUUCUCGGGUUGAUUUUGCUGCGAUGGCGGUCAUAUGAGGGAUUCCUACAUUGCUCUUCCUAGAACUGUAGCGGGUUUUCGGAAGCUAGUGGAACUCUGUAAAGGCCUCGUAGUGGAUCCCUAGCCAUUCAUCUCGGAAGUGUCUAAGGGCCUUGCAAACCCUGGCGACAUGGGAUACACGACUUGUGGGUACAAGGUACAACCUCUGCAGAGUGUAAAACUGGUAUACUAGUCGUGCUCGCGGUCACGAGCAGCUCAGGACUCUCGCAUGAUUAAAUUAUGGAACUAAAUUCAAUUUGUCAUUUGCAUUGCAUGGGAUUUAUUAUUAAUUUUGUUCUAUUAUUAUUAUUAUUAUGGUUUGGUAUUUACUUACAUCUAGUAAUUGCUAAUAAAUUUUUUGACCAACUUUAAAAGCAAUGCUCAGCUUUAACCAUUCUCUUUGGUAAGCCUUACACUUCAUAUGAACUCCCACCUUUGGUGAGUUCAUGCACAUUAUUCCCCACAACUUGUUGAGCUAUGAACGUAUGUGAGCUCACCCUUGCUAUCUCACACCCCCCACAGGUCAUGAACAGGUACCACAGGAUGAGGUGCAUGGAGGAUGUUGUGAUGUGUCCGUGAGAUGUCUAGGUCGUCGUCUCCCAGUCAACUUUGGGUUGCUGGAUCGUUGUCUCCUCACGAUGUAAUUAUUUAUUUAUUUUGUAUAGAACUCCUAUUAUAUAAUAAAGUUGUGACAUUUGUUUCUGUACCAUGAUUCAUCAUAUGUGUGAGACUUGGUCCCAGCACACCUGGUGAUUAUGUUCGCGCUCGGGUCUUGGUGCUCCGAAACCCGGGUGUGACAUCAAUGAACACUACUACGAAAUAGUUGAGGUAGUCCAUGAACACACUAUUCAUCAAGUACAUGAAUAAAGCUGGCGCAUUCGUCAAUUCAAAUGACAUGACAGUGAAUUCAUAUAGUCCAUAUUUGGUGAUGAAUGCGGUCUUCGGUAUAUCCGAAGGUCGGAUCCUAAGCUGAUGGUAACCUGACCUCAGAUCUAUCUUCGAGAACACACUGGCUCCUCUCAACUGAUCGAACAGAUCUUCAAUUCUGGGUAGGGGGUACAUGUUCUUGAUAGUGACUUCAUUCAAAGAUCUGUAACCAAUGCACAUUCUCUUUGUCCCAUCUUUCUUCUCCACAAAUAAUACUGGGGCAGCCCAAGGCGAGGUACUUGGUCUGAUGUAGCCUUUCUCUAACAACUCAUCAAUCUUCUUCUUGAGUUCCACUAAUUCUGGUCCGGACAUUCGAUAGGCUCUCUUGGAAUUAGGGGCGGUGCUAGGUAUAAGCUCUAUGGCAAAUUCAACUUUCCUUUCAGGUGGCAUGCCUGGUAAAUCCUCGAGAAACACAUCCGGGAAUUCUGAUUCUACUUUGAUAGCUUCUCAUGGCUCGAUUUCCUCAAUAUGGGCGGUGAUCUGGUGACAGCUUCUUUUCCUUGCUCUAGACAAGACUAACUCCACUAACACUUCCUCUCCUGAUAAGGACACUAACUUCACAGUCCUCUUGUCACAGUUAAGGCUUGCUUGAUAUUUGGUUAGCCAAUUCAUCCCUAGGAUGACAUAUAUGGUUACAUCUCGGGUACCCAUUACUAUCAAAUCAGAGGGGAACUCUAUCCCACUUAUUUGAACUCUUUCACUGGGGAAAAAUCUAUCAGUUUGGGUCCUCCCACCAAUCGAACUAACCCUCAUAGGUGGAUACAUGGGUGCUACUGGUAUAUUGUGUGUUUCUACCCAUGAUGCAGUCACAAAAGAAUGUGUUGCUCCAGUAUCAAAUAACACAUUUGUAGAAUGGGAUUCGACUGGGAACGUACCUAGUGCCACUCCUGGGGUCUCCUGGACUAUGUCGGCCUCUAGGUGGUUCACCUUUCCGUACUGGGCACGAGGGUACCCACGGUUGUUGCCUCCUUGUUGAGGUGCAUUCUGUCUUGCAGGGGCAUUGGGAGCUGACUGCUGCUAAGAUGCUCUCUUUGGGCAAUGAUUCGCCCAGUGGCCUUGUUCCCCAUAGUGGAAACAUCCAUGGCCUCCUCCUUGCGCUGGAGCUGCUUGGUUGUUCUGGUUGGUCACUGGGGCAGGAAGGCGAGGUGCCUGGUUGCUCUAGUGGUAUUGCUACUGCUGCUGCUGAGGGAACUGUCUCUGGUACUACUGCUGGUGCUGACGCUGAUGCUGGUGACCUUGCUUGAACUACUGAGGUGGGUUUCCUGAGUAACAGGGAUGACUGCUACUCUCGGCCUGAGAUCAACCAAUCUUGUGUUUCUUGUCCUCCAUCUUCCGGCGCUUCGUCUCGAUCAUUAUGGCUCUGUCAAUCAAAUGUUGGAAGGUAGGGAAAGUGUGGUUCAUCAACUGGUAUUGCUUCUUAGCAUAUGUAUUGACAUCCUCGGGUGCAUAGCGUGACAACUGCAGAAAUUUGUCCCUAUACUCACUAACAGACAGGGGGCUUGCUUCAACGCUAGAAAUUCCUCCUUCCUCACGAUCAUCAAUCCUUCGGGCACAUGAUAACGACGCUAGAAACAUAAUUCUUUUAUAUCAACUGAAUAUAUGUGGUUUUCACAUGUGUGGUAGGCCGUGAGGAACCAGUGCGCGCCACCUUGACGGUGAUGGAACUGGUGCUCCGGCCUCUGGGGUGGAGCAAGAUGUUGGUGGUGAGAAUAGUCCAUCUCAGUUCAUCAACAAUGAUCUGAGGAUUGUGCCCUUUGAUGAGAAUGGUCCAUCUUAGUCCAUUAACAAUGGUAGCAGUGUCGCCCCUAUUAACUUAGAGGAGGGUGAUACUACCAACAAUGCUUUCGGAGAUGCAAAUACUUCAGAAAAUGCUGAUGGUAAGAAGCAUAAAAGAAUUUGCACAUCUAAAGUGUGGCAGGAUUUUGAACCACUAUACAAUACUAUAGACGGCAAGAGGAUCAGGUAUGGUGGUAAGUGUCACUGGUGCAAAUGUACAUUGAGUGUUGUGUCUACUAGUGGUACUGGUCAUUUGCUUAGGCAUCAACGUGAUUGCAAAGUUAAGAUUGCUAAGCAGGGCAAGCAGUCAAUCCUUAAGUUAUACCCUGAUAGUUCUAUGUGUAACUGGGAUUACUGUCCAGAUCGUGCUAGAACUCAGAUGUGUAGGUUGAUUGCUAUCCUUGAUUUUCUUCUUAAUUUUUCUAAGUCACCUUCUUUUGAAGAGUAUAUUAGACUAUCUCAUAAUCAUGUCUUUGAAAAAGUAUCUAGACAAACCACCUCUAGAGACUUUGUUAAGUUCUUUACUGAUCUGCGUACGAAAGUUGUUGAAUGCUUGCAAUCUGUUACUUCUAUUGUAAUUACGUCUAAUAUUUGGAGUGGUAAUGCUAAGGAGGACUAUCUUAGUGUGGUUGCUCAUUAUGUUUCUAAGGACUGGCUAUUAGAAAAGAGAGUAAUUGGGCUUAAACUAAUUGAAACAUCUCACACUAGUGAGAACAUUGCCGAGAGGGUUAUGACUGUGCUUGAGGAUUAUGGAGUAGUUAAUAAAGAUUUUUCUAUCACUUUGGACAAUUCCUCUUCCAAUUCUAAGGCAAUGGAGAAGCUUAGUCCAUUAUUGUAUAGUUAUGUUGGUACUUUAUUCUUGUAUCAAUGUUGUGCUUGUCAUAUUAUAAACCUGAUUGUGAAGUGUGGCUUGAAAAGGCUAAACCCUUACCUUGAUUCAUUUAGAACUGCAAUAGUUUUCUUGAAUGCAUCUAAUCAACGUAUUCCUGCAUUUAAGGGCUACUGUGUUGCUAUGAAUGUGUGCCCUCGUAAGUUUGGCAUUGACAUGGCUGUGAGAUGGAAUUCUACAUACCUUAUGCUUAAGCAUUAGUUCCUUACAAGAAACCUUUGGUGUCUUCAUGGACACUAACUAUCCUAGAAAACCAGGUGAGCCUAAUCUGUUGACCAAUUCACAUUGGUAUGUAGCGAAAAAGUUGCUUGAGUUUCUUGAACUGUUUUAUGAUGCUACUGUUACUCUUUCUGGUUUUACUAUCCUACAUCUCCACUUAUAAUGCAUAACAUCCUUGAUAUUGUCCAGCAUUUAAAUCAAUAUGAGAAUGAUGCGUUGCUUAGACAUGUUGUUGCUCCUAUGGAGUCUAAGUUUCUUAAGUACUGGAGGGAUAUUCCUACCCUCUAUGCAUUUGCUUUUAUGUUAGAUCCUAGAGCCAAACUAAGGGGUUUCAGCAAUAUCUUGAGAUUAUUAUAUGGGCUAUCUAGUACUGACUACUCACUUUACUAUACCUUUGUGAAAACUGAAUUGUCUACAAUGUUUAAUAAAUAUGAUCUGAAGUUUGGUGCAGUUAGGCAGCAAGUGCCCCCUCCUCCAACUGUCACAGGUAAAAGAAAACAAAACUGGGGAUUCAUUUAUGCAUCUGAUUGUACCUCUGAGUUCCCAUAUCCUAGUUCUACCACACCUAACCUUGGUAGUGGAACAUCAGCAUCUGCUUUGCUUCAACAAGCACAUUCUAGUGCUGGCCUUAGUUUACUUGACACAGAGUUGUCCUCCUACCUGGAUAGUGACACUUUGCAAUAAACUGGUGGCAUGAACAUAAGUUGUCCUAUCCUGUUCUCUCCAUCUUAGCUAGGGAUGUUAUUUCUGUUCCUGUUUCAACUAUAUCCUCACAAUCUGCAUUUAGUCUCUGUGGCAGCAUAAUCGAGGAACGACGAAGGCGCCUAGCACCAGAAAUAGUAGAGAUGCUUCUUUGCAUGAAAGACUGGGAACUUGGCGAAGCUAGAGGGCAGCACUGUACAUAGGACUAAGAACUUGAAGACGCAUUUGAAGGACUUUAUCUUAAUGACCCUUAGGACUUUUAUCUUCCUAGUUCCUACUCCAUUUUGUUGAUAUGGAAAUCUGGUGAUGUAAGUUGUAAUAUGUAACUGAACAAUCUUGACAUGAACUAUUAAAUUAGAGCUGGGAUGUACUCUUUUUUCCUUUCUAGGGUUUUCUCACGAGGAGUGAGUUUUUACCUAGAAAAGUUUUUAAUGAGUCAGUCAUUGCACGAACAACUCUAAUCCUUUAUUUAGGAUCUACUCUUUAUAUCAAUUGUGUGAAUUAAUAUUUCUGAUCUUUAUACUUCUGAUCUUUAUAUUUCUGAUUUAUAUAAAAUAUAUAAAUUGUGUGAAUGUGCAAGUCAACGGAUAAUGUGUGAACUGGUAUUUGUCGUGCUCGGGCUGCCACGGGCUCCUUCAUGGGUCGUGCUUUCCGGGCCAACCCGGCACGGUUGGGCCGGAUCAGUGCCGUACUCGGCUGGUAGAAUCCCAUCCUUGCAUGUUGUGUGGACGUCCGAGUCCCAUCCUUGCAAGUGUAUGUAGUGGGCACUGCUCCUUAGGAGCCGGCUAAAAAAAGACCAGCUGCUGUGUCGUUAAUUUCUGUUGAAUUUAAUCAACUUUCAUACAAUUUUAAUUUGUAUGUAUGAUAUUUAUUCUUUUUAUUUCCUAUUGCAUAUAAUAAAUAAAAUUAAGCAUAUUUUCUACCAUAAUUUCUAUCUUAAUUAAUUAUUUCCUGUCUUAAAUAAUUAGUAGAAAAAUGUAUGCUUGGACAUGGGAAUUUUUUAUCUUAUCUGCUUAUUAUCAUGCAUUAAUUCUAUUAUUAUUUUUUGCUUUAUUUCUUGUAGUAAAUAAUUAACAAAAAUUAUUAAAAAUGCAAGUGGAAGCAUAUACUCAGACCGUUCUAAAUAUUUGUAUUGCAUUGAGCUUCCGGACUCACGUCGAGCGAUUAAAUUGUAUACCGAGUACUCGGACACGCCGAUCAGGCUGCUUAUUAAUUGGCUGAGUUAUGACAUUGGUUGAGCAUUGGUUGUGUCCGUACGAACUUGGUUGCGUCAUAUGAUUGCUAUGUCGCACUCUCGCUUAAUCGGACCGCCCCCGUCGGGCCGGACCACCAUCGUCGAGUCACGUAUUUUCGCAUGCCAUGUAGGCACUGUUUGUCUGUCGUGAUCAUCGAACCACAAUUGCGCUCAUUCCGCAUGUUGCAUGGACUUACCAUGUAACUAGACUAUCGAUCCACAACUACGCUCGUUGUGCUUAUUACGAAGACUUGUUGUGUUGUCGUAGCCCUAAUAGUCGCACACACUUUGAUACCAGAUACGCUGGAGCUUGUACUCGUGUACAACAUGGUGAAUUAUUCGUGCCCUUAAAGUCACAUCAUAGCGCAACCUUCAUAAACAAUUUUGUUUGACUCUACAUUUUGUUUGAUUUAUGUUGUGUGGCAUCAAAUAUUUAUAUAUAUAACCAAGUGGCCAUAACAACUUUCACAAGCUUUAUAUUGCUUUGUAGAUCUGGAAAAUUAAUGAAAUACCUAUUAAACACAUAUAAGAUAAUUCUCUGCUCUUUUCUCAUACAUAAAGUCUUACCCGAAGUAACAUGAAGAAAUUCAAUACAAUGCAUGAAAGCCUUUUUACAUAAAAGGCAUCACAAAUUGGGAUUCAUUUAGUAAGCAAAAAGACCUUACCAAAUAAAUUAAGGCUAGAAAUCUCAUUCAUAUAGUGCUCGACCUGAAGUUGUCACAUUGCUCUCUUUAUCUCGAACGACAUGAAGCAAAUUCUAAGAUAAAAGGGCAUAUAAUCCGUCGCAACACGAAGUUGCGAGUAUGCCGAACGGCUAUUCUAAGAAACGUUUCACUAUGUUGAUGUGAAAAAAACUAUUAUGUGUUCCCAUCGAACUACUUUUCUCGUCUGAUAGAACCUCUAUGAUUGUGUUGCAUAUAUCUCUUAAAAUUAUAAAUACCACAGUUGUUGAAUUGACUCGGGAUAGUCCUUUGAAGAGUAUGGUAUAUAUUGUAACCCACACGAGAAAGGUCAGACCUAAAUGGACUUAUAACUGGGGUUUAUGUAGCAGAACUACAUUGGACUCCGCAACUUGGCAUGCUUACUAUAAUCUACCUUUGAUCUAUCAGAAGUAAAAAAGAUUAGAAAACAGCCAUGAAAUUCCACAUCACCACAGAGCUUGAAGCUAAAUUAGGCAUUAAUUUGUCCUUGGUCCUUAACGCUAGAAGAGCCACAAGUCUUGACCACUAGGCUGCUAGUGAUGGAAAUUUUGUGAUAGAAACAUGUAGAUCUUGUGAAGACUUGAUGACUCCUUCGUAUGAGAGCAGUAUUAUCUAUUGUUGAAGAUUGGUCCCGGACGGAUAUUGGUCUUGUUUCUCUCUUGCUAUGAAGUUAUCACCAUUUGCUUCGUCAAAAGCUUAACAAUCUGGUGAUUUUUCCGAGAUAAUAUGAAUUCUUGGCCAUAUUUGUUCUAUUCAAAAGCUUAUCUUUUUGCUGAACAAUGAAGAGAUCAAAAUAAUGCUUUAUAAAGCAUAUUGGUAUAUAAUAUGAGGAGAAAUGUUUGCCCUGCUAGCAGCUUACACCAAAAAUAAUUAACUAUUGUUAUAAGUUCUCUCUCAAAAUUAUUAUACGCAAAAAUGUUGCAUAAAUCGAUACCAAAUUUCAAAGUGAUAUGAGUAAUUUGGUAAACCAUGAGCAAUGAUAAAAUGAGCUGGACUAUACAUCUCUGUAUAUAAAAAAUCUCUAUUUAGCAGCAUUAACCUGAUGCUGAGCACUUUACUACCAUUAUAUGCACACCCAUUUUUCUUAUGUGCUUAAAAGCACAAUGCAACCAGUGAAUGUCCUUGUGAGCACUAGACCCUCUUGGUCAUCUUACUUGUUGAUCUGAAGUCAACUACUUGCUCCAAACGACGAAUAGUGUGCAAGGGCCCCUGAAGUAUUUUUAUGGCUAACACGGUGUAUUUGAUAAUAAUAACAGUAAAUUUGCAGAAUUGUAACCAUAAAGUAACAUGUCGUUGUGUGUCUCGCUGAAAGUUGAGAGUAACCCUUCAUGUUGAAGGAAAAAGAUGUAGUGUUCAUGCCACUGCAUUAAUUUAAGUCCAAAGAUCACUACAUAAAACCCCUAUCUGUAAUAUGCGUAAAAUUUCCCAAAUAAAUCACCACAAAUAACAUAGAUUGGCCACAACUAGAUGAUUAUGGUUGGGAUUUUAUCUGUAUACUUUUAGAACAUCUUGGCAUUAGGGGGAAUGUCCAUCUAGUGUAAUGCCUCAAUAUUCUAUUAAACACACAAAAGUCAAACUGAACCUGUCGUUCGGUGUGAACUCCUAUGUAUUUGGAGUUUGCUAGAAAUCGUUGAGGAGUAACCAUAUUGGUUUGAAUGCUUCUACCUGAUGUAGAUGUGGAUAUACUUGGGAUUAAUAUCAUAUCCACAAUUGACUUAUUGGCAUUUGAUCUAUUCCCAGGGACGCCUGCGAAUAUAUAUGAUCCACCGGCCUUAGUCAAAGCAUAUGUUUUGAUAACAGCUUCAUGUGGUCUGUGAUAACUCUCCUCUGGUUAAUUCACCCUGAUGGUGAUUUGCCUCAGAAAGAGGUUCAUCUUGAUGAUGAAGUUCCUAGCAAUGCGCGCAAUAUCAUUGUGCUGAGAAUAUGGGACAAUGAAUCUUUCAUUUUUGGGAAAUGUAAUACCCAAAUUUGUAAACCAUAAUAAAGGAGAUAAUUCUCUUAUGUGUUUUUCCUCUAUUUAACUAAACAUGUGAACAACCACAUUUGAAAUGUCUAAUUGACUAAUGACAACUAAACAACAUAUGCACCAUGCUGGAGUUUAUGUGUUUGUGUAUUUAAUAAUAGUAACAUUAAUAAGAAGUAAUUAGUGCCCAACUCUAGAAAUUUGAAAUAACAAAGAAAAGCAGAAAGAGAGGGGAAAAUACUAUACAAAGCAAAGAGAAUAAACAUGUAAAUAAAUGAAUCCCUUCCAUACUACUAUGUUUAUUUUGUAUAUUUAAUUUGAGUACAAGUUCACGAUACUAUUUAAAUUCAAAUUUGGAUUUUAAAAUAAAAAGAAAACAAAACAGAAAAAUAUAAAAGAAAAAGAAAAAGGGUCGCAUGGGCCGAAUCUCGCCCCAGCCGACCCAUCAACGCGCUCCCACGUCCUGAGCGCACUGUGGUGUCGUCAGGCGGGCCCGCCCGGCCAGUCACUCACUCACACGCGAAAACAACUGACUGCAAGCCCCUCUCUCCACUGCCGCAUGGGCCCCACUUAUCAUCCCGCACCUCGCAUGCACCGCAGAACUACCUCCCCGGGAAUGUCGCGUUGACCGCAACGGAUCUCCCCCACCUCGGCGUGGACUCACGGGUCCAUAAAACGUGGGCGCGGAUCUUCCUCGGUCGCCUAACCCUACAUCGUGCCACGCCCAAAGCCCCAGUAACACCGCCGCCACGCGCUCUCAACUGAGGGUGUGUGCUCGCCGCAAUCCUCCUUCCCCCUGGGUAUUUCACUGGCGCUGAACCCCUGUGAGGUCGCCCAUCGUGCUCUCCAGUGUGUGCGGGCCGGUAGGGGCAAUUGGAGGGCGGGCGUGCCCCCGACGCCGUGGCAUCACGCAUGAUCGUCCCUGAUCCGUCGUGCGCCGUGAUUGGCUUCGCCCGUUGUCCGUCUCCGGUGAGUAAGUCAUACGCCAUCUUCACUCGCGCCCUGUGAUUGCGUAGCAACUGGUAGAUUCGAGUUUUGGGGUGCUAAAACACUGAUUCUGGGUGCCGGCGAUGGCGUCCACCGCGGAAUCACUCGCGCUGUCUCGCUCCUCCAUCGGAGGUAGGAAAAGUGUUCUGCACUGUCGGAUCCUUUAGUUGCGGUUGAGAUCUGAUCCGUGAGUACCCCUUCGGGAGAGAGAACCUUGACCGUAGAUCUAGGAUCCGAGGGUUACAAAAAUUGAUCCAUUCCAAUUUAUAUAAUUUGGUAUUAAUAUUGUUUAUCACAUAGUGUCUCUAUUUUAGCAUGAAACCUAUAUUAAAAUUGAUCCCUUAAUUAUUUUUGUACCAAACACAUAAAACCUUCGAAAAAUCAUAAGUUGAAAUCUGUAACUCCGAAUUUAGUGCUUCUUGUUUUUACGAUCUCGUUACGAUGCAUAGAGUAUUAUUAUGUAUUCUGUAUUCAUGCUUGGUGUGGUGUUAAUUUCUCUCUUGUACCAUGUUUGUUUGUAUUGUGGCGCAUAGACGAGCAUGUGGAUUCAGGUGUUCAACAGGUAGAAGUUGCUGAGUAGGAGCUCAUUGAAGGCAAGUUGUGCCCUUGACCACUUUUAUUUACCCAAUAAUGUUCUCUAUAAUCAUUUUAUCAUGCAUAUGCUUAAUUUUGAUGGAACCCAAUAGGUCACUCUAGUCUGGUUAUCUUUACAUCUUGUUUACCCCUGAACUUUUGGGUAGUCUUUGCCAUUACUACAUAUGGUUUUGGGUGUUGAGAUAACUAUUACACAUGGUCAUUCUUUAUUAUUGUUCUAUUUCUAUUCAUGAUAAGAUUAUUAUGUUAAUUGGAACAUGGAGCUUAACUUGAGAAACACAUGCCACCACAAGGGUGGAAUGGGACGCCCUUGGCUGACUAACUAGGAAAGCUAGUGGAGGACUACCUUACCCGAAAGGGGCAAGGGCAGUAGGGGAGUAGGCGUGUAGGGAGGUUCUCGGGUUGAUUUUGCUACGAUGGCUGUCAGACGGGGGAUUCCUACAUGUGGCUGAGCGUAGUGAGGGUGGCUACUGCUACCUACUUGACCCUGGAUAAUGGCCUUCCUCUUCAUCUCGCCUACUUGAACACGAUUAUGUUCCAGAGCUAUGGCCUUGUCUAGAAGUCACUAGAAAGAUGGGAAUGAGUGAGACAUAAGCUGAUACUGCGGUGGCCUAAUAAGUCCCUCCAUAAAUAGUUCAUGGCUUCCUGCUUCUUCUCAUCAUCUGCGACCUCUUCUAGAGCAUAUCUGACAUCCCUCCCUGCUUGAGUGAAAGAAACUCCUUAAUCUUCAUCAGUCUGGCUAGAAUAUGGUAGUUUCUGAAGCUUGCAGAGAACACAACCCAGGUGAUGGUGUCGACAGGAGCAUGGGUUGCACAGUAAGCAUCCCACCGAUUGGCAGCGGGGCCAGUGAGGCGACCCGAUGCAUAAAGGACUUUUCCUGAUCCAUGCAUUAAGCGAUAUUAAGCAUCUUCUCCAUAUAUUUCAGCCAGUCAAUGGCCUGUAGUGGAUCUAUGGAGCUGGAAAAGGUUGGCAGAUUGUGGCUCAUAAACUCACGAUAUUUGUCUUAGGGUGGUGGCUGGUGCGGUUGCUGUUGAUACUUAUUGAACUAAGCUUGCAUAAUGGCCAUUGCAUUGACCAUCUGCUGUAGUAACUGUGCCUAGACUAUGAAGAAUGCUUCUGACCCAAUGGAUGGAGGAUUUACGGGAUUCAUCUAUGAUUCCGAACUAACCCUUGUCCUUCUUUGACGUAUGUGUGCAAGUUGAUCAACACCUCCUCCUGUCAUGGUAUUGACCAUCUGAGUUAGAGAUAUAAGGUAAGAUAGAUUUGCAGAUAUGAUAGAUAGCUAGGUACAAAACACAUGGCUUUUAGCUUGAGAAUUUUGGGUCACAAUAGCUCAAUUAAUUAAAGCACCUAUCAUUGCUAUACUAGACCUAUGUUGGUACAUUCUAGAAUGUACCCACUAUACUAGGUAUUAUUGUGGAUAUAACCCCACACUCAAUCAGAGAAGCGAAUCAACCAAGUUUCAUAAGAACAAGCAUUCAAUCGCAUUGGUACCUACAAAAAUAGUUUUUUUCUCCUAGGAUUAGGAUCCAUGUUCCUUAAAACCUCGGUGGAGGAUUCCAAGGUGUGAAGUCCUUUUUGUCUUUAGAAUAGAAAAGGUAAGAGUAGCUAGAGUAAAGCUGCAAAAGAUGAGGAAAGAUCAAGGAAAGUGUACAAAUAGUCAGAGUAGCAAGGAAAGUAGGCUAAGGUUUGUCCAGUUCUGUCUAGGUUAUGUCCUACGGUCAACAUUUCUCCGAUACGAAUUCUGCCACACCCGGAUUUAAGGACAAAUCUAGAUGCAUCCCAUAUGUGUGUUAGGAUCAAGUUCCACACAUAUGAUGAUUCAGUGUAUAGAAACAAAUGUCAUGAUCUUUAUUACAUAACGAGAAUGUCUAAUAAAAUUUCCUACCAAGUCGUCGCUCGCAAGGCAUUAAGGUCCCUAUGUCAUAUAUAUGAAGUGGAAGUGUCUGACACCCCACUCAGAUACUUUCUGCCCUUUCAAAGAGACCGCCCCGUUUGGAUGGGCAGGAUGCGUGCCUUAGAAGGGAAAUAAUAGCUAGAGGACAACCCUACAGUCGUAUUCCUCACUACAUACCUGCUUACCCUAGAUGCACGGUAUGAUCACUUGGCUCGGCACCAUCGUCAGAUGAUCACCCGAUCAGAAGAUGCAAACGCCAGCUCCAUGUGGAACUCACCAUAGCUCAAGCCUGUGUAGCUGCCUUGGAAAGUCAUGAGGUCAAUGUCAUUGAAUCUUUAGAACAAGCUAAGGAUGAGCACAUGCAGAAGUUGAUUGAGGCCUACUUGGUCACCCACAACCAACGUAGAGCUCUACGGAUCCAAGAGCCUACCUCAUCCAGUCUACUUCAACACAAGAAAUCUGAAGACCCCAGAUUCUGGAGGACCCAUCCACCUCUAUAAAAGGAGAGAGGAAGGCUUGGGAACCCCCCAAGGGAGCCAGUCAUAGAACGAAUACUUGUCCCCCCCCCUUAGGCUAUGUAUAAUCAAGAGCACCCCGAGCCCUCCCAAGAUCCAUCAACAGAGUUGUUUGAGCCCCUUACCAUGAAGAAGAUUCCAACACUGACCCUCGAGGUCAAGGAAGAAGCCUUAAGCACUCCACCUGCACCAACGCCCUCUGAGGUCAAUUUGGAGCUGCAAGAGCAAGUCCCGCUUGGAGAAGAGUACGACCUCGUCUUGCCAUCUCAGUCGUCGCUAGAAGAAGUCAUCAACAUCAGCUCCCUCUUGACUCACUCUUGCUUAUUUUUUUGUUUUCAAAGAAGGAGAUCGCUGAUUGUGUAAGAGUUACGCUUGUUUCCCAACCAUGCAUGUGGCAGUUGGACCGCUAAUUUGCUUCACUACAUAUAUUAGACUGAUGUUGUUCCACUCUAAUGUUAUGUCCCGAGUUGUGGACCGACUCUUAAAGUUGAUCGCCACAUGUAUCGGUUUGUCUCGUUUAAGCAGAUAUGGAACCAUCUGAUGUAUAAAUGUGCAUACUAGCCUCUUGGGACUAGUAUUUGUAUCACAUUGAGUCUCAAAGGAUGGGGACGUUUCAGUUCUCAAGAGAACAAGAGUGAGUAGAAGCUCUCUAACCGUCAAGUCCUAGUAACCAUGACUGAUCCGUUGGUACCCUACUAGUGGUCCGAGAUCCUGGUCUCCUUCAACUGACCUAAUCAGUGGCUCAACUUCGACCACCUGGGCAAAUACCCACUGCUUGUCAACCCGAUGGUCUGAGUGGGUCGAGUCAAGAAGGUGUUGAUCGACGGUGGCAAGAACACAAACAUCACCUUCAUCCUUGGCGAUAUGGCUAACUGAAGAGAGACCCAGAAGGUGGGUCUUGGCCUUCCCGACAUGGACUCUAUAUUGUUGUUUCGCUAAGGACCAAGCAGUUGAUGGUAUAUGGGGAUUCUUUGGUGGUAAUCAGUCAAGGCAACAAAGAUUGAGAUGUGCUGCAGUUCGAGAGAUAGAAGACAAGUUUGAAGGUCUAGAAUUCCAUCAUAUUGAAUGAGAUCGCAAUAUAGCAGUCGACACAAGCCCAAGUUCCACCAAAUGUCUUCGUUCGAGAAGUACUCUGUCCUGCAUCACGCAGGAGCCGGAGGAAUAGUGCAAAUUGUUAGAACAACAAACCUUGCUCAUCAAAGAAGACCCGGAUGAUUAGAGGACACUUAUUAUCAGGUAUAUAAAGAAUGAAGAAGAGUUGAAUGACAAAGCAGCAGUCGAGUGACUAGCCAGACAUUUUGCUACAUUAUGAUCAGUAAUGAAUUGUAUAGGCCAAGCGCAUCAGGAGUCCUAAUGAAGUGCAUUGACAUAUCUCGAGGUAGAAACCUGUGGGUGAAAAUCCAUGUUGGGCAGUGUGGCAUUCACGUCGCGUCAAGAACACUAGUCGGGAAUGCUUUUAGAGCUGGAUUCUACUGGCUAACAGCUAAUCAAGAUGUAGUAGAUCUUGUUCGGAAGUGUGAAGCAUGCCAAUACUUUGCCAAGCAGCAACAUCUCUCGGCACAGCAGUUACAGGCUAUCCUGGUUUCAUGGCCCUUUGCAUGAUGGAGGCUAGACAUGAUCAGGCCAAUUCACCAGAUAGUGAAACAGGCCUAUAACUCCCUUAUUAGAUGAAGGCGUGCCUUUUCAAUUGGGCAACUAUUUUUUUACAUCCUUAAUUAUGUGUGAAUCGAAUCGAUUAUCAAUAGUCAGGAAGACAAGACAACGCAAUCAAAAAAAGGAAGACAAAACAUCUAGCAUCCACGUGUUCAAAAUAAUCCAUGAACCACAAAGGAUAAGAAAAAGAAAAGAAAACUCAACGGACUAGAGAGUCAAGAUCUCGACCUUCUUCUCCAUGACACGGACGCCAAUCGUGAUCUUACUGGCGCCGCCACUACCCUCCAUCACCACCAUUGCAGCAUGCCCCUAUCCUGGCCUCCUUCGUCCCCAAUCUGUCCCACAGUCCGCGCAUGUGAAUCCGAGGCCAUUUCCCACAUUUUUAUGUUAGGAGGAUAAGAGGCGUUUGGUUGUUGACGAUGGCUACAUCGAUGGAGCAACCGGCCACUAGCCCGACCAUGAUUUUGAGCUUGAUCAUGUCGUCAACUAAUGCCAGGUACAAUCGUAUCUCCCUCGGUGCCGACACUCUAACCACCGGCAUAUGCACCCCACACGGCAAGAGAGGCUUCUAGCCAUCGCGUCCAGCAUGGCGUCCAAGUCGGUGCAUUAGUAGUUGGUACUGAAUGGGUCCACAUGGCUGAAAAAGGGGGUUGGCUCCGAAGACGUCAGCGUUGGUGCCCCUAAGGUUCAGCAUGAUUUCCGAUGCAAACCAACCGAGAGAGAAAACUACUAGAUUAGAUGGAUAGGAAAGAACUCCCCGUCCACCUCCGUGUUAGUCUCCAACAACUUCUAUAUUUGUGUAUCCAAUAUCUCUAUAUUGAGCCACUCCAAUAGUUAUGUAAAUUUUAGCUCUCUAAAUCACAUAUUUAAGAAGUUGCUAAAUAACUUUGACAGAAAAAAAAUGUGAGUACUCCAAUAGUUCUCUAAAUAUAGAUAGUAGUUUUUUUUGUAUCUAUCAACAAAAAUAGCUCACAAAUGUCAACGAUCACCUUCAGUAUCUAUAUAAUGCAAUCAACAUUUUUGUUUAGCUAGUUACUAAAUGGUUGUCAAAUGUAGAGAGAAAAUGAGGUUAGAUAAAUAAGAUUGCUAAAUUUAAGAAGUUAAUUUAAAGAACUGUUCGAAGAGUUUUUAGGUUAACUGGCUCUUCCAAAAACAUACCGAACUCUAAUAGCUCCUUACAAAUACCUUUGCUAUUCGUAAAUCUUCCCUCUGGCCAUCGCUAGUGUUUGCUUUUGUUUCCUGAAGACCAAAAGUUCUGACUAUCGCAGCAUCUAUGGCAGCAUCAACGGUUAUGACCCACACUUUCGUUAAGGCAACUAAACAUAAUCAUUAAUAUCGGAAAUGUACCCAGUUAAAGAAUCCACAAUAGUUCUUACAACUAGAACGAUACAGUCUGCAAGUUUAAACUUCAAUUGAAAACAACUAUGAUUCUUUAGUAAAUGUUAAAACUAAUGAUAGCGUAUAUCGCUAAAUGCCUUGUACCAAAUCAUGUUAUGGAUAUUUCCAUGUCACACCAUGGAUGGAAUGCCUUGUCCCAAAUCAUGUUAUGGAUAUUUCCAUGUCACACCAUGGAUGGCUUCAUUCAGUUGAAUCAGCAGCCUACGCAAUGCACAUAUUAAACAAAAUGGGCGACACCUAAAGAGGGAAAACUAUGGGCCUGUUUGGGAGAGCUUUGCUUCAAAAACUUCAGCUUUGGUUUCCAGUUUCACCGUAAAACAGCUCUAGGAAAUUGUUAAGGUGAGUUCCAGGAGCGUUUGGUUUGCAUAUGGACUUCAACUUCUAUAGUACCAUUGAUUUGUGUGGGUUUCCUUGAUUACCCUUGAUGAUUAGUGGGUUAUCGCCAGAGAGAACGGAAGUUGCAUGUUGCGUAACCAGUGGCAUGGUGGGUAAUUUUCGUAUAACUUCAUGAGGAGAUAUAAAAACAGUGUUUUUGAAGCACCUUCUAAGGAGCUUCACGAAUUUCAUGAAACAGGCCUCUAGUUUCGAUUUUUUUUAAAACUAAAGCUCGUGGAGCUGAACCCGUUUGGGUUAAAGAGGUUCGAACGAAAUUGAAAUUCUUGAAGUGAAGCUCUCCCAAACAGGGCCUAUAUAUGCAGUGAUGCCAUGACGAUCUUACAAGCUAAUAUUACAGAAAAAUGUUUUCUUUACGACAUGUUCUGCGUUUAUGCUUCAAACAAAUUCAUCAACAAAUAGGAACUAUUGCAGCUAGCGAACAGGGCAAAUCAACAUCACCGCAAUAGGACAACAGCAGAUAUUAUCAAUACAUUGGACUAGAGCUCAAUCGCUUUUAGAAAACAGUGUACUAAUCAGGUCUGAAAACAUGGCAUAACGCUCUGAACUUGAGACGAUUAACCAAAAAAAGUGUACUCAUCAGGACACACAUUUCGGUGCAAGACAAUCCAUGAGAAUGCUCUAAGCUACAGCGCUCUUGCCCUUCUUCCUCUGUAGCUUCUUCAUGUAGAACUCAAGCUCUUUACCCUCAAGGAUGUACCUGUUAUAUAAAAAGAAAAGGCUACUAAGGAGCUGCAGGUAACGUUAUAGGUGGUGAAACGAGAUAACUUGAAGCCAAGAAGGAUAGCAUGACAAGAUAUCUAAAAUCAAAACGACCAUUAUGAUUUAAGCAACAAAAGUUUGUAGUACACACAGAUAUGCUGCUCUAAAAAUACUAAGAAAGUCUGGUGGAGGUCCAUUAUUUCGUACCCAUCAGCUCGGCCACACUGUCCAGGGCGGGAAGAAAUGCAUGCCAGCAACCGUCCACUGCCAAAUUGCUCCUCAAUGUGUGGGUCAAGGGUACGUCCCUCCUUGCGCUUCUCAAGCUUCCUCGUGACAUGGUUGCUCUUUUUCGUUUCCUCAGCUGCUGCCUCAACCUCUUGUCCCUGGAUGGAUAUUAUAUCAAACAAUAAAUGAAUCACCAGAGGAAACAUAUGAGCUACUAGAGUAAAGAAAAUGAAAAGUAAUGAACUAUUGACAUCUGCUUUCUGGAAAUACUUCAAGUAAACAAAAUAUAUUGAUAAAAAUUAUCAACUUCUACAUUUUUCCAUAUAGAAAUCUAAAAUAGGCUAGUGCAGAAACAAGCUAUUCACGUGGUUAAAAAGAAGAGUUAUCUAACGAGCUUAUAUUUGUCAGCUACAAAAAAUGAUGUAUGAACUACGAAGCCAAUACCUUACUAAAACAUUCAGUGGUAAAUAGUGAGAAGCUGUGUUCCAAGAAAGAAUACCUCAGCAUUAUCCUUCUUUGCAGCAGGGGUUUUCUUCUUCCUACCAAUGUCAACUCCAUAGUGAGUGAGGUACCACUGCUUGAAUGGGGCAGCAUCAACUUGCACAAUGGCACUCUUCACAAGGGUUUGUGUCCUCACAAGCUCAUUGUUUGAUGCAUUGUAGACCACGUCGAGGAUACGGGUCUUGCGGGUAACAGCUUCACUUCCCCAUGAGUAGUUACCAGUAUCAAGGCGAAGAGCCCUCCAUUUCACAUUACCUCCACGAACACGGACCCUCCUCACUGUCUUAUUGCUUGACAACUUGGUGUUGGCUGGCUGGCGACCAAGCUCAUACCUUCAAGAGAAAUGACAAGCAGAAUAAACCUCUGAACGUAAGUCCUAGCAUAGUACUGCGACACAACAAAGCCACAUCGAUAAACAACUCUUUUAAGCAAGCUGAUGACACCAAUUCAGUUUGAUGAAACUUGCACACAAAUGAUCUACAAUUUUAGUGCUGCCUCAAACACGUAGAAUGGACUAGUUGUGAUAAAAAAAAAGACUAUUCUGAGAAACACCAACUUCACCAAGUGAAAUUGGCUAAUUGCCUUCAAGAAAAUUGAAAAAUACAUAGAAUUAACAGAUACAAUUACUUAUGAACUGUCAAGGCUCAGGCAUUUCAUUGGAAGCGUCAUGGUAAACAAUUUUAACAGACACAAAUAAUUUUUUAUUAGGCAAUACUCAGUAACCUCACAAUUAAGGGCGAUAAGCAUAAAUCACUGGAUUCAACUAAUGAUGUCAAGAGAGAAAAAAACAUUAUUUGAAUCCUUGAUACAACUCAGACCAAUUAAUACCGCAUUACCGCUGCAGCCACUACAAGAUCCACAGGGAAUCGACAUGCAAAGUUGACAAGUUAGGACCGGUGAUCUAAUCAAGCAGCAGCAUAUUACAGAACAAAAGCAGAGCUAAGUGAAUCCAGCCGUCAAUAACAUAGGGAAGAGAAACGGUCAUUACUUUCGCUUCUUCCUCCAGGCCUUCUGCUUUCCACCGGUGGCCCGGCGCUUGUGCAUCGAGUCACGCGAGAUACCUGCACGAACACAUCCAAACCAUCCGCAGAGGCACCCAUUAGCAUCUCAUCAGCCAAACCGAAGAACCAUCGCGGCAGCGUCGAUCAAACCGGAAACGACUGCGGCAGCGUUGAUCAAAUCGGAGAACCACCGCGGCAGCUAUGUCAGUACAGGCAAAACGAGAAGCAGGUGGAUGGAAUCUUACCCAUUGUGGCUUGGCACAGCUCCUCCUCCGCCUGCUCCUUGUCCGCCCGCGCCGCCGCUCUUCUCGUUGGGGUACACAAGUGAGACCCUAUAUAUCGGGUUUAUAUAUAUGGGCUGACCUAGGGUUGGGGAUAGGCGCCGGUGGGCUGAGUGAGGCCUAGUGCCCACCAAAUAAAUACCCAUGGCAAAUUGAAUCGAGCAAACUGGGCCUGGGCGCACACUAUCGACUCCAUAUCACGAAACCAUAUCACGAAACGACUAGCUAGUCCCUGCCGUAGGUCCAGCCCAAUUCAAAAUAGCGAAAAGGUCUAAACACGUUGAACCGAUCGACCAUGCCACUUACCAAUCUGUUUGUUUUAGGGGAUGUUUGGGACUACUUCACUUCAUAAAAUCUAGCUUAGCUCUAUAAGGUCUUGUUUGGAAGGGCUCUAUUUCAAAAAUUAUAGUUUUGGUUUUUCAGUUUCAUCACGAAACAACUUCAACAGAUUGGUAAGCCGGUGUUCAAGAAUGUUUGGAUUGUAUAUAGACUUCAGCUUCUGUAAUACAGUUAAUUUAUGUGAGUUUCUUUAAUAAACCUUGAUGAUUAACGGGUGGAGAAAAAGACAUGAAUCGGUAGGUCAUUUAACCAGUGGCAUGGUGGGUGAUUUUGGUACAACUUCAUGAGGAGGUAUAAAAAUAGUGUUUUUGAAGCACCCUUUAAGGAGUUUGAAAAUUUUCAUAAAACUGCCCUCUAGUUUCAAUUUUUAAGCUAUAGCUCGUGGAGCUAGACGUGUUUGGAUAGAAGCUGAAAUAGACUUAAAAUUCUUAAAGUAAAGCUCUCCCAAACAGGGCCGAAAACUCUAGUCAAACACUCUUAGCUUCACCAACUCAGUUUCACCAAAAAAAGGUGAAAUGGACCCUAAGUUCACCAAGGGUCUGUUUGGAAGAGCUUCAUUUCAAAAAUUUCAGGUCUAUUUCAGCUUGUUCUAUCCAAACGGGUCCAGCUCCACGAGCUCUAGUUCCAAAAAAACUGAAACUAGAGACCAGUUUCAUGAAAUUUUUGAAGCUCCUCGAAGGGUGCUUCAAAAACAUUGUUUUCAUACCUCCUCAUGAAGUUGCACAAAAAUUACCCACCAUACAUUCAUUUGUUACAUGACCUAUCAAUUCAUGUCUCUUUCUCCAUCCAUUAAUCAUCAAAGGUAAUUAAGGAAACUCGCACAAAUUAACUAUAUUACAGAAGCUGGAGUCUAUGUGCAAACCAAACACUCUUGAAUCCUGUCUUACUAAUCUGUUGAAACCGUUUCAUGGCGAAGCUAGAAAACCGAAUCUGCAAUUCUUGAAAUGACCCUCCCAAACAGGGCCUAAAUCUAUGAAGCAGCCAAAAGGGUGCUUCAUGAAUCGAUAUUUUAAAUUCACUCAUGAAGUUAGGAUGAAAUUACUCACUUUUUCCAUUGGUUACAUGCCAAACGAAUCGUUUUUCCUAUUUCUGUCACUGAUCGAUGGUCGCGCCAGCCGCAUGCGCCUCACACCAAGACCAGCCAUUUGCAAUAAACCUUUCCUCUUCUCCAUGGAUCCGCUACAGCCGUCGCCGACAUGCAUAGAUUGACGUCGGAGCUCGCCGGGGACAUGUGAUGUGCGCCGACAAACCUCAGCACAGAGCUACUUGAGCUCGCCACCAUCGUUGCGGUGGCCACAGGGGCCUGUGCGUGCGGUCCAGUGUUCACUUUCUCAAAUCGAAAUCAACAUGUUUCGAUGAAUUAUUCCGUUUUUGUUAAUCACCGAAAAUCGAAUUUCGUUCCAAAUUUUAGUAGAUUUCGAUUUAAAAUAUAAAAAUACGAAAUUCAAUUUCGUAUCUAUGCAAACAAAAUUGUGAACCCUGGUGCGGGCAGCCGGAGCUUAGGCAUGCCAUCUAGCUGCCUCGACACAACCAGGCGUGGGGAACCCGGUAGAUGUCAGCAUGAGGGCGUCGACCUCCACGCCCGCACGUCCAAUGGUCUGCAAGUCGCGACAGUUAUUCAGCUUUUCUUGCAUGCCAUAUGAACUGGUCAAUUGUUUAGUGAACUUUUUCCAACUUGGUCAUUAUGGUUACUAUACAUUGAGUAGACGGACGAUAAUCAUUUUCAUGCUUGGUGUAUUUGAUUGGCCAGGCGGUGACAAGACCUCUAAUACUACCUCUGUUUUUUUAAUAUUUAUCGUAUGUUAGUUCAUUUUUAAACUAAUGACAACUAACAAAGAACGGAGGUAGUAUUAAUUGAUUACAACAACAAAAACAAUCCCAUACAUAUUCAAGGGUACAAGAGACUUUUCUAAACAAAAUCUCAUUUUAUUGAAGCUAAAGUUGAUCUCCAUGCCAAACAUAUUUAGAAACUCCGUUAAUUUGAAACAGGGAUGCUCAAUUGUGAAGUUUAUUAUGAAGAUGAGCUGGUUUAUGUGAAGUUGAGCUGUGCCAAACACACCCUUAGCUUACGGAGAGCUUCUGGCUACCAGAAGCUGCUUUUGCUCCCUAGAUGCAUUAGAGUUGUACAUUUGGGUCGGGUCUUGCGGGUUGACACAAGACAGAAAAAAGCAUGACACGCACUACACAAAAUUAUUUCGGGCUAGCCAGGCCCAGCCCAAUGCAUCGGACCAUGCUUGGGUCGAGGCCAUGACCCAUGGGCGAGCAUGAGCCCGAACCAUUUAUGCAAACAUGAAAAAACCCACUGUUGGGGACUUGUUCUCAAAUGCUAUGAUUUAAGAACAAGGCAACACAGAAAGAAGUUAAUGGUUAAUGCACUUCGUCCUUCGAAGCAUUAUUCCCUCAGGAUAUAACGAUCUUUGGACGAAGGUCAUGAAGGACAUACCUUCAUCAUCGCAAUUUACAUUGAUGAAAGAAGAAGCAUGCAAAAUAUGAGAAAUAACAUGAAUAAUCACAUAACAUCAUUUAUAUGACCUUAUUAUAUAAUCAUGAAUGAAUAAAAAUAAUACUGAAUUACAUUUAUACCUUGGGCUUGACAGAAGACAAAAGUACAAGUGUGACGCACGAGCGAAUACAAGUCAGCGUGAACAGUACGGGGGUAUUGUUCAUCUAUUUAUAGGCACAGGGCGCAGCCUGUGUAAAAUUACAUUCAUGCCCUUCAUAUUCACUAUUGACUUAAGAACAAUCUGUCGAGGACUAGAUAGCAUUUUCCUCCUUAAGUCGGUUCUUUUUUCUGCUACUGAGCCGAAGCUUCCUUGCGCGCAGCUUCGGCGCUGGUUCAACCUUCAUUACAACCCUGCUUUUUCGUAUUGUGUACAGCUUCAUCCCGAGUUCGAAGGUUCCUGUACAUAUAUUAUGCUUGGGAAACGUUGUUAAUCAUGAUUAUGAGGACCUUCAGAAGAUGAAGGCCCCCAACAGUAGCCCCUCGCAGUAUUAAUUUGUUAUAACAACGAAUUCAGACUGCGACGUGAACGAAGGCCUUAAGCCGAAGGUCCGAAAAAACACCUUCCCUUUGCUAGAAUAGCAACAAUCAAUGACAGACAGGGCCCUCCAAGUUGCAGCGUACUAGGCGUAUAAAUAUGAACUCACACCGACUGCAUUUGAUACGCUGUUUCUGCCAUUUGCAUUAUUUUCUCAAACUUUUAGCUCUUGCUCACUAGCGCUCGUUAAAUUUUCAAGCUUUUUGAGCUUCGGUUAAAAGACGCGUUUUUACCAUGUCUGGGGAAAAAUGAUUGAGAAGGAGAAGCUGACUGAGGAGAUGAAGCUGUUUGAGGAGAAGAAGGUUGCAGAUCCUUAUAUUGCUGGAUUUAUUGAGUCGAUGGCAAAGACAAACAUAGAGAAGAUUACUAAAGAGAUACUGGAAGGUUUAUCUGAAGAUACUGGUGACAGUGAUAGCUAUGAUGUGGAAAGUGGAGAUGAAGAUUCUGAAGACCGGCCCUGGCGACCAAGCCAUACUGUCUUCGGAAAAUCGACCAUUAAACAGAGUCAUCUUGAGAACAUGAGAGGAAGGUACUUUCGGAACAUGUCUAUCGUGAGGGCUAGCGGAGACAACAACGUCCCUGCUCCUGAGGAAAACGAAGUUGUUAUCUAUCGAAGCUUUUUUAAGGCUAGACUUCGGUUUCCUUUAAGCAAGUUUGUAGUUGAAGUGCUGAAAAUCUACCAUAUCUUCCUUCAUCAGAUCACCCCCGAAGCUAUAAUGAGGAUGGGGAUUUUUGUCUGGGCUAUAAGGAGUCAAGGGCUAGAGCCAAGCGUGAAGUGCUUCUGCAGUAUGCACGAACUCUUAUAUGAGACGAUGGCUACUGGCAAAGAACAGUACCACAACAACUUCGGUUGUUAUGGAUUUAUUGCUCGCCGCAAGCCACCCGGUGCCAACAUUUUGGAAGAGAUAGCCCGGGGCGUGGAUGGAAGAGUGGUUUUAUGUGAAGAAUGAUUUAAAGGCAAGGGAAGACAUUAAAGAAAUCAUCAUGCACCCCAUCUGGUCCCGCUUCAGCCUCCGAAGGCCGAAGGUAGAAAUUGAUGACACUGUCAAAACAUGUCAGAGGGCUUUCAGCACUGUUAGCUCCUUCAUUGGCACAAGAGAUUUGAUUCAAGAACAUAUAGCCUUCAGGGUAUGGCCGCUUGUUGAAAGCUGGGAAAUGCCGAAGGAGACCACCACUGAUUCUAGUGAUGGUGGUCUGGUCCGACUGAAAUAUACCUUUAGAUUUAGGGAGAAGUUUGAUGAGCCAAACGACGAUUGGCUGAAGUGUAUUGAAGCUACCAGCAUGAGUUGCUUGGAGCUUACUCCAAGGCCGAAGAUAAUGCUCUGUCCGCAGCCUUCGGAGAUCGAGGGAAGAAAAGACUGAACAAGGGUUUUGACGCAAUCGGCUUCAUAUACCCCGAUUAUCGCUACCCACUACGAGGACAAGAGAAAAAGAGGAAGAUUGCUGCUUCGGUCACCCCAACUGAGUCUGUGCCGAAGAGCAAAAAGGUGAAGGUUCUGACCCACUGGCCGCGUUACAUUGAACCGGUCGUGGUGCCUGAAUUUGGCACAGGGUCCACUCCAACAGCCGAAGGGCCGACUGUAAUGCCGAAGACGCAUAUAGUCAAGGCAGACGAAGAUAAGGUUGAUAAGGCUGAAGGGUCAAAGGUUGAAAAAAUGAUGCAAGUGCCAAAAAUUCUGAGCCCUCCGAUGGAGGCAACACAGCCGAAGGUGCAAAAGGCUUCUGCUGCAACUCCCAAGAGGAGGAGAAUGGCCAACGUGCUGGAUGUUGUGCUGGAAACUACGAAGGUUUUAAGCCCUGCUGAUACAAAGAAAGUUGCCGAAACUACAAAAACGCAGGCCGAAACCAAAACUAGGCAAGCAGAAACUGAAGCUACGCUAGCUCAAACUGAAGCCGAAUCUGGGCCUUCAGUGCCCACCGAGAUGGAGCCUACUAAUCCUAAGGAAAAAACAACAGAACAGAUUGCAUCUGAAAAGAUCGAAGCUCCUGCUCCCGAAGCUUCGAACAAAAGCAUUGACUACAUUAUUCGUCAUGCUUCGGGAAAAGAACUAUCCCAAGAAGAAAUGCUAGAAGCACGACACUACGCCAAAAAAUUGAAAUAUCCGAAGGGAGCGUUAGUGUUCAAUGGUAGUGACGAAGAAGAUUUUAUGUACUGUCUCCCGGAUAACAAAGAAAUAUCCGUUUGCCGGGAGAUAGGUAAAAGCAUCGGAUUCCCGAAGCUGGAAUACGACCUUUCGAUUUUAUCGAAGGAUGAACUUGCUAACAUCCUAGCAUACAAUAGCAUAAAGGUAUAAAAGUUAACUUGGAAUUUGAAAAUGAGGUAUUUCAUUUGUCAUACUCAAUUCUUUCCUCCUCUUGCAGGGCUUGAUUCUUAGUAAUGCCCUUAGGGCGCAGAAAAAUAUUGAAGACGAAGGCUAUACGAUGGCUCUGAACAACCUUCGUUCAGAGGUGAUUGAAUUGAGAAACGAAGGUCUUGAAAAAGACAAAAUCUUAAUUUCUCUGGUUAACAAAGUGAAAGAGGACGAAGCUAGUUUCAAAGCUCGUGCCGAAGCCCAAAAGAUUGAAAUUGAAGACCUUCGGAGGCAACUGGCCGAAGCUAAGGAAAAAUGCGCACUCGCAGAAGCUAAUCAAGAAAUCAGCGAAUAUUGGAAAAAUCAUUUAGAGAAAAAUGUUGAAGAACUUUGCACAUCCAAGUAAAAAUGCUUUGAAAAAUCCUUGGAUUGUGUGAAGAAAAUAAAAGUUAGUUUCGCCAAAGUGGUGCCUAUUCUGCCGAAGAAAACUUCAUACGAGGCGACCCCGAAGGCGUUAUUGAAUGGAUAAGUGGAGAGGCCGAGACCUUUGAAGAAAUUUUAAGUGAUCGCGGGGAUGUUUGUGCGUUUUCCGGUGCACGGGGAAUUUCAGCCAUCUUGGAGAAGGCGGGAUGUGAUCACAUCAAGACCGUGGCCCAGGCCGAAGCUGCCUUCUCCGUAGAUGAUACGAAGGAUCCUUCAGCUGAAGCGACCUUGAUGGGCGGAAAAUUUUACAAUGAUGUCUGGGUGAAUGGUGGCCGAGAGAUGGCCCAUGAAAUUAUAAAGAAAAGUGAAAAAGAUACACAUGACGCCCGAGCAGAAGCAAGGCGAGCUGAAGAAGCUGCAGAGCGCGAAAAACGUAUAGGUAUUGCUUUUUGGCUUUUAGCUUCGGCAUUUGUUUUUGUGGCUUCAGACUGAUUAACUUUUCCUUCUUCAGCUGAAUUAUCUCCGCCGCCGGAACCGUUCGAUCCCCUAGCGGAUCCAGAAAUGAAGGAAGCGCUGGACAUUAUAAACAUGGCUGAAUCCAUUGUUGAUGAAGUUGUUAACAAAUUACUGCACGAAGUUGCAGAGAAAGUCCUUAAAGAGGAAUAACACUUAUUGUAAAAACAUUUUGAGAUGGUCAAUGUAUGAGACACUAGAAUGGACAUUGUACUUUUAUUGUAACAAGACUCUAAUAUUUGAUGUGUGUAGCUUUGAAUCGAAUAUAUAAAUUAUUGUAAUCCAUUUCUUUGCGAUGCAUGAAACUUUACAUACGUACCGUUUUUGAGCCUUCGGCGAAAAAACACCUUCCCUUCUUUUCAUGCUUUGUAAAGAAAAAGAUCCAUGCUUCGUAAAAAUAUCCAUGCUUCGCGAAGAGGGAUCCUUUCUUUUGUGACAAGGCUGAUGAAGCUGUAUUUCUCGAAGCUUACUUCGUGCCUUAGCACAUUUUCAUUUUUAUGAAGCAUUCGCCGAAGAUCAACUCUGUAUUCGAUUCUCGUGUCAUUGAUGCGAUAUGAUGUAUGAUGUGAUGCUAUGCGAAAUGAUGUGAUGAUAUGACGCAAAAUGAUACUGAUGCCAAAGAUACACACCCACACACCCACACUGGAAUACACAAACUCUGCACCCCCUUAGGAACGACUUUUGAGCUUCUUCACCAUUUAUUUUUCAGUGUUCACCGUUUAUUUUUCGGUGUAAGUUCUGCAUCCCCUUAGGAACAACUUUUGAACUUCUUUGCCUUCUAUUUCGACGGUAUAAGUUCUGCAUCCCCUUAGGAACGACUUUUGAACUUCUUCGCCUUAUAUUUCAGCGGUAUUUGGCUCUGCAUUCCCUUUGGAACGACUUUUGAGCAAAAAACUUACGCUGCGCUCCCUUAGGAAUGACUUUUGUAGCUUCGACAAUUUUGACUUUGCAUUCCCUUAGGAACGACUUUUUAGCUUCGAAAUUCUGUGAAGAAGAUUUUGGGCUUCGUAAUUCUGUGAGGAAGAUAUAUUUAAUUCUGAUAGAAGCAAAAUCAUUACAAGAAUUUAAAACUAAAUUUACAUUACUUGUUCCUUAUUAAAAAGCAAAAUGGCAUAGAACUCAACAGCAUUUUAGAGGUAGGAUAUCGCUCAGUAUAUGUGCUUCGAUUCUGGUACAAUACUAUUGACUGUACGAGCUUCGGACUCCUCCCUGAAGUCACGUUGUUGCUGGGAGUGUUGACGCCCUUCCGGCUGCUGGCUUCGGGAAUAAGUGGGCUGCAGUGGUGGUAGCGGUGGAAGCUGGGGCCAAGAAGCCUGUGAAUGGCUUGCCGAAGCAACAGAGGCUGCAGGUUGAUUGCCCACGUAUUCUGGUAUGUAAGGAGAGUGGCACGAAGCAGUGCGCAAAACCUGCUUCGGCUGAUUCUGUCGAGCUUCGGCUUCGGCGAUCUCCUUUUGUUUCAGAAUAGUGAUUUGGCACAUUCUUGUAGUGUGGCCCUUGUCUUCACCACAGAACAAGCAAUAAAUUUUCCUGGGUUGAUCCCCAUAUCUUCCUCCAAAGCCCCUGGCGCCUUUGCCCCUUGGAGCUGGUGGCCUGAAGGAGCUUUGCUGCUGUCCCAAAGACUGUGAGGUGUGUUGUGGCCUCUGAAGCUGGCUUCCUUUAUCGUCAUUCUGACUGGAGCUGUGGAUUAAUCUGACAUGCCUAGGGUGGAUUCUUCCUCCGAAGCCCCUAGUCAUCUCAGAAAAUCUGUAAGCUUCUUCCCUUCUUUGUCGGAAGUCAUUGUCAGCUCAGAUGUACUCAUCCAUCUUCUGAAGUAGCUUCUCCAGAGUUUGGGGAGGUUUCCUGGCGAAGUAUUGAGCUGUGGGUCCUGGCCGAAUACCCUUGAUCAUGGCCUCAAUGACAAUUUCAUUGGGCACUGUGGGCGCUUGUGCUCUUAGUCGCAAGAACCUUCGGACAUACGUGAAAGGGAAAUAUGCCCUUGGGCAAUUUCUAUAAUGUUAUGGUGAUUAAGUGCCCAACAUGUUAUUAUGUGCCAAAUAAAGCAAGAAGUGCAAAUCAAGGUGUUGGGGACUUGUUCUCAAAUGCUAUGAAUUAAGAACAAGGCAACAUAAAAUGUUAAAUAUCAAUGCCCUUCGUCCGCCGAAGCAUUAUCUCCACAAGGAUCUAAUGAACUUCGGACAAAGGUCAUGAGCAUAAUAUUACGAAGGUUUCACCUUCAUAAUUAAAUUUAUAAAUAUAAUACAAAGUAAUGUAAAAUGUGAAACAUUAAAGAUAAAUAUAUUGAAAAUAAAUGACAUCAUUCAUAUAUCUUAUUAUAUGAAUCUAAGAUGUUUGAAUAUAACGUUUAGGUACAUUUAUACCUUUGCCUUGACAAACAAUAAUUCCCGAGUGAUGCAUUUGCAAUUACAGGAAUGCGUGAACAGUAAAGGAAUAUUGUUCACUAUUUAUAGGCACAGGACACAGUCUGUGAGGAAUUACAAUCACACCCCUCAUAAAAGUUUACAACAAUGACUCAGACCCUUAUGGACUAAAAGGUCAUUCUAUCUUUAAGUCGGUUCGACCCUUCAUCUUCGGAUAUGCUGUAAUACCGAAGCUUCAUGAAUGGUGCCUUCGGCGUCACGUACGAGCAGCUUCAGCCGAAGCUGUCUCUUUCUGUAGGACCUUCGGCGACGAAGCAUGGUCCCAACAGUAGCCCCUUCGUGGUGCUAGAUCGUUUUUCGUAACGAGCUUGAUCCGUGAAAAAAGUCUCUUAGGCUUCAGGAAGCCGAAGGUCCGAAAAACACCUUUCCUGAGCUCGUUGUCGAGAAACGAUACAGUUUUCGAGCGCGUAGCGGUCCCACCAUGCAGGUUCACUAUUUUGGUUUUUGCGGCCCACCAUGCAGCGGGUGCGAGCAACUGUUUGCCUGGUGUAAAAAUCCUGACGAUUUACCUUCUUACCUGCAGCACUAUAUAAACAGACAGGUAGGUGUGAAGUUACCACAGCAUUCAUUGCUAUUGCACUGUUCUGCUGCCAAAAAUUUAACCAUAUCUGAAGCUUGACUUUCGCAUUCAAACGAAGCUCCAGUUUGGUGUCUGCUUCGUCAGAAGAAGAGCUUCGGAAGAAAGGUUAUUAAUUUCUAAGAAAUUUUCAAGAAAUUCAAAAUCAAAUGGCCAGAGUGCGCUCUACUGCUAGAGUUGAGCGCGAAGGAGACGAAGCCGAAGCUAUGGAAACUGUUCCUAUCUCGGAAGCAAUGAAGCGAUUUGGGUUGAUGACAUCGGAAGACAUCCCUGCUGCUGAAGCAGAACAAGCAGAUAUUGAAGAGACUGAUUCUGAAGGUGAUCACAGUAUCGCAGUUCCGAGCAAGCCCAGCCACCUGGACUUCGGAAAGUCAACCAUCUCCAAGGCUGAUUUUCCUAAGAUGGUGAAGUCGGGCUACUUUAGCGAAGAAGAGAAAAAGCUGAUUCGCUUCGGUGGAGAAGAAACUACCCCGAAGCCACAGAAAGACGAAAUAGUGAUUUUCAAGAGUUUCCUCAAAGCUGGUUUGAGAUUUCCUUUGAAUAGGAUGAUUGCUGAUGUGCUAAAGAAAUUUGGGAUCUACCUUCAUCAACUAACUCCUAACGCUAUUGUUAGGCUUAGUAUUUAUAUUUGGGCUCUCCGAAGCCAGGGGGUGAAACCGUUUGCCGAAGGUUUCUGCCGAGUGCACGAGCUACAUUACCAAACCAAGGCCAGAAAGGAUGGGUUACAUGAAAAUUUUGGUUGUUAUAAUUUUGCUUAUCGGAAAAGUACAAAAUUUCUCGUGAUCAGCUAACGAAGCAAGUGGCCGGCAGGCUGGAAAUCAGAAUGGUUCUACGUCAAAGUUGACGAUGACAAGGAGAAGCUGGUAUAGAGUCCGCUUGAACUGAUCUUCGGAGAGACCAGACCCCAAUGCAGUAUGACACCAGAAGGUCCAACCCAAACGGCGUUGGCCGAAUUUAGGAUUAUUGCAGAGCACAUUGGCACUAGAGAUCUAGUGCAAGAAUUUCUGGCGUUCAAAAUAUUUCCAACUAUGAAGGAAUGGGCUAUGCCGAAGCUCGAAAGAGAGAAGAAGGAGGGGGAGCUUGUCCGCCUGCCCUACCACUAUAAGUUCAAGAAAUAUUUUAAAGCACCCUACCAAGAAUGGCUCGAAACAAUCGAAGUAAUGAGUACUGAAAUUCUUGGGAAUUAUUCUAAAAAAGAGGAUCAAUUGAUGACAGCAGCCUUCGGCACCCGGCCGAAACGAAGGCUAAACAGAGUGCUUGAUGCUAUAGGCUUUGAAUACCCUGAUUACGAGCGGCUAGACAAGGGUGCCGAAGGGCAGAAAAGGAAAAGAGUAGCUAGCACUUUGAUUAAAGACGAUGAAGAUCAACCAAAAAAGAAGAAAGAAAAGUUUGAACCGAAGGUAGUUGCUCCAAGAAAAAGAAAAGCUGCAUCUCCAAAACCUGUAUCUCUAGAACCAAAGAGAUUGGUCCAAGAAGAGGAAAUUCCUGCGACACCUUCUGUUGCCGAAGUAGAAGAAAUUCUGAAGGUAAUAACUGAAUCUUUGCCUGUCAAGCUAAGUCCGCUGGCGCCGGAACUGACAAAGUUUUUUCAGAAGGACAAAGAAGCUUCGGCAGCAGAAAGCCCUGCGAAGCCGAAAAAACGGAGAAUCAUUCAAGUGACAGAUGUGAUUCAUCAGACGCCGCCACCGGUAUCGGCGUCAAAAAUUGCUAUUGUUGAGACCGCCGAAGCCGAAGCCGCCGCAGCCGAAGCUACCGGGGCCGAAACUACUGAAAUUGCAAUCGCCGGAGUCGAAGCCACCGGAGCCGAAGCUACCGGAACCGAAGCUACCGGAGCCGAAGCCGAGACCACCGAAGAUUCGAACCUGGAAACCACACUUGAAGUUAUUGACAAUAUACUUCUGAAAAUGGCUGAAGAAGAAGCUGCUGUGGCUGCGGUGAACACGGCUACUGAAAAAGGAAAAGAGCAGGUUGAAGACAUUUUGGAGGAAGGAAAUUUUAACUUUCAAGAUUUACUUGGGCAAGAAUUAACAAGUGAUGAAAAAGAAGAGCUGAAAAAAUAUGCUAUAUCCUAUGGAUAUAAACCAGGGUCUAUGCUAUUUGGUGGGGUCAACGAAGGGAAGCUAAGAUGCCUUCGGAAUCGCACCGAGGCCAAAGUUGUUAGGACCUUCUCCAAAAGCGUUGGCCUGCCGAAGAUAGAAGCGGACCUUUGCAGGUACCAGCGACAACAUAUCGCCGGUAGCUUGCUUUAUGCUAAUUUUAAGGUAAAAAUAUUAUUAUUAUUUUAUUAUUAUUACUAUUUUUAUGUCGUUUUCUGACGAAGGUUGUUUUGGCAGAGUAUAUUAUUAAGUAAAGUGCUAAAAAUGCAACAAGAUCUUGAAGAGGAGAAGAACAAAGCUAUCAUCAAAGAUUUAGAAGAAAAAGUUGAAAAUUACGAAGCUGUUCUGAAGAAGAAGGACUUCGCCAUUCAAGAUCUUGAAAUCAUGGCUAAAGAACAUGAAGGUGUCUUAGAAAAGAAAGACUUUAUUAUUCAGUCUAUGGAAGGCUCCUUGGCUGAAGUCCAAGCCAAAAAUGACAGUUUAAAGAAUGAAUUACUCAAGAAGUUAGAAAAAUCUGAGCAAGAAAAGAAGAACCUUGAAACAAGUCUCAAGACUGAGAUCGAGAAAAAUUCAAAUUUGCAAAAAUCAUUGAAGGAACUUCAAGAGAAAUGCCUAAAUUUCGGCAGCCGAUGCGUGCAGCGGCUGAAGGAUGUGUUUCACUCUAUCGGAGCUAGUUCUGAAAAAUUUUCACCUUCAGCCGAGAACCUGCCCAGCACCUUGGAAUAUAUUGAAGGCGAGGUUGAUGCUCUUGACGAAGUUAUUGCUAGGCAUGCUGACUUCUGCGCCCUGGUAGCUUCUCGGGGCACAGCUACCGCUUUUCUGAAGGCUGGCUGUACGCACGAAAAAAUUGUGAAUAGACCAAACUUCAGCUUGUCAGCAGCAGACUUGAUUGAUAUCCCAAGCCUAGCCCGAAGCAUCGGAAAUAGAUUUAUGACCCAGAUUUGGGUAAAUGGCGGGCGAAAGAUGGCUGGUGAUGAAGCUCGAAGCCACCUUAAACCGGUGAGAAACUUAUAUUUGUUACUUUUACCUUCUCCUUGAAAUUUGCACCUUUCUUAUUCUGUUCUUUAAUAUGUGCAGGAUGACGAAGCUGAAGUAUGACGAAGCUGAAGUAUGACGAAGUUGAAGUAUGACGAAGCUGAAGCUUAAUAGUUGCUAUAAUAGACUUUCCUGCAAAAAAUUCUGGAGAGAUCCUUGUAAUAUGAUUAUGGAAAAACUUAUGUAAAUUUGUACAUACCUUGUAAUAUAUCUUGUCUCCUUUAUCCGCGUACAAUCUGCUUUGCUGUGAACGAAACUACACUUUUGAGCUGAAGGCGAAAAACACCUUCCCUUCUUUUCGUACACAACGAAGCAUGAAAAUUUUGCUCUUUCUUCAAAGUUUUUCCUCGUUGCCGAAGCAUCUAUCUUUUUUGUGUGGUAUGAUGAUGACGAUUCUAUAUAUGUCUAAAUGAAUGUUUAUGAAUGCAAAUGACAUGAUGUAAUGUAUCGUGCAAAUGAAUAUCGGAACACAUAUUCAAAAACCAUAAUCAUAGCCCUUCAUCCCCUUGGGAAUGAUUCAAAUCUUUUUGCGUUUACUUUUCGGCUCCACCGUUUACUUUUCGGCGUAUCAGCGCUGACUUUUCGCUGUAAGCCUCCCUUAGGAGCUUCUUCGCCUUUUACUUUCAGCGGAAUCAGCGUUUAUUUUUCGCUGUAAGCCUCCCUUAGGAGCUUCUUCGCCUUUUACUUUCGGCGGAAUCAGCGUUUAUUUUUCGCUGUAAGCUCUGCAUUCCCUUAGGAACGACUUUUGAGCUUCUUCCUGUUUUCUUUUCUUUUUUCCUUUGCAUUUACGUUUACAUUUUUUGGGGGAUAUCACUCUUAUAGAAUUGAAAUAAGGAAAAGAAAAAUUACAUGUUGUGGCCCCAUUAAAAACCUUUCUCCCCCUUUGGAAAGGAAAAGGGUGCCACAAAAAAGAAUAGAAAAAAUUACAUCAAGCUAAACAUAAUAUCGCCGAAGCUCAUCCGCAUUCCAUGAUCUAGGAAUGUCGUUGCCGUCCAUAUCCUUCAAUCUGUAGGAACUGGGUCUUGACGAAGAUACUACCAAAAAGGGUCCUUCCCACUUCAGCUGUAAUUUGCCUACUGUGUCAGGGUUAGCUACUCUUCGAAGCACCAAGUGACCUGGUUCAAUGUUCUUCAGCCUAACCUUUCUGUCACGCCAUUUUAUUGUUUCAGCUUGAUAUUUGUUGAUGUUUUCUACAGCUUGAAGCCUGAUCCCUUCUAUAGCAUCUUUUUCCACAGAGUAAUUAGCUUCGUCUUCGCCUUCUGCCGAAGCUACUGUUCUUAUUGAUCCUGCUUUGGCUUCUUCCGGGGUUAUUGCCUCAUCACCAAACAAUAGUUUGAAUGGCGUAAAGCCUGUUGAUCUUGACACUGUUGUAUUAUGGCUCCACACUACUUUGAUUAAUUCGUCUGGCCACUUUCCCCUAGGCUGGUUGAAGAUUAACUUCAUUAUUCCUGUCAUAAUGAUCCCAUUAGCUCUUUCAACAAGUCCGUUUGACUCCGGAUGUCGAACUGAUGCAAAAUGGAUCUUCUUGCCAAUUUGAUCACAAAAUUCUCUGAAAGCUUCAGAAUCAAACUGUGUCUCAUUAUCCACAGUAAUGGCCUUCGGCACUCCGAAGCGACAAACAAUAUUUUGCCAGAAAAACUUUUGAAUAGUAACCGAAGUUAUUGUGGCUAAAGGCUUUGCCUCAAUCCACUUAGAAAAAUAUUCCACUGUCACUACAAUAUAUCUUAAGUUCCCCUGUGCUGGUGGUAAUGGACCUAGCAAAUCAAGGCCCCACCUUUGCAACGGCCAAGUGGGUUGUAUUAAUUGAGUUAAGGACGAAGGUUGUUUUUGAUCUCUUGCACAUUUCUGACAAUCUUCGCACUUUUGGACUAAAUCUGCUGCAUUCGAAGCUGCCUUUGGCCAAUAAAAUCCUUGACGAAAAACCUUUCCGAGCAAAGGCCUAGAUCCAAUGUGAGAUCCACACAGGCUUGCGUGUAUUUCUUUCAUCAAUUCUACGCCUUCGGCUCUGGAGAAACACUUGAGUAACGGGGAACAGACCCCACGCUUGUAUAGUUCCCCUUCUAUAUGACAUAUGGUCGAGCUCUUGCUUCUAUCCUCCUGUUAUAAGCUUCGUCAUCUGAAAAAAAAUUACCCUGAAGGAAAGAGAUGAUUUCAGUUCUCCAAUCUUCACUAUAGACAGGGGAUAUGUUGAGGACCGCUCUUUCAAGAAGCUCGACCGAAGGUGCUUUUAUUGUUUCGAAAAAUACUUCCGAAGGUAAGGGCAACCCCUGUGCUGCUGACUUGGCUAAUAGAUCAGCAUAUUCAUUUUCUCCACGAGGAAUAUUUUUAACAGAGAAUCCUUCGAAGGAAGCCUCAAUCCUUCGGACUGUAUCUAAAUAUUUUUCAAGCUUCAGAUCUCUUGCUUUAUAGCUCUUGUCAAUAUGACCAGAAAUAACUUGGGAAUCAGUUUUAAGAACGGCCCUUCUGAUUCCCAUUGCCUUUAACUUCCGAAGACCCAAGAGCAGAGCUUCGUACUCAGCAAUAUUGUUUGUGCAACUGAAAUCAAGUCUUGUCGCAUAACAAGUUUUAACUUUGGAAGGUGAAACCAACACAGUAGCUGCUCCCGCUCCGAAGGUUCCCCAAGACCCAUCGCAAAACAUUGUCCAUACUUCGGCAUCUUUAUUCAUUUCUUCCUCCUGAGCCCCUGGCGUCCAGUCAGCAAUGAAGUCUGCCAACGCUUGGGACUGAAUCGAAGAUCUAUGCACAUAAUCAAUACAAAAUUCAUUGAGCUCUGCAGCCCAUUUUCCAAUCCUUCCAGUAGCUUCUCGAUUUCUCAUAAUAUCCUUCAACGGUUGUGAAGAAGGAACAAUUAUAUUGUAAGCUUGAAAAUAAUGCCGAAGCUUCCUGGAGGCCAUCAAAACAGCAUACAGUACCUUCUCCAAUUCUGUAUAAUUUUUCUUUGAUGGACUAAGAACUUCUGAUACAAAGUAUAUUGGGGCUUGCUUUUUGACUUGACCUUCAAGCUUCUCCUGGACAAGUGCUGCACUUACCGCUGAGUGCGAAGCUGCCACAUAUAACAAAAGAGGAGCCCCUGGCGUUGGUGGAGUUAGUGUUGUUAGAUCUAUCAAGUAUUGCUUCAGCUCUUCGAAGGCUCUCUGCUGGACUGGUCCCCAUUGAAAAACUUCGGCUGACUUUACUUCGAAAAAUGGUAAAUUUCUCUCUGCUGAUCUAGAUAUGAAUCUGUUGAGAGAUGCCAGUCUUCCUGUCAAUCUUUAAGCUCCCUUCUUUGUACUUGGUGGUUCCAUUCGAAAGAUUGCUUCGAUUUUGUUUGGAUUGGCCUCAAUUCCUUUUGUUGAAACUAGGCAACCAAGAAAUUUCCCCUUCUUCACUCCAAAGGCACAUUUUUCUGGAUUCAGCUUUAAACCAGCCUGUCUAAAAUUAGCGAAGGUCUCCUGCAGAUCAGCAAUGUGAUUAUCUUGCUUCGUGCUUUUUACAAUGAUAUCAUCAACAUAAGUUAGCACAUUCCUGCCUAUCUGAGAAUGAAGAACCUUCGCUGUCAUUCUGCUGAAGCUUCCUCCAGCAUUCUUAAGCCCCUCAGGCAUCCGAAGGUAACAAUAUGUUCCACUAGGGGUUAUAAAGCUGGUUUUCGGCUCAUCCUCCUUCUUCAUCCAAAUUUGGUGAUAGCCUGAAUAACAAUCCAGCAGACUCAUAAGUUCUGAUGAAGCUGCUGCAUCAACUAGGGAAUCUAUCCUUGGCAAUGGAAACUCGUCCUUUGGACAGGCCUUAUUGAGAUCAGUAAAAUCGAUACACAUCCUCCAUUUACCAUUGGCCUUCUUUACCAUAACAGUGUUAGCCAGCCAUUCUGGGUAUUUUACCUCUUUGAUAACUCCGGCACUGAGGAGUCUUUUGACUUCAUUCCGAGCACCUUCAGCCUUGUCAUCAGACAUCUUCCGAAGCCUCUGCUUUCUGGGUCUGAAGGAUGGAUCAACAUUGAGCGAGUGUUCAAUAACAUCCCUGUUAACUCUGCAAAGAUCAUUAGCUGACCAAGCAAAAACAUCUUUGUUGUUGAACAAAAACCUUAUCAAGGUUUUCUCCUGUUCUUCGGACAGUUGAGAUCCCAAUAGCACCUUCUGCUCUGCUAUGUCCUCACACAAGAGCAUGGGCUUCGGCUGAUCAGCCGAAGCAGCUUUUUCCCUUCUGAACUUGUAUUGCUCACAAGCUUCAGCUCCAUCUAUAUUAUGGAUUGCUUUUGAGUCUGUCCAAUUUCCUUCGGCCCUUCUGGCAGCUUCCUGACUUCCAUGAAUAGCAAUGGGCCCUUGGUCCGAAGGUAUCUUCAUGCAAAGAUAAGCUGGAUGAAGAAUUGCUUCGAAGGCAUUGAGAGUACCACGACCAAUGAUUGCAUUGUAAGGGUAUUCCAUGUCAACAAUAUCAAAUACAACUUGUUCAGUCCUUGUGUUGUUAAUGAAUCCGAAGGUUACUGGCAUUGUGAUUUUUCCAAGUGCUACGAUCUGCCUUCCUCUGAAGCCACAAAGGGGAUGUGUGGCAUCAUGGAUUUUGUCCUCGGGCUCUUGCAUCUGUCUGAAGGCCUUAGCAAAUAUGAUAUCAGUUGCGCUGCCUGUAUCAACCAAAACAUUGUGGACCAGAAAUCCUUUGAUCACACAAGAGAUAACCAUAGCAUCGUUGUGUGGGUAAUCCUUGAGUUGAAGAUCCUCUUGAGAGAAGGUAAUUGGAACGUGAGACCAUCUUGACUUGAUGAAGGGUCCUUGCACCCCGACAUGCUGUACCCUUCUCUGUGCCUCCUUCUUCUGCUUCUUGUUGGCUGGCUCUGAGCAUGAACCGCCUGUUAUCGGGAGUACCAGCUUUGGAGCCGAAGCAGCUUCAGCUUGAUUGUUGAACGAAGCCAUCAGCUAAAAAAAGUGGAAGUGAGUUCACCGGAGGUGGGCGCCAAUGUUGGGGACUUGUUCUCAAAUGCUAUGAAUUAAGAACAAGGCAACAUAAAAUGUUAAAUAUCAAUGCCCUUCGUCCGCCGAAGCAUUAUCUCCACAAGGAUCUAAUGAACUUCGGACGAAGGUCAUGAGCAUAAUAUUAUGAAGGUUUCACCUUCGUAAUUAAAUUUAUAAAGAUAAUACAAAGUAAUAUAAAAUGUGAAACAUUAAAGAUAAAUAUAUUGAAAAUAAAUGACAUCAUUCAUAUAUCUUAUUAUAUGAAUCUAAGAUGUUUGAAUAUAACGUUUAGGUACAUUUAUACCUUUGCCUUGACAAACAAUAAUUCCCGAGUGAUGCGUUUGCAAUUACAGGAAUGCGUGAACAGUAAAGGAAUACUGUUCACUAUUUAUAGGCACAGGACACAGCCUGUGAGGAAUUACAAUCACACCCCUCAUAAAAGUUUACAACAAUGACUCAGACCCUUAUGGACUAAAAGGUCAUUCUAUCUUUAAGUCGGUUCGACCCUUCAUCUUCGGAUAUGCUGUAAUACCGAAGCUUCAUGAAUGGUGCCUUCGGCGUCACGUACGAGCAGCUUCAACCGAAGCUGUCUCUUUCUACAGGACCUUCGGCGACGAAGCAUGGUCCCAACACAAGGCAAAAGGUAUGUUUCUAGACUUGGUGAUUUGGUUUUAUGUACUAACAUGAUUAUCCAAGUGCUAGAAACAAUGACUAAAGAAGAAAAGGAAAAGACUUGGCUCUGUGUAGCCAACUCCAGCUCGGCUUGGCACACCGAACAGUGUCCGGUGCGCCAGGCUGGUCCGCGUGAAAAGGCCGCUCUCGGGACUCGACGGCGGCGUACGACUAUAAUUCAUCAGACUGUCCGGUGCUGCACCGGACUGUCCGGUGAGUCGUCCGCGGCGAACUUGUCGCUCUCGGGAAAAGCAUCAGGGCGACGUGGCUAUAAUUCACCGGACUGUCCGGUGAGCCAACUGUCGCCAGUGCCAACGGUCGGCCGCGCAAUCUUCGCGCGACACGUGGACUGCUCCAACGGUCAGCUGGUGCACCGGACUAUCCGGUGUGCACCGGACAGUGUCCAGUGCGCCAAUCAGCCUAAAGGAGCAAUGGUUGGAUAUGCCAAAUCCAGAAGGAGAUCACGCACCGGACCAUCUACAGGACUUGUCCAGUGCGGCACUCGACAGAAGGCAAGGAUGGCCUUCCAAGUUUGUCUUCAACGGCUCCUAGCUGCCUUGGGGCUAUAAAAGGGACCCCUAGGCGCAUGGAGGAGUCACUCAAGCAUUCACUAAGAAUCCUAAGACUCCAAGACUCCAACUCCACACAUUUGAUUCUUUGUGUUAGUGAUUUGAGCUCCAUUUGAGUUGUGAACUCCGUGUGUUGUGUUUCGAGCUCAAGUCAUGACUUCUGUGCGUGGUUGUGCUGCGUAUUUGAGUCUUGUGUGUGUUGCUCUUCCCAACCUUAGUCUUGUGCAUUCUUUGUGAUCAAUAUUGUAAGGGCGAGAGGCUCCAACUUGUGGAGAUUCCUCGCAAACGGGAAGAAGACUAUAAGGAAGAAAGCUGUGGUAUUCAAGUUGAUCAUUGGAUCACUUGAAAGGGGUUGAGUGCAACCCUUGUCCAUUGGGACGCCACAACGUGGAAGUAGGCAAGUGUUAAUUGGCCGAACCAUAGGAUAAAAUCGCGUGUCUCUUGUGUUGCUUUCUCUGUGAUUGUUUUGUACACAAGAACUCGCCUCAAAGCUACUUAGUCGCACUAACUCUUUUAUAACUAAGUUUUAUGGCUAUUUAGUGUUUGAUUUUACGAGAUCACCUAUUCACCCCCUCUAGGUGCUCUCAAUUGGUAUCAGAGCCGUACUCUUCAUCUAAGGGACUAAUCGCCCGAAGAGAUGGAUCCUAAGGGAAAGGGGAUGGUGGUCAACAACAAAGAGAAGGAGUCCAUCUUCAACGAGCCAAGAGAUGACAAGCCCACUGACUCAGGCUCGAGUCACAAUGCCUACUUCCCUACUGCCCUUUCCCCUUUCGGGUAAGGUAGUCUCGCACUAGCUUUCCUAAUUAGUCAGCCAAGGGCGUCCCAUUCCACCCUUAUGGUGGCAUGUGUUUCUCAUGUUAAGCUCCAUGUUCCAAUUAACAAUAAUGAUCUUGACAUGAACAUAAAUAAAAUAACAAUAUAAUUGGAACAUGAAGAUAAUGUAAUAUUAAUCCCAAAACCAUAUAGAGCAAUAGCAAAACUACCCAAAUGAUUCAGGGGUGAACAAGGUAAAAAGAUAACUAGACUAAGGUGACCUAUUGGGUCCCAUCAAAAUUAAACCUAUGCAUGAAUAAAUGAUUAUAAAGAACAUUAUUGGGUAAAUAAAAGUGAUCAAGGGCACAACUUGCCUUCAAUGAGCUCCUGCUCAACAUCUUCUAUCUGCUGGGCACCAGGAUCCUCAGCCACUGGCUCUUCUACUCGCCACAAUACAAACAAGCAUAGUAUAAAGGAGAAAUUAACAUCACACCAAGCAACAAAAUACAUAAUAAUAAUCUACAUAUUAAAAUAAGAUCAUAGGAAAAAGGAUCAUUAAUUUUGGAGUUAUAGAUCUUAAGUUAUGAAUUUCUGAAGGUUUUAUGUGUUUUGUACAAGAUUAAAUAGGAUAUAAAUUUUAUUGUGACAUUCAUAUCAAAAAAGUGGUAAUAAAUGAUAAACAAUAAAAUUACAAAAUUAUAGGAAUUGGAAUGGAUUAAUUUAGACUUCAUAUGAAUUUUCUAUGAAUUAAACCAAUUCUAGCAUUUAUUUCUACAUUAAAAAUCCAUUUCUAUAUUUAUUUUCUGAUUUUUCUUACUCUCUGGAGUGAGCGCCAAUUACCAGAGAAGGCAGGGGGUCUGGCAUAAAAAUCCCUAGUAAAGCGCGGGGACUCAUACGCAAAAAUCACACGCCGAAGCGGUAUGGGCCGAUCGUGGCCGCUUGAUCUAACACGUGUGCCUCAGAUUAGAACUAGGUUUCCCCCGAACUGGUACCGAAUCACAGUCGUCAGAUCGAAAUCCCCCGGCUGAAGAUCCCCUAACCCCGUGCUACAAUAUCUGUCGUCAGAUCUAGAUGGGCGGCGCAGAUUAGACGCGACUUUAACCAAAACGGUACACAUCCAGCAUCGUUCGAUCAUCUCUCUACGCACCAGAUUCAAAAACCCUAGGAUCACCGUCCUCCCGUCCGAUCUAAAUCGGACGACUCACAUCGCCCCAAACACGAAUCGAUAUUGAAAGUCGCCUAGAGGGGGGGUGAAUAGGGCGAAUCUGAAAUUUACAAACUUAAUCACAACUACAAGCCGGGUUAGCAUUAGAAAUAGAAACGAGUCCGAGAGAGAGGGCGCAAAACAAAUCAUGAGCGAAUAAAGAGCGAGACACGAUGAUUUAUUUUACCGAGGUUCGGUUCUUGCAAACCUACUCCCCGUUGAGGUGGUCACGAAGACCGGGUCUCUUUCAACCCUUUCCCUCUCUCAAACGGUCACUUAGACCGAGUGAGCUUCUCUUCUCAAUCAAUUUGGAACACGAAGUUCCCACAAGGACCACCACACGAUUGGUAUCUCUUGCCUCAAUUACAAGUGAGUUUGAUCUCAAGAAAGAAUGAGAAAGAAGAAGCAAUCCAAGCGCAAGAGCUCAAAUGAACACGACAAAUCACUCUCUCUAAUCACUAAAGCUUUGUGUAGAGUUGGGAGAGGAUUUGAUCACUUGGGUGUGUCUAGAAUUGAAUGCUAGAGCUCUUGUAAGUAGUUGGAAGGUGGAAAACUUGGAUGACUUGAAUGUGGGGUGGUUGGGGGUAUUUAUAACCCCAACCACCAAACUAGCCGUUUGGUGGAGGCUGCUGUCGCAUGGCGCACCGGACAGUCCGGUGCGCCACCGGACACUGUCCGGUGCGCCAGCCACGUCACCAGGCCGUUGGGUUCCGACCAUUGGAGCGCUGACUUGUGGGCCCGCCUGGCUGUCAGGUGGCGCACCGGACAAGUCCUGUAUACUGUCCGGUGUGCCACCCACGCGUGCUCUGUCCUCUGCGCGUGCAGGCGCGCAUUAAAUGUGUUGCAGUCGACCGUUGCGCGCGAAGUAGUCGUUGCUCCGUUGGCUCACCGGACAGUCCGGUGUGCACCGGACAUGUCCGGUUAAUUAUAGCGGAGCGGAUUCCCGAAGCUGGCGAGUUCAGAGUCGCUCUCCCUUGGGGCACCGGACACUGUCCGGUGGUGCACCGGACAGUCCGGUGAAUUAUAGCGGAGCCCUCUGAAAAUUCCCGAAGGUGAAGAGUUGAGCGUCGAGUUCCCUGGUGCACCGGACACUGUCCGGUGGCACACCGGACAGUCCGGUGCGCCAGACCAGGGCAGCCUUCAGUUAUCCCUUGCUCUCUUUGUUGAACCCUUUUCUUGGUCUUUUUAUUGGCUUAGAGUGAACCUUUGGCACCUGUAUAACUUAUAGACUAGAGCAAACUAGUUAGUCCAAUUAUUUGUGUUGGGCAAUUCAACCACCAAAAUCAAUUAGGAAAUAGGUGUGAGCCUAAUUCCCUUUCAAUCUCCCCCUUUUUGGUGAUUGAUGCCAACACAAACCAAAGCAAAUAUAGAAGUGCAUAAUUGAGAGCACCUAGAGGGGGGGUGAAUAGGUGAUCCUGUGACACUUAAAAACUUAAGCCACAAAAACUUGGUUAAGUGUUAGCACAAUAACCGCCAAGUGGCUAGAGAGGAAUCUUCAACAAAACACAAUAACCAACAAGAUCAAUCACAGAGAUGGCACGGUGGUUAUCCCGUGGUUCGGCCAAGACCAACGCUUGCCUACUCCACGUUGUGGCGUCCCAACGGACGAGGGUUGCAAUCAACCCCUCUCAAGCGGUCUAAAGACCCACUUGAAUACCACGAUGUUUUGCUUGCUUUUUCUCAAUCCCGUUUGCGAGGAAUCUCCACAACUUGGAGCCUCUCGCCCUUACACUUGAAAUUCACAAAGAACACGGAGCAAGGGAGGGAUUAGCAACUCACACAAGACACAAGAAUCAGAGUGUCAACACGCUCACAAGUAGCAACAAGAGCUCGCAACACAACUUAAUGAGUUCACAACUCCACUAGAACUCUAUAUGCUAUCACAAUGAAAAGAAUGCGCGAAAUCGAUGUCUUGGUGCUUAGGAAUGUUGUAGGAAUGCUUGGUGUACUCCUCCAUGCGUCUAGGGGUCCCUUUUAUAGCCCCAAGGCAGCUAGGAGCCGUUGAUAGCAAUCUUGGAAGGCUGAUCUUGCCUUCUGUCGACUGGCGCACCGGACAGUCCGGUGCACACCGGACAUUGUCCGGUGCCCGAUUUCUUUCCAUAAACGAAGCAGUCGACCGUUGGCAGGCUGAGAGCCGUUGGCGCACCGGACAUGUCCGGUGCACACCGGACAGUCCGGUGCCCCCUUCUAGCCGUUGGCUCGGCCACGUGUCCCGCGCAGAUCGCGCGGCCGACCGUUGGCCCUGCCGACCGUUGGCUCACCGGACAGUCCGGUGCACACCAGACAGUCCGGAGAAUUAUAGCCGUACGUCGACGAUGAAUUCCCGAGAGCGACGAGUUCGCCUGUGAACGGCCCACCGGACAGUCCGGUGCACCACCGGACAGUCCGGUGAAUUAUAGCCGUACACCGCCGUCGAAGUCCCGAGAGCAGCCUUUUCCCUCGAGCCAGCCUGGCGCACCGGACACUGUCCGGUGCACCACCGGACAGUCCGGUGCACCCAGACUGGGCAGACUUUGGCUGCUCGAGCCAUCUCUUCUCCAACUCGAUUUUUUCUGUUUCCAGCACUUAGACACAACACAUUAGUCCAUAAAACAAUGUACUAAGUCUGAGAAACAUACCUUUAUCCUUGAUUUGUACUUUGUCCACCUUUUUACAAUUAGGCACUUGUGUUGAACACUAAAUCACCAAAAUACUUAGAAAUGGCCCAAGGGCACAUUUCCCUUUCAAUAAUUGAACUAGUUUGCAUAAUGUAAGUGCAAAGGUUGCUUGGAAGUGAGCCAAUAUGAAUACUUAUAAGAUAUGCAUGGAUUGUUUCUUUUAUUUUUUAACAUUUUGGACCACGCUUGCACCACAUGUUUUGUUUUUGCAAAUUCUUUUGUAAAUCCUUUUCAAAGUUCUUUUGCAAAUAGUCAAAGGUAAAUGAAUAAGAUUUUGCGAAGCAUUUUCAAGAUUUGAAAUUUUCUCCCCCUGUUUCAAAUGCUUUUCCUUUGACCAAACAAAACUCCCUCUCAAUGAAAUUCUCCUCUUAGUGUUCAAGAGGGUUUUAAGAUAUCAAUUUUGAAAAUACUACUUUCUCCCCCUUUUGAACACAAUAAGAUACCAAUUUGAAAUUUACUAAUUGAAAAUUAUUAGUUUUAAAAUUAGGUGGUGGUGCGGUCCUUUUGCUUUGGGCUAAUACUUUCUCCCCCUUUGGCAUGAAUCGCCAAAAACGGAUACUUUGAGUGAGAUAUAAGCCCUUUGAAUUACUUUCUCCCCCUUUGGUAAAAGACAUAUGAGUGAAGAUUAUACCAAAGAUGGAGAGUUGCUCGGAGCGACGGCGAAGGAUGAGUUAUGGAGUGGAGUGGAAGCCUUUGUCUUUGCCGAAGACUCCAAUUCCCUUUCAAUAGACCUAUGACUUGGUUUGAAAUUCACUUGAAAACACAUUAGUCAUAGCAUAUAUAAAAGAGACAUGAUCAAAGGUAUACUUAUGAGCUAUAUGUGCAAGACAUCAAAAGAAAUUCCUAGAAUCAAGAAUAUUUAGCUCAUGCCUAAGUUUGUUCAUCAAGUGGCUUGGUAAAGAUAUCGGCUAAUUGAUCUUUAGUGUUAAUAUAUGCAAUCUCGAUAUCUCCCUUUUGUUGGUGAUCCCUUAGAAAAUGAUACCGAAUGGCUAUGUGUUUAGUGCGGCUAUGCUCAACAAGAUUAUCCGCCAUGCGGAUUGCACUCUCAUUAUCACAUAGAAGAGGAACUUUGGUUAAUUUGUAACCAUAGUCCCUAAGGGUUUGCCUCAUCCAAAGUAGUUGCGCGCAACAAUGUCCUGCGGCAAUAUACUCGACUUCGACGGUAGAAAGAGCUACGGAAUUUUGCUUCUUUGAAGCCCAAGACACCAAGGAUCUUCCCAAGAACUGGCAAGUCCCCGAUGUGCUCUUUAUAUUAAUCUUACACCCCACCCAAUCGGCAUCCGAAUAAACAAUUAAAUCAAAUGUGGAUCCCCGAGGGUACCAAAGCCCAAACUUAGGAGUAUAAACUAAAUAUCUCAAGAUUCGUUUUACGGCCGUAAGGUAAGCUUCCUUAGGGUCGGCUUGGAAUCUUGCACACAUGCAUACGGAAAGCAUAAUAUCCGACCGAGAUGCACAUAAAUAGAGUAAAGAGCCUAUCAUCGACCGGUAUACUUUUUGAUCGACAGAUUUACCUUCCGUGUCGAGGUCGAGAUGCCCAUUGGUUCCCAUGGGUGUCUUGAUGGGUUUGGCAUCCUUCAUCCCAAACUUGCUUAGAAUAUCUUGAGUAUACUUCGUUUGGCUAAUGAAGGUGCCCUCUUGGAGUUGCUUUACUUGAAAUCCCAAGAAAUACUUCAACUCUCCCAUCAUAGACAUCUCGAAUUUCUGUGUCAUGAUCCUACUAAACUCUUCACAUGUAGAUUCGUUAGUAGACCCAAAUAUAAUAUCAUCAACAUAAAUUUGGCAUACAAACAAAUCAUUUUCAAGUGUUUUGGUAAAGAGUGUAGGAUCGGCUUUUCCGACUUUGAAACCAUUAGUGAUAAGGAAAUCUCUAAGGCAUUCAUACCAUGCUCUUAGGGCUUGCUUGAGCCCAUAAAGCGCCUUAGAGAGUUUAUAAACAUGGUUUGGAUACUCACUAUCUUCAAAGCCGGGAGGUUGCUCAACAUAGACCUCUUCCUUGAUUGGUCCAUUGAGGAAGGCACUCUUCACGUCCAUUUGAUAAAGCUUGAAGCCAUGGUAAGUAGCAUAGGCUAAUAAUAUACAAAUUGACUCAAGCCUAGCUACGGGUGCAUAGGUUUCACCGAAAUCCAAACCUUCGACUUGGGAAUAUCCCUUGGCCACAAGUCGGGCUUUAUUCCUAGUCACCACACCAUGCUCGUCUUGCUUGUUGCAGAACACCCACUUGGUUCCUACAACAUUUUGAUUAGGACGUGGAACCAAAUGCCAUACCUCGUUUCUAGUGAAGUUGUUGAGCUCCUCUUGCAUCGCCACCACCCAAUCCGAAUCUUGAAGUACUUCCUCUACCCUGUGUGGCUCAAUAGAGGAAACAAAAGAGUAAUGCUCACAAAAAUGUGCAACACGAGAUCUAGUGGUUACCCCCUUAUGAAUGUCGCCGAGGAUGGUGUCGACGGGGUGAUCUCGUUGGAUUGCUUGGUGGACUCUUGGGUGUGGCGGUCUUGGUUCUUCAUCCUCCUUGUCUUGAUUAUUUGCAUCCCCCCUUGAUCAUUGCCGUCAUCUUGAGGCGGCUCAUUUGCUUGAUCUUCUCCUUCAUCAACUUGAGCCUCAUCCUCAUGUUGAGUUGGUGGAGAUGCUUGCGUGGAGGAGGAUGGUUGAUCUUGAGUAUUUGGAGGCUCUUCGGAAUCCUUAGGACACACAUCCCCAAUGGAUAUGUUCCUUAACGCGAUGCACAGAGCCUCUUCAUCACCUAUCUCAUCAAGAUCAACUUGCUCUACUUGAGAGCCGUUAGUCUCAUCAAACACAACGUCACAAGAAACUUCAACUUGUCCAGAGGACUUGUUAAAGACUCUAUAUGCCCUUGUGUUUGAAUCAUAUCCUAGUAAAAAGCCUUCUACAGUCUUAGGAGCAAAUUUAGAUUUUCUACCUCUUUUAACAAGAAUAAAGCAUUUGCUACCAAAGACUCUAAAAUUUGAAAUGUUGGGCUUUUUACCGGUUAGGAGUUCAUAAGAUGCCUUCUUGAGGAUUCGGUGUAGAUACAACCGGUUGAUAGCAUAGCAGGCGGUGUUGACCGCCUCGGCCCAAAACCGAUCCGAAGUCUUGUACUCAUCAAGCAUGGUCCUUGCUAUGUCCAAUAAAGUUCUAUUCUUCCUCUCCACUACACCAUUUUGUUGUGGCGUGUAGGGAGAAGAGAACUCAUGCUUGAUGCCCUCCUCCUCAAGAAAGCCUUCGAUUUGGGAGUUCUUGAACUCCGUCCCGUUGUCGCUUCUAAUUUUCUUGAUCCUUAAGCCGAACUCAUUUUGAGCUCGUCUCAAGAAUCCUUUUAAGGUCUCUUGGGUAUGAUAUUUUUCCUGCAAAAAGAAUACCCAAGUGAAGCGAGAAUAAUCAUCCACAAUAACUAGACAGUACUUACUCCCGCCAAUGCUUAUGUAAGCUAUCAGGCCGAAUAGGUCCAUGUGUAGGAGUUCCAGUGGCCUGUCAGUCGUCAUGAUGUUCUUGUGCGGAUGAUGAAUCCCAACUUGCUUCCCUGCUUGGCACGCGCUACAAAUCCUGUCUUUCUCAAAAUGAACAUUUGUUAAUCCUAAAAUGUGUUCUCCCUUUAGAAGCUUAUGAAGAUUCUUCAUCCCAACAUGAGCUAGUCGGCGGUGCUAGAGCCAACCCAUGUUAGUCUUAGCAAUUAAGCAAGUGUCGAGUUCAGCUCUAUCAAAAUCUACCAAGUAUAGCUGACCCUCCAACACUCCCUUAAAUGCUACUGAAUCAUCACUUCUUCUAAAGAUAGUGACACCUACAUCAGUAAAAAGACAGCUGUAGCCCAUUUGACAUAAUUGAGAUACGAAAAGCAAAUUGUAAUCUAAUGAAUCAACAAGAAAAACAUUGGAAAUGGAAUGGUCAGGUGAAAUAGCAAUUUUACCCAAACCUUUGACCAAACCUUGAUUUCCAUCCCCGAAUAUGAUAGCUCGUUGGGGAUCUUGGUUUUUCUCAUAGGAGGAGAACAUUUUCUUCUCCCCUGUCAUGUGGUUUGUGCACCCGCUGUCGAUGAUCCAACUUGAGCCCCCGGAUGCAUAAACCUACAAAACAAGUUUAGUUCUUGACUUUAGGUACCCAAAUGGUUUUGGGUCCUUUGGCAUUAGACACAAGAACUUUGGGUACCCAAACACAAGUUUUUGACCCCUUGUGCUUGCCCCCAACAUACUUGGCAACUACCUUACCGGAUUUGUUAGUUAAAACAUAGGAUGCAUCAAAAGUUUUAAAUGAAAUAUUAUGGUCAUUUGAUGCAAUAGGAGUUUUCUUCUUAGGCAACUUGGCACGGGUUGGUUGCCUAGAACUAGAUGUCUCACCCUUAUACAUAAAAGCAUGGUUAGGGCCAGAGUGAGACUUCCUAGAAUGAAUUCUCCUAAUUUUGCUCUCGGGAUAACCGGCAGGGUAUAAAAUGUAACCCUCGUUAUCCUGAGGCAUGGGAGCCUUGCCCUUAACAAAGUUGGACAAUUUCUUAGGAGGGGCAUUAAGUUUGACAUUGCCUCCCUGUUGGAAGCCAAUGCCAUCCUUAAUGCCAGGGCGUCUCCCAUUAUAAAGCAUACUACGAGCAAACUUAAAUUUUUCAUUUUCUAGUUCAUGCUCGGCAAUUUUAGCAUCUAAUUUAGCUAUAUGAUCAUUUUGUUGUUUAAUCAUGGAAAGGUGAUCAUGUAUAGCAUUAACAUCAACAUCUCUACAUCUAGUGCAAAUAGUGACAUGCUUAGUGGUAGAUAUAGAGGGUUUGCAAGAAUUAAGUUCAACAAUCUUAGCACGCAAUAUAUCAUUUUUAUCUCUAAGAUCGGAAAUUGUAACAUUGCAAACAUCUAGUUCUUUAGCCUUAGCAAGUAAUUUUUCAUUCUCAAUCCUAAGGCUAGCAAGAGAAAUGUUUAAUUCUUCAGUAUUCUAAUCUUGAAGAAAAACAUUCUCAAGAUUGAGCUAAACUAGCCCGGUGGUGCUCUGAUCUUGAAGAAAAGUAUUCUCAAGGUCAGACUGAACUGGCCCGGGUUUCUGCUUCUCUGAAUGAUGCUAACACGCUGAACUCUACUCUCCGCGCUCAGCUCAACUCUGAAAAGGUGACCUGUGAAUCUUGGCUUUGUUUGCUGUGUUUUUAUUGCUUGCUUGACGUUUGAAGAAACUGAUUCUUGUCUGUAGGAUGAAAAACGUGCCCUCGUUACUUCUCGUGACAACCUCGACAAGCUAUACCGCGACGCCAGCAACUCGUUGACCAUCUUGGAGAGGAGUCAUCGCUUCACCAGGGAGGAGUUAGACAAUCAUCGUUAUAAGCUGCAGGAAUCCUUGGAUGACGUGAUUCGCCUCAGGCAGUUGGUGUCGACCAAAGAUGUUGUCAUCAAGGAUCUGCGUGCUUCCAAGAAAUCUGUCGCCCAGGAGCUAGAAACCGCUCGGUUGGCUGUCAAGGUUGCUGAAGAGACUUCUGCUACUCUGAGGGCCCAGCGCGAUAAAGCUAUGGAUAAAGCUAUUCGCGCGGGGCGGAUCCUGAUGAGGAGACCUGGUGUGGUUGUUCUUGACGACAUAAGGGCCGAUGUGAACGCUGCUCCUGAUUCCUCAAGUCGCCCCUCUUCGUCGGUUGCUCUUGAGAAGAACAUUGCCAAAUAGAAAAAACAUUGCAUGCUUUGAACGCGUGGUUAACGUGCUUGGAUGUUUUGUUAAAGGACACCUUUUAGUACUGAAUGAUACUACUAUUUUCCUAUUGUUUAGAAUUCAACAGUAUCUACAUUUGUAGAAGUAAAUGCAAUGUGAUGGUUUUGAAAUUUCAUCAUGGGGCACAGAAGUUGCCCUAAGAUGGGUGAUUGUGAACGUGCCGAGCGUGCAGUGCCAAUUUAAAUCAGCAUCAAUUUAAACCGAUUGCUCUGCUAGUAGGGCGUAGUGGUCACCUCGAGUUUAGAUAAGCGUGAGCAUGUCGCACCGUCUUAAGUCAUUGCCGACUUAAGCCGAUUGCUCCGUUAGUAGGGCAUAGUGGUCACCCCGAGUUAAGUAUGUGUGAGCAUGUCGCAUCGCCUUAAGUCAUUGCCGACUUAAGCCGAUUGCUCCGUUAGUAGGGCAUAGUGGUAACCCCGAGUUAAGUAUGCGUGAGCAUGUCGCACCGCCUUAAGUCAUUGCCAACUUAAGCAGAUUGCUCCGUUAGUAGGGCAUAGUGGUCACCGCGAGUUAAGUAUGCGUGAGCAUGUCGCACCGCCUUAAGUCAUUGCCGACUUAAGCCGAUUGCUCCGUUAGUAGGGCAUAGUGGUCACCCCGAGUUAAGUAUGUGUGAGAAUGUCGCACCGCCUUAAGUCAUUGCCGACUUAAGCCGAUUGCUCCGUUAGUAGGGCAUAGUGGUCACCCCGAGUUAAGUAUGCGUGAGCAUGUCGCACUGCCUUAAGUCAUUACCGACUUAAGCCGAUUGCUCCGUUAGUAGGGCAUAGUGGUCACCCCGAGUUAAGUAUGCGUGAGCAUGUCGCACCGCCUUAAGUCAUUGCCGACUUAAGCCGAUUGCUCCGUUAGUAGGGCAUAGUGGUCACCCCAAGUUAAGUAUGCGUGAGCAUGUCGCACCGCCUUAAGUCAUUGCCGACUUAAGCCGAUUUCUCCGUUAGUAGGGCAUAGUGGUCACCCCGAGUUAAGUAUGUGUGAGAAUGUCGCACCGCCUUAAGUCAUUGCCGACUUAAGCCGAUUGCUCCGUUAGUAGGGCAUAGUGGUCACCCCGAGUUAAGUAUGCGUGCCAAUUGACAGUGAACAAUCUGAGUGCCUUUGAAGCCUUUUUAUUGAUGAUAUUUUUCUCAAUUUACAGAAUACAUCGUCAUUCCGAGAGCCUCCGUGAUGUAGCUACGGGUAGAACUUCUUGAGAUGUUCUAUGUUCCAUGAGUUCCCAAUUUCUGUUCCGUCCAUCUGAGUGAGGCGAUAUGAUCCUGGCCGAGUGACUUCUACUACUAUGAAUGGUCCUUCCCAUAGAGGUGACAAUUUAUGUCGUCCCUCCCCCGUUAGAAUUCGGCGGAGGACGAGAUCUCCCACUGUGAAGGAUCGAUACCGUAUGACCUUAUCAUGAUAGCGCCUCAGAGUUUGCUGGUAUUGCGCUGAUUGAAUCACUGUAUUCAGUCGCUCUUCUUCGAGUAUGUCAACGUCUUCCAGCCUAGUAGCUUCAGCUUCUGCUAUGUUAUCAAAGAUUAACCUUGGUGCCCCGAACUUGAGAUCGGCAGGUAGCACUGCCUCCGAACCAUAAACCAUAAAGAAGGGGGUAUUUCUAUGCAGAGCUCGGCUGGGUUGAGUUCUCAGGCUCCAAACUACAUAUGGCAACUCUCUGAUCCAUUUUCCUGCGAACUUUUCAUUCUUGUCGAAGACUUUCUUUCUAAGUGCUUCUAAUAUCAUCCCGUUGGCUCUUUCUACUUGCCCGUUGGCUCUUGGAUGUGCCACCGAGGCAUAUUUGAUCUGAAUGCUCUUUUGCUCGCAGAAAUCGAAGAAUUCUGAACAGGUGAAGUUGGAUCCUAGGUCAGUUAUGAUGCAAUACGGUAUCCCGAACCUGAAUAUUAUAUCUUGUAUGAAUUCCAUUGCCUUAGCUGAAGUUAGAGAAGUAAUGGGUUUGAACUCUAUCCAUUUAGUGAAUUUGUCGAUAGCCACCAGUACAUGAGUGUAUCCUCCUUGAGCUUUUUUGAAAGGUCCAAUCAUAUCCAAUCCCCAGCACGCGAACGGCCAAGUUAUGGGUAUAGUCUACAGUUGUUGUGCUGGUAGAUGCUGCUGUUUUGACAAGUACUGGCAGGCUUCGCACCUCUGGACUAACUCGGCCGCAUCACUCUUCGCUGUUGGCCAGUAAAAAUCUGACCUGAAGACCUUCCCAACCAGGGUCCUAGAUGCUGCGUGUAUUCCACAUUGCCCAGCAUGGAUCUCAUUUAGAAGUUGCUUUCCAGUAGCUGAGAGAACGCAUUUCAUGAGGACUCCGAAUGCACCCCUUCUGUAUAGUGUUUCCCCAAUGAGUGUAUAGUGAGCUGAUUGUCUUGCGAUGCGCUCGGCUGUAUUCUUGUCAUCUGGCUCCUCCUCAUUUUUUAUAUAUUUGAUGAUUGGCCUCCUCCAGUCAUCAGAAUCUGACUCUGGUUGGUUCAAAGUAUUACAUUCUUUUGCCUGAUCCAGUGAGAUGAUUGGGUGUGAUAUUUCUUGAACAAAGACUCCAGGUGGGACCUGAGUUCGGCUGGAUCCUAGCUUGGACAAUACAUCAGCUGCCGUGUUUCGAUCUCUCUCUACAUGGUGAAAUUCUAGACCUUCAAACUUGUCUUCUAGUUUCCGGACGGCAGUGCAGUAUUUUCCCAUUGAAUCGCUCGAACAAUCCCAUUCUUUGUUUAUCUGACUUAUGACUACCAGAGAAUCUCCAUAUACCAUCAGUCUCUUGAUGCCCAGUGAUAUAGCAAUGUUUAGUCCAUGAAUCAGAGCUUCAUAUUCUGCUGCAUUGUUAGAGGCUGGAAAUAACAACUGAAGGGCAUAUCUGAGGUGCUCGCCUCCAGGUGCAGUAAAGAGGAUCCCUGCGCCUGCUCCCUGCAGCUUUAACGAGCCAUCAAAAUACAUUCACCAUACUUCUGCAGUUUCUGGGUUAUCUGGUACUUGUUGUUCGGUCCACUUCGAUACGAAGUCAACCAGUGCUUGAGUUUUUAUGGCAGUGCGAGGUCAAAAUUCAAUGUCAUGAGAUCCCAGCUCGCAGGCCCACUUGGCUAUUCUCCCGAUGGCUUCUUUGUUGUGAAGAAUAUCUCCUAUCGGAAAUCCAGUGACUACUAUGACUUUGUGGUCAUCGAAGUAGUGACGGAGCUUGCGUGCAGUUAGAAGUACUGCAUAUAAUAGCUUCUGAACUUGAGGAUAUUUCUUCUUCGAGGGACCCAGAACUUCACUGAUGAAAUAAACAGGAUGAUGUACUGGGUAUGCAUGUCCUUCUUCUACUCGCUCGACUACCAACACGGUGCUCACCACGUGAGUCGUGCAAGAGAUAUAUAGCAGCAGAUCUUCAGCUGGUUGAGUCGCGUGGCUCGACGUGGUGGUUUCAGCACUGGUGGUGUCGUCAAGAACUUUUUCAAUGCGCCUAGGGCUUCCUGUGCUUCUGAAGUCCACUAAAACUUGUCCACCUUCUUGAGUAACUUAUAAAAUGGUAAGCCUUUUUCUCCCAGCCUGGAUAUGAAUCUACUCAGGGCUGCCAUACAUCCGGUAAGUCUUUGAACUUUCUUCUGUGAUCGCGGUGCCUCCAUCCUCAUGAUAGCUUCGAUCUUUUCUGGAUUAGCUUCAAUUCCCCGGUGGCUGACAAUAAACUCGAGUAACUUUCCUGCCGGUACCCCGAAAACACAUUUUUCGGGAUUAAGCUUCCAUCGAUAUCGUCGUAGACUGUUGAAAACCAGCUGUAAAUCUUCGAUGAAAUUUUCCGAAUUUUCUGUUUUGAUCACCACAUCGUCCACAUAAGCUUACACAUGCUUGCGCCAAUGAUCGGCUAAGCAUGUUUGAAUAGCCCUAUGAUAAGUCGCUCCAGCGUUUUUGAGGCCGAACGGCAUGGAGGUAUAGCAGAAAGCACCGAAUGGAGUGAUGAACGCUGUUUUUUCCUCGUCUUCUUUCGCCAGGCUAAUCUGAUGAUACCUAGAGUAGCAAUCCAAGAAGGACAGCACGGAACAUCUAGCGGUGGAAUCUACCACCUGAUCUAUCCUAGGGAGCCCAAAGGGAUCCUUUGGACAGUGUUUGUUGAGAUCCGUAUAGUCGACGCACAUGCGCCAAUCCACUUUAUUCUUUUUGAGUACAAGAACAGGGUUGGCUAACCACUCGGGAUGUAACACCUCUCUAAUAAAUCCAGCCGCGACCAAGCGAGCUAGCUCAGCGCGAAUGGUCUCUCUCUUGUCGGGCGUGAAACGACACAACUUUUGCCGAAUCGGCCUCGCCUGGGGGUAGACCUUUAAUUUGUGCUCGGCCAGUUCUCUUGGGACUCCUGGCAUAUCCGCAGGUUGCCAUGCGAAUACGUCUCGGUUAUCUUGCAGGAACUGGACGAGCGCGCCUUCCUAUUUGUCAUCCAGGCUGGAGCUGAUGAUGGCGGUUUUGCGUUCAUCGGUGAACCCAAGGUUGACUCUUUUGGUUUCUUCAGUCGGCCGCAUAGAGGUCGCGGCUUGAGCCUCGUUCGCGGGCACCGUGAGGUCUUCCUCAGGCUUAGAGUUCGCCUGCGCAGAAGAAGUCGCCGACGGUUUGGUGGUGAGGGCCGCCUGAAUGGCCACUCGGAAACAUUCUAUGGCACCUUGGAAGUCAGCGCGCACUGUUAUGAUCCCUUGCGGUCCUGGCAUCUUCAAUAUCAUGUAUGUAUAAUGCGGAAUGGCCAUGAAUUUCGCCAAUCCAGGCCUCCCGAUGAUGGCGUUGUACCCGCAGUCAAAGUUUGCCACUUCGAACCUCAGGAACUCGGUCCUGUAGUUCUCCGGAGUUCCGAAGGUGACCGGCAUGUAGAUGUGGCCCAGCGGGUAUUCUCCUUCAGUCGGCACGAUGCCGAAGAAAGGAGUGUCUGACUCAUGGAGUUCUUAGAGGUGAACUCCCAAGCCUUGGAGUGUUCGGGGGAAGGUGACGUUGAUGCUGCUCCCCCCGUCCACCAAUACCUUCUUCACCCUGCUCUCUCGGAUCACCAGAUCAACGAGGAGCGGGUAUUUUCCUGGGUGGUCGAAGUUGAGCCACUGAUCCGCCCGAGUGAAGGUGAUCGGGUGCUCUGACCAUCGGUAUGGGGCGGGAGGGCUGGUAGUUGCCACCAGUAUCUGGCGAUCGUUGAGCUUUUGUUGUCUCUUGUUCUCCUGCGACCCGUGUCCGCUGAAGAUGACAUUGACCUCUCUGUCGACACGCGGGAAGGAUCCACCUCCUCCCUCCUCCUGCUGCUGGGGUUGUCGCGGUUCUCCUGGUCCUCCCCGCGGCGGAGGAGGAGGUAGAGGUUGGAAGGAUUGGCCAUGCCCAACGGAGUGCUUGAAGUCUCUACAGUUCCGAAGGGUGUGGCGCAUGUCCUUGUGGUACGGGCACUGGGCAUCGAGGAUGUCAUCCAGCGUGCGUUCGCUUCCACGAGGUCCUCCCCGGGCGUGAGAGGCAGGUGGUCCGGCGGCGUGGACUUCUUCGCGAGGUCUCUUCUCCCAACGCUUGUCGGGCUACUGAUUCGUGUCGCGUCGCGGUGCCGCUAGUGCUGGCUUUACUCCUCCGAUGAGGUUCUGAGCUCGCUCGUCGGCGGUGAUGUAGAGGUCGGCUUCCUGGAAUAGUUGCUCGGAGGUAGUCGGCGCCUUCUGUAAUAUGGUUCGGACGAAGGCCGAGUCAUUGGAUCCUCUAUAGAAGUUCUCGAUCACUGCCGCCUCUGCGACCUCGGGGAUACGAUUUCUCAUGGUCUGGAACCUUUUGAGGUAUGACCGGAGAGUUUCGUCCCCCCGGCACUUGAUGGAUUUGAGGUCCCAUGGUUGCGCUGGUUUGUCGGAGAGAGACUGAAAGUUGGCGGUGAAGCGCCGACUGAAGUCGCUCCAGUCGUCGAUGCAGUGUCGGGGUAGGUGUCGCAGCCAUGGCAGCGCGUCUUGCCCGAGGAUGAUAGGCAAGUACGCGGUCAUUACGUCUUCGGUUGCCCCAGCAGCCCGGGCAGCGGUGGUGUAGACGGCCAGCCAGCCUCCUGGAUCCUGUUUAGGUUCAUAUUUGUCGACGUUGGAUACCUUGAAGUUAGGGGGCCAUUGAAUGGCCCUGAGGCGCGGAGUAAGUGCCGAUACUCCACAUGUGUCCUCAUGUCGUCGAUGAUGUUGUCUGUCCCGGGGAGGGGAGUGAUCCUCGUGGUGCCUCGACCAUCCCCGGGUGGUGCCUCCAGUUGAAGUCGUGGCCGACUCGGUCCUGGUAGCCUGACUCCGUGCUGGGAUGCCAUGGUCCCGGUCAUACUCUUCCCGGCGACGGAUUUCGUUCUCGUGUCGUCGUUCACGCGAAGCAUUGAUGGAGCUCCGCGCGUCCCGGCGACUAUUGAUGACGUGUCGUAGAUCGUUCGGCGGGUGAGCGUGGGGUAGAAGGUGAUUGGCUGCUUGAGUGAACAGUCGCCGAUAGCCCUCGGCGUCGGGAGUCCGAGGGAGGCCAUCAACUAUCCGAGCCAACACCCCUCCAACUUCACUAGGCAUGUUCAUGGCUCGGGCAAAGUAGGGGUUCAAGUUGCGCCCGAAGAGUGGAUUUUCCCGAUGCUGCCUUGUCUCCUGUUCGGCCUGUUCUUGAGCCCGUCGACGAUCGCGUCGUCGGGAAUUCCUUCGUUCCCUAAAGACACGUUCCUCCGGAGUUUCUCCUAUCUAAGAGAGCUCGUCUCGCGAUACGGGUUGCGCCGGGUCCCGCUCCCCGGCCUUGUGAUGUCGCCGGAUAUUUCGGCGUCGGUUCCUCCGUCUGCGGGAUUCCCGCUGAGGAGGUUCCUCUCCGGGUGCAGUCGGCUCAUCAUUGGAGAUGGGGGGUGACUCCACUCUCCCGAUGAAGAGGACGUCGGGGUAGAAUGGAGCGGCUGUCACGGCGAUCUUCUUUACGUUCUCCUUUGAGGGCGGAGGCGCAGAAAGAUCAGCUCGAUGAUCCUUUGCUUCCUUUUUCCUUGUGAUUCGUGUUCAUUCCUUCGUCGGAGAGGUGGACAGCGGAGUUCUCCGGGCUGAGGGCCCCUCAGCUCCUAUCUUGCUGGAGGUGAUCUUUUUUAGGAGCGCUGGAGGUUGCGCCUUUUCCUGCCUCACCCCGAUUUUCUCGGAGGUUUCUGAGGAAGGCUUUCUCUUCGGCGGAUCCGCGAGGCGAUGCAGAGUUCCCUCCUCAUCCGCUAUAGAUGAGAUAGUACCGAAGCAGAAUAUGGAUCCAGGGCGGAGGAUGAUCUUGUGCUGGAAGGUGAUGGCCAUUGAGCUAGCUUGGAUCGAUGACACACCCCCUACCUGGCGCGCCAACUGUCAGUGUUUCGGGUCCGACCGCACACCCAGGGUUACCCCCAAGGUGCUUUUUAGGAGUAGGACGGUGUUACGGACUGUAGCUCGAUGGUUCGUGCUGGGCGCACGAGAAAUAGUAGACAAUGAUGUACAGGUUCGGGCCGCUUUGAGAUGCGUAACACCCUACGUCCUGGUUGGAAUGCUUUAUGCGAUGGGUUACAAGGGAGCUCUCUAGUGCUGGAAAACGUAGAGAGCGGGGUGGAUGGCUAAGUGAUGAAUGAUGUCUCUCUCGGUCGAUCGUCUUGAAGGGGUGCCCCUAGGCCUUAUAUACUCGACCGUGGGGCAUUACAUGUGGAUAUGAUAACAACGUGAGCCAGAAUAAUAGUGAACUAACUGAGUCUGUUUCCCUAUAAUUCAGCCGACUCAUCCUCGCCCAGUUCCGAUGUACGGGGCUCCUGUGCGGGAAGGUCGGGUUACUGCUGUGAUUACUGCUCGGAUGUUUUUGGGCCGUCUAGGCUUGCACUGACCCGGCCUUGUGCUGAUCUGUCUUACUGGUCGUUCCUCCCAGGCCCACGAGGGGGAUGACCUUACGAAUUAUGGGGCCUUUGGGCCUUUCUGUAACGCCCUGAAUUUGGGGGUAGAAUUUUUUCUUCUUUUCUCUCACCAAAUUCGGGCGUUACUCUUUUCUUUUCUCGUUCCCUCGCUAAACUUUGACCUUUUCCAAAGUUUUAGCGGGGUUCGGCUUGGGAUUCCCGUGUAAAGAAAAAACCCUAAAUUACCUUAUGUUGUUUGAUGCACCAUGCCGAACUAUGCAUUCUUUGAUUGCUUAGGAAUGUAAGUGCAUUCAUCUAAGAAGAUCGGAUUUCGAAAAGAAGAAAAACCUUUUCUUUCUUUUUCUUUUUCUUUUUUCUUUCUCUCCCUCUUCCUUUUCUCUCCCCCGCGCCGUGGGCCGUGCCCUGGCCGGCCCAACCGCCCCCCGCGCGCCCCUUUGGGCCCAGUUGGCCCAUGCCGCCCCCCUCCCUUUAUUUUUCCCAAAACCCCUCUCCCUCCCUCUCAUUCUCUCUCUUCCCCACCCCAGCCGCCGCCCCCCUGCCCUAGCCGCCGCCGCCCCCUGCAGCUCGGCCGCCCCGUCGUUCGGCCGCCCGUCCCCGUCCCCGGUGAGGUCCCCCUCCCCCUCUCCUCCCUUCCCUCUCCCCCUCCUCUCCUCCCUCCCCCUCCCCGACCCAACCGCCGCCCCUGCGCGCCCGCUGCCCAGCUCGGCCGCCCUUGGCCGGCUCGGCCGCCGCCGCCCCUGCGCGCCCUGCCCCGCCCCCUGGCCGGCUCGGCCGCCCGCCCGCCUAGCUCGCCCCCCCCCCGCCGGUUCGGCCGCCCAGCCCGGUCGCCCCCUGCGCGCCCCAGCUCGGCCGCCCCCCUGCCCCGCGCCCGCGCCCUGCCCAGCCACCCCUGCCCGAGGCCGGUUCAACCGCCCCCCUCUUUUUUUAUUUUAUUUUCAUUUUAUUUUUAUUACUGGUAUGUGUUUUAUUUUAGGCAGGUUAAUCAUUGUUCAUGUUAUUGAAACAGGAAAUUUAAUUUGGAAUUCCGUUACGCUAGUUGAUUCAUAUAAUCAAUUGUUUAUCCAGUUCAAUAUUGAUCAACUAAAAAUGACUAGGUUCCCAUUAGUGCAUAUAACUAAAUUCUUUUGUUAGAACCAAUUGUAACUAAUCGUUAGUGCAUAAGCUUUAACCCCUGCGAGACCUUUUCUCGUUUCUUUCUAACCAUAAUGAAUGCGAUAUCGAAUGUCAUACUUGAUGCAUAUUCACUUUAUUUGUUCCCUUGUAUGAUGUACUGUUUGUUUCCCAAUUUGAAUGGAUGAAUGUAUGUAUGCUUGCAAUCGCAUAGAGAACGAUCCGGUCGAAGAGCCCGAGGAACUCGCAGGAGAAGCCCCUGAGCAGCAGUCGGUUGGUGGAGGCAAGUGUCCUUUGACCUAUCUCUGUCCUAUUCAUUAUUUAAUUCACCUCCCGCAUUACACAUUUAUACCUAAGGAUUGACUAGCUUUUGUUGUCCAUGUCCUUGUUUACCUAUCUGGGUUGGAUUAUUAUUAUUAUUAGUUAGCUUUAUGCUAUUGCUCAACUCUAAUCAAUGAACAUGAUGAGAUUAUCUAUGAUACGCUGUUUUCCCUUCUCUUAUUAUGAUGUUGUACUUGUGGCUUUAAGGGGGCUCGAGCGGUUUCUCGAGUGCCUCUCCGUAAGGACCUGUUCUAUGGAUGACCGCCCGGGAAAACAGUACAACCAUGAGGGUAGAAUGGGGUGCCCUUAGCUGAAUAAUUAGAGGAUCCGGGAUGUAGUUCACUUAGCCGUCGUGCCGUCAAUGGGGCUCGGUGUAUGCGGCUCGCUCUGCCAAGGUUGAUUUGUCCCUUGGGGAGGAGUGCGGUACAUUUAGGAAACCUAACGGGUGGCUACAGCCCCGGGGAAUCUUUGUAAAGGCUACGUAGUGAUGCCCUGCUAGGCCACCUAGGUAGUGGUCAAUGGGGAGUAGCUCUCUCCGGGCAGAAAGGGAAUCACGGCUUGUGGGUAAAGUGCACAACCUCUGCAGAGUGUUUGAAAACUGAUAUAUCAGUCGUGCUCGCGGUUAUGAGCGGCCAAGGGAGCUCCAGUGAUUAGUGGUACUUGAUCAGAGACAUUGUGGUACAGGUGGCUAUGAGAAUCGAUGGUUUUGGUUAUGACUAUGGUGCUGGUAAGUGGUAUUCUUUCCGUUUGGAAAUGGUACAUCGGGUUAAUAACUUGGGUAAUGCUAAAAUUUGGCUUUCUACUAGUAAGUAAUAAUCUGACCAACUAAAAGCAACUGCUUGACUUAUCCCCACAUAAAGCUAGUCCACUACAGCCAAACAGGAUACUUGCUGAGUAUGUUGAUGUGUACUCACCCUUGCUCUACACACCAAACCCCUCCAUCCCCAGGUUGUCAGCAUUGCAACCACUGCUCAGGCGAAGAUGAAGCUUUGGAAGGAAACUUCCAGGAGUUCCAAGACUACGACGAGUUCUAGGAGUGGGUUAGCGGCAACCCCCAGUCGGCUGCCUGUGAAGGCCGCAGUUAUCUACGUUUCUUUUCCGCACUUUGAUUUAUUGUAAGAACUAUAUGGACGUCUCAGACGUAUGAUGUAAUCAACUAUUAUUCCCUUUUAAUACUAUUUUGAGCACUGUGUGAUGAUGUCCAUGUUAUGUAACUGCUGUGUACGUGAAUAACUGAUCCUGGCACGUACAUGGUUCGCAUUCGGUUUGCCUUCUAAAACCGGGUGUGACAUAAGUGGUAUCAGAGCCGUGCUGACUGUAGGACCGCUAACCUAGAGUAGAAUGGUCGUUCUAAGGACUAUAGACCUCUGUCCCUUCCUUGACUUUGAUAUCCCUUCAAAAGUUGGUCAUACCGAUCAAACCUAUGUUCUACUAUAUAUUAUACCUUGUUGAAAAUCAUGUUUUAUUCUAAUCCUUCAUUUACUUAUGAUUCAUUAUUUGCUGGUCAUAUUAAUUCUGUUCUCACCCUUUUGCUUGCGAUGUCUUUUAUAGAUGGCUCGACUUAGACACACUGCACGUAAGUCCGUCAUCCCCUUCUUACCCUCCCGCCUUGCUGAGCGUCCGCUUCGCCGUCCCGUGGCCGGACAGUCCAGCCACUUGGAGAGACUGCACCACCGCCUGCAUGAGGAGCAGGAACGUCGACGACAGGAGCAGGAGCAGCAGGGCUCUUCCUUCUCGCUCCACCAGGAGAUAGAGUCUGUGAGGAGCUGCUCCCCUGUGCUUCCCCUGGAGGCGCCCCUACACCACCACAGGGCGCCCCAGCCCCUGGAGCAGCUGCUGGAGGAGAUCCAGACGACGGAGAUGGUGACGACAGCUCGAGCCACGACACCGACUUCUCUGCUAACCAUGAGUUGGAAGGAUGGUUUGCUCGAUCCAUCACUCGCGACGCUGCUCGCGGGUGUCACUUCCACGAUGCGCUCGAUACCCUGCUACGUCGGGCACUUAACCGACAUACUUGGUCCAUCGAGUAUCGCUGUGUGGUCUACCAGCACUGUCGCGGGGUCUACCCGGACCGCUGGGAGGCAACUUGCUUGGUGCGCCGCCCGGAGAACAGUCUCCAGGGUGCGGAGGCCUGCUCAGAGCACUAUUCUAUCUCUGAGCGGGACUCAGCUGAGGCAGCCAUGCAAGAUGCUGCACGGCGUGCGCUUUCGCACUACUGCUCGGUUUUCGGUGGGGUAGCUGACGGUCUUGACCUGAGGUAUUACCCCCGCCGUUCAUCUGGCAGCACAGGAGGCGUGAUUGUCUCACCCGUCGGUGAGGGCAAUCCUAGGUUGAGCAGCACAGUCAACCUAGCCGCCGUGCUAAACACGGAGCUGGACCAUGCAUUGGACGAGCUGAGUAGGGCUCGUGCUGAGAUCGCCCUGCUGCGGGUUGAGCGCGCGGAACGUCGUCACCUGGAGGAUGGUUCCCCCGCUCCCGUCGGGACUCAGCACCUGUACCGUUCACCUCGGCGUGGAUCCCAGUCUUAUGGCAAUCCCGACUGCAAGACCAAGAUAACUCUAGAACCAUAGAUCGUCAGAGUUGGAUCUUGUAAUUAAUACGAAAUAUAUAUAUACAUAGAAGCUUCAGUCUUAGCGUUAGUCUCAGUUUUAGUUAGUCUUAGUUAGACAGGGUAGUUUGCUAUAUCCUGUGCAUUUAUGUUUGUCAUGAUGAACUAUGUUUGGUUUGGAUCUUUGUAAUGAUUGUCACCAGAGUGUGGGUAUCCCCUGCAUUUUGGUUUACCUAUUAUGUUAAUGGAGUUAGUUAUAUAGUUGGGAAACCUUUUAUUCCCCUUUCCUCUUUAUCUGAGAAGCUGUGUGGUCUGUGUUGGAGAUCAGUGAAGAUGCUCAUCUGUUCAGUGCUGUUGAAGAAUCCUCUACUCUUUUCUUAUGCUGCAAGACUUGCCAGAUCAGUUCUGAUGUGUGGUUGCAUUCUGCAGAUGUCAGAGAACAGGCGCAGAGGAGGAAGGCGUGCUCAGCAGGAGCGAGCCGCUCAACAGGAUGAGGUGCCCCAGCAGCAGCACCUGCCGCCCCCGCCCCCGAUGUCCAUCGAGCAGAUGUUUCUGAUGCAGACUCAGGCAGUUCAAGCCAUCGGUCAGACUUUGGCCGCCAUUCAGCAGCAGCAGCAACAGCAGCAGGCCCCACCUCAGCCUCAGAUGCCUCAGAUGCCCAGAGACAAGCGUGCUGAAUUCAUGAGAGGUCAUCCACCAACGUUCGCUCAUUCUUCUGACCCCAUGGAUGCUGAAGACUGGCUGCGCACUGUGGAGCGGGAGUUGCAUACCGCUCAGUGCGAUGACAGGGAGAAAGUCUUGUAUGGUCCCCGUCAGUUGAGAGGAGCAGCCCAAUCAUGGUGGGAGUCUUACCUCGCCACCCAUGCCCACCCUGACGCUAUCACUUGGGAAGAGUUCAGAGGAAGCUUUCGUCAGUACCAUGUCCCUGCAGGUCUGAUGACAGUGAAGAAGGAGGAGUUCCUGGCUCUCAAGCAAGGGUCAUUGUCUGUCAGUGAGUAUCGAGACAGGUUUCUGCAAUUGUCUCGUUAUGCUCCUGAAGAUGUCAACACCGACGCUAAGCGACAGUAUCGUUUCCUGAGAGGCUUGGUUGACCCUCUGCAGUACCAACUGAUGAAUCACACCUUCCCGACAUUCCAGCACCUGAUUGACAGAGCAAUCAUGACAGAAAGAAAGCGUAAGGAGAUGGAGGAUCAUAAGCGCAAGAUCAGUGGACCCCAGCCUGGAAGCAGCAGUCGUCCUCGUUUCUCAGGCAAUCAACCUCAGCAGUUCAGGCAGAACCAGCGUCCACCUCAGCAGCAUCAGCAGUUCCAAAGGCAGUAUCCUCAGCAUCAGUAUCAGAACCGUCAGAGCAAUCAGUCAGGAGGUCAGUUUCAGAGGCAGAAUCAGCAAGCACCUCGUCUUCCUGCCCUAGCAAACCAGCAGAACAAUCAGGCAGCACCAGCUCAGGUUGGAAACAGGGCGUGUUUCCACUGUGGAGAGCAAGGCCACUGGGUGAUGCAAUGUCCGAAGAAGGCAGCCCAGCAGCAGUCAGGCCCCAAUGCCCCAGCGAAGCAGAACGUGUCUCAGCCUGGAGCAAGCAAUCGCUCUCAGUCGCGUUACAAUCAUGGGAGACUGAACCACUUGGAGGCGGAAGCAGUUCAGGAGACCCCCGGCAUGAUAGUAGGUAUGUUCCCAGUCGACUCCCAUAUUGCAGAAGUGUUAUUUGAUACCAGAGCAACGCAUUCUUUCAUUACUGCAUCAUGGGUAGAAGCACAUAAUCUUCCAAUUACUACCAUGUCAACCCCCAUUCAAAUUGACUCAGCCGGUGGUAGAAUUCGAGCCGAUAGCAUUUGUUUGAAUAUAAGUGUGGAAAUAAGGGGGAUAGCGUUUCCCGCCAACCUUAUAGUAAUGGGUACUCAGGGAAUAGAUGUCAUCCUAGGGAUGAAUUGGCUAGAUAAGUAUCAGGCAGUUAUCAGCUGUGAUAAAAGGACAAUCAAGUUGGUGUCUCCACUAGGAGAGGAAGUGGUGACCGAGUUAGUCCCGCCUGAGCCAAAGAAAGGAAGUUGUUAUCAGAUGGCCGUUGAUAGCAGUGAAGCAGACCCAAUUGAGAGUAUCAAGGUUGUGUCUGAGUUCCCAGAUGUGUUUCCAAAGGACUUACCGGGUAUGCCACCAGAGCGGAAAGUUGAGUUUGCCAUAGAGCUUCUUCCUGGAACCGCCCCUAUCUCUAAGAGAGCUUACAGAAUAUCUGGACCAGAGUUGGUUGAGCUUAAGGAGCAGAUUGAUGAGCUGUCAGAGAAAGGUUACAUCCGGCCAAGCACCUCGCCUUGGGCCGCCCCUGUCUUGUUCGUAGAAAAGAAAGAUGGCACCAAAAGGAUGUGUAUCGAUUACCGAGCUUUGAAUGAAGUCACGAUCAAGAACAAGUAUCCCUUGCCCAGAAUAGAAGAUCUGUUCGACCAGUUGAGAGGAGCCAGUGUGUUCUCCAAGAUUGAUCUGAGGUCAGGUUAUCAUCAACUCAGGAUCCGACCUUCGGACAUUCCGAAGACGGCAUUUAUUACCAAGUAUGGUUUGUAUGAGUUCACAGUGAUGUCUUUUGGUUUGACCAAUGCGCCAGCGUUCUUUAUGAACAUUCAUGGAUUACCUUGAUAAGUUUGUGGUGGUAUUCAUUGAUGACAUUCUGAUUUACUCUCAAAGCGAAGAAGAGCAUGCAGAUCAUUUGAGGAUGGUAUUGCAGAAAUUGCGAGAGCACCAGUUGUAUGCAAAGUUGAGCAAGUGUGAGUUCUGGAUCAAUGAAGUCCUGUUCUUGGGUCAUAUAAUCAACAAAGAAGGUUUGGCUGUGGAUCCGAAGAAAGUGGCAGACAUUCUGAACUGGAAAGCGCCAACAGAUGCUCGAGGAAUCAAGAGUUUCAUUGGAAUGGCCGGAUAUUAUCAGCGAUUCAUUGAAGGGUUUUCGAAGAUUGCGAAACCUAUGACAGUGUUGCUAGGCAACAAGGUUGAGUUCAAGUGGACCCAGAAAUGCCAAGAGGCCUUUGAAGCGCUGAAAGAGAAGUUGACUACAGCGCCUGUCCUAGUCUUGCCUGAUGUGCACAAGCCCUUUUCGGUGUAUUGUGAUGCUUGUUACACAGGUUUGGGAUGUGUGUUGAUGCAAGAGGGAAGAGUUGUGGCUUACUCGUCCCGACAGCUGAAGGUUCACGAGAAGAAUUACCCAAUCCAUGAUCUAGAGUUGGCAGCAGUGGUUCACGCACUGAAGACAUGGAGGCACUAUCUGUAUGGACAGAAAUGCGAUGUUUACACAGACCACAAGAGUCUGAAGUACAUAUUCACUCAGUCAGAGUUGAACAUGAGGCAACGAAGAUGGUUAGAGUUGAUCAAAGACUAUGAGUUGGAGAUUCAUUACCAUCCAGGCAAAGCAAACGUAGUGGCAGAUGCUUGGAGCAGAAAGAGUCAAGUCAAUCUGAUGGUCGCUCGUCCGAUGCCUUAUGAGUUGGCCAAGGAGUUCGACAGGUUGAGUCUCGGAUUUCUGAACAAUUCGCGAGGAGUCACAGUUGAGUUGGAACCUACCCUGGAGCGCGAAAUUAAAGAAGCGCAGAAGAAUGAUGAGAAGAUCAGUGAGAUCCGGCGACUGAUUCUAGAUGGCAGAGGCAAAGAUUUUCGAGAAGAUGCAGAAGGCGUGAUAUGGUUCAAAGACCGCUUGUGUGUUCCCAAUGUCAAGUCCAUUCGGGAGUUGAUUCUUAAGGAAGCUCAUGAGACAGCUUAUUCAAUUCACCCUGGCAGUGAGAAGAUGUAUCAGGAUCUGAAAAAGAAAUUCUGGUGGUACAGAAUGAAAAGGGAAAUCGCAGAGCAUGUGGCUAUGUGCGAUAGUUGUCGAAGAAUUAAGGCAGAGCACCAGAGACCUGCUGGAUUGUUGCAACCGUUGCAGAUCCCUCAGUGGAAAUGGGAUGAAAUUGGUAUGGAUUUCAUAGUCGGAUUGCCUCGCACUCGAGCCGGCUACGAUUCCAUUUGGGUAGUAGUGGACCGCUUGACCAAGUCAGCCCACUUCAUACCUGUCAAGACCAACUACAGCAGUGCAGUAUUGGCAGAGUUGUAUAUGUCUCGGAUCGUUUGUCUUCAUGGUGUGCCAAAGAAGAUAGUGUCAGACAGAGGAACGCAGUUCACCUCUCAUUUCUGGCAGCAGUUGCAUGAAGCCUUGGGCACGCAUCUGAAUUUCAGUUCAGCUUAUCACCCGCAGACAGAUGGCCAGACCGAAAGGACCAACCAAAUUCUUGAAGACAUGUUGAGAGCCUGUGCGUUGCAAGAUCAGUCCGGAUGGGACAAGAGAUUGCCUUAUGCAGAGUUUUCCUAUAACAACAGUUACCAGGCCAGUUUGAAGAUGUCACCAUUUCAGGCGCUCUAUGGAAGGAGUUGUAGAACUCCGUUGCAAUGGGAUCAGCCUGGAGAAAAGCAAGUGUUUGGGCCAGACAUUUUGCUGGAAGCCGAAGAGAACAUCAAGAUGGUCCGAGAGAAUCUGAAGAUAGCGCAAUCAAGACAGCGAAGCUACGCAAACACAAGAAGAAGAGAGCUGAGUUUCGAAGUCGGAGACUUUGUCUAUCUGAAAGUGUCACCGAUCAGAGGAGUCAGAAGAUUCGGAGUGAAAGGCAAGUUAGCACCCCGCUACAUUGGUCUGUAUCAGAUUCUUGCAAGACGUGGAGAAGUGGCCUAUCAGCUCAGUCUACCAGAAAAUUUGUCUGCUGUGCAUGAUGUCUUUCAUGUGUCUCAGUUGAAGAAGUGCUUGCGUGUGCCAGAAGAGCAGUUGCCAGUGGAAGGUCUUGAAGUCCAGGAGGACUUGACCUACGUUGAGAAGCCAGUGCAAAUCCUUGAGGUUGCAGAUAGAGUCACCCGAAGGAAGACCAUCAGAAUGUGCAAAGUCAGAUGGAAUCACCACCCAGAGGAAGAAGCAACCUGGGAGCGUGAAGAUGAUCUGAUGGCUAAGUACCCAGAGCUCUUUGCUAGCCAGCCCUGAAUCUCGAGGGCGAGAUUCUUUUAAGGGGGAUAGGUUUGUAACGCCCUGAAUUUGGGGGUAGAAUUUUUUCUUCUUUUCUCUCACCAAAUUCGGGCGUUACUCUUUUCUUUUCUCGUUCCCUCGCUAAACUUUGACCUUUUCCAAAGUUUUAGCGGGGUUCGGCUUGGGAUUCCCGUGUAAAGAAAAAACCCUAAAUUACCUUAUGUUGUUUGAUGCACCAUGCCGAACUAUGCAUUCUUUGAUUGCUUAGGAAUGUAAGUGCAUUCAUCUAAGAAGAUCGGAUUUCGAAAAGAAGAAAAACCUUUUCUUUCUUUUUCUUUUUCUUUUUUCUUUCUCUCCCUCUUCCUUUUCUCUCCCCCGCGCCGUGGGCCGCGCCCUGGUCGGCCCAGCCGCCCCCGCGCGCCCCUUUGGGCCCAGUUGGCCCAUGCCGCCCCCUCCCUUUAUUUUUCCCAAAACCCCUCUCCCUCCCUCUCAUUCUCUCUCUUCCCCACCCCAGCCGCCGCCCCCUGCCCUAGCUGCCGCCCCCUGCAGCUCGGCCGCCCCGCCGUUCGGCCGCCCGUCCCCGUCCCCGGUGAGGUCCCCCUCCCCCUCUCCUCCCUUCCCUCUCCCCCUCCUCUCCUCCCUCCCCCUCCCCGGCCCAACCGCUGCCCAGCUCGGCCGCCCUUGGCCGGCUCGGCCGCCGCCGCCCCUGCGCGCCCGCUGCCCAGCUAGGCCGCCGCCGCCGCUGCGCGCCCUGCCCCGCCCCUGGCCGGUUCGGCCGCCCGCCCGCCCAGCUCGCCCCCCCCCCCCCCGCCGGUUCGGCCGCCCAGCCCGGCCGCCCCCUGCGCGCCCCAGCUCGGCCGCCCCCCUGCCCCGCGCCCGCGCCCUGCCCAGCCGCCCCUGCCCCAGGCCGGUUCAACCGCCCCCAGGCCGGUUCAACCGCCCCCUGGCCGGUUCAACCGCCCCCCCCCUCUUUUUUUAUUUUAUUUUCAUUUUAUUUUUAUUACUGGUAUGUGUUUUAUUUUAGGCAGGUUAAUCAUUGUUCAUGUUAUUGAAACAGGAAAUUUAAUUUGGAAUUCCGUUAUGCUAGUUGAUUCAUAUAAUCAAUUGUUUAUCCAGUUCAAUAUUGAUCAACUAAAAAUGACUAGGUUCCCAUUAGUGCAUAUAACUAAAUUCUUUUGUUAGAACCAAUUGUAACUAAUCGUUAGUGCAUAAGCUUUAACCCCUGCGAGACCUUUUCCUGUUUCUUUCUAACCAUAAUGAAUGCGAUAUCGAAUGUCAUACUUGAUGCAUAUUCACUUUAUUUGUUCCCUUGUAUGAUGUACUGUUUGUUUCCCAAUUUGAAUGGAUGAAUGUAUGUAUGCUUGCAAUCGCAUAGAGAACGAUCCGGUCGAAGAGCCCGAGGAACUCGCAGGAGAAGCCCCUGAGCAGCAGUCGGUUGGUGGAGGCAAGUGUCCUUUGACCUAUCUCUGUCCUAUUCAUUAUUUAAUUCACCUCCCGCAUUACACAUUUAUACCUAAGGAUUGACUAGCUUUUGCUGUCCAUGUCCUUGUUUACCUAUCUGGGUUGGAUUAUUAUUAUUAUUAGUUAGCUUUAUGCUAUUGCUCAACUCUAAUCAAUGAACAUGAUGAGAUUAUCUAUGAUACGCUGUUUUCCCUUCUCUUAUUAUGAUGUUGUACUUGUGGCUUUAAGGGGGCUCAAGCGGUUUCUCGAGUGCCUCUCCGUAAGGACCUGUUCUAUGGAUGACCGCCCGGGAAAACAGUGCAACCAUGAGGGUAGAAUGGGGUGCCCUUAGCUGAAUAAUUAGAGGAUCCGGGAUGUAGUUCACUUAGCCGUCGUGCCGUCAAUGGGGCUCGGUGUAUGCGGCUCGCUCUGCCAAGGUUGAUUUGUCCCUUGGGGAGGAGUGCGGUACAUUUAGGAAACCUAACGGGUGGCUACAGCCCCGGGGAAUCUUUGUAAAGGCUACGUAGUGAUGCCCUGCUAGGCCACCUAGGUAGUGGUCAAUGGGGAGUAGCUCUCUCCGAGCAGAAAGGGAAUCACGGCUUGUGGGUAAAGUGCACAACCUCUGCAGAGUGUUUGAAAACUUAUAUAUCAGCCGUGCUCGCGGUUAUGAGCGGCCAAGGGAGCUCCAGUGAUUAGUGGUACUUGAUCAGAGACAUUGUGGUACAGGUGGCUAUGAGAAUCGAUGGUUUUGGUUAUGACUAUGGUGCUGGUAAGUGGUAUUCUUUCCGUUUGGAAAGGGUACAUCGGGUUAAUAACUUGGGUAAUGCUAAAACUUGGCUUUCUACUAGUAAGUAAUAAUCUGACCAACUAAAAGCAACUGCUUGACUUAUCCCCACAUAAAGCUAGUCCACUACAGCCAAACAGGAUACUUGCUGAGUAUGUUGAUGUGUACUCACCCUUGCUCUACACACCAAACCCCCCCAUCCCCAGGUUGUCAGCAUUGCAACCACUGCUCAGGCGAAGAUGAAGCUUUGGAAGGAAACUUCCAGGAGUUCCAAGACUACGACGAGUUCUAGGAGUGGGUUAGCGGCAACCCCCAGUCGGCUGCCUGUGAAGGCCGCAGUUAUCUACGUUUCUUUUCCGCACUUUGAUUUAUUGUAAGAACUAUAUGGACGUCUCAGACGUAUGAUGUAAUCAACUAUUAUUCCCUUUUAAUACUAUUUUGAGCACUGUGUGAUGAUGUCCAUGUUAUGUAACUGCUGUGUACGUGAAUAACUGAUCCUGGCACGUACAUGGUUCGCAUUCGGUUUGCCUUCUAAAACCGGGUGUGACACUUUCGUGAGGUCUUUUAUCCUUCUAGUGGACCCGGAAGAUAUCUGUCCCCCACAGCAGUAAAAUAGCAUAUAGAAUUGGUUAUGCAUAAAAUUGGGGCUUGCCUUCCAAAGCUGGGGCAGGCAGAUCCUCGAUGGCAGGCUCUGGUGCUGGCUCCUGGACUACCUCCUGAGCAACUCCUUGCUCCGGAACGAGGAUGUACUCUCCGUCAGCGAGAUUACAGUCUAUCGAAUGCAAUGAAUAAGAUAUAUGCAUCUUAAUGAUAUGGCAAUCUGUAAAUGCUAUGCAAGAUGAACAAUAUUAAAAUAGGGAAUAAACUAGUGUUUUCUUUGCCGGAGGGUGUAAUAAGGGUUGUAGGCACUCAACCAAGGGUGUUGAGUGAACUUAAAAAUUUUAGUCAUCUCUCAUAUGUUUGUUUGGGCUCUUGGGGAUUUAAAUGCACACCACUAAUUUCUCCCAUAAAUUUUCAUUUUACUUUCUAUUAGGUUUUCUUAUUAAGUUCCUUUGAACUAUCAUGGCAAGCUAAUCUUUUCCAAAAAUGUUACAAAAAUUACAGUGGGUAAAUAUUGACCUCUAGGGUUUAUUCUAAAAUUUGAGGUUGGAAUUAAUUCAGAUACUUCUUGUGCAAAAAUAACAAAAGUAAGGGUAAACGGGUACUUUACACUAUAGCUCUGCUUUUGGUGAGGUUUCUGGACCAAAUUUUGUUUUUGCUAUGAUCCCUAGGUGAUAAUAGGUCUUUGUGUCAAAAAAAUCACAGAAAAAGACCCACUGGAUAUUUAGUUGUGAUUUUCUAAAGUUUAAUGCCACAAAGGUACUUAUAACUAACUUGUUAUUUGAAAAAUGUCAAACAACAAAACUUAUAUUUUUCCUAGAUUCUUAUCAGCAUAUUAUUAGUUAUCCCAAGGAUUGGGUUGGGUUCUCCUCAGGAUUGUUUUUCUAGGGUUUUUCUAAGUUUUCAUUAUUUUUAUGAAAUAAAAUGUGGUGCAUUUCUUUUGUACUAACAGAGGGCUUAACAAAAUUUUCUAGUGAACUAUGUUAAUAAAGUAAGCUAGAAAAAAUGUGGUUGCCCCUGGUUCUUAUUUUAAACUCCCUUUUCUAUUUUCUUUAACUUUGAGUCAAAGUAAGUUUAAAUGGUAAACCCUUCCCUAAUCUGGUGUAUUGAGGGUUUUAUUAUUUUUAAACAGGCUAGGUAGUGGUUUAGUACCUCUCUAAUUUUUCUAACCCCAGUCUAAAAGUGUAGCUAUUUUUCCCUUCUUGAUUUAGCUUUUGGUCAGUUUUCUAAUUAAAUCAAAACUUUAGAAUUUUCUGCAGUACUUAGGGUGUUUGGUAUUUUUCCUAAGUAGUUCAAAUUAUUUAGAACCUAGCAAAAUUAGUUUGACUAAAUUUGGUUAGAUAAAACUGAAGUUAUGAAUUUUGCAAGCUCUGUCUACAUUUAAAUGAAUAAUGUUUAAAAGGUUUUAUGGAAAACCAGCUUACACCGAGACCCCUGGGCUUUCCCCAAACUAAGUCUUUAAACUAUACCCCUGCGGGACUAUUCAUAUGAGUCACUAACUAUUCAAACCCCCCCGGCUUCUUCUUCUUUUUCCCCGAGAUCCCUCCCCCUUUGAAACAGUAACCGCGGGGAAUAAACAGGGUGGCGCGGCUUAUCGGCGAUGAGGAAGGUUCGGCGAAGGGUGGGGUUAGCUCCGGGAGGUCCUGGCGGUCACGUCGAGGUGGGGCUCGUCGAUGGUGAUGGCCGGAAUCGGUCGGGCCACGUGCUCAGGCGGUCGGGCUCGUCGGCGGCGUAUGCUCCGGCCUGCUCACGACAGUAUCGUUCAAUCCAAUGGCACAGGAAGCUUCAUGGGGCGCUAAGGAUGCUACCAGUGCAAGGAAUCGAAGAAAGGCUCGCCGUGGAGCUCGGUCUACGUGCGCCGGUGGUCGGGUGAAGUCCGGCGACGUCGAUCCGGUGUCUCCGGUGAGGUAGAGUUCAAUCCCCGGCUCUGGAAGCUUCACAGAGGUCAGUAGAGGCUAUCCCGAGGGUCAGAUGGGGUGGGGAAUGGCUAGGUUGGCCGGUCUACGGUGGUCGUGGCUUGGGCGGCCGCUGGCACCUUGCUCACGGGGCGAACUCCGGCGAACUCGAGCUUGGGUUGGGUCAGUGGCGCGCGCUGGUGUACGGUCGAGGUCGGGAUGGCUUUUAUAGGCGCGGGCGCGGUGUGGACGCGAGGUUGGCACGACGCGGGGCUACACUCGUGGGCGGAGCACCGAGGGCAUGCUCUGGCGCGCUAGAACGCGUCGAACACGUGGGCGUUUGUUUCUACCUCUGUUCAACCGCUUGCAGGGAUUUCAAACGUGCGAAUCUUGCUAAGGGUCUUGUGCAAAUCUCUUCCUGGCACCUAGGGCUAGCUACUAUGUGUGAGUUCCAAUGGGAGAUAUGCCCUAGCUUGGAAGAUAUGCGGGCGCCAAGUUGGGUCUGUCGGCACUGUUCAACCCGAGACAAAACUUAUGUCAAACCUUGUCAAAUGGUCUUGGUUUUGGUUCAAAAUUUUCCAGUGUGUGCCUUAGGUAAUUUGGCCACUUUUUUAUAUUUGGACCAAGGGGUUUUGGCGCCAGCACAAAGGUGAACACCUUUGAUCUUUGGUCUAGGGUGGUUUUGGGGACUUAGAGAGAAUUUUUAAAGGUUCAAGUGUGCUUUCCACUUUGUGAACUAAUUUGACGUUUUUGUUGGGCCUUUUUGCAAUCUUUUUCUUACUAAAUUUUGUAGCUUUACUAAUGCUCUUCAUCUUUAGUAAAGGUCCCUUUUUUAUGUUUUGAUUAUUUGCCCAUCCUUACCCUUUUAAUCCCCUGGUUAGGGUUUAAGGGCUUAAGAAGGAAUUAGGGCUUUAGAGUCUUGUUUGUGGGUGAACAUUGUAUGAAGAAUAGAAUUUAUUUCUUGUUGUGGAUAAUGCUUAUCUUAACCAUGAUUCUAAAACUUUUAGUGCCCUCACUCUCCAUUUUAGCACAAAGUUUGUGUAGGACAUAAUGUGCUUCUUUGGCCAGGGCUUUGGGUAACACCAGGGGUGUUACAUUUCAUGGAAAUUCAUAAGUAGAGAUUGUGUUCUUUCAAUUGGUAAUUAUCUAUUCUAUGGAAAGAAAUGUCAAUAUGAAUGUUAAAUUCCUUUUGGUUUAAAAUUGUAAAUUGGUGCAUAUUGUUAAUUCACUCCUCCAUGUGCAUUAACUUAAAAGGAAUUUAACUUAUGCCUUUAUGCCUCAUAAAUGAUGAUUCGUUUGCAAUUCAUAUCUAAAGGUCAUCAUUCAUUAAAUACUUCCUUGUACUACUAAUAUCUAUUUUCAAAGUUCUUUUUCAACUAGUAUUAAAAGGAAAAUAGAUAACAAGAUAAAGAAGGAAGUCUCCACAAAUGACGAAAAGAAGAAUACUACGAUGACACCACCACCGAUAGUAAGAUCUUUCAAAUUGGUAUAACAAAUGGUACGCUCUACUUGGUGGUAAGUAUUCUUAAGGAUAAGUUAAUUCAUUGCAAAUUUGUCAUGCCUUCACCAUGAUAUGUAAUGUACUCCUCAUGAGACUCUUAACUGAAUUGAAAGUGCAUGUGGCAAGUCAUUCAAAUACUUGAUGCACAUAUCUAGUGGGAGAACAUUAUAUAUCUUGUGUCGUAGAGAAUAAGUUCCUCUUGAGUAAGCUAUACUAAGACAAUCCAAAAUGGUAAGUUUGUAUCUCAUUCAUAUGGAUUGUAAUCUUUGUUUUCUAAAUAGCUACUCCUGAGGCAGUUUAAAAUUCCCUUAUCGUUAAAUCUAAAAGUGCAUAAGAAUCCUUUUUGUUUAUAUUUAUGACAUACAUAUGCACUAACAUGGAUAUGAUUUUUUAAAAUGUAAAAGGUACAAUUAGUGAUCCAUACUCUCUAAAUUUUGGAAAUCCUUAUUUUGAUAUCUUAGAAAUCUACUUCAGUCGGUUUCCAUAUGCUUCACAUUGAAUUGGAUCACUAAGUUGUAAACUCCAUGCAUAACUUGUCUUUAUGAUAUGAAUGCUUGUGCGACUAACCUUGAUAAGCUAGGUGCACCCAAGGUCAAGCUAGGUUCAUCAUCAAGAAGGCAACACAAUGAUGUAUCAAGAAAAGGAGAAAAGGCUCCUAUUCUUAACUCUAGUUUUUAUCUGUGUGAUUAAAUAUUGACUUGAAACCAUGUAAGAUGGUUGUCAAGUAUAUGUGGGUGCCUACAUAAAGAGAAAGGCCACAAUAAGGAAUUUGUGGGUACCCAAGGCUCUUACUACUAAUCUUAAAGGACCCAAUUUAAAUUGGGUACCAAGAUAUGAAGCUUAAACUUGUUUUGCAGGAUCACUCCUUCAAUGGAUCAAGUUGGGUGCUCGAUAAUGAAAGUAUAAAUCAUAUUUAGAGAUAGUAGCAAGGGUGAUAACAACUGAAUCUCAAGUGCAUAUUAUUUUCAAACCUUAUCUCUUUUGUGACUUAUGUAGCCACUAAGGAAAAAGAAGCACUUGAGGAUAUACAUCAGUUGUUGAUUAUGAAAUAAAGGUCCAAUUGGAAGAUGAAUGAAUAUUAUCAUAUGGUGAACAAUCCAAAAUUAUGUGGCGUAUUAUCUAUCUAGUUAAUUUGGAUUUGAUUCUUCUAUAUUAGACACAUCACCUAAUAUGGAUUAAGUAAGCCCCUUUAGACUUCAUUGAACAACCAUGCAUAUUAUCCAUGUCAUUCAAAAUAUAUUGUGCAUGAGGACUCAAGGGAAAUUUAGUCCAUAUUAUGAUGUUUCUCUAUUUUAGCAACUCACUUGCCUUCCACAUAUAAAGGGUUGCUAAAUAAGAAACUAGUGUUUGUGCUACUAAUGCCAUCUCUUGUGUUAAGUUUAUCCAUAUAAAAUCUAUGUUAAGAGAUGGUGCUUGUUUUAAAUUGGAUAAAUCACAAGCUUAAAGGAUAUUAUUCAACUAAAGUAAGAUGAAGUUGAUAAGAGGCCAAGUGUUUCAACAAGGUCCUUCCAAGUGCUUUCAAGAUGGAUUCAAAAUCUACAAAUAUAAGAGACUUGGUUCUUUCAAUCAUUGAGUUUCAAUGGGUCUCAUAUCAAGUAUGAUCGAACCAAGCAAAGAUGAAUGAAGUUCAAGAUCACUUGGUUGGAUGAAACCACAGUGAAUCAAGAAGGAAGUUGAACUAACCUGUAAACCAAAUAAUGAAGAAGUAGUGACAUAAUCACCUAAUAUCCUUCAUUAUGAGGUUUGAGGUUCAUAUUAGCAUGCUUUACCCUUCAAGAUUUCAAUUGAUAUACUUUUAGUUCUUAAACUUUUAAUUGGUUUAAUUUUCAUCUUCUAUGUAAAGCAUGUUGUGUUAAACCAAGAUAUAAUGCAAACAUCUCCUUUAACCUCGUAUUAUUGAUGUGCAUAAGUGUACUUUGUGUACUCUUACAUGCACAAAUUGAGGGAGAGUUUAGCCUAUAUCCUGUGAAACUAAUGAUUUCUUUCAAGUUCAUGUUGUGUAGUCUCACACCUUGGAUAACAUCAAAUGAGGAUGAAUGGUUCCAUAGAAAUGAAAAUGAGUUUCUCUUGAACCUAUCAAGAAAAUUAGUUCCUCUUGAUCGUUUGAAGAGGAUAAGUUUCUCUUUGAAAUGUCAAGCCUAUCAAAAGCUAAGAUGGAAAUUCAUGAUUAUAAUGGAGACCAUGUAGCGUGGAACAAAGGUGUGUCACUCCAUGAACUAUUGUAUUACAUUUGUGUAUCUAGGCUCUUACAUGCUAGUGUGUGCAUGUAUAUGCAAUAUCUUAAGUCACACCAUAAGGUUGCACUUGUGGUGACGAUUAAAGAAUCUCUAGAUAUUUGAUUAAUACAUCUUGUGGUGGUGUCAUAAGUUUGUCUUAAGUCAUCUUAGUGAGGUAUGAGUCAAACAUGCUAACUUCUCAAGAAUCUUGGCUUAAAAUAUUGCAUAUCAUGUCUAUUAGUAUACCUUUUGAUUAUGAGCAAUUCCUUCAAUUGGUACAAUUUCAUAGUUUAUUUGUACCAAGGUUCAAAUUGUAGAACUUAAUCCCCUGGCCUCACAAGUCUAAGUGCAUAAGCUAAACAAGUAUUCAUCACUUGUAUGCACACAUUUAGGGGGAGAAUGGUCUAUAAUUUGAACCUGUGACACUAACUUCAUUUCCAAGUCUAUUAUGUGUGUAGUCUCAAAUUAGAAAGGAAUUUUCGGGCAAAGACAAUCGCUUCCACUGCAAAUUUGAUGGGUAUCAAAGAUUCUUUGCUCCAAUAAAUUUAUCUUUUAUACAUUUCAUAAGAGAAUGAGUUUCUCUUUUAUAUGCUACUCCAACGUCAUCUAAAAUUGGUAAACAUGUAUCAUAUUCUUUUGGUUUGCAAAUGUCUAAAGUAGCAUAGCUUAUAAAUUCUCCUUUCUAGAACUUAAUUGAUUAAAUAGUGCACAUAUUCCUUAUGUUGCAUGAUUAUGUUCAAUUGAUACACCUUUUAUGCCAAUGGUACAUUAAGUUGCAAAUAAGUACUCUUAACAAGUAUCAAUUGAAUUCAUAUAUAUGUGCGCACUAAAACUUGAGGAGAACUUAGUGUAAUAUGCAAAUAGUGAUAUGAUUAUCUAACAAUUUGUAUCAAUUGGUGUUUUUCAAUUGAUAUUUUUAGUACAUGAUCACUAGUUGUAGAAUCCAUACUUGUGCAAUUUUCAUGUUGCCUCUUCUUGUGAUAAGAAAAUGCUAGGUGACAUCUAGACUCCAGGCAUCAAGCUUCACCUUCGAUUUAGUAUGACAAUAUUGAAAGGGAAAUGUGCCCUUGGGCCAUUUCUAAGUAUUUUGGUGAUUGAGUGUCAACACAAGUGCUUAAAUGUGAAUCAAUGCCCAUGGAUGAACAAAGUGAAAAUCUAGAGCAAAGGUAUGUUUCUAAGUCUUAGUACAUUGGUUUUGUGUACUAAUAUAUUUGUCUAAGUGUUAGGAACAGAAAGAAGAAGAAAAGAGAAGACUUGGCUGUGUACAGCCAAGAGGCUGUUUCGGUCUGGGGCACCGGACUGUCCGGUGGUGCACCGGACAGUGUCCGGUGCGCCAGGCUGCCCCGGCCGAAGAGGCCGCUCUCGGGAAUUCGCCGACGGCGUACGGCUAAAAUUCACCGGACUGUCCGGUGUGCACCGGACUGUCCGGUGUGCACCGGACUGUCCGGUGAGCCAACGGUCGGCCGGGCCAACGGUCGGCCGCGCGAUCUGCGCGGGACACGUGGCCGAGCCAACGGUCGGGAAGGGGCACCGGACAUGUCCGGUGCGCCAACGGCUCCCGCAUCUGCAACGGUCGACUGCGCUGUUUAAGGAAGGAAAUCGGGCACCGGACAGUGUCCGGUGUGCACCGGACUGUCCGGUGCACCCGACGACAGAAGGCAAGUUUGGCCUUCUGGAAUUGCUCUCAACGGCUCCUAGCUGCCUUGGGGCUAUAAAAGGGACCCCUAGGCGCAUGGAGGAGGGAACUAAGCAACCUUUGAGCAUUCUUGAUCAUCCACACUCAGUCUUUGCGCAUCCGUUUGUUAUUCUAAGUGAUUCGAGCUCCGUUCUUGUGAGAACUGUGAGAUAGUCUUUGAGCUCGAUUCUUGGUCGUGUGUGUGCGCAUUUUGCUGUGGAUUUGUGUGUGUUGCUUCCCUCCCUUACUCCGUAUUUCUUUGUGAAUCUCAAGUGUAAGGGCGAGAGACUCCAAGUUGUGGAGAUUCCUUGCAAACGGGAAAUUGAAAGGAAAAGCAUAACACUGUGGUAUUCAAGUUGAUCAUUGGAUCACUUGAGAGGAGUUGAGUGCAACUCUCGUCCGUUGGGACGCCACAACGUGGAGUAGGCAAGUUUUGUACUUGGCCGAACCACGGGAUAAAUCACUGUGUCUUCUCUGUGUUGAACUUCUUGUGGUUAUCAUAUUGUGCAAGGUCUUCUCUUUAGCCACUUGGCAUUAAUUGUGCUAACGCUUAAUCAAAGUUUUGUGGCUUAAGUUUUUGAAGUAUACAGGAUCACCUAUUCACCCCCCCCCUCUAGGUGCUCUCAAUUGGUAUCGGAGCCGUUCUCUUCAAGAAAGGGACUAACCGCCCGAAGAGAUGGAUCCUAAGGGGAAGGGAAUCGUGAUCAACGACAAGGAAAAGGAGUCCUUCGUCAACGAGCCAAAAGAUGAUAAAUCCAACGACUCUGGCUCGGGCCACAAGCGUAAAGAUGGGAAGAAGAAGAAGACAAGGCGCAUCAAGGAGAUCGUCUACUACGACGAUAGCGAUGAGUCGACUUCUUCCCAAAAGGACGACAACAACGACUACAGGAAGACGGUCAAUUCGAACUUUUCAUUUGAUUAUUCUCGUAUUCCACAUAGUUCGAAUUCGCAUUUGCUUUCCAUUCCUCUUGGCAAACCUCCACACUUCGAUGGGGAAGACUACGGAUUUUGGAGUCACAAAAUGCGUAGUCACUUAUUCUCUCUCCAUCCAAGCAUAUGGGAGAUUGUAGAGAAUGGAAUGAAAUUUGAUAGCUCGGAUAGCCCUAUGCUUAUUAAUGAACAAAUUCAUAAAAAUGCACAAGCUACUACUGUGUUGCUAGCCUCUUUGUGCAGGGACGAGUACAAUAAGGUGAGCGGCUUGGACAAUGCCAAGCAGAUAUGGGACACCCUCAAGAUUUCUCACGAGGGGAACGACAUCACCAUGCUCACUAAAAUGGAGUUGGUGGAGGGCGAGCUUGGAAGGUUUGCAAUGAUAAGGGGCGAGGAGCCAACCCAAACAUACAACCGGCUCAAGACCCUUAUCAACAAAAUAAGGAGCUACGGAAGCACACGAUGGACGGAUCACGACGUCGUCCGCCUAAUGCUAAGGUCAUUUACCAUUCUUGAUCCUCAUCUCGUGAACAAUGUUCGUGAGAAUCCCAGGUACACGAAGAUGACGCCCGAGGAGGUACUCGGAAAAUUCGUAAGCGGGCGGAUGAUGAUCAAGGAGGCAAGAUACGUGGACGACGCCUUGAAUGGACCAAUCAACGAGCAUCAACCCCUUGCUCUCAAGGCAACAAGAAGCAAGGAGGCGCUACCUAGCAAGGUGGCACAAAUUGAGGCGGCCGGACUUAAUGAUGAAGAGAUGGCUCUCAUCAUCAAACGCUUCAAGACGGUGCUAAAAGGUCACAAGGGGCAGCCAAGCAAGACCAAGACAAAGGGGAAGCGCUCAUGCUUCAAGUGCGGUAAGAUUGGUCAUUUUAUCGCUAACUGCCCCGAUAACGAUAGUGACCAGGAACAGGGGAACAAGAGGGAAAAGAAGAAGAAUUACAAGAAGGCCAAGGGCGAGGCACACAUCGGAAAGGAGUGGGAUUCGGAUUGCUCCUCCGACUCCGACAAUGAAGGACUCGCCGCCACCGCCUUCAACAAGUCAUCCCUCUUCCCCAACGAGCGUCACACAUGCCUUAUGGCAAGGGAGAAGAAGGUGAGUACUCGAGACUCCACUUAUGCUUCUUCUAGUGAUAAUGAGUCUAGUGAUGAUGAUGACAUAGACUAUUCAUGCUUAUUCAAGGGCUUAGAUAGAUCUAAGAUAGACAAAAUCAAUGAAUUGAUUGAUGCCUUGAAUGAUAAGAAUGUGCUUUUAGAAAAGCAAGAGGAUUUGUUGUAUGAAGAACAUGACAAGUUUGUAGAAGCACAAAAAUCACUUGCAUUAGAGAUUAAGAGAAAUGAAAUGCUUUCUUAUGAGUUGUCUACAUGUCAUGAUUCAAUUGCUAGUUUAAAGAGCAUAAAUGAUGAUUUAAAUGCUAAACUAGAAAAAUCUAGUAAAUCAACAUCUUGUGUAGAACAUGUUAAGAUUUGCACUAGGUGUAAAGAUUUCGAUGUUGAUGCUUGUAGCGAUCAUUUAGUUUCAAUUUCCAAAUUAACUGAGGAAUUGGCUAGUCUUAACGCCCAACUUAAGACUAGCAAGAAUGAAUUUGAUAAACUAAAAUUUGCAAGGGAUGCCUACACGAUCGGUAGACACCCCUCAAUUAAGGAUGGACUUGGUUUCAAAAGGGAAGCCAAGAACUUAACAAGCCAUAAGGCUCCCAUUCCCGCUAAGGAGAAAGGGAAGGCCCCUAUGGCUACUAGUGCUAAAAAGAACCAUGCCUUUUUGUAUCAUGAUAGGAAAAAUUCUAGAAAUGCUUUUAGAAGUUAUGAUGCUUUUGAUUCACAUGCUUAUGAUUCUUAUGCCAUGACUGCUUCUAGUUCUUCCUAUAUGCAUGGUAGAAGUAUGACUAGGAGAAAUGCUAUUCAUCACGUGCCUAGAAAGAAUACUAUUCAUGCUCCUAGGAAAGUAGUAAAUGAACCUUCUACAAUUUAUUGUGCUUUAAAUGCUUCCUUUGCUAUUUGUAGAAAGGAUAGGAAGAUAGUUGCUAGGAAGUUAGGGGCAAAAUGCAAGGGAGACAAAACUUGCAUUUGGGUCCCUAAGGAUAUUUGCACUAACCUUGUAGGACCCAACAAGAGUUGGGUACCUAAGUCCCAAGCCUAAAUUUGCCUUGCAGGUUUAUGCAUCCGGGGGUUCAAGCUGGAUUAUCGACAGCGGAUGCACAAACCAUAUGACGGGGGAGAAGAAGAUGUUCACCUCCUACGUCAAGAAUAAGGAUUCCCAAGAUUCAAUUAUAUUUGGUGAUGGGAAUCAAGGCAAGGUAAAAGGGUUAGGUAAAAUUGCAAUUUCUAAUGAGCAUUCUAUCUCCAAUGUAUUUUUAGUAGAGAGUCUUGGAUAUAAUUUGCUAUCUGUUAGUCAAUUAUGUCAUAUGGGAUAUAACUGUCUAUUUACAAAUGUAGAUGUGUCGGUCUUUAGAAGAAGUGAUGGUUCACUAGCUUUUAAGGGUGUAUUAGACGGCAAACUUUAUUUAGUUGAUUUUGCAAAAGAAGAGGCCGGUCUAGAUGCAUGCUUAAUAGCUAAGACUAGCAUGGGCUGGCUGUGGCAUCGCCGCUUAGCACAUGUGGGGAUGAAGAACCUUCACAAGCUUCUAAAGGGAGAACACGUGAUAGGUUUGACUAACGUGCAAUUCGAAAAGGAUAGACCUUGUGCAGCUUGUCAAGCAGGUAAACAAGUGGGAGGAGCACAUCACAGCAAGAAUGUGAUGACCACUUCAAGACCCCUGGAGCUGCUGCAUAUGGACCUCUUCGGACCCGUCGCCUAUCUGAGCAUAGGAGGGAGUAAGUAUGGUCUAGUUAUUGUUGAUGACUUUUCCCGCUUCACUUGGGUGUUCUUUUUGCAGGAUAAGUCUGAAACCCAAGGGACCCUCAAGCGCUUCCUCAGGAGAGCUCAAAAUGAGUUUGAGCUCAAGGUGAAGAAGAUAAGGAGCGACAACGGGUCCGAGUUCAAGAACCUUCAAGUAGAGGAGUUCCUUGAGGAGGAAGGGAUCAAGCAUGAGUUCUCUGCUCCCUACACACCACAGCAAAAUGGUGUGGUAGAGAGGAAGAACAGGACGCUAAUCGACAUGGCGAGGACUAUGCUUGGAGAGUUCAAGACCCCCGAGCGUUUUUGGUCGGAAGCCGUGAACACGGCUUGCCACGCCAUCAACAGGGUCUACCUUCACCGCCUCCUCAAGAAGACGUCGUAUGAGCUUCUAACCGGUAACAAACCCAAUGUAUCUUACUUUCGUGUAUUUGGGAGCAAGUGCUACAUUCUAGUGAAGAAGGGUAGAAAUUCUAAGUUUGCUCCCAAAGCUGUAGAAGGGUUUUUAUUAGGUUAUGACUCAAAUACAAAGGCGUAUAGAGUCUUCAACAAAUCAUCGGGUUUGGUUGAAGUCUCUAGCGACGUUGUAUUUGAUGAGACUAAUGGCUCUCCAAGAGAGCAAGUUGUUGAUUGUGAUGAUGUAGAUGAAGAAGAUGUUCCAACGGCCGCUAUACGAUCCAUGGCAAUUGGAGAAGUGCGGCCACAGGAACACGAUGAACGAGAUCAAACAUCUUCCUCAACUAUGGUACUACCCCCAACUCAAGACGAUGAACAGGUUCAUCAACAGGAGGCGUGUGAUCAAGGGGGAGCACAAGAUGAUCGUGUGAUGGAGGAAGAUGCGCAACCAGCACCUCCAACCCAAGUUCGAGCGAUGAUUCAAAGGGAUCAUCCCGUCGACCAAAUUCUGGGUGACAUUAGCAAGGGAGUAACUACUCGAUCUCGAUUAGUUAAUUUUUGUGAGCAUUACUCCUUUGUCUCUUCUAUUGAGCCUUUCAGGGUAGAGGAGGCCUUGCUAGAUCCGGACUGGGUGUUGGCCAUGCAGGAGGAGCUCAACAACUUCAAGAGAAAUGAAGUUUGGACGCUGGUGCCUCGUCCGAAGCAAAAUGUUGUGGGAACCAAGUGGGUGUUCCGCAACAAACAGGACGAACACGGGGUGGUGACGAGAAACAAGGCUCGACUUGUGGCAAAAGGUUAUGCCCAAGUCGCAGGUUUGGAUUUCGAGGAGACUUUUGCUCCUGUGGCUAGGCUAGAGUCUAUUCGUAUCCUGCUAGCAUAUGCCGCUCACCAUUCUUUCAGGCUGUUCCAAAUGGAUGUGAAGAGCGCUUUCCUCAACGGGCCGAUCAAGGAGGAGGUGUACGUGGAGCAACCCCCUGGCUUCGAGGAUGAACGGUACCCCAACCACGUGUGUAAGCUCUCUAAGGCGCUCUAUGGACUUAAGCAAGCCCCAAGAGCAUAGUAUGAAUGCCUUAGAGACUUUCUAAUUGCUAAUGCUUUCAAGGUUGGGAAAGCCGAUCCAACUCUUUUUACUAAGACAUGUGAUGGUGAUUUGUUUGUGUGCCAAAUUUAUGUCGAUGACAUAAUAUUUGGUUCUACUAACCAAAAGUCUUGUGAAGAGUUUAGCAGGGUGAUGACGCAGAAGUUCGAGAUGUCGAUGAUGGGCGAGUUGAACUACUUCCUUGGGUUCCAAGUGAAGCAACUCAAGGACGGCACCUUCAUCUCCCAAACAAAGUACACGCACGAUCUGCUAAAGAGGUUUGGGAUGAAGGACGCCAAGCCCGCAAAGACUCCGAUGGGGACCGACGGACACACCGACCUCAACAAAGGAGGUAAGUUCGUUGAUCAAAAAGCAUACCGGUCAAUGAUAGGUUCUUUGCUUUACUUAUGUGCUAGUAGACCGGAUAUUAUGCUUAGCGUAUGCAUGUGUGCUAGAUUUCAAUCCGAUCCUAAGGAGUGUCACUUAGUGGCGGUAAAGCGAAUUCUUAGAUAUUUGGUUGCUACGCCUUGCCUCGGGCUCUGGUAUCCAAAGGGGUCUACCUUUGACUUAGUUGGAUACUCAGACUCCGACUAUGCUGGAUGUAAGGUCGAUAGGAAGAGUACAUCAGGGACGUGCCAAUUCUUAGGAAGGUCCCUGGUGUCAUGGAACUCUAAGAAACAAACCUCCGUUGCCCUAUCCACCGCUGAGGCCGAGUACGUUGCCGCAGGUCAGUGUUGCGCGCAACUACUUUGGAUGAGGCAAACCCUCCGGGACUUUGGCUACAAUCUGAGCAAAGUCCCACUCCUAUGUGACAAUGAGAGUGCUAUCCGCAUGGCGGAAAAUCCUGUUGAGCACAGCCGCACAAAGCACAUAGACAUCCGGCAUCACUUUUUGAGAGACCACCAGCAAAAGGGAGAUAUCGAAGUGUUUCAUGUUAGCACCGAGAACCAGCUAGCCGAUAUCUUCACUAAGCCUCUAGAUGAGAAGACCUUUUGCAGGUUGCGUAGUGAGCUAAAUGUCUUAGAUUCGCGGAACUUGGAUUGAAUUAUAGCAUACAUGUGUUUAUGCCCUUGAUCAGGUUCAUUCUGCAUUCUGUUGCUUAUUGUGGUGCUCAAGUUGUACAAACACUCCCUGGACCUCACAAGUCCGUUGCAAAGUGCUGCACAUGUUUAGGGGGAGAUGUGUUACAACUUGACCCUUUCGAGACUAACCAUGUGCUUGAGUUUGAUGAUUUAGUCUCGAAGGAGAAUUGAAAGGGAAAAGGUGGACUUGGAUCAUGAAAGACUUCCACUGCACUCCGAUGAGAGGGUAACUUAUUCCAAGUUCAUCUUUAGACUCUUAUUGCCUUUGUAUUCUUAUUGAAGAUUUUGGUGAGGCAAUGGGGUUAAUAGGCCAAGAUUGAUCCCGUUUUGGUGCUUGAUGCCAAAGGGGGAGAAAAUAAAGGGCCAAAGCGAUAAAUGGAUCAGCUACCACUUGAGAGAUUUUGAAAAUAGUAGAAUAGAGUUUUUUGUUUUGUUAAACUCUUUUAUUGUCUCUUAUUGUCUCUCUUGUCAAAAGUUGGCUUCUUGUGGGGAGAAAUGUUGAUUAUGGGAAAUAGGGGGAGUUUUUGAAAUCUUUGAUCAAUCUCUUUUGGAAUGACUCUCUUUAUGCCUCAAUAUGUGUGUUUGACAUAGAGAUAGAGAUUUGAGUUUGAUUUGCAAAAACAAACCAAGUGGUGGCAAAGGAUGAUCCAUAUAUGCCAAAAUUGAAUCAAAAUCAAUUUGAGUUUUAUUUGAAGUGAUUUUGCACUUGUUCUAGUUGCUUUAUGUUGUGUUGGCAUAAAUCACCAAAAAGGGGGAGAUUGAAAGGGAAAUGUGCCCUUGGGCCAUUUCUAAGUAUUUUGGUGAUUGAGUGUCAACACAAGUGCUUAAAUGUGAAUCAAUGCCCAUGGAUGAACAAAGUGAAAAUCUAGAGCAAAGGUAUGUUUCUAAGUCUUAGUACAUUGGUUUUGUGUACUAAUAUAUUUGUCUAAGUGUUAGAAACAGAAAGAAGAAGAGAAGAGAAGACUUGGCUGUGUACAGCCAAGAGGCUGUUUCGGUCUGGGGCACCGGACUGUCCGGUGGUGCACCGGACAGUGUCCGGUGGUGCACCGGACAGUGUCCGGUGUGCCAGGCUGCCCCGGCCGAAGAGGCCGCUCUCGGGAAUUCGCCGACGGCGUACGGCUAAAAUUCACCGGACUGUCCGGUGUGCACCGGACUGUCCGGUGAGCCAACGGUCGGCCGGGCCAACGGUUGGCCGCGCGAUCUGCGCGGGACACGUGGCCGAGCCAACGGUCGGGAAGGGGCACCGGACUGUCCGGUGUGCACCGGACAUGUCCGGUGCGCCAACGGCUCCCGCAUCUGCAACGGUCGACUGCGCUGUUUAAGGAAGGAAAUCGGGCACCGGACAGUGUCCGGUGUGCACCGGACUGUCCGGUGCACCCGACGACAGAAGGCAAGUUUGGCCUUCUGGAAUUGCUCUCAACGGCUCCUAGCUGCCUUGGGGCUAUAAAAGGGACCCCUAGGCGCAUGGAGGAGGGAACUAAGCAACCUUUGAGCAUUCUUGAUCAUCCACACUCAGUCUUUGCGCAUCCGUUUGUUAUUCUAAGUGAUUCGAGCUCCGUUCUUGUGAGAACUGUGAGAUAGUCUUUGAGCUCGAUUCUUGGUCGUGUGUGUGCGCAUUUUGCUGUGGAUUUGUGUGUGUUGCUUCCCUCCCUUACUCCGUAUUUCUUUGUGAAUCUCAAGUGUAAGGGCGAGAGACUCCAAGUUGUGGAGAUUCCUUGCAAACGGGAAAUUGAAAGGAAAAGCAUAACACUGUGGUAUUCAAGUUGAUCAUUGGAUCACUUGAGAGGAGUUGAGUGCAACUCUCGUCCGUUGGGACGCCACAACGUGGAGUAGGCAAGUUUUGUACUUGGCCGAACCACGGGAUAAAUCACUGUGUCUUCUCUGUGUUGAACUUCUUGUGGUUAUCAUAUUGUGCAAGGUCUUCUCUUUAGCCACUUGGCAUUAACUGUGCUAACGCUUAAUCAAAGUUUUGUGGCUUAAGUUUUUGAAGUAUACAGGAUCACCUAUUCACCCCCCCCUCUAGAUGCUCUCAAAUAUUCAUUUAAUAUCUUGGACCUAUGUCACAAUUAUGCUAACAAGAGCUUGCAAAUGAAUUCUAAAUCCAACACAAGUCUGGAAACCCCUUGAAAAGGUAAAACGCAAAGGUACAUCACUUAUGACACUUAUCCAUUACCUUUGUGCCAUCUAAGGGUCCUUUUCAUGAUAAUGUGUUCACAUCUCGCUUAAUCAUAAUUUCUACCCUUUAUAUUCUUUGUAUCCUUUUUGGAGAUUUAUGACAAAGGGGGGAAAUUUUGCAUUAAAGCUUACCUUUAGUCUUAUGUAACUAAGUGUUAGAAGACUUUUAAGAAGGGGAGAAAUAAUUAACAAAAAGGGGGAAUCAUAAGAAAAACAUAAGAUGUAGAAAGUUGAUAAGUGCAUUCUAUGUCAUGAGCAUCAAGGUUAUUUUAUGACACAUUGCACCUCAUGAAUAAUAUGAUAUAAGUUGUCUACAUACUUUGACCCAAAUUUGUGCUUUUGGCAUUUAAGUACAAAAUUGGUAUUUUCUGAAAUGCACAUAUUUAGGGGGAGGAAACUAUAUCAUAGGAUUCAAAAUCUUAUUUAUCAAAUCUUAUGUAAGCUUUAAAUGUGUUGUCACCAAUCACCAAAAAGGGGGAGAUUGAAAGUGCAUUCAUCCCUUUUGUGAGUUUUGUGAUUUGGAUAACAACACAUUUAAAGGUCUAACGAGUUUGCUAAGUGUUGAACAGGAAAUUCAGUAUGAUGAACAUACUUGAAUAGUGUAUAAUGAUCAGUGAACAAAGGUUCAACACAAGGUUAAAUAACCAAUGAGACAAUGCAAAUGGAUAUAAUAUGGUCUCUGUAUUGGUUUGAAUAUAUAUGGACAAUACCUUAGAAAUCACUACAUACAUAUGAUCAUAAUAGAGGAUGAAAUGAUUAAGAGGAUUGGUUAAGCCAAAGUGAAUAAGAUAUGAGGAAUCUGAGAGCACCUAGAGGGGGGGUGAAUAGGUGAUCCUGUAAAAACUUAAACUUAUAGCCACAAAAACUUGUUAAGUGUUAGCACAAUGAUUGCCAAGUGGCUAGAAAGGAGUCUCAGCAAAACACAAUACCACAAGAGAUCAAACACAGAGAUGACACAGUGGUUUAUCCCGUGGUUCGGCCAAGACCAACACUUGCCUACUCCACGUUGUGGCGUCCCAACGGACGAGGGUUGCAAUCAACCCCUCUCAAGCGGUCCAAAGACCAACUUGAAUACCACGGUGUUUUGCUUUGCCUUUCAAUAUCCCGUUUGCGAGGAAUCUCCACAACUUGGAGCCUCUCGCCCUUACACUUAAGAUUCACAAAGAAAUACGGAGUAAGGGAGAAACUAGCAACGCACACAAGACUCAAAAUCAGAGCAACAACACGCACACAAGUCGCAACAAGAGCUCGCAACACUACUCAAUGAGUCCACAACUCAACAAGAGCUCUAGAUGCUAUCACAAUGAACCAAAUGCGUGGAAUCGAUGUCUUGGUGCUUAGGAAUGUUGUAGGAAUGCUUGGUAUGCUCCUCCAUGCGCCUAGGGGUCCCUUUUAUAGCCCCAAGGCAGCUAGGAGCCGUUGAGAGCAAUUCUGGAAGGCUGAUCUUGCCUUCUGUCAUCGGGCGCACCGGACAGUCCGGUGCACACCGGACACUGUCCGGUGCCCGAUUUCUUUCCUUAAAUGGCGCAGCCGACCGUUGCAGAUCUGGGAGCCGUUGGCGCACCGGACAGUCCGGUGCUCACCGGACAGUCCGGUGCCCCCUUCCGACCGUUGGCUCGGCCACGUGUCUCGCACGGAUUCCGCGGCCGACCGUUGGCCCGGCAGACCGUUGGCUCACCGGACAGUCCGGUGCACACCGGACAGUCCGGUGAAUUUUAGCCGUACGCCGUCGGCGAAUUCCCGAGAGCGACCACUUCGCUCGAGGCAGCCUGGCGCACCGGACACUGUCCGGUGCACCACCGGACAGUCCGGUGCUCCAGACCGAACAGCCUCUUGGCUGCACACAGCCAACUUUUCUUUGACUCGAUUUCUCCUGUUUCAAGCACUUAGACACAAUACAUUAGUCUUCAAAACAAUGUACUAAGGCUUAGAAACAUACCUUUAGUCUUGAUUUGCACUUUGUCCAUCCAAGGGUAUAGAUUCACAUUUAAGCACCUGUGUUGGCACUCAAUCACCAAAAUACUUAGAAAUGGCCCAAGGGCACAUUUCCCUUUCAAUCUCCCCCUUUUUGGUGAUUUUUGCCAACACAACAUAAAGCAACUAGAACAAGUGCAAUAUCACUUCAAAUAAAAACUCAAUUUUAUUUUGAUUCAGUUUUGGCAUAUAUGGAUCAUCCUUUGCCACCACUUGGUUUGUUUUUCAAAUCAACCUCAGAAUCCUAUCUCUAAGUCAAAUUCACUUGUAGAGACAUCAAGAGAGGUUUUCCAAAGAAAAAUGAUUCAAGAUUCCAAAACCCCCCUAUUUCCCAUAAUCAAUACUUCUCCCCACAAGAAGUCAACUUUUGACAAGAGAGACAACAAAAGAGUUUUUAAAAAAGCUCUAUUCUACUAUUUUCAAAAACUCUAUUUUCAAAAUUUCUCAAGUGGUAGCUGAUCCAUUUAUUGCUUUGGCCUUUAUUUUCUCCCCCUUUGGCAUCAAGCACCAAAACGGGAUCAAUCUUGGCCCAUUAACCCCAUUGCCUCACCAAAAUCUUCAAUUAAGAGCAAAUAGGCAAUAAGAGUUAAAGGAUGAACUUGGAGAAAUUACUCUUUUCAUCGGAGUGCAGUGGAAGUCUUUCACGGUCCAAGUCCACCUUUUCCCUUUCAAUCCUUCUUUAAGACUAAAGCAUCAAACUCAAGUACAGGGUUAGUCUCAAAGGGUCAAGUUGUAACACAUCUCCCCCUAAACAUGUGCAUCACUUUGCAACGGACUUGUGAGGUCCAGGGAGUGUUUGUACAACUUGAGCACCAAUAUUAAGCAACAAAAUGCAUAAGGAAUAUGAUCAAAGGCAUAAACACAUGUAUGCUACAAAUCAAUCCAAGUUCCGCGAAUCUAAGACAUUUAGCUCACUACGCAACCUGCAAAAGGUCUUCUCAUCUAGAGGCUUGGUAAAGAUAUCGGCUAGCUGGUUCUCGGUGCUAACAUGAAACACUUCGAUAUCUCCCUUUUGCUGGUGGUCUCUCAAAAAGUGAUGUCGGAUGUCUAUGUGCUUUGUGCGGCUGUGUUCAACAGGAUUUUCCGCCAUGCGGAUAGCACUCUCAUUAUCACAUAGGAGUGGGACUUUGCUCAGAUUGUAGCCAAAGUCCCGGAGGGUUUGCCUCAUCCAAAGUAGUUGCGCGCAACACUAUCCUGCGGCAACAUACUCGGCCUCAGCGGUGGAUAGGGCAACGGAGGUUUGUUUCUUAGAGUUCCACGACACCAGGGACCUUCCUAAGAAUUGGCACGUCCCUGAUGUACUCUUCCUAUCGACCUUACAUCCAGCAUAGUCGGAAUCUGAGUAUCCAACCAAGUCAAAGGUAGACCCCUUUGGAUACCAGAGCCCGAAGCAAGGCGUAGCAACCAAAUAUCUUAGAAUUCGCUUCACCGCCACUAAGUGACACUCCUUAGGAUCGGAUUGAAAUCUGGCACACAUGCAUACGCUAAGCAUAAUAUCCGGUCUACUAGCACAUAAAUAAAGUAAAGACCCUAUCAUUGACCGGUAUGCUUUUUGAUCAACGGACUUACCUCCUUUGUUGAGGUCAGUGUGUCCGUCGGUCCCCAUCGGAGUCUUUGCGGGCUUGGCGUCCUUCAUCCCAAACCGCUUUAGCAGAUCUUGCGUGUACUUCGUUUGGGAGAUGAAGGUGCCGUCCUUGAGUUGCUUCACUUGGAACCCAAGGAAAUAGUUCAACUCGCCCAUCAUCGACAUCUCGAAUUUCUGCGUCAUCACCCUGCUAAACUCUUCACAAGACUUUUGGUUAGUAGAACCAAAUAUUAUGUCAUCGACAUAAAUUUGGCACACAAACAAAUCACCAUCACAUGUCUUAGUAAAGAGAGUUGGAUCAGCUUUCCCAACCUUGAAAGCAUUAACAAUUAGAAAGUCUCUAAGGCAUUCAUACCAUGCUCUUGGGGCUUGCUUAAGUCCAUAGAGCGCCUUAGAGAGCUUACACACGUGGUCGGGGUACCGUUCAUCCUCGAAGCCAGGGGGUUGCUCUACGUACACCUCCUCCUUGAUCGGCCCGUUGAGGAAAGCGCUCUUCACAUCCAUUUGGUACAACCUGAAAAAAUGGUGAGCGGCAUAUGCUAGCAAGAUACGAAUUGAUUCUAGCCUAGCCACAGGAGCAAACGUCUCCUCAAAGUCCAAACCUGCGACUUGGGCAUAACCUUUUGCCACAAGUCGAGCCUUGUUCCUUGUCACCACCCCGUGCUCGUCCUAUUUGUUGCGGAACACCCACUUGGUUCCCACAACAUUUUGCUUGGGACGAGGCACCAGUGUCCAAACUUCAUUGCGCUUGAAGUUGUUGAGUUCCUCCUGCAUGGCCAAUACCCAAUCCGGAUCUAGCAAGGCCUCCUCUACCCUGAAAGGCUCAAUAGAAGAGACAAAAGAGUAAUGCUCACAAAAAAUAACUAAUCGAGAUCGAGUAGUUACUCCCUUGCUAAUAUCACCCAGAAUUUGGUCGACGGGAUGAUCCCUUUGAAUCAUCGCUCGAACUUGGGUUGGAGGUGCCGGUUGCGCUUCUUCCUCCACCACGUGAUCAUCUUGUGCUCCCCCUUGAACACACGCCUCCUUUUGAUGAACCUGUUCAUCGUCUUGAGUUGGGGGAUUCACCGUUGUUGAGGAAGAAGGUUGAUCUCGUCCAUCUUGUUCCUGUGGCCGCACUUCUCCAAUCGCCAUGGUUCGUAUAGCGGCCGUUGGAACAUCUUCUUCAUCUACAUCAUCACAAUCAACAACUUGCUCUCUUGGAGAGCCAUUAGUCUCAUCAAAUACAACGUCGCUAGAGACUUCAACCAAACCCGAUGAUUUGUUGAAGACUCUAUACGCCUUUGUAUUUGAGUCAUAACCUAACAAAAAACCUUCUACAGCUUUGGGAGCAAACUUAGAAUUUCUACCCUUCUUUACUAGAAUGUAGCACUUGCUCCCAAAUACACGAAAGUAAGAUACAUUGGGUUUGUUGCCGGUUAGUAGCUCAUACGAAGUCCUCUUGAGGAGGCGAUGAAGGUAGACCCUGUUGAUGGCGUGGCAAGCUGUGUUCACGGCUUCCGACCAGAAACACUCGGGGGUCUUGAAUUCUCCAAGCAUUGUCCUCGCCAUAUCGAUUAGCGUCCUGUUCUUCCUCUCUACCACACCAUUUUGCUGUGGUGUGUAGGGAGCGGAGAACUCGUGCUUGAUCCCUUCCUCCUCAAGGAACUCUUCCACUUGAAGGUUCUUGAACUCGGACCCGUUGUCGCUCCUUAUCUUUUUCACCUUGAGCUCAAACUCAUUUUGAGCUCUCCUGAGGAAGCGCUUGAGGGUCCCUUGGGUUUCAGACUUAUCCUGCAAAAAGAACACCCAAGUGAAGCGGGAAAAGUCAUCAACAAUAACUAGACCAUACUUACUUCCUCCUAUGCUCAGAUAGGCGACGGGUCCGAAGAGGUCCAUAUGCAGCAGCUCCAGGGGUCUUGAAGUGGUCAUCACAUUCUUGCUGUGAUGCGCUCCUCCCACUUGUUUACCUUUUUACCUUGCCUUGAUUCCCAUCACCGAAUAUAAUUGAAUCUUGGGAAUCCUUAUUCUUGACGUAGGAGGUGAACAUCUUCUUCUCCCCCGUCAUAUGGUUUGUGCAUCCGCUGUCGAUAAUCCAGCUUGAACCCCCGGAUGCAUAAACCUGCAAGGCAAAUUUAGGCUUGGGACUUAGGUACCCAACUCUUGUUGGGUCCUACAAGGUUAGUCACAAUUGUCUUAGGGACCCAAAUGCAAGUUUUAUCACCCUUGCAUUUUGCCCCUAAUUUCCUAGCAAUCACCUUUCUAUCCUUUCUACAAAUUGCAAAGGAAGCAUUCAAAGCAUGAUAUAUUGUAGAAGGUUCAUUUACUUUCCUAGGAACAUUAACAACAUUUCUCCUAGGCAUAUUAUGAACAGCAUUCCUUCUACCAACAUUUCUAUCAUGCACAUAUGAAGAACUAGAAGCAAACAUAGCAUGAGAAAAAUCAUCGUAAGCAUUAUAACUCCUAUAAGCAUUUCUAGUUUGUCUCCUAUCAUGAUACAAAAAGGCAUGGUUCUUUUUAGCACUAGUAGCUAUAGGGGCCUUCCCUUUCUCCUUAGUGGGAAUGGGAGCCUUAUGGCUUGUUAAGUUCUUGGCUUCCCUCUUGAAGCCAAGUCCAUCCUUAAUUGAGGGGUGUCUACCGAUCGUGUAGGCAUCCCUUGCAAAUUUUAGUCUAUCAAAUUCAUUCUUGCUAGUCUUAAGUUGAGCAUUAAGACUAGCCAAUUCCUCAGUUAAUUUGGAAAUUGAAACUAAAUGAUCGCUACAAGCAUCAACAUCGAAAUCUUUACACCUAGUGCAAAUCUCAACAUGUUCUACACAAGAAUUAGAUUUACUAGCUACUUCUAGUUUAGCAUUUAAGUCAUCAUUAAUAUUCUUUAAAGUAGCAAUGGUUUCAUGACAAGAAGAUAGUUCACUAGAAAGCACUUCAUUUCUUUUAACUUCUAAAGCAUAAGAUUUUUGUGCCUCUACAAAUUUGUCAUGCUCUUCAUACAAAAGGUCCUCUUGUUUUUCUAAGAGUCUAUCUUUUUCAUUCAAGGCAUCAAUUAAUUCAUUAAUUUUAUCUAUUUUAGUUCUAUCCAAUCCUUUGAACAAACUAGAGUAAUCUAUUUCAUCAUCACUAGACUCAUCAUCACUGGAGGAAUCAUAAGUGACAUUGUUUUGAUUACAUACCUUCUUCUCCCUUGCCAUAAGGCAUGUGUGACGCUCGUUGGGGAAGAGAGAUGACUUGUUGAAGGCAGUGGCGGCGAGUCCUUCAUUGUCGGAGUCGGAGGAGGAGCAAUCCGAAUCCCACUCCUUUCCGAUAUGUGCCUCGCCCUUGGCCUUCUUGUAAUGCUUCUUCUUUUCCCUCUUGCUCCCGUGUUCCUGGUCACUAUCAUUGUCGAGACAGUUAGCAAUAAAAUGACCAAGCUUACCGCAUUUGAAGCAUGAUCGCUUUCCCUUGGUCUUAGUCUUGCUUGGGUGUCCCUUGCGACCCUUUAGCGCCGUCUUGAAUCUUUUGAUGAUGAGGGCCAUCUCUUCAUCAUUAAGACCGGCCGCCUCAAUUUGCGCCACCUUGCUGGGUAGCGCCUCCUUGCUCCUUGUUGCCUUGAGAGCAAUGGGUUGAGGCUCAUGGAUUGGGCCAUUCAACGCGUCGUCCACGUACCUUGCCUCUUUGAUCAUCAUUCGCCCGCUUACAAAUUUUCCAAGAAUUUCUUCGGGCGACAUCUUGAUGUACCUAGGAUUUUCACAAAUAUUGUUUACCAAGUGAGAAUCAAGAACGGUAAAUGACCUUAGCAUUAGGCGGACGACGUCGUGAUCCGUCCAUCGCGUGCUUCCGUAGCUCCUUAUUUUGUUGAUAAGGAUCUUGAGCCGGUUGUAUGUUUGUGUCGGCUCCUCGCCCCUUAUCAUCGCGAAUCGUCCGAGCUCGCCUUCCACCAACUCCAUCUUGGUGAGUAAGGUGACAUCAUUCCCCUCAUGAGAGAUCUUGAGGGUGUCCCAAAUCUGCUUGGCAUUGUCCAAGCCGUUCACCUUGUGAUACUCGUCCCUGCACAAAGAGGCUAGCAACACAGUAGUAGCUUGUGCAUUUUUAUGGAUCUGUUCAUUAAUAAACGAAGGGCUAUCUGAGCUAUCAAAUUUCAUUCCACUUUCCACAAUCUCCCAAAUGCUUGGAUGGAGAGAAAAUAGGUGAGUACGCAUUUUGUGACUCCAAAAUCCGUAGUCCUCUCCAUCAAAGUGAGGAGGCUUGCCAAGUGGAAUGGGGAGCAAAUGAGCAUUUGAGCUAUGCGGAAUGCGCGAAUAAUCAAAAGAAAAGUUUGAGUUAACCGUCUUUUGUUUAUCAUAGUCGUUGUCGUCGUUGUCCUUUUGGGAAGAGGAAGAUUCGUCGCUGUCGUCGUAGUAGACGAUCUCCUUGAUGCGCCUUGUCUUCUUCUUCUUCCCUUCCUUUCGUCUAUGGCUCGAGCCGGUGUCGGUAGGCUUGUCAUCUUUGGGCUCGUUGACGAAGGACUCCUUCUCCUUGUCGUUGAUCACGAUUCCCUUCCCCUUAGGAUCCAUCUCUUCGGGCGAUUAGUCCCUUCUUGAAGAGAACCGCUCUGAUACCAAUUGAGAGCACCUAGAGGGGGGUGAAUAGGUGAUCCUGUAAAAACUUAAACUUAUAGCCACAAAAACUUGUUAAGUGUUAGCACAAUGAUUGCCAAGUGGCUAGAAAGGAGUCUCAGCAAAACACAAUACCACAAGAGAUCAAACACAGAGAUGACACAGUGGUUUAUCCCGUGGUUCGGCCAAGACCAACGCUUGCCUACUCCACGUUGUGGCGUCCCAACGGACGAGGGUUGCAAUCAACCCCUCUCAAGCGGUCCAAAGACCAACUUGAAUACCACGGUGUUUUGCUUUGCCUUUCAAUAUCCCGUUUGCGAGGAAUCUCCACAACUUGGAGCCUCUCGCCCUUACACUUAAGAUUCACAAAGAAAUACGGAGUAAGGGAGAAACUAGCAACGCACACAAGACUCAAAAUCAGAGCAACAGCACGCACACAAGUCGCAACAAGAGCUCGCAACACUACUCAAUGAGUCCACAACUCAACAAGAGCUCUAGAUGCUAUCACAAUGAACCAAAUGCGUGGAAUCGAUGUCUUGGUGCUUAGGAAUGUUGUAGGAAUGCUUGGUAUGCUCCUCCAUGCGCCUAGGGGUCCCUUUUAUAGCCCCAAGGCAGGUAGGAGCCGUUGAGAGCAAUUCUGGAAGGCUGAUCUUGCCUUCUGUCAUCGGGCGCACCGGACAGUCCGGUGCACACCGGACACUGUCCGGUGCCCGAUUUCUUUCCUUAAAUGGCGCAGCCGACCGUUGCAGAUCUGGGAGCCGUUGGCGCACCGGACAGUCCGGUGCUCACCGGACAGUCCGGUGCUCACCGGACAGUCCGGUGCCCCCUUCCGACCGUUGGCUCGGCCACAUAUCUCGCACGGAUUCCGCGGCCGGCCGUUGGCCCGGCAGACCGUUGGCUCACCGGACAGUCCGGUGCACACCGGACAGUCCGGUGAAUUUUAGCCGUACGCCGUCGGCGAAUUCCCGAGAGCGACCACUUCGCUCGAGGCAGCCUGGCGCACCGGACACUGUCCGGUGCACCACCGGACAGUCCGGUGCUCCAGACCGAACAGCCUCUUGGCUGCACACAGCCAACUUUUCUUUGACUCGAUUUCUCGUGUUUCAAGCACUUAGACACAAUACAUUAGUCUUCAAAACAAUGUACUAAGGCUUAGAAACAUACCUUUACUCUUGAUUUGCACUUUGUCCAUCCAAGGGUACAGAUUCACAUUUAAGCACCUGUGUUGGCACUCAAUCACCAAAAUACUUAGAAAUGGCCCAAGGGCACAUUUCCCUUUCAGAAUCCUAAAUUGGCUUGACCAUAUUACUAUUAGUCCAUAUAUGCUUCUAUGAGAAUCAAACUAGAGCUUGAUUGAUCUUAACGGUUAUAUCUAGAAGACAUUCAAGCAAGGUUCACAAUAUUGAAGAAAUGAUUCUCUCAAUGGAUGCUCAAUAUGAUGUGACUCAAGAAUGGCUUGAUAGGGUGAAGAUAGCAAGGAAAGUGCUUUGAGGAACUAAGCGAAGGUGAAGGCCAAGCGACGGCUUGUGGACCGAGGUACCAUGGCUAAGGUGAAGAAGAGAGUACUUGCACUAAGUCGAUGAACUAAUCAGCUAUGAAGAGUUAUAACAUGUUGAUGCAUCAGUAUGGUGACUUGAAGCCAUGAUUUGAACUCAUAUAUGGUGAUAUGGUACAAGUCACAAGGUUUGAAUUGUGUUUGCUUCAAAAGAUGAGACAAAGAUGUUUGUGAUCCUUAUGAAGCAAUGCCAUGGAGAAAUCUCACAUGAGACACCAAUGACUCAAGGAGUUUACUUAAUUAUAUUUUAUUUAACUUGUGUAUAGGAAUCGUCGUACUAUCAAGGGGGGGUCUAAAACAAAGGUUGGUGUUUGCCAAAGCUCAAGCCUCUAUAUUCAAAAGCUAUUUCAAAAAACCAAAAUCCCUUGGACACUCUGUGUAUGACUAUUGUUAGGAUUGAGAAACUGAGAGUGUUCCUGUUGAAAAGCAGUUGAGCUUUUUCAACUGCAGUUGAACUUCACUUCAACUGUAUCUUCAGCUGUAGUUGAGUUUUUUCAACUACAGUUGAACUUCACCUCAACUAUAUACAGUUGAACUUCACUUCAACUGGGGUCUAGAUAGGUUCAACCGGGGGUUUUUCCCUGGACCUCACUGGUCAAUACCGGUUGAACCGGUCCUAGGGGUGGUUCAACCGGUGUCAGGGUCACCUGACCGGUCUGACCUCCUGACUGGCAGACUGACUGCCAGUCUGACCACCAGGCAGUUGAACCGGCCCUAGGGGCAGUUCAACCGGUGUCAGGACCUAUUUUUGCAGUCUGACCUGCAGUCUGCCAGUCUGACUGGCAGGCUGACUGUCAGCCUGCCCCAGGCGGUUGAACUGGCCCUAGGGGCAGUUCAACCGGUCCUCCACAGCCAAAAUUAGCCCAACGGCUAGUUUUGAAGCCCACCUAUAUAUACUCACUCCUACCUCUCUCCCCACACAAGAGAGCACGACCCAAACUCUAUUUCUAACUUGAAGAACACCUCCCACUCUCUCUCACACAUCUCUUGCCUCUCCCAUUUCAAAUCUUUAGAGAGAAAUCUUUGAGUGAGUUUGAGAGCUGCGAUUUUUGUGCUUCAUCUCCAAAUCUCUCUUGCUCUUCUUCAUUCAAGCUUUGGUACUACAUCGAGUUCUUUGUGGAUUCAUUACUCUUGGAGCUUCUAGCUCCUAGACGACUAGGUGUCUCUUGUGAGUCUCCAAAUCUUGUGGAAGACCACAAGAAAGUUUGUAUUACCCGCUCGUUUGAGCAAAGAUUAUUGUGUGGGCUUGACCUUUGUGGUCGGCGAAGGGAGGAUUAGGGUUGAAAGAGACCUGGCUCUUUGUGGGCGCCUCAAUGAGGAAGUAGGGCACCUUUUGUGGUGUGACCAAACCUCGGGAUAAAUCUUGUGUCUCUUGUGUUCUUGCUCAUUGUGUUUGUUUGUGUUCUUCGUUCUCUCACCCUUCCGUGGAAGAUUUCUUCAUAUCUUUUUGGUGUCUGGAUUUUGAGAAGUGCCCUUCUCAGAUCUACUACUUUGAACCCUAUGGAUCAUUUAGAACAUCCCAUUUCCAAAGCUAACUAGUUUUACCCAGUUUGUUUCUAGUUUUUGUUGAAAAAGUUUUAACUUGCCUAUUCACCCCCUCCCCUCUAAGCAACUUUCAGUAGCCAGCACUUGGAAUUUGUUAGAUAUUUUUUGAGUUUAUCUAAGGCGUCCUGAGCUUUACUGGUCCGUACAAAGUGGUCUUGGCUUUUUAUUAACCUAAAGAAUAGUAAUCCUUGAAUACCGAGCCGAGAUAUGAAUCUGCUUGACAAUGCCAUACAUCUAGUCAGCCGCUGGAUAUCUCAGAGGCAACUCGAAGGUUUCAUUCUUAAUAUUUCAGUGAUCUUCUCUAGAUUAGAUUCAAUUCCUCUAUGAGACGAGGUACCCCUAAUAACUUUCUAGAUGACUGUGAUACCCGGUUUGCAAAGAAGAGAAGUUGGGGGUUGUUCUUUUUAUUUUUUUCCCUCAUCCGGUUGUUGUUUUGGGGAUUUGGAAUUUUGUGGAAAACAUUCACAACUAGGGCAGUAGAAUUUAUUUGGUUUGACGCUUGCGUUGCGGUCGGGAGCUGUCGCGUGGGUUAGUUGGGCCGCAAUUGGUGUUUCGGCCCAUUAACCCUCCCAAACCCUAGCCGCCUCCCUCCUAACCCCCUCCCCCUUGUGCAGCCGCCCCCCCCACUUCUCCCACACCUUGGCCGCCGCCCCCCUGCCCAUCUCCUCCUCUCUCAAUUCUUACAGCCACACCACCAAACCCUAGCCCCCCCUAAUCUCCUCCUCCCAAGGUGCCAAUCCUUGCCGCUCGGAUCAUCGUCGUGGUGCGAGUCUUCAAUCGUUUUGGUGGAGGGAAGAAGGGAGGAAGGAAAGGGGGAGAAUCCAAGGUGAUUUUUUGUGUUCAUCCCUUGUUCAUUUGCGCUGCAAUUCAAUUGAUUAGAGGUUGCGUUUGCGAUUGGGUAGAGGGGGCUGUCCAGAAUUUUAGGUGGUGGAUGAACAGCAGUAGUUCUAGCAGUUUCUGUGUUUUUUCGUAAGAAAUUAAUAGAAAUCAGUUUAGGGAUCAUGUAGAACUUUGUCCUACCUUUCCAACGAGUAUUUAUGCGCUCAAUUUGGAGUUAUAAAUUGAAAGUUAUCACCGUUUGAAUCCGGGUAUCUGGCUGUCCAAAAAAAACAGAUUUUUCAGGGGAUGAACAGCCGCAGUAUUAGCAGUUUCUGGGGAUUUUUCGGGAGUAAUUAGGGUUAAUCAGUAUAAGAAUCAUGAAGGGCUCUUUCUUAUCUUUCCAACAAGUACUUAUGCGCUUGAUUCGGAAUUAUAUUUUAAAAGUUAUCGCUGUUUGAAUCCGAGUAUGUCGCUGCCCAAAACAGGAAAAACAGAUUGCAGGGUUUAUUUUGUGGACCGUUUAGGGGUAAUUAGAUGUUAGAAUUUAAUCAUAAAUUGUAUACAAAACUUGUGGUGAAUUUUAUGUAGUUGUCUCUGGAGUUUUUGUUUGACACCACUGCUGUCUUAAUUUUAAAGUUAUGGAAUUGUUAAGCAGCGCCGCUGCAGUUUGGUUGGUGUGGGGAGAAUUGUUACCCGCGGCGGAGUUUGAGAUUGCGCGUAGGUGCGGCGUUGUUUUGAGUUUUUUUAUGUGAAUUUGGUGCACUAAGUUGGGUGUCAAAAACAGGUGGUGGACUCCCAGAUCGUUCUUAGGGAUUUGCCCAAACUUCCGGUGAAGGCAAGUAAAACUGUGAUGGUUAUUCCGUCUGUCAGAUGAGGAGUCUUAUACUUGAUUAUGUUGUGCUAUUGUGUUCAUAUUCAUAUUUUCUUUUGAGUACCAUCAUUUGAAAAUGUUCAUGUUUCAUGGAUUUUAUAUGUUGAGUUUGAGGUUUGAUUAUGUUACUCAAGUGGUUAUUAUGUGGAAUGGGUGGAAGUAAAUGUCUAGCACAUUUUUAUUUGGGAAGAACUCAUGAUGUUGUCAUGCAUAAUGCACUCAUCAUCCAUUGCAUUGAAGUUUCGUCGCGAUCUUAUGGUCCGACCGUACCGGUACAUUGAGCAUCAUAUGUUGCCCGAGAAGGGGUAUGGUGCAGCUUCAUAUCCUUAGAGAUAUGGAGGCAGAAGUCAUUAUUGCAUUUGUAGCCAUGUGCAUUCAUGGGAGAGGUGUGGAAUUUAUUAUGUGGAUGUGGAUAAUUUGGACUUGUGCAUGGUGAUUCUACUUGGCGUUGAGUUUUUAGUUACUUAUUUACUUGCUGCAAUUUACUAUUCAAAAGAAAAGAAAGAAGUUCUGAACACGUGGUUGUGUAAGCACAGUUGAUUUACAAUGUCCUAUUUGUUGUUGUUAUGUUUACUUGCUGAGAUGUGUUAUCUCACAUCUUGCAUUGUUUGAUGCAGGCACCUAAUUUCUGCUUUGGGAAUAAAGGGAUGUAGCAGCACGGCCACUACACCUUUAAUAAAGGAACCACCAUUUAAUAAUGUUGUUAAUCAGAGUCGGUCAAGUCUAGUGAAUUGCUUUGUACUUGGUUGAGCGUUUAUUUUGGGGUGGGCUGAGUUUCUUAUCCCAUUUGUUUUACUUCAGUUGAGGCAUAAAUGAGCUUUACCACUUUGCAUCUAGUUUCUACUAUGUGAAUUAUAUGUCUUUAUAUCCUGUAUGAACUUCAUGUUUUCCCUCCUUGUUAUGUUAGUUUCAAAGGAGGUGCUGCCGGAUUUUCCUAUGUUUUCUUUCUUUAUUACGCUUCUUGUGUGGAGUAAGUUAGGUGGGUGGGGUUUUUGGUGAUAUCCAUUGUGUGUGACCAGUGGGGUGUUACAGUUGGUAUCAAAGCAAUAGGCUGUAGAUCCUAGCAAGUGAAGUAAUAAUAAAUUGACACACUGCACAUGUAGGAUGGGAUUUCUGGCUUGCUAUUGAUAUGUUCUGUUAUUGUAUGUGCUAGUUUGGCAUUAUCUGAAGAGAUGUUAUGCCAAUCUUAUUUACUUAUUAUUCUCAUCCCUGUGGCUGCAGCUAUGCCGCCUCGUAGGGCUCGAGGUAGUCCGCAAGCUCCUAGUGGGGACUCGAUGAGUCCGGCGGCAAUGUUAGCCGCGAUGCAGGCCAUGCAGCAGGAGUUGGCCCUUCUGAGGCAAGCCAUUCCUGUCGCCCCUGCGGGUGCUGCUUAGGGUGCUGGAGGUGGAGAAGUGCCCGGGGGCGCUGUCCCUGCGGGUGCUGUUCCAGGUGGCGGGGCCGAGGUGCCUCUUUCAGUCAGUGGUCUUUCUCUGAUGCAGUGGAUGGGCAUGAAGUUGGAUUCUUUUGAUGGCAGUGGUACUCCGGUCGAGGCGGCAGAUUGGUUGACUUAUGUGGAGGAUAAGAUGAAUGUCUUCGAGAUUGCUUAUGGAGAUUGGGUUCGCUUUGGCACUUAGCUGCUGAAGGGAGAGGCUCAGAUUUGGUGGAGAGGCGUGCAGGCAGCGCACUCCUCACCAGGAGUCCUAUCUUGGGAUGUUUUCAUCAGGCAGUUUGAAAGGAGAUUCUACCCGGUCACCUUUCUGGAGAAAAUGAAGAUUGACUUGUAGUCCUACAAGCAGGAGAAGAAGUCUGUCACAGAGUAUGAGGUGGGCUUCAACAAGAUGGUCCGCUUUGUCCCUCAUGUGGCUUAUAAUGAGAUGGAGAAGGCGAGCCAGUUUCGUCAGGGUCUGAAGCCUUCUAUCAGGCAUGCACUGGGGGCCUUUUCGUUGGUGGACUUCCGUACCACGGUGGAGCAGGCGCUGGGUGUGGAGAUGCAACACCAGUAUACCAUGGAGUCGCAGAAGUCUUCGGGUGUUGAUCAGCCUCGUAGCCAGGACACGAGGAGGGGCAACACUGGAGGUCCAGCUCACAAGAGGGGAAAGUCUCAGCAUCAGCGCCACCAUCCUUACCGUGGCAAAUCUUCUGACUCGGGUACUUCGGGAGGAAGUACUCAGAGGUUUCGGGCCGUUCCUAAGCCCGGGCUGGGGCUGGUGUGUUUCCGCUGUGGAGAUGCGCAUCGCCGUGCAGAGUGCCAGUGGAGUGGCAGGUGUUCUAUCUGCAGUCAGGACCACAAGGAUGUGGUGUGUAGGAGGAAUCCCAAUGGGAAGCUCAGAUGGGAGCCGGUGACUUCCUCCUCUUCUCAGGGCACUAUCAACAUGAUGUCAAGUGCUGAGCAGCAGUUUUCAGUUCCUCUUCCUCCACAGCAGCUUUAUGUGCCUCGGACUUCUCAGUUCGUGCCGAUGCAGGGUUUUCCUCAGUAUCAGGUCACGCCUACUCCUGCACCGUCUACUCCUAUGUCGUCUCAGUUUGGAGCUCCGCACCUGCCUCAUCCAGUGGCUCAGUGGGGUUCUUCUGUUAAUUUCACUCCGGGGGCUUCCUCUUCUGCGGGUAUUUCUGGAGCUUAUGUGCUACCCGCUACGGAUGGCAGGGAGCAAGGAGACGUGGUGACAGGUACGAUUUCAGUUGAUUCGUUUGCAGCCCAUGCUCUUUUUGACUCUGGCGCUAGCUAUUCGUUUGUUUCGGAGGAUUUUGUGUCGCGGGCUGGUCUUUCGGUGCAGAGGUUGGGUCACCCAAUUUUGGUUAGAUCUGCUAAUGGCUCCAUUAGUAGCUGUUCAGUUUGUCAGGGGUGUUCCGUCAUUCUUGCUGAUGAGGUUUUUUCGGCCAAUCUGGUGGUGAUUUCCUUGGGGGCAUUCGAUGUUAUCUUGGGUAUGGAUUGAUUAUCCCAGUAUCGCGCGGUUAUAUCCUGCUUCUGGAAGACAGUGUUAUUGCAGGCACCGUCGGGUAAGGAGGUGGUAUUCUUGGGAAGUUCCUCGAAGUUCACAUUAUCCUUGUUGGCGCAAUUGCUUCCUGAUCGCCGGUCAAGGAAGUCAGGGAUCUUUUUCUCUAUGGUGGUGGAGGGUGAGGCUGCCUUGCGGGUGCAGGACAUCCGGGUGGUGUGUGACUUUGCUGACGUGUUUCCGGUAGAGCUUCCAGGCAUUCCUCCGGAGCGCGAUGCAGCUUUUGAGAUUAAGCUGAUCCCGGGUACGUAGCCUAUUCAUAAGGCCCCGUAUCGAAUGGCUCCAAAGGAGCAGAUUGAAUUAAAGCGGCAAUUGGAUGAUCUGCUGGCUAAGGGCUUCAUUAGGCCUAGCAGGUCUCCAUGGGCUUCCCCGGUAUUGUUUGUUGAGAAGAAGGAUAAAAGCAAGCGACUGUGUGUGGAUUAUCACGCUUUGAAUCAAGUGACAAUCAAGAAUAAAUAUCCGCUUCCCCGAAUUGAGGUCCUCUUUGAGCAGUUGAGGGGUGCCCAGGUGUUCUCCAAAAUUGAUUUGAACUCCGGUUAUCAUCAAUUGAGGAUUCGUGAGGAGGAUAUUGAGAAGACCGCCUUUUGCACCAGGUAUGGGCAUUAUGAGUUCAUAGUCAUGUCUUUUGGCUUAACUAAUGCCCCUGCUGCCUUUAUGGAAGCAAUGAAUAGGAUGCUGCAUGAAUUCCUGGAUGAUUUUGUGGUCGUGUUCCUGGAUGAUAUUUUGAUUUAUUCAAAGACCGAGGCCGAGCAUGAACAACAUCUCCGUCUCGUUCUGGGUGCCCUAAGGAAGAAUCAAUUCUAUGGCAAGUUGAAGAAGUGUGCCUUUUGGCUAUCCGAAGUGGCUUUCCUGGGGCACGUGAUUAAUCAGCAGGGUAUUGUGGUUGAUCCCAAAAAUGUUGCGGCUGUGGUGGAGUGGAAGAGACUUUCUAGUGUCUCUGAAAUCCGAAGUUUCUUGGGGCUUGCUGGGUAUUAUCGGCGCUUCGUACCAAAUUUUUCCAGCAUUACUAAGCCUUUGACUAGGCUCUUGGAGAAGGGUGUUCCCUUCGUCUGGUCCAGCGAUUGUGAGGUCAGUUAUCAGUCAUUGAAGAGCAAGUUGGUGGACGCCCCUAUCCUAGCUUUGCCUGAGAGCGGUAAGCGUUUCACAGUUUAUACGGAUGCUUCGCGUAUUGGUCUUGGCUAUGUGCUGAUGCAGGAAGGCAGAGUGAUUGCUUAUGGCUCAAGUCAGUUGAGGAAGCAUGAGGGGAAUUAUCCAACUCAUGAUCUGGAAUUGGCCGCGGUGGUUUUUGCUCUAAGUCGUGGAGGCAUUACCUUUAUGGCGAGGCUUGUGACAUUUUCACCGAUCACAAAAGUCUCAAGUAUAUUUUUACUCAGAAGGAGCUGAAUUUGAGGCAGCGUCGGUGGCUGGAAUUGAUUAAAGAUUAUGAUUUGUCCAUUCAUUAUCACCCGGGGAAGGCUAAUGUGGUGGCUGAUGCCCUUAGCAGGUCCGGGGUUCCAAAGGUGGCCUUACCGUUGAUCGCUGAUCUGGACCGUUUGGGGAUCGCUUUGUGUUAUGUCGGCACCGCUAGCAAGGAGACUCAGAUGCUUAUUCAAUCCUCUCUCAUGGAGAGAGUGCGUGCGGCUCAGCAGCAGGAUCGUCUAUUGCAGGAAGCUCGAAAGAGGGUGGGUGAUGGUAAACCGCGGGAGUUCACCAUUGAUGAGAAUGAUUUGGUUCGUUUCAGGGGCCUCCUCUGUGUGCCUCAUAAAUCAGAGGUGAAGAUGGAUAUCUUGAGAGAAGCUCAUAAAACGCCUUACACCGUCCAUCCUGGCGAAACCAAAAUGUACCGAGAUUUGAAGCAAAACUUCUGGUGGAAGCGGAUGAAGGUUGACGUUUCUAAGUAUGUGGCCGCCUGUGAAGUAUGUUAGCGCGUGAAGGCCGAGCAUAAGCGGCCUGCAGGUUUGCUGAAGCCAUUAGAAAUUCCAGAGUGGAAAUGGGAGCAUAUCACCAUGGAUUUUGUGGUGGGUCUACCUCGUUCCCCUCGUGGUAGGGAUGCUAUUUGGGUGGUAGUGGAUCGCUUGACUAAGUCUGCGCAUUUUAUUCCCAUGAAGACCACAAAUUCAGCUUCAGAUUUGGUUCCCUUGUAUAUGAAGGAAGUAGUCAGGCUUCACGGGGUACCUAAGUCUAUUGUUUCUGAUCGAGACUCCAAAUUUGUAUCCAAAUUCUGGGAGAGUCUCCAUAGUGCUUUGGGCACCAAGCUUUCGCUUAGUGUCGCUUUUCACCCUCAGAGGGAUGGUCAGUCAGAGCGAACAAUCCAAACCUUGGAAGACAUGUUGUGUGCUUGUGUUCUGUCAUGGAAGGGUAGCUGGGAGGAUCAUCUUGCUCUGGCAGAGUUUGCUUAUAACAACAGCUACCAGACUAGCAUCAAGAUGGCAACAUUUGAGGCUUUGUAUGGCAGGCGGUGUAUCUCUCCUCUGUGCUGGGAGACUUUGGGAGAGAGAUCCCUGGUUGGUCCUGAUUGGGUUCAGCAAACUUCUGAAAAGGUUCGGGAAAUUCGUCAGAAUAUUUUGGCAGCUCAGAGUCGUCAGAAGAGUUAUGCUGAUGUUAGGAGGCGAGAUCUGGAAUUUGCUGUGGGUGACCAAGUCCUUCUCAGGGUAUCACCCACUAAGGGAGUUGUUCGGUUCGGUGUCUCUGGGAAGCUCAGCCCGAGAUACAUUGGACCGUUCACUAUCUUGGCUCGAGUGGGCAGCCUGGCUUAUCGCUUGCUACUGCCGGAUUCCAUGGCAGGGGUACACCCGGUUUUUCAUGUCUCUAUGUUGAGGAAGUUCUUGCGGGAUCCGGACCAUCAGAUUGAGAUAGAACUAAUUGCGGUGCAGCAGGAUCUGACUCUGGAGUGUCGUCCGGUGCGUAUAUUGGAAUUCUCGGAGCGUGUGUUGAGGAAGAGAUCAAUUAAGUAUGUCAAGGUCUUAUGGACUAAUCAAUCUGAGCGCGAGGCUACGUGGGAACUUGAGGAGCUGAUGCGGCAGAAGUACCCGGAACUUUUCGUUGUGGGUAAGUGUUGUUGAUUCAUUAAUCUUUUCUUUUGUCAUUCCGAUAGAAGCGUCAGAAUUCGAGGUCGAAUUCUUUUUAAGAGGGGUAGAGUGUGAUACCCGGUUUGCAAAGAAGAGAAGUUGGGGGUUGUUCUUUUUGUUUUUUUCCCUCAUCCGGUUGUUGUUUUGGGGAUUUGGAAUUUUGUGAAAAACAUUCACAACUAGGGCAGUAGAAUUUAUUUGGUUUGACGCUUGCGUUGCGGUCGGGAGCUGUCGCGUGGGUUAGUUGGGCCGCAAUUGGUGUUUCGGCCCAUUAACCCUCCCAAACCCUAGCCGCCUCCCUCCUAACCCCCUCCCCCCUUGUGCAGCCGAGCCCCCCCCCCCCCCCCCCCCCUCUUCCCCCCCCCCCCCCCCCACUUCUCCCACACCUUGGCCGCCGCCCCCCUGCCCAUCUCCUCCUCUCUCAAUUCUUGCAGCCACACCACCAAACCCUAGCCCCCCCAAUCUCCUCCUCCCAAGGUGCCAAUCCUUGCCGCUCGGAUCAUCGUCGUGGUGCGAGUCUUCAAUCGUUUUGGUGGAGGGAAGAAGGGAGGAAGGAAAGGGAGAGAAUCCAAGGUGAUUUUUGUGUUCAUCCCUUGUUCAUUUGCGCUGCAAUUCAAUUGAUUAGAGGUUGCGUUUGCGAUUGGGUAGAGGGGGUUGUCCAGAAUUUUAGGUAGUGGAUGAACAGCAGUAGUUCUAGCAGUUUCUGUGUUUUUUUCGUAAGAAAUUAUUGGAAAUCAGUUUGGGGAUCAUGUAGAACUUUGUCUUACCUUUCCAACGAGUAUUUAUGCGCUCAAUUUGGAGUUAUAAAUUGAAAGUUAUUACCGUUUGAAUCCGGGUAUGUGGCUGUCCAAAAAAAAACAGAUUUUUCAGGGGGAUGAACAGCCGCAGUAUUAGCAGUUUCUGGGGAUUUUUCGGGAGUAAUAGGGUUAAUCAGUAUAAGAAUCAUGAAGGGCUCUUUCUUAUCUUUCCAACAAGUACUUAUGCGCUUGAUUCGGAAUUAUAUUUUAAAAGUUAUCGCUGUUUGAAUCCGAGUAUGUCGCUGCCCAAAACAGGAAAAACAGAUUGCAGGGUUUAUUUUGUGGACCGUUUAGGGGUAAUUAGAUGUUAGAAUUUAAUCAUAAAUUGUAUACAAAACUUGUGGGGAAUUUUAUGUAGUUGUCUCUGGAGUUUUUGUUUGACACCACUGCUGUCUUAAUUUUAAAGUUAUGGAAUUGUUAAGCAGCGCCGCUGCAGUUUGGUUGGUGUGGGGAGAAUUGUUACCCGCGGCGGGGUUUGAGAUUACGCGUAGGUGCGGCGUUGUUUUGAGUUUUUUUAUGUGAAUUUGGUGCACUAAGUUGGGUGUCAAAAACAGGUGGUGGACUCCUAGAUUGUUCUUAGGGAUUUGCCCAAACUUCCGGUGAAGGCAAGUAAAACUGUGAUGGUUAUUCCGUCUGUCAGAUGAGGAGUCUUAUACUUGAUUAUGUUGUGCUAUUGUGUUCAUAUUCAUAUUUUCUUUUGAGUACCAUCAUUUGAAAAUGUUCAUGUUUCAUGGAUUUCAUAUGUUGAGUUUGAGGUUUGAUUAUGUUACUCAAGUGGUUAUUAUGUGGAAUGGGUGGAAGUAAAUGUCUAGCACAUUUUUAUUUGGGAAGAACUCAUGAUGUUGUCAUGCAUAAUGCACUCAUCAUCCAUUGCAUUGAAGUUUCGUCGCGAUCUUAUGGUCCGACCGUACCGGUACAUUGAGCAUCAUAUGUUGCCCGAGAAGGGGUAUGGUGCAGCUUCAUAUCCUUAGAGAUAUGGAGGCAGAAGUCAUUAUUGCAUUGUAGCCAUGUGCAUUCAUGGGAGAGGUGUGGAAUUUAUUAUGUGGAUGUGGAUAAUUUGGACUUGUGCAUGGUGAUUCUACUUGGCGUUGAGUUUUUAGUUACUUGUUUACUUGCUGCAAUUUACUAUUCAAAAGAAAAGAAAGAAGUUCUGAACACGUGGUUGUGUAAGCACAGUUGAUUUACAAUGUCCUAUUUGUUGUUGUUAUGUUUACUUGCUGAGAUGUGUUAUCUCACAUCUUGCAUUGUUUGAUGCAGGCACCUAAUUUCUGCUAUGGGAAUAGAGGGAUGUAGCAGCACGGCCACUACACCUUUAAUAAAGGAACCACCAUUUAAUAAUGUUGUUAAUCAGAGUCGGUCAAGUCUAGUGAAUUGCUUUGUACUUGGUUGAGCGUUUAUUUUGGGGUGGGCUGAGUUUCUUAUCCCAUUUGUUUUACUUCAGUUGGGGCAUAAAUGAGCUUUACCACUUUGCAUCUAGUUUCUACUAUGUGAAUUAUAUGUCUUUAUAUCCUGUAUGAACUUCAUGUUUUUCCCUCCUUGUUAUGUUAGUUUCAAAGGAGGUGCUGCCGGAUUUUGCUAUGUUUUCUUUCUUUAUUACGCUUCUUGUGUGGUGUAAGUUAGGUGGGUGGGGUUUUUGGUGAUAUCCAUUGUGUGUGACCAGUGGGGUGUUACAAUGACAUGCCAAAGGUGCACUUGUUAGUAUUCAUCUUGAUACUAAAAUUCCUCAAGCUCUCGAAGGUUUCUACUAAUUCAAAGAUCAAAUAACUCUUAUCUUUGGUCUUGAUCACCACAUCAUCGAUGUAUGCUUCCAUGUUUCUAUGUAACUGGGAUGCUAGGCAUUUCUAGAUUCCCCUAUUAUAUGUAGCCCUCUUUUUCUUUAACCUGAAUGAGAUAGCAGAAUAAUAGUACACGCCGAAUGGGGUGAUGAACAAAGUUUUGAUUUGGUCUUAUUCCUUUAAUGAGAUUUGAUGAUACCCAGAAUAGAAAUCCAAAAAGGAGAGUAAAUCACAACCAGAGGUGGAGUCUAUAAUUUGAUCAAUCUAUGGUAAAUAAUGAGAGUAAAUAGCAUGUCCAUGAAGAUUGUGGAGUUGUAAUAAUUCUCACCUUUGGGGCCAGAGUCUCGAUGAGUGUAAAGGGGAGAUGUUGGUUCACGGAUGUACGAACCAUCAAAGAGGAUGAAUACUUCGAUCUAAAGCAUAAUGUGCAGGCAAACGAAUAUCAGGGCCAUUAGAUGGACACAUGACAGUGGAAACAGAGAUCUGUGGAUUAAAAAGAUGAAUAGAGUACCUUCUGCAAACAGAGAAUAAUCAGAACUGAUGCAAUCUGUGAUCUACGAGUGAGUAUGACGAUGAUCCCCUUCUUCAAAUGACAUAUAGGUCAUAGAGAUCAUACCAUCGUUAGCAUGAUGGGAUUUGUGUGGCUUGUGAAGGGGUGGAGGGCAAUAGGAAUGGAAGAACUUACUCGUACCAGUUUAGUGGUGUCUGUGCCCUCCUGGACUUCAACAAACAACAUUCUAGCAAUGAUGGCGACACCCGACAGCCUGUGACAUGAGGGAGAGAACCUAAGUAGUGAAUAUGGAGGAGAUGUGCUCGAGCGAUGGUGGAGAAGGAAGUUGGGCCACAAAGCUUACCUAUACGAAAAAAGUGAGUGAUGGCAAUGCAUUCUGGCCACAACUCGAUCUAGGGAUGAAUGUGGCCAUCGACAGAUGGGAUCUCGAGGCAAUGGAGGCACCACGGUAGCCACCGAGUGUGGCAGCGACACGGGAGGGGAACGAAAGGCGCUGAAACCCUAGCAGUGCAAAGAAAAUGAAGAUGUCGAAGGGGCCCAGGAGUGAAGUGCCUGACAAGCUGCCCCACUUCCCAAGGAUGCAACCUCUCGCCUGAUUCUCGUGGGUCAUUGAAAAUGGGAUUCAUGGAGAAGCGCUUCAAACCGAAUCUGUUCGAAAAGCUAUGCAUUUCAUAGGUAUACAUUCGGGUCGGCCAACUCAAGCUCGAAACACAUUUAAUUUCUGGCCGGUCUAGCCCAGGGGCUAAGGCCUCGACUCACGACAUGACACAUUAUUAGUUAAAUGUAGGGCUUAUUUCGGUCGGUCCAAAAUGAAAAAAGACUUAAAUACAUAUCAAAGCUUGAAAUACAUGCCAUACAUAUUAAAGGAACCACAUGUGCUCAGGAUGUCGUGUCGUGCUGCUUUAGUCAAUGCACGUGCCAUGCGAUGUUUAGUAGCAGUGCUGCAAAGUGAUGAAUGCAGUCGAAGAGCUUGCAUGUAAAUUUCUUUAACUAAUACUCCUACUUUAGUCAACAAUAGAUAUAAUGUAGUUGUGAUUUCUGAAUUUCAUCCUAAUAAUCUAGUCAGAACUCGACGACUCUGUCCGGGCUCUAUCUGGCUUGUUAAGAAACCUAACCCUAAGGUUUGGUGGGAUCGUACUGAAUAUAGUCCUGAGGGUAUCGUGUUUCUAUAUAUAGAACAUGUACCCCCUCAUAUGAAACAUAAGAGAAAGAGACCAGAGGUCCAACCCUAUACAAUGUGUCUCUUGCGUUCUUUCUUUCGUGCUUCUGGGAAGGUAAAUGGGAUCUACAACUUCUCCACGCCUAAUCUGUUAACGAGAGCGAAGGGAGCAGAUCUGACGAUCCGUGGUAACGUAGUCCUCAACACGUUAUCACCACGCUCUACCUCAACAUUGCUGCGAGAUUAGAUCUGCAUCAAACUCUCCAUCAAGUCGACAUGUCCCUCGGUCUCACCGAACUAUCCUAUGCGACAUGCUUCGAUUCCCCUCUACCAAUCGAAUGAUAUGUUUACUAUUUCUGAUCUGCUGGUGUGCACUCUGCGAUCCGCCGAUCCAUGUGCCACAAAUUUGUCGUCACCGUCGUGAUGCUAAGCCCGUGCCGGAAGCGCCCACUCCCACGACAUCUACUCUCACCGGAAGAUGAGAACGACCGCAAUGCGCAGCACACCAGUCCACGCCUGGACAUGAACACACAGCGCUCCGACAUCCAUGGCUUCACAAGCCCACGUGAAGCCUCGCUCCUAUGCAGUCGUGCGGGUACCGACCACUAGAACGCACGAAGAUAAUGCCCCCCAUGACACCUGUCGCUGAACUUGGUAUGGGGAGCAGCGUCGUCGAGUUCACCGGAUCUGAGCCACGCGGACAUGGCGGCGCGGCCACGCCACCUCGGCCCCACCUUCGCACUUCGCGGCAGCCACACACGUGUGAGACGCGGAGCCGACCGCUCGUUCCUCCGUGCGUGUCGAGUCAUAUGUGAAAAAGGGGAGACGUCGGGCAAAGCGCUAUGAGUGGUGCGACAUGCGCACCGAUCCCUUUUUUCUACGAGAUAAAGGAGAGUGCGGUUGAGAAAUUGUUAAGAAUAAAAAACCUGCUCCCAUGCAUAUAGAUGUUCAGAAAGGUCGUGGCCCGUUAGCCCCGCACGAAGUACGGUUUUUUAACAUGUCACGAGCCCGGCACAGCACGGAUAUAUGAGGGCCUGGGCCCAACCCGGCCUAGAAAGCGUGCCGGGCUCGACAGCUGUUUGAGCCCAUUUGGCCAGCCCGAGCAUGGCCUGGUAUUAGCCGGGCCUUGUUACCGGCCCGCUACACAAAUACACGGCCCAGUGCUAGAGGCCUAGCCCACAAAUACCUCGUGUAGUCGUGCCCUCGCCCGCCGUGGUCGUAUAACCCUAACCCUAACACCACUCCGCACACUCGCCCCACUCCUAUUCUCAUGCCUCUCCGCUCGUGGCUCGCCUCUUGCUCAGUCACUCUCGAUCUCUCCGCUGCGCUCUUGUGUCUCCUCUCGUCAUCUCUCGAACCCUCCGGAUUUUGGUGCUCCCUGCCUCCGUGCGACCGGCUGACCUUGCCUCCGGCGUCGUUGCCUCAUCGGUCUCAGUCAUUCCGACGUGCUAGUGCUCGGGUGGUCUGGUGCUCGUGCUCCCUGCUCCUCCAGUCCUCCCCCUCUGACCUCUGUACCUCGACCUCAAAGGCACCGGCGCUGGCGGUUUUAAAUUGGUGCUUGGUGCUCUAGAUCUUCUCCUGACUAUGAGGUGUGUGGAUCCGUGAGGAACCAGUGUGCGUCGGCUCCAUCCAUCUCCACGACGAGUCGGCGAUGAAACCAGUGCUCCGAAUCUACUGCUCACUGGUGCCAUCUCCUUGUCCAGCAUAGAGGUAACCAGAUCUGCUCUAGAUCUACUGCUCAAUGGUGUUCAUCUGCUCUCCUCUAUUAAGCUCCUGGUCUGGUUGUUGUGUGAUGAACUACUAUUUCUUGGAAUCUUGAUAUGCUUGCUGUGCUCCGGAUGUACUGGUAACACCAUCAACGAGCCGUGUUUGGCACAGAUCCAUAGAGGUAACCUGAUCUUGAUUUGCCUUGAUCUGUUGUUUAGGUUUGAAUCCUAUGAAGUGUUGUUUAGGGUUUGGGAUUUUUAUUCCUAUGAACAGAGGUCACUUUGUUGAUCUGUUGUUUAGGUGAUUUAUAUCUGUUGUUUAGGCCUUUAGGGUUUAGGUGUUGACUGUUGAUCUGUUGUUUAGGUGAUUUUGAUCUGUUCUGUUGACUGUUGUUUAGGUUGUUACAAAUAUAUACUGCGAAUUGUGAUCUGUGUAAGUGUGAAGGUGAAGCUGACAAGCUGUUGAUCUGUUCUGAUCUGUUCUAGUAAUCAUUUUUAGGUGUUGAUCUAUUGUUUAGGUCUCAUCUGUGUGAGGCAUAUAGUUUUGAUCUCAUAUACCUGUGGAUUGUGAUUUGUGUAAGUGUGAAGGUGAAGCUGACAAGCUGUUGUGAUCUAUGUAAACCAUAGAGUUGUGAGUAUCUGUUACAAAUCUGUGUUGACUAUUGUUUAGUUUUUACUAAAAAUUUGUUUAUAUCAACUGAAUAUUGGUGGUUUUCAUAUGUGUGGUAGGCUGUGAGGAACCGGUGCAUGCCACCUUGACGAGGACGGAACUGGUGCUCCGGCCUCUGAGCUGUGAUGGAGCAAGAUGUUGGUGGUGAGAAGAGUCCAUCUCAGUUCAUCAACAAUGAUCUGAGGAUUAUGCCCUCUGAUGAGAAUGGUCCAUCUCAAUCCAUUAACAAUGGUAGCAGUGCCGCCCCUAUUAACAUAGAGGAGGGUGCUACUACAAACAAUGGUUCCAGAGAUGCAAAUACUUCAGAAAAUGUUGAUGGUAAGAAGCAUAAAAGAAUUUGCACAUCUAAAGUGUGGCAGGAUUUUGAACCACUAUAUAAGACUGUAGGCGGCAAGAGGAUCAGGUAUGGUGGUAAGUGUCACUGGUGCAAAUGUACAUUGAGUGUUAUGUCUACUAGUGGUACUGGUCAUUUGCUUAGGCAUCAACUUGAUUGCAAAGUUAAGCUUGCUAAGCAGGGCAAGCAGUCAAUCCUUAAGUUUAACCCUGAUGGUUCUCUGCGUAACUAGGAUUACUGUCCUGAUCGUGCUAGAACUCAAAUGUGUAGGUUGAUUGCUAUACUUGAUCUUCCUCUUAUUUUUGCUGAGUCACCUGCUUUUGAAGAGUAUAUUAGACUAUCUCAUAAUCCUGUCUUUAAAAAAGUAUCUAGACAAACCACCUCUAGAGACUUUGUUAAGUUCUUUACUGAUCGGCGUACGGAAGUUGUUGAAUGCUUGCAAUCUGUUACUUCUAUUGCAAUUAUGUCUGAUAUUUGGAGUGGUAAUGCUAAGGAGGACUUAUCUUAGUGUGGUUGCUCAUUUUAUUUCUAAGGACUGGCUAUUAGAAAAGCGAGUAAUUGGGUUUAGACUAAUUGAAACAUCUCACACUGGUGAGAACAUUGCUGAGAGGGUUAUGAUCGUGCUUGAGGAUUAUGGAGUAGUUAAUAAAGUUUUUUCUAUCACUUUGGACAAUACCUCUUCCAAUUCUAAGGCAGUGGAGAAGCUUAGUGCAUUAUUCUCUGGUUAUGUUGGUACUUUAUUCUUGCAUCAACGUUGUGCUUGUCAUAUUAUAAACCUGAUUGUGAAGUGUGGCUUGCAAAGGCUAAACCCUUACCUUGAUUCAUUUAGAACUGCAAUAGUUUUCUUGAAUGCUUCUAAUCAACGCAUUGCUGCAUUUAACGGCUACUCUGUUGCUAUGAAUGUGCGCCCUCAUAAGUUUGGCAUUGACAUGGCUAUGAGAUGGAAUUCUACAUACCUUAUGCUUAAGCAUUUAGUUUCUUACAAGAAAACCUUUUGUGUCUUCAUGGACACUAACUAUCCUAGAAAACCAGGUGAGCCUAAUCUGUUGACAAAUUCACAUUGGUAUGUGGCUGAAAAGUUGCUUGAGUUUCUUGAACUUUUUAUGAUGCUAUUGUGACUCUUUCUGGGGUUUACUAUCCUACAUCUCCACUUAUAAUGCAUAACAUCCUUUACAUUGUCCAACAUUUAAAUCGGUAUGAGAAUGAUGCAUUGCUUAGACAUGUUGUUGCUCCAUGAAGUCUAAGAUUCUUAAGUACUAGAGGGAUAUUCCUAUGCUCUAUGCAUUUGCUUUUAUAUUAGAUCCUAGAGCCAAACUAAGCGGUUUCAGCAAUAUCUUGAGAUUAUUAUCUGGGUUAUCUAGUACUGACUACUCACUUUACUAUACUCGUGUGAAAAGUGAACUGUCUACAAUGUUUAAUAAAUAUGAUAUGAAGUUUGGUGCAGUUAGGCAGCAAGUGUCUCCUCCUCCAAUUGUCAUAGGUAAAAGAAAACAAAACUGGGGAUUGAUUUAUGCAUCUGAUUGUACCUCUGAGUUCCCAUAUCCUGGUUCUACCACACCUAACCUUGGUAGUGGAACAUCAGCAUAUGCUUUGCUUCAACAAGCACGCUCUAGUGAUGGCCUUAGUUCACUUGACACAGAGCUGUCCUCCUACCUAGAUAGUGGCACUCUAUAGAAGUUUGAUGAUGACUUAAAUAUCCUAAACUGGUGGCAUGAACAUAAGUUGUCCUAUCCUAUUCUCUCCAUCUUAGCUAGGGAUGUUAUUUCUGUUCCUGUUUCAACUAUAUCCUCAGAAUCUGCAUUUAGUCUCUAUGGUAGGAUAAUCGAGGAACGACGAAGGUGUCUAGCACCAGAAAUGGUAGAGAUGCUUCUUUGCAUGAAAGACUGGGAACUUGGUGAAGCUAGAGGGCAGCAUUGUACACAGGACCAAGAACUUGAAGAUGCAUUUGAAGGACUUUAUCUUGAUGACCCUUAGGACUUUUAUCUUCCUAGUUCCUACUCCAUUUCGUUGAUCUGGAAAUCUGUUGAUGUAAGUUGUAAUAUGUAAAUGAACAAUCUUGACAUGAACUAUUAAAUUAGAGUUGGGUUGUACUCUUUUUUCCUUUCUAUGGUUUUCUCACGAGGAGUGAGUUUUUACCUAGAAAGGUUUUUAAUGAGGCAGCCAUUGCACGAACAGCUCUAAUCCUUUAUUUAGGAUCUACUCUUUAUCUCAACUGUGUGAAUAUGCAAGUGUGAAUCUGUGUAUAUUCUGACCUUUAUAUUUCUGAUUUGUAUAUAUAUAAUAUAAAUUGUGUGAAUGUGCAAGUGAAAGGAUAAUGUGUAAACCGGUAAUUGUCGUGCUCGGGCUGGCACGAGCUCCUUCAUGGGCCAUGCUUUCCGGGCCAGACCGACACGGUUGGGCCGGAUCAGUGUCGUGCUCGGCUGGUAGAAUCAGCCCGUUGGGUGUCACGACCCGGCAUGGUUAUCUGUUCGGGCUUAUUCGUGCCGGGCUCAAACGGGUCGGGCUGGGUCGGACCAUGCCGCCCGUUUGGACAUCUAUACUCAUGCACACCUAUAACGGGUUAAAGCAGCUCCUUGCAUGUUGUGUGGAGGUCCGAGUCCCAUCCUUGCAAGUGUAUGUAGUGGGCACUGCUCCUUAGGAGCCGACUAAGAAAAAAUGCUCAUUGUUGUGUCGUUAAUUCCUGUUGAAUUUGAUCAACUUUCGCACAAUUUUAAUUUGUAUGUAUGGUAUUUAUUCUUUUUAUUUCCUAUUUCAAAUAAAAAAUAAAACUAAGCAUGUUUUCUACCACAAUUUCUAUCUUAAUUAAUUAUUUCCUAUCGUAAAUAAUUAGUAGAAAAUGCAUACUUGGACAUGGGGAUUUUAUCUUAUCUGUUUAUUAUCAUGCAUUAAUUCUAGUAUUAUUUUUGCUUUAUUUCCCAUAGUAAAUAAUUAGCAAAAAUUAUUAAAAAAUGCAAGUGGAAGCUACAAUGCACAUAUUCAAACCGUUCUAAAUAUUUGUAUUGCAUUGAGCUUCCAGACUCACGUCGAGCGAUUAAAUUGUAUAGCGGGUACUCGGACACGCCGAUCAGGCUGCAUUAUUAAUCGGUUGAGUUAUGGCAUAAUUGAGCAUUGGUUAUGCCCUAGCAACACGACACAAUAUUUGUGUCGUACGAACUUGUUUGCGUCAUGUGAUUGUUAUGUCGCACUCUCGCUUAAUCGGACCGCCCCUGUCGGGUCAGACCACCAUCGCCAAGUCGUGUAUUUUUUGCAUGCCAUGUAGGCACUGUUUGCCUGUCGUGAUCAUCGAACCGGAAUUGCGCUUGUUCCGCAUGUUGCGUGGACUUACCUUGUAACUAGACUAUCGAGCCACAACUGCGCCUAUUGUGCUUGUUACGAAGACUUGUUGUAUUGUCGUAGCCCUGAUGACCGCACACACUUUGAUACCAGAUACGCUGAAGCUUGUACUCGCGUACACAAAGGUGAGUUAUUCGUACCCUUCAAGUCACAUCAUAGUACAACCUUCGCAAAUAAUUUUGUUUGGCUCUACAUUUUGUUUGAUUUAUGUUGUGUGGCAUCAAAUAUAUAUAUAUAUAUAUAUAAAACCAAUUGCUCAUAACAACUUUCACAAGCUUUAUAGUUCUUUGUAGAUCUGGAAAAUUAAUGAAAUACUUAUUAAACACAUAUAAGAUAAUUCUCUGCUCUUUCCUCAUGCAUAAAGUCUUACCCGAAGUAAUAUGGAGAAAUUCAAUACAAUGCAUGAAAGCCUUUUGCAUAAAAGGCAUCACAAAUUGGGAUUCAUUUAGUAAGCAAAAAGACCUUACAUGGUGUAUUUGAUAAUAAUAACAGUAAAUUUGCAUAAAAGGCUCCAAACGACAAAUAGUGUGCAAGAGCCCCUGAAGUAUUUUUAUAGCUAACACGGUGUAUUUGAUAAUAAUAACAGUAAAUUUGUAGAAUUGUAACCACAAAGUAACCUGUCGUUGUGUGUCUCGCUGAAAGUUGAGAGUAACACUUCACGUUGAAAGAAAAAGAUGUAGUUUUCAUGCCACUGCAUUAAUUUAAGUCCAAAGAUCACUACAUAAACCCCUAUCUGUAGUGUGCGUAAAAUUUUCCAAAUAAAUCACCAUAAAUAACAUAGAUUGGCCACAACUAGAUAAUUAUGGUUGGGAUUUUAUCUGUAUUCUUUUAGAACAUCUCGACAUUAGGGGGAGGAAUGUCCAUCUAGUGUAAUGCCUCAAUAUUCUAUUAAACACACAAAAGCCAAACUGAACCUGUCGUUCGGUGUGAACUCCUAUGUAUUUGGAGUUUGCUAGAAAUCGUUGAGGAGUAACCAUAUUAGUUUGAAUGCUUCUACCUGAUGUAGAUGUGGAUAUACCUGGGAUUAAUAUCAUAUCCACAUUUGACUUAUUGGCAUUUGAUCUAUUCUCGGGGACGCGUGCGAAUAUGAUCCACCGACCUUAGUCAAAGCAUAUGUUCUGAUAACAGAUUCAUGUGGUCUCGAUAACUCUCCUCCGGUUAAUUCACCUUGAUGGUGAUUUGCCUCACAAAGAGGUUCAUCUUGAUGAUGAAGUUCCUAGCAAUGCAUGCAAUAUCAUUGUGAUGGGAAUAUGGGACAAUGAAUCUUUCGUUUUUGGGAAAUGAUGAAGAUCAUUAUUAAAUGUGGGAUACAAAUUUGUCGACACCUAUAUUGCGUCUCUAAGUUGCAUAUGGAUCCAAUACAAAUUCCUAGGAACCAGUGCAUGAAGCUCUCUUAUCGGGUCAUCGAUAAAUGCAAUCACGGUUGAACCAAGAAUCACAAAGUGAAAGUCGCGAGCUUGAAGUUCGGACAUUUAUGGGCACUCUUGAAAUAAUGUGUGGUGAAUGUGAGGUCCAAGUGAUCUUGUGAGAGACUCACCCCACAUAUGUGUAGAAUAAACAUUGUUCCGCUAUAUGAUAUAAUUUGGCAAUGGUAUGAAUUAAAAUAUGCAGUUAAAGGAUUCAAAAGAUCCAUCAUGAGAUCCUAGGAGGACUCAUAUUCUUGAAUUAUAAAUAUGCAGCAUAUAAAUCUCAUAACGAAUAAUACAUUCCUGAUGAAUGAUCAUUCUCCCAUGUAGAGAGAAUAUCUCCUAGUUGAGAUUAUACUUCCCUGAUGGAACCCUUCCAGAAGAAAUAAAGUCUGUGUUGAACAUCAAAGUUUGAUAAUCCCUAUCAAGGGACAAAGACCCAUACAAACCCGAGAGGAAUAAGAUGAGGUAACAAAGGACUUGAAGUUCACCGAAGAAGCACAUGUACAUUCCAUGAGUUUUACUCAUGAUAUAUUCUACUAGAUGGAGAACUAUGAUAUCCUCUAAAGCCCUGCUGGCAGAACCCUAAAUGGUUUAGGUGUUACUGGCAAAAUAUCCCCAUUGUGCCAGAAUGAUAUACUAUAACUAUGUAUUUGAUUGAUGAGAAUCCCUAAUGGAUUACGAUCUUUGAUAGUCUUUUGUUACAUCAUCAUAGAAGUUGAACAGUCAUAUUUAGAAUAUGUACUAUUGCAACUAUAUUAUCCCCUAAGUCCUUUGGAAGGACAAAUUAUUUGUUUUACACAACCAUGUAUAUAUUGUGGUCUAUGAUAGAAUGAAAAGUGUAUCACCCCAACCUCAUCCAUCCUCAUUAUUUCAGAUGAACAAUGAGACGCAUACCUUGAAGAAUAUGUUUGAAUUAUGAGGGAUAAUGACUUUGACAUAUGUCAUCAUGAGGGGGAGUGAAUGCUUAUUUUGAUCACAAUUGUGAUACACUAAAUGUCAUAUUGUAUACCCUCAAGGCAUCAACUUGAUGAUCAAUAUGUAAACCUUUAUGAAAGUUUCUAUCAUAUAGAUCUAGUCAAUCGAACACCACCAAUCAAAGUGGCUUAUUUAUGUUGAUAUGUGCACUUACCUCGUGUAUCCUAGAAGUGAGUUAAGGUGAAGUUCUGAGAUAAUCCUUGCGACAAUAUGCAAUCAGUUUGCUAAAUCUCUACAUGCAUAUACUUCUAGAAGGAGGUGUUUUGCCAUACUGAGAUAGUUUUGCAAGGAUCAGGGGAUCACAUUUCUAAAGUUAGCCUUUAUAGAAGAUUUGAUGGAAUCUAGAUCUAGAAGAUCAAAAUCUAUCCUGAUGACAAUUGUUGUACUCUUUUUCCCUUGGUGAGUUUUCCUAAAGUUUCUCACAUGAGUUUUUUUAACGAGGCAACAAAGUGAAAAUGCAAUUUGCGUCACCAUGCACUCUUUCUCCAUAUUUUCCCACUAGAUUUUUAGGAGUUUUAACGAGGCAACAAAGUGUAUAACAAAUAUAUAUAGAGACACGAUACCCAUCAGGGGUAUAUUCGAUAUGAGCCCACCAAACCUUAGGGUUAGGUUUCUUAACAUGGCUAAACUGUAGACACGUCAGCUAAACUUGAUUGUUUGAGCAGCAGGCUUCGCCUCUUCGGGCUUCUGCUGGGGGGGCUGGUCACCGCUGGUUGGGCUUGAGCCAGGUGGACGAUGGCCUCUGGCCCAUGGACCGAAAGGCGUGAAGCCGUGAAAAGACAGUAGAGAAUGGACCUUUUCGUCCCUAUUAGUGGGUUUUUUGUGUUUGCAUAAAUGGUUCAGGCUCGUGCUCGCCCAUGGGUCAUGGCCACGACCCAAGCAUGGUCUGAUGCAUUGGGUUGGGCCGGGCUAGCCCGAAAUAAUUUCGUGUCGUGGAUGUCAUGCUUUGUUCUGUCUUGUGUCAACCCGCCAGACCCGACCCAAAUGUACAACUCUAAUGCAUCUAGGGAGCAAAAGCAGCUUCUGGCCACCAGAAGCUCUCCGUAAGCUAACGGAGUGUUUGACACAGCUCAACUUCAUAUAAACCAGCUCAGCUUCAUAAUAAACUUCACAGUUGAGCAUCCCUAUUUCAAAUUAACGGAGUUUCUAAAUAUGUUUGGCUUGGAGAUCAACUUUAGCUUUAAUAAAAUGAGAUUUUGUUUACAAAAGUCUCUUGUACCCUUGAAUAUGUAUGGGAUUGUUUUUGUUGUUGUUGUCAAUUAAUACUCCCUCUGUUCUUUGUUAGUUGUCAUUAUUUAGUUUAAAAAUGAACCAACGGACGAUAAAUAUUCGAAAACAGAGGUAGUAUUAGAGGUCUUGUCACCACCUGGCCAAUCAAAUGCACCAAGCAUGAAAAUGGUUAUCGUUCGUCUCCUCAAUGUAUAGUAACCAUAAUGACCAAGUUGGAAAAAAAGUUCACUAAACAACUGACCAGUUCAUAUGGCAUGCAAGAAAAGUUGAAUAACUGCUGUGACUUACAGACCAUUGGACGCGUGGGUGUGGAGGUCGACGCCCUCAUGCUAGCGUCUACCGGGUUCCCACGCCCGGUUGUGUCGAGGCAGCUAGGUGGCAUGCAUAAGCUCUGGCUGCCCGCACCAGGGUUCACAAUUUCAUUUGCAUAGAUACGAAUUUCGUUUUGUUGACUAAAAAUUGAAUUUUGUAUUUUUAUAUUUUAAAUCGAAAUCUACUUAAAUUUGGAACGAAAUUCGAUUUUCGGUGAGUAACGAAAACGGAAUAAUUCAUCGAAACCCGCCGAUUUCGAUUUGAGAAAGUGAACGCUGGACCGCACGCAUAGGUCCCUGCGGCCGCGCGCAAUGAUGUUGGCAAGCUCAAGCAGCUCCGCACUGAGGUUUGCUGGCGCACAUCACAUGUUUAGGAGGGCUUCAUUCCAAGAAUUGCAGCAUCGAUUUUGUAGCUUCGCCAUGAAACGACUUCAACAGAUUAGUAAUACAUGAUUCAAGAGUGCUUGGUUUGCACAUAGACUCUAGCUUCUGUAAUAUAAUUAAUUUGUGCGAGUUUUCUUAAUUACCUUUGAUGAUUAACGGGUGGAGAAAGAGACAUGAAUUGAUAGGUCAUGUAACCAAUGUCAUGGUUGGUAAUUUUUGUGCAACUUCAUGAGGAGGUAUAAAAACAAUGUUUUUGAAGCACCAUUCGAGGAGCUUCAAAAAUUUCAUGAAACUGGUCUCUAGUUUUAGUUUUUUGGAACUAGAGCUCAUGGAGCUGAAAUCAUUUGGAUAGAAGAAGCUGAAAUAGACUUGAAAUUUUUGAAAUGAAGCUCUUCCAAAUAGAUCCUUAGUGAAGUUAGGCCGUGUUUGGUUUCACUCGUAUUAUGGAAUCUGUAGCUUUCACGUUACCCGAGAAUAUCCGAGAAAGACUUGGAUUCUAAGAUUUUAUCUCUGUGUGUGCACAGAAUCCAAAGUAUAAAAAUGAGAUGUGUUUGGAUCCACAAUGUAUUUUUAAAAUCAGAUUUUCAGAAUUUGUGUUGAACCAAACACGGCCUUAGACCCUUGAACACCAGCUUACCAAUCUGUUGAAAUUGUUUCGUGAUGAAACUAGAAAACUAAAGCUAUAAUUUUUGAAAUAGAGCCCUUCCAAACAAGGCCUUAUAGAGCUAAGCUAGAUUUUAUAACGUGAAUUAGUACCAAACAUCUCCUAAAACAAACAGAUUUAAGUCCCAAACAUCCAAAUUUAUCGGUUCGAGGCCUUUCCACAUUUUUGAAUUGGGCUGGGCAUGAGACAACGAUGCGGCCCAGGCGACCACCUCACCUCCCCUCCCCUAUAUACACACUCGAUACCUAGGGUUUCCUUCUCUCACUUCUGUACCCAACCAGAAGAGCGGCGGCGCGGGCGGACAAGGAGCAGGCGGAGGAGGAGUUGUGCCAAGCCACAAUGGGUAAGAUUCCAUCCACCCGCUUCUCGUUUUGCCUGUACUGACAUAGCUGCCCCGGUGGUUCUCCGAUUUGAGCGACGCUGCCGCAGUCGUUUCCGGUUUGAUCGACGCUGCCGCGAUGGUUCUUCGGUUUGGGCGAUGAGAUGCUAAUGGGUGCCUCUGCGGAUGGUUUGGAUGUAUCCGUGCAGGUAUCUCGCGUGACUCGAUGCACAAGCGCCGAGCCACCGGUGGAAAGCAGAAGGCCUGGAGGAAGAAGCGAAAGUAAUGACCGUUUCUCUUCCCUAUGUUAUUGACGGCUGGAUUCACCUAGCUCUGCUUUUGUUCUGUAGUACGCUGCUGCUUGAUUAGAUCACCGGUCCUAACUUGUUAACUUUGCAUGCCGAUUCCCUGUGGAUCUUGUAGUGGUUGCAGCGGUAAUGCGGUAUUAAUUGGUCUGAGUUGUAUCAAGGAUUCAAAUAAUGUUUUUCUCUCUUGACAUUAUUAGUUGAACUCCGGUGAUUUAUGCUUGUCGCCCUUAAUUGUGAGGUUACUGAGUAUUGCCUAAUAAAAAAUUAUAUGUGACUGUUAAAAUUGUAUAUCAUGAUGCUUCCAAUGAAAUGCCUGAGCCUUGACAGUUCAUAAGCAAUCGUAUCUGUCAAUUCUAUGUAUUUUUCAAUUUUCUUGAAGGCAAUUAGCCAAUUUCACUUGGUGAAGUUGGUGUUUCUCAGAAUAGUCUUUUUUUUAAUCACAACUAGUCCAUUCUACGUGUUUGAGGCAGCACUAAAAUUGUAGAUCAUUUGUGUGCAAGUUUCAUCAAACUGAAUUGGUGUCAUCAGCUUGCUUAAAAGAGUUGUUUGUCGAUGAGGCUUUGUUGUGUCGCAGUACUAUGCUAGGACUUACGUUCAGAGGUUUAUUCUGCUUGUCAUUUCUCUUGAAGGUAUGAGCUUGGUCGCCAGCCAGCCAACACCAAGUUGUCAAGCAAUAAGACAGUGAGGAGGGUCCGUGUUCGUGGAGGUAAUGUGAAAUGGAGGGCUCUUCGCCUUGAUACUGGUAACUACUCAUGGGGAAGUGAAGCUGUUACCCGCAAGACCCGUAUCCUCGACGUGGUCUACAAUGCAUCAAACAAUGAGCUUGUGAGGACACAAACCCUUGUGAAGAGUGCCAUUGUGCAAGUUGAUGCUGCCCCAUUCAAGCAGUGGUACCUCACUCACUAUGGAGUUGACAUUGGUAGGAAGAAGAAAACCCCUGCUGCAAAGAAGGAUAAUGCUGAGGUAUUCUUUCUUGGAACACAGCUUCUCACUAUUUACCACUGAAUGUUUUAGUAAGGUAUUGGCUUCGUAGUUCAUACAUCAUUUUUUGUAGCUGACAAAUAUAAGCUCGUUAGAUAACUCUUCUUUUUAACCACGUGAAUAGCUUGUUUCUGCAUUAGCCUAUUUUAGAUUUCUGUAUGAAAAAAUGUAGAAGUUGAUAAUUUUUAUCAAUAUAUUUUGUUUACUUGAAGUAUUUCCAGAAAGCAGAUGUCAAUAGUUCAUUACUUUUCAUUUUCUUUACUCUAGUAGCUCAUAUGUUUCCUCUGGUGAUUCAUUUAUUGUUUGAUAUAAUAUCCAUCCAGGGACAAGAGGUUGAGGCAGCAGCUGAGGAAACGAAAAAGAGCAACCAUGUCACGAGGAAGCUUGAGAAGCGCAAGGAGGGACGUACCCUUGACCCACACAUUGAGGAGCAAUUUGGCAGUGGACGGUUGCUGGCAUGCAUUUCUUCCCGCCCUGGACAGUGUGGCCGAGCUGAUGGGUACGAAAUAAUGGACCUCCACCAGACUUUCUUAGUAUUUUUAGAGCAGCAUAUCUGUGUGUGUACUACAAACUUUUGUUGCUUAAAUCAUAAUGGUCGUUUUGUUUUAGAUAUCUUGUCAUGUUAUCCUUCUUGGCUUCAAGUUAUCUCCUUGUUUCACCACCUAUAACGUUACCUGCAGCUCCUUAGUAGCCUUUUCUUUUUAUAUAACAGGUACAUCCUUGAGGGUAAAGAGCUUGAGUUCUACAUGAAGAAGCUACAGAGGAAGAAGGGCAAGAGCGCUGUAGCUUAGAGCAUUCUCAUGGAUUGUCUUGCACCGAAAUGUGUGUCCUGAUGAGUACACUUUUUUUGGUUAGUCGUCUCAAGUUCAGAGCGUUAUGCCAUGUUUUCAGUCCUGAUUAGUACACUGUUUUCUAAAAGCGAUUGAGCUCUAGUCCAAUGUAUUGAUAAUUUCUGCUGUUGUCCUAUUGCGGUGAUGUUUAUUUGCCCUGUUCGCUAGCUGCAAUAGUUCCUAUUUGAGCACUGAGCAGGGUAUGAUUAUUUGUUGAUGAAUUUGUUUAAAGCAUAAACACAGAAGCGGGUAUGAUUAUUUGUUGAUGAAUUUGUUUGAAGCAUAAACACAGAACAUAUAGUAAAGAAAACCUUUUUCACUAAGGGCCCGUUUGUUUCCUUGGAAAUGAAACUCAUUCCAUGAAUAACAUUCUAGAUAUUAGAUUCCUAAAGAAAGUAAUUCCUUAGAAUUUGAUUCAAUUCAAUUUUUUUGUUUGGGUGCUAAUGGAAUUCUUUUCCAUGAAUCAAAUUCAAUAUCUUGUUUGGAUAGUUAUAUAUGAAAUUUACAUAUUUGGAGGGAAGUAACCACAUCAACUUGCACACGACAAAAUACACAAGUUUUCACCGUACAAUUUAUCAAGCAGCAUGCAUCACGAGAAUAGUAAUAAUGAUGCAGAUUUGUCUCAAAUGUCCACAUAUCAUUGGAACACAUUACUUGCUACUCAAUGUGAUGUUCAAUUCACCCAACAUAAACUAAGACAGCAACAUCAACACACCCAACAAAGUUCAAUUCACCCAACCACAACUCGGUUCACUUUUUAAGUUGCUUCAACAGCCAUCUCUUCCUCAGAAUCAAUGGAAGUGCCAAUAAGGACUCGUGCUUGCGCGCAUCACCUGUUAAGAUAUCAAACAAGUCUAAAAAUGUGUCUUCAUCUAACCCAUCUAUCUCCUCCAAUGUGCUAAAAAUUUCUUUUGAUGUCGGGCCUUUUGGUGCUUCAUCCCUAAUAGCUUCAGUGAACUUGUCUAAUUUCUCUGCCAUCAUUGAGGUGAAGGAAUCACUGGACCGUUGCCUCUUCAAGCUUCCUGAGGUUGUUGAUGAAGUAAGCUCUUUACCGGUUCCCUCUUCCUUACUCAUACCUCUCGCACCAUCAGUUGGGGUCUUUGCCGCUUCACCGGUUGCAUGAUCUUUCCCAAACACCAAGUUGAUCGAGUCCCAAUAUAAGACUGUCUUGUGUCUGUACCCAUUAGCUUCUUUAUUUUUCUGCAGAAAACAAUUUGAGGUAUCAGAUCGACAAACUUAUUAAAGGUUCAGAAAACAAAAAAGAGAAAACAUGCUGUUCUCAGAGAGCCACUGAAAACACACCUUCCAAAAAGACCAAAACACAUCAUUGGGGUAGAAAACAGAAAACACACAUCUACUUAAUUGACAAAGAUUCAGGAUAACAUUGAAAGUUGAUUUAUUUUUCGAGGACAUAAAAGUAUAUAUGCUGCUAAGGUGGCUAGCCAUAAAUUGGUCCAUUCAAUUUGGAGCUGCUACCAGCUGCUACUAAACAAGAGAAGUAUAGAAUUUGGAGAAGUAUAGAAUUUAUGGAUACCAGCAGCUAGCAAUAAACGCACGACCACUUUUCAAAAGAGCAAGUAGAGCUGCAGCCUAACAUAACAUGCAGCAAGUACAGUCCAGCACAUUCUCUGUAGUCUCCAGUCUCUCAUGGUUCCCUAUCACCAUUACAUAACAUAACAAGAAGCACUUGAUGGCCUAACUUACAACACAUAACUUCAGUAGUAGUGGGAACUAUCUGCACUAAACAACAUGAAGUUUUAUUCUUUUAUUCCAGCCAAUAGAAAUCAAACAUGAAGUUUUUUUUCUGGAAAAUGACUAUGCUAAUCGAGAAUUUCUGUAGUCUCUUUAGUCUAUUAAGUUGUAACAAUAAAAAAAUAAAAAAAACUGAAACUUACCGCCACAUAAGCCUCCCAUACAGAAUCACUAUCGACGGAUAUCUUGUUCUUGUUCCAAUCCCAACCAAAGCCACUUGUUUGUAGCAUACCAUUGAUGAUAGUGUGGUGCUUGUCAAAUGUCUUGUUCCUUGACAUGAUGUUGUCUUUUGUGAUUUCCACAUUGCACUUUUCUCGGACAUUCUUGAUAGCAGCCGUGUAGACAUGAGACUUCCACCCAUUUUGGCAUCUGUCACCCUGUUGUAGUACUCCACGAAUGUGUCAAGAAGUGCCUUGUCCAUAUCAUCAUUCCAAGAAAUGUAGCCCCUGCCCGAGCCUGACUUCUUACCCUUCUCCAUAUCCUACAAGCAAAAAAUUACAAAGGUUAGUAGAGUUAUUGAGGAGCAACACAAUAUUUGCAAAAAAGAAAUAUUUAAAAAAUUAUCAUACAUUGUCCAUGUCCCGCUUGGUAAUCAUCAAACAUUUGGUUAGCUUUGGUGUCCCUAAAGUUAGUCCAUUGAUUUGAUGAUUGCACAUUGGUAAUCAUACUCACUUCACUUUGAACAUCAUGAGAUUCAACAGAUAUUACUUGAUCAACUUGGCCUAAAAGUAAAUCAUCCAUAUCUCUUUGCCUAUCCCUUGCAAAGUUGUGCAAUAUGCAACAAGCAUUGAUGAUCCUAAUCUGAUUUUGUAAGUCAAAAUAUGAGUUUUUCCUUAAUAUAGCCCACCUCAUCUUCAAUAGCCCAAAUGUUCUCUCUAUCACAUUUCUAGCUGUUGAAUGGCGCAAAUUGAACAAUUCCUUGGCAUUGGAUGGGUUAUUCCCUUGGGCAGCCCACUCAUUCAAGUGGUAGCGAGUGGAUCGAUAUGGAGCAAGAAAGCCUGGUCCAUUGGUGUAUCCAGCAUCUACUAGGUAAUAUUUUCCACUUGGAAUAGCAAAUGCAUCGUCCCGAGACAUGGCAUCACGUAGCACACGUGAAUCUGAAGCUGACCCUUCCCAUCCAGCUAGAACAUAAACAAACUUCAUGUGUCGAUCACAAACACCCAAAACAUUGGUGGUGAUUUGUUGCUUCCUAUUCCUAUACCUCCCUUGAUCAGCCAAAGGUACAAAAACAUCAACGUGUGUACCAUCUAGUGCUCCAAGGCAAUCUUCAAACCACCUCCACUUAGAAUCUUCAGGUUGUAAAGCUAAAGGGUUAGGAAGCUUGAUAAAUUCAUGACAUAAUGAUAGAACACCUCUCAACACAUCAUUGAAAUAGCGACUAAUUGGUUCAAGUGACCACCCGUAUGAGCUACGAAUCAUCCUCAUCUUAGUGCCAUGACCCACUACAAGCAAAAAGAUAGCAACCUUUUCUUCUACUGACACAUUCAAGGUGUCACACAUACCGCACCUCUCACGUAAGAUGGUGCAUAGGUCCGAAAAGGAUCUCUUAGUUAGACGCAAACUGUCAUAGCAAUAAACAUUUGAUCCUUGAUACAGAUUCCUCAGCAUUUGUUUUCGACCAGCUACAUCUCUCUCUAUCAUCUCAGAGGGAUCCAUAAGAUGUCUAGGUCUUUUCCGAUAAUAAUAGUCCGCAAUCAUGCCCAUGACAGUUGCAACAAAUAAUGAUGCUACUCUCUGCCUCUUCUUCCUACGCCUCUCUCUAAUUUCCCCCAAAUUUGUUCUAACCAAUUCUAAGUUGUUGUGAGGCAUCUACAGCAGAUAAACCAUACAUCAUAAACACACUUGAGAAAACAUAUGGAUACAAUUUAUAAGAUUGAAUGCAUAGCUGUUUGAAAAAAAGAAAAUCUAAAACAACAAAAGGAACUAAAAAAAGUAAAGACAGGAAAACGAUGAAGCAAGUGAACACAUGCCUCGGAUCACUGCCUAGAAGAGGCCAGGCAUGUCCACUAUGGGCAGGUGCGGAAGACAGAGACAAGCUCCCCUACUGGGAAUGGGAUGGUCUCUCUCUUCCCCCCAAACAUCUCCCUUCAAACCAGCGAAGGGACACCAACCAAGCACCACUGCCUGCCCACAAAACCAGUAAUCUGCAGGAUCUAAGCAAAGACUUGAUUCAGUUAUGGACGGAUUGGUAGGCCUCUUGAAAGUUGGCUUCACCAGCUGGGAUCACCACACAGCCAACGGAAGAACGACGGUUCACGAGCAGGCAUGGGCUUCAGGAACGUCCGGUGCUGGACGAGGCAGAAACUGAAGACAAGAAACGGAAUAACAACGGUUCACGAGCAGGCAUAGGCUCUCCCUCAGCACGUGCCUAAUAGGAAGCAUCCUCCGAACAUGAGCAGAUCCCAGCCAACCACUCAAGCUGGUGAGUGAGCAGCAAGCAGAACGAUCCUGUUUGUGAUUCAUUCUAGACUGUUUGCAUCUGGUCCAUCAUCAGGUCCGAGCGGCCGCGGGAAGGGAGUCUGAGGAACGGCGCCAUCAUCAGGUCCGAGCGGCCGAGCGCCAGGAGCUGCCUCGCCGACGAGAGCCACAUCCGCCUGGUUCCCAUCUGGUCGAGUUUUGGUUCCCAUCGGAACCAGAGCGAUGAGCAUGAACCAGAUGCGGUUGCCAUCGACACCGCGCCCGCCUGUCGCGUUUCGGACGCUGGAGGAUCGAUGGGAGCGCCCCUCUGGCUGCGGCUCCCUCCCGGGGCGCCCUCCUCCUGGAGCUCGCCGUGGGCGACUGCACGCCGCCGCCGCCCCGCCUAGACCUAAACCUAGCUAGCCUACACACUCCCUACAACGGAUCAAAGAGACACACUCCCUACAACGGAUCGAAAAGCACGAUCUAGUUGAGAAGAUUUACCUAGGAAGGGUCGAUGGGAGUGAUUGCGCAGAUCGCCGGUGUCGUAUGUCGGACGUCAGGACCGGCGGAGAUGUGUCGGGAGGGUGAGAGGAGAUGUGUGGGGAGGGUGAGAGAAGCCCAAUUCCAUGUUUAGAGGCUGGAAUCACUAGUGGACUUCAUAUGCAGGCUAGGAAAGUGAGUGGAAAGUUGAUUUCCAAUUCCAGAUACAGCCAAACAAGAUUGGUAGGAAUCAAAUUCUAAUUCAGCCCAAUUCCGACUAAACAAACAGGCCCUAAUAUUAGUGUUGGGGGCCUCCUUCUGAAGUCCUCAAAAACAUGAUUAACAUGCUUAAAACAUGAUUAACAUGCUUUCCAAGUAUAAUAUACUGUUAGAGGGACUUUUGGCUUUGAGAAGGUGUGUAUAACAUGAAGGGCACGAUCUGGAAAAAGGAUGAAUCAAUUCCGAAGCUACGAAUGAAGAAGCUUUGGCUUAUCACAAGGGCGGUGAUAGAUAAAGGAACCGACCUAAAGGGGAAUAUAGUACCAAGUCCUUGACUGAUUACUCAGUAUUAAGUAUCAAGGACAUAGAUGUAAUUUUACCCAGGCUGUGUCCUGUGCCUAUAAAUAAAUGAACAAUAACACCAUACUGUUCACACUAACUUGUAUUCACUCGCACGUCACUCUUGGGUUCAUACCUUCUGUCAAGCCGAAGGUACAAAUAUAAUUUACUGUUAUUAAUGUUUGUACAUGAUUAGAUAAUAAGAAUAUAAAUAAUCCGACGAUUUAAUGUGAUUGUUUAUGUUAUUUUUUGUGUUUCAUAUGUUUAUACUUUCAUUAUUACGUACUGAGAUGAUGAAGGUAUGUCUUUAAUAACCUUCGUCUAAAGAUCAUUAUAUUUUAAAUGAGAUAAUGCUUCGAAAGACGAACGUCUUUAACCAUUAAUAUUUUGUGUUGCCUUGUUCUUAACUCAUAGCAUUUGAAAACAAGUCCUCAACAUUGGCGUCCACAUCUGGUGAACUCAUUUGACCACCUUCGAAAAGCUGUGACCUUUGUCAUGCCACCUACGCGAAGCUAGAAGCCAAAAGAGGAAGGCUACAAGUCCAACCCCUCAAGAGGAGUUGGACCAAGAAAAUCAGGGACCUUGAAGCAAUCCAUUAGCAGGUUUAAAGGAAGAAGGAGAAGAUGUUUCUCUUGCUGAUCUUCAGAAGAAGAUCGACGAGGCCGCUGAGGAAAUGCGUCAUCUCACCAAGAUGACCAGGACCGAAGACCUCAACGCAGAGAGCUUCGUCAGGAUAAUUCCUACGAUGAUGAUGAAUGGUAUGAUGAUUUCCAUCAUGUAAAUUUUGCUUUUAAUGAUGCUUCUCAUCUGUCAGCAGAACUGUAGGCUACACCAUGGCCCUCAUCAUACAAGCCACCCAACUCCCUAUGUAUGAUGAGCAUUUAGACUCGAAAUAGUUUCUAAUGAGCUACGAAGCAACCAUAUCUUCAUAUGAGGGCAACACUGCAGUCAUGGCAAAAUCCUUCGUCAUGGCAGUCAAGAAUGUCGCAUAAACUUGGUACUCUUAUCUUCGGUCAGGAACAAUCACAUCAUGGUAGAAGUUGAAUGAUAUGCUGAUCACCAGUUUCCAAGGAUUUCAGACGAAGCCGGUCACUGCUCAGGCUCUGUUCCAAUGCACGCAGGACCACGAAAAAUACCUUCAGGCGUAUGUCCGAAGGUUCUUGCGUCUGAGAGCACAAGCACCCAUAGUGCCCAAUGAAAUUUUCAUUGAGGCCAUGAUCAAAGGGCUUCGGCCAGGACCUACGACUCAAUACUUUGCUAGGAAACCCCCUUAGACCCUGGAGAAGCUUCUUCAGAAGAUGGAUGAGUACAUCCGGGCUGAUAAUGAUUUUCGUCAGAGAAGGGAAGAAGCUCAUAGGUUUUCUGAGAUGACUAGGGGCUUCUGAAAGUCGCCUAGAGGGGGGGGUGAAUAGGGCGAAACUGAAAUUUACAAAGUUAAUCACAACUACAAGCCGGGUUAGCGUUAGAAAUAAAAACGAGUCCGAGAGAGGGUGCAAAACAAAUCGCAAGCGAAUAAAGAGUGUGACACGCAGAUUUGUUUUUUCCGAGGUUCGGUUCUUGCAAACCUACUCCCCGUUGAGGUGGUCACAAAGACUGGGUCUCUUUCAACCCUUUCCCUCUCUCAACCGGUCCCUCGGACCGAGUGAGCUUUUCUUCUCAAUCAAUCGGAACACAAAGUUCCCACAAGGACCACCACACAAUUGGUGUCUCUUGCCUCAAUUACAAGUGAGUUUGAUCUCAAGAAAGAAUGAGAAAGAAAGCAAUCCAAGCGCAAGAGCUCAAAAGAACACAACAAAUCUCUCUCACUAAUCACUAAUGCUUUGUGUGGAAUUUGGAGAGGAUUUGAUCACUUGGGUGUGUCUAGAAUUGAAUGCUAGAGCUCUUGUAAGUAGUUGGAAGGUGGAAAACUUGGAUGACUUGAAUGUGGGGUGGUUGGGGGUAUUUAUAACCCCAACCACCAAACUAGCCGUUUGGUGGAGGUUGCUGUCGCAUGGCGCACCGGACAGUCCGGUGCGCCACCGGACAGUGUCCGGUGCGCCAGCCACGUCACCAGACCGUUGGGUUUCGACCGUUGGAGCUCUGUCUUGUGGGCCCGCCUGGCUGUCCGGUGGUGCACCGGACAAGUCCUGUAGACUGUCCGGUGUACCACCCGCGCGUGCUCUGCUCCUCUGCGCGCGCUGGCAUGCAUUUAAUGCGUUGCAGUCGACCGUUGGCGCGAAGUAGCCGUUGCUCCGCUGGCUCACCGGACAGUCCGGUGUGCACCGGACAUGUCCGGUGAAUUAUAGCGGAGCGGAUUCCCGAAGCUGGCGAGUUCAGAGUCGCUGUCCUCUGGAGCACCGGACACUGUCCGGUGGUACACCAGACAGUCCAGUGAAUUAUAGCGAAGCGCCUCUGAGAAUUCCCGAAGGUGCGAAGUUUGGCUUGGAGUCCCCUGGUGCACCGGACACUGUCCGGUGCGCCAGACCAGGGCACACUUCGGUUAUCCCUUGCUCUCUUUGUUGAACCCAUUUCUUGGUCUUUUUAUUAGCUAAGUGUGAACCUUUGGCACAUGUAUAUCUUAUAAACUAGAGCAAACUAGUUAGUCCAAUUAUUUGUGUUGGGUAAUUCAACCAUCAAAAUCAAUUAGGAAAUAGGUGUAAGCCUAAUUCCCUUUCAGCUUCGGAGGAAGAAUCCACCCUAGGCAUGUCAGAUCAAUACAUAACUCCAGUCAGAGUGAUGACAGAGGAAGCCAGCUUCAAAGGCCACAGCAUAGCUCACAAUCCUCAGGGCAACAACAAAGCUCUUUCAGGCCACCAGUCCUAAGGGGCAGAGGCGGCAGGGGCUUCAGAGGAAGGUAUGGGGAUCAGCACAGAAAACUCUAUUACUUAUUCUGUUGUGAAGACAAGGGCCACACUACAAGAACAUGCCAGGUCAGUAGGUCACCUUUCAUAAGCAAAAGAAGAUUGCCGAAGCAGAGGCGCGGCAGAAUCAGCCGAAGCAGGUCUUACAUACUGCUUCGUGUUACUCUCCCUAUAUAUACCAGAAUACGUGGGUAAUCAACCUGCAAUCUCUGUUGCUUCGGCAAGUCAUUCACAACCUUCCUGGCCCCAGCUCCCACUACCACCACCAUUACCACCUACUCAUACCCGAAGCCAGCAACCAGAAGGGCACCAACACGCCCAACAGUAGCGCGACUUCAAGGAGGAGUCCGAAGCUCGUACAGUCAAUAGCACUGUACCAUAAUCGAAGCAUAUAUACUAAGGAAUAUCCUACUGUUGAUGUACCUUUAUCUUUUAUGACAUUUUAUUUUUUGUGCGAGAAAUAAGUAAUGAAGAGCAUAAUUUCAAUUUCAUGUAAUAAUUGUGCCUGCAUCAGAGUAAAAUAUAUCUUCCUCAUGGACUUACGAAGCUCGAAAGACGUUUCUAAGAAAGUGGAGCAAAUUUUGAAGCUCAAAUGUUGUUCCUAAAGGAAUGCAGAGCCAAAAAUUAUGAUCCGAAGCUGAAAAAAGUCGUUUCUAAGGGAGCGCAGCGUAAGUUUUAUGCUCAAAAGUCAUUCCUAAAGGAAUGAAGAGCCAAAAAUUAUGAUCCGAAGCUGCAAGAAAGUCGUUCCUAAGGGAGCACAACGUAACUUUUCUACUCAAAAGUCAUUCCUAAAGGAAUGCAGAGCCAAAUACCACCGAAAUAUAAGGUGAAGAAACUCAAAAGUCGUUUCUAAGGGGAUGCAGAGCUUAAAUGCCACCGAAAUAGAAGGUGAAGAAGCUCAAAAGUCGUUCCUAAGGGGAUGCAGAGCUUAGAGACUCAAAAGACGUUCCUAAGGGGAUGCAGAGUCUUGUGUAUUCCAGUGUGGGCGCGCGUGUGUGUGUCUUCGACAUCACCAUCAUUUGCAUCAUGUCAUAAUUUCAUUUCGCAUAACAUUACAUCAUACAUCAUAUCGCAUCAACAGCACAAAGAUUGGAUACGAAGCAAAACUUCGGCAAAUACUUUGUCAAAAUGAAAAUGUGCUGAGGCACGAAGUAAACUUCAGGAAAUACAGUUUUAUCAGACUUGCCAUAGAAGGGGCUUCUUUCUUUACGAAGCAUAAAAAAAGGAAAGGUGUUUUUUCGCUGAAGGCUCAAAAACGGUAUGUGUGCAAAUUUCACGCAUCAUAAAGAAAUAUAUUACAGUAAUUUACAUGUUUCAUUAAUUGUUCCCUACAUCAAAUAUUACAAAGUAUUAUUACAAAAAAGUCUACUCUUCUCUAAGUAUUUUUUUUCUGUGGCUUCGUUCAAUAACUUGUCGACAACUUUGUCGAUAAUAGAGUUAGCAAUGCUUAUUGAAUCCAAUGCUUCCUUCAUGUCCGGAUCAGCCAGGGGGGUGUACGACUCCGGCAGUGGCGACAGUUUAGCCGUAGUAGGUAAACUAUUAGUUCAAAGCAACAAAGUAAGUACCAAAGCUAAAAUUCAAAAACAAUACCUAUGCGCCUUUCGCGCUCAGCAGCUUCUUCAGCUAGCCUAGCUUCUUUUCGGGCGUCAUGGUGUCUUUUUCAUUCUUCUUUAUAAUUCUGUUGGCCAAUUCUCGGCCACCAUGCACCCAGACAUCAGAAUAAAACUUUCCGCCCACCAAAGUCGCUGUAAGGAAAAUGUACCCCAGGCCAUUUGGCUUAAUAGAUUUUGGUGUUUGAUGAUUAACACAACUUGUGAACUAAUGUAUUUUCCAAGUGUUUGUGUGUUGUAGUCCACAGGAUGCAAAGUGGAUUGGACUGAGGCUCUGAGGAUGCAACACCUCAAAGAAGACAUUAUAAUACCCAUAUAAGACAUUACAAAGUCAUAUUGAAGACAAUUUAUAUAUGCUAAGAGUCCAACACAUCAAGAAGUAGAAGUGAGAUACAAAGAUGCAAAACAAAAGUGAACUUGACAAAGUUGAGAGGAAGGGCUGACUGAAUUGGAAGUGUUUCACAAAAUCAAAUCUACUCAAACUGACAUGGAUUCAACUCUGAGGUGUAGAUAAUUUUAUAAGCUUUCCAAAAAGUCCAAGAUCAUCAAAAUCGGAGUUCGGAGCUAAAAGUUAUGCCCACAAUACGAAGUCGGAAUUGCUGAAAAAACAAGAGCAGCAUAUGGGAUGUCCGGUGUGCCAAAUUUGCUCAAACUAGUAUGGCUUCAACUCUGGGAUGUAGAUAAUUUCAUAAGCUUUCCAAAAAGUACAAGAUCAUCGAAAUCGAAGUUCGGAGCUAAAAGUUACGGCCAAAAUACGACAAGCGGACAUGGGCUGUCCGGUGCACACCGGACCGUCCGGUGCGCCAUGUCCGGUGCGCCAUCUUCGGAAGCUCAAACGGCUACUUUUAACGGCUAGUACACGUGGCAUGUCCGGUGCACCACCGGACAGUCCGGUGCACCUGUCCGGUGCGCCGCAGAAAGCUGCAGAACUGCUUUCCAACGGCUAUAUUUGAGUUGGGGCCUAUAUAUACUUCACCCAACCGGCCAUUUGGAGGUGUGGGAGCCCAAGCAACAUACCAAGGCAUAUUGUAGACAUUUCCAAGUGCUCAAACACCCAAGUGCUUAAUAGAAUCACUCGGUGAUUAGCGUAGGUGCUUUGCGAAGUGCUUAGGUUAGUUAGACCGCUUUAGCGCUUGCUCUAGGUGAACCCUAGAUUGUUGAGUGAGUUUAGAUAAACCUCACAACCCCUCGGCUCUUGCGUGAGCCAUUGUAAUUGUACCGAGUGGGGCGAGAGUCUUGCGAGACCGUGACAACCGCGUUUGUGUCACGGCCGCCACCGUGUACCGGAGGGAAUGAGGCCCGCGGCGUUUCGGCCGGAAGCUCGAUAGUGGAGACGGCGGGGAGCGUCCGAGAGGAGCCGGAAGCGGAGCACCACUUGCAUGUGGAGAAGGCCCGCGGCUCUCUAUGGAGUUACUCGACCGAGGUGCUUGGCCCUCGCGUGGGCUUCCCUUCGCGUAGGGGCACCAACGAGGAUUAGUCGGGACCUUGCACGGUUCCGGAUACCUCGGUAAAAAUACCGGCGUCAUCCACGAGAGUUUGCUUCUCUACUUUGCUCUUUAAGUUUCCGCAUUAAUAUUAAGCAUUUAAGUUUCAAUCUUGUAUUCAUACAUAUCUAGUGUAGAUUGAAACUUAGCCUUUGCGGUAGAGAUAGCAACACUUAGACAAAACCUAGUUUGCACAUUCUAGUUUGACUAUUUGCAUAGGUUUUGCUCUAGGGAUUUAAUUGUGGCCUAAUUUAGCGAAAGUUUUAGAAGUCCUAAUUCACCCCCCCUCUUAGGCGUCACCCGUUUCCUACAAGUGGUAUCAGAGCCUGGUUUGGCUCAUUUGAAACGUUUUAGCUUCACCGCUAAAAGAGCCGACGCUUUUUAGAGGAAGGGAUGGAUACCCAUAGGCCACCACACUUCGACGGAACUAACUUCCCAUAUUAUAGUGCUAGAAUGGCUUGCUACCUAGAGGCCGUUGAUCUAGGUGUUUGGAGAGUCACUCGUGACGGGAUGAAACCCCUCAAGAAUCCCGAGAAACCAACCACGAGUGAGGAAAAAGAAAUUCACUUAAAUGCUAGAGCCAAAAAUUGCUUGUAUGAAUCUCUUAGCAUGGAUAUUUUUAAUCAAGUAUUUACCUUGAAAACUGCUAAUGAGAUUUGGCUAAAAUUGCAUGAGCUCCAUGACGGCACAUCCAAUGUCCGUGAGCAAAAACAUUGCCUAGUCUUAAAUGAGUAUAAUUCUUUUGCUAUGAAAGAUGAUGAGCUUGUUAGAGACAUGUAUUCUCGUUUGAAUCUAAUUAUCAAUGAGCUCAAUUCUAUUGGCAUUAAUAAGCUAGGUGAUGCAGACAUUGUGAGGAAGAUUAUCUCCCUACUACCACAACGAAGAUAUGGGAGCAUCAUCACUAUCCUUCAAAACAUGGAGGACUUGGGUAACAUGACCCCAACCAUUGUAAUUGGAAAAAUCGCGGCUUUUGAGAUGUCGCGAAAAAUGUGUCGGGGAGAGGAGCCAACUUCCUCAAGGCCAUAUGCUUUUGCAUGUGAUGAAAGGAAGGGCAAAAAGAAGGCUCCCACUCCAAGUUCCUCAAGUGAAGAAGAGGAAGAAGAAGAAAUUGAUGAUGAUGAAGAUAAUCAACCAUGCACAUCAUCCUCCGAGGACGAAGAAACAAUCCGACGCAUCGGAAAGGUAAUGGGGAUGAUCCGCAAGAUUAAUCUAAUGGGUGUGCCCCUGCAGGUCGAAGAUCUUCUCUUUAACAUUGACAGGAAAAAGCAAAGGAAGAGAGGAUGCUUCACAUGUGGGGAGAAGGGCCACUUCAGGGACAACUGUCCAACUAUGGCCGAACCCAAAAAGGAGAGGAGCAAAGGCAAGGCGCUAACAAGUGUUAGAACUUGGGAUGACUCUUCAAGUGAAGAUGAACCUCCAAGGACGCGCAGCCACCGGUCCUCAUCACGCUCAUCACGGUCAUCACACAAAUGCCUUAUGGCAAGAGGUAACAAAAGCAUUCCAUACUCUAGUGAUGAAAGUGGUAGUGAUGAUGAAGGUGAGGGAAAGCCCUCUGUAGAUGAGCUUGCGAAUGCCGUUGAAUUUUUUCAAGAUGUUUGCACUAAACAAAAAGCUCAACUUAAAACCUUGAAAAAUAAGUUGAUUAGCUCCCAAAAUGAUUACAAAGGUUUGCUAGAAAAAUUUGAAACUUUUGCAAACUUAAAUAGUGAGCUGUCAACCAAAAUUGAGCUAUUAGAAUCUAGUGCUCCAUCCACUGCUACCGAUGAUGGCCUUAUUAAAAAGAAUGAAAAACUCAAGGCUAAGUUAGCUAGCUCCCAAAAUACUAUUGAAAAUUUGCUAGAGAAAAUGGAAAUUCUUAGCAUACACAACAAUGAGCUAACUACUAAGCUAGAAAACAUUGGUAGCACCCCAGAAGCAUCUUUAGUUGAAAUUCCUGAAAUUAUUAAAAAGGAUGCUUCUACUUCUUGCUUUGACUUAAUUAAUGAUUCUAACCCAUGCAACCAAGUUCGUGUUGAGAAUAUUGUUGCAGAAACAUGUUCGGAUGAGGUUGCAAAGGAAAAUGAACAAUUAAGGCAAGAAGUGGCUCGCCUUGGCAAGGCUUUGUAUGACAAGAAAGGCAAAGCCAAACAAAUCCGACCUCCACAGGAUAACACCACUGCGGGAGUGAACAAGCCUAUGGAGGGAGAAAUUGUGAUUUGUCGGCUAUGUCACAUGGAAGGCCAUAAGUCUUUCCAAUGCAAGGCGAUGACCGGGGACAAACAAAGUCAAAAGCUCAAGCAAAAGCCAUCAAGCAAAAUCUCCAACACCUACAUCAAAAAGGUGGACAAAAAGGCUGCUACACCAUAUUUGAUCAAAAAGAAAAAGAAUGGAAAGGUGAUAGCAAUCAAGGCCAACAAGCAAGCCAACAAAGGAAAGGGGGCCAAACGCAUCUGGGUGCCAAAGGAAAUAAUUACAACCAUGAAAAGCACAAAGAAGGUUUGGAUCCCGAAAGGGAAGUGAGUAGACCAAAGGAGGAACGGGAAAUUUGGAGACUUGGCAAAGUUAGGAUGUAUAUCAUGGGAUACAUCACAUUGGAUCAAGUUUAUUGCCAACAGGGUUAGUAGAUACUUUGGACCCAAAUUUCCCCACCCAUGACUAAGGUAACUAGAUUUAUUGUAUUCCUUAUUUUUAGAUAUGUGUAUCUAUUUUCUUGUAUCUAGUUUUACCUCUCAUGCCUAGUAUUACAAUUUGUACUUUUUCUUAAACGCAUGCAUACUAGGUAAAUCACAUGGUAGGACUGCUUGUUUUCAAUUCAUACACUUAAGCAAACCUACAUGGUUUAAAAUGUGUAUUUAAGCACGGCACAUAGCUUCUUUAUCACUCCAUAGUAAAUGAUACAUCAAUUAAUAAUUUUAAAUGCUACAGGUAAAACACUCAUAUUCUACAAGUUGUAUCAUUUAACUUAUAUGUGCCAAAGUUCGGAUUGUAGAUAAUUUUCCCCUCUUGAUAUCAAAUCAAAGUGCAUGUCUCCUACAAGUAUUCAAAACUUGUAUGCACAAAUCCAGGGGGAGGUUACUCUAUAAUCUAAGUCUUUGAGACUAAUACCUGUUUUCAAGUCUAUUUCAUGUAGUAGUCUCAUUGUAAAGAAAAUGAAGUCCCCGGAGAAAGACAACAAGCUUCCACUGCAAAUCUACAAGAAUUCUUAUGUCUGCAAGCCUGCCAUUGGUAUUCAAUUGGUCCGCAAUUGACUUUCAAUUGGUAUCUUUGAGACUACACUUAGUAACAUUUACAUGUCUUCUCCAUUAUUUGAUUAGACUAUAUUUCAUAUCUUAUACUUCCCAUGUUGCUAUAAAUGCAUAUAUUGUUAACUCAUAUUUUGUUACCUAUGCAUAAGGGAAGUUAGUCUAUUCAAAUCAUGACUUGCACCUCCAUUUCUCACAUGCUUUUUCCUAAGUAGAAGAUCUCUGUCAGGGGGGAGUAUUUCUUUGUCUCUACAGGGGGAGAAAAUUCUUUCUAAAGGAUCAUUUAGGGGGAGUAUCAAUUUGGUGUUUCAAUUGGUAUUAUUUUACAAAUCCUUUUUGAGGGCAAGUCUUAUUUGCUUCCUAUAUGCUUUUAAUGUCUUCCUUUUCGGUGGUUGAUGCCAAAGGGGGAGAAGUUGUAGGGACCAAAGCAAUGAAAAUGUUAUCAAACACCAAACACCACCAAAUUAAAAUUUUGAUCUUUCAAGUGGUUUUUGCAUUUUGGUCUAAAAUAGGAAGUAAGUGAAUUAUGGAGUUAGGGGGAGGCUUAAGUCCAUAAUCUCACAUUACGGGGACAAACAUGCAUCCUAGCAAGUAGAUUGUAUAUUUAUAUUCAAAUGUUUGUAAUAUUUGCUUGCUUUGGUUGUGUUGUCAUCAAUCACCAAAAAGGGGGAGAUUGUAAGGAAAAUGUACCCCAGGCCAUUUGGCUUAAUAGAUUUUGGUGUUUGAUGAUUAACACAACUUGUGAACUAAUGUAUUUUCCAAGUGUUUGUGUGUUGUAGUCCACAGGAUGCAAAGUGGAUUGGACUGAGGCUCUGAGGAUGCAACACCUCAAAGAAGACAUUAUAAUACCCAUAUAAGACAUUACAAAGUCAUAUUGAAGACAAUUUAUAUAUGCUAAGAGUCCAACACAUCAAAAAGUAGAAGUGAGAUACAAAGAUGCAAAACAAAAGUGAACUUGACAAAGUUGAGAGGAAGGGCUGACUGAAUUGGAAGUGUUUCACAAAAUCAAAUCUACUCAAACUGACAUGGAUUCAACUCUGAGAUGUAGAUAAUUUUAUAAGCUUUCCAAAAAGUCCAAGAUCAUCAAAAUCGGAGUUCGGAGCUAAAAGUUAUGCCCACAAUACGAAGUCGGAAUUGCUGAAAAAACAAGAGCAGCAUAUGGGAUGUCCGGUGCACACCGGACUGUCCGGUGUGCCAAAUUUGCUCAAACUGGUAUGGCUUCAACUCUGGGAUGUAGAGAAUUUCAUAAGCUUUCCAAAAAGUACAAGAUCAUCGAAAUCGGAGUUCGGAGCUAAAAGUUACGGCCAAAAUACGACAAGCGAACAUGGGCUGUCCGGUGCACACUGGACCGUCCGGUGCGCCAUGUCCGGUGCGCCAUCUUCGGAAGCUCAAACGGCUACUUUUAACGGCUAGUACACGUGGCAUGUCCGGUGCACCACCGGACAGUCCGGUGUACCUGUUCGGUGCGCCGCAGAAAGCUGCAGAACUGCUUUCCAACGACUAUAUUUGAGUUGGGGCCUAUAUAUACUUCACCCAACCGGCCAUUUGGAGGUGUGGGAGCCCAAGCAACAUACCAAGGCAUAUUGUAGACAUUUCCAAGUGCUCAAACACCCAAGUGCUUAAUAGAAUCACUCGGUGAUUAGCGUAGGUGCUUUGCGAAGUGCUUAGUUAGUUAGACCGCUUUAGCGCUUGCUCUAGGUGAACCCUAGAUUGUUGAGUGAGUUUAGAUAAACCUCACAACCCCUCGGCUCUUGCGUGAGCCAUUGUAAUUGUACCGAGUGGGGCGAGAGUCUUGCGAGACCGUGACAACCACGUUUGUGUCACGGCCGCCACCGUGUACCGGAGGGAACGAGGCCCGCGGCGUUUCGGCCGGAAGCUCGAUAGUGGAGACGGCGGGGAGCGUCCGAGAGGAGCCGGAAGCGGAGCACCACUUGCAUGUGGAGAAGGCCCGCGGCUCUCUAUGGAGUUACUCGACCGAGGUGCUUGGCCCUCGCGUGGGCUUCCCUUCGCGUAGGGGCACCAACGAGGAUUAGUCGGGACCUUGCACGGUUCCGGAUACCUCGGUAAAAAUACCGGCGUCAUCCACGAGAGUUUGCUUCUCUACUUUGCUCUUUAAGUUUCCACAUUAAUAUUAAGCAUUUAAGUUUCAAUCUUGUAUUCAUACAUAUCUAGUGUAGAUUGAAACUUAGCCUUUGCGGUAGAGAUAGCAACACUUAGACAAAACCUAAUUUGCACAUUCUAGUUUGACUAUUUGCAUAAGUUUUGCUCUAGGGAUUUAAUUGUGGCCUAAUUUAGCGAAAGUUUUAGAAGUCCUAAUUCACCCCCCUCUUAGGCGUCACCCGUUUCCUACAGUCGCUUCGGCUACAGGGUCUUUUGUGUCGUCUAUGGAGAAGGCGGCUUCAGCCUGAGCUUUAGCUUUGACGUGAUCACAUCCAGCCUUCUCCAGAAUAGAUGCGAUUCCCCGAGCACCGGAGAAAGCACAAAUAUCGCCGCGAUCGCUCAGGAUUUCCUCGAAAGCUUCGGCUUCCCCACUUAUCCAUUCAAUGACACCCUCGGGGUCGCCUCAGACAAAAUGUCCUCAGAGGAGUAAGCACCCACUUUGGAAAAGCUAGAUUUUAAUUUCUUCACGCAAUCCAAGGAUUUUUCAAAACAUCUUUUCUUGGAUUCGCGAAGCUCGUCAAUAUUUUUCUCUAGUUUCGUCUUCCACCAUUCACUAAUCUCUUGGCUAGCCUUUGCGAUCGCACAAUUUUCAUUAGCUUCGGCAAGUUGUUUCCGAAGAUCUUCAACCUCGACUUUAUGAGCUUCAGCCUGGGCGUUGUAUUUCGCCUCAUCUUCCUUUACUUUAUUCACCAACGAAAUUAUAAUUUUGUCCUUCUCCAGGGCUUCAUUUCUCAGCUGGAUUACCUUCGAUCGAAGGUUGCCAAGAGCUAUUGUGCAGCUUUCGUCCUCAAAAUUCUUUUGAACCCUCAGGGCGUUGCUCAGAAUUAAGCUCUAUGAAAAAGAAAGAUAAAUGUUUAGCAUGAGAAUAAAAGCUUUAUUCCCAAAUUCAUAAACUUUAAGUUUACAAUUCCUGUACCUUCAGGCUGUUGUACGCAAGGCUGUCCGCGAGGUCAUCCUUUGACAUGGCGGAAAGGCCAACUUCGAGCUUUGGAAAUCCCAAGCUUUUAGCCAUCUCCCGGCAUACAAAUAUCUCUUUGUUGUCCAGGAGACAGUACAAGAAAUCAUCUUCGUCUGUGCCAUUAAACACCAAGGCCCCCUCCGAAUAUUUCAGUUUCCGGGCGUAAUGUUUGGCUUCUAAGAUUUCUUCUUCGGAUAAUCUUUUCCCUGAAGCAUGUCGAAUAAUGUAAUUAGUAUCUUCGGACGGAGCUUUGGGAGCAGGAGCUUUAGUUUUUCUAUCACGACUUGCCUCGCUGUCAUACUGGUAUUCGGAGUUUGUUGCUCAGCCUUAUCCUCAGGCGCAGCAGGCUUCGUCUCAAUGGGCACUGAAGGCCCAGCUUCGGCUUCGGCCUGGGCUUUGACAGCUUUGGCAACUUUCUUCGUAGGAAAGGGGUCAAGGCUUUUGUGGUCUCCAUGACAGCGUCUAGCACGCUGGCCAUCCUCCUUCUCUUGGGAGUUGUGGCAGGAGCCUUUGUCAUCUUCGGCAAUUCUGCUUCUGCCGGUGGGCUCAAAAUUUUUGGCAUCAUCACUGUUUUUUCCAAUUCUGGCUCUCUGGCCGUAUCAUCUUUGGCUUCGGCUAGCCCAACUGUAGACAUCUUCGGCACUACAAUCGAUCCUUCAGUGCUCUGAGCAGCGAGAGUAGCUUGUUUUGCUUCGGCAGUGGAAGAGGUCCCUUCACCAAAUUCAGGCACUACGGCCGUUUCAAUAUAUCGAGGCCAGUGGGUUAAAACCUUUAUUUUCUUGCCCUUCGGCACGACAGUGGUGGCUGAAGCGGCAGUUUUCCUCUUUUUUCCUUGCCUUCUCAAGGGGUAGUAGUAAUCAGGAUAUAUGAAGCCAAUUGCAUAAAAAACCCUGUUCAAUCUUUUCUUGCCCAGACCCCCGAAGGCUGAGGACAAGGCAUCAUCUUCGGCCCUGGUAUAUGUCCCAAGCAACUCGUCGCUAGUAGCCUCAAUGCAUUUCAACCAGUCAUCAUUUGGUUCAUCGAACUUCUCUCUGUAUCUGAAGGUGUAUUUCAAUCGAACUAAUCCACCUUCGCUGGAUUUAGCAGUAGUCUCCUUCAACAUCUCCCAGCUAUCCACAAGUGGUCACACUCUGUAGGCUAUGUGCUCUUGAAUUAUAUCCCUUGUGCCAAUGAAAGCACAGACAUUGCUAAAAGUCUUCUGACACGCUUUGGCAUCACUUUCAAUAGCCACCUUCGGCCUUCAGAGGCCGAAUCGAGACCAGAUGGGGCGCUGGAUAAUUUCCUUAAUAUUCUCCCUUUCAAUCAGAUUAUUUUUAACAUAAAACCAUUCCUCCAUCCUGGCCCUGGGCCAUCUUUUCUGGUAUGUCGGAACCGGAUAGCUUGCAUUAGAUCGAGCAAUGAAUCCGUAGCAACCGAAGUUGUUGUGAUACUGCUCCUUGCCGGUGGCCUUCGUCUCGUACAAAAGUUCAUGCAUACUGCAAAAACACUUUGCACUUGGUUCCAACUCUUGGCUUCUUACUGCCCAAACAAACAAGCCCAUCCUAAUUAUAGCUUCGGGGGUAAGUUGAUGAAGAAAGAUCUGAAAUAUCUUCAGCACUUCAACCAAGAAUCUGCUCAAUGGGAAUCGAAGACCCACCUUCAAAAAGCUUUUGUAAAUAACCACCUCAUUUUCUUCAUGAGCAGGGGCGGUGCUGUCUCCCCCAACCCUCACAAUAGUCAUGUCACGAAAAUAUCUUCCCCUCAUAGCGUCAACAUGACUUUGCUUAAUAGUCGACUUUCCGAAGAUGGUAUGACUUGGUCGCCAGGGCUAGUCCUCAAAAUCUUCGUCUCCACUUUCCACAUCAAAGUCAUCACUGUCAUCAGAAUCUUUAGAUAAAUCUGUCAUUAUCUCCUUUGUGAUUUUCUCUGUAUUUAUUUUUGCUAUGGAUUCGUAAAACCCAGCAAUAAAAGGGUCCGCAACUUUCUUCUCCUCGUACAACUUCUUCUCCUCAGUCAUCUUCCUCUCAGACAUGGAACAAGCACUUGUCUUUAAGCCGAAGCUCGAAAAUCAGGUGAGGGUUGAUAAGCAAGAGUUAAAAAUUUGAGAGAAUAGCGCAAGCAGCAGAAAUAGCGUACCAAAUGCUGUCGCUGUGGGUUUCUAUUUAUACGCCUAGCGCUUUGCAACUUGGCGGGCCCCAUUUGUCAAUGACUUUCGCUAUUCUAGCGAAGGGAAGGUGUUUUUUUGGACCUUCGGCUUAAGGUCUUCGUUCACGUCGCAGUCUGAAUUCGUUGUUGCAAGAACAAAUUAAUACUGCGAGGGGCUACUAUUGGGGGCCUUCGUCUUCUGAAGGUCCUCAAAAACAUGACUAACAUGCUUUUCAUGUAUAAUAUACUGUCACAGUGACCUUCGGCUUUGAGAUGAAGGUGUGCACAACAUGAAGGACGCGAUCUGGGAAAAGGAUGAAUCAAUUCCGAAGCUACGAAUUAAGAAGCUUCGGCUUAUUGCAAGGGCGAUGAUGGAGAACAGAACCGACCUAAAGGGGAAUAUACUACCAAGUCCUUGACUGAUUACUCUUUAGUCAGUAUUAAGUAUCAAGGACACAGAUGUAAUUUUACCUAGGUUGCGUCCUGUGCCUAUAAAUAGAUGAACAGUAACACCGUACUGUUCACACUGACUUGUAUUCACUCGCACGUCACUCUUGGGUUCAUACUUUCUGUUAAGCCGAAGGUACAAAUGUAAUUUACUGUUAUUAAUGUUUGUCCAUGAUUAGAUAAUAAGAAUAUAAAUAAUUUGAUGAUUUAAUGUGAUUGUUCAUGUUAUUUUCUAUGUUUCAUAUGUUUCUACUUUCAUUAUUACAUACUGAGAUGAUGAAGGUAUGUCCUUCAUAACCUUCGUCUAAAGAUCAUUAUAUCCUAAGGGAGAUAAUGCUUCGAAGGACGAAGGUCUUUGACCAUUUAUAUUUUGUGUUGCCUUGUUCUUAACUCAUAGCAUUUGAGAACAAGUCCUCAACAAUUAGCUUGUAAGAUCGUCAUGGCUUCACUGCAUACAUAAUUUUCCCUUUUUAGGUGUCGCCCAUUUUGUUUAAUAUGUGCAUUGCGUAGGCUGUUGAUUCAACUGAAUGAAGCCAUCCAUGGUGUGAUAUGGAAAUAUCCAUAACAUGAUUUGGGACAAGGCAUUUAGCGAUAUACGUUGUCAUUAGUUUUAACAUUUACUAAAGAAUCAUAGUUGUUUUCAAUUGAAGUUUAAACUUGCAGACUGUAUCGUUCUGAUUGUAAAAACUAUUGUGGAUUCCUUCACUGGGCACAUUUCCGAUAUUAAUGAUUAUGUUUAGAUGCUGUUGGUUACUUGUUAUCAAUUGCUUUGAACCAAUAACAAGGCAACACAAGUGUUAAUGAUUAAAGACCUUCGUCCUUCGAAGCAUUAUUUCCCUUAGGAUAUAAUGAUCUUCGGACGAAGGUCAUGAAGGACGUACCUUCAUCAUUUCAAUAAGCAAGAAUGUAAACAGAGACAUAUGAAACGCGAAGAGAAUAUGAAUAAUUAUUUCAAAUCAUUAGACUAUUCAUAUUCUUAUUAUAUAAACAUGAACAAACCUCAACGAUAUUUAAAUUACAUUUGUACCUUCGGCUUCACAGAAGGUAAAGAGCGGAAGUGACGCGAGAGAGAUUACAAGUCAGCGUGAACAGCACAGGGAUACUGUUCAUCUAUUUAUAGGCAUGGGACGCAACCCGGACAAAGUUACAUUUAUGCCCCUGAUAACUAAUUAUAAUCAUAAUACAAAUCAUCAGGGACUAUGUAGUCUUUUCCUCUUUAAAUCGGUGCCAACUAUGUAAAUUAUUGCAGUUUAUUUCUUUGCGAUGCAUGAAAUUUACACACAUACCGUUUUUGAGCCUUCGGCGAAAAAACACCUUCCCUUCUUUUCAUGCUUCGUAAAGAAAAAGAUCCAUACUUUGUAAAGAAAGAUAUACAUGCUUUGUAAAGAGAGAUCUCUUCUUGUGACAAGGCUGAUAAAACUGUAUUUCCCGAAACUUUCUUCGUGCCUUAGCACUUUUUUAUUUUGAUGAAGCAUUUGCCGAAGAUCAGCUUCGUAUCCAAUUCUCGUGUUAUUGAUGCAAUAUGAUGUAUGAUGUGAUGUUAUGCGAAAUGAUGUGAUGAUAUGAUGCAAAAUGAUGCGGAUACCGAAGACACACACCCACACGCCCAUACUGGAACACACAAGCUCUGCAUCCCCUUAGGAAUGACUUUUAAGCUUCUUCACCUUCUAUUUCGGUGAUAUAAGUUCUGCAUCCCUUUAGGAACGUCUUUUGAACUUCUUCGCCUUCUAUUUCGGCGGUAUAAGUUCCGCAUCCCCUUAGGAACGACUUUUGAACUUCUUUGCCUUAUAUUUCGGUGGUAUUUGGCUCUGCAUUCCCUUUGGAACGACUUUUGAGCAGAAAACUUACACUGCGCUCCCUUUGGAGUGACUUUUUGUAGCUUCAGCAAUUUAGGCUCGACAUUCCCUUAGGAACGACUUUUUAGCUCAAAGCUUACGCUGCGCUCCCUUGGGAACGACUUUUUGUAGCUUCGGCACAUUUAGCUCUGCAUUUCCCUAGGAACAAUUUUUGAGCUUCGUAAAUCUGUGAAGAAGAUAUAUUUCGCUCUGAUAGAAGCAAAAUCCUUACAAAAAUUAAAACCAAAUUUACAUUGCUUGUUCCUUAUUAAAAAGCAAAAUGGCAUAGAACAUAAAAGUAUUUCAGAAGCAGGAUAUCACUCAGUAUAUGUGCUUUGAUUCUGGUACAGUACUAUUGACUGUACGAGCUUCAGACUCCUCCCUGAAUUCACGUUGUUGUUGGGAGUGCUGGCGCCCUUCUGGCUGCUGGCUUCGGGAAUAAGUAGGUUGCAGUAGUGGUGCCGGUGGGAGCUGGGGCCAAGAAGCCUGUGAAUGGCUUGCCGAAGCAACAGAAGCUGCAGGUUGGUUGCCCACAUAUUCUGGUAUGUAGGGAGAGUGGCACGAAGCAGUAUGUAGGACUUGCUUCGGCUGAUUCUACCGAGCUUCUGCUUCGGCAAUCUUCUUUUGCUUCAGAAUAGUGAUUUGGCAGGUUCUUGUAGUGUGACCUUUGUCCUCACCAUAGAAUAAGCAAUAAAUUUUCCUGGGCUGAUCCCCAUAUCUUCCUCCGAAGCCCCUGUCGCCUCUGCCCCUUGGAGCUGGUGGCCUGAAGGAGCUUUGUUGCUGUCCUGAAGACUGUGAGGUGUGCUGUGGCCUCUGAAUUUGGCUUCCUUUGUCGUCGUUCUGACUGGAGCUGUGGAUUGAUCUGACAUGCCUAGGGUGGAUUCUCCCUCCGAAGCCCCUAGUCAUCUCAGAAAAUCUGUAAGCUUCCUCCCUUCUUUGUCGGAAGUCAUUGUCAGCCCGGAUGUACUCAUCCAUUUUCUGAAGCAGCUUCUCUAGAGUUUGGGGAGGUUUCCUGGCGAAGUAUUGAGCCGUAGGUCCUGGCCGAAGACCCUUGAUCAUGGCCUCAAUGACAAUUUCACUGGGCACUAUGGGUGCUUGUGCUCUCAGUCGCAAGAACCUUCAGACAUACGCCUGAAGGUAUUCCUCAUGGUCUUGUGUGCACUGGAACAAGGCCUAGGCUGUGACUGGCUUCGUUUGAAAGCCUUGAAAACUGGUAACCAGCAUGUCCUUGAGCUUCUGCCAUGACGUGAUUGUCCCUGGCCGAAGAGAAGAAUACCAUGUCUAGGCCACGUUUCGGACUGCCAUGACGAAGGAUUUUGCCAUGACAGCUGUGUUGCCUUCGUAUGAGGAUAUUGUUGCCUCAUAGCUCAUCAAGAAUUGCUUUGGGUCCGAGUGCACAUCGUACAUGGGUAGCUGGGGUGGCUUGUAGGAUUGUGGCCAUGGGAUAGCCUGCAAUUCUGCUGCCAGGGGAGAAGCAUCAUCAAAAGUAAAGGUACCAUGAUUAAAAUCAUCGUACCAUUCAUCUUCGUUGAAUGAGCCUUCUUGACGAAGCUCCCUGUGUUGGGGCCUUCGGUCAUGAUCAUUUUGAGUAAGAUGACACACUUCCACAGUAGCUUCAUCGAUCUUCCUUUGAAGAUCGACCAGCCGAGCCAUCUUCUCCUUUUUCCUUUGUACCUGCUGAUGGAUGAUUUCCAUGUCCCUGAUAUCCUGGUCCAACUCCUCCUCCUGAAGUGUUGGACUGGUGGCCUUUCUCUUUUGGAUUCUGGCCUCUCAGAGAGAGAGAGAGUCUCCUAGUUUGUGUCCAGUGGCUGCAGUGCAGCCCCUGGCGCUGUUGUCUUCUUCGGUGGCAUGACGAAGGUUGAUGCUUUGCCGAAGAUUAUGGAAGUGAGUACACCGGAGGUGGGCGCCAAUGUUGGGGACUUGUUCUUAAAUGCUAUGAAUUAAGAACAAGGCAACACAAAAGAGGUUAAUGAUUAAUGCCCUUCGUCCUUCGAAGCAUACUUUUGAUGCAUCAUAUGUGCUUACUAACAAAUCAGGCAAAGUAGUUGCCAAAUAUGUUGGGGGCAAACACAAGAGCUCAAAGACUUGUGUUUGGGUACCCAAGGUGCUUGUUUCUAAUAUAAAAGGACCCAAGACCAUUUGGGUACCUAAGAACAAGGCCUAAAUUUGUUUUGUAGGUUUAUGCAUCCGGUGGUUCAAGUUGGAUAAUCGAUAGCGUGUGCACAAACCACAUGACAGGGGAGAAGAGAAUGUUCUCCUAUGAGAAAAACGAAGAUCCCCAACGAGCUAUGACAUUCGGGGAUGGAAAUCAAGGUUUGGUCAAAGGCUUGGGUAAAAUUGCUAUAUCCCCUGACCAUUCUAUUUCCAAUGUUUUUCUUGUAGAUUCUUUAGAUUACAAUUUGCUUUCUGUUUCUCAAUUAUGCAAAAUGGGCUACAACUGUCUAUUUAUAGACGUAGGAGUUACUGUCUUUACAAGGAGUGAUGAUUCAAUAGCAUUUAAAGGAGUGUUAGAGGGUCCGCUAUAUUUAGUUGAUUUUAAUGAGAACCAAGCUGAACUUAACACUUGUUUAAUUGCUAAGACUAAUAUGGGUUGGCUCUGGCAUCACCGGCUAGCCCAUGUUGGAAUGAAGAAUCUUCAUAAGCUUCUAAAGGGAGAGCACAUUUUAGGACUAACAAAUGUUCAUUUUGAGAAAGACAUGAUUUGUAGUGCAUGCCAAGCAGGAAAGCAAGUUAGUGCUCAUCAUCCACACAAGAACAUCAUGACAACUAACAGGCCGCUCAAGCUACUCCACAUGGAUCUAUUUGGCCCGAUUGCUUACAUAAGCAUCGGAGGGUAUAAGUACUGUCUAGUUAUUGUGGAUGACUAUUCUCGCUUCACUUGGGUGUUCUUUAUGCAGGAAAAAUCACAAACCCAAGGGACCUUAAAAGGAUUCUUAAGACGAGCUCAAAAUGAGUUCGGACUAAGGAUCAAAAAGAUAAGAAGUGAUAAUGGGACCGAGUUCAAGAAUUCUCAAAUUGAAGGUUUUCUUGAGGAAGAGGGCAUCAAGCAUGAGUUCUCUUCUCCCUACACACCUCAACAAAAUGGUGUAGUGGAGAGGAAGAAUAGAACUCUACUAGACAUGACGAGGACCAUGCUUGAUGAGUACAAGACUCCGGACCGGUUUUGGGCUGAGGCGAUUAACACCGCCUGCUACUCCAUCAACUGGCUCUACCGUCACCGAAUCCUCAAGAAGACAUCAUACAAACUCCUCACCGGUAAAAAGCCCAAUGUUUCAUAUUUUAGAGUCUUUGGGAGUAAAUGUUGUAUUCUUAUCAAAAGAGGUAGAAAAUCUAAAUUUGCUCCUAAGGUUGUAGAAGGUUUUUUACUUGGUUAUGACUCAAAACACAAGGGCAUAUAGAGUCUUCAAGAAAUCCACUAGAUUGGUUGAGGUUUCUUGUGACAUUGUGUUUGAUGAGACUAAUGGCUCCCAAGUGGAGCAAGUUGAUCUUGAUGAAUUAGAUGAUGAAGAGGCUCCAUGCGUCGCGCUAAGGAACAUGUCUAUUGGAGAUGUGUGCCCUAAGGAAACCGAAGAGCCUCCACAAGCACAAGAUCAACCGUCAUCUUCCAACCAAGCAUCUCCACCAACUCAAGAUGAGGAUCAGGCUCAAAAUGAUGAAGAUCAAGAGGAUGAGCCACCUCAAGAAGAGGACAAUGUGAAAGGGAAAUAGGGUUAACCUUUUCCCAGUAUUAAUUUUGGUGGUUGAAUGCCCAACACAAAUAAUAGACUAACUAGUUUGCUCUAGAAUAUAUGUUCUACAGGUGCAUAAAGGUUCAACACAAACCAAUAAAAGAUUGAAGAAAGGGUUCAAAAACAAAGGAGCAAAGAAACCGAGUGUGCUCUGGUCUGGCGCACCAGAUAGUGUCUGGUGCACCAGGUCGUACCAGAGUGAACUGGCCACUCUCAGGUUUCUCCAGGCGCACUCCGCUAAAAAUCACCGGACUGUCCGGUGUGCCACCGGACUGUGCGGUGCACAAGCAGAGUAACGGCUAUCCAGCGCAACGGUCAACUGCAACAACGCCUGACAUCGCUACAGUGAAGAACAGUGCGCGCAGAAGAGCGCAGAAGUCAGAGGCGCACCGGAUAAUGAACAAUGUAUGUCCGGUGACUGUCCGGUGCCACUAAAGGACAAAGCCUCCAACGGUCAGAAGCUCUAGAACCCUAACGGUUGGGUGACGUGGCUGGCACACCGGACAGUGUCCAGUGGCGCACCGGACUGUCCGGUGCGCCCAUCGACAGCAGUCUGCUCCAACGGAUGUUUGGUGGUUGAGGGUUAUAAAUACCCCCCAACCACCACCACUCCAAGCAUCCAAGAAUUCUGAGUAUCACAUUCAAUACAAGGGCUCUAGCAUUCACUCCUAGACACAAUUCAAAAAUUCAAAGCCUCUCCAAGUCCCAAAUUCAACUCAAGCACUUAGUGACUUGUGAGAGAGAGAUUUUGUGUUCUUUUGAGCUCUUGCCUCUUGGAUUUCCUUCUUCCUUUCUCAUUUCUUUUCUCAAGUGAUUUGUAAUCGAAGCAAGAGACACAUAAGUGUGUGGUGGUCCUUGCGGGGUCUAAGUGACCUGGAAGAUUAAGGAAAAGGCUCACUCGGGCUAUGUGAUCGUUUGAGAGAGGGAAAGGGUUGAAAGAGACCCGGUCUUUGUGACCACCUCAACGGGGACUAGGUUCUUUAGAACCGAACCUCGGUAAAACAAAUCACCGUGUUCAUCCGCUUGAUUCGCUCUUGAUUUGUUUCCCCCUCUCUUUCGGACUCGAAUUUAAUUCUAACGCUAACCCCGGCUUGUAGUGUGUGCUUAAGUUUAUAAUUUUCAGAUUCCGCCUGUGACGGAACCUCCCAAGUCAUUAAGCCCACCCACAGUUGUCCUUGUCCAUCGGACCUCAGACAACCCUGCAGGUGCACCUGAUCACUUGACAAGUUCGGUAUCUGUAAUCUUUACCUUGCCCAAGAGCGUUUCACCCGUCACGCAGAUAUUACAACACAUCGGAGGUAUGAGUAUGCGGAAGUAGUUACAACAACUUUAUUUUAGAUUAAAGUAUAGAAAGAGUAGUAUUAUUACAGACCAGAGCAAAUAUAAGAGUGUUGGAGUAAUAUUAUUACAUAUCUUGGUAGGCAAAAACCCCUCCCGAUAAACAGUAAAAGUUUUUAAAGGAGGACACUUCCUCCCGAGGCUUUAGUCUUGGUUUUCUUCUUUAGGAACCACCUUGGAACAAAAGCAACAAAAAUUUGCUGCUUCCUCACCUAAAACAACAUGGGACAAAGCCUUGAGUACGAAGUGUACUUUCGAAAGUCUUACCCGUCAAAAUAAAAGACUCUCAAGGAUAUGAUGGCUUUAAGGGAAUCAAGGUAUGGCUUGUCAGGAAUCAAAGACUCUGUUUGCAUAAAUGCUUACUAGUAGUGGAUCCUUAAAAAUCCAGUUUUAAUUGUCAGGUUAAGUAAAGUUACCUGCAUCUAGAGUUCUUUCUACCCUAGUUCAAGCACUUGACCUAUACUAGCCAAUUUCUUAUCAACCCUUUUUAUUCAUUGGAAUGCUACGUGUAGGUCAGUGACCAAGUCUUCAUGUCCGAGAAGUAACGGCGAUCCGAAUCAAUUAAUACUCAACUGAGGAUCUCCAAUCACACGACAUAUGUAGCACUUAACCCUUGCAUAUGUCAACUCAUCACCGGGGUUCUUAAGACCAGAUCAGGUUCACGCCAACCGAGAGCACAGAUACACCACCGUCCAGCCUCUUGCCACGGAGGGUACACGCUACUCUCGCCAUCUCUCCACUCUCAUUGCGUGUUAUCUUAUUCUGGUAUUAGUCUGCCCGAGGCAAAGCUUACCCAUGACGAGGCAUGUGACCAGUUAAAAGGUCCUCGAUCAUCAAGCCUACAUCGAGACAGUCCUUAAUCGACUCAGACGGAGACACUACACCGAGACUCUCUUCUCGUGCAAGUCACCCGCCCGAUCUCAACUUUAUCAUUUCAAACCCAAAGUUUGGUACUUGGCAGAGGUACAUCUUUUCUGAUGAUGAUCCCAUCAUGGCCAUGAUGGAUCCACCAUCAAGUUUUAUUUUUGAAAACAUCCCACCCACUUUGACGCAUCCUCUUUUGUCAAAACAAAACAUUUUGUUUUUCUAGAGCAAAGCUAAGCAUAAGAAAAACCUUUUUGUAAAACAGGAGAUCAAGGAAAGGUAAACAAAUUCUCAAGGAAGGAAAUGCAGCAAUUUGUUUAGCACCCAACUCCUAUAACUUAAUGCAUCAAGCAAGUGAGAAAGAUUUUAAAAUAGCAAGGAGGUGGCAAAUGCACCGGGGCUUGCCUUGUGUUAUAGGUGAGUCAGGCUCUGCUCCACAGAUGUCAAAAUAAAAGCAGUUCCCUGCCUGAGGUUCUUCAGGUGGUGGUGGUGGUAUAGUCCUUGCGUCUUCAACUUCUAUCUCUUCCUCGUUUUCUAUAUAUAGCAUAUAUAAUCAUGAAUGCUCAUGAAAAUGCAAAUAUAAUAAAAGUAUAUUAUCUAAUGUCUUGAAUACAAUUUUCCUUCACGAAUCACCAAGAAACUAGGGUUUUUGGAGUCAAUAGUGAAGUUUAUAGGGCAGGAGACUAGGGUUUUGGGUUCUAGGUACUAAACAUGGUCCAAAUCAUGCCAAACUUUACCCAAGGCUUCUAAAUAAUAUUUAAAGCUUAUCUAAAAAUUUUGGUGAUUUUUGAAAUUAUUAAUUAAUUUCUAAAAUUCUAGGGGAUGAGUUUUGGCUAUUUUAAAUACUCCAUAAUUCCUUAUUUGGAAUAAAAAAUCCUAAAACUAUUUUUAUUAAAUACUAUAAAAAAUCAGGAGCCUAGCAAAAUUGGUCUGUUAUUUUUAGCAUUUUUCUAUAAUUUUCUAGGAAUUCUCUAGUCCUGGCAGAAAAAUUAAAAGAGAAAGGUGCUACAAUAUUGGGCUCAUUUUAGUCCGAGACGGCCCACAAAGACAGAACUCGCCCGCGCGCGCCCACGCCCGCGCGGUCAGUUUUUGCGCGAAGACCCUUGUGUGGCAGAACCGCCCAAAUUAUUCCAGCUUAAGUGCCUAAGUCACGCCUCAGGGGCCGUAACACACUUAAAUCGGAAUAACCCGUCAGUUCCUCAGAUCUAUUCUGAUAAAGCCACUUAACCAGGAUCAAAUACCACAUACUCACUCGAAGGUAAGUCACAGAAUAAAUACAAUAAAACAGGAAUCCUCAAAUUAAAGUGCUGAAUUAUUACAUAAAUCGGAGUUUUUCGAGUUGCUGGUAAGAGUUCAUAAAAUAAGAUGCAGCGGAUAAUCGAUGUCGUCGAUAGCGAGGAAAUGGGCAAGGCCUAGCCUACUACUCCUCGUGCUCCUCUCCUGCCGGAGCAGCAUCCCACUCGACCGUCCAACCCGGUGGCAGGGUGGUAGGCCAAGUCACACCAUCAACCAUGUCCUGAAGCGUACCUGCAAAAGUUUUGCCACAAGCAAGGCUGAGUAUACUAGUACUCAGCUAGACUUACCCGAUGUUAGGAAAAUACUCCUCUACCUCUAGACCAUGCAGCUGUUUGGCUGAGGGGUUUGGUUUGCCAAAAGCACUAGCUGUUUCUAAAAUCAAUUCUUAGCUUUUCAAUUUCUAGUAUCAUUAUCUUAGCUAAGUUUGCUCUUUCUAAGCAUACAUGGUAACAAGCAUUUAGUUCAAUCAACAAAUUGUCUCAUGUAACCUCAUUUUACUUCUUACUCAAUGUAGUACAAAGGGUCAAGCAGUCUCAUUAGUUGUGAGAAGCAAACAAUUUGAAUUGAGUUUUAUCCUUGCAAGGUAAACCUAAACACACGACAUGUCAGGGUACUCCGACCCCACACAUGUCAACCGUCCCCAUCGAUUCCCCGUUCGCGUCCAGGCCUCACCGUCUUGGCAUACAAUGCUCCACUGACCCCGGCUGCCGUCGUGCAGUGACCGCACUUGUACCCACCAUAGCUAGCAUGGGAGACCCAGUCUCAGGUCGCGUGAGGGAUAAAGUCCGCGCCUGGCUUCACUCAGGUACUAGGUUUACAGGUUACCAUAUUUUCUGAUAUGUGCUUAGUAUGUUCAAAAGCUUGACUCAGGUAUCCACACAUUAAUCCUUAAUUUCUUUUUCGCAUCUUAUGGACAAGGCAUCCUCCCUGGAUCCAAGUCCAUAAACUAACAUAGAUCCUAUUAUCAAGAUGAAUACAAUCAAUUCCUGACCUCGCGCGAGUGCUAGAAAAAUCACUCGACUUCUACCGAGAUCCUGAUUAGCAAAGCUGUUACUCGACCUAGCAUACUAGUAUCCAUCUCAAAAAGGAAUCCUAAGUUCAUGCAACUAGAGGUUUCAAGCAACUCCUACACUUAAGUGCACAUUACAAUCCUACAAGCAUUAAGUGUAGUAAAGUAGAAUAUAAUAAUACGGUUAUGCAUAAAACUGGGGCUUGCCUUCAAUAGCUGGGGCUGCAGGAGAUCCUCUAUGGCAGCCUCGGGAGCUUUCUCCUGGUCUUCCUCUUGGACAGUUACUUGCUCGGGGAUGAGCACGUACUCUCCGUCAGCGAGAUUACAAUCUAAUGAAUGCAAUGAGUAAGAUACAUGCAUGAUAUGAUAUGUGCUUUAGCAAUUAAACUUGAUGGUGAAUGAUCCACUUAAAUCAGAUAGAGUUUAAUCUUGCUACUAAAGAUUUUUGGUGGUAUACUUAGUAAUUUAGAUCACACUCAGUUAAACUAAGUGGUAAGUCCAUUUUGGUGUUCCACUGAAUUCUUUAUAAAGCCUUAGUGAGAAUUUGUCAAGAUUUCAAGUUGAACUUAUUGGGACGAGGUUUAUCUUUCAUUUCUUUCCCUUUAUUUCUUUUGUGUUUUUAAAGUGGGUUUGAACUACAAGUUGUCUUAAUAAAUUUUCAAAAAUUUUGUAAACAUUACAGUGGCUUUUUACUGGUGUAUAAUUCUCUGUCCUAAAAUUUGGGGCUUAAAGAGUGAAUAGUUCUCUCUGGACAAAAUUAUCAAAUAUUAGGGCAGAAGGGGUGCUUUGAACUACAGCUACCAUUUAACAGUAGGUUAUUCUCAAAGACUUAUUUUUGCUGGCAUUUAGAUGUUAUAACAUGACUUUGCACAAAUUUCUAGCCAUUAAUACUUAUUAGUUAUUUUGCUAUGAUUUUCUAAAGUUUCUAGCCAAAGGGGUGCUUUCUACUACCACUAUAUUUGAAAAAUAUCAAACAACAAAUUUCUGAUUUUUUUCUAGCUUCUACUUUGUGCAAGAGCAAUCAUUCUGAAGUUUGGCAUCUUUUUGCUUAAGAGAGGGGUGGUAGGAAUUAUUUGGAUUAAAUGGCCUUUUCCAUAAAGUAUUGGCAAUAGGUAUCAUUUUGCAUCUUUCAAAUGAGUUUGCAUUUUUCUCUCGUGGCCUAUCUCAUUAUUGAUCUAGCAAAAUUUUAUUUGCCCAAUAUUGCAUUAUUUUUGGGUUACUUAGGAUUUAUUUGAAAUAUGACUCAUUAUCAAGUUCUAUUUGUUUACCCUACUUAAAAUGAUGGGCUGGGGUGGUUAUCAUUUUUGUAGUGGGGUUCUAGUGGUUACAAGUCCACUGGAUUUUUAUUAACAAAUUUGGAUCUAUUUUUAUAAUUCCAAUAAUUAUUUUCUAGUUGGAAUAAUGCUAAAUAAAACAUUUCACUUUAAUUCUGUUCUGGACUAGAGGUCCUUUUAUUUUUCCUAGGUUCUCUGUUACUUAAGUAGGCUAGGAAAAAUAAUUGUACUCAAUGUUCAUUAUUUUCUAAUGCCUUUCUGAUUUUCCUAAGUUUUGGGCAAAAAUGGCUUUUAAUAGAUAUCCCUACUAAAUUUUUUAAUUUGGGGUUCUCACUAUUUUUAAACAGUGUUUAAAUAGGGUUUGAACAUCUACAAAUUUUCUUAGGUUCAACACAGAAGCAUAACUAAUUUUCUUUAAUUUAAUAAGGUUUGGUCAGUUUCUGUAUUUAAUUCCAAACUCUAAAAUUUAGAACAGAAAGCAUGGGAUUCAUUAUUUUUAGUUGGUAGUCCAUAAUAUUUAGAAUCCAGCAAAAUUGGUUUGACAAUUUUUGGUUAAGUAUUUUUCAAGUUAUAAAUUUCCUAAGUUCUCUGUUUAUUAAAAAGAUUAAACAUAAAUGAUUAAAUGGGAAACGAUUUUGCAACGUGGUCCCUUGUGGGUGUUUUCAAGUUUCCUUACAGACUAGUCCUUGGAUUACUAUUCAAAUGUGUCACUGACAGUUCAGAAAACCCCCUGGGGUUGCUCUAAACCUAACCCGAGGUCCUUCCCCCAAAUUAAACAGUACUCGCGGCGGAGGAAAGGGCAGAGGGGCUUACCGGCGGCGAGACUGCUCCGGUGAGGUGACCGAGGGUGUAGGGGAGGUCCUGAGGGUUGCGGUGAUGUGCGGGUCGCCGUCGGGGAUGGUCGGAGUCGACCGGUCCACGUGCACAGGCGGGGGAGCUCGUCGGCGACGAGGAGUCUGACCUAUCCAGGGCACAAUUGAUCAAUCAAAUGGGUCAGAGAGCUUCACCAGGGAUCAAGGAAGGUGUGUGUGCGAGAAAUUGAAGAACGGCUCACCGGAUUGCUCGGUCUACGCGCGCAGGCGGGCGACCGAAGUCCAGCGAGGACGAUCUUGGUUCUCUGGUGAAGUUCUGCCGGGUCCGAGAGCUUGGGAAGCUUUACAAGAUCUUGGCGAAGCUAACCGAGCGGCUGGCGCGGCUUGGAAGCGACUGGAGUGGGCUGGCCGCGGUGGUCGAGGCUCGGGUGGCAAUGGCGGGCGGAAGAGAUCUCGCCGGAGCUAAGGAGGGGCGUCUGGCCGGCGAAGGUGAGCACGGGGUGAGGUGAGGCACGCCUGGGGAGGCUUUAUAGGCGUAGGCGAGCACGACCGAGGGCGGGGCUCUGACAAGUGCUCAGGGUGUGCGCGGGCGAACGCCAGUGCGCGCUCUGGUGCCUAGCACGGCGUCGAGCACGAGGCAGCGCAGAGAGAGGUCGAGUUCAAGCGCGGAUUGGCUCCAAAUCUUUGAGAUUAUGGCCAUGAUCCCGUCGAGAGAUCUCUUCCUCUGACAUUCCGUUGUCGUUUGUGUGUGGAGGCUUGCAGGUUUUACUGACUGGAUCAAGAGAUAGAGAGGGGAGAAAUCGGGUUUGUCUCACUGCCGCACACAGAGAGAAGAUCGCGGGUUUGACGUGUCCAAGGCACACGUCCCAAUGCCAUCUUCUGACAUGCGAUAGAGGGGUUAGUUAGGAACAAUUUUGUCAAUGGGGUCAUUAGGAUUUGAGCUACGGAUCAAGGUGAACACGCUCAGUCUUUGGCUCAAGGGCUGAAAUUCAGAAUUCAGAAUUUCAGAAAUUCCUAUUGAACCCUCACUUGAGAAGCUUGUUUGGAGUUUUUAUUAAACUAUUUUGGCCAAGCUUCCAUAAUCUUUAUUGUAGCUUAUUUAGUAUAUUUCAAUGUUUAUAUUUGGCCUAAGCCAUGAUUUUAUGUUUUUCAUGGUCUUUUACCCCUUUUUUUAUUUCUACUUAAUUAGCUCAAUUAGGGUUGGUAUUAGGGUUUCAACACUUUUCCCUUUUUGAAGAAUCUUAUCUGUUUGGAACAUGAUUCUUUAGAUAUAUACUUAGUAGGUCUUCUCUUCUCAAGUUAAUUUGAUGCUUCAUGCUUAAUUUGGCUCACAUAAAAUGUUAAUUCUUGGGUUAGCACUGAGAGAAACCUUAGGUGACACUGGGGUGUCACAGCCUUCCCCCCUCAAAGGAAUCUCGUCCCGAGAUUCGGGUCAGAGUCCUUCCAGGGUGAAGCGAAGGGUGAGACUCAUAGGAAGUGGGUGCUCUAUUAUUAGGGCAAACUGCUCUUCGAAUGUCAUUCUCUUUGCAACUUCAGAAGGAAGUCCUUUUAAAUUUUGUUUCAUAAUUACUUCAUUCUGAUUUAGGAUUAUAUUUCUGAAAUUUAGAUUCGAAGGGCAGGAGGAGGGGCUGGGUAUGAUUACGUACCAAUUUCCUUAGGUAGGCAAUCGGGGAAGUUGGAUCGCAAGAAUUCCUCAGUCUCCCAAGUAGCCUCUUCCUCUGAGUGAUUACUCCACUGGACCUUAUACAUCUUGAUCGAUUUAGCCCGAGUUAAUCUUUCCUUGCAAUCCAGAUCUUGGAAGGGUACUCUUGGUACGAUAGAUCUGGCUCUAUCUCCAAUUCUAGUUCUGCUAUGAUCUCGGUCGGCAAUCGAACACACUUCUUCAGGUGAGAUACAUGGAACACAUUGUGGAUGGCAGACAUUAUUAGAGGUAACUUCAAUUUAUAUGCUACGGGUCCACAUGCUUCUAUGAUCUCAUAAGGUCCAACGUAACGAGGGGCUAGCUUGCCUUUGAUUCCAAACCUCUGCACUCCCUUGGUGGGUGAUACUUUCAAAUACACAAAAUCUCCCACCUCGAACUGGAGAGGUUUCCUUCUCUUAUCAUGGUAACUCUUCUGCCUGGCCUGAGCAGCUUCUAGAUUCUUCCUGAUUAGUUUGACCUUUCCUUCGGCUUCAGUCACUAAGUCAGGUCCGAAAACUUCUCUUUCUCCAGGCUGAGACCAAUUGAGUGGUGUUCUACACCUUCUUCCAUAGAGAGCUUCGAAAGGUGCCAUCCUUAGGCUGGAUUGAUAACUGUUGUUAUAAGAAAACUCUGCCAAGGAGAGGUGCUUAUCCCAGUUCUUGCCACAAUCGAUUGCACAAGCUCUCAACAUAUCUUCAAGAAUUUGAUUCACCCUCUCAGUCUGACCAUCAGUCUGUGGGUGGUAAGCUGAACUUCUGAUUAGCUUGGCCCCCAAAGACUCCUGCAGUUGUUCCCAAAAUCUGGCAACAAAUUGGGCUCCUCGGUCAGAAACAAUAGUUCAGGGCAAUCCGUGCAAACACACGAUCCGGUCAAUGUACAACUCUGCAUACUUUUGAGCCUUAUCAGUGGUGUGCACAGGGAGAAAAUGUGCCACUUUCGUCAGUCGGUCCACAAUAACCCAAAUCGAGUCAUGAUGACGAGAGGUGUUGGGCAGACCCACAAUGAAAUCCAUGCUUAUGUCAUCCAAUUUCCACGAAGGUAUAGACAAGGGCUGCAAAGCUCCAGCUGAUUUCAAGUGGCUGGCCUUUAUCCUCUGAUAGGUGUCACAUUCUGAUACAUAUUGGGCUAUCUCCCUCUUCAUUCCGGUCCACCAAUAUAGGGGCUUCAGAUCAUGGUACAUUUUGGUGCUUCCUGGAUGCAUAGAGAAUUUGGAGAGAUGGGCCUCAUCCAAGAUUUUCUUCUUGAGAUCCUUGUUCUUAGGAACCACCAAUCUGCUUUCAAAUGAUAAUAUACCCUUUCCAUCUUGGCGGAAACAUUUAUACUUCUCAGUCUUUUGAUGGAGAUUCUCCUUAAUAAUCUGCACUCCCUUGUCACUGAGCUAGGCCAUGAUGAUCUGGUCUUGCAAAGCUGGCUCAACGAAAAUGUGAGACAAAGCACCAGAAGGAAUAAUUUCAAUUUGCAUCUUGCUCAACUCAUCACACAAGGUGUUAAUGCGAGAAUCCAUCAGAACACAAUUGCAUUGCAACUUCCGACUCAAGGCAUCUGCUACCACAUUGGCCUUUCCUAGGUGAUAAUGUACCUCCAGGUCAUAGUCAAGGCAUCAGCUCUAGCCAUCUUCUCUGUCUCAUGUUGAGAUCAACCUGAGUAAAGAUAUACUUAAGGCUCUUAUGAUCAGUGAAGAUGUUGCAGUGGGUUCCCAUCAAAUAGUGCCUCCACAUUUUUAAUGCAUGAACCACUGCUGCCAACUCUAGGUCAUGAGUGGGAUAAUUCUACUCAUGAGGCCUAAGUGCUCUUGAGGCAUAAGCAAUGACUCAGUUGUCUUGCAUCAAGACACAACCUAGUCCAGUGCCAGAGGCAUCACAAUACACAUCAAAUGGCUUGCUACUGUCGGGUUGCGCUAACACCGGUGCUGUGGUCAGAUGUUGCCUCAAAGCAUGGAAGGCAUCUUUGCACUUCUGACCCCAAACAAACUUGGCUUCUUUCUUCAACAGCUCAGUUAUGGGCUUUGCAAUUCGAGAGAAAUCCGGAAUGAAUCUUCGGUAAUAACCAGCUAAUCAACUCUGAAUCUGACGGGCAGUUGUUGGUGGCUUCCAGUACAUCACCUCUUGCACCUUAUCAGGAUCAACAGUUAUUCCUGCCUGAGAGAUAGUGUGACCUAAGAAUUUGAUCUCCUUUAGCCAAAAAUCACAUUUUGAUAACUUGGCAUAAAGGUGGUGCUCUCGCAGACGUUGAAGCACUACAUGAAAAUGCCCGACAUGUUCUUCUUCGCUCUUCGAGUACACCAAGAUAUCAUCGAUGAAAACCACUACGGAUUUGUCCAGUUCGGGCAUGAAAACAGAAUUCAUCAGAUACAUGAAAUAUGCUGGUGCAUUAGUCAGCCCGAAAGACAUCACCAAGAAUUCAUAUAGCCCAUAUCUGGUUAAGAAAGCCGUCUUCGGAAUAUCGCUUGCUCGUAUCUUGAUCUGAUGGUAGCCGGAGCGAAGGUCUAUCUUGGAAAACACUUUGGCUUCGACCGACUGGUCAAAAAGAACAUCAAUAUGAUGCAAAGGAUACUUGUUCUUGAUAGUCACCGCAUUGAGAGGGCGGUAAUCUAUACACAGCCUCAGGCUUUCAUCUUUCUUCUUUAUAAACAAGGCUGGACAUCCCCAAGGCGAAGUACUUGGGCGAAUAAAUCCUUUGUCCAGCAACUCCUGCAAUUGCUUCUUCAAUUCUGCCAACUCAGUGGGUGGCAUCCGGUAAGGCCUCUUGGAAAUUGGUGUCGUUCCCGGUUGCAACUCGAUGGCAAAUUCAAUAUCCCGGUUUGGUGGCAUUCCUGGCAAUUCAUCAGGAAAGACAUCUGCAUACUCACAGACCACUGGAAUCUUCUUCAGAGGUAACUCUGUCAUAGAGAAAGCACAUGACUGAGUAGAACCUUGACUGGGCAGAAUUAAGGUGAAACUCCCACAGAACGGGGAAUUGAUUUCCACGAUGCGGCUGGCUAUAUCAAGCACUACUUAGUGCAGGGUCAUCCAAUUAGCUCCCAGAAUAAUGUCCACAUUUUCCAAACCCAAAACAAGAAGGGUGGUUUUGACAAUAUGGCUUCCCAGUUGAAUAGGCACACUUUGGUUUAAUUGAUUAGUUGCAAUUUUACCCCCAGGUGUGGCUAUCAUAAAUGACCCUUUUGAGUGAUAGAAAGACAGAUGACAUUUAGCACUGAACUUUUGGCUAAUGAAACUAUGAGAUGCACCAGAAUCAAACAGAAUUAAAAGCAGGUUGAUUAUAAACUGAAAAGAUACCGGUCAUGAUGGGAGCUCCCUCAGGUACUUCCUCCAGAGUAGUGAAGUUGAGCUUCCCUUGCUUGACUUGUAUCUUCUGCUUUCUUCCCUUGUCUUGAUUUGGUGCUGGCAUUUGCCUCUGCUGAUUUCUGGGGCAAUUCUUGGCAUAGUGGCCCACAUUGCCACAAGUAAAGCACUUGUUCCCAUUGCCCUGGCGGAACUGCUACUGCUGCGGAGGCUGAUUGUUCCUUGGAGCGGGAGCUGGAAAACGAGUGGGUGCCGGCUGCUGCUGCUAAGGUGGCCUGAUCACCCAUCUGCCUGCCUGCUGCUGAAAUCCCCUGCUCUGAUUGUGAGAAACAAUCCUGAACCUCUGGGCCUGAGCAGAUGGUGCUGCCAUUAGUGCCUUUCUCUUCUUCUCUGCCCGGUGAGCUACAAUACAGUCCUCCUGAGAGAUGGCCAGGUUGACCAACUCAUUGAAGCUAUCUGCCCGGACAGUGUUAAGACGUUCCCGCAGCUUGGUGUUGAGACCCCUGCGGAAGCGAUCUCUCUUCUUCUCAUCAGAAUCAGCAUGGUAACCUGCAUACUGGCACAGGUCAUUGAAAGCCUGAGCGUACUACAAUACCGUGCGGGUUCCUUGAUUAAGUGCCAGAAACUCAUUCAGCUUGCGAUCGAGAAUUCCGGCUGGAAUGUGGUGCCCUCUGAAAGCAGUCUUGAAUUCCUCCCAAGACACCUCUGAUCAGCGGGGAGCAUAGCACAGAAGUGGUCCCACCAAGUCCGAGCAGGGCCACGAAGCUGCUGCAUGGCGAAGCGAGCCUUGGUAUCAUUAGGGUAGUCUCCCGUGAGGAGGGGAAACUUGGACUCAACGACGCGGAGCCACACGUCGGCGUCCAAUGGAUCCUCUGCCUUGGUGAACAAGGGUGGCUGCGUGCUCAGGAACUCUUGGUAGGUCGCCGUUGCCGGAGGUCGCUGAUGCUGGCCUCCACCAUGUUGUUGUAAUACUCAAAGUUGUAUUCAAGGAAUGUAUAGUAGAUCUCCUCAUUUCAUGUGCCAUAUUUGCAUCAUAAAAAGAGCACACAUGUAAUCAAGAGUGAUUAAUUAAAACCAAUGAUACCAAAAUUAAAGAAAAUGCAUCACGUGGAGUUUUAUGUUUGUGCAUUAAAUAAAAUAAUAAUAAUAAUAAUAAUAAUAAUAAUAAUAAUAAUAAUAAUAAUAAUAAUAAUAAUAAUAAUAAUAAUAAUAAUAAUAAUAAGAUAAUAAAUACUAGAAGUUAAAUCAAACCCUAACUUAAAAUUAGGGUUUUUGAAAAUAAGAAGGAGAGAAAUGAUAUAGAAAUAUAAAUGAUAUAAUUAUAUUUCAAGAAUUGGUAUUCUUAACUUCACAAAAGAAAUAAAUAUUAAUGUAGCACAAGUUUGACUUCAAAAAUCAAAUUCAAAUUUAAACCUAGAAAGGAAGAAAAGAAAAUAGAAAGAAAAGAUAAAAAGAAAAAGAACAAAAGCUUCUUGGGCCUCGGUACCCCAAUUUGGCCCACUGAAGGAAACCAACUGUGCAGCCCAAGACUCCCUUCACGCCCGCAACCGCCAGACACUGACAUGUCGGGCCCGCGCGCCAGAUGCUGCAAACCCGCGCUCCCGCGAGCCUGGAGACCAGCGCUGACACCCAGGACCCACCCUAUCAGCCUCACACCACACUUGCGUGCGCGAUUUCAUGUCACUGCCGCGUGGGCCAGCGUAGUCAGCUGUCUGUCCGCCCUGUGCGUUCGCCCAACAGAGUCCCGGCCAUGCCGGAAGAGGCCGCGGGACUCGGAGCUCCGUUACCUGGACCUGCGCACCAUCUCACCGUUAUAAAAGGGCCCUAGCCGCAACCCGUUCCUCCCCUUUGCUCUCGCAGUUCAUACUAGACACCGCCAUCGCCUACUGUCGUGCACGCCGUGAGUGAGGGAGUGUCGCCGCCGCCGUGAUUACGCGCCCUAGUCAAGGCUCUAGCCUCGGACGGAGGUCGGGGCCUUCGUUGGGGCAUCUCGGAGCUUGUGGUGCCCUCGGCGGACGCGAUUCGUGGACAGCGGGCAAGAAAUUUCUCGCCGUCGUGCACACGCCGCCGUGGACCCGCCAUUCUCCGUGGCCAGGCUUGCCCGCACAAUAAUCCGUGGUGAGCAUGCCCUCAAGCUAUUCGUCCUACUCUUCGCUUCGUGUAGCGCCGUUAGGUUUGUUGUUUGGCGCUCUGGGUGGCGGGAGCAGGGAACGCUGGUGUGAUCCCCGUCGGUGUUCGGGCGGCGCCGCCGUCUUGGGAUGCCUGGGGCGGGUGAGCUCUUGGACUGUCGAUUCGAACUGGGCGGUCUAGAUCAAUUCACAGAGUGGGCAGUCGCGUGAACAAAUUAGGACCGUAGGAUUGAGAUCGUAAAGCCCAGAUUAGAUCGUAUCUAUUUAAAUCUGUGCCGUUGAUUCCUAAUCUAGCGCUCGAUAUCGCGUACCGGUUCAUCACGGCGCGGAUGUAAUCUGGACCGUAGGGUGUGGAUCGAACGUCUCUGAUUAAAAGAUACCGCUUCGGCCGUGUAGUUUUACACAUGUGCCCCUGUGUUUUUCCUAUAUAGAACCCUUCGUCCACAUACAUUGUUCACUGAGUCUAGGAUUUUAUGCGAGCAGCCCCCUGACCUUUCUAGAAAAUGAGGCCCUGUCCAGAGAAGAUUAAAAACAGAGAAAUAAUUAUAGAAAUUCGUUUUUAAUAAAAACAAAUCUAGAAACUUGUAAAAUGAAUAGAAAAUUCAUUUUAGCUCCAAAUUGAACCAUUCCAAUUUCUAAAAUUUGGUAAUAUUAUUGUCUAUCAUUUAGUGUCUCUGUUUUGACAUGAAAACAGUAAGAAAAUUAAUUUCUCAUUUAAUCCUAUUUCAAGCACAUCAAACCUUAGGAAAUUCAUAACUUCAAAUCUAUAAAUCCAAAUUUAAUGAUUCCAGUUUCUAUGAUCUCAUUUUAAUGUGUAGAUUUUUAUUGUAUGUUUUAUUUAUCUGUUUGAUGUGUUGUUAAUUUAUGCUACACUAUGUAUGUAUUGUGUUGAUGCGAGUAGACGAGCAAGCCACUGUGGAUUCUGAGGUUCAGCAAGUAGAAGUAGCUGAGCAGGAGCUCAUUAAAGGCAAGUUGUGCCCUUGUUCACUUACUUUUUCCCAGCCAUGUUCUUAUUAAUUAUAAUGAUCUGCAUAGGUUAAUUUUGAUGGGAUCCAAUAGGUUACCCCAGUUUUGGUUAUUUUAUACCUUGUUUACCACUGAAACUUUUCUAGGUAGUACUUGCUAUUGCUUUAUGUGGAUUUUGGGUAUGGAGAUACACCAUUCAUGAUUUCAUCUUUAUUAUCCGUUUAUUAUUACUGUUCAUGUUAAGAUCAUUAUGUUAAUGGGAACAUGGAGCGACCACCCGGGAAAACAGUGCUACCACAAGGGUUUAAUGGGACGCUCUUGGCUGAUUAACUAGGAAAGCUAGUGGAUGUCUUCCUUACCCGAAAGGGGCAAGGGCAGUAGGGGAGUGGUCAGUGUAGGGAGGUCCUUGGGUUGAUUUUGCUGCUACGGCGGUCAGGCGAGGGAUUCCUGCACUGGAGCUUCCUAUAAACUGUAGCAGGAUUUCUGAAGCUAGUGGAAUUUGUAAAGGCCUCGUAGUGUUACCCUGCCUCGCCUCCUUGGUAGAGGUGUAUGGGAUUGGCCAUCUCUUGGCAGAUGGGUAACAUGAAUUGUGGGUAAAGAUGCGCAACCUCUGCAGAGUGUAAAACUGGUAUACUAGCCGUGCUCACGGUCAUGAGCAGCUCGGACCCUCACAUGAUUAAUCUAUGAAAUUAAAACUCAAUUUGACAUUUGCAUCGCAUUUGGGGAUUAUUUUAUUACUUUUAUUUAUUACUAAGGUUUGGUAUUUACUUACACUUAGUAACUGCUAAUAAAAUUUUGACCAACUUAUAAAAGCAAUGCUCAGCCUCAGCCCUUACUUUGUUGAUCAGCCUUACACUUCACAUGAACUGCCACCUUUGGUGAGUUCAUGCACAUUAUUCCCCACGACUUGUUGAGCUAUGAACGUAUGUGAGCUCACUCUUGCUGUCUCAUACCCCCCACAGGAGAAGAACAGGUGGUCGAAGAGGAGCCGCCUAACACUGAGGCAUUCGACUUGAUCUAGGUGGCGUCUCCCAGUCAGCUUUCUGGCGCCAAGGAUAGAUUUUAGAUCCUGCGAUAUUUAUCUCUUAUUUUGUAAGACUUCCGCUAUGUAAUAAAGUACUCUGAUUAUAUUGUGACAUUUAUCUUUAUACACUCUGUUGUUAUAUAUGUUGUCACCUUUGGCGCAUGUAUGAGAUGCACCCGACUUUGUUCCUUAAAACUAGGUGUGACAGCUGCUGAGGGUGGGGCUGGCGCUGCAAGAGCUGUCGCAGAAUCUCAUUCUGCUGGGCCAUCAGCUCCUGCACUGUGGGAGCUAGAGGAGGUGGGGGAACCUGCUCGUUAUGCCCGCGACGCUGCCUAGCUGCCAUCUGAAAACAGAGAUUUUCGCCAUUGUUAUCCCAACUCACAAUUUCAAACGACAAUCUAUUAUCCCAUAUGGAAAGAAAAUGCCAUAAUCAUAAUAUUAGGUUCGAAAUGAAGAUAACAGGGUUACAACAUCCCACAUAUUUCGAAAGUUCACAAGGGUUACAUCAAUUAGGGGAAAGUACCCAUAAGCCUAGUCCAAAAUCUGACAUUAACUAAGCUCGCGUAGGUUUCUAUCCGCCUAAAGCGUCAAAGUGACUGAUCAACCCUGAGUGGUGGAAGCGACACUGGAUGCGGGUGAAGGGGGAAUCACGGAGGUAGUCCCAUUGGCACCAGGGGCUGGUCCUAACUCCUCGGGGCCACUUCUCCCUCGCUUCCGGCCUCAUUGGCCUCCAUUUCCAUGUGGUGCAUGUCCAUGUGGUCAUUCACUUCUUCGAGUUCUCGCUGCACAUCGUGGAGCUGGUUCUCCAAGACAUCAAUGGUGUUGUCUCGGAUCUCCACCUGCUGCUCCAAGGUGGUAAUGCGCUGGCUCAGCCUUUCCACCUGCAAAUCCUUCUCCACCAACUCGGAGGAUAAGUCGACCACAAAAUCUUCUCGGCUGUCGAGGGUGAGCUUGGUGGUUUGAGUGAUGUUAGCAAGGUGUGCCAUAGCGUCGCUCUACAGGGCCUGAAGGCGAUACAUCGCACUCAUGCACUGAACAGUGACCCUCCCAACCAAGUCAGGAUACAUUGCCCACACAUCUUUUACAUGGCUCACACAGUUACACCACAUGGGGUCAUCCUUUUUCUCAGCAGGGAAGAGUCCCAAGGGGUGCAUCACCAUCUCUAGGGGAUGGUAGCCACAGAAAGUUGUUGGAGUCUUCAUGGCUGCUGCUUCAGUGGUGUCGUCCGUCCUGAAUCCAACCGUUUCGGAGUCAAGAGAAUGCCAACCCGGCUGAAGGGGAUGAGCCUCCAAAGUUAGCCAGACUCGGCAACGAGGUACCCGAUGCUCCUCAUACAACUGCACUGUGUACAAAGGGGGCGUAGGGUAGCCGGCAGAGUUAAGCACUUCCCACAAGAUGGAAGGAAAGCCAUCAUGAGAAAGGAAGUCAGAGCUGAAACGAGUGUCUCCUCCACUGGCGGGGGUGGGUGAAUUCAUCCGCGAAAGGGUAUCAAAGGUAAAGAUUAUGGUGGAAGGAAGAAAAAUAAAAGAGCCUGGAUGGUUUUAAAAGGAAGCGGGUUAGCUCAGUUUUUAAUUCCCUUUAGUUUUUUUAUAAUGCAUGCAUGCUGAAAUCAACGUCUCCUCUUCGAAUGCAAUAGAAAAAAGGGAGGCUCCUAGGGCACCCUUCAAAAGUUAAGGAUUGGCCCAUAGGGCCUACAUACUUAGCCACCUAUUUCCCCCUCUAUUCCUAAGGCCUUUCGUCCUAGGUCUAGCGGUCUAGUCCUGACGAUUCUUAGCAGUUUCUAAGCAAGUUUUAGAUUUUGAAAAUUGGUAUUCAUGGUUUAUUGUCCUUCUCUGUGGUGGUAUUUGCUCCGAUACCAGCUGUGGCAGAACCGCCCGAAUUAUUCCAGCUUAAGUGCCUAAGUCACGCCUCAAGGGCCGUAACACACUUAAAUCGGAAUAACCCGUCAGUUCCUCAGAUCUAGUCUGAUAAAGCCACUUAACCAGGAUCAAAUACCACAUACUCACUCGAAGGUGAGUCACAGAAGAAAUACAAUAAAACAGGAAUCCUCAAAUUAAAGUGCUGAAUUAUUACAUAAAUCGGAGUUUUUCGAGUUACUGGUAAGAGUUUAUAAAAUAAGAUACAACGGAUAAUCAAUAUCGUCGAUAGCGAGGGAAUGGGCAAGGCCUAGCCCACUACUCUUCGUGCUCCUCUCGUGCCGGAGCAGCAUCCCACUCGACCGUCCAACCCGGUGGCAGGGUGGUAGGCCAAGUCACACUAUCAACCAUGUCCUGAAGCGUACCUGCAAAAGUUUUGCCACAAGCAAGGCUGAGUAUACUAAUACUCAGCUAGACUUACCCGGUGUGAGGAAACUACUCCUCUACCUCUAGACCAUGCAGCUGUUUGGCUGAGGGGUUUGGUUUGCCAAAAGCACUAGCUGUUUCUAAAAUCAAUUCUUAGCUUUUCAAUUUGUAGUAUCAUUAUCUUAGCUAAGUUUGAUCCUUCUAAGCAUACAUGGUAACAAGCAUUUAGUUCAAUCAACAAAUUGUCUCAUGUAACCUCAUUUCACUUCUUACUCAAUGUAGUACAAGGGGUCAAGCAGUCUCAUUAGCUGCGAGAAGCAGACGAUUCGAAUUGAGUUUUAUCCUUGCAAGGUAAACCUAAACACACGACAUGUCAGGGUACUCCAACCCCAUACAUGUCAACCGUCGCCAUCGAUUCCCCGUUCGCGUCCAGGCCUAACCGCCUUGGAAUACAAUGCUCCACUGACCCCGGCUGCCGCCGUGCAGUGACCACACUUGUACCCACCAUAGCUAGCAUGGGAGACCCAGUCUUAGGUCGCGUGAGGGAUAAAGUCCACGCCCGGCUUCACUCAAGUACUAGGUUUACCGGUUACCAUAUUUCCCAACAUGUGCUUAGUACGUUCAAAAGCUUGACUCAGGUAUCCACACAUUAAUCCUUAAUUCCUUUUUCCCGUCUUAUGGACAAGGCAUCCUCCUUGGAUCCAAGUCCAUAGACUAACAUAGAUCCCGUUAUCAAGAUGAAUACAAUCAAUUCCUGACCUCGCGCGAGUGCUAGAAAAAUCACUCGAGUUCUACCAAGAUCCUGAUUAGCAAAGCAGCUACUCGACCUAGCAUACUAGUAUCCAUCUCAAAAAGGAAUCCUAAGUUCAUGCAACUAGAGGUUUCAAGCAACUCCUACACUUAAGUGCACAUUACAAUCCUACAAGCAUUAAGUGUAGUAAAGUAGCAUAUAAUAAUACGGUUAUGCAUAAAACUGGGGCUUGCCUUCAAUAGCUGGGGCUACGGGGAGAUCCUCUAUGGCAGCCUCGGGAGCUUGCUCCUGGUCUUCCUCUUGGACAGUUCCUUGCUCGGGGAUGAGCAUGUACUCUCCGUUAGCGAGAUUACAAUCUAAUUAAUGCAAUGAGUAAGAUACAUGCAUGAUAUGAUAUGUGCUUUAGCAAUUAAACUUGAUGGUGAAUGAUCCACUUAAAUCAGAUAGAGUUUAAUCUUGCUACUAAAGAUUUUUGGUGGUAUACUUAGUAAUUUAGAUCACACUCAGUUAAACUAAGAGGUAAGUCCAUUUUGGUGUUCCACUGAAUUCUUUAUAAAGCCUUAGUGAGAAUUUGUCAAGAUUUCAAGUUGAACUUAUUGGGGCGAGGUUUAUCUUUCAUUUCUUUCCCUUUAUUUCUUUUGUGUUUUUAAAGUGGGUUUGAACUACAAGUUGUCUUAAUAAGUUUCCAAAAAAUCUUUAAAAAUUACAGUGGCUUCUUACUGUGUAUAAUUCUAUGUCCUAAAAUUUGGGGCUUAAAGAGUGAAACUAUGGACAAAAUUAUCAAAUAUUAGGGCAGAAUGGGUGCUUUGAACUACAACUACCAUUUAACAGUAGGUUAUUCUCUAAGACUUAUUUUUGCUGGCAUUUAGAUGUUAUAACAUGACUUUGCACAAAUUUCUAGCCAUUAAUACUUAUUAGUUAUUUUGCUAUGAUUUUCUAAAGUUUCUAGCCAAAGGGGUGCUUUCUACUACCACUAUAUUUGAAAAAUAUCAAACAACAGAUUUCUGAUUUUUUUUCUAGCUUCUACUUUGUGCAAGAGCAAUCAUUCUGAAGUUUGGCAUCUUUUUGCUUAAGGGAGGGGUGGUAGGAAUUAUUUGAAUUAAAUGGCCUUUUCCAUGAAGUAUUGGCAAUAUGUAUUAUUUUACAUCUUUCAAAUGGGUUUGCAUUUUUCUCUAGUGGCCUAUUUCAUUAUUGAUCUAGCAAAAUUUUAUUUGCCCAAUAUUGCAUUAUUUUUGGGUUACUUAGGAUUUAUUUGAAACAUGACUCAUUAUCAAGUUCUAUUUGUUUACCCUACUUAAAAUGAUGGGCUGGGGUGGUUAUCAUUUUUGUAGUGGGGUUCUAGUGGUUACAAGUCCACUGGAUUUUUAUUAACAAAUUUGGAUCUGUUUUUAUAAUUCCAAUAAUUGUUUUCUAGUUGGAAUAAUGCUAAUUAAAACAUUUCACUUUAAUUCUGUUCUGGACUAGAGGUCCUUUUAUUUUUCCUAGGUUCUCUGUUACUUAAGUAGGCUAGGAAAAAUAAUUGUACUCAAUGUUCAUUAUUUUCUAAUGCCUUUCCGAUUUUCCAAAUUUUGGACAAAAAUGGCUUUUAAUAGAUAUCCCUACUAAAUUUUUCAAUACUGGGGUUCUCACUAUUUUUAAACAAUGUUUAAAUGGGGUUUGAACAUCUACAAAUUUUCUUAGGUUCAGCACAGAAGCAUAACUAAUUUUCUUUAAUUUAAUAAGGUUUGGUCAGUUUCUGUAUUUAAUUCCAAACUCUAAAAUUUAGAACAGAAAGCAUGAGAUUCAGUAUUUUUAAUUGGUAGUCCAUAAUAUUUAUAAUCCAGCAAAAUUGGUUUGACAAUUUUUGGUUAAGUAUUUUCCAAAUUAUGAAUUUCAUAAGUUCUCUGUUUAUUAAAAAGAUUAAACAGAAAUGAUUAAAUGGGAAACAACUUUGCAACAGGGUCCCUGGCGGGUGUUUUCAAGUUUCCUUACAGACUAGUCCUUGGAUUACUAUUCAAAUGUGUCGCUGACAGUUCAGAAAACCCCCUAGGGUUCCUCUAAACCUAACUCGAGGUCCUUCCCCCAAAUUAAACAGUACCCGCGGUGGAGGAAAGGGUGGAGGGGCUUACCGGCGGCGAGACUGCUCCGGUGAGGUGGCCGAGGGUGUAGGGGAGGUCCUGAGGGUCGCGGCAAUGUGCGGGUCACCAUCGGGGAUGGUCGGAGUCGGCCGGUCCACGUGCGCAGGCGGGGGAGCUCGUCGGAGGCGAGGAGUCCGGCCUAUCCAGGGCACAAUUGAUCAAUCAAAUGGGUCAGAGAGCUUCACCAGGGAUCAAGGAAGGUGUGUGUGCGAGGAAUUGAAGAACGGCUCAUCGGAUUGCUCGGUCUACGCGCGCAGGCGAGCGGCCGAAGUCCGGCGAGGACGAUCUUGGUUCUCCGGUGAAGUUCUGCCGGGUCCGAGAGCUUGGGAAGCUUUACAAGCUCUUGGCGAAGCUAACUGAGCGGCUGGCGCGGCUUGGAAGCGACUAGAGUGGGCUGGCCGCGGUGGCCGAGGCUCGGGUGGCAAUGGCGGACGGAAGAGAACUCGCCGGAGCUAAGGAGGGGCGUCUGGCCGGCGAAGGUGAGCACGGGGUGAGGUGAGGCGCGCUCGGGGAGACUUUAUAGGCGCGGGCAGGCACGACCGAGGGCGGGGCUCUGACAAGUGCUCGGGGCGUGCGCGGGCGAAUGCCAGUGCGCGCUCUGGCGCCUGGCACGGCGUCGAGCACGAGGCAGCACAGAGAGAGGUCGAGUUCAAGCGUGGAUUGGCUCCAAAUCUUUGAGAUUAUGGCCAUGAUCCUGUUGAGAGAUCAUUUCCUCUGGCAUUCCUUUGUCAUUUGUGUGUGGAGGCUUGCAGGUUUUGCUGACUGGAUCAAGAGAUAGAGAGGGGAGAAAUCAGGUUUGUCUCACUGCCGCGCAUAAAGAGAAGAUCGUGGGUUUGACAUGUCCAAGGCACGUGUCCCGAUGCCAUCUUCUGACAUGAGAUAGAGGGGUUAGUUAGGCACAAUUUUGUCAAUGGGGUCAUUAGGAUUUGAGCUAGGGAUCAAGGUGAACACGCUCGGUCUUUGGCUCAAGGGCUGAAAUUCAGAAUUCUGAAUUUCAGAUAUCCCUAUUGAACCCUCACUUGAGAAGCUUGUUUGGAGUUUUUAUUAAACUAUUUUGGCCAAGCUUCCAUAAUCUUUAUUGUAGCUUAUUUAGUAUAUUUCAAUGUUUAUAUUUGGCCUAAGCCAUGAUUUUAUGUUUUUCAUGGUCUUUUACCCCUUUUCUUUAUUUCUACUUAAUUAGCUCAAUUAGGGUUGGUAUUAGGGUUUCAACACUUUUCCCUUUUUGAAGAAUCUUAUUUGUUUGGAACAUGAUUCUUUAGAUAUAUACUUAGUAGGUCUUCUCUUCUCAAGUUAAUUUGAUGCUUCAUGCUUAAUUUGGCUCACAUAAAAUGUUAAUUCUUGGGUUAGCACUGAGAGAAACCCUAGGUGACACUGGGGUGUCACACCUUAGUUAUUUAAAUAAUUGGUGAAGAAACCCUGGCUACUAUUUACUGUCUCAUUGACCUUUGCGAAAAACCCCCCUCCUUUAUGUUUCUUCACCGUGCUAGGUCCAUGGCGGAACCGCGUCGAGCACCAGGCCGGAGCCGCGAUUCUACGGCGAGGGUGACCCGAACAAGAUGCAAUAAGUACAUAGAUGUUGUGUGCCAGCCUAUCCGGUCAAAAGCCCUCACUUAAUUUGAAGGAUUCAACCCUAAUUGGAGCUUGUUCAUGGUCACGGCGGCGGAAUGACCCUGGUGAUCGCGUUCUGAACAACUAACGGCAUGGAUGCUAAAUUGAAGCUCGCGGAAGCUUCACGGGUUCACCAGAGGCUAUGUACACGCUUGAAUUUGGACUAAACAAGAAUAGGAGAGUGGGUCAAUAGAGAGGGUGUCCGCGGCGGCGUUCUAUGGGACGACGACAUGUUCCAGUGGUGGGACUCGGGUAAACUUCAAUUGGUUGGCACCGAGAGCAACAGGAGGCUAAGGACAUGCUAGAACAAGAGGCAAUUGGGCGAGUACUAACCCGAGAAGGGCUGCCCAUGAAGAGGUCCUUCACGGCGGCGGAAGAGAUCGAUCCCAGGGAAAUUCGAUGAUCUCCGGUGAUGGUGGACAGAACAGGGUGGCUAGUGAGUCGUUAGCUUUGUAAUUGAGGGACGAAGAGCAGUGCUCGGUUGAUUUGGAUGACGGGGGUGAGAGCGCGGUGAAUUUAUAGGCCCGGUGAUCUACAGCGACGGCCAUGGCGAUAACCUUCACCGGAUGUCGCUGGCAAUCAACGGCGACGUCGGGAGCGGUCCCUUUCUAGGAGUUGGACACGUCUCGCCGCGACAGUAACGCGGUCAAAUCGGCGAUGUCGUGGAUGAACAGAGAGGAGCGACGUCGUUGACCAGGCACGACCGUAAAGAUCAGUGGCCGCGUGGCGGCCGGAAUAGUUACCCUCCGCCGGGGCGAUCUUACCCGAUUCACGAAUAUCGUCGCGAAGAGAUGCCUGCCGAGCGCUUAACCGGACCACGGUGCGAAUCACGGCGCGGAUCGGUGCCGGCGGCGAGGUACUCUGUAUUAGAGAUAUUCUGGUUACUGUACCAUCGCGAUUGAUCUUCAGAACAACAGACAGAGCACAAUCUGGGACAAAUUUUCUCCAAAUUCUAUGUGGCAACUUCGUCACCCAUCUGCAUCAAAGUUAUGGAUCUACAAACCAUCUUUAAUUUUGCUAUAAUAUCCCUAGUCGAAUUCCUACUGGAAGCUACUCAAAAUUGACACUAAACUUAUGUUAAUGUCACUGAUGUCCAAAAUUCAGUUUGAGAGCUAACUUACAGCCCCACUUUAAGCUCAUUUUUCUCCAAUUUCUAUUCAGCACCAGUGCUCGGUCACUUAAUCAUACUUGUUCUCCUAUGAUAGCUCUACAACUUUGCUAUAUUGACUUUAAGCAAAAACUUCAAGAAUCCUGAGAUGUAGGGCUCCAAAGUCAGCCUCAAUCAACUUGUUCUGAACUUAAACACAUGAGAUGCAUAGAGUGGCCUUUUGCAAAUGAGACCAAAUCUCAUGGUUUUGUUUGUAAACCCUCAAAUAAGUGAACCAUAUGACUUAAGGUACCCUAAUUCUAUGGUUUUUGCACUUAGGUCCAAAAGUGUGCAAUAUUUACAUAAAAUCCCCUAGGUUUCAGUCCAGGGUUUUCCAGGGGUCUAUUUAGUGUUUUUUGGUACUUCUAGGGUUUGAAUGCCACUUAAGUCCAUUGAUGGUGAUAUCUUAUGAUCAUUUCUCAGGAGUUUUGAGAAUUUAACUUAUUUGGGCUUUGUUUACUCUUUUAAGCCUAGUUUAGGUUUAAGUACCCUACUCUAGGGUUUUACCCAUGACCAGUCACAUCAAUACAACUUGUUUGAAAUUUUUGCCUAGUGAAUGCAUUCUAAGUGUAACAAUCACAUGAUAUGCUGAUGCUCAUGAUGUUAUGCUCAAGUUUUAGUGAUAGUAACACCAGGGGUGUUACACCGCCUAUUCACCCCCCUCUAGGCAACUUUCAAUUGGUAUCAAAGCUCGGUGCUUCAUUAGAGUCUAACAACUCGAAGUGAUGUCGGGAGGAUCCGCUAAGAGGGAGAUGGAAACCAGCGAGAAGGCCACAAGCCAUGGGAAGGUUCCAUCAAGGGAGUCCGGCACCAAAGCCAAGGAGGGAUCCCCUCCCCGCGUCAAGUCGCAUCGGAGUGGCGACAAGAAGAAGAAGAUGAAGAAAGUGGUCUACUACGAGACCGACUCUUCGUCGCCCUCCACAUCCGGCUCUGACGCGACAUCCAUCACUUCUAAGCACCAUGAGCGCAAGAAGUAUGGUAAGAUGCCACUUCAUUAUCCCUGUAUCUCUAAGCGCGCUCCUUUACUUUCCGUUCCAUUAGGCAAACCACCAUAUUUUGAUGGUGAGGAUUAUUGUAUGUGGAGUGACAAAAUGAGGCAUCACCUAACCUCACUCCACGCAAGCAUUUGGGACAUUGUUGAAUUUGGAGCGCUGGUACCUACAGUGGGGACGAGGGCUACGACUCGGACGAGGUCGCCCAAAUACGACACUUUAACUCCCAAGCAACCACUAUACUCCUCACCUCUCUAUGUCGAGAGGAGUAUAAUAAGGUGCAAUGGUUAAAAAGUGCCAAGGAAAUUUGGGACGUCCUAAAGACCGCACACGAAGGAGAUGAGGUGACCAAGAUCACCAAGCGGGAGACGGUCGAGGGGGAGCUCAGUCGAUUCGUCCUCAACCAAGGAGAGGAGCCACAUGCAAUGUACAACCGGCUCAAGACCUUGGUCAAUCAAGUGCGCAACCUCGAGAGCACUAAAUGGGAUGACCAUGAGAUGGUCAAGGUUAUUCUAAAAUCCCUUGUUUUUCUCAAUCCUACUCAAGUACAAUUAAUUCAUGGGGGUCCUAGAUACAAAUUAAUGUCUCCCAAGGAAGUGAUAGGAAAAUUUGUGAGCUUUGAACUAAUGAUCAAAGGCUCCAUACACAUUGUCGACUUGGAGCAAGGCGGCACCUCCACACCCGAGGUGCAACCCGUCGCAUUCAAAGCGACGGAAGAGAAGAAAGAAGAGUCUACAUCAAGUAGGCUCCCCAUCGACGCCUCCAAGCUCGACAAUGAGGAGAUGGCGCUCAUCAUCAAGAGCUUCCAUCAAAUCCUUAAGCAAAGGAGGGGGAAGGAUUACAAACCCCGCUCCAAAAGGGUGUGCUACAAAUGUGGUAAGCCCGGUCAUUUUAUCGCUAAAUGUCAUAUGUCUACUGAUAGUGACAGGGACAACGACAAGAAGGGGGGGAAGAAGGAAAAGAAGAGAUACUACAAGAAGAAGGGCGGCGAUGCCCAUGUGUGUCGGGAAUGGGACUCCGAUGUGAGCUUCACCGACUCCUCCUCUGACGAGGAUGCCGCCAACAUCACCGUCAACAAGGACCUCCUCUUCCCCAACAUCGGCCACAAGUGCUUCAUAGCAAAGGACGGCAAAAAGAAGAAGGUACAAUCUAGAACCACCCCCAAGUAUACUACAUCUAGUGAUGAGGGUAGUUCUAGUGAAGAUGAAGAUGAUCUACUUACUCUUUUUGCCAACCUUAACAUGCAACAAAAGGAAAAAUUAAAUGAAUUGAUAGGGGCCAUUCAUGAGAAGGAUGAACUCUUGGAUAGCCAAGAGGAAUUCCUUAUUAAGGAAAACAAAAAGGCAUGUUAAAUUGAAGAAUGCUUAUGCUCAGGAAGUUGAAAAUUUUGAAAAAUUGUUCAAGGAGCUUAGCAUUUGCCAUGACACUAUUUCAAACCUUAGAACUGAGAAUGCUAGUUUAAUUGCUAAGGUUGAAAAAUUAAAUGCUUGUAAUGAUUCAAUUGCUAGUCUUAGAAUUGAGAAUAACAAUUUAGUUUCUAAGAUUAAAGAGCUAAAUGUUUGCAAUGAUUCUAUUUCCAGUCUUAGAAAUGAGAAUGCUAUUUUAAAUGUUAAGAUUGAGGAAUUAAAAUUAUGCAAACCCUCUACAUCUACUGUCGAACAUGUUUCUAUUUGUACUAGGUGUAGAGAUGUUAAUGUUGAUGCUAUAAAUGAUCACCUUGCUCUUAUUAAACAAAACUCAGUAGCUCUUUCUACCAUCGAAGCCGAGUAUAUUGUCGCAGGCCAUUGUUGUGCGCAAUUACUUUGGAUGAGGCAAACCCUCAGGGACUAUGGCUACAAAUUGAGCAAAGUCCCUCUCCUAUGUGACAAUGAGAGUGCAAUCCGCAUGGCGGAUAAUCCCGUUGAACACAGCCGCACUAAGCACAUAGACAUUCGGUAUCACUUUCUGAGAGAUCACCAACCAAGGUGGGAUAUCGAGAUUGCUUAUGUUAGCACCAAAGAACAAUUAGCCGAUAUCUUUACCAAGCCAUUAGAUGAGAAAAACUUUAGCAAACUUAGGAAUGAGCUAAAUAUUCUUGAUUCUCGGGAUUUUGAUUGAAACAUUGCACACAUAGCUCAUUUAUAUACCUUUGAUCAUGUCUCUUUCAUUUGGCACAAAUGCAUAUUUCUUAUUCUUAUUAUGCCAAAGCUACGACUAAUGCGUUUUCAAGUUUAUUUUCAUACUAAGUCGUAGAUUGAAAGGGAAAUGGAGUAUGUGACGAAGACAAGGCUUCCACUCCACUCUAACGGUAUCAUUUAUCCUUCGUCACUACUCCGCUCUCUCCAAAUUGGUAUAAUCCUUCACUCAUAUUUUAUUUACCAAUGAGGGAGAAAGUAAAUACAAGGGCUCUCAAAGUCUCCAUUUUUGGUGAUCAAUUCCAAAGGGGGAGAAAGUAUUAAGCCCAAAGCAAAAGGACCACACCACCACCAAUUUCAAAAAAUUUUGAAAUAAAAGAUUCAACUAGUUUUUCACAAAUGUUUGUUUUUCAAUUGAUAUCUUGUUAUGACAAUCUCUUCUAAUGGGAUGGUUAUUUUCAAUUGGUAUAUAUAAAGAUAAAUUUUCAAAAAAAUGGUAUCUAUCAAAACCCUCUUGAAAACUAAGAGGGGUAUUUCAUUCAGGGGGAGUUUUGUUUAGUAAAAGGAAAAGCAUUUGAAACAGGGGGAGAAAUUUCAAAAUCUUGAAAAUGCUUCUUGCAAUCUUAUUCAUAUACCUUAACUAUUUGCAAAAGACCUUGAAAAUUUUUUUCCCAAAAAGAUUUGCAAAAACAAGACAUGUGGUGGAAGUGUGGUCCAAAAUGUUAAAUAGAAGAAAGCAAUCCAUUCAUAUCUAGUGAAAUUAUAAAUUGGUCUAAUUCCAAGUAACCUAUGCACUUACCUUGUGCAAACAAGUUCAAUUCUGCACUUAUAUAUUUGCUUUGGUUUGUGUUGGCAUCAAUCACCAAAAAGGGGGAGAUUGAAAGGGAAAUAGGGUUAACGUUUUCCCAGUAUUAAUUUUGGUGGUUGAAUGCCCAACACAAAUAAUGGACUAACUAGUUUGCUCUAGAAUAUAUGUUCUACAGGUGCAUAAAGGUUCAACACAAACCAAUAAAAGAUUGAAGAAAGGGUUCAAAAACAAAGGAGCAAAGAAACCGAGUGUGCCUUGGUCUGGCGCACCAGACAGUGUCCGGUGCACCAGGUCCGUACCAGAGUGAACUGACCACUCUUAGGUUUCUCCAGCGCACUCCGCUAAAAAUCAUCGGACUGUCCGGUGUGCCACCGGACUGUCCGGUGCACGAGCGGAGUAACGGCUAUCCAGCGCAACGGUCGACUGCAACGGUGCCUGACAUCGCUACAGUGAAGAACAAUGCACGCAGAAGUCAGAGGCGCACCGGACAGUGAACAGUGUCUGUCCGGUGCAGCACCGGACAGUCCGGUGCCACUAAAGGACAAAUCCUCCAACGGUCAGAAGCUCUAGAACCCAAACGGUUGGGUGACGUGGCUGACGCACCAGACAGUGUCCGGUGGCACACCGGACUGUCUGGUGCGCCCAUCGACAGUAGUCUGCCCAACGGUUGUUUGGUGGUUGAGGGCUAUAAAUACCCCCAACCACCACCACUCCAAGCAUCUAAGAAUUAUGAGUAUCACAUUCAAUACAAGGGUUCUAGCAUUCACUCCUAGACACAAUUCAAAAAGUCAAAGCCUCUCCAAGUGCCAAAUUCAACUCAAACACUUAGUGACUUGUGAGAGAGAGAUUUUGUGUUCUUUUGAGCUCUUGCCUCUUGGAUUGCCUUCUUCCUUUCUCAUUUCUUUUCUCAAGUGAUUUGUAAUCGAAGCAAGAGACACCUAAGUGUGUGGUGGUCCUUGCGGGGUCUAAGUGACCCGGGAUAUUAAGGAAAAGGCUCACUCGGUCUAAGUGACCGUUUGAGAGAGGGAAAGGGUUGAAAGAGACCCGGUCUUUGUGACCACCUCAAUGGGGACGUGGUUCUUUAGAACCGAACCUCGGUAAACCAAAUCACCGUGUUCAUCCGCUUGAUUCGCUCUUGAUUUGUUUCCCCCUCUCUUUCUGACUCGAAUUUAAUUGUAACGCUAACCCUGGCUUGUAGUGUGUGCUUAAGUUUGUAAUUUUCAGAUUCCUCCUAUUCACCCCCCCUCUAGGCAACUUUCACAAUGAUCAAGAGGGAGAUGAAGUUAAUGAAGAUAAGGAAGAUGAUCAAGAAAUACAGGGUCAAAGACCGCCACUCCCAAGAGUCCACCAAGCAAUUCAAAGAGAUCACCCCGUCAACUCCAUCCUUGGUGAUAUUCAUAAGGGGGUAACUACUAGAUCUCGAGUUGCACAUUUCUAUGAGCAUUACUCCUUUGUGUCUUCUAUUGAGCCAUACAGGAUAGAGGAUGCAUUAAGAGAUUCAGAUUGGGUGUUGGCAAUGCAAGAGGAACUCAACAACUUCACGAGGAAUGAGGUAUGGCAUUUAGUUCCACGUCCUAAUAAAAAUGUUGUAGGUAUCAAAUGGGUAUUCCGCAACAAGUAAGAUGAGCAUGGUGUGGUGACAAGGAACAAAGCCCGACUUGUGGCUAAAGGUUAUUCACAAGUCGAAGGUUUGGACUUUGAUACCUAUGCACUCAUAGCUAGGCUUGAGUCAAUUCAUAUAUUACUUGCCUAUGCUACUUACCAUGGCUUUAAGCUUUACCAAAUGGACGUGAAAAGUGCCUUCCUCAAUGGACCUAUCAAGGAAGAGGUCUAUGUUGAGCAACCUCCCGGCUUUGAAUAUAGUGAGUAUUCUAACCAUGUUUACAAACUCUCAAAGGCGCUUUAUGGGCUCAAGCAAGCCCCAAGAGCAUGGUAUGAAUGCCUGCGAGAUUUUCUUAUCACUAAUGGCUUCAAAGUCGGUAAAGUCGACUCUACUCUCUUUACUAAAACUGUUGCAAAAGAUUUGUUUGUAUGCCAAAUUUAUGUUGAUGAUAUUAUAUUUGGGUCUACUAACAAAUCAACUUGUGAAGAGUUUAAUAGGAUCAUGAUUCAAAAAUUCGAGAUGUCUAUGAUGGGGGAGUUGAAGUAUUUCCUAGGAUUUCAAAUCAAGCAACUCCAAGAUGGCACCUUCAUCUGUCAAACUAAUUACAUUCAAGACAUACUCACGAAAUUUGGGAUGAAGGAUGACAAACCCAUCAAGACACCCAUGGGAACCAAUGGGCAUCUCGACCUCGACAUGGGAGGUAAAUCCAUAGAUCAAAAGGUAUAUCGGUCGAUGAUAGGAUCUUUACUCUAUUUAUGUGCAUCUCGACCGGAUAUUAUGCUUUCCGUAUGCAUGUGUGCAAGAUUUCAGGUCGAUCCUAAGGAAGUUCACCUUAGGGCCGUGAAGAGAAUCAUGAGGUAUUUAGUUUACACUCCUAAGUUUGGGCUUUGGUACCCCAAGGGAUCCACUUUUGAUUUAAUAGGAUAUUCCGAUGCCGAUUGGGCAGGGUGUAAAACUGAUAGGAAGAGCACAUCAGGGACUUGUCAGUUUCUAGGGAGAUCCCUGGUGUCAUGGGCUUCAAAGAAAGAAAACUCCGUAGCUCUUUCCACCGCCGAAGCCGAGUAUAUUGCCACAGGCCAUUGUUGUGCGUAAUUACUUUGGAUGAGGCAAACCCUCAGGGACUAUGGCUACAAAUUGAGCAAAGUCCCUCUCCUAUGUGACAAUGAGAGUGCAAUCCGUAUGGCGAAUAAUCCCGUUGAACACAGCCGCACUAAGCACAUAGACAUUCAGUAUCACUUUCUGAGAGAUCACUAACAAAGGGGGGAUAUCGAAAUAGGUUAUGUAAACACCAAGAAUCAAUUAGCUGAUAUCUUUACCAAGCCAUUAGAUGAGAAAACCUUUAGUAAACUUAGGAAUGAGCUAAAUAUACUUGAUUCUCGGAAUUUUGAUUGAAACAUUGCACAUAUUGCUCAUUUAUAUACCUUUGAUCAUGUCUCUUUCACUCGGUACACAUAUAUAUUUCUUAUUAUUCUUGUACCAAGGCUACGACUAAUGUGUUUUCAAGUGCAUUUCUAUAAUAAGUCGUAGAUUGAAAGCGAAAUGGAGUAUUCGGCGAAGACAAGGCUUCCACUCCACUCUAACGGUAUCAUUUACCCUUCGUCGUCACUCCACAAGUCUCUCAAAUUGCUAUAAUAAUCUUUACCUCAUAUUUCUUUACUAAUGGGGGAAAAGUAUUUAUGAGGGCACUCAAAGUCUCCGUUUUUUGCGAUUAAUGCCAAAGAGGGGGAAAAUAUUAAGCCCAAAGCAAAAGGACCGCACCACCAUAAUUUCAAAAAAUUUCGAAAUAAAGCUUUAAUUGAUAUUUUUCAUUUGGUAUCUAGGUCAUGACAAUAUCUCAAUUGAUAUCCAUGCUUCAAUUAUCUUGAGAAAGCAAAAUUUCAAUUGGUAUUGUUUUAAAUUUCAAAUUGGUAUCUCUUCAACUAGUAUGUUUUUCAAAACCCUUUUGAAAGCUAAGAGGAGAAUUUCAUUCAGGGGGAGUUUUAUUUAGUCAAAGGAAAAGCAUUUGAAACAGGGGGAGAAAUUUCAAAUCUUGAAAAUGCUUCUUGCAAUCAUAUUCAUAUACCUUGACUAUUUGCAAAAGACUUUGAAAAGAUUUUCUAAAAGGAUUUGCAAAAACAAAACAAGUGGUGCAAAUGUGGUCCAAAAUAUUAAAGAAAAGAAAAGCAAUCCAUUCGUAUCUAGUAAGAGUAUCAAUUGGUUUAAUUACAAGUAACCUAUUCACUUACCUUAUGCAAACUAGUUCAUUUCUGCACUUUAUAUAUUUGCUUUGGUUUGUGUUGGCAUCAAUCACCAAAAAGGGGGAGAUUGAAAGGGAAAUGGGGUUAACAUUUUCCCAUAAUUAAUUUUGGUGGUUGAAUGACCAACGCAAACACAUGGACUAACUAGUUUGCCAAGUAUUCAUGUAUUACAAGUGCAUAAAGGUUCAACACAAACCAAUAAAUAUUCAAGUUAGGGGUCCAAUUCAAAGGAGCAAAAGGAACCAAGUGUGAUGUGGUCUGGCACACCGGACAGUGUCCGAUGCACCAGUACCGUACAGGGUCCAAGCAGCCACUCUCGGGUUUUCGCAGGCGCGCUUCGCUAUAACUCACUGGACUGUCCGGUGUGCCAGCGAUCAAUGGCUACCUGUGCGCAAUGGUCGAUUGCAAAAGAACCUGACACAUGAACAGUGCAGCGGUAGAAGUCAAAGUCGCGAAGUCAGAGGGCACCGGACUGUCCGGUGCCGCAAGGAGACAAUGCUCCAACAGUCGACUUUGCUCCGAACCCUAACGGUUGGGUGACGUGGCGGCGCACCGGACAGCCUACAGUGCAUGUCCAGUGGCGCACCAGACUGUCCAGUGCGCCCAUCGCCAGCAGCCUCCCCAACGGCUAUUUUGGUGGUUGAGGGCUAUAAAUACCCCCCAACCACCACAACUCCAAGCAUCCAAGAUUUCUGAACAUCACAUUCAAUACAAGAGCUCUAGCAUUCACUCCUAGACACAAUUUAAAAGAUCAAAGCCUCUCCAAGUCCCAAAUUCAUCUCAAACACUUAGUGACUUGUGAGAGAGAGAUUUCAUGUUCAUUUGAGCUCUUGCCUCUUGGAUUGCCUUUCUUCUUUCUCAUUCUUGUUCUCAAGUGACUUGUAAUCAAAGCAAGAGACACCUAAGAGUGUGGUGGUCCUUGUGGGGUCUUAGUGACCCGAUUGAUUAAGGGAAAGGCUCACUCGGUCUAAGUGACUGCUUUGAGAGAAGAAAAAGGGUUGAUUCUCAUUUAAUUUGUUUUCCCCCUCUCUCCCGGACUUGAUUUUAGUUCUAACGCUAACCCCGGCUUGUAGUGUGUGUUUAAAGUUGUAAAUUUCAGAUUACACCUAUUCACCCCCCCUCUAGGCAACUUUCAACCAUGAUUCAUCAUAUGUGUGAGACUUGGUCCCAGCACACCUGGUGAUUAUGUUCAUGCCCGGGUCUUGGUGCCCCAAAACCCGGGUGUGACAGAAGUGGUAUCAGAGGAAUGUUGACUGUAGGACGAAACCUAAAUAGAACUGGACAACCAUUGUCUACUUACCUUUGCUACUCUGAUUCUUUCUAAACUUUUCUUAAUCUUUUCUCAUCUAUUUUCGCUUACUCUGAUUACUCUAACCUUUUCCUUCUAAAGACAAAUGUGGAUUUUACACUUUGAAAUCCUGCGCCUAAAGUGACCUUUUGGAAUAGGAGACCUACUCUUAGGAACAAAAUCAAAACUAUUUUUGUAAAUAUUUGUAUGCUUGAAUGUUUGUUCUUGUGAUACAUGUCUGAUUUGGAUCUUUGAUUGAGUGUGAUGAGUUGUAGAGUAAUGUCCACAACUACAUUUGCAUAUACAUAUAGGCAUAAAUAUAAAUAAAUAGAAUUCAUAAGAUAACUAUACAACCUAGAUUAUCAUCCAUUAAAGUGUAUUUAUUCUAGAUAGAAUUCUUUAAGUUGAGAAAAAAAUUCUAUUUCAUUCUAACAUGUUCAUCUUAUGUUAAGAAAAAAAUAUCUUAUCCUCAUAAAUUGUUUAUAAGAUAAACUAGACCAACUAAGAAUACCCCAUUGGAAUAUAUCAAGCCUAAUAUAGAUCCAUCUUAUCUUAAAAGACUCUCUCUUAUCUUAAUAGAUCUAUAUUAUCUUAAAAGGAUUCUCUCUUACCUUAAUAAAUUCAUCUUAUCUUAAAGAGAUUUUAUCUUAUCCUAAUAGAUCUAACUGACCUCUAAAGAUUUUACCCUAUCCUUAUGGAUUCAUCUUAUCUUGAAAGAUUCGUCUUAUCUUGAAAGAUUCAUCUUAUCCUAACCCAUUUACUUAUCUCAUCCUAAAGUAACAACCAUAGCCUAUUUAAUGAGAUCUUAUCUAGUCUAUUCUAGUGUCGGUGUUUCGACCCCGGGGGGGUCUCUGGACCGACGAGUAAAUUGUCGCCGCGUGCCCCAGCCCAGAUGGGUCGGCGCGAGACAGAGCGCGAAGGGGGGAAAAAGCCGGAGGGAGACAGGCGUAAAGGGGAAACCCGCGGCCUUCGUGUUUGUCCCGCGCCCAGGUCGGGUGCGCUUGCAGUAGGGGGUUACAAGCGUCCGCGUGGGAGGGAGCGAGAGGCUUACGCGCGCGCCGUCCCGUCCUUCCCCGCGCGGCCAACCCUCCGUAAGAGGGCCUUGGACCUUCCUUUUAUAGGCGUAAGGAGAGGGUCCAGGUGUACAAUGGGAGGUGUAGCAGUGUGCUAACGUGUCUAGCAGAGAAGAGCUAGCGCCCUAAGUACAUGUCAUCGUGGCAGCCGGAGAGGUUUUGGCACCCUGUUCAUGUGAUGUCGUGGCCGUCGAAGGAGCGCUGGAGCCUUGCGGAAGGACAGCUGUCGGGGCUGUUGAGUCCUUGCUGACGUCUCCUUGCUUCCGUAAGGGGGCUGAGAGCCGCCGUCGUCAUGGAGGAUGCGGGGCGCCAUCAUUGUUUGUUUUACCGGGGCGAGCCAGAUGGGACGUCGGUCUUGUUCCCCGUAGCCAGAGUUAGCUAGGGGUAGGGUAAUGAUGGCCCCUCCUGUGACGUGGUCGGUCCGAGCCCUGGGUAGGGCGAGGCAGAGGCUCCUCCGAGGUCGAGGUCGAGUCUGUCUUCCGAGGUCGAGGUCGAGUCCGAGCCCUUGGGUCGGGCGAGACGGAGAUCGUCGGCUGAGGCCGAGGUCGAGUCCGAGCCCUGGGGUCGGGCGAGGCGGAGUUCGUCGUCUUCCGGGGCCGAGCCCGAGUCCGAGCCCUGGGUCGGGCGAGGCGGAGUUCGUCGUCUUCCGGAGCUGAGCCCGAGUCCGAGCCCUGGGUCGGGCGAGGCGGAGUUCGUCGUCUUCCGGGGCUGAGCCCGAGUCCGAGCCCUGGGUCGGGCGAGGCGGAGUUUCCUAUGGCGCCUAAGGCCGGACUUGGCCGCUGUCAGCCUCACUCUAUCGAGUGGCACAGCAGUCGGAGCGACGCGGGCGACGCUAUCUUCUUGUCAGACUGGUCAGUGGAGCGGCGAAGUGACUGCGGUCACUUCGGCUCAAUCGACUGAAGGGCGUGCGUCAGGAUAAGAUGUCAGGCCACCUUUGCAUUAAAUGCUCCUGCGGUACGUUCGGUCGUCGUGGCGAUUUGGCCAAGGUUGCUUCUAGGCGAAGACCGGGCCUCGGGCGAGCCGAAGGUGUGUCCGUUGCUUGAGGGGGCCCUCGGGCGAGACGUAGAUCCUCCAGGGUCGGCUGCCCUUGCCCGAGGCUGGGCUCGGGCGAGGCGAGAUCGUGUCCUUGAGUGGACCGAGCCUCGACUUAAUCGCACCCAUCAGGCCUUUGCAGCUUUGUGCUGAUGGGGGUUACCAGCUGAGAUUAGGAGUCUUGGGGGUACCCCUAAUUAUGGUUCCCGACAGUAGCCCCCGAGCCUCAAAGGGAGUGUUAAUACUCGCUUGGAGGCUUUUGUCGCACUGUUUUGCAAGGGGACCGGCCUUUCUCGGUUGCGUUUUGUUUCGGUGGGUGCGCGCGAGCGCACCCGCCGGGUGUAGCCCCCGAGGCCUCGGAGGAGUGAUUUGACUCCUUCGAUGUCUUGAUGCGUUUCGCGAUGCUUCGGUCGGUCUGGUUGUUCCCUCAUGCGAGCUGGCCGUAGCCCGGGUGCACGGUCGGGUCCCAAGUUCGGCUGGUAUGUUGACGCUGUCAACGGUUUGGCCGGAGCCGGGUUUGCGAGAGCAGCCCCCGAGCCUCUGCACGGAGCGAGAGGACGGUCAAGGACAGACUCGACUUUUUUACAUACGCCCCUGUGUCGCCUUUCUGCAAGGAGGAGGGGGGAAAGCGCCAUGUUGCCCUUGGAGGGCGCCGAACAUGGUGUCUCCAGUGAGCUGCUAACGGGUAAUCCGAGUGGACGCUCGUGCCCCAUUUGUUAGGGGUCGGCUAGAGGCCCGGAGGCACACUCCAAAAGUACCUGCGGGUGAUUUGCCGGACCCGGUCCCCUUUUGACGGGGUCCGAGGGCUCGAUGCCUCCCUCUGAUGGGAUUCCGUUACAAAAUUGUUCCCGUUGGUCUCGGAAAUGACCUACUGUACCUCGGGAGCGUAGCCCGAGCCUUGGUUAUGUAUCGAACGUACCCCGGGUCAUCCCUCGCUCUGCGUCUGAGGCGGCUGUGAACCCUUCGGGGGCCAGCCUACGAACCCCUGAUCAGUAGUGGGCGCGGAGCCCGAGUGGCCUGAGGCGGCCAUUGAACCCUUCCGAGGGGCCGGCCUUCGAACCUCUGACCAGUAGUGGGCGCGGGGCCCGAGCGCUCUGAGGCGGCUGUUGAACCCCUCCGAGGGGCCAGCCUUCGAACCUCUGAUCAGUAGGGGGGCUCGGGGCCCGUUUCCUUCGCGGAGAAGGAUCCCUUUCGGGGUAUCCCCUUUCCCGGUCCCUGUUGUAAGAGAGAGAAAGAGGAGAAGGAAAAGGAUAUGAAAUCGAAAUGACGUGGCGCACCUUUUUUGACGCGGUCAUUAUGGCGAAGGCGAAGCGUCGCCUGCUUCGCCCGCCAAAGGUGCCGCCCGGCCUGCCGCAGAGUUAAUGCGACGGGACGAGUGGUUCACGGGGCGGCCGUUGCGCGUGCGCGAGCCGUUCGAGGAACGGAAACACGGGCACGCCGUCUUCACACCGUGGGAGAGGGUUCUCUCGCUGUCCCCGGAGGGGACGUGAGCUUGGCUGACGACUUGACCGCUGCUUCCGCCCGCCUGCCACCGCCAUUACUGCCGGCCCAUUUCUGGCCGUAUCGACCGUCGCGCCUUCUCCCGCGGCUGACUGACCCGUGAACGAUGUGCCUGGCUGGCACUGUUGGGUCAUACGCAGGGUUGCCUCGAGUCGCGGUACUGGUUCCGCAGUCGAGGAGGCACGGUAGUGGCGUGAGUGGCGGUGCAGUUUCUCGCACGUAGCAACCGGCGCACCGGUUGCAUGACGUGUGGCCUGGGCCCCCAUGCUGGACGCGUUGGAGUCGAAAGGGUGCGCUCACUUGGUGCGGUUGCAUGCCUCCUGCAUGGCGGUCCGCCCUUUCACCCGCUGGUCUGGGCGAAAGUGGAGGAAUGCUUGUAACCGCUGGGCAGUUGCGAGCACCGCGCGUGGCGGUUUGGCUUCUUCUGCCCUGGGCCAGCUUGCAUGACGCGUGGGACCCAGCCCCCGUAUCGUAGGGGGAGGAUCUUGGAGCGUGUUGGAGAAGACUCAGCCCGCGAUGGCUAAGGACGCAAGUGGGGAGAGUCGCCUUUAAAAGGAGGGUGACCCCCUUGAUAGGCAACCAUGUCUUCGCGCUCCCCUCAUGCAUCGUGUCUUUCCACCUUCUGAGCCCCCGGAUGGGGGACACUCGCAGUUCUUCCGCCUUGUCGUUGGAUGAACGCAACUUCGCGGAAGUUGGUACCUUUCAGCCAUCGUUCGACUUCAAGGAUUUUCAUCAGGCAGCCCGGCCGCAUCCCCUCGCCGGUGGUCACCCAAGACGGUGACCACCAGCCCCUGGGUGGGGAGAAGCAAGCCGGGCUGCGGCCUCUGCCCCUCCCUCAGCUUCAAGGAUGUUCAUCAUCAGUGAUGGGGAGGGGAGUGCGCCGAGUUGGGGUCGGUCUCUACGCGGGCAGCGGCCCGCUCCUUCCCUCAGCGAUCGGGGGGAAGGGCGUUCGCCGUUCGUGGCGCUGGCAGCUGCCGCGUGUCCGGCUCUUCGGCCCGAACGGCUUCGGCGCCGCUUCCAGUGCCACCUUCCGCCACGGUAGCCGGAAGAGGUUUCUCCGCCGACGAGAUAGUCGGUGCCGCCCACGGACUGACCUCCAACUCUACGGCCUUCUGCUCGUCCUCGCCCCUCGAGUGGGGACGUGGGCAAGGGCCUUAUGGCAGCAGCAUCCGCCCUGAGGUCAUCGCUGCUGCUGUUCGGUCGCUCGGAGCAGAAGUCGUCGUCGCUGCUGCUGAAGUGGGCAGCGGCGAGCCGUCCGUCGGCCUUCUGUUGCUCCGCAGGCCCUCCAAUCGUGGGGGGUUGUUCGUACCUGCGGAGGUGGAACCGGAGUUCCGUUUGUAAUGGCACCUUGAGUGCCAGUGUCUUGUUCAUUAUGGCUGUCGGGGCCUGAACAUGCAUGUAUUUUCGGCACGGAGCCGUGUUUUUUCCUCAUUUCAAGCACUAAGACUUGCCUGUCGGCUAACUGGACCGCUUAACCAAGUGUGAGUUGCCUCGUGCGAAGGUGACGAGUGAGGUAUCCGUAUCCCGGAGGCGUAGGAGUCCCUCGGCUCGGUCGGCCUUGCCGCCCGAGGCUUCUCUUGCUUAGUUAAAGGAAAUCCUCGGCCGCUCUUCGAUGAGCCGAAGCCCGAGGCAGCGGUGUCAGCAUGGACAGAGGCAGAGUUGCCUCGAAAAGAAGAUUUGGUCGGCCAAAGCCAGGCCGGGCCAUCCACUGGCGGGACCGACGCCAGAGUCGAGUUGCCGAGGCCACGAGCCGGGCUGAUGUCCUCGGGGGACAGCUGGCUGAGGCUUCGGGGUGGCCGACCGAACUGUCUGCUUGAGCCGGAUUCCUGGAUGAGACCCUAGCGGCGAUGGCCCAGGUGCGAUGCUGAUGUCGUCCUUCAGAGUGGAGAUCCUCCGACCACGUUGCCGUCCGAGGCUAGGUCGGACUUCGCCGAAGGUGUAGUUGACGCCGAGGGUGCUGCUGCUCCCUUCAACUGUCAAGGUCCAAGCCUGCAGGAUCGGAUUAUCUUGUAGUGUGCAUAUGUUUUCUGCGGCCGCCGAGGCCCAAACAUACUGUCGUCGUGUUGUAAAGCUGCGUUUCUUUUCCUCUUGUUUCGAGUGUCUGGACUUAUUUAUCGGUAACAGAAUUGUUUGUCCGAGCGAGAGUUACUUUUCACGGAAGGUGAUGAGUGAGGUAUCCGUAUCCCGGAGGCGUAGGAGUCCCUUGGCUCGGUCGGCCUUGCCGCUUACGUGUACUCUUACUCGUCCGUAGGAUUCUGCUAUUGAUAUAGUCGAGAAGGCCCGAAAAAAUCGUUUCGGCAGAAGAAUUUUCGAGCGUGAAGACUUGUUCGGUCCGCGGAGUCACCUAUCCGAGCGUGAGUUACUUAUCGCAGAAGGUGAUGAGUGAGGUAUCCGUAUCUCGGAGGCGUAGGAGUCCCUCGGCUCGGUCAGCCUUGGCUGCUUACGUGUACUCCGUCGUUUUCAGGACCCCACUUUCGAAGUAGUCGAAAAGCACGAAAGACGUUCUGGCAGAAAAGAUCUUUUUCGAGGAAAAUUUUGACGUGGAGGGGGUUCCCCCCUUCUAGCCCCCGAGGGAGGGUCGGGCUUUGCCGAGGCAAGGCUGACCCUUCCUUGAUGGUUAGACUUUGUGUGUGAACGAGGUGUACGAACGACUUGAAAGCAUCUUAAGGGUAGAAGUGACGUAGCUGUCGGAUGUUCCAAGCGUUGUUGUAGACCUCGCCUUGACUGUUGGCCAGCUUGUACGUCCCGGGCUUCAGAACCUUGGCGAUGACGAACGGCCCUUCCUAGGGAGGUGUGAGCUUGUGCCGCCCUCGGGCGUCUUGUCGUAGCCGAAGCACCAAAUUGCCCACCUGGAGGUCUCGGGACCGAACCCCUCGGGCGUGGUAGCGUCGCAGGGACUGCUGGUACCGCGCCGAGUGUAGUAAGGCCAUGUCCCGAGCCUCUUCCAGCUGGUCCAGUGAGUCUUCUCGGUUAGCUCGAUUGUUUUGGUCGUCGUAGGCCCUCGUCCUCGGGGAACCGUAUUCUAAGUCUGUGGGCAAGAUGGCCUCGGCCCCAUGACUAGAAAGAACGGUGUGAAGCCCGUGGCUCGGCUCGGCGUUGUCCUCAGACUCCAGACCACCGAGGGGAGCUCCUUCAUCCAUCGCUUGUCGAACUUGUUGAGGUCGUUGUAGAUCCGCGGCUUGAGCCCUUGCAGAAUCAUGCCGUUGGCACGCUCUACUUGCCCAUUCGUCAUAGGGUGAGCCACGGCGGCCCAGUCCACCCGGAUGUGGUGAUCCCCGCAGAAGUCCAGGAACUUUCUGUCGGUGAACUGGGUGCCGUUGUCGGUGAUGAUGGAGUUCGGGACCCCAAAACAAUGGAUGAUGUUGGUGAAGAACGCCACCGCCUGUUCGGACCUGAUGUUGUUUAGGGGUCGGACCUCGAUCCACUUGGAGAAUUUGUCGAUGGCGACCAGCAGGUGCGUGUAGCCCUCGGGUGCCUUCUGUAAGGGGCCGACGAGGUCCAGCCCCCACACAGCAAACGGCCAGGUGAUGGGUAUCGUCUGUAGGGCCUGAGCGGGCAAGUGUGUCUGCCUCGCAUAGAACUAACACCCUUCGCAGGUGCGGACAAUUCUAGUGGCGUCGGCCACCACGGUCGGCCAUGUUGGUGAUGGCCGCGAUUUUCUCCGGGUUGGCCUCGAUGCCCCGCUCGGAGACGAUGAACCCCAAGAGCAUGCCUCGGGGGACCCCGAAGACACACUUCUCGGGAUUGAGCUUUACGCCUUUCGCCUUGAGACACCGGAAUGUCGUUUCAAGGUCGGAAAGGAGGUCGGAGGCUUUCCUCGUCUUGACUACGAUGUCAUCGACGUAGGCCUCGACCGUUCGACCAAUGUGUUCGCCGAACACGUGGUUCAUGCACCUUUGGUAUGUCGCACCCUCAUUCCUCAAACCGAACGGCAUGGUAACAUAGCAGUACAUGCCGAAAGGUGUGAUGAAAGAAGUCGCGAGCUGGUCGGACUCUUUCAUCCUGAUUUGGUGAUACUCUGAGUAGGCAUCGAGGAAAGACAGGGUUUUGCACCCAGCAGUGGAAUCCACAAUUUGAUCGAUGCGAGGCAGAGGGUAGGGAACUUUUGGACAUGCUUUGUUUAGACCAGUGUAGUCUACACACAUCCGCCAUUUCCCUCCUUUCUUUCUCACAAGCACAGGGUUGGCAAGCCAUUCGGGAUGGAAUACUUCUUUGAUGAACCCUGCCGCCAUUAGCUUGUGGAUCUUCUCGCCUAUGGCUCUGCGCUUUUCUUUGUCGAAUCGGCGCAGAGGCUGCUUCACGGGUCGGGCUCCAGCUCGGAUAUCCAGCGAGUGCUCGGCGACAUCUCUCGGUAUGUCGGGCAUGUCCGAGGGACUUCACGCGAAAACAUCGGCGUUUGCGCGGAGAAAGUCGACGAGCACUGCUUCCUAUUUGGGAUCGAGCUCGGAGUCGAUCUGGAUCUGCUUGGAGGCGUCGUUGCUGGGGUCGAGAGGGACGGACUUAACCGUCUCCGCUGGCUCGAAGUUGCCGGCAUGGCGCUUCACGUCUGGCGCCUCCUUGGAGAGGCUCUCCAGGUCGGCGAUGAGGGCCUCGGAUUCGGCGAGGGCCUCGGCGUACUCCACGCACUCCACGUCGCAUUCGUACGCGUGUCGGUACGUGGGGCCGACGGUGAUGACCCUGUUGGGGCCCGGCAUCUUGAGCUUGAGGUAGGUGUAGUUGGGGACGACCAUGAACUUGGCGUAGCAUGGCCUCCCCAACACUGCGUGGUAGGUUCCUCGGAACCCGACCACCUCGAACGUGAGGGUUUCCCUUCGGAAGUUGGAGGGAGUCCCGAAGCAGACAGGUAGAUCGAGUUGUCCGAGGAGCUGGACGCGUUUCCCGGGGAUGAUCCCGUGGAAAGGCGCCGCGCCCGCCCAGACCGAGGACAGAUCGAUCCGCAGGAGCCCGAGGGUCUCGGCAUAGAUGAUGUUGAGGUUGCUGCCUCCGUCCAUGAGGACCUUGGUGAGCCUGACGUUGCCGACGACGGGGUCAACAACGAGCGGGUACUUCCCCAGGCUCGGCACGCGGUCGGGGUGGUCGCCCUGGUCGAAGGUGAUGGGCUUGUCGGACCAGUCUAAGUAGACUGGCGCCGCCACCUUUACCGAGCAGAUCUCCCGACGCUCUUGCUUGCGGUGCCGAGCUGAGGCGUUCGCCACUUGCCCACCGUAGAUCAUGAAGCAGUCGUGGACCUCGGGGAACUCUCCUGCCUUGUGAUCCUCCUUCUUAUCAUCGUUGCGGGCCCUGCCACCCUCCGCAGGUGGCCCGGCCUUGUGAAAGUGGCGCCGAAGCAUGGCGCACUCCUCAAGGGUGUGCUUGACGGGCCCCUGAUGAUAGGGGCACGGCUCCUUGAGCAUCUUGUCGAAGAGAUUGGCGCCUCCGGGAGGUUUCUGAGGGUUCUUGUACUCAGCGGCGGCGGCGCGUUUUGCUUGCGACUUCUUCUUGUCUUUCUUCUUGGUGCUGCGCUGAGUGGACGCCUCGGGGACAUCUUCCGGCUGGCGGCCCUGGGGCUGCUUAUCCUUCCGGAAGAUGGCCUCAACCGCCUCCUGGCCAGAGGCGAACUUGGUGGCGAUGUCCAUCAGCUCGCUCGCCCUAGUGGGGGUCUUGCGACCCAGCUUGCUCACCAGGUCACGGCAGGUGGUGCCGGCGAGGAACGCGCCGAUGACAUCCGAGUCGGUGACGUUGGGCAGCUCGGUGCGCUGCUUCGAGAAUCGCCGGAUGUAGUCCCGGAGAGACUCUCCCGGCUGCUGGCGGCAGCUUCGGAGAUCCCAGGAGUUCCCAGGGCGCACGUACGUGCCCUGGAAGUUGCCGGCGAAGGCUUGGACCAGGUCAUCCCAGUUGGAGAUCUGCCCCGGAGGCAGGUGCUCCAUCCAGGCUCGAGCGGUGUCGGAGAGGAACAGGGGGAGGUUGGGGAUGAUGAGGUUGUCAUCGUCCAUUCCACCCAGGCGGCAGGCCAGCCGGUAGUCCGCGAGCCACAGUUCCGGCCUCGUCUCCACCGAGUACUUUGUGAUAGUAGUCGGGGUUCGGAACCGGGUCGGGAACGGCGCCCGUCGUAUAGCCCGGCUGAAAGCCUGCGGACCGGGUGGUUCGGGCGAUGGACUCCGAUCUUCCCCGCUGUCGUAGCGUCCCCCACGCCUGGGGUGGUAGCCUCGGCGCACCUUGUCAUCGAGGUGGGCUCGACGUUUGCGGUGAUGGUGCUCGUUGCCGAGGCGACCCGGGGCCGCAGGCGCCGUGUUGCGCGUGCGCCCGGUGUGGACCGAGGCAUCCCGCAUGAAUCGGGAAGUCGUGGCGCGAUGUUCCGAGGGGUACCCCUGCCGUCGGGAGGCAGAGCUUUUGGCCCGUCGGACCGUGGCAUCCUCCAGGAGAUUCUUGAGCUCUCCCUGGAUAUGCCGCCCCUCAGUGGUUGAUGGCUCCGGCAUCGCGCGGAGAAGUAUUGCCGCUGCAGCCAGGUUCUGGUCGACCCCACUGGAAACCGGUGGCGGCCUUGCCCUGACAUCGUCGGCGAUGCGGUGCUGGAUACCCUAGGGUAGAUGACGCGCUUCUCCGGCCGGAGGUUGGCCUGCCCAUUCCUGCCCGAUGUCCCGGCGGAACGGCUCAAGUGUUCCUGCUCCCUCGUCGAGCCUGGCCUGCAUCUCGUGGAUUUGCUCGAGCUGUGAGUCCUGACCCCCCGCAGGGACUGGGACCACAGCUAGCUCCCGUAGGAUGUCAACGCGAGGCGCAGGCCUAGGGGAUCACCGUCCUCCGGUAUACCAAGAUGGUUGCCUUCGCCGAGACCCCCUAGAUUGACGUGGAAACAUUCACGACUUGGGCCGCAGACCUCGUCGCCGAAGCUGCGGCUACCGUCGGAACAGUCGGAAAGGCAGUAGUCGCAUGUGGUCAUGAAGUCCCGCAUGGCACUGGGGUUACCAAGUCCGGAGAAAUCCCAACAAAAGUCGGGCUCGUCAUCUUCCUCGGAACCCGAGGGCCCGUAGGUCGAGACGACUGUCAGCCGGUCCCAGGGUGACCGCAUACCGUACCUUGGAGGGUUUGGACUCGCCUCUAUGAAAGCGUCCACCGAAGCGAAGUCGCUUGGUGGGUCGAGGCUGAAUCCAAAAGGCACGAGAUGGGAAUCGGUCGGUACCACUUGGUCGACGGGCGGUGACGAAGUCACGUCAAGGGCAAACUGCACCGUCGUCUCAGGUACGAGGGUGACGCCCAGCAAGUCUUUUGCGAGCGUGCUGGCGUCAUCCGUCCGCUUGGAGUUGGCGUGUUGUGGGGAAACGGCGCUCGUCUUCGUCUCAGACGCGAGGUCGAUGCCCGACGUGUCCCCCGUUGGGGCGCCGGCGUCGUCGACUCGCUCGACAGCCGACGAGGUGCCGCCUCCUACUUGGCCUUGGUUGCCCCGCCUCCUCCGUCGGCGGGGGAGGCGACGGGACAAACCCGAAUGUUGUUCUUCCGCCACGUGGGGAAGACGUCGUCGAUUCCGCCGCCGGCGGGCGGGUUGUCAGCCGCCAUUGUCGCUGUCGCGCGGCGGGGGAAGGAGUAUCAUGUCGCAGCUGCCGUCGAGGGACAUGAACUCAAGACUCCCGAAACGGAGCACCGUCCCAGGCUGGAAAGGUUGCUGGAGACUACCCAUCUGGAGCUUGACGGGAAGCUGUUCGUCAACACGCAGCAGGCCCCUACCUGGCGCGCCAACUGUCGGCGUUUCGACCCCGGGGGGUCCCUGGACCGACGAGUAAAUUGUCGCCGCGUGCCCCAGCCCAGAUGGGUCAGCGCGAGACGGAGCGCGAAGGGGGGGAAAAGCCGGAGGGAGACAGGCGUAAAAGGGAAAACCUGCGGCCUUCGUGUUUGUCCCACGCCCAGGUCGGGUGCGCUUGCAGUAGGGGGUUACAAGCGUCCGCGUGGGAGGGAGCGAGAGGCUUACGCGCGCACCGUCCCGUCCUUCCCCGCGCGGCCAACCCUCCGUAAGAGGGCCCUGGACCUUCCUUUUAUAGGCGUAAGGAGAGGGUCCAGGUGUACAAUGGGAGGUGUAGCAGUGUGCUAACGUGUCUAGCAGAGAAGAGCUAGCGCCCUAAGUACAUGCCGUCGUGGCAGCCGGAGAGGUUUUGGCACCCUGUUCGUGUGAUGUCGUGGCCGUCGGAGGAGCGCUGGAGCCUUGCGGAAGGACAGCUGUCGGGGCUGUCGAGUCCUUGCUGACGUCUCCUUGCUUCCGUAAGGGGGCUGAGAGCCGCCGUCGUCAUGGAGCAUGUGGGGCGCCAUCAUUGUUUGUUUUACCGGGGCGAGCCAGAUGGGACGCCGGUCUUGUUCCCCAUAGCUAGAGUUAGCUAGGGGUAGGGUAAUGAUGGCCCCUCCUAUGACGUGGUCGGUCCGAGCCCUGGGUAGGGCGAGGCGGAGGCUCCUCCGAGGUCGAGGUCAAGUCUGUCUUCUGAGGUCGAGGUCGAGUCCGAGCCCUUGGGUCGGGCGAGACGGAGAUCGUCGGCUGAGGCCGAGGUCGAGUCCGAGCCCUGGGGUCGGGCGAGGCAGAGUUCGUCGUCUUCCAGGGCCGAGCCCGAGUCUGAGCCCUAGGUCGGGCGAGGCGGAGUUCGUCGUCUUCCGGGGCUGAGCCCGAGUCCGAGCCCUGGGUCGGGCGAGGCGGAGUUCGUCGUCUUCCGGGGCUGAGCCCGAGUCCGAGCCCUGGGUCGGGCGAGGCGGAGUUUACUAUGGCGCCUGAGGCUGGACUUGGCCGCUGUCAGCCUCACUCUGUCGAGUGGCACAGCAGUCGGAGCGACGCGGGCGGCGCUGUCUUCUUGUCAGACUGGUCAGUGGAGCGGCAAAGUGACUGCGGUCACUUUGGCUCAGUCGACUGAAGGGCGUGCGUCAGGAUAAGGUGUCAGGCCACCUUUGCAUUAAAUGCUCCUGCGGUACGGUCGGUCGUCGUGGCGAUUUGGCCAAGGUUGCUUCUAGGCGAAGACCGGGCCUCGGGCGAGCCGAAGGUGUGUCCGUUGCUUGAGGGGGCCCACGGGCGAGACGUAGAUCCUCCGGGGUCGGCUGCCCUUGCCCGAGGCUGGGCUCGGGCGAGGCGAGAUUGUGUCCUUGAGUGGACCGAGCCUCGACUUAAUCGCACCCAUCAGGCCUUUGCAGCUUUGUGCUGAUGGGGGUUACCAGCUGAGAUUAGGAGUCUUGGGGGUACCCCUAAUUAUGGUCCCCGACAUCUAGUCAUACCCAAUCCUAUCUAAUCUAUUAUGAUCAUACCUAAUGUGAGUCACUCAAACGUAAUUAGCUAAUGCUGAGGAAAUACAUUAGACCCUGCUCCUAUAAACAAGUUUGAGAUCUUAGAUCAACCUGACCCUACCCAAUAACUUGACCUACAAAAGUAGAUUACAUAACUAAUCCCAUUUAGCAUAUAGCUACCUACUAAACCCUUUACCCAUCUGUUACCUACCGAUCUAUCUUGACCUCUUGUCCCAAACCCGAAGGGUGACACCUAGGCUCAAGAUUGAAGAGACCAAUCUCAUUAAAGAAGAAUAGGAAUCAAGCUAGACCCCAAAGAAAGCUUGAUCAUGCCAUGUCUACACUCACCUAAUAGCUAAAACCUGAUGUACCCUUUGUUGGUACUUGCCUUUCUGGGCAAAUGGAUCCAACGGGAGAGUGGUGAGAGUGUUUGCAAAGUUCAACGGGGAAUGGUAAUAGCUCUGUUAAAUCUGGCCUCUCAAGGGCACUGUACGGGGGUAUUUAUAGGCACCCGAGUGACCACCGUCCUCUGGUGAGAACAUUUAUGCCCUUGGGUACCCGGACUAUCCCUAGAAUAUUCUCACAAGGGGAGGUUACAGACCGUCAUUACAGAAAAGGCUAUUACAGACGUGGCCCGUAACACGCUUAUCCGCGCGGGGCCCGUUACAGUGGGCCGAAUCCCACAUGGGCCUCCGGACGCGAUGAGGACGUGGGGCUAGCAGACUUUGAUGGAGCCUUGCCUCGUCUUGUAAUGGAAAGGACGAAGGGUGACCGCGUCGAUCCUCAUCCGUUGGCGUAGCGAGGCGACGAAGGCAUCAAGCGAAGGGUAGCGUCUUCGCCUUCGCCCCAACAUUUUCCCUCCGAGGGACCAGUUUGACUAAGUCAUCUGGUGCCGAAGACGUCGCUAGAUGGUGGAGACGCUGCCCUCGCUCGAAGUGGUCCCGCGAGGGGUUUUGAGGUGAUCGUUGAUGGACAUGGCACUGUGGGACUGCGUGUUUCCCGAAGCGCCGCGUCCUGUCUAUAAAAGGGCGGCACGACCGAUGCUGUUUCUUACCCUUGCGUGCGCCGGAAAACCCUAACUUUUUCAAACCGCUCGCCCGCUCGCCUGCCCUCCUUGUUCUUCUGCUUCGGAGAUCUGGCCCGCGUCAAGCAGACCGCGCGCCGCCACCGACGGUACGUAGCAAUGUCUUCUUCCUCAUCUGCUGCGAGUGCGUCACCGGCCGAUCCGUCGUCCGAGGAUACCCUGAGCGAUUUGGCAGCGAUGGAGUUGCAGCCGGGCCACACGGUGGAGUUCAGCACCUUGAGGAUUUCCUCGGUUCGUGUGCAGGAGAUGCAGCAGCUUGGGUACUUCGGUGACGGUGUUGGGCGCGUUUCGGGCGCUGAGGAGAUUCCUGAGCCUGAGGGCGAAUUAGUUGUGUUCGAGGCAUUCUUCAUCGCCGGCCUUCGCCUUCCAGCACAUCGUUUCGUGGUGGAGGUCUUGUAGAGGUUCGACGUCCAGGUCCACCAGUUGACACCUAACGUCGUGGUUGCCCGGGCGAAGUAUUCUGGGCGGUGACUUCGUACGGCGGUCAGCCAUCCGUGGAGGUCUUCGCCAAGAACUAUUGUCUGCACUGGCAAAAGAGGAAAAUUGGUAAUAAGAUUGCACAAUUUGGAUCGUGCACCUUCACGCCGAGGACCGGAAAGACUUUGGCAGAAGUUGUGGAAAUAGUCCCCUGCGCUCGGAACAAGUGGGGCAACUGGUGGGACUAUUGGUUUUAUGUCUCGGGAGGGGAAGUCGAAGAUUUCCCAGGGCUCCCUGUGGCCGUUAUGUGCUCCCACUAUUACGUGGCAUUCCCACCAUUUGAGGUGGCGGAGGAAGAUGAGGACGAAGGGGCCCUCCGGUAUGCUGCCCGCAUGAGUAGCGGGCGUGAUCUGGUUGAGGAGUUCAUUGGAUAUGGAGUGUGGCCCUUGGCCCACGAUUGGGUACUGGGCGAAGUGUGCCCUCGCCAGAUGCCUACCUUGGGCGGGCAGUUGGUGCAAAGUCCUACCUUCGCCUUGGAUUUGCGCGGCCGAAACCCAGCCAUGUUUGUGCGUGAAGUAGAGGAUGGAGCAGUGAAAAUUGUGGGGUGAUAUGUGUCGAGGACGGAGACUUUGCGGAGUUGGGAUAUUCGCGGUUCCAAUGUCCGUUUGAACCGUGUUUUCGAGUUGAACCAUCUGUCGUAUGGCGGUUACCUGGGAGACGACGCUGCUACUACUGUCGGUCGCCGGGGAAAAAAGGCGGUGGCUUCGGUUGAGGAAGGCCCUUCAUGGGAAGCCGCGCCGGCUGUGGUCACUAAAAAGAGAAAACUAGGUACUACGGCUGAAGGGUUGGGGGUCUUCGAUUGUUUUGCUGUGGAUUUAAUGGGAACUUGUGCGGCCCCCGGGGGAAAGAUGUCUUCGCUCGAGCUCCGGGAAUCUUCGGCGCGAAUGCUAGAGGUUACCGAGGGUCGCUGGCCUAGGAAUGUUCCAAUCCCUCGGGCAUCCGGUGAGGACAUUUUUACGUCUCGCUCAGCCCGUGAGAUGAAGAUUUUUCCUUAUAGACGGAAUGUUGUUGUUGUAUCGGCAGUGAUGAAUAAAGAUCGCCAAGAUGCGCGGAAAUGUCGGGUGUUCACUAGGGUCGAGGACCCUAGUCGCAAGGUCAAGAAGGCGUGGGGGAUCUCGAGGUCUACCGCCAUCGGCAGUAGCAAACCACCGCCAGCUGUGAAGCCUGUCGUCCCUGGCCCCAGCAAGCCUUCAUCGGGUGCGAAGGUCGUCGCUCUCGGCUCGAGCAAGCUGCCCUCUGUUGAGCCCACGCAGGAGCGAGGGCCAUCGUCUCCAAUGUGCACUGCCGAGGCGGUGGCAGGUGGGGCCGAACUCUCCAUGGACAUCUGCGUGGAUGACUACAACGUGGGUGGGGUCAUGAUGUUUGAUGCCCGCAUGGGGCGAGGGCUUGCCGGUGAGUCUUUAUUAUUUUAUUAUUAUAUGUGUAUUUUUUUGAUGGGGUCUGGGUCUUGAACAAGACUGUGAUGCAGAGUCGGAUGCUGGGCAAAUAACUGUUGUCCAGGCGCCGGUGGCGGCCGCGUCGGUCGCGGCGACGACCGAGACGAAGGGUGCUUCGCAGGACCCGUGAUCCAAAUUUUGCGCCAGUCGUGAGAUUGCUUCAGCCGCCGCUGCUAAAGACGUGGCGGGCUCAGUUGCGCAGCAGCUGAGGCAUGUAAGUCGUCUUGGACUUCGUCAUUUUUUGUGUUUGUGCGAUUGCGAGUUUGAUGGACUUUUUCAUGGCAGGCGGCUGCCUUCGUUGAUCAUGUUGUGUCGGGCGUUCUGACCUCGGAGUUUGCUACCGAGAGGCAAUGACUUGAGGGGGUAAUUAAGCACCUCCGAACGCAGCACACGGAAGCUGCGCGGGACAAGUCAGCUGCGGAAACAAGAGUCGCAGACUGAUGGAGAAGUUGUCGGUUGCGAAGGCCGAGAGAGAGGAUCUUAGCCGUCUGUUGGCGGCGAAGAAGAAGGAUGCGGAUAGGGCCUGUGCUGAGGCAGAGGCCGCACGUGUCGAGGCCAAGCUCGCGCGUGCUGAGGCCAAUCUCGCUCGCCAACAUGCUGAGGAGGCGGAAGCGAGUCGCAGCAGUCUGCGCGGCUGCCUGGACAAAGCGGAGGCCUCUACUCGCGUAGAGGUCGACCGUACGCAUGCACAGCUCGUGGACGCGUACCGGCAGCUUGGUGCGCGGACUGCUCCCUUUAAUGCGUCCGGUAAGGAUGUAGGCCUCCGCUCUCUCGGAUGGCUGCAGGAGGAGCUAGAGGUGCUCCCGACGAUUGUGACGGGCCUCAUGUCCUUUGCCUCGCUCAUCACCUGUGAAGGGGUCGUGAAUGCCUUGUCUCGUGAGGGAUGCAGGCACUUCGAAGUCUUUGACCAUUCGGACGCAGACUUCGAACGCAGAAGCCUCUUAUAGCAAGGAAACCCUAAAUGAUUAACUAACUUAGUUUUCUGCACUAAGGUAUAAUUGCUAUUAAAUUCUACAUAUCAUAGCAUACAUAUAUCUUAUUCAUUGCAUUCGAUAGAUUGCAACCUCGCGGACGGAGAGUACAUCCUCGUGCCAGAGCAAGGAGUUGCUCAGGAGGUAGCCCCGGAUCCAGCACCAGAGCCUGCCCCAGAGGAUCUGCCUGCCCUAGCUUUGGAAGGCAAGCCCCGGUUUUAUGCAUAACCUAUCUAUUAUGCUAUUUUACUACACUUAAUGAUUGUAGGAUUGAAUGAGCACUUAAGUGUAGGAGUUGUAUGAAACCUUAGUUGCAUGAACUCAGGAUUCCUUUUUAAGAUGGAUACUAGUAUGCUAGGUCGAGUAGCUGCUUUGCUAAUUAGGGAUCUCGGUAGAAGUCGAGUGAUUUUUCUAGCACUCGCGCGAGGUCAGGAAUUGGUUGUAUCCAUUUCUUUUCAUAUCAUAAGGAUGAUGGUAUGUGGACGACGGUCCAUGGGGAUGUGUUGUCUACGAGACGGAAAUUGGAAUAAGGAUUAAGGUGUGGUACCGUGUGUCAAGCGUUUGAACGUACUAAACACAUACCGAGAAAUAUGGUAAAUCGGUAAGCCUAGUACCUGAGUGAACCUGGCAGCAGAUUGCCCUCCUCACGCGACCUGAGACGUGGUCUCCCAUUCCGGUUAUGGUGGGUACAAGUGUGGUCACUGCACGACGGCAGUCGGGGUCAAUGGGGCAUUGUACGCCAAGGCGGUGAGCCCCUCUCUGCUGACGGGGGAUCGAUGGGGACGGUUGGUGUGUGUGGGGAUGGAGUGCCUCGCCACGUCGUGUGUUUAGGUUUACCUUGCAAGGUUUAAAAACUCGAUUCGAAUCGUCUGCUUCUCAUAGCUAAUGAGACUGCUUGAUCCAUGCUGCUACAUUGAGUAAUAAGUGGAAAUGAGUCGACUGGCAAAAGAUGUUGAUUGCUAAAAAUGUUUGAUACCAUGUAUGAAUAGCUAGGUACACAUCUAGUUUAAAAGGAUCAUACUAAAACUUGAAAAGCUAAAACUUGAUUUUUAGACUCAGCUAGUGCUUUUGGCAAACCAAACCCCUCAGCCAAACAGCUGCAUGUCUAGAGGUAGAGGAGUAGAUUCCUCACACCGGGUAAGUCUAGCUGAGUAUUAGUAUACUCAGCCUUGCUUGUGGCAUCAUUUUUUUCAGGUUCUCUGGAGGACAUGGUUGCUGGAAUGACUUGGCCAUCCACCUUGCCACCGGGUUGGACAGUCGAGUGGGACCCUACCUCAGCUGAGGAGGAGCAUGAGGAGUGAUGGGACAGGCUUCCCCGUCUCUCCGCUUACUUAUCGUUAGUUUUAUUCCGCUGCAUUCCGAACAAUGAGCACUACUUUUGCAAAAACUCCGAUGAUGAUGAUGUAAUAAAUUUAAUACUCCUUAAUGUAUGGUUUUAUGUUUUAUUGUAUUUGCUCUGUGCCUCACCAUUGAGUGAGUACGUGGUACUUGAUCCUGUUAGUGGCCUUGUCGGACUCGAUCCGAGGGACUGACGUUUUAUUCCCAUUUAAGUGUGGUCUAGCCUUUAAGGUGGGACUUAGGCACUUAAGUUGGAAUAAUUCGGGCGGUUCCGCCACAGCUGGUAUCGGAGCUCGUACCACCACAGAGGAAUCAAUAAACUAUAAAUACCAUCCUUUUUCAAAGUAAAACUUGGUAGAAACAAAUGUUGGAUAGAUCAUAGGACGAUUAGGAUAGACCUAGGACGUGACGCCUUAGGAUGAUAGAAGGGUAGCUAGGUGGCUAAUUAAGUAAGCCCUACAGGCUACUAUAAGGGAUGGGAGUUCCUUCCUAUUCCCUCUAAGUUGAUGUGAGGUCAUUUAGGACGAGCAUGCAUGCAUCCUUAAUUAAACUAUUUAAUAAGUGGGUAAGAACUUUAAUACAUAAUGAUGACAAAUUAAGUACCCCCAGUACCCUUGUCGUAGCUAUAGCGAGGCUGAGUUGCGAUCCCUUUUUAUUUUAUAAUUCUUUUCUUUUACUUACGCUUAAUCAUACACAGAUGACUUCUCACGGAUCCUCAGACGAAGGGAAUGCACAGUCCCACACUGACGGACUUGCCCGAGAGGGUUUUCCUCGUAUCUUGUGGGAGGUACUUCAGGGAGCUGGCUACACGACGCCUCCCCAGUACACGGUGCAGCUGUUUGAGAAGCAUCGAGUGCCCAGCUGUAGGGUGAGGAUGACCCUGGAGCCUCAUCCCCUAUAGCCAGGCUGGCGUUCGUUGGAUUCGGAAUCUUUUGGAUACAGGGCUCAGGAUACUAUCGAGGCGAUUGCUCUUCACGGACUGACCACCUUCUGUGGAUUCCACCCCUUGGAGCUGUCCACUCACCCCAUUGGUUUGUUCCCCGCGGAGAAGGAGGACGACCCAAUGUGGAAGGACCGAGUGGAGCAUGCCAAGGAUAUAUGGGCUAUCUACCCAGAUCAGACUGCUCACUUGACGGUGCGGUGCAUGAAUGCCCUGUAUCGUCUGUAAGUGAUGCGAGGAGAGGCAAUGUCUCAUCUGAUGGCACUGUUGGAGGCUACCAAGAUCACCUUGGAUAACAGGGAGGAACUUGUAGUAGACUUGUCCACUGAGAUGGCGGAAAAAGACCUACAAGUGGAGCAGUUGUCAGGUGAGAUCUACGAGCUUGAGGAGCUAGUGGGAACCAGGGAGAACACCAUCGAGGUUCUCGAGGAUCAGCUUAUCAACACUCAGCAGCAGCUUGCGGAGGCUAACCAGCAUCUAGAUAUGCACCACCAGGAGAUCCAGGACAUGGAGGCCAACGAGGAUGUCGACAUCGAGGGAGGAGAGGAGCCUGCCUCUAGCUUGGACACUGCUGGCUCAGGGAGACCACCUUCCCCCGAGUCGAGCGUUGCCUCGUUUGCCCACUAGGUCGCAGGGAUAGAGUUAGAAGUCUGUGACGGUAGAACUCCUCGAGACUAGCUUUUGCACCCUUGGGGUACUAGGCUAGUUAGAGUUGAGUCUUUUGAGUUAUUGAUGUAAUCAUGCCAAACUCUUUUGGAAAUAUGGGUGAUGAACGAUGUCAGAUUUAAUUUAAGAAGAAAAGUUUAUGCCAUGUGGAAUCUUUUAUAAUUAUGCAAGCAUAUAUUGGUUUCACCCCUGUGACUCUUUCACCACGAUUUAACGGAAAUAUAAUAUUAAGAAUAUGCAUACUUUUUCAGAUGGCAGGAAGAGCGCGUCGUGGACAGAAUGAGCGCAUUCCUCCACCACCGCCACCACCUCCUACUCUGCAAGAGUUGAUGGCUCAGCAGAACGAGAUCUUGCGACAGUUGGCUCAGCAUCAGCCACCACCUCAGCCUUAUGGUGGUGGUGAUCAUCAGCGUCACCCCGCAGCAGCCACUUAUCAGGAAUUCCUCAGUACCCAACCACCAUUGUUCACCAGGGCUGAUGAUCCACUUGAUGCGGAUGUAUGGCUUAGGGUAGUGGAAUCCAAAUUCCCAAUACUCAAUGGAGUUUGUUCAGAGGUGACUAAGGUCAGGUUCGCCACCCAGCAGCUUCGUGGACCCGCGCGGACAUGGUGGGACCAUUUUCUUGCUAUGCAGCCAGCUGACCAUGAGGUGGAUUGGAGAGAGUUCAAGGCAGCUUUCAGGGGGCAUCACAUACCAGCAGGCAUUAUGGAUUGCAAGCUCAAUGAGUUUCUGGCUCUUACUCAGGGGAACCGGACAGUGUUACAGUAUGCUCAGGCCUUCAAUGACCUGUGCCAGUACGUCGGAUAUCAUGCAGACACCGACGAGAAGAGGGACAGGUUCAGGAGGGGGCUCAGCACUAAGCUCCGUGACCGUCUCAACACCAUCAGGGCCAACAGCUAUAAUGAGUUAGUCAACAUGGCCAUUUCUCAGGAGGACUGUAUCACAGCUCGUCAGGCAGAGAAGAAGAGGAAGACCCCUGUGGUAGGACCUUCAGCUCAGCCACAGCGCUUCAGGAUCGUAUCUGACACUCAGAGCAGAGGACCUUAGCAGCAGCAAGGACGUUGGGUGAUCCGACCACAGCAGCAGCAGGCACCCAACCGCACCCAGUUCCCAGCUCAGAGGAACAAUCAGCCACAGCAGCAGUAGUACCGCCAGGCCAAUGACAACAAGUGUUUCACUUGUGGUAACACUGGGCACUACGCUAAAAAUUGCCCCAGAAACCAGUAGAGGCAGGGACAGAAUGCCAACCAGAACCAAGGCAAGAGGCAGAAAGUGCAAGUGAGGCAGGGCAAACUAAACUUCACCACCAUGGCUAACAUUCCGGAGGGAGCACCCGUCAUGACUGGUAUCUUUUCAGUUUUGAAUUAUCCUGCAAUUAUUCUUUUCGAUUCUAGUGCAUCACACAGUUUUAUCAGUGCCAAAUUUAGUGCCAAGUGCCAAUUACCAUUUCACCACACCAACAGGGGUAUUACAAUUUCAACACCAGGAGGCAGGGUUGCCACCUAUCAAAUUAAUAGGCAGGUGCCUAUAAAAUUUGGUAGUCUUGUGCUUAGAACCACCCUUCUCAUCUUAGGGUUGGAUAGUGUGGACAUUAUAUUGGGAACUGAUUGGUUAUCCAGGCAUUAGGCAGUAUUGGAUAUUGCAGCAAGGGCCAUUGAGAUUCACUCCCCUACUUAUGGCGAGACUACUUUAUAUUUGCCUGAUCAGGGAUGUACCCGUUCUUGUGCAUUCACCAUGAUAGAGCCACCGGUUGAAAGAAUCCCUGUGGUCUGUGACUACCCAGAUGUCUUUCCUGACGAAUUGCCAGGAAUGCCACUGGACAGAGACAUCGAGUUUGCGAUUGAAUUGCAACCCGGGACUGCUCCUAUAUCCAAGAGACCCUAUAGGAUGCCUCCCGCGGAAUAAGCGGAGUUGAAAAAGCAGCUACAAGAGUUGUUGGACAAGGGGUUCAUUCGCCCAAGUACUUCACCUUGGGGAUGCCUAGCCUUGUUUGUAAAGAAGAAGGAUGAAAGUCUGAGAAUGUGUGUCGAUUACCGCCCUCUCAAUACGGUGACCAUCAAGAACAAAUACCCACUGCCCCGCAUUGAUGUUUUGUUUGAUCAGUUGGUGGGAGCCAAAGUGUUCUCCAAGAUAGACCUUUGCUCAGGCUACCACCAAAUCAAGAUCCGUGUCAGUGAUAUUCUGAAGACGGCUUUCUCCACCAUAUGUGGGCUCUAUGAGUUUUUGGUGAUGUCUUUUGGGCUGACCAAUGCCCCGGCCUAUUUUAUGUACCUGAUGAACUCAGUAUUCAUGCCAGAGCUGGACAAAUUUGUGGUGGUUUUCAUUGAUGAUAUUCUGGUCUAUUCCAAGAAUGAAGACGAGCAUACUGAGCAUCUGCACAUUGUGCUUCAGCGACUGCGUGACCAUCGUCUAUAUGCCAAGUUGUCUAAAUGUGAUUUCUGGCUAAGGGAAAUUAAAUUUCUGGGUCACACAAUUUCUCAGGAUGGGAUAUCAGUUGACCCUGAGAAAGUACAAGAAGUAAUGGAUUGGAAACCUCCUACCACAGUGCGGCAGAUUAGGAGUUUUCUGGGAUUGGCAGGGUAUUACCGACGAUUUAUUCCAGAUUUCUCUAGGAUUGCCAAGCCAAUGACUGAAUUGUUGAAGAAAGGAGUCAAAUAUGAAUGGAGCCAGAAAUGUGAGGAUGCUUUUCAUACACUAAGGCAGCAUUUGACAACAGCACCUGUGCUAGCUCAGCCGGACAACACCAAGCCCUUUGAGGUUUAUUGCGAUGCUUCCGAUACUGGAUUGGGAUGUGUCUUAAUGCAAGACAACAGAGUCAUUGCUUAUGCCUCCCGAGCACUCAGACCCCACGAGCAGAACUACCCCACACAUGAUCUGGAGUUAGCAGCUGUGGUUCAUGCUCUCAAGAUAUGGAGACAUUACUUGAUGGGGGCUCACUGUAACAUUUACACUGAUCAUAAGAGUCUCAAAUAUAUCUUCACCUAGGCUGAUCUUAAUAUGAGGCAGAGGAGAUGGUUAGAGCUAAUCAAGGACUAUGAUUUGGAGGUGCAUUACCAUCCUGGCAAAGCCAAUGUUGUGGCAGAUGCCUUAAGCAGGAAGGCCCAGUGCAAUUGUAUGAAUAUGGAUGCAAGAAUCACCACCUUAUGUGAUAAUUUGUGCAAGCUGAACCUAGAAAUCAUUUCCUCCGGAGCUUUAAAUUAUAUUUCAGUGGAGCCCACAUUACAAGAGCAAAUAGUCAUGGCAUAGAUUGGUGACAAGGGUGUUCAAGUUAUUAAGGAAAUGAUCAAGCAAAAGGUAGACAAGUACAAAUGCUUCUGUCAGGACAACAAAGGGAUCUUAUGGUUUGGAGACCGAUUGGUUGUUCCCAAGAACCCCGAGCUUAGAAAGAAGAUAUUGGAUGAAGCUCAUCUUUCAAAAUUUUCCAUGCAUCCAGGCAGUAACAAGAUGUAUCAUGAUCUCAUAUCUUUGUACUGGUGGACCAGGAUGAAGAGAGAAAUCGCUAAGUACAUAUCUGAAUGCAACACUUGCCAGAGAGUCAAGGCCAGUCACUUAAAGGCAGCAGGUGACUUACAGCCUCUUCCCAUACCCUCUUGGAAAUGGGAGGAUAUUUGCAUGGAUUUUAUUGUGCGAUUGCCCAAUACCUCCUGGCAUCACGAUUCUAUUUGGGUCAUUGUGGAUAGAUUGACCAAGACAGCUCAUUUCUUGCCAGUGCAUACCACCCACAGGGCAGAGAAGUAUGCAGAGAUCUACAUUGACCAGAUAGUUCAUCUGCAUGGAAUACCAAGGACUAUUGUGUCUGACAGAGGAGCACCGUUCGUAGCACGUUUUUGGGAGCAAUUGCAAGAAUCACUUGGGACCCAUGUGAUAAGAAGCUCAGCGUACCAUCCUCAGACAUAUGGACAGACAGAGAGGGUGAAUCAGAUUCUCGAGGACAUGUUGAGGGCAUGUGUGCUACACUAUGGAAAGGAUUGGGACAAGUGUCUUUCAUUGGCAGAGUUCUCUUAUAAUAACAGCUACCAGUCCAGUUUGAAGAUGGCACCUUUUGAGGCCUUGUAUGGAAGAAGGUGUAGGACACCACUAAAUUGGUCACAAGCUGGAGAGAGAGAAAUUUUUGGACCAGACUUGGUACUUGAAGCAGAGGAAAAGGUCAGAGUUAUUAAAAGGAACCUAGAAGCUGCUCAGGCCAGGCAAAAGAGCUAUCAUGACAAGAGGAGGAAGCCUCUACAGUUUGAAGUGGGAGAUCAUGUUUAUCUUAAGGUGUCACCCACCAAAGGUGUUCAGAGAUUUGGAAUCAAUGGCAAGUUAGCUCCUCGCUACAUUGGACCCUAUGAGAUCAAAGCAAAUUGUGGACCUGUGGCAUAUCAAUUAAAGUUGCCACCCCACAUGUCAGCAGUUCAUGAUGUGUUCCAUGUAUCUCAGCUACGGAAGUGUGUCCGCUUACCCACUGAAGUACUACCUGAACUAGAAAUUGAGAUAGAACCAGACUUGUCUUAUCAAGAGCACCCCAUCAAGGUAUUGGACCAAAAGGAAAGAUCAACGCGGGCAAGGUCGAUUAAAAUGUAUAAAGUUCAGUGGAGUCACCAUUCAGUAGAAGAGGCUACGUGGGAGACUGAGGAUUUUCUACGUUCUCGCUUCCCCGACUUUCUGCCCAAAGGAAUCGGUACGUAAUCGAAAAACCCCACCCCCACCUGCCCUUUGAAUCUAAAUAUAAGAAAAACCUAGAUGUUAAAGGUUUAGUAAGCUUCGAAAAUAACUUUAGAAGGGCUUCCUUCUGAAGUUGCAAAAAGGAUGACAUUCGAAGAGCAGUUAACUAGAGAACUUGGACAAAGGAAAAAGCAGCACACCAGCACACCUUCAUGGCACCCCUCCCAGGACUCUACCUAAAAUCUCGGGACGAGAUUCCUUUAAGGGUUGAUUUGGUGACAAAGGGAUCCCAGGAGGAUUGGAGGGGAUUGAGGGGGAAAUGAACUAAUUUCCCCCUCAAUCCCCUCCAAUCCUCCCGGGAUCCCAGGUCACCAAAUCAGCUCUAAGGGGGAGGGCUGUAACACCCCAGGUGUUACUUAGGGUGUUCACCCAGGGCUACACUAUUAGACCUAUCAUCACAUGUGGUUUAGUUUGAGCAAAGUACCCCAAACUUGGAGAUCAAGAUCCUAAGUGUAACCCAUCUUAGAUGUCAUGCCUUGGUUUAUUAUGCAAGUAUAUAGGGGAGAAUUCCCCAAACCCUAAUGCAAACCCCUUGGGACAAUUGGAACCCUAGAAGUAAGUAUGACCAAAAGGUUAUGAAAACCACAUGAUCAUGACUUAGGCCAAUUAUAAAAGUUGUAGUACCCUUAAUACCCUACAAAUAAUAGUAAGAAAGUAACCCCAAAAAGAUUUCAGAAAAACCCCAAAAGGUUCACCAAAGGGUUGAGCACAAAAGAAAAAUCAAAAUUUUUCUAAGUCCAAAACCAACCCUUGGCCAAAGAUCAAACAUGUUCACCCUCAUUCCAACUUCAAAACCAUUUGGUCCCAUUGACAAAGUGGCGCCAAAAUACCUCUAGAAUACCCUGGAAAAAUUUGAACCCAACCCUAAGUCGUUGGACAUGACUUGGCACAAGUUUUGUCUUGGUUUGGAUAGCUAGGACAGAGACAACUUCCCACCCCCAUAUCUCUCAAACCCGACCACAUCUACCCUCGGUACUCACAUGAACUAGAUAGCUCUAGGUGCAGGGAAGAAAUCUCUCACCGGUCUUAGGGCAAGAUACACACAAUUUGGCCACUCAACAGAGGGAAGAACAAGGGCAGAAGCAAAGAGCCACGUGUUUGACGCGCUCUGAGCUCGCCAGAGCACGCCGGACGCGCGCCCCCGCGUGCCCCGCGUCGCGCCAAAGCUGAGCCGGCGCCGCUGCCUGCGCCCGCGCCUAUAAAGCCCCUAGAGACGUAGACCGUACUCCUCCUCGCACGCUCGAACUCACCGGCACACCAGCUCACCGGCAUUGUCCCGUGCACGGUGUGCCCGCGGCCACCCGAACACCCGCCACCGUAGACUGGCCAGUAGAGCCUCUCCCAACCCCAUCCGACCCUCGGAGUAGACCGUGCAUGCCUCGAUGAAGCUCCCGGAGCAAGGAAUCGGACUUUUCCUCGCCGGAGAAGCCAGUCCACGGUCGCCGGACUUCACCCGACCGCCGGUGAACGAAGACCGAGCUCCACGGUGAGUUGUUCUUCAAUUCCUUGCACGAGUCGACUCCUUGACACCCUGUGAAGCUCCCCGUGCCAUUGGAUUGACCGGUAUCGCCGUGGUUAGGCCGGAGCACUCGCCGCCGACGAGUUCACCCGCCUGCGCACGUGGACCGGUCGAUUCCGGCCACCACCGUCGUCGAGCCGUACCUCGCUGUGACCGCCAGGACCUCCCGGAGCCAACCCCGUCCCUCGCCGGACCUCUCUCGCCGCCGGUAAGCCGCACCACCCUUUUCCUUUCCGCGGGUACUGUUUACAUAAGGCGAGGGACCUCGGGGGAGAAGAAGAAAAGGGCAGGGGGGUUUGUGCGCUGUCAGUGACUCAAGGGAACAGUAGCGCAGGGGUAUAACUGAAAGGAUUAGUUUAGAAAGAACCCAGGGUCUUUGAUGCAAAUAGGUUUUCCAGGAAACCUUUUUAAAUAUUCUGAUUUAAAUCCAAACAGAACUUGAAAAAUUCAUAACUUCAGUUUUGUUUACCCAAAUCAAGUCAAACCAAUUUUGCCAGAUCCUAAAUAAUGUAAACUACUUAGGAAAAAUAUAAAACCCCUAAGUGUUGAAGAAAACUUUAAGGUUUUGAUUUAAAUGGUUAACUGGUCUAAAGCUAAAAUAAAUAAGGAAAAAUAGCUACACUAUUAGACUGGGAUUAAGAAAAUUCAGAGAAGUAAUUAAUCACUUCCUAACCUGUUAAAAAUUAAUAAACCCCUCUGUACACCAAGUUAAGGUAGAGUUUGCCAUUUAAAUCACUUUUUGCUUAAAGUUAAAGAAAAUAGGAAAUGUAGUUUAAAUGAAGAACCAGGGAGCACCCACAUUUUUGUUAACUUUCUUAUUCAGUAUAGUUUACUAGAAAAAUUUAUUAUACCCUUGUUUAGUACAGAAGAAAUGAAAUACCUCUUAUUUCAAGAAAACAAGGAAAACUUAGAAAAACCCUAGAAAAAUAACCCUGAGGAGAAAACACCCCAAACCUUGGGAUAACUAAAGUUUGUUAUUAUGAACAUAGAAAAAUUAUGAGUUCUGUUGUUUGAUAUUUUUCAAAUAACAAGCUAGUUGUAAGUGUCUUUUUAGCAUUAAACUUUGGAAAAUCAACUCUAAAUAACCACUAAGUAACUUUCUGUGAUUUUUGGCACAGAAGCAUGUUAUCACCUAUAGAUACCAGCAAAAAUAACUCCUAGUACAAAACCAACCCCUAAAUAGGAGUUGUAGUGCAAAGUGACCCCUUUGCCCCAACUCUUGUUAUUUUUUCCCAGGGAUUAUUUUAAUUAUUCUGGACCCCAAAUUUGUAAGACAGACUACAGUAACAAAUAGUAACCCACUGUAAUUUUUACAGGAUUUUUGGAAAAAUUUAAAUCACUGUUGUAGUUCAAACCCACCCUAAAAUCAUGAAUAGAAAAAGAAAAGGGGAAUCUAAUGGUGGAGACUAAUAUUACCCUAACCGAACCAGCAAAACCCCUUGAGUACCCACUGAAAUAUUUAAGGGGCAUCCAAGUCUUAAUCCAUUAUGCUUAGGCAAGAACCUCAAACCUAAAUUGAUAAGCCUAAAACCCUAAGAGCCUCUUAUAGCAAGGAAACCCUAAAUGAUUAACUAACUUAGUUUUCUGCACUAAGGUAUAAUUGCUAUUAAAUUCUACAUAUCAUAGCAUGCAUAUAUCUUAUUCAUUGCAUUCGAUAGAUUGCAACCUCGCGGACGGAGAGUACAUCCUCGUGCCAGAGCAAGGAGUUGCUCAGGAGGUAGCCCCGGAUCCAGCACCAGAGCCUGCCCCAGAGGAUCUGCCUGCCCUAGCUUUGGAAGGCAAGCCCCGGUUUUAUGCAUAACCUAUCCAUUAUGCUAUUUUACUACACUUAAUGAUUGUAGGAUUGAAUGUGCACUUAAGUGUAGGAGUUGUAUGAAACCUUAGUUGCAUGAACUCAGGAUUCCUUUUUGAGAUGGAUACUAGUAUGCUAGGUCGAGUAGAUGCUUUGCUAAUUAGGGAUCUCGGUAGAAGUCGAGUGAUUUUUCUAGCACUCGCGCGAGGUCAGGAAUUGGUUGUAUCCAUUUCUUUUCACAUCAUAAGGAUGAUGGUCUGUGGACGAUGGUCCAUGGGGAUGCGUUGUCUACGAGACGGAAAUUGGAAUAAGGAUUAAGGUGUGGUACCGUGUGUCAAGCGUUUGAACGUACUAAACACAUACCGAGAAAUAUGGUAAAUCAGUAAGCCUAGUACCUGAGUGAACCUGGCAGCAGAUUGCCCUCCUCACACGACCUGAGACGUGGUCUCCCAUUCUGGUUAUGGUGGGUACAAGUGCGGUCACUGCACGACGGCAGUCGGGGUCAGUGGGGCAUUGUAUGCCAAGGCAGUGAGCCCCUCUCUGCUGACGGGGGAUCGAUGGGGACGGUUGGUGUGUGUGGGGACUGAGUGCCGCACCACGUCGUGUGUUUAGGUUUACCUUGCAAGGUUUAAAAACUCGAUUCGAAUCGUCUGCUUCUCGCAGCUAAUGAGACUGCUUGAUCCAUGCUGCUACAUUGAGUAAUAAGUGGAAAUGAGUCGACUGGCAAAAGAUGUUGAUUGCUAAAAAUGUUUGAUACCAUGUAUGAAUAGCUAGGUACACGUCUACUUUAAAAGGAUCAUACUAAAACUUGAAAAGCUAAAACUUGAUUUUUAGACUCAGCUAGUGCUUUUGGCAAACCAAACCCCUCAGCGAAACAGCUGCAUGUCUAGAGGUAAAGGAGUAGACUCCUCACACCGGGUAAGUCUAGCUGAGUAUUUGUAUACUCAGCCUUGCUUGUGGCAUCAUUUUUUAUAGGUUCUCUGGAGGACAUGGUUGCUAGAGUGACUUGGCCAUCCACCUUGCCACCGGGUUGGACAGUCGAGUGGGACCCUACCUCAGCUGAGGAGGAGCAUGAGGAGUGAUGGGACAGGCUUCCUUGUCUCUCCGGUUACUUAUCGUUAGUUUUAUUCCGCUGCAUUCCGAACAAUGAGCACUACUUUUGCAAAAACUCCGAUGAUAACGAUGUAAUAAAUUUAAUACUCCUUAAUGUAUGGUUUUAUGUUUUAUUGUAUUUGCUCUGUGCCUCACCAUCGAGUGAGUACGUGGUACUUGAUCAUGUUAGUGGCCUUGUCGGACUCGAUCCGAGGGACUGACGUUUUAUUCCCAUUUAAGUGUGGUCUAGCCUUUAAGGUGGGACUUAGGCACUUAAGUUGGAAUAAUUCGGGCGGUUGCGCCACACGUCGGGGCUUCGGCCACGUGCCAUGGGCACGCGCAAGGGGCGUUGUGGUUGGGCACACGUCGUACGUCGGCGGGGCUGCGCACGGCGGAGGCGAAUCGUAGGCUCGACUCUGGGCAGCGGCGCGACGGCUCUACGCAGGUGCUUAGCUCGGCCAGCAUGCUGCACAAGGACUAGGGGCGGCCUUGCCACACAUAGGGGCUAGACGCCGUGCAAGGCGGGCACGAGGAAGCUGGUCGUGCGGGGGCCUCGACCGGCGCUGCGGACAUGGUGGGACGUGUAGCCAUGGCUGCACACCGCCACUGCACGAGAAGGGGAGAAAGCGGGCUGCUGCAGGGACUACACGUGUGCGAGGACAUUGGAGCGACAGCGGUUGGAUAGGAGCACAUAGGGACAGGCCACGGGGCUUACCCGCUCGACGACGGUGGCUGGAGGCGCUCGGCACGGACGACGGCGGUGCUCCGGGCGGCUCCUAGCGAGGCGAGGUCGAGCAUGAGGCGAGGGAGAGCAAAAUUGCGCAGGGAGAGAGAGGCGGAGGCGGUUCCAAGCCUUUAGGCGUUUGGUGCGUGUGUCGUGGGUGCCGAAGGGGGUGAAUGGGUAGUUGCAUUGUGGAAGAUCUACAGUGGGGAAGGGCGCUGACGUGUGGGCCCGAAAUAGUGGUUGGCGGCACGGCCGCGGGGCGGGGGCAGCAGCAGGUUGGGCCACACGGACGGCCUAGGUCGGCGAGCGGUGGGCUAGGGCGCACGGUGGGCCGAGGGAGCUAGGCUACGCGCGGGGCUGCAGGCCUGGGCCGAGAUGGAGAGCAGGUCGGGCGGGAGCGCGCCAUGGCGUGGGCCGCACGGGGGAGAAAAGGCCGGAGCGCCGAUGGGCCACGGGGCGCACGCGGGGUGGGCCACGGGAAGGGGAAGGACGGACCGGCUGGGGGAGCUGAGCCCCUUUUCCCUUUUUUUAUUUUCUUUCAUCUUUCCUUUUUCAUUUGCAUAUAUUCCUACUAUGUAAGCUCAAAUUCAGGCACAAACUAUCGAUUAAAUGAAUGCUCAACUAAGUCACUCAUCAAACAAAAAUACACAUGUGCUCCAGCAUGAUGCAACAACCAUUAUUCCCUUGGGAUUUUAUUUUAUUACACUUAACACUUACAAUAUAAAGCAAAAUACUUCUCCAUUAUUUAGAAGAAAGAUAGGAAAGGAAAAGGAAGGAGAGGGUAACUCCUGAAUUUGGUAGAUAUCAGAAAAGAAAUUUUAUACCCCAAAUUCAGGGUGUUACAAACCUAUCCCCCUUAAAAGAAUCUUGCCCCGAGAUUCAAGGUUGGCCAGCAAAGAGCUCAGGGUACUUGGAUUUUAGUUCAUCUUCUCGCUCCCAGGUUGCUUCUUCCUCAGAGUGUGACCUCAUCUGACUUUACACAUUCUGAAGGUAUUCCUCCGAGUGACUCUGUCUGCAGUCUCUAGAAUCUGUGUUGGCUUCUCUAUGUAUGUCAGAUCCUCUUAGACUUCUAGAUCCUCCACCGGCAACUGCUCCUCUAGCACUCUCAGACACUUCUUCAACUGAGACACGUGGAACAUCGUGCACUGCUGACAGACUUUCUGGAAAGCUAAGCUGGUAGGCCACUUCUCCAUGCUUUGCCUGAAUCUGAUAUGGUUCGACAUAUCGGGGUGCUAGUUUGCUCUUGACUCUGAACAUUCUGACUCCUCUGAUGGGUGACACCUUUAAGUACACAUAAUCUCCCACUUCAAAACUCAACUCUCUUCUUCUGGUGUUGGCAUAGCUUCGUUGCCUUGACUGCGCUAUUUUUAGAUUCUCACAAACCAUUUUGAUGUUCUCUUUUGCCUCGAACAAAAUGUCUAGCCCAAACACUUGUAUCUCUCUAGGUUGAUCCCAAUGCAAUGGAGUUCUGCAACUCCUUCCAUAAAGUGCCUGAAAUGGUGACAUCUUCAAGUUGGCCUAAUAAUUGUUGUUGUAGGAGAAUUGUGCAUAAGGUAGCCUCUUAUCCUAUCCGGAUUUGUCUUGUAGUGCACAUGCCCUCAACAUAUCUUCUAGAAUCUGAUUAGUUCUUUCAGUCUAACCGUUUGUCUGCGGGUGAUAAGCGGAACUGAAAUUCAAAUGUGUUCCCAAAGCUUCAUGCAACUGCAGCCCUCAACAAAUAUCAAGCACAAGUCCAAGACACAAGACCAAAAAAGCCCAAGAAUAGAAGCCUAAAGAAUACAAAGGUUGGGCUGUCAGCCGGAUCACCGGAACGAGUCUGUAGAGAGCACAGAAAAGCCAGCUCUCGGCCAGCUGAAGCACCGGACUGGUCCGAUGUGCAAUGGACCGAGUUCAAUGGUCGACAAUGGCUACUUCCAACGGCUCUCUAGCACCGGACCGGGUGAGUGCGCCAACGGACCGUCUAUAGUGCCAGGCGGGUCCAAUGGCUAGAUGACGUGGAGGCUCAGACCGGACGGUCCGGUGCGCUCACAGACAGAAGCCUACAGCUUUACACCAACAACUAGUUUUGAGUGGGAGCUCUAUAUAAAUCCUCUAGCCGGCCAUAUGGAGUUGUGGGAGCCCAAGCAACAUAUCAAGGAAGUCCAUACACAUUUCCAAGUGCUCCAACACCCAAGUUCUCAAUAGAAUCACUCGGUCAUUAGCGUAGGUACUUUGCAAAGUGCUUAGGUUAGUUAAACCGCAUUAGCGCUUGCUCUAGGUUUGUUCCUAGUUGUGUGAGUGAGGUUAGACAACCCACAAACCCCUCGGCUCUUGCGCAAGCCGUUGUAAUAUUGUACCGAGUGGGGCAAAAGUCUUGCGAGACCGUAUUAACCGCGUUUGUGAUGCGGCUGCCACCGUGUACCGGAGGAAACGAGGCUCGCGGCAUUUCGGCUGGAAGCUUGAUAGUGAAGACAGCGGGGAGCGUCCGAGAGGAGCCGGAAGCGGAGCACCACUUGCAUAUGGAGAAGGCUCGCGGCUCUCUAUGGAGUUACUCGUCCAUGGUUCUUGGCCCUCGCGUGGGCUACCCUUUGCGUAGGGGCACCAACGAGGAUUAGUCGGGACCUUGCGUGGUUCCGGAUACCUCGAUAAAAAUUCGGCGGCGUCCACAGGAGUUUGCAUCUCUACCUUUGCUCUUUAGAUUUCCCAUUUACAUUCAAAUAUUUAAGUUCCAUUCUCUCUGUUCCUAGUUUAGAUUUGUUAGGAUUGGAACUUAGGUUGCAAAACUCCUUUUACGGUAGAGAUAGCAACACUUAGACAAAACCUAGUUUGCACAUUCUAGUUAUGUUAUUUGCAUACGUUUUGCUCUAUGGUUUAAUUUGUGGCCUAGAUUAGAGAAAGUUUUUAGAAGUCCUAAUUCACCCCCCCCCCCUCUCUUAGACGUCUCGAUUCCUUUCACUUGUGCCUUUCGUCGCAGCGUCUCUUCCUUCUUUCGCCUUACGUAUUCCUCGAAGCGCUGUUGAUCCUCAGCCGACAGACUCUCAAGAGUCGGCUUCAUGAUGUUGCUGAGAGAAACGUCGGUGUGAUCCUUUGAACCGACCAUAUGUGGCCGAUCUUCGAUAGGACACACCAAACUGUCCCCAGCGGAGUCGCAGAAAAGUGUGUUGGCCCCUAUUUAGGGUCAAACACUAGGGGUUGUACCGCCUAGCGGUGCUCUCUGCGGCAGUGCGGACGGUCCAUAGCUAGGGUCGGACGGUCCGCGACCUUGCGGCAGGAGCGGGUCUUCUCUCCACACAGCUGGGCGGACCGCGCUCUGGGGCCGGACAGUCCACGUGUACGCAGAGGGUGUGUAGAACCCUAGAUCUCACAUCCCAGGAGGGAACCCGUCGGGGAGAAGAGUUCUAGGGGGUGCUUCGGAAUCGGCAGGCCACCUAGGGCAUCCCUAGACGACGUAGAGUCGAAGAGGGACGAAGAUUUGAGGUUGGGGGAAAGCUAAGCUAGGUCUAAAUUACUGCUACUCCUAGGGCAAGAAAGUAAAGGAAAUAAAAUAAAGAUUGAUUGGUUCGAUUGUUGAUGUGCGUAAUCGGUUGUACCCCUUCAUAUAUACAGGGGAGGUCUGGACCCAUUCCUAGACGUCCCUCAAUAGAAUCUGCAUCAUUGGAUGGAUAAGUACGCAUAGAAAGAGGGGUUAUCUCGCCUGAUCUAAUUUUAUCACGGACCGUCCGGGCUCACCCGCGGAUCGUCCGCGACGCGGACCAUCCGGCCUCUCCAGGUGCACAAAUGGUGCUCAAUAGGUCUCAAAAGAAAUUUUUACUCCAACAUUUAGGCCUUAAAUAAUGUUAUUUAGGAAAUAAAUCAUAUUAUUAGGAACUAAAUGGUUGGAGAUUAAGAGGAAACGAGGAUAGAGCUCUAGUAUAUGGUGUACUGUAUUUAGGAUCUGAGAGGCCGGACCCUAUAAUCGUUUGAUAAAAUUUUAUAAAAUAGAGCCGCUGUUGGAAGAGUGUUUAAUGGUUAUGAGCCCUAUAUUUAAAUAGGGCCACAUUUAGAGCCUCUCUUGGAGAUGCUCUAAUUAGCCCAAGGGUUAACUAAAGUUAGGCCGUUUAUUAGUUGUCCUGUUUGGAUGUAAAUAGAUUAAACUUUAGUGGCUAAAGUUUGGUCAUUUGUAUUCAAACACGUCCUUAGCUAGGUCUUUUAUAUAAAAUGUAGUUUGAAUUUGGAGAGUGGGAUGGGGGUGUAGGAUAGCUAUUCUAUAGUACUUAGCCUAACAGAUUAGGAGAGAAAUAAUAAUAGUAUGCUAAUUCAGUUACAAUGCACGCCCAGACAACUUUUGUCUCUCGAUCGAUGAUAAGAUCAUCUAGCCCCCACGUACUCCAAGCGCAUUGAGCCAUAACUAUUUCGUUCAUCCUCAGACCUCAGUGUGGACGUCCAUAAGCUACAUCAUCCGCAGUGUGGUCCGCCUUCGAACUCUAGGUUCGUUUUGUUCCAAGGUUGUCGUCUGCUCAUCGCGGGUGCUUCAUGGUGCGCGAAAUGGCCUGCGCACUUCUGUUCCUUCCUAAGAACCUUCGUAUUUGCUAUGUACCCUGGUGUUUUUGGACUAUCUGAAACUCCCCUCUUCAUAGCCCUUGGCUACAAUGACCUAUGAUGUUGCACCCAAUGAUACAACGAUCGGCACGCGCGCACGCAUUUCUCAACAGCUAGGAAUACUUAUAGCAACAUGACAUUAGUGGGCAAACCAGGCAACCAUUUGAUAACAUAAACCCAGGAAACAUACAGAACUAGCACUUAUUGCAACACGGUCUUUAACUACGACAGAACAACCAAGCACUGCAUGUCAUAAGGUAAAAUGGUACUUUAGUGUUACAAGUAGCACAUAACUUGACACAACAGACAGCUGCUCAAAAGAAACCAGAGAUCCUUUUAGUUACAGCAGCUCAUAACUUGCACCUUGUAGCUUCAUAAAUUUGACCGUUGCUGCAGAUAAAUUAUCAUGAACGUGUCCGACACAAAGCCAAUGAUGACGAGAGAAACAACAGUGUCAAACGAGGCGCACUUAUGACAAUGAAAUGAGAAUUACAAUGAAUGGUCACAAGUUUGUAUGGCCGUAUGGGUUGGAGAGGCAAGGUUGGAUGGGAUAGGGCCAUCCAUGGAUUUAGGAUAGAAUCAUAGAAUGAUGCUCCUACAUGUAUUAGCUCAUUAGGUUGGACGGAUUGCAUGAGCCAAAUUCUUGUUUGGUUGGUUGCAAGUUUUCAAAUGGGAUGAUCCAGCAGAUUUUUGUUUGGUUGGUUGUAUGUGGAUAGAUAAGCAGGGUAUGAUAAUCUUCAAAUUGGUGUGUUCAAGUUUUGACACAUCCAAGGCAUGAUGGGAAACACAAUCAAUAGUUGCUAAACUUGAAUAAUGUAGCUCAUCAUCAUGAAUUGGAUUCCUGCUGAGAAAAUUACAUUACUAACAAAUAAUUAGAGGUCAAAAUUUCACACUGCCGACCACAAGCUGCACAUACACAUGAACAUUUUACUCAACUUACUACCAUUGACUAAAAGCAAGACAAGCCACAGCAUUGCAUUAACCUUUCCGGACAAAUAACUACCACCAACCAAAAUUUCCAAUAACAAACACCACAAACAAUAAGCACUCUUGCAUCUAGAAACAAGCACAACAACUACCUGCCAAAUUCAAAAUCGAACUAAAUUGGCAGCUACAGCCUACAGGUACAACUGCAGAACCAAUUCCUAGGGCCUCCAGGAAUUGCAUGAGCAGUACGAAUUGAGGGAGAACACAGGGGCAGCAGCAAUCAGCCAAGCACUAGCACCAGGAUCCCUGUGCGGACAAAUCAGUGAAAAGGCACUAGAACUAGUAAACGCCAGUGGAGCAGCAGCACAACAACGGAGCACAAAGCACCAGCGUCUGGACAGAGGGCCUGCUGGUUCCCAAUUGCUGUGCGCAUCCCAGUCAGAAACAGGUUAAUGAGGGAUGAGAUUGGGAACAAUUGGAGCAAAAAGAAAAGGCACAUUAGGUGACCACAACCAGUCGCGCAAUAAGUAUUCAACAAGGCCAUGGACUACUCUGUCCACCAGAUUUGCAUGGACAUCCCAUCCAAGAUCUCGGGGGAAUAUCCCCACUGGUUGGGCAUCCCAUCUAACUGAACAACUUUAAAAAAUGGGUUGACCGUCUCCCAUCCACCCCCACCCCACAAAUCAAACACACCAUGAAAUGUUAGGGCUGCAACAAUGAGGUUUGCAAGAGAACCAGAAAAUACUAUAUCUAUUUCAAAACACAAGUCACAGCAGUAUUCAAGACUUCCUAUUUGGAACGUAAUCAUCUGCCUCUUCACUAACCUUCAGUACCUCAGAAGUCAACGAAGGUUUCCCUGCAAGGCCCUAGUUAUUUUCAGUCAUCAAGCUGAGAUGAAACAUACAAACAAUUAAUGUUAGUGAGGGCUUCCGUGAAAGGUACAUUAAAUUUCAAAACAGGCAAGUAGUGAUGCUGAUGCAGUCUUCUCUUACGUGGCAACCCUGGUCUCGUUUUCGUGGUUCUCCACCAACUUUAAAUUCUUCGAGUUCUUAGCCACCCCCUCCAACAACUGGAUUGUUUCCAUUGUCUCCAUCGGAAUGGUUUUAAAGUCGUCCGACUAAUCGCGAUUAGUCGCGAUUAGUCGGACUUAUCGCUGCUGCAAGGCCGAUUAGGGCCACCGACGCGAUUAGGGCGACUAGAAACCUAGUCGUCCGACUAAUCGCGAUUAGUCGGCGAUUAGUCGUCCGAUUAGGGUUGUUCUCGACUAGGUGCUUUGUUUUGGGCUCCAGGCUGCUCUUUUCUAUUUGGGCCGGCCCACCAGGGGGGCUGAAAAGCCUGAAACUGUGCCAAUGCCGUUACAGUCUUUAACCUAGCUGGAGUUGAGCGCCACCGCUUCAUCUGCUUGCUGCUAACUGCUCUGAGCGCCGCCGCCCUCCCCUGCUUGCUGCUGCUCUGAGCGCCGCCGCCCUCCUCUGCUUGCUGCUGCUGUGAGCGCCGCCCUCCUCUGCUUGCUGCUGCUGUGAGCGUCGCCGCCCUUCUCUGCUUGCUGCUGCUCUGAGCGCUGCCGCCCUCCUCUGCUUGCUGCUGCUCUGAGCGCCGCCCUCCUCUGCUUGCUGCUGCUGUGAGCGCCGCCGCCCUCCUCUGCUUGCUGCUGCUCUGAGCGCUGCCGCCCUCCUCUGCUUGCUGCUGCUCUGAGCGCCGCCCUCCUCUGCUUGCUGCUGCUGUAAGCGCCGCCGCCCUCCUCUGCUUGCUGGACGCCCUCCUCUGCUUGCUUUGUUGGAGAUAUAUGACGUUUUGCACUAGUAAGGCUGCUGGAGAUAUACCAGAAGUGUUGUCCUACUAAUCUUGCAGUGUGCUGUUGUAUACUCCAAUCCAAGGUAAGUGUCUAAGUGAUCUUUACCUUUUAGUGAAAACAUGAUCAUUCAUUCAUUCUACAGUUUCAUUGUAAUAUUGUCAAUAGAUUUGCAAUCUAGUAUAUAUAUAUAUAUAUAUGGUCCUGUUAUAGAUGGACGACUAUAGGACGACUAGGGAGUCGACUAGGAUCGACUAAUCGAGCUAAUCGACGACUAAUCGCGAUUAGUCACCUUAUCGGUGCUUAGGCGACUAGAGUCGACUAGCCGACUUUAAAACCUUGCUCCAUCCAUACUCGUACAGUCUUCCAUUGAACCAGAUACUUCAGAGUUCAGAUCUCUAACAUCACUGACCCUACAGAUAGAAGAGAGUAAUCAAAUAUCACUAAUAUGAUGCAACAAUAUUUGCAUUAAGCGAAAUGAAGUUAAGGUUUAAUAUUCAGACAAUACCCCAUAGGCCGCGCUGAUGAGCUGUUCACAGUAGCAGUCUCGCAAGCAAAUUCCUUCCCAAGCUGGGUCAGAACUGAUGCUGUAUGUUCCCUUAUACUCUCACAAGUAAAAACUUCCAUGACCACGUCAUGGUCUCGACUAAGCAAGUCAAAAAUGGACUUAGCCUCUGUUGUGAUACCCUUCAAGUACAUCGUUUUUGCAGUUUGGUUAAAGAAGCUUGACAGGAUAACAGAGGAUUAAAAAAUACACAAUUACUCCCUAUAUUCAUAUUUAUAAGGUGUGGUUUGACUAUCCAAGUUCAUGCUUUGACCAGACAUUAGUCCCAUAAAAUGUGAGUUACGUAACAAUUCCUAAUUAAAAGCACUUGCUACUGACUAUGAUUUUGUAACUACCAACAUAAUACUAUAGGGAGAAUUUACAGCAGAAUAUUGGUUUUUGCAUAGUCAAAAUAAAGCCUAUAAAAUGAAUGGAGAGAGUAUCAGGAACACACCAUCAUGGCACCAGCAGCAACAGCAGAUUCAGAACCUUUGUAGAGCAUAAGAUUCAAGGCAGACCGCCGAACCUUAUUGCAGACGGCGACUUCUUCGGUGGUGUCAAAAUCACAAGGCAAAUAAUUGUACAUUAACUCGGCCUCCUUCGCAAUACACUUGGGACCACAGUUUGCAUUUGGUGCAAAGCAACAAGUUAAACAUGAACCAAUAAUUACUAGAAAACUAGUUUGGCAACAGUUUGGUGUAGUUUGUAGCAAGCAUACCUCCAAGCAUAUAGUUACAAUCAAAGAUUGAUCACCCUCUGAUUGGAUCAUUUGCUUUGCCUGGUCCUUGAUCCGGAGGAUCAGCCUUUUGUCGUCAGGAGUGAGAAAGCUAGCACAGUACCUGAGAAGUGCCUUCUCCAUCUUGAGGCACUGGAAAGCAUUUUGAUUGUUUUUGCAAUGGUGCAAGUUAAUUGGCAACUGAACCAAUAUAUAAAAUAUAAACAAGUAUGGCAGGCCACAGUUCAGUAAUGCAGAGGUAGGGGAACUAUACCGAUUUGGCUGCAGCAAUCAGGGCACUCUUUUCAGCAACAAUCCAUCCAAAUGGAUCAGGCUUCUGCUCGGCACAAAGAAAAGCUUCACGAUUAUGGUCGAAAUAGUCCCCAAGGUAUUUCUUGAACACAUGCAACUCAACAUAACCAGGUCUGUAGGGCACCAGCCUCUUCCAUCCCCAUCCCGUCUCAAGAAGAUCUUGGCAUGGGCAACGAAGAGCUAAUUAGAUGCAACGUGAUACGUAAUAGGCAAAUACUGUAGUAAAAAACUAAGAAACCUCCAAAUUAUAGAACAAAAAACACAGAUAGGAAGGGGGGCAUACAGCUUUGGCACCAAACCGGCAUCAUGAGCAAGCAGGAGCAUGUAUCAUAUAUCUCUGUUAACAUAUUGAUUUUUACAGCAAAUCAACUAACAUCUCUUCCCUAGAUCGGUUGAAUCCAGCACCAGCCACACAAGGAGAACAUGAACUGGAAGAAAUAUAAAAGAAAAUCGCACCUCUGUUCAGUAUCAAAUACACCGGCGGAAGCGACGCCACACCGGCCACCAUCCCCUCCACAGUUUCCAUCCAACUCAACACAUGGUAUCUAGGGACGUACGAAUGAUUGAUCUCCUGUGUGAAGGCAUCUUCUACUCCGGCUUCAUCUGCCAUAGGGUCAUCUGCGGCUGAGGAAUCCAUUUUAGGGUUUCAGAUGCGGGGUGGGGAACAAGUACGGAGCGGCGUAGGAAUUGGAUGCAGAGUUAAGAUUUACGAACCGUUUGCCAUGGGCUGUUGCUGGUGCCUUCUGUACGCCUGGACGCCGUGCCGCAAUGACCCUCCGCCCAGCUUCCCCUGCUGCCGGCUGAUGGCUGACGUUGGUUGCUGGUGAGUCGGUGACGAACAGCAAGUCGUCCGGCAGAUCUGAGGAAGCCGUGCCGACUGCUAGCCUGCUACGCGCAGACGUUGGUGAAGAUUGAAGAAUCGGCAGGGGCGUAGGAGGGGAGGCCGCCGGCACGGAACGAUGGACCGCCGGAUGGCCGGAGAGGUGGAAGAAGCAACAGCCGCAGCCCUGUUUCUCGAUGCGCCGCCGCCUGCGAGAGUGCGAGGCUACGUUUUUCGCCUGGCACACGGGCAGCAACAACCCUAAAAACUUUGCUUUUCCGUUUAUACCCCUGAGUAGACAUGGCCGCACUGAAUUGAUUGAGGGGCUACAUUGGGUAAAAUCAAAAAACGUCUGGUUCAUAUGUGAACCGCCGGGUCACCGGUUCCACGGAAAACCAGUCUUAUUUCCGCUCCGAUUACGGUAACGAUCGUUUAGCUGAACCGGACCACCAACGCCUUUGGCUCUGCGCCCGAAAGAGGGGAGAGUGGCCGACUGGGGGUGGGCCCCACCUGCCAGCGCCGUUAUGCAAGCGGGUCGCCAUUGUGUCACGUGGGGUGUGGCUGACGCGUGUUGCCCGGCGGCAUCCCCCUCCGUUCCUUUUUUACAUUUAGGGCCUGAUUGGUUGCCGUAUCUAGGCAGCAUAGCCGAGCGAGCCAGGUCCGCGGCAGCCUGGCUGUGCAUCGCGUGAGCCUGGCUCCACAGAUGCGCAGAUUUUGGUCGCAUCUCCAGAGCCUGGCCCGAGCUCCUUUUUUGCAUCGCGAGACACAGGCGCUGAUGCAUAUGCGGCAAACCAAACAAGCGGCAAAGUAGCACGCGCCUGGUUACGUGGAUGCAACCUACAACCAAACACACUAUGGCCGCAUACCGUGAGCCUGGUUGGCCUAUAUGCGGGCAACCAAUCAGGCCCUUACUUGUUACAUUUCACCCUCUAGGGUAAAAUUAAAUAUAGGUCCAGGAACAAAAGAGGAAGGGCAUAAAUUAAAUUAUUUAUUUGUAUUUUUGCCCUUGGAUGAUUCAACUUUUGAAUAAAAAUUGUAUUUGAAUUUAUUCAAAUGAAAAUUAAAUUAAUUAAUCUAAAAUUUUAUAAAUACGCACAUGAUGACAUGAUUAUAAUGCACUUAGAGUAAAUUAUGAUACGGAGUAUCACAGUUUAGCCUUUUGUCCCUCUUAACAAUGUUCAAAUGAGAUGGUGCUAAAUCUAAACAUAUAUACAAAACACAUACACUCCCUCCGUUCAAAUUAUAUAAGGUCGGAAGCCUCUCGCCCCGUCUAUAUCCAAAUAGUUAUCAUUGAGUUUAGAUAUAGAUAUAAAACCAUAUAUAGAAUAAUACAUGAAUUUAUUUAAAACUCAAAACUUCUUGUAAUCUAGGAGGGGAAUAUUUGAAAUUCAAAGCCUCCUUUAAUUUUGUGGUGGUGAGAGUAUAUAAUUAACAUUAAUAUUUUUCUUUUAUAAACUAAUUUAAAUUCAAAAUGGGACUAUAGUAGUUUCAAAUUUUGGCUCAGCCAAAGGACGGCAGCACGAUUACUCAUAGCUACCAGCAUGUCCAUACCGCGCCCAUCCCCCCCGCUUAGGCCUAAACUGUUUAGGCGUUGUUUGGAUACUUUUGUAUUCACCCCAAUCUAUAUAUGUUGAGGUGGAUUGCUAUGGAACUUAAACUAAUUUACACCCCAAUCCACCUCAAUACAUGUGGAUUGAGAUGAAUACGAGAGUAUCCAAACAAGGUCUUAGUUACUCUUGGAAUGAGACGAGUUGUAGUGGAUUAGAAGUGAUUGAGGAGAAUUUAGAUCUGUUAUGGAUUUAAACACACUCUAAUUCCCAAGACCACUCCAAUCCAAGAGUAUCGAGUGUGGGAGAUAGAUAUCCCCUGGGUCACCGAGACACAGAUACACACCAUGGGCCGCUUGAGAGGACCCCAAUAAGUCGUCCAGCAGGGCACCUAAUGGGCCUCGACUAGGCGCAACGGAAGCCAACUGAAGUGGUGAUGCAUAGGAUAAGAGGAAGUCCCAAAGCAUGCGGAACAGGCAUACCGGUCGCACGCAAGUCUCACGGAAGAAUCACCUAAGCCCCGGAGAUGUGCCCCGUGUACGCGUCACUAUCAGGAGGAAGCAACCGAACGCAGGAAGACUCGGCAUGCUUGUAGCAAAGGAAAGUAGGCUCAGAUAGACUCAAUGAUCUGUACAGGGAUAUCUCUUCAGUCGACUAUAUAAGGCGGAGGAGGUACCCCAACAAAAAAGAGGGAGACUCCAUUAGAUCGAUAGUCAACUCCAUCUUCAUCCUCUAGCAAUCAUCUGUGACCCCCGAACUCGAAACAAUCUAAUACUCAGCAUCACACAUGACGUAGGAUGUUACGCACUUGUGCGGUCCGAACCUGUCUAAAUUCCCCGUGUUCCGACGUGCCCCCGCACGUACCAUCGAGCAGCGAUCGACGUCGCUGUCCUCCUAAAAGCACUGCGUGGUUUACCCCGUAGUGCACAGUCGGUACCAAACAUCGAUAACCAGCGCCAGCUCCAUGGCCAUCACCUUUAACACCGCGAUUGUCUUCAACGUCAAGGAGGUUUUCCACUUCGGAUCCCUCUCCUACAUCACCGACCGAAGGGGAAUCCUGCACCGCGUCGUGGACGCAGGGAGAGGAGCCCCUACAACGUGAGGCACGCCUUCGCCGGAACCGGUGCUGGAAUGUCCGGCGUCACCACACGGCCGGGGAACGGGACCCCACCCAGCCCGUUUCUCAGGACGAGGCGUCCGAGGCUGGAGAGACCCCAGAUGAACAGGCAUUUCAUGAACAGUGGAACUCCCGACAACGAGACUGUUGUCUCGCCCAAGAUCACGAGCUAGAGCUGGCGGAACACAACGCCCCGCAUCGGCGUGAUCACCUGUCUCUUCCACGGAACCUGCUACCCAACUUCGCUCGAGCCAUGCAAACUUCGAGUGAAGUUGGUGGAAUGCUGGCUCCGAUCGCCAACGGCGUACCCUGAACACCAGACACGGAAGGCUAUCAGGAGAUCCUCACGCGAGCGGCAAACCACCACCUCCCACCAGCUCAUCCGGAAGAGGAGUGAUGACAAACUGGUCCUUAUGCGAGAGGGACAAUCCUUCAUGCUCACACCUAACCCGGCUGAGCCAUCACCUUAAAGCCCUCCUAAUCCAGGGAGUCUCUGAUCAUCCUGCUCAAAGGUGACAAGGGUGAUAACCCUUUAUCAUACCCAUUUUGAAAAACAUUUUCUUUUGAAAAAACUCACACAUUUUUUCAAAUCAUUUUGUAACAAAAAAUUGUAAAGAGUAUUCAGAAAAUUUUGCGGCGAAGUUCUAAGGCUGGGCGGCCAUAUUAACAUGUCUCUUAGUAGCAAAAUCAUACAAUGCAUAAAAUAACAGGCUGAGGGAUGUGUUUGAAAACAUAGGUAAUUUAUGCAUCAAUGGGAUCCAGUGAGCUUGUCGUGCUUUAACCAGCGAAAGGGUGAGAGCUCGCGGUACUAGCUUUUGGCUUCACCAUCUAGCAUAGACUCGUGGAAUCAGUCUUCACGGGACAGCACGAACGCUCUGAUAACUACGUAGCAAGAACAAGCAAACAUACAAACCAGCAAGUAUAUCAACAAAUAUUCAUUAUAGUGGUCAGGAAUGGUGGUGGAUGGGUGAAUAUUGUUUCGAGUAUAGUUUGUGUUGACAGAGUAGAGAUGCUUACCCGAAGGGUAUAUUGGAGGUGAACUAACACUAGAACUGUAGUGGCAGAGCGGGGUACCGAGUGGGUGGGGGUUCGCCUUGGCUUAGGGUGCUGAGGGUGUGGGGGAGGGAGAGGGUAACUCUCUAAGUGUAUUUAUAGUUGGAUGUGUAUGGCUUAGUAUGGUAGAGUUUACUAUUUAUGAAAAUAGUGGUGAAAGAAUUGUCUGACUCAUUUCAAAUGGGAAAAUUAUAGGCAACAUAUGAGACGAGUAUUUUUGGAGUUUUAUGAAAUAUGAACCAUGCUUACGGGAUGACAUGGUUGGAUAGAGGGUAAUUUGAUAAGAAUUUAGAAAUCAGAACUGUCGAAACCAGAGUGUGGACGGAGGAGUUUUGGAUUUUACAAUCAUAGGAAUUAGAAAAAGAAAAGGAAAAAAGGGAAUAUUCCUAGAAUAUUCCAAAAUUUGAAUAUUUAGAGAUAUUUGGAAAACCAAAAAUACAAAUGUGUGUAUUUUUAGCAGGGUGCCAGGAAUUAUUUCUGGGCUAUUCAUGGGUGGAGGUUUAUGUUGGUCACAAUUGUUCCUACCUACUGUGUCACAUGGGACAACAGUAAGGCGGGACCCAGAUAGCUAGAAUACUGUGAUAUUCUGGUCCGGGUGGGCUGUGGUAUCUUGGGCCAGGUUUUAUAGGAUUGACGGCGUAUCCAUACAAACAUGGUUCGUCUUUCUUUUUGGAAGCCUAGUUUGAAAAAACCUCAAAGUUAAGCGUGCUCAACUCGGAGCAAUUCUGGGAUGGGUGACCAACCGGGAAGUUCUUACUGGAAGGAAAAUCACAGUCACUGGAGUUCGUAUGACUGAGAUAUUGGUCUGGCAGGUCUUAGGUGAGCUGAUCAUCAUGAUGGAUGAGUAGUUGAAUGAUUGGGCGAUCGGAUGAACGAUGAAUAGUAGGUUGAACAAUCCAAAUAACGAUGAAUAGUGACUAUGAAUGAUCCGAUGAACGGUGAAUAGUCCAUAUGAACGAACGAUGAACGAUGAAUAGUUCAUAUGAACAAAUGAUGAACGAUGAAUAGGGAUUAUGGACGAAUGAUCGGAUGAACGAACGAUUGGAAUUUCGACAGCAUAAUGACUGAACAAUAAUUAUUUGGACAAACGAACGGACGAACGAUUGAACGAUCGGACAAACGAACGAACGAACCAUGAACGAUCGGAUGAACGAUCGAACGAUUGGAUGAACGAACUGAAAGUCGCCUAGAGGGGGGUGGAUAGGCGAAACCUGAAAUUUAUAAACUUAAGCACACACUACAAGCGGCGGUUAGCUUUAGAAUUAAAACUCAAGUCCGAAAUAGAGGGAAAACAAAUCAACCAAGAAAUAGGGCGAUUGGACACGGUGAUUUGUUUUACAGAGGUUCGGUUCCAAAGAACCUAGUCCCCGUUGAGGUGGUCACAAAGACCGGGUCUCUUUCAAUCCUUUCCCUCUCUCAAACGGUCACUUAGACCGAGUGAGCUUUCUCCUUAAUCAAAUGGGUCACUUAGACCCCGCAAGGACCACCACACACUUAGGUGUCUCUUGUUUUGAUUACAAGUCACUUGGGAUGUAUGAGAAAGGAAGAAAGGCAAUCCAAGAAGCAAGAGCUCAAAAGAACACAAAAUCUCUCUCUCACAAGUCACUAAGUGUUUGAGAUGAAUUUGGGACUUGUAGAGGCUUUGAUCUUUUGAAUUGUGUCUAGGAGUGAAUGCUUGAGCUCUUGUAUUGAAUGUGAUACUCAGAAAUCUUGGAUGCUUGGAGUUGUGGUGGUUGGGGGUAUUUAUAGCUCUCAACCACCAAAGAAGUCGUCGGGGAGGCUGCUGGCGAUGGGCGCACCGGACAGUCCGGUGCACCACCGGACAGGUCCUGUUCACUGUCCGGUGCGCUGCCAUGUCACCCAACCAUUAGGGUUCGGAGCUCGGUCGACCGUUGGAGCUUUGUCUUCUUGUGGCACAGGACAGUCCAGUGCGCCUCUGACAGUGCGCGCACUAAUCUUCACUGUUCCUCUGUCAGCGGCUUUUGCAGUCGACCGUUGGAGCGAGUAGUUGUUGCUCUGCUGGCACACCGGACAAUCCGGUGAAUUAUAGCGGAGCACGGCUCAGUUUUCUCGAGAGUGGCUGGUUCAUCUUCGUACGGACAUGGUGCACCGGACAGUCCGGUGCGCCAGUCCAUAACACACUCAAGUCUUUGCUCCUUUUAAUUUUAGUCCCUAACUUGAAUCUUUUAUUGGUUUGUGUUGAACCUUAUGCACCUGUAAUACAUGAGUUCUAGAGCAAACUAGUUAGUCCAUAUGUUUGUGUUGACGAUCAACCAUCAAAAUUAAUUAUAGGAAAAGGUUAGCCCUAUUUCCCUUUCAAUCUCCCCCUUUUUGGUGAUUGAUGCCAACACAAACCAAAGCAAAUAUAAAGUGCAGAAAUGAACUAGUUUGCAUAUAGUAAGUGCAUAGGUUACUUCGAUUUAAACCAAUAUGAUAAUCUCACUAGAUAUGAAUGGAUUGCUUUCUUUAAUUUAACAUUUUGGACCACUUUUGCACCACUUGUUUUUUUGCAAAUCCUUUUUGAAAACCUUUUCAAAGUCUUUUCGCAAAUAGUCAAAGGUAUAUGAAUAAGAUUGCAGGAAGCAUUUUCAAGAUUUGAAAUUUCUCCCCUUGUUUCAAAUGCUUUUCCAUUGACUAAAUAAAAACUCCCCCUGAAUGAAAUUCUCCUCUUAGCUCUCAAGAGGGGUUUUAAAUGGAUAUCAAUUUUGAAAUCUUCUUUUCAUAAACAUAGAUACCAAUUGAUACCAAUUUGAAAAUACAUUAUUUGAAAAAGUCAUUUCAAAAAUUUUGAAACGGUGGUGGUGCGGUCCUUUUGCUUUGGGCUUAAUAUUUUCUCCUCCUUUGGCAUUAAUCGCAAAAAACAGAGAAUGUUGGAGCCCUUUUAUCUUUUCUCCCCCAUUGAUAAAAGAAAUAUAAGUGAAAGAUUAUACCAAUUGGAGAGAUGGCGGAAUACCGACAAAGGGUAAAUAAUACCGAUGGAGUUGAGUGGAAGCGUUGUCUUUGCCGAAUACUCCAUUUCCCUUUCAAUCUAAGACUAAUACAAUAUAUACUCAUGGAAACAUAUUAGUCUUAGCCUUGGCACAAGAAGAAUAAGAAAUAUGCAAUUGUACAAAUGAAAGAGACAUGAUCAAAGGUAUAUAAAAGAGCUAUGUGUGCAACUUUUUAAUCAAAAUUCCGAGAAUCAAGAAUAUUUAGCUCAUUCCUAAGUUUGCUAAAGGUUUUUUCACUAGGGGCUUGGUAAAGAUAUCGGCUAAUUGAUCUUUGGUGUUAACCUAAGCUAUUUCGAUAUCCCCCCUUUGUUGGUGAUCUCUCAAAAAGUGAUACCGAAUGUCUAUGUGCUUAGUGCAGCUGUGUUCAACAGGAUUAUCCGCCAUACGGAUUGCACUCUCAUUAUCACAUAGGAGAGGGACUUUGCUCAAUUUGUAGCAUAGUCCCUGAGGGUUUGCCUCAUCCAAAGUAAUUGCGCACAACAAUGGCCUACAGCAAUAUACUCGACUUCGGUGGUAGAAAGAGCUACGGAGUUUUGUUUCUUUGAAGCCCAAGACACCAGGGAUGUCCAUAGAAACUGACAAGUCCCUGAUGUGCUCUUCCUAUCAAUUUUACACCCUGCCCAAUCGGCAUCUGAAUAUCCUAUUAAAUCAAAUGUGGAUCCCUUGGGGUACCAAAGCCCAAACUUAGGAGUGUAAACUAAGUAUCGCAUGAUUCUCUUCACGGCCCUAAGGUGAACUUCCUUAGGAUUUGCCUGAAAUCUUGCACACAUGCAUACAGAAAGCAUAAUAUCCGAUCGAGAUGCACAUAAAUAGAGUAAAGAUCCUAUCAUCAACCGGUAUACCUUUUGAUCUACGGAUUUACCUCCCGUAUCGAGGUCGAGAUGCCCAUUUGUUCCCAUGGGUGUCUUGAUGGGUUUGCCAUCCUUCAUCCCAAACUUCUUAAGUAUGUCCUGAAUGUACUUUGUUUGGCUGAUGAAGGUUCCAUCUUGGAGUUGCUUGAUUUGAAAUCCUAGGAAAUAUCUCAACUCCCCCAUCAUUGACAUCUCGAAUUUUUGAACCAUAAUCCUACUGAACUCUUCACAAGUAGACUUGUUAGUAGACCCAAAUAUGAUAUCAUCAACAUAAAUUUGGCAUAUAAACAAGUAUUUUCAACAGUUUUAGUAAAGAGAGUAGGAUCGGCUUUUCCGACUUUGAAGCCAUUAGUGAUAAGGAAAUCUCGCAGGCAUUCAUACCAUGCUCUUGGGGCUUGCUUCAGCCCAUAAAGCGCCUUUGAGAGUUUGUAAACAUGGUUAGGGUACUCACUAUCUUCAAAGCCAGGAGGUUGCUCAAUAUAGACCUCUUCCUUGAUGGGUCCAUUGAGGAAGGCACUUUUCACGUCCAUUUGAUAAAGCUUAAAGCCAUGGUAAGUAGCAUAGGCAAGUAUUAUGUGAAUUGACUCAAGCCUAGCUACCGGUGCAUAAGUUUCAUCGAAAUCCAAACCUUCGACUUGUGAAUACCCUUUGGCCACAAGUCGGGCUUUGUUCCUUGUCACCACACCAUGCUCAUCUUUCUUGUUGCGGAAUACCCAUUUGGUACAUACAACAUUUUGAUUAGGACGUGGAACUAAAUGCCAUACCUCAUUUCUCAUGAAGUUGUUGAGCUCCUCUUGCAUUGCCAGCACCCAAUCCGGAUCUCUUAGUGCAUCCUCCACCUUGUAUGGCUCAAUAGAGGACACAAAAGAGUAAUGUUCACAAAAAUGUGCAACCCGAGAUCUAGUAGUUACCCCCUUAUAAAUGUCACCAAGGAUGGAGUUGACGGAGUGAUCUUGUUGAAUUGCUUGGUGGACUCUUGGGUGUGGCGGUCUUUGACCCUGUAUUUCUCGCUCAUCUUCCUUGUCUUUAUCAUUGUCAUCUCCCCUUGAUCAUUGUCCUCCUCUUGAGGUGGCUCAUCUUCUUGAUCUUCUUCUUCAUCACCUUGGGCAUGUUCCUCAUCUUGACUUGGUGGAGAUGCUUGCAUGGAAGAUGAUGGUUGAUCUUGUGUUUUGUAGAGGCUCUUCGAAUUCCUUAGGACACACAUCCUCGAUGGACAUGUUCCUUAGCGCGACGCACGAGGCCUCUUCAUCAUCUAGCUCAUCAAGAUCAACUUGCUCCACUUGGGAGCCAUUAGUCUCAUCAAACACAAUGUCACAAGAAACUUCAACUAAUCCAGUGGACUUGUUGAAGACUUUAUAUGCCCUUGUGUUUGAGUCAUAACCAAGUAAAAAGCCUUCUACAGCUUUGGGAGCAAAUUUAGAUUUUCUACCUUUUUAACAAGAAUAAAGCAUUUACUCCUAAAGACUCUAAAAUAUGAAACAUUAGGCUUUUUACCAGUGAGGAGUUCAUAAGAUGUCUUCUUGAGGAUUCGGUAAAGAUAUAACCGGUUGAUGGAGUAGCAAGCAGUGUUGAUUGCUUCCGCCCAAAAUCGGUCUGGUGUCUUGUACUCAUCAAGCAUGGUUCUUGCCAUGUCCAGUAGAGUUCUAUUCUUCCUCUCCACUACACCAUUUUGUUGAGGUGUGUAGGGAGAAGAGAACUCAUGCUUGAUGCCCUCAUCCUCAAGAAAUCCUUCAAUUUGAGAAUUCUUGAACUCUGUCCCGUUGUCGCUUCUUAUCUUUUUGAUUCUCAAGCCGAACUCAUUUUGAGCCCUUCUCAAGAAUCCUUUUAAUGUAUCUUGGGUCUGAGAUUUUUCCUGCAAAAAGAACACCCAAGUGAAGCAAGAAUAAUCAUCCACAAUAACUAGAUAGUACUUACUCGUGCCGAUGCUUAUAUAAGCUAUCGGGCCGAAUAAAUCCAUGUAGAGUAGCUUGAGCGGCCUGUCCGUUGUCAUGAUGUUCUUGUGUGGAUGAUGAGUACCAACUUGCUUUCCUGCUUGGCAUGCGCUACAAACCCUGUCUUUCUCAAAAUGAACAUUUGUUAGUCCUAAAAUGUGUUCUCCCUUUAGAAGCUUGUGAAGAUUCUUCAUUCCAACAUGGGCAAGUCGGCGAUGCCAGAGCCAGCUCAUAUUAGUCUUAGCAAUUAAGCAAGUGUCGAGUUUAGCUUUGUUAUCAUUAAAACCAACUAAAUAUAGCUGACCCUCUAACACUCCCUUAAAUGCUAUUGAAUCAUCACAUUUUCUGAAGACAGUAACACAAAUAUCACUAAAAAUACAGUUGUAGCCCAUUUUACAUAAUUGAGAUACAGAAAGCAAAUUGUAAUCUAACGAAUCUACAAGAAAAACAUUGCAAAUAGAAUGGUCAGGAGAUAUAGCAAUUUUACCCAAUCCUUUGACCAAACCUUGAUUUUCAUCCCCGAAUGUGAUAGCUCUUUGGGGAUCUUCGUUUUUCUCGUAGGAGGAGAACAUUCUCUUCUCCCCUGUCAUGUGGUUUGUGCAUCCACUAUCGAUUAUCCAACUUGAUCCACCGGACGCAUAAACCUGCAAAACAAUUAAGGCCUUGUUCUUAGGUACCCAAAUAGUCUUGGGUCCUUUCACGUUAGAAACAAGCACCUUGGGUACCCAAACACAAGUUUUGGAGCUCUUGUGUUUGCCCCCAAUAUAUUUGGCAACUACUUUGCCUGAUUUGUUAGUUAAAACAUAAGAUGCAUCAAAAGCCUUAAAUGAAAUAUUAUGUUUAUUUGAUGCAGCAGAAGUUUUCUUUUUAGGCAUUUUAACAUGGGUGGAAUGCCUAGAGCUAGAGGCCUCAUUCUUAUACAUGAAUGUAUGAUGAGAAACAGUGUGAGGUUUUCUAGCAUGAAUUUUCCUAAUUUUGUGCUUAGGAUAAUUAGCAGGAUAUAAAAUGUAACCUUCAUUAUCCUAAGCCAUGGGAGCCUUGCCCUUAACAAAAUUAGACAAUCUUUUGGGGUAUUAAGCUUGACAUUGCUUCCCUGUUGGAAACCAAUGCCAUCCUUAAUGCUAGGGCGUCUCCUAUUAUAGAGCAUGCUACGAGCAAAUUUAAAAUUUUCAUUUUCAAGCUCAUGCUCGACAAUUUUAGCAUUUAAUGUAGCUAUGUGAUCAUUUUGUUGUUUAAUCAUAGCAAUGUGAUCAUCAAUAGCUUCUACAUUAACAUCUCUACAUCUAGUGCAAAUAGAAACAUGCUCAACAGUAGAUGUAGAGGGUUGUAAACAUUUAAUUCUUCUAUCUUAGCAUGUAAUAUGGCAUUCUCAUUUCUAAGACAGGAAAUAGAAUCAUUGCAAACAUUCAUUUUUUCAAUCUUAGAAAUCAAACUAUCAUUUUCAGUUCUAAGACUAGAAAUUUUAUCAUUGCAAAUAUUUAAUUCGUCAAUCUUAGCAUUUAGACUAGCAUUUUCAUUUCUAAGACUGAUAAUUGAAUCAUGACAAAUGCUAAGCUCCUUAGUCAAGUUUUCACAAUUUUCUACUUCCUGAACAUAAGCAUUCUUCAACUUAACAUGUUUUUUGUUUUCUUUAAUAAGGAAGCCCUCUUGGCUUUCUAAGAUAUCAUCCUUCUAAUGAAUAGCUUCUAUUAAUUUAUUUAAUUUUUUUUCUUUUGUUCCAUGCUGAGGUUGGCAAAAAGAGUAAGUAAAUCAUCUUCAUUUUCACUAGAGCUACCCUCAUCACUAGAUGUUGUAUAUUUAGGGGUGGCUCUAGAAUGUACCUUAUUUUUCUUGUCGUCCUUGGCCAUGAAACAUUUUUGGCCAACGUUGGGGAAGAGGAGUCCCUUGUUGACAACGAUGUUGAAAGGGAAAUGUGCCCUUGUGCCAUUUCUAAGUAUUUUGGUGAUCGAGUGCCAACACAAAUGGUUUAAGUGUGAAACUAUGCCAAAUGGUAGAAGAAGUGCAAAUCAACACAAAGGUAUGAUUCUAGACUUAGUACAUUGGUUUUUAUGUACUAACAUGUUUGUCUAAGUGCUAGAAUCAGAGAAAAGAUAAAAGAAAAAAGAGUUGGCUGUGAACAGCUAACUUCUGCUCAGUCUGGGUGCACCGGACUGUCCGGUGGUGCACCGGACAGUGUCCGGUGCGCCAGGCUGGCUCUGGCGAAAAGGCCGCUCUCGGGAAUUCGUCGGCGGCGUACGACUAAAAAUCACCGGACUGUCCGGUGAGCCAACGGUCGGCCGCGCAAUCCGCGCGUGACGCGUGGCCGAGCCAACGGUCUGAUGGGGGCACCGAACUGUCCGGUGUGCACCAGACAGUGUCCGGUGCGCCAACGGCUCCAAAUUCUCAAUGGUCGUCUGCGCCAGAAUAGAAAAGAAAUCAGCACUGGACAGUGUCCGGUGGUGCACCGGACUGUCCGGUGCACCACCCGACAGAAGGCAAGAAUUGCCUUCCUGGAUUGCUCUCAACGGCUCCUAGCUGCCUUGGGGCUAUAAAAGGGACCCCUAGGCGCAUGGAGGAGAACACCAAGCAUUCUUUGAUCAUCCCUAAGCACCAAGACUUCAUUCUAGCGCAUUUGUUUCAUUGUGAUAGCAAUUUGAGCUCCUCUUGAGUUGAAUACUCCGUGUGUGAACUUAGAGCUCAAGUUGUUGGCUAGUGUGCGUGUUUGUGCUCUUGCUUUGAGUCUUGUGUGUGUUGCUUUUCCCACCCUUACUUUCGUGCUUCUUUGUGAUUAUCAAAUUGUAAGGGCGAGAGGCUCCAAGUUGUGGAGAUUCCUCGCGAACGGGAUAUAGUGAAAGAAAGAGAAACACCAUGGUAUUCAAGUGGAUCUUUGGAUCACUUGAGAGGGGUUGAGUGCAACCCUCGUCCGUUGGGAUGCUACAACAUGAAGUAGGCAAGUUUUGUACUUGGCCGAACCACGGGAUAACUCGCGUGUCUUUUGUGAUUGCUUUUCUGUGAUACUUGUGUUCACAAAAGCUCGCCAUUUAGUCUACUAACUCUUAAUCAAAUUUUGUGGCUUUAAGUUUCAAGUUUUUAUAGGAUCACCUAUUCACCCCCCCUCUAGGUGCUCUCAAUUGGUAUAGGAGCCGUUCUCUUCAUGAAAGGGACUAAUCGCCCGAAGAGAUGGAUCCUAAGGGAAAGGGGAUGGUGGUCAACGAUAAGGAGAAGGAGUCCACCUUCAACGAGCCAAGAGACGAUAAGCCCAUCGACUCUGGCUCAAGUCACAAAAGGAAAGAUGGGAAGAAGAAGAGGCACAUCAAGAAGAUAGUCUACUACGACAGCGACGAGUCUUCCUCUUCCCAAAAAGACAACGACUACGAGAAAAAGAAAACGGUCAACUCAAACUUUUCUUUUGAUUACUCUCGUAUUCCGCAUAAUUCAAAUGCACAUUUGUUUUCCAUUCCUCUUGGUAAACCUCCUCACUUUGAUGGAGAGGACUACGGAUUUUGGAGUCACAAAAUGCAUAGCCACUUGUUCUCUCUUCAUCCAAGUAUAUGGGAGAUAGUAGAGAAUGGAAUGCAAUUUGAUAGUACAGAUAAUCCCAUGUUUAUCAAUGAACAAAUUCACAAAAAUGCAUAAGCUACCACUGUUCUUUUAGCAUCCUUGUGCAGGGAAGAAUACCAUAAGGUGAGCGGCUUGGAUAACGCCAAGCAGAUUUGGGACACCCUCAAGAUCUCGCAUGAGGGGAAUGAUGUCACCAUGCUCACCAAGAUGGAGUUGGUGGAGGGCGAACUAGGAAGGUUCGCAAUGAUCAGGGGGGAGGAGCCAACCCAAACAUACAACAGGCUCAAGACCCUGGUCAAUAAAAUAAGGAACUAUGGAAGCACGAGAUGGACGGACCACGACGUCGUCCGACUUAUGCUAAGGUCUUUCACUGUCCUUGAUCCACAUCUUGUAAACUCCAUUCGUGAAAAUCCUAGGUACACCAAGAUGUCGCCCGAGGAAAUACUUGGAAAGUUUGUAAGCAGGCGAAUGAUGAUCAAAGAGGCAAGAUACGUUGAUGAGGCGUUGAAUGGCCCAAUCCACGAGCCUUAAACCAUUGCUCUCAAAGCAACAAGUAGCAGGGAGGCGCUACCUAGCAAGGUGGCGCAAGUUGAGGCGGCCGGGCUUAACGAGGAAGAAAUGGCCCUCAUCAUUGAAAGUCGCCUAGAGGGGGUGAAUAGGGCGAAACUGAAAUUUACAAAGUUAAUCACAACUACAAGCCGGGUUAGCGUUAGAAAAAUAAUCGAGUCCACGAGAGAGGGUGCAAAACAAAUCGCAAGCGAAUAAAGAGUGUGACACGCGGAUUUGUUUUACCGAGGUUCGGUUCUCGCAAACCUACUCCCCGUUGAGGAAGCCACAAAGGCCGGGUCUUUUUCAACCCCUUCCCUCUCUCAAACGGUCCCUCGGACCGAGUGAGCUUUCUCUUCUCAAAUCAACCGGGAACAAAACUUCCCCGCAAGGACCACCACACAAUUGGUGUCUCUUGCCUCGGUUACAAGUGAGUAUGAAUCUCAAGAAAGAAUGAGAAAGUAGAAAGUAAUCCAAGCGCAAGAGCUCAAAAGAACACGACAAAUCACUCUCACUAGUCACUAAAGCUUUUGUGGAAUUGGGAGAGGAUUUGAUCACUUGGAUGUGUCUUGUAUUGAAUGCCUAGCUCUUGUAAGUAGUUGAAAGGUGGAAAACUUGGAUGACUUGAAUGUAGGGUGGUUGGGGGUAUUUAUAACCCCAACCACCAAACUAGCCGUUUGGUGGAGGCUGUCUGUCGCAUGGUGCACCGGACAGUCCGGUGCGCCAGCCACGUCACUAGGUCGUUGGGUUCCGACCGUUGGAGCUCUGACUGCUGGGCCCGCCUGGAUGUCCAGUGGCACACCGGACAUGUACUGUAGAGUGUCCGGUGCGCCGUCUCGCGCGUGCCUGACUUCUGCGCGCUCUGGCGCGCAUUAAAUGACUCUGCAGGUGACCGUUGGCGCGAAGUAGCCAUUGCUCCGCUGGCUCACCGGACAGUCCGGUGUACACCGGACAGUCCGGUGAAUUAUAGCGGAGCGAAUUCCCAAAGUUGGCGAGUUCAGAGACACUUCAUUCCUGGAGCACCGGACACUGUCCGGUGUACACCGGACAGUCCGGUGAAUUAUAGCGGAGCGCCUCUGAGGUUUCCCGAAGGUGAAGAGUUUGGCUUGAAGUCUCCUGGUGCACCGGACACUGUCCGGUGGCACACCGGACAGUCCGAUGCGCCAGACCAGGGCUGCCUUCGGUUAUCCCUUGCUCUCUUUGUUGAACCCAUUUCUUGGUCUUUUUAUUGGCUAAGUGUGAACCUUUGGCACCUGUAUAACUUAUAGACUAGAGCAAACUAGUUAGUCCAAUUAUUUGUGUUGGGCAAUUUCAACCACCAAAAUCAAUUAGAAAAUAGGUGUAAGCCUAAUUCCCUUUCAAUCAUCAAGCGCUUCAAGAUGACGCUAAAGGGUCGCAAGGAGCAUCCCAAAAAGAACAAGACGAAGGGAAAGCGCACCUGCUUCAAGUGUGGUAAGACUGGUCACUUUAUUGCUAACUGUCCCGAUAAUGAUAGUGACCAGGGACAAGAUAAAAGCGGGAAGAAGGAAAAGAAGAAGGCGUACAAGAAGGCUAAGGGCGAGGCACACCUUGGCAAAGAGUGGGACUCGGAUUGUUCGUCGUCCGACUCCGAUGACGAAGGACUCGCCGCCACCGCCUUCAACAAAUCGUCGCUCUUCCCCAACGAGCGCCACACUUGCCUAAUGGCAAAGGAAAAGAAGGUAAUCACUAGAGAAACUCCUAAGUACUCUACUUCUAGUGAUGAGGACUCUAGUGAUGAUGAUAAUGAAAUUGAUUACACUAGCUUGUUCAAAGGAUUGGAUAGAACUAAGAUAGAAAAGAUCAAUGAAUUAAUCUAUGCUUUGAAUGAGAAGAAUAGAUUGUUAGAAAAGCAAGAGGAUCUUUUAUAUGAAGAGCAUGAUAAAUUUGUAAACGUGCAAAAGUCUCUUGCUCUAGAAGUUAAAAGAAAUGAAAUGCUUUCAUGUGAAUUUUUUGCUUGUCAUGAGACUAUUUCUAGUUUAAAGAGCAUUAAUGAUGAUUUAAAUGCAAAAUUAGUAGAAGCAAAUAAGACUAAUUCUCAUGUGGAACAUGUAGUAAUUUGCAAUAGGUGUAAGGAUUUCAAUGUUGAUGCUUGCAAUGAACAUUUAAUUUCCAUUUCUAAAUUAAAUGAUGAAGUAGCUAGUCUUAAUGCCCAACUUAAGACUAGCAAAAAUGAUUUUGAUAAACUAAAAUUUGCAAGGGAUACCUACACUAGUGGUAGACACCCCUCUAUUAAGGAUGGGCUUGGCUUUCGAAGGGAAGCUAAGAACUUAACAAGUCAUAAGGCUCCCAUCUCCGCCAAGGAGAAAGGGAAGGCCCCUAUGGCUAAUAGUGUUCAUAAAAAUCAUGCUUUCAUGUAUCAUGAUAGGAGAUUUUCUAGAAAUGUUCAUUAUAAUAGGAGUUUUAAUGCUUAUGAUUCUCAUGCCAUGUUUGGUUCAAGUUCUUCCUUUGCGCAUGGUAGAAAUAUGUCUAGGAACAAUGUUGUUCAUCAUGUACCUAAGAAAAUGCAAAAUAAAUCUGCUACUGUUUUUCAUGCCUGCAACACUGAUUUUGUACUUACAUGUAAAAAUAAGAAAGUGGUUGCUAGGAAAUUAGGGGCAAAAUGCAAGGGAGAUAAAACUUGCAUUUGGGUCCCUAAGGCUAUUAUUACUAACCUUGUAGGACCCAACAAGAGUUGGGUACCUAAAACCCAAGCCUAAUUUGCCUUGCAGGUUUAUGCAUCCGGGGGCUCAAGCUGAAUUAUCGACAGCGGAUGCACAAACCACAUGACGGGGGAGAAGAAGAUGUUCACCUCCUAAGUCAAGAACAAAGAUUCCCAAGACUCAAUCAUAUUCGGUGACGGGAAUCAAGGCAAGGUUAAAGGAUUAGGAAAAAUAGCUAUUUCUUCCGAGCAUUCCAUAUCUAAUGUGUUUUUAGUAGAAUCGCUCGGGUAUAUUUUGUUGUCCGUUAGUCAAUUAUGUAAUAUGGGUUACAAUUGCUUAUUUACAAAAGUAGAUGUGUCUGUCUUUAGAAGGAGUGAUGGUUCAUUAGCGUUUAAGGGUGUACUAGACGACAAACUCUAUUUAGUUGAUUUUUCGAAAGAGGAGGCCGAUCUAGAUGCAUGCUUAAUCGCUAAGACUAGCAUGGGCUGGCUGUGGCAUCACCGUCUAGCACAUGUGGGGAUGAAUAACCUUCACAAACUUCUAAAGGGAGAACAUGUGUUAGGUCUAACAAAUGUAACUUUCGAAAAAGAUAGACCUUGUGCAGCUUGUCAAGCAGGUAAACAAGUGGGAAGUGCCCAUCACAGCAAGAAUGUGAUGACCACAUCAAGACCUCUGGAGCUGCUACAUAUGGACCUCUUCGGACCCAUCGCCUAUCUCAGCAUAGGAGGAAGUAAGUAUGGUCUUGUUAUAGUCGAUGAUUUUUCCCGCUUCACUUGGGUAUUCUUUUUGCAGGAUAAAGCAGAAACCCAAGGGACCCUCAAGCGCUUCCUAUGGAGAGCUCAAAAUGAAUUUGAGCUCAAGGUGAAAAAGAUAAGAAGCGACAACGGGUCCGAGUUCAAGAACCUUCAAGUGGAGGAAUACCUUGAGGAGGAAGGAAUCAAGCAUGAGUUCUCCGCUCCCUACACACCACAGCAAAAUGGUGUGGUAGAGAGGAAGAACAGGACACUCAUAGACAUGGCGAGGACAAUGCUUGGAGAAUUCAAGACGCCUGAGCGGUUUUGGUCGGAAGCUGUGAACAGGGCAUGCCACGCCAUAAACCGGGUCUACCUUCAUCGCCUCCUCAAGAAGAGGUCAUACGAACUACUAACCGGUAACAAACCCAACGUUUCAUAUUUUCGAGUUUUUGGGAGUAAAUGCUACAUUCUAGUGAAGAAAGGUAGAAAUUCAAAAUUUGCUCCCAAAGCUAUAGAAGGGUUUUGUUAGAUUAUGACUCAAAUACAAAGGCGUAUAGAGUCUUCAACAAAUCAUCGGGUUUGGUUGAAGUCUCUAAUGACGUUGUAUUUGAUGAGACUAAUGGCUCUCCAAGAGAGCAAGUUGAUCUUGAUGAUGUAGAUGAGGAUGAUGUUCCAACGGACGCAAUUCGCACCAUGGCAAUUGGAGAUGUGCGACCAUAGGAACAAAAUGAGCAAGAUCAACCUUCUUCCUCAACAAUGGUGCAUCCCCCAACUCAAGACGAUGAACAGGUUCAUCAAGAAGAGGCGUGUGAUCAAGGGGGAGCACAAGACGAUCAAGUUGAAGAGGAAGAAGCACCACAAGCCCCUCCAACUCAAGUUCGAGCGAUGAUUCAAAGGAAUCAUCCCGUUGACCAGAUUUUGGGUGACAUUAGCAAGGGAGUAACCGCUCGCUCUAGAUUAGCUAAUUUUUGUGAGCAUUACUCUUUUGUCUCUUCUAUUGAGCCUUUUAGGGUAGAAGAGGCCCUGCUAGAUCCGGACUGGGUGUUGGCCAUGCUGGAAGAGCUCAACAACUUCAAGCGAAAUGAAGUUUGGACACUGGUGCCUCGUCCCAAGCAAAACGUUGUGGGAACCAAGUGGGUGUUCCGCAACAAACAGGACGAGCAUGGGGUGGUGACAAGGAACAAGGCACGACUUGUGGCAAAAGGUUAUGCCCAAGUCGCAGGUUUGGACUUUGAGGAGACUUUUGCUCCUGUGGCUAGGCUAGAAUCGAUUCGUAUCUUGUUAGCCUAUGCCGCUCACCAUUCUUUCAGGUUGUUCCAAAUGGACGUGAAGAGCGCUUUCCUCAACGGGCCAAUCAAGGAGGAGGCGUACGUGGAGCAACCCUCUAGCUUUGAGGAUGAACGGUACCCCGACCACGUGUGUAAGCUCUCUAAGGCACUCUAUGGACUUAAGCAAGCCCCAAGAGCAUGGCAUGAAUGCCUUAGAGAUUUUCUAAUUGCUAAUACUUUCAAGGUUGGGAAAGUCGAACCAACUCUAUUUACUAAGACUUGUGAUGGUGACUUAUUUGUGUGCCAAAUUUAUGUCGAUGACAUAAUAUUUGGUUCUACUAAUCAAAAGUCUUGUGAAGAGUUUAGCAGGGUGAUGACACAGAAGUUCGAGAUGUCGAUAAUGGGCGAGUUGAACUACUUCCUUGGGUUCCAAGUGAAGCAACUCAAGGACGACACCUUCAUCUCUCAAACGAAGUAUACGCAAGACUUGCUCAAGCGGUUUGGGAUGAAGGACGCCAAGCCCGCAAAGACUCCAAUGGGAACCGACGGACAUGUCGACCUCAACAAAGGAGGUAAGUCCAUUGAUCAAAAGGCAUACCGGUCUAUGAUAGGGUCUUUACUUUAUUUAUGUGCUAGUAGACCGGAUAUUAUACUUAGCGUAUGCAUUCCCAUGUAGAGAUAAUAUCUCCUAGUUGAGAUUAUACUUCCCUAAUGGAACCCUUCCAGAAGAAACAAAGUCUGUGUUGAACACCAAAGUUUGAUAAUCCCUAUCAAGGGACAAAGACCCAUACAAACCCGAGAGGAAUAAGAUGAGGUAACAAAGGACUUGAAGUUCACCGAAGAAGCACAUGUACAUUCCAUGAGUUUUACUCAUGUUAUAUUCUACUAGAUGGAGAAUUAUGAUAUCCUCUAAAGCCCUACUGGUAGAACCCUAAAUGGUUUAGGUGUUACUGGCAAAAUAUCCCCAUUGUGCCAGAAUGACAUACUAUAACUAUGUAUUUGAUUGAUGAGAAUCCCUAAUGGAUUACGAUCUUUGAUAGUCUUUUGUUACAUCAUCAUAGAAGUUGAACAGUCAUAUUUAGAAUAUGUACUAUUGCAACUAUUAUAUCCCCUAAGUCCUUUGGAAGGACAAAUUAUUUGUUUUACACAACCAUGUAUACAUUAUGAUCUAUGAUAGAAUGAAAAGUGUAUCACCCCAACCUGAUCCAUCCUCAUUAUUUUAGAUGAACAAUGAGACAUAUAUCUUGAAGAAUAUGUUUGAAUUAUGAGGGAUAAUGACUUUGACAGAUGUCAUCAUGAGGGGAGUGAAUGCUUAUUUUGAUCACAAUUGUGAUACACUAAAUGUCAUAUUGUAUACCCUGAAGGCAUCAACUUGAUUAUCAAUAUGUGAACCUUUAUGAAAGUUUCUACCAUAUAGAUCCAGUCAAUCGAACACCACCAAUCAAAGUGGCUUAUUUAUGUUGAUAUGUGCACUUACCUCGUGUAUCCUAGAAGUGAGUUAAGGUGAAGUUCCGAGAUAAUCCUUGCGACAAUAUGCAAUCUGUUUGCUAAAUCUCUGCAUGCAUAUACUUCCAGAAGGAGGUGUUUUGCCAUACUGAGAUAGUUUUGCAAGGAUCAGGGGAGCACAUUUCUAAAGUUAGCCUUUAUAGAAGAUUUGAUGGAAUCUAGAUCUAGAAGAUCGAAAUCUAUCCUGAUGACAAUUGUUGUACUCUUUUUCUCUUGGUGAGUUUCCUAAAGUUUCUCACAUGAGUUUUUUUAACGAGGCAACAAAGUGAAAAUGCAAUUUGCGUCACCAUGCACUCUUUCUCCAUAUUUUCCCACUGGACUUUUAGGAGUUUUAACGAGGCAACAAAGUGUAUAACGAAUAUAUAUAGAGACACGAUACUCAUCAGGGGUAUAUUCGAUAUGAGCCCACCAAACCUUAGGGUUAGGUUUCUUAACAUGGCUAAAGUGUAGACACGUCAGCUAAACUUGAUUGUUUGAGCAGCAGGCUUCGCCUCUUCGGGCUUCUGCUGGGGGGGCUGGUCAUCGGUAGUUGGGCCUGAGACCAGGUGGACGAUGGCCUCUGGCCCAUGGACCAAAAGGCGUGAAGCCGUGAAAAGACAGUAGAGAAUGAACCUUUUCGUCCCUAUUAGUGGGUUUUUUUUGUUUGCAUAAAUGGUUCAGGCUCGUGCUCGCCCAUGGGUCAUGGCCAUGACCCAAGCAUGGUCCGAUGCAUUGGGUUGGGCUGGGCUAGCCCGAAAUAAUUUUGUGUCGUGCAUGUCGUGCUUUUUUCCUGUCUUGUGUCAACCCGCCAGACCCGACCCAAAUGUACAACUCUAAUGCAUCUAGGGAGCAAAAGUAGCUUCUACCGCCAGAAGCUCUCCAUAAGCUAAGGGAGUGUUUGACACAGCUCAACUUCAUAUAAACCAGCUCAGCUUCAUAAUAAACUUCACAGUUGAGCAUCCCUGUUUCAAAAUAACGAAGUUUCUAAAUAUGUUUGGCUUGGAGAUCAACUUUAGCUUUAAUAAAAUGAGAUUUUGUUUAGAAAAGUCUCUUGUACCCUUGAAUAUGUAUGGGAUUGUUUUUGUUGUUGUAGUCAAUUAAUACUCCCUCUGUUCUUUGUUAGUUGUAAUUGUUUAGUUUAAAAAUGAACCAAUGUACGAUAAAUAUUCGAAAAUAGAGGUAGUAUUAGAGGUCUUGUCAUCGCGUGGCCAAUCAAAUGCACCAAGCAUGAAAAUGAUUAUCGUUCAUCUACUCAAUGUAUAGUAACCAUAAUGACCAAGUUGGGAAAAAAGUUCACUAAACAACUGACUAGUUCAUAUGGCAUGCAAGAAAAGCUGAAUAACUGUCGUGACUUGCAGACCAUUGGACGCGUGGGUGUGGAGGUCGAAGCCCUCAUGCUAACGUCUAUCGGAUUCCCCACGCCCGGUUGUGUCGAGGCAGCUAGGUGGCAUGCCUAAGCUCCGGCUGCCCGCACCAGGGUUCACAAUUUCGUUUGCAUAGAUACGAAUUUCGUUUUGUUGACUAAAAAUGAAUUUCAUAUUUUUAUAUUUUAAAUCGAAAUCUACUUAAAUUCGGAACAAAAUUUGAUUUUCGGUGAGUAACGAAAAAGGAAUAAUUCAUCGAAACCCGCUGAUUUCAAUUUGAGAAAGUGAACGCUGGACCGCACGCACAGGUCCCUGCGACCGCCACAACGAUGUUAGCAAGCUCAAGCAGCUCCGCGCUGAGGUUUGCUGGCGCACGUCACAUGUUUAGGAGGGCUUCAUUUCAAGAAUUGCAGCUUCGGUUUUGUAGCUUCGCCAUGAAAUGACUUCAACAGAUUAUUAAUACAUGAUUCAAGGGUGUUUGGUUUACACAUAGACUCUAGCUUCCGUAAUAUAAUUAAUUUGUGCGAGUUUUCUUAAUUACCUUUGAUGAUUAACGGGUGGAGAAAGGGACAUGAAUUGAUAGGUCAUGUAACCAAUGUCAUGGUUGGUAAUUUUUGUGCAACUUCAUGAGGAGGUAUGAAAACAAUGUUUUUGAAGCACCCUUCCAGGAGCUUCAAAAAUUUCAUAAAACUGGUCUCUAGUUUCAGUUUUUUUGGAACUAGAGCUCGUGGAGCUGGACUCGUUUGGAUAGAAGAAGCUGAAAUAGACUUGAAAUUUCUAAAAUGAAGCUCUUCCAAACAAACCCUUAGUGAAGUUAGGGUCAAUUUCACCUUUUUUGGUGAAACUGAGUUGGUGAAACUAAGAGUGUUUGACUAGAGUUUUAGGCCCUAUUUGGGAGAGCUUCACUUUAAGAAUUUUAAGUCUAUUCCAGCUUCUUCUAUCCAAACACGUCUAGCUCCACGAGCUAUAGCUUAAAAAACUGAAACUAGAUGGCAGUUUCAUGAAAUUUUUCAAGCUCCUUAAAGGGUGCUUCAAAAACACUAUUUUUAUACCUCCUCAUGAAGUUGCACCAAAAUCACCCACCAUGCCACUAGUUACAUGACCUAUCGAUUCAUGUCUCUUUCUGCACCCGUUAAUCAUCAAGGGUAAUUAAAGAAACUCACACAAAUUAAUUGUAUUACAAAAGGUGAAGUCUAUGUACAAUCCAAACAUUCUUGAACACCAGCUUACCAAUCUGUUGAAGUUGUUUCGUGAUGAAACUUGUCGGCGUUACGACCCCGGGGGGUCCCUGGACCGACGAGUAAAUUGUCGCUGCGUGUCCCAGCCCAGAUGGGUCGGCGCGAGACGGAACACAAGGGGGGAAAACAGUAAGGGGAAACCACGGCCUCGUGUUGUCCUGCGCCCAGGGCGGAUGCGCUUGCAGUAGGGGGUUACAAGCGUUCGCGAGGGAGAGAGAGAGAGAGACUGUCCGCCAGCCCGUUCUCCCGCGCGGCCACCUUCUCGUACGAGAGCCCUGGACCUUCCUUUUAUAGAUGUAAGGAGAGGGCCCAGGUGUACAAUGUGGGGUGUAGCAAUGUGCUAACGUGUCUAGCAAAGGGGAGCCAGAUCCCUAUGUACAUGUCGUCGUGGCUGUCGGAGAGGUGUUGCUGCCCUGUUCAUGUGAUGUCGUGGCCGUCGGAGGAGCGCUUGAGCCCUGUGGAAGCACAGCUGUCUGGGCUGUCGGAUCCUUGCUGACGUCUCCUUGCUUCCGUAAGGGGCUGAGAACCGUCGUCGUCAUGGAGCACGCAGGGUGCCUGUUGGGGGCUUGUUCUCAAAUGCUUCGAAUUAAGAACAAGGCAACACGGAAAAUGUUAAGUAUUAAGGUCCUUCGUCCUUCAUAACGAUAUAUCCCUUCGGGAUAUAUAGCAUCUCGGACGAAGGUUACAAAGAACAUACCUUCGUAAGCAUAACAAUGAAGAAUAAAGCAUUCACAUAAAUCAUGAAAUAAACAUGUAAAUAUUAACAUAGAAUUAUCUCUAUUCAUAUUAAUGAAUAUAAAUGAUUUUGAAGUACAAAUGUACCUUCGGUCUUGCGGAAGGCAAAAAGUACGAAUGUGAUGCAAAGGCAAAAAGCAGGUUCGCGUGGACAGUACAGAGGUACUGUUCAUCUAUUUAUAGACACAGGUCGCAGCCUGUGACAAAUUACAAUUAUGCCCCUUGCGGAAGUUUACAACAUUGACUCGGACAUACAUGUAUAAAAAGGUCAUUCUGCCUCUAUGUCGGUUUAAAACGCCGAAGCUCCAUGAAAAGGGACCUUCGGCCAUCUCUUAGAAAUGACUUUGGCCGAAGCUGCUUCUUCGUGUGAGACCUUCGGCGUACCGAAGCACGACCCCAACAGUAGCCCCUUUCGCGGUGCUAGAUCGUUCUUCGUAACGAGCUUGGCCCGUGAAAAAAAACCUCUUCAGCUUCGGGAAGCCGAAGGUCCAAAAAACACCUUCCCUGAGCUCGUUGCGGAGAAACGAUCCGACUUCCGAGCGCGUGCCAAGCCCACUUUGUAGAGUUACUGUUUGGUCUUUGCGGUCCACUGCACAGCGGGUAUGAGUUACUGCGCGCCUGGUGUAACAGUUCCACCGCUUCGCCUUCCUACCUGCAGCACUAUAUAAACAAACAGGUGGGUGUGAAGUUACCACAGCAUUCAUUGCUAUUUGCACUGUUUCGCUGCCAAAAUUUUCCACCAUAGCCGAAGCUUAAGUCUCAGAAUCGAACGAAGGUGCUUCUCAACGUCCGCUUCGUCAGAAAGAAGAGCUUCGGAGAAAAGAAAAAAGGAAAAAAGUUUUUAACUUCCCAAACUUAGAAUCAAAUGGCGAGGAUACGAUCUACUGCCAAAGUUAUACGUGAGGGAGACGAAGCCGAAGGUUCAGACACUGUGCCCAUCUCCGAAGCAAUGCAGCGUUCCGGUCUACUGACUACAGAAGAAAUGCCUGCUGCUGAAGCAGGCCCAACAACUGCCGAAGGAAAAGAAAACAUUGAAGGGACUGACUCCGAAGAUGACUAUCACCUUGCUACACCCAGCAAGCCCAGUCACCUGGAUUUUGGGAAAUCAACUGUUUCAAAAGCUGACCUUUCGAAGAUGGUGAAAGCAGGUUAUUUCAAAGAGGACCAGAAGAAGCUACUCCGCUUCGGGGAAGAAGAAACCACCCCGAAGCCAAGGAAGGAUGAGAUUGUUAUUUUCAAGAGUUUUUUAAAAGCUGGGCUUAGAUUCCCUCUCCACGGUAUUGUUGCGGAGAUACUAAGGAGGUUUGGUAUCUACUUUCAUCAAUUGACUCCUAACGCCAUCGUUAGGCUCAAUGUUUAUAUCUGGGCCCUCCGAAGCCAAGCUGUGGAACCAUUUGCUGACAGCUUCUGCCGAGCUCACGAAUUACAUUACCAAACAAAAGCCAGAAAAGAUGGGCUUCAUGAUAAUUUCGGUUGCUAUAAUUUUGCCUACCGGAAGACAACAAAGUGUCCUGUCAUCAGCUACCGAAGCAAAUGGCCAGCAGGUUGGAAAUCUGAGUGGUUUUAUGUAAAAGUCGAUGAAGACAAAGAAAAAUUGGUACAAAGCCCUCUGGAGUUAAUCUUCGGAGAGACAAGGCCACAAUGCCAUAUUGGCGACCUAAAAGGUCCCACCUGGGCUGCUCUGGGUGAAUUUGAAAUUAUCUCAGAACAUAUUGGCACCAGGGAUCUAGUUCAAGAGUUCUUGGCAUUCAGAGUUUUCCCUACUCUAAAAGAGUGGGAGAUGCCGAAGCUGGAGGGAGAGAAGAAGAAGGGGGAGCUUGUCCGGCUUCCCUAUUACUUCAAGUUCAAGAAGUUCUUCAAAAAACCCUGCAAAGAAUGGUUAGACACUGUUGAGGUGAUGUGCAACGAAAUCCUGGGGAAUUACUCCAAAAAAGAGGAUCAACUAAUGACAGCAGCCUUCGGUGCCCGACCGAAACGAAGGCUGAACCGAGUGCUUGACGCCCUAGGCUUCGAAUACCCAGACUACGAACAAUUGAACAAGGGCGCCGAGGGCCUCAAAAGAAAAAGAGUAGCCGAAGCUCUGAUCAGGGAUGAAGAAAUACCAGCAAAGGAGAAGAAAGUUUUCAAGAAAAGAAAAAUAUCUGCUCCGAAGCGCAAAUCACCCGAAGAAGAGGAGACCCCCACACCGCCUUCUACCAGCGACGUGGAGGAAAUUUUAAAGGUAAUGACUGAACCCAUGCCUACGAAGCUAAGUCCACUAGGGCUCCAACUGACGAAGCUUUUUGAAAAGGUGGACGAGCCGGAUCAACCGAAGAUAAACAAACCCAAACGGCAAAGAAUUAUUGCGGUAACUGAGGUUAUCGACAAAACUCCACCUAGGUUGUCAAUUCAGAAAACGGCAGCUGCUGAAGGUAGAGCUUCGGAAGUCGCGGCUACCGAAGCUGCCACACCCGAAGAUGUAAAUUUAGAAACUACUCUUGAAAAUAUUGACAAAAUUUUGACAGAAAACAUUGAAGAAGCUGCCACCGUUACUGAAGAAAUCCUGGCCACAGUGCCAGGGAAAGGGAAAGAAAUAGUCGAAGAAACUCCGGACGACGAAGCCUAUUCUUUCCAGAAUCUAAUUGGGCAGAAACUGACGAAGGACGAAAUAGAAGAACUGAAAGACUAUGCCAAAUCUUGCGGCUACAAGCCAGGAGCCCUUCUAUUUGGGGGUGUAGAUGAUGAAAAACUAGGCUGUAUUCGAGACCAGACUGGAGCUAAGGUAAUCUGUACUCUAUCGAAGAGUAUCGGUUUUCCGAAGUUAGAGACAGACAUCAGCCGCUACCGACGGCAACAUAUCGUCGGCAGCUUGUUUUAUUCUAACUUCAAGGUAAACAACCUUUUUUUCUGGUUUUUAUUGCCGUUAACAAUGAAAAUAUUACUUAACAUAAGUUGUUUCUGUUCAGAGCAUGCUACUGAGCAAAGCUCUGAAGAUGCAACAAGACUUGGAGGACAAAAAGCACGAAGCUAUAAUUGAAAACUUGGAAAGCAAAAUAAAAGAGCAAUCUGCCAUCAUUGAAAAGAAAGACUUCGAGCUCCAAUCGACCGAAGGCUUGCUGGCUGAAACUGAAGCUAAAAUAUUAGAGUUAAAUUCGAAGCUUAUCAAUCAAUCAAAACAAUUUGAUCAGGAGAAGCUAGAACUGAAUUCGAAGCUUAAAGCCGAAGUCCAGACCAGCUCAGAAUUGAAGAAAGCAUUAACAAGCCUUCAAGACAAAUGCUUGAACUUUGGCAAUAAUUGUAUUGGACGAUUAAAGAAGAUAUUUUACUCUGUUGGAGCCAGCAGUGUGAAAUUUAACCCUUCGGCGGAAAAUUUACCCCAGGCCUUCGAUCAUAUUGAAGCUGAAAUCGAAGAGCUUGACGAAGUUAUAGCCGGGCACGGCGACUUCUGUGCCUGGGUAGCUUCUCGGGGUACCGCUGCUGCAUUUCUGAAGGCCGGCUGCGAUCAUGGAAAGGUUGUCAACAGGCCCAACUUCACCUUAUCUUCAUCAAUCCUGGAUGAUAUGCCCGACCUCGCCCGAAGUAUCUCCAAUAGAUUUAUAAAAAUGGUAUGGACAAAGGGCGGGCGAGAGAAAGCUGGAGACGAAGCCCGAAGUCAUCUUGAACCAGUAAGAAAUGACAUUUCGUGCUUACCUUUUCCUUUGGACUUGAUUCUUAUGAUUCCUUGACUCAUGUAGGAUGACGAAGGUGAAGAUGAUGCCUAGGAUAUGUCGCCGAAGUCGUCGUCGAAGCUGAAGCUUAAUGAAGACUAGCAGAAGUGUGCUUUAGAAAAACUCAGGAUAAUUUUGUAACAACUCUUGUAAAUAGAAUUAAACUGUUCUUCAAGGAACUUUGUACAUACCUUGUAAUAUAUUCUUACCCUUCGAUUGAGGUGCUUUGAUGUGGACGAAAUCAGCUUUUUGAGCCGAAGGCGAAAAAACACCUUCCCUUCUUUUCGUACACAACGAAGCAUAAAAGGCCGCUUCCUCUUUUUGCCGAAGCCUUUCCUUACAUAACAAAACAUAAAAGACUGCUACUCUUAUCUGCCGAAGCUUUUAUUUACAUAACAAAACAUAAAAGACUACUACUCUUAUCUGCCGAAGCUUUUAUUUACAUAACAAAACAUAAAAGACUACUACUCUUAUCUGCCGAAGCUUUUAUUUACAUAACAAAACAUAAAAGACUACUACUCUUAUCUGCCGAAGCUUUUAUUUACAUAACAAAACAUAAAAGACUGCUAUUUAUACACAACGAUUCAUAAAAAAAAACCACUUCUUCGAAACCUUUCUUUUACAUAACGAAUCAUAACAAACCAUUUAUCCGAAACUUUUCUCUGUGCCGAAGCAACCAUUUAGGAGCACAAAUGCUAUGAAUGAAUGCUUAUGCAUGCAAAUGCCAUGAUGUAAUGUGCAAAUGAAUGUCCGAAGCCACACUCAUCCAUCAUUUUCUUAGGAGCAAACACACGUCAGCUCUGCAUUCCCUUAGGAACGACUUUGGAGCAUCUUUGCCUUUUACUUAGGCAUUAUCAGCGUUGACUUUUCGCUGUAAGCUCUGCAUCCCCCUAGGGACGUCUUUGGAGCUUCUUCGUCUUUUACUUAGACGGUAUAAGCUCUGCAUUCCCUUAGGAACGACUUUGGAGCUUCUUCGCCUUUUACUUUCGGCGGAAUCAGCGUUGACUUUUCGCUGUAAGCUCUGCAUCCCCUUAGGGACGUCUUUGGAGCUUCUUCUCUUUUUUAGUUUCGGCACUCGAUGGUGCGCUCUCAGCUUUUACAUUUACAUUCUUUGGGGGAUUUUGCUCUUAUAAAACUAAAAAGAAAAUUACAUAUGAUGGCCCCAUUAAAAACCUUUCUCCCCCUUUAGAAAGGAAAAGGGUGCCAUGAAAAAGAAAAGAAAAGUCAAAAUUACAUCGAGUUAUACAUAAAACCGCCGAAGCUCAUCCGCAUUCCAAGAUCUUGGAAUUUCAUUGCCAUCCAUGUCCUUCAGUCUGUACGAACCAGGCCUUGACGAAGAUGCUACUAAGAAAGGCCCUUCCCAUUUCAGUUGCAAUUUGCCCACUGUAUCCGGAUUGGCCACUCUCCGAAGCACCAAGUGUCCUGGCUCAAUAUUUUUUAGCCGGACCUUUCUAUCUCGCCAUUUAACUGUUUCAGCCUGGUACUUAUUGAUAUUCUCCACGGCCUGAAGCCUGAUCCCUUCUAAGGCAUCUUUUUCCACGAGACAAGUAUCUUCGGGAUCUGAUUCUGCCGAAGCUACCACUCUUAUUGAUCCAGCUUUAGCUUCUUCCGGGGUUAUUGCUUCGUCACCAAAUAACAACUUAAAUGGGGUAAAGCCUGUAGAUCUUGAUGUUGUUGUGUUAUGGCUCCAUACCACUUUGGUAAGCUGAUCUGGCCACUUUCCCCUUGGUUGAUUAAAGAUUAGCUUCAUUAUUCCUGUCAUUAUGAUGCCGUUGGCCCUUUCAACAAGCCCAUUCGACUCCGGGUGCCUGACUGACGCAAAGUGGAUCUUCGUGCCAAUUUGAUCACAAAAAUUUCUGAAUUCUUCGGAGUCAAAUUGUGUUCCAUUAUCUACAGUUAUAGCCUUCGGCACUCCGAAGCGACAGACAAUAUUCUGCCAGAAAAAUUUUUGGACAGUGGCCGAAGUUAUUGUAGCUAAUGGCUUCGCCUCAAUCCACUUGGAAAAAUAUUCCACAGCAACUACAACAUAUUUCAGAUUGCCUUGAGCCGGUGGUAAUGGGCCCAGUAAAUCGAGGCCCCACCUUUGCAAUGGCCAGAUGGGUUGUAUUAGCUGUGUCAAAGACGAAGGUUGUUUUUGAUCUCUCGCACAUUUCUGACAACCUUCGCACUUUUGAACUAACUCAGCUGCAUCCGAAGCUGCCUUCGGCCAAUAAAAUCCUUGACGGAACACUUUUCCAAGUAACGGCCUGGAACCGAUGUGGGAUCCACAAAGGCCUGCAUGUAUCUCCUUCAUCAACUCUAUACCUUCGGCUCUAGACAAGCACUUGAGCAGCGGGGCACAAACUCCAUGCUUGUAUAACUCCCCUUCUAUAAUGAUAUACGGACGAGCUCUUGCCUCUAUUCUUUUAUUAUAAGCUUCGUCAUCUGAUAGGAAUUUGCCCUGAAGGUAAGAAAUUAUUUCAGUUCUCCAAUCUUCACUGUACACAGGAGAAAUAGUAAGAACUGCUCUUUCAAGUAACUCCACUGAAGGUGCCUUUAUUGUUUCGAAGAAUACAUCCGAAGGUAGCGGCAGCCCCUGUGCUGCAGACCUGGCUAACAAAUCAGCAUGUUCAUUUUGCCCUCGAGGGAUAUUCUUAACAGAAAAUCCUUCGAAGGAAGCUUCGAUCCUUCGGACUGUGUCUAGGUAUUUUUCAAGCUUCGGGUCUUUAGCCUUGCAACUUUUGUCAAUAUGACCCGAAACAAUCUGAGAAUCAGUUUUAAGGAUCGCCCUCCUGAUCCCCAUCGCCUUUAGUUUCCGAAGACCCAAGAGCAGGGCUUCGUACUCAGCAAUAUUAUUUGUGCAGCUGAAGUCCAGUCUUGCUGCAUAGCAAGUUUUAACCUUGGACGGUGAAACCAAAACAGCAGCUGCUCCUGCUCCGAAGGUUCCCCAGGAGCCAUCACAAAACACUGUCCAUGCUUCGGCAUCUUUAUUCGCUUCUUCGCCCUGAGCCCCUGGCGUCCAGUCGGCAAUAAAAUCUGCUAAUGCUUGAGACUGGAUCGAGGAUCUGUGCACAUAAUCAAUGUAAAAUUCAUUAAGCUCCGCAGCCCAUUUUCCAAUUCGGCCAGUAGCUUCUUUAUUUCUCAUGAUAUCUUUCAACGGCUGCGAAGAAGGAACAAUAAUAUUAUAUGCCUGAAAAUAAUGCCGAAGCUUCCUGGAUGCCAUUAGAACGGCAUACAACACCUUCUCCAGUUCUGUAUAAUUUUUCUUUGAGACACUAAGGACCUCAGAUACAAAAUAUACUGGGACCUGCUUCUUGAUUUGUCCAUCAAACUUCUCCUGCACAAGUGCCGCACUUACUGCCGAGUGCGAAGCUGCCACAUACAACAACAGAGGAGCCCCUGGCAUUGGUGGAGUUAAUGUUGUUAGAUCUAUCAGGUAUUGCUUGAGUUCUUCGAAAGCUUUUUGUUGAGCUGGGCCCCAUUGAAAGACUUCAGCUGAUUUUAGCACCUCGAAGAAGGGUAGAUUUCUUUCCGCUGAUCUGGAUAUAAAUCUGUUAAGAGAUGCCAGUCUUCCUGUCAAUCUUUGGGCCCCCUUUCUUGUGGUUGGUGGCUCCAUUCGAAGUAUAGCUUCGAUUUUAUUUGGGUUAGCUUCAAUUCCCUUUGUUGAAACCAAGCAUCCAAGGAACUUACCCUUCUUUACUCCGAAGACACAUUUUUCUGGAUUCAGCUUCAGACCAGCUUGUCUGAAGCUGGCGAAGGUCUCCUGCAGAUCAGCAAUAUGGUCUUCUUGCUUCGUGCUUUUUACAAUAAUGUCAUCAACAUAGGUCAACACAUUUCUGCCUAUCUGAGAUUGGAGAACCUUCGCAGUCAUCCUGCUGAAACUCCCUCCAGCAUUCUUAAGCCCCUCAGGCAUCCGAAGAUAGCAAUAUGUACCACUUGGGGUUAUGAAACUAGUCUUCGGCUCAUCCUCCUUUUUCAUCCAGAUUUGAUGAUAGCCUGAGUAACAAUCCAGGAGACUCAUGAGUUCCGAAGAAGCUGCUGCAUCAACUAAAGAGUCUAUCCUUGGCAGCGGGAACUCAUCCUUCGGACAAGCCUUGUUGAGAUCUGUGAAAUCAAUACACAUUCUCCACUUUCCAUUAGCCUUCUUCACCAUAACAGUGUUAGCUAGCCAUUCUGGAUACUUCACUUCUCUGAUAACUCCUGCACUUAGGAGUCUUUUUACUUCGUUGCGAGCCCCUUCGGCCUUGUCAUCAGACAUUUUCCGAAGCCUCUGCUUGCGGGGUCUGAAGGAUGGGUCAACAUUGAGCGAAUGUUCAAUAACAUCCCGAUUCACUCCACAAAGAUCAUUGGCUGACCAUGCAAAAACAUCUUUAUUGUUGAAUAAAAACCUUAUCAAGGUUUUCUCUUGAUCUUCAGAUAAUUGCGAGCCCAAUAGCACCUUCUGCUCUGCUAUAUCCUCACACAGCAGCAUGGGCUUCGGCUGAUCAGCCGAAGCUGCUUUUUCCCUCCUGAACUUGUACUGUUCACAAGCUUCAACUCCAUCUAUAUUAUGGAUUGCCUUGGAAUCAGUCCAGCUUCCUUCGGCCCUUCUGGCAGCUUCCUGACUCCCAUGAAUAGCAAUAGGCCCUUGGUCCGAAGGUAUCUUCAUGCAGAGAUAAGCUGGGUGAAGAAUUGCUUCAAAAGCAUUUAGGGUACCACGACCAAUGAUGGCGUUGUAGGGGUAUUCCAUGUCAACAAUAUCAAACACAAUUUGCUCAGUCCUUGUGUUAUUAACAAAUCCGAAGGUUACCGGCAUGGUAAUCUUCCCGAGUGCCACAAUCUGCCGCCCUCCGAAGCCACAAAGAGGGUGCGUAGCAUCAUGAAUCUUGUCUUCAGGCUCUUGCAUCUGUCUGAAGGCUUUGGCAAAUAUAAUGUCAGCUGCACUGCCUGUAUCAACUAGGACAUUGUGAACCAGAAACCCUUUGAUCACACAAGAAAUGACCAUAGCAUCAUUGUGAGGAUAGUCCUUGAGCUGAAGAUCUUCCUGAGAGAAGGUAAUUGGAAUGUGAGACCAUUUUGACUUAAUGAAGGGUCCCUGCACUCCAACAUGCUGCACCCUUCUCUGAGCCUCCUUCUUCUGCUUUUUGUUAGCUGGCUCUGAGCAAGAACCGCCUGUUAUCGGGAGCACCAGCUUCGAAGCCGAAGCAGCUCCAGCUUGAGUGUUGAACGAAGCCAUCAGCUCAGAAAGGUGGAAGUGAGUUGACCGGAGGUGGGCGCCAAUGUUGGGGGCUUGUUCUCAAAUGCUUCGAAUUAAGAACAAGGCAACACGGAAAAUGUUAAGUAUUAAGGUCCUUCGUCCUUCAUAACGAUAUAUCCCUUCGGGAUAUAUAGCAUCUCGGACGAAGGUUACAAAGAACAUACCUUCGUAAGCAUAACAAUGAAGAAUAAAGCAUUCACAUAAAUCAUGAAAUAAACAUGUAAAUAUUAACAUAGAAUUAUCUCUAUUCAUAUUAAUGAAUAUAAAUGAUUUUGAAGUACAAAUGUACCUUCGGUCUUGCGGAAGGCAAAAAGUACGAAUGUGAUGCAAAGGCAAAAAGCAGGUUCGCGUGGACAGUACAGAGGUACUGUUCAUCUAUUUAUAGACACAGGUCGCAGCCUGUGACAAAUUACAAUUAUGCCCCUUGCGGAAGUUUACAACAUUGACUCGGACAUACAUGUAUAAAAAGGUCAUUCUGCCUCUAUGUCGGUUUAAAACGCCGAAGCUCCAUGAAAAGGGACCUUCGGCCAUCUCUUAGAAAUGACUUUGGCCGAAGCUGCUUCUUCGUGUGAGACCUUCGGCGUACCGAAGCACGACCCCAACAGUGCCAUCAUUACUUGUUUUACCGGGGCGAGCCAGAUGGGACACCAGUCUUGUUCCCCAUAGCCUGAGCUAGCUAGGGGUAGGGUAAUGAUGGCCCCCCCUGUGACGUGGUCGGUCCGAGCCCGAGGUCGGGCGAGGUGGUGACUCCUCCGAGGUCGAGGCUGAGUCCGAGCCCUGGGGUCAGGCUAGGCGGAGACCGUCUUCCGGAGUCGAGGCUGAGUCCGAGCCCUGGGGUCGGGCGAGGCGGAGACUGUCUUCCGGGGUCGAGGCUGAGUCCGAGCCCUAGGGUCGGGCGAGGCGGAGACCGACUUCCGGAGUCGAGGCUGAGUCCGAGCCCUGGGGUCGGGCGAGGCGGAGACUGUCUUCCGAAGUCGAGGCUGAGUCCGAGCCCUGGGGUCGGGCGAGGCGGAGACCGUCUUCUGGCGUCGAGGUUGAGUCCGAGCCCUAGGGUCGGGCGAGGCGAAGACUGUCGUUCGAGGUCGAGGUUGAGUCCGAGCCCUGGGGUCGGGCGAGGCGGAGUCCAUCGUCCGAGGUCGAGACGGGGGCCGAGCCCUGGGGUCAGGCGAGGCGGAGCUUCCUAUGGCGCCCGAGGCUGGACUUAGCUGCUGUCGGCCUCACUGUGGCGAGUGGCACAACAGUCGGAGCAGGGUAGGCGACACUGUUUUCCUGUCAGGUCAAUCAGUGGAGCGGCAAAGUGACUGCGGUCACUACGGCCUUGUCGACUGAGGAGCGUGCGUUAGGAUAAGGUGUCAGACGAUCCUUGCAUUGAAUGCUCCUACGAUAUGGUCGGUUGGCGUGGCGAUCUGGCCAAGGUUGCUUCUCCGCGAAGCCUGCCCGAGCUGGGCCUCGGGCGAGUCGAAGGUGCGUCCGUUGUUUGAGGAGACCCUCGGGCGAGGCGUGAAUCUGCCUUGGUCUACUGUUCCUGCCCGAGGUUGGGCUCGGGUGAGACGAGAUCGUGUCCCUUUUGUGGACGGAGCCUUGACCGGAAUCGCGCCCAUCAGGCCUUUGUAGCUUUGUGCUGAUGGGGGUUACCAACUGAGAUUAGGAGUCUUGGGGGUACCCCUAAUUAUGGUCCCCGACAGUAGCCCCCGAGCCUCGAAGGGAGUGUUAGUACUCGCUUGGAGGCUUUUUGAAAGUCGCCUAGAGGGGGGUGAAUAGGGCGAAACUGAAAUUUACAAAGUUAAUCACAACUACAAGCCGGGUUAGCGUUAGAAAUAUAAUCAAGUCCGCGAGAGAGGGUGCAAAACAAAUUGCAAGCGAAUAAGGAGUGUGACACGUGGAUUUGUUUUACCGAGGUUCGGUUCUCGCAAACCUACUCCCCGUUGAGGUGGUCACAAAGACCGGGUCUCUUUCAACCCUUUCCCUCUCUCAAACGGUCUCUCGGACCGAGUGAGCUUCUUCUUCUCAAUCAAACGGGAACAAAACUUCCCCGCAAGGGCCACCACACAAUUGGUGCCUCUUGCCUUGGUUACAAUUGAGUUGAUCGCAAGAAAGAAUCAAAGAAGAAAGCAAUCCAAGCGCAAGAGCUCGAAAGAACACAAGCAAAUCUCUCUCACUAGUCACUAAGGCGUUGUGUGGAAUUUGGAGAGGAUUUGAUCACUUGGGUGUGUCUAGAAUUGAAUGCUAGAGCUCUUGUAAGUGGUUGAAGUAGGAAAACUUGGAUGACUUGAAUGUGGGGUGGUUGGGGGUAUUUAUAGCCCCAACCACCAAACUAGCCGUUUGGUGGGGCUGUCUGUCGCAUGGUGCACCGGACAGUCCGGUGCACACCGGACAGUGUCCGGUGCGCCAGCCACGUCACCAGGCUGUUGGGUUCCGACCGUUGGAGCUCUGACUGCUGGGCCCGCCUGGAUGUCCGGUGGCACACCGGACAUGUACUAUAGAGUGUCCGGUGCGCCACUUCGCGCGUGCCUGACUUCUGCGCGCACUAGCGCGCAUUUAAUGCUGUAGCAGGUGACCGUUGGCGCCGAAUAGUCGUUGCUCCGCUGGCUCACCGGACAGUCCGGUGCACACCGGACAUGUCCGGUGAAUUAUAGCGGAGCGAAUUCCCGAAGCUGGCGAGUUCCAUAGUCGCUCACCUCUGGGGCACCGGACACUGUCCGGUGUACACCGGACAGUCCAGUGAAUUAUAGCGGAGCGCCUCUGGAUUUUCCCGAAGGUGAGGAGUUCAGCGUGAAGUCCCCUGGUGCACCGGACACUGUCCGGUGGCACACCGGACAGUCCGGUGCGCCAGACCAGGGCACACUUCGGUUAUCCCUUGCUCUCUUUGUUGAACCCAAUUCUUGGUCUUUUUAUUGGCUAAGUGUGAACCUUUGGCACCUGUAUAACUUAUACACUAGAGCAAACUAGUUAGUCCAAUUAUUUGUGUUGGGCAAUUCAACCACCAAAAUCAAUUAGGAAAAUAGGUGUAAGCCUAAUUCCCUUUCAAUCUCCCCCUUUUUGGUGAUUGAUGCCAACACAAACCAAAGCAAAUAUGGAAGUGCAUAAUUGAACUAGCUUGCAUAAUGUAAGUGCAAAGGUUGCUUUGAAUUGAGCCAAUAUAAAUACUUAUAAUAUAUGCAUGGAUUGUUUCUUCAUUUUUAACAUUUUGGACCACACUUGCACCAUAUGUUUUGUUUUUGCAAAUUCUUGUGUAAAUCCUUUUCAAAGUUCUUUUGCAAAUAGUCAAAGGUAAAUGAAUAAGAUUUUGUAAAGCAUUUUCAAGAUUUGAAAUUUUCUUCCCCUAUUUCAAAUGCUUUUCCUUUGACUGAACAAAACUCCCCCUAAAUGAAAUCCUCCUCUUAGUGUUCAAGAGGGUUUUAGGAUAUUGAUUUUUACAAUACUAUUCUCUCCCCCUUUUUGAAAACAAGGAGAUACCAAAUUGAAAAUCAUACCAAUUGAAAAAACCUUUUAAGAUUAGGUGGUGGUGCGGUCCUUUUGCUUUGGGCUAAUACUCUCUCCCCCUUUGGCAUGAAUCGCCAAAAACGGAGUCAUUAGAGCCCUUAGAAUUACUUCCUCCCCUUUGGUCAUGAAUAAAUGAGUGAAGAUUGUACCAAAGACGGAGUCCUACUCCCCCAAAGAUGGAGAGUUGCUUAGAGUGAUGGCGAAGGAUGAGUUACGGAGUGGAAGCCUUUGUCUUUGCCGAAGACUCUAAUGCCCUUUCAAUAUACCUAUGACUUGAUUUGAAAUUCACUUGAAAACACAUUAGUCAUAGCACAUGAAAGAGAUAUGAUCAAAGGUAUAUGAAUGAGCUAUGUGUGCAAAUUAACAAAAGAAGUUCCUAGAAUCAAGAAUAUUUAGCUCAUGCCUAAGUUUGUUAAAUGUUUGUUCAUCAAGAGGCUUGGUAAAGAUAUCGGCUAAUUGAUCUUUAGUGUUAAUAUAUGAAAUCUCGAUAUCUCCCUUUUGUUGGUGAUCCCUUAAAAAGUGAUACCGAAUGGCUAUGUGUUUAGUGCGGCUAUGCUCAACGGGACUAUCCGCCAUGCGGAUUGCACUCUCAUUAUCACAUAGAAGAGGAACUUUGGUUAAUUUGUAACCAUAGUCCCUAAGGGUUUGCCUCAUCCAAAGUAAUUGCGCGCAACAAUGGCCUGCGGCAAUGUACUCGGCUUCGGCGGUAGAAAGAGCUACGAAAUUUUCUUCUUUGAAGCCCAAGACACCAAGGAUCUUCCCAAGAAUUGGCAAGUCCCCAAUGUGCUCUUUCUAUUGAUUUUACAACCCGCCCAAUCGGCAUCGGAAUAACCAAGUAAAUCAAAUGUGGAUCCCCGAGGGUACCAAAGCCCAAACUUAGGAGUAUAAACUAAAUAUCUCAAGAUUCGUUUCACGGCCGUAAGGUGAGCUUCCUUAGGGUCGGCUUGGAAUCUUGCACACAUGCAUACGGAAAGCAUAAUAUCCGGUCGAGAUGCACAUAAAUAGAGUAAAGAUCCAAUCAUCGACCGGUAUACCUUUUGAUCCACGGACUUACCUUCCGUGUCGAGGUCGAGAUGCCCAUUGGUUCCCAUGGGUGUCUUGAUGGGUUUGGCAUCCUUCAUCCCAAACUUGUUUAGAAUAUCUUGAGUAUACUUUGUUUGGCUUAAGAAGGUGCCCUCUUGGAGUUGCUUCACUUGAAAUCCUAAGAAAUACUUCAACUCCCCCAUCAUAGACAUCUCGAAUUUUUGUGUCAUGAUCCUACUAAAUUCUUCACACGUAGACUCGUUAGUAGACCCAAAUAUAAUAUCAUCAACAUAAAUUUGGCAUACGAACAAGUCAUUCUCAAGAGUUUUAGUGAAUAAAGUAGGAUCGGCCUUUCCGACAUUGAAACCAUUAGUGAUAAGGAAAUCUCUUGGGCAUUCAUACCAUGCUCGUGGGGCUUGCUUAAGCCCAUAAAGCGCCUUAGAGAGUUUAUAAACAUGGUUAGGAUACUCACUAUCUUCAAAGCCGGGAGGUUGCUCAACAUAGACCUCUUCCUUGAUUGGUCCAUUGAGGAAGGCACUCUUCACGUCCAUUUGAUAAAGCUUGAAGCCAUGGUAAGUAGCAUAGGCCAAUAAUAUACGAAUUGACUCAAGCCUAGCUACGGGUGCAUAGGUUUCACCGAAAUCCAAACCUUCGACUUGGGAGUAUCCUUUGGCCACAAGUCGAGCUUUGUUCCUUGUCACCACACCAUGCUCAUCUUGCUUGUUGCGGAAAACCCAUUUGGUUCCUACAACAUUUUGGUUAGGACGUGGAACUAAGUGCCAUACCUCAUUCCUAGUGAAGUUGUUGAGCUCCUCUUGCAUCGCCACCACCCAAUCCGAAUCUUGAAGUGCUUCCUCUACCCUGUGUGGCUCAAUAGAGGAAACAAAAGAGUAGUGCUCACAAAAAUGUGCAACACGAGAUCUAGUGGUUACCCCCUUAUGAAUGUCGCCGAGGAUGGUGUCGAUGGGGUGAUCUCGUUGGAUUGCUUGGUGGACUCUUGGGUGUGGUGGCCUUUGCUCUUCAUCCUCCUUGUCUUGAUCAUUUGCAUCUCCCCCUUGAUCAUUGUCGUCAUCUUGAGGUGGCUCAUUUGCUUGAUCUUCUCCUUCAUCAAUUUGAGCCUCAUCCUCAUUUUGAGUUGGUGGAGAUGCUUGCGUGGAGGAGGAUGGUUGAUCUUGUGCAUUUGGAGGCUCUUCGAAUUCCUUAGGACACACAUCCCCAAUGGACAUGUUCCUUAGCGCGAUGCACGGAGCCUCUUCAUCACCUAUCUCAUCAAGAUCAACUUGCUCUACUUGAGAGCCGUUAGUCUCAUCAAACACAACAUCACUAGAAACUUCAACUUGUCCAGUGGACUUGUUGAAAACUCUGUAUGCCCUUGUGUUUGAAUCAUAUCCUAGUAAAAAGCCUUCUACAGUCUUAGGAGCAAAUUUAGAUUUUCUACCUCUUUUAACAAGAAUAAAGCAUUUGCUACCAAAGACUCUAAAAUAUGAAAUAUUGGACUUUUUACCGGUUAGGAGUUCAUAAGAUGUCUUCUUGAGGAUUCGGUGUAGAUACAACCGGUUGAUGGCGUAGCAAGCGGUGUUGACCGCCUCGGCCCAAAACCGAUCCGAAGUCUUGUACUCAUCAAGCAUGGUUCUUGCCAUGUCCAAUAGAGUUAUAUUCUUCCUCUCCACUACACCAUUUUGUUGUGGGGUGUAGGGAGAAGAGAACUCAUGCUUGAUGCCCUCCUCCUCAAGAAAGCCUUCGAUUUGUGAGUUCUUGAACUUCGUCCCAUUGUCGCUUCUUAUUUUCUUGAUCCUUAAGCCGAACUCAUUUUGAGCCCGUCUCAAGAAUCCCUUUAAGGUUUCUUGGGUAUGAGAUUUUUCCUGCAAAAAGAAUACCCAAGUGAAGCGAGAAUAAUCAUCCACAAUAACUAGACAGUACUUACUUCCGCCGAUGCUUAUGUAAGCGAUCGGGCCGAAUAGAUCCAUGUGUAGGAGCUCCAGUGGCCUGUCAGUCGUCAUGAUGUUCUUAUGUGGAUGAUGGGCACCAACUUGCUUUCCUGCUUGGCAUGCGCUACAAAUCCUGUCUUUCUCAAAAUGAACAUUUGUUAAUCCUAAAAUGUGCCCUCCCUUUAAAAGCUUGUGAAGAUUCUUCAUCCCAACAUGGGCUAGUCGGCGGUGCCAUAGCCAACCCAUGUUAGUCUUAGCAAUUAAGCAAGUGUCGAGUUCAGCUCUAUCAAAAUCUACCAAGUACAGCUGACCCUCUAACACUCCCUUAAAUGCUAUUGAAUCAUCACUUCUUCUAAAGACAGUGACACCUACAUCAGUAAAAAGACAGUUGUAGCCCAUUUGACAUAAUUGAGAAACGGAAAGCAAAUUGUAAUCUAAAGAAUCUACAAGAAAAACAUUGGAAAUGGAAUGGUCAGGUGAUAUAGCAAUUUUACCCAAUCCUUUGACCAAACCUUGAUUUCCAUCCCCGAAUGUGAUCGCUCUUUGGGGAUCUUGGUUUUUCUCGUAGGAGGAGAACAUCUUCUUCUCCCCUGUCAUGUGGUUUGUGCACCCGCUAUCGAUGAUCCAACUUGAGCCCCCGGAUGCAUAAACCUACAAAACAAGUUUAGUUCUUGACUUUAGGUACCCAAAUGGUUUUGGGUCCUUUGGCAUUAGACACAAGAACUUUGGGUACCUAAACUGUCACACCCGGUUUUAGAAGGCAAACCGAAUGCGAACCAUGUACGUGCCAGGAUCAGUUAUUCACGUACACAGCAGUUACAUAACAUGGACAUCAUCACACAGUGCUCAAAAUAGUAUUAAAAGGGAAUAAUAGUUGAUUACAUCAUACGUCUGAGACGUCCAUAUAGUUCUUACAAUAAAUCAAAGUGCGGAAAAGAAACGUAGAUAACUGCGGCCUUCACAGGCAGUCGACUGGGGGUUGCCGCUAACCCACACCUAGAACUCGUCGUAGUCUUGGAACUCCUGGAAGUCUCCUUCCACAGCUUCAUCUUCGCCUGAGCAGUGGUUGCAAUGCUGACAACCUGGGGGGGUUUGGUGUGUAGAGCAAGGGUGAGUACACAUCAACAUACUCAGCAAGUAUCCUGUUUGGCUGUAGUGGACUAGCUGUAUGUGGGGAUGAGUCAAGCAGUUGCUUUUAGUUGGUCAGAUUAUUACUUACUAGUAGAAAGCCAAGUUUUAGCAUUACCCAAGUUAUUAACCCGAUGUACCCUUUCCAAACGGAAAGAAUACCACUUACCAGCACCAUAGUCAUAACCAGAACCAUCGAUCUCAUAACCACCUGUACCACAAUGUCUCUGAUCAAGUACCACUAAUCACUGGAGCUCCCUUGGCCGCUCAUAACCGCGAGCACGGCUGAUAUAUCAGUUUUCAAACACUCUGCAGAGGUUGUGCACUUUACCCACAAGCCGUGAUUCCCAUUCUGCCCGGAGAUCAUGACUCUCCAUUGAUCACUACCAAGGUGACCCAGCAGGGCAUCACUACGUAGCCUUUACAAAGAUUCCCCGGGACUGUAGCCACCCGUUAGGUUUCCUAAAUGUACCGCACUCCUCCCCAAGGGACAAAUCAACCUUGGCAGAGCGAGCCGCAUACACCGAGCCCCAUUGACGGCACGACGGCUAAGUGAACUACACCCCGGAUCCUCUAAUUAUUCAGCUAAGGGCACCCCAUUCCACCCUCAUGGUUGCACUGUUUUCCCGGGCGGUCAUCCAUAGAACAGGUCCUUACGGAGAGGCACUCGAGAAACCGCUCGAGCCCCCUUAAAGCCACAAGUACAACAUCAUAAUAAGAGAAGGGAAAACAGCGUAUCAUAGAUAUUCUCAUCAUGUUCAUUGAUUAGAGUUGAGCAAUAGCAUAAAGCUAAACAGUAAUAAUCCAACCCAAAUAGGUAAGCAAGGAUAGGGAUAACAAAAGCUAGUCAAACCUUAGGUAUAAAUAUGUAAAGCGGGGGGUGAAUUAAAUAAUGAAUAGGACAGAGAUAGGUCAAAGGACACUUGCCUCCACCAACCGACUGCUGCUCAGGGGCUUCUCCUGCGAGUUCCUCGGGCUCUUCAACCGGAUCGUUCUCUAUGCGAUUGCAAACAUACAUACAUCCACACAUUUAAUACAAAAGAACAGUACACCAUACAAUAGAAUGCAAUAAGUAAACAGACGUUCUACGCGGGCUCGCGAGUACGGUUAAGAGAGAAAGAGGAAAAGACAGUCGAGAAACGAUCACGUUACAUGAUUAUAAAUUAACUACUCGCUUAAUGGAAGGAAAUUUAAUGUGGACACUAUGUUUAGCGUAAAGUAAAGUCAUGUUUCAUGUCCAAUUAUUAUAAGCAGGUGGAGGUAAACAAAAAGAUGGUCGCGCGGCGAGACGCGCGACAAAGCUCUCUAAAACAAAUUAAAAAGUUAACGACUCGUCGCGCGACCGAGCAUGCAACGAGACACUUCGCCUUAGAUACGAGGAGACGUUAAACGUCGCGCGACGAAGCGCACGACGGCAUACGUCGACUAAACUGAGUCCAAAGUGGAACGUCGCGUGAAUACACACGCGGCGUUACACCUUAAACAACCUGAAACAAAAAUGGGUCGUCGCGCGACGAAGCGCACGACGCAACACAAGAUAGAAUCUGAAUUUAGACAAACCGUCGUGCGGCGAAGCGCGCGACGCAACACGCUAAUUAACGAAUAAUCACCACGAGCGCGGGCGAGCGAAGAUACGGUCGGGCGAGGCCGGGACGGGAACGGGCGGCCGAACGGGGGGAAGGGCGGUUGAACCGGCCCAAGGGCGGUUGAACCGGCCAGGGGGGCGGCCGAGGCCGGGCGGGCACGGGGCAGGGUGCGGGGGCGGCCGAGCCGGCCAUGGCGGCCGAGCUGGGUGGCGGGAUCGCCACCGCGCGCGGGGAGGGGCGCCGGGCGGGCAGGGGCGGGCGAGCGCCGCCGCGGGCCAGGGGAGGGCGGGCGUCGCCACGCGGGGCCGGGCAGGGGGCGGGCGGGAUCGCCGCCGCGGGGAGGGGCAGGGGGCGGGCGCCGCCGCGCCGGGGAGGGGUCGAGCGGGGGGGGGAAGGCCGGGGACGGGGAGCCAAGCGCCGCCGCGGGAGGGGCCGAGCGGACGAGCCGGGGGCGGGCGCCGAGCGCCGCCGCGGGGAGGGCGAGCGGGCGGGCAGGGGCGCCGCCGCGGGGAGGGGCCGAGCGGGCGGGCAGGGGCGCCGCCGCGCCGGGCAGGGACGGGGUCGGGCGCGGGCAGGGGGAAGAGGGAGGGUGCGCGCGCGGGGAAGAAGAGGAGGGAGAGGGAGAGAGAGAAGAGGAGGGGAGGGGAGGGGAGCUCACCUCGGGGUCCAAAAUUCGGUGAUCGCCGUCUCCAAACCCUAGGGCACCACGGGGAGAGAGAGGUGGAAGAGGGAGAGGGAAGUUGUUGCGCGGGAGAUCCAAAUGAGGGAGAGAGAGAGGAUGGGGGCGCAGGGGGGGGGGGGGUUGGGCGCCAGGGGCGCGCAGGCCGGGGCGGUCCGGGCCGGCUGAGCUGGGCUGGGCUAAGUUGGGCUGGGCCGAGCCACUUCGCGGAUCGAAAACCCACGACGAGCGCGGACCACUAAACGAACUUAAAACGCGAAUCAAAAUCCGGAACGGAACGAGACGAACACUCAACAUCAGACAAAGAAAUGUGCUUCGGCAUGAUGCAACACCCAUGACACUUAGGUUUUGGUUUAUACAUGACGCGGACACCUGCCGCUAUACUGGUUUGAAAUUGGGAAGAAGGAGCAAACGGGGAAAGAGAAAAGAGAGUAACGCCCGAAUUUGGUGAGAGAAAAGAAGAAAAAAUUCUACCCCCAAAUUCAGGGCGUUACAAACCUAUCCCCCUUAAAAGAAUCUCGCCCUCGAGAUUCAGGGUUGGCUAGCAAAGAGCUCAGGGUAUUGAGCCAACAGAUCAUCUUCACGCUCCCAGGUUGCUUCUUCCUCAGAGUGAUGAUUCCAUUUGACUUUGCACAUUCUGAUGGUCUUCCUUCGGGUGACUCUGUCUGCAACCUCAAGGAUUUGCACUGGCUUCUCAACGUAGGUCAAGUCCUCCUGGACUUCAAGACCUUCCACUGGCAACUGCUCUUCUGGCACACGCAAGCACUUUUUCAACUGAGACACAUGAAAGACAUCAUGCACAGCAGACAAAUUCUCUGGUAGACUGAGCUGAUAGGCCACUUCUCCACGUCUUGCAAGAAUCUGAUACGAACCAAUGUAGCGGGGUGCUAGCUUGCCUUUCACUCCGAAUCUUCUGACUCCUCUGAUCGGUGACACUUUCAGAUAGACAAAGUCUCCGACUUCGAAACUCAGCUCUCUUCUUCUUGUGUCUGCAUAGCUUCGCUGCCUCGAUUGCGAUAUCUUCAGAUUCUCUCGGACCAUCUUGAUGUUCUCUUCGGCUUCAAGCAAAAUGUCUGGCCCAAACACUUGCUUCUCUCCAGGCUGAUCCCAUUGCAACGGAGUUCUACAACUCCUUCCAUACAGCGCCUGAAAUGGUGACAUCUUCAAACUGGCCUGGUAACUGUUGUUAUAGGAAAACUCUGCAUAAGGCAAUCGCUUGUCCCAUCCGGACUGAUCUUGCAACGCACAGGCUCUCAACAUGUCUUCAAGAAUUUGAUUGGUCCUUUCGGUCUGGCCAUCUGUCUGCGGGUGAUAAGCUGAACUGAAAUUCAGAUGCGUGCCCAAGGCUUCAUGCAACUGCUGCCAGAAAUGAGAGGUGAACUGCGUUCCUCUGUCUGACACUAUCUUCUUUGGCACACCAUGAAGACAAAUGAUCCGAGACAUAUACAAUUCUGCCAAUACGGCACUGCUAUAGUUGGUCUUGACAGGUAUGAAGUGGGCUGACUUGGUCAAGCGGUCCACUACUACCCAAAUGGAAUCGUAGCCGGCUCGAGUGCGAGGCAAUCCGACUAUGAAAUCCAUACCGAUUUCAUCCCAUUUCCACUGAGGGAUCUGCAACGGUUGCAACAAUCCAGCAGGUCUCUGGUGUUUUGCCUUAAUUCUUCGGCAACUAUCGCACAUAGCCACAUGCUCUGCGAUUUCCCUCUUCAUUCCGUACCACCAGAAUUUCUUCUUCAGAUCUUGAUACAUCUUCUCACUGCCAGGGUGAAUCGAAUAGUCUGUCUCAUGAGCUUCCUUAAGAAUCAACUCCCGAAUGGACUGGACAAUGGGAACACACAAGCGGUCUUUAAACCAUGUCACGCCUUCUGCAUCUUCUCGAAAAUCUUUGCCUUUGCCAUCUAGAAUCAGUCGCCGAAUCUCACUGAUCUUUUCAUCAUUCUUCUGCGCUUCUUUGAUUUCGCGCUCUAAGGUAGGUUCCAACUCAACUGUGACUCCUCGAGAAUUGUUCAGAAAUCCGAGACUCAACCUGUCGAACUCCUUGGCCAACUCAUAAGGCAUCGGACGAGCGACCAUCAGAUUGACUUGACUCUUUCUGCUCAAAGCAUCUGCCACUACGUUUGCUUUGCCUGGGUGGUAAUGAAUCUCCAACUCAUAGUCUUUGAUCAACUCUAACCAUCUUCGUUGCCUCAUGUUCAACUCUAACUGAGUGAAUAUGUACUUCAGACUCUUGUGAUCUGUGUAAACAUCGCAUUUCUGUCCAUACAGAUAGUGCCUCCAUGACUUCAGUGCGUGAACCACUGCUGCCAACUCUAGAUCAUGGAUUGGGUAAUUCUUCUCAUGAACCUUCAACUGUCGGGACGAGUAAGCCACAACUCUUCCCUCUUGCAUCAACACACAUCCCAAACCUGUGUAGCAAGCAUCACAAUACACCGAGAAGGGCUUGUGCACAUCAGGCAAGACUAAGACAGGCGCUGUAGUCAACUUCCCUUUCAGCGCUUCAAAGGCCUCUUGACAUUUCUGGGUCCACUUGAACUCAACCUUGUUGCCUAGCAAUGCUGUCAUUGGUUUCGCAAUCUUCGAAAACCCUUCAAUGAAUCGCCGAUAAUAUCCGGCCAUUCCAAUGAAACUCUUGAUUCCUCGAGCAUCUGUUGGCGCUUUCCAGUUCAAAAUGUCUGCCACUUUCUUCGGAUCCACAGCCAAUCCUUCUUUGUUGAUUAUAUGACCCAAGAACAGGACUUCACUGAUCCAGAAUUCACACUUGCUCAACUUUGCAUACAACUGGUGCUCUCGCAAUCUCUGCAACACCAUCCUCAAAUGAUCUGCAUGCUCUUCUUCGCUUUGAGAGUAAAUCAGAAUGUCAUCAAUGAAUACCACCACAAACUUAUCAAGGUAAUCCAUGAAUACACUGUUCAUCAAGUUCAUAAAGAACGCUGGCGCAUUGGUCAAACCAAAAGACAUCACUGUGAACUCAUACAACCCAUACUUGGAAAUGAAUGCCGUCUUCGGAAUGUCCGAAGGUCGGAUCCUGAGCUGAUGAUAACCUGACCUCAGAUCAAUCUUGGAGAACACACUGGCUCCUCUCAACUGGUCGAACAGAUCUUCUAUUCUGGGCAAGGGAUACUUGUUCUUGAUCGUGACUUCAUUCAAAGCUCGGUAAUCGAUGCACAUCCUCUUGGUGCCAUCUUUCUUUUCCACAAACAAGACAGGGGCGGCCCAAGGCGAGGUGCUUGGCCGGAUGUAACCUUUCUCUGACAGCUCAUCAAUCUGCUUCUUAAGCUCAACCAACUCUGGUCCAGAUAUUCUGUAAGCUCUCUUAAAGAUAGGGGCGGUUCCGGGAAGAAGCUCUAUGGCAAACUCAACUUUCCGCUCUGGUGGCAUACCCGGUAAGUCCUUUGGAAACACAUCUGGGAACUCAGACACAACCUUGAUACUCUCAAUUGGGUCUGCUUCACUGCUACCAACAGCUAGCUGAUAACAACUUCCUUUCUUUGGCUCAGGCGGGACUAACUCGGUCACCACUUCCUCUCCUAGUGGGGACACCAACUUGAUGGUCCUUUUAUCACAGCUGAUAACUGCCUGAUACUUAUCUAGCCAAUUCAUCCCUAGGAUGACAUCUAUUCCCUGAGUACCCAUUACUAUAAGGUUGGCGGGAAACGCUAUCCCCCUUAUUUCCACACUUACAUUCAAACAAAUGCUAUCGGCUCGAAUUCUACCACCGGCUGAGUCAAUUUGAAUGGGGGUUGACAUGGUAGUAAUUGGAAGAUUAUGUGCUUCUACCCAUGAUGCAGUAAUGAAAGAAUGCGUUGCUCCAGUAUCAAAUAACACUUCUGCAAUAUGGGAGUCGACUGGGAACAUACCUACUAUCAUGCCGGGGGUCUCCUGAACUGCUUCAGCCUCCAAGUGAUUCAGUCUUCCAUGAUUAUAACGCGGCUGAGGGCGAUUGCCUGCUCCAGACUGAGGCACAUUCUGCUUUGCUGGGGCAUUGGGGCCUGACUGCUGCUGGGCUGCCUUCUUCGGACAUUGCAUCACCCAGUGGCCUUGCUCUCCACAAUGGAAACAUGCUCUGUUUCCAACCUGAGCUGGUGCUGCCUGAUUGCUCUGCUGGUUUGCUGGGGCAGGAAGACGAGGUGCUUGCUGAUUCUGCCUCUGAAACUGACUUCCUGACUGAUUGCUCUGACGGUUCUGGUUCUGAUGCUGAGGAUACUGCCUUUGAAACUGCUGAUGCUGCUGAGGUGGACGCUGGUUCUGCCUGAACUGCUGAGGUUGAUUGCCUGAGAAACGAGGACGACUGCUGCUUCCAGGCUGGGGUCCACUGAUCUUGCGCUUACGAUCUUCCAUCUCCUUACGCUUUCUUUCUGUCAUGAUUGCUCUGUCAAUCAGGUGCUGGAAUGUCGGGAAGGUGUGAUUCAUCAGUUGGUACUGCAGAGGGUCAACCAAGCCUCUCAGGAAACGGUACUGUCGCUUGGCGUCAGUGUUGACAUCUUCAGGAGCAUAACGAGACAACUGCAGAAAUCUGUCUCGGUACUCACUGACAGAUGAUGGCCCUUGCUUGAGAGCUAGGAACUCCUCCUUCUUCACUGUCAUCAGACCUGCGGGAACAUGGUACUGACGAAAGCUUCCUCUGAACUCUUCCCAAGUGAUAGCGUCAGGGUGGGCAUGGGUGGCGAGGUAAGACUCCCACCAUGAUUGGGCUGCUCCUCUCAACAGACGGGGACCAUACAGAACUUUCUCCCUGUCAUCGCACUGAGCGGUAUGCAACUCCCGCUCCACAGUGCGCAGCCAAUCUUCAGCAUCCAUAGGGUCAGAAGAAUGAGCGAACGUUGGUGGAUGACCUCUCAUGAAUUCAGCACGCUUGUCUCUGGGCAUCUGAGGCAUCUGAGGCUGAGGUGGGGCCUGCUGCUGUUGCUGCUGCUGCUGAAUGGCGGCCAAAGUCUGACCGAUGGCUUGAACUGCCUGAGUCUGCAUCAGAAACAUCUGCUCGAUGGACAUCGGGGGCGGGGGCGGCAGGUGCUGCUGCUGGGGCACCUCAUCCUGCGGAGCGGCUCGCUCCUGUUGAGCACGCCUUCCUCCUCUGCGCCUGUUCUCUGACAUCUGCAGAAUGCAACCACACAUCAGAACUGAUCUGGCAAAUCUUGCAGCAUAAGGAAAGAGAAUAGAAUUCUUCAACAGCACUGAACAGAUGAGCAUCUUCACUGAUCUCCAACACAGACCACCCAGCUUCUCAGAUAAAGAGGAAAGUGGAAUAAAAGGUUUCCCAACUAUAUAACUAACUUUAUUAACAUAAUAGGUAAACCAAAAUGCAGGGGAUACCCACACUCUGGUGACAAUCAUUACAAAGAUCCAAACCAAACAUAGUUCAUCAUGACAAACAUAAAUGCACAGGAUAUAGCAAACUACCCUGUCUAACUAAGACUAACUAAAACUGAGACUAACGCUAAGACUGAAGCUUCUAUGUAUAUAUAUUUCGUAUUAAUUACAAGAUCCAACUCUAACGAUCUAUGGUUCUAGAGUUAUCUUGGUCUUGCAGUCGGGAUUGCCAUAAGACUGGUGUCCACGCUGAGGUGAGCGGUACGGGUGCUGAGUCCCGACGGGAGCGGGGGAACCAUCCUCCAGGUGACGACGUUCCGCGCGCUCAGCCCGCAGCAGGGCGAUCUCAGCACGAGCCCUACUCAGCUCGUCUAGUGCAUGGUCCAGCUCCGUGUUUAGCACGGCGGCUAGGUUGACUGUGCUGCUCAACCUAGGAUUGCCCUCACCGACAAGUGAGACAAUCACGCCUCCUGUGCUGCCAGAUGGACGGCGGGGGUAAUACUUUAGGUCAAGACCAUCAGCUGCCCCACCGAAAACCGAGCAGUAGUGCGAAAGCGCACGCCGUGCAGCAUCUUGCAUGGCUGCCUCAGCUGAGUCCCGCUCAGAGAUAGAAUAGUGCUCUGAGCAGACCUCAGCACCCUGGAGACUGUUCUCCGGGCAGCGCACCAAGCAGGUUGCCUCCCAGCGGUCCGGGUAGACCCCGCGACUGUGCUGGUAGACCACACAGCGAUACUCGACGGACCAAGUAUGCCGGUCAAAUGCCCGACGUAGCAGGGUGUCGAGCGCAUCGUGGAAGUGACACCCGCGAGCAGCGUCGCGAGUGAUGGGUCGAGCAACCCAUCCUUCCGGCUCAAGGUUAGCAGAGAAGUCGGUGUCGUGGCUCGAGCUGUCGUCGCCACCUCCGUCGUCUGGAUCUCCUCCAACAGCUACUCCAGAAGCUGGGGCGCCCAAUGGUGGUGCAGGGGGCGGCUCCAGAGGAAGCACAGGGGAGCAGCUCCUCACAGACUCUAUCUCCUGCUGGAGCGAGAAAGAAGAGCCCUGCUGCUCCUGUCGUCGACGUUCCUGCUCCUCAUGCAGACGGUGGUGUAGUCUCUCCAAGUGGCUGGACUGUCCGGCCACGGGACGGCGAAGCGGACGCUCAGCAAGGCGAGAGGGUAAGAAGGGGAUGACUGACUUUCGUGCAGUGUGUCUAAGUCGAGCCAUCUAUAAAAGACAUCGCAAGCACAAGGGUAAGAACAGAAUCAAUAUGACCAGCAAAUAAUGAAUCAUAAGUGAAUGAAGGAUUAGAAUAAAACAUGAUUUUCAGCAAGGUAUAAUAUAUAGUAGAACAUAGGUUUGGUCGGUAUGACCAACUUUUGAAGGGAUAUCAAGGUCAAGGAAGGGACAGAGGUCUAUAGUCCUUAGAACGACCAUUCUACUCUAGGUUAGCGGUCCUACAGUCAGCACGGCUUUGAUACCACUUAUGUCACACCCGGUUUUAGAAGGCAAACCGAAUGCGAACCAUGUAUGUGCCAGGAUCAGUUAUUCACGUACACAGCAGUUACAUAACAUGGACAUCAUCACACAGUGCUCAAAAUAGUAUUAAAAGGGAAUAAUAGUUGAUUACAUCAUACGUCUGAGACGUCCAUAUAGUUCUUACAAUAAAUCAAAGUGCGGAAAAGAAACGUAGAUAACUGCGGCCUUCACAGGCAGUCGACUGGGGGUUGCCGCUAACCCACACCUAGAACUCGUCGUAGUCUUGGAACUCCUGGAAGUCUCCUUCCACAGCUUCAUCUUCGCCUGAGCAGUGGUUGCAAUGCUGACAACCUGGGGGGGGGGGGGGUUGGUGUGUAGAGCAAGGGUGAGCAACAUACUCAGCAAGUAUCCUGUUUGGCUGUAGUGGACUAGCUGUAUGUGGGGAUGAGUCAAGCAGUUGCUUUUAGUUGGUCAGAUUAUUACUUACUAGUAGAAAGCCAAGUUUUAGCAUUACCCAAGUUAUUAACCCGAUGUACCCUUUCCAAACGGAAAGAAUACCACUUACCAGCACCAUAGUCAUAACCAGAACCAUCGAUCUCAUAACCACCUGUACCACAAUGUCUCUGAUCAAGUACCACUAAUCACUGGAGCUCCCUUGGCCGCUCAUAACCGCGAGCACGGCUGAUAUAUCAGUUUUCAAACACUCUGCAGAGGUUGUGCACUUUACCCACAAGCCGUGAUUCCCAUUCUGCCCGGAGAUCAUGACUCUCCAUUGAUCACUACCAAGGUGACCCAGCAGGGCAUCACUACGUAGCCUUUACAAAGAUUCCCCGGGACUGUAGCCACCCGUUAGGUUUCCUAAAUGUACCGCACUCCUCCCCAAGGGACAAAUCAACCUUGGCAGAGCGAGCCGCAUACACCGAGCCCCAUUGACGGCACGACGGCUAAGUGAACUACACCCCGGAUCCUCUAAUUAUUCAGCUAAGGGCACCCCAUUCCACCCUCAUGGUUGCACUGUUUUCCCGGGCGGUCAUCCAUAGAACAGGUCCUUACGGAGAGGCACUCGAGAAACCGCUCGAGCCCCCUUAAAGCCACAAGUACAACAUCAUAAUAAGAGAAGGGAAAACAGCGUAUCAUAGAUAUUCUCAUCAUGUUCAUUGAUUAGAGUUGAGCAAUAGCAUAAAGCUAAACAGUAAUAAUCCAACCCAAAUAGGUAAGCAAGGAUAGGGAUAACAAAAGCUAGUCAAACCUUAGGUAUAAAUAUGUAAAGCGGGGGGUGAAUUAAAUAAUGAAUAGGACAGAGAUAGGUCAAAGGACACUUGCCUCCACCAACCGACUGCUGCUCAGGGGCUUCUCCUGCGAGUUCCUCGGGCUCUUCAACCGGAUCGUUCUCUAUGCGAUUGCAAACAUACAUACAUCCACACAUUUAAUACAAAAGAACAGUACACCAUACAAUAGAAUGCAAUAAGUAAACAGACGUUCUACGCGGGCUCGCGAGUACGGUUAAGAGAGAAAGAGGAAAAGACAGUCGAGAAACGAUCACGUUACAUGAUUAUAAAUUAACUACUCGCUUAAUGGAAGGAAAUUUAAUGUGGACACUAUGUUUAGCGUAAAGUAAAGUCAUGUUUCAUGUCCAAUUAUUAUAAGCAGGUGGAGGUAAACAAAAAGAUGGUCGCGCGGCGAGACGCGCGACAAAGCUCUCUAAAACAAGUUAAAAAGUUAACGACUCGUCGCGCGACCGAGCACGCAACGAGACACUUCGCCUUAGAUACGAGGAGACGUUAAACGUCGCGCGACGAAGCGCACGACGGCAUACGUCGACUAAACUGAGUCCAAAGUGGAACGUCGCGUGAAUACACACGCGGCGUUACACCUUAAACAACCUGAAACAAAAAUGGGUCGUCGCGCGACGAAGCGCACGACGCAACACAAGAUAGAAUCUGAAUUUAGACAAACCGUCGCGCGGCAAAGCGCGCGACGCAACACGCUAAUUAACGAAUAAUCACCACGAGCGCGGGCGAGCGAAGAUACGGUCGGGCGAGGCCGGGACGGGAACGGGCGGCCGAACGGGGGAAAGGGCGGUUGAACCGGCCCAAGGGCGGUUGAACCGGCCAGGGGGCGGCCGAGGCCGGGCGGGCACGGGGCAGGGUGCGGGGCGGCCGAGCCGGCCAUGGCGGCCGAGCUGGGUGGUGGGAUCGCCACCGCGCGCGGGGAGGGGCGCCGGGCGGGCAGGGGCGAGCGGGCGCCGCCGCGGGCGAGCAGGGGCGGGCGAGCGCCGCCGCGGGCCAGGGGAGGGCGGGCGCCGCCACGCGGGGCCGGGCAGGGGGCGGGCGGGAUCGCCGCCGCGGGGAGGGGCAGGGGCGGGCGCCGCCGCGCCGGGGAGGGGUCGAGCGGGGGGGGGAAGGCCGGGGACGGGGAGCCGAGCGCCGCCGCGGGAGGGGCCGAGCGGACGAGCCGGGGGCGGGCGCCGAGCGCCGCCGCGCGGAGGGCGAGCGGGCGGGCAGGGGCGGGCGCCGAGCGCCGCCGCGGGGAGGGCGAGCGGGCGGGCAGGGGCGCCGCCGCGGGGAGGGGCCUAGCGGGCGGGCAGGGGCGCCGCCGCGCCGGGCAGGGACGGGGUCGGGCGCGGGCAGGGGGAAGAGGGAGGGUGCGCGCGCGGGGAAGAAGAGGAGGGAGAGGGAGAGAGAGAAGAGGAGGGGAGGGGAGGGGAGCUCACCUCGGGGUCCAAAAUCCGGUGAUCACCGUCUCCAAACCCUAGGGCACCACGGGGAGAGAUAGGUGGAAGAGGGAGAGGGAAGUUGUUGCGCGGGAGAUCCAAAUGAGGGAGAGAGAGAGGAUGGGGGGCGCAGGGGGGUUGGGCGCCAGGGGCGCGCAGGCCGGGGCGGGCCGGGCCGGCUGAGCUGGGCUGGGCUAAGUUGGGCUGGGCCGAGCCACUUCGCGGAUCGAAAACCCACGACGAGCGCGGACCACUAAACGAACUUAAAACGCGAAUCAAAAUCCGGAACGGAACGAGACGAACACUCAACAUCAGACAAAGAAAUGUGCUUCGGCAUGAUGCAACACCCAUGACACUUAGGUUUUGGUUUAUACAUGACGCGGACACCUGCCGCUAUACUGGUUUGAAAUUGGGAAGAAGGAGCAAACGAGGAAAGAGAAAAGAGAGUAACGCCCGAAUUUGGUGAGAGAAAAGAAGAAAAAAUUCUACCCCCAAAUUCAGGGCGUUACACAAACACAAGUCUUUGACCCCUUGUGCUUGCCCCCAACAUACUUGGCAACUACCUUGCCGGAUUUGUUAGUUAAAACAUAAGAUGCAUCAAAAGUUUUGAAUGAAAUGUUAUGAUCAUUUGAUGCACUAGGAGUUUUCCUUUUAGGCAACUUAGCAUGGGUUGGUUGCCUAGAACUAGAUGUCUCACCCUUAUACAUAAAAGCAUGGUUAGGGCCAGAGUGAGACUUCCUAGAGUGAAUUCUCCUAAUUUUGCUCUCGGGAUAACCGGCAGGGUACAAAAUGUAACCCUCGUUAUCCUAAGGCAUGGGAGCCUUGCCCUUAACAAAAUUAGACAAUUUCUUAGGAGGGGCAUUAAGUUUGACAUUGCCUCCCUGUUGGAAGCCAAUGCCAUCCUUAAUGCCAGGGCGUCUCCCACUAUAAAGCAUACUACGAGCAAAUUUAAAUUUUUCAUUUUCAAGUUCAUGCUCGGCAAUUUUAGCAUCUAAUUUUGCUAUAUGAUCAUUUUGUUGUUUAAUUAGAGCCAUGUGAUCAUGUAUAGCAUUAAUAUUAACAUCUCUACAUCUAGUGCAAAUAGAAGUAUGUUCAACGGUAGAUGUAGAGGGUUUGCAAGAUUUUAGUUCUACAACCUUAGCAUGUAAUAUAUUAUUUUUAGUUCUAAGGUCGGAAAUUGUAACAUUGCAAACAUCUAGUUCUUUAGCCUUAGCAAGCAAUUUUUCAUUUUCAAUCCUAAGGCUAGCAAUGGACAUGUUCAAUUCUUCAAUCUUAGCAAGCAAAUCAUCAUUAUCAUUUUUAAGAUUGGGAAUUGAAACAUUACAAGCAAUAGAAUCAACCUUAGCUAGCAAAUUAGCAUUCUCAUUUCUAAGGUUGUCUAUAGUCUCAUGGCAAGUACUUAGCUCACUAGAUAAUUUUUCACAUUUUUCAACUUCUAGAGCAUAAGCAUUUUUAACUUUAACAUGCUUUUUGUUUUCCUUGAUUAGGAAGUCCUCUUGGGAGUCCAAGAGAUCAUCCUUCUCGUGGAUGGCACUAAUUAAUUCAUUUAAUUUCUCUUUUUGUUGCAUGUUUAAGUUGGAAAAAAGAGUACGCAAAUUAUCUUCCUCAUCACUAUCAUUAUCAUCGCUAGAAGACUCAUAUCUAGUGGAGGAUUUGGAUUUAACCUUGUUCUUUUUGCCGUCCUUUGCCAUGAGGCACUUGUGGCCGACGUUGGGGAAGAGAAGUCCCUUGGUAACGGUGAUGUUGGCGGUGUCCUCGUCGUCGGAGGAGUCGCUAGAGCUUUCAUCGGAGUUCCACUCGCGACAAACAUGGGCAUCGCCGCCCUUCUUCUUGUAGUACCUCUUCUUCUCCUUUCUUCUUCCCUUCUUGUCGUCACCCCUGUCACUGUCACUAGAAAUAGGACAUUUAGCUAUAAAGUGACCGGGCUUAACACAUUUGUAGCAAACCUUCUUGGAGCGGGGCUUGUAAUCUUUCCCCUCCUUUGUUUGAGGAUUUGGCGGAAGCUCUUGAUGACGAGCGCCAUUUCCUCGUUGUCGAGCUUGGAGGCGUCGAUGGGUGUUCUACUCGGUGUAGACUCCUCCUUCUUCUCUUCUGUCGCCUUGAAUGCGACGGGUUGAGCUUCGGACGUAGAGGGGCCAUCAAGCUCGUUGAUCUUCCUUGAUCCCUUGAUCAUGAAUUCAAAGCUCACAAAAUUCCCGAUCACUUCCUCGGGAGUCAUUAGUGUGUAUCUAGGAUUGCCAUGAAUUAAUUGUACUUGAGUAGGGUUAAGGAAAAUAAGUGAUCUUAAAAUAACCUUAACCACCUCGUGGUCAUCCCACUUCUUGCUCCCGAGGUUGCGCACUUGAUUCACCAAGGUUUUGAGCCGAUUGUACAUGUCUUGUGGCUCCUCCCCUUGGCGAAGACGGAAGCGACCGAGCUCCCCCUCGAUCGUUUCCCGCUUGGUGAUCUUGGUGAGUUCAUCACCCUCAUACGCGGUCUUGAGCACAUCCCAAACUUCCUUGGCGCUCUUCAAUCCUUGCACCUUGUUGUACUCCUCCCUACUUGGAGAGGCGAGGAGUAUUGUUGUGGCUUGGGAGUUGAAGUGCUCGAUUUGGGCCACCUCAUCCUCAUCAUAAUCCUCAUCCCUUACAGAUGGUACCUGUGCUCCAAACUCAACAACAUUCCAUAUACUUUUGUGGAGUGAGGUUAGAUGAAAUUUCAUUAAAUCACUCCACCUAGCAUAAUCUUCACCGUCAAAGGUUGGCGGUUUGCCUAAUGGAACGGAAAGUAAUGGAGUAUGUCUAGAGGUGCGAGGGUAGUGUAAGGGAAUCUUACUAAACUUCUUGUGCUCAUGGCGCUUAGAAGUUAUGGAGGGCGCGUCGGAGCCGGAGGUAGAUGGCGAUGAGGUGUCGGUCUCGUAGUAGACCACCUUCCUCAUUUUCUUUUUCUUGUCGCCACUCCGAUGCGACUUGUGGGAGGAGGCUUUCUUCUCCUUCCCUUUCUUUUUGUUGCGGGACUCUUCCGAUGAAGCCUUCUCGUGGCUUGUAGCGGGCUUGUCGCCGGUCUCCAUCUCCUUCUUGGCGUGUUCUCCCGACAUCACUUCGAGCGGUUAGGCUCUAAUGAAGCACUGGGCUUUGAUACCAAUUUAAAGUCACCUAGAGGGGGGUGAAUAGGGCGAAACUGAAAUUUACAAAGUUAAUCAUAACUACAAGCCGGGUUAGCGUUAGAAAUAUAAUCAAGUCCGCGAGAGAGGGUGCAAAACAAAUCGCAAGCGAAUAAGGAGUGAGACACGUGGAUUUGUUUUACCGAGGUUCGGUUCUCGCAAACCUACUCCCCGUUGAGGUGGUCACAAAGACCGGGUCUCUUUCAACCCUUUCCCUCUCUCAAACGGUCCCUCAGACCGAGUGAGCUUCUUCUUCUCAAUCAAACGGGAACAAAACUUCCCCGCAAGGGCCACCACACAAUUGGUGCCUCUUGCCUUGGUUACAAUUGAGUUGAUCGCAAGAAAGAAUCAAAGAAGAAAGCAAUCCAAGCGCAAGAGCUCGAAAGAACACAAGCAAAUCUCUCUCACUAGUCACUAAGGCGUUGUGUGGAAUUUGGAGAGGAUUUGAUCACUUGGGUGUGUCUAGAAUUGAAUGCUAGAGCUCUUGUAAGUGGUUGAAGUAGGAAAACUUGGAUGACUUGAAUGUGGGGUGGUUGGGGGUAUUUAUAGCCCCAACCACCAAACUAGCCGUUUGGUGGGGCUGUCUGUCGCAUGGUGCACCGGACAGUCCGGUGCACACCACGUCACCAGGCCGUUGGGUUCCGACCGUUGGAGCUCUGACUGCUGGGCCCGCCUGGAUGUCCGGUGGCACACCGGACAUGUACUGUAGAGUGUCCGGUGCGCCGCUUCGCGCGUGCCUGACUUCUGUGCGCACUGGCGUGCAUUUAAUGCUGUAGCAGGUGACUGUUGGCGCCGAAUAGUCGUUGCUCCGCUGGCUCACCGGACAAUCCGGUGCACAACGGACAUGUCCGGUGAAUUAUAGCGGAGCGAAUUCCCGAAGCUGGCGAGUUCCAUAGUCGCUCUCCUCUGGGGCACCGGACAUUGUCCGGUGUACACCGGACAGUCCGGUGAAUUAUAGCGGAGCGCCUCUGGAUUUUCCCGAAGGUGAGGAGUUCAGCGUGAAGUCCCCUGGUGCACCGGACACUGUCCGAUGGUGCACCGGACACUGUCCGGUGGCACACCGGACAGUCCGGUGCGCCAGACCAGGGCACACUUCGGUUAUCCCUUGCUCUCUUUGUUGAACCCAAUUCUUGGUCUUUUUAUUGGCUAAGUGUGAACCUUUGACACCUGUAUAACUUAUACACUAGAGCAAACUAGUUAGUCCAAUUAUUUGUGUUGGGCAAUUCAACCACCAAAAUCAAUUAGGAAAAUAGGUGUAAGCCUAAUUCCCUUUCACUUUUGUCGCACUUUUUUGCAAGGGGACCGGCCUUUCUCGGUUGCAUUUCAUUUCGGGGGGUGCGCGCGAGCGCACCCGCCGGGUGUAGCCCCCGAGGCCUCGGAGGAGUGGUUUGACUCCUUCGAGGUCUUAAUGCCUUUCGUGAUGCCUCGGCCGGUCUGGUUGUUCCCUCAUGCGAACUGGCCGUAGCCCGGGUGCAUAGUCAGGUUCCGAGUUCUCGGGCUGGUAUGUUGACGCUGUCAACGGUUUGGCCGGAGCCGGGCUUGCGAGAGCAGCCCCCGAGCCUCCGCACAGAGCGAGAGGAUGGUCGAGGACUGACUCGGCUUUUUUCAUAUGCUCCUGCGUCGCCUUUCUGCAAGGAGGAGGGGGAAAGCGCCAUGUUGCCCUCGGAGGGCGCCGAACAUGGUGUCUCCUGUGAGUUGCUAACGGGUGAUCCCAGUGGACGCUUGUGUCCCGUUCGAUAAGGGUCGGCUGGUGGCCCAGAGGCGCGCUCCAAAAGUACCUGCAGGUGAUUUGCCAGACCCGGUCCCGUUUGAUAGGGUCCAAGGGCUCGAUGCCUCCCUCUGGUGGGAUUCCGUUACAGAAUCGCUCCUGCUGGUCUCGGAAAUGUCCUAGGGUACCUCGGGAGCGUAGCCCAAGCCUCGGCCAUGUAUCAGACGUACCCAGAGUCAUCCCUCGCUCUGCAUGCUCUAAGGCGGCUGUCGAACCCUUCGGGGGCCAGCCUACGAACCCCUGAUCAGUAGUGGGUGCGGAGCCCGAGUGGCCUGAGGUGGCUGUCGAACCCUUCCGAGGGGCCAACCUUUGAACCUCUGACUAGUAGUGGGCGCGGAGCCCGAGUGCUCUGAGGCGGCUGUCGAACCCUUCCGAGGGGCCAGCCUUCGAACCUCUGAUCAGUAGGAGGGCUCAGGGCCCGCUUCCUUCGCGGAGAAGGAUCCCUUUCGGAGUAUCCCCUUUCCCGGUCCCUGUAGCAAGAGAGAGAAAGGGGAAGAGAAAAAGGGAUAUGAAAUUGAAUGAUGUGGCGUACCUUUUUUGACAUGGUCAUUAUGGCGGAGGUGAAGCGUCGCCCGCUUCGCCUACCAAAGGUGCCGCUUGUCCUCCCGCAGAGUUAAUGUGAUGGGACGAGUAGUUGGCGAGGCAGUCGUUGUGCGUGCGUGAGCCGUUCGAGGAACGGAACACGGGCGCGUCGUCUUCAUGCCGUGGGAGAGGGCUCUCCUGCUGCUCCAGGAGGGGACGUGAGCCUGCAGUUGAUUUGAUCGCCGCUUUCGCUCGCCUGCUGCCGCCAUUACUGUCGGGCCACUUCUGGCCGUAUCGACCGUCGCGCCUUCUCCCGCGGCUGACUGACCCGUGACCGAUGUGCUCGGUUGGCACUGUUGGGCCAUGCGCAGGGUCGCCUCGAGUCGCGGCUCCGGUUCCGCAGUCGAGAAGGCACAGUACUGACGCAAGUGGCGGUGCAGUUUCUCGCACGUAGUAACUGGCGCGCCGGUUACAUGACGUGUGGGCUUGGGCCUCCAUGCUGGACGCGUCGAAGUCGAAAGGGUGCGCCCCCUUGGUGCGGUUGCAUGCCGCCUGCAUGGUGGUCCGCCCUUUCACCCGCUGGUCUGGGCAAAAGUGGAGGAGUGCUUGUAACCGCUGGGCAGUUACGCGCUCCGCGCGCGGCGGUUUGGCUCCUUCUGCCCUGGGCCAGCUUGCAUGACGCGCGGGACCCAGCCCCCGUGUCGCAGGGGGAGGACCUUGGAUUGUGUUGGUGAAGACUCAGUCCGCGGCGGCUGAGGACGCAAGUGGGGAGAGUCGCCUUUAAAAAGGGGGGCGACCCCCUUGGAUGGCAGCCAUGCCUUCGCACUCCCCUCAUGCAUCGCGUCCUUCCACCUUCCGAGCCCCCAGAUGGGGAGCGUCCGCGUUGCUUUUGUCUUGUUGUCUUGGAGGAACGCAACUUCGCGGAAGUUGGUACCUUUCAGCCAUCGCUCGGCUUCAAGGAUUUUCAUCAGGCAGCCCGGCUGCAUCCCCUUGCCGAUGGUCACCCAAGACGGUGACCACCAGUUUGAUGGUGGGGAGAAGCAAGCCGGGCUACGACCUCUGCCCCGCCCUCAGCUUCAAGGAUCUUCAUCAUCCUUGCUGGGCGGAGGCCGGGCUGAGCCGGGGCCUACCUUCGCGUGGGCCGGCGUCCCGUUUCUUCCUCCAGCUUCUGGGGGUGGAAACCAUCCUCCAGCCAUGCCGGGGAAGGCGAACUGUUGCUGCCCAGUCCAGGGUGCAACAUUCCGUCUUUUGUCCGGGCGACGGUGGCCAGUCGCACCGGGGGGUCUCCCAACACGUCGUACGCCACGAGGGCGGUACUCGUGUUCUGGGACGGUCCCAUUCUCGUUUUUGUGGCGAGGACGGGAGUGAGGACCUGCCGGUGUGCUUUGGGGCGACCGGCGCCCGCUGGUGCGGUGUUGGUGGGCAGGUGGACGUCACCGUCGGUGCUGAGGUGGUGGCAGCUGGAGAAAGCUUCUCCGUCGACGAGACCGUCAGCGCCACCCGCGGACCAACCUCCGACUCUUUGGCUUUAAUAUCUGGUUCCCAUCCCCCGCGAGGGGACGCGAACGAAAGCCUUCCAGCGGUUGCGCCCGUCCUGGGUCCGUCGCUGUUGCUGCAGAGGUCGCCGGCAAGUCACCCGGAGUUUAUCGUCCCGCAGGUUCUCCGAUGUGGAGGUUGUUCAUACCCACGAGAGUGGAACCGGAGUUCCGUUUGUAAUGGCACCUUGAGUGUCGGUGUCUGUUCAUUGUGGCUGUCGGGGCCUGAACAUGUAUGUAUUUGGGCGUAAAGCCAUGUUUCUUCCUCCUUUCGAGCACUAGGACUCGCCUAUCGGCUAGCUGAACCACUUAACCAAGUGUGAGUUGCCUCGUGCGGAAGGUGACGAGUGAGGUAUCCGUAUCCCAGAGGUGUAGGAGUCCCUCGGCUCGGUCGGCCUUGCAGCCUGAGGCUUCUCUUGCUCAGUUAAAGAAACCCUCGUCCGCUCUGCGUUGAGCCGGAGCCGGAGGCAGCGGUGUCAGCACAGACAGAGGCGGAGUUGGCUCGAAAAGAAGACUUCGUCGGCCCAGGAGCAGUUGACUUCCUAGGCCGAGGAGGCGUAGCAGCGGCGGCUGGAACCUGGCCAGGUCGUCCACUGGUGGGACCAACCAUGGAGUCGCGGUGCCGAGGCCAUAGGCCGGGCUGAUGUCCUCGGGGGAUAGCUGGCUGAGGCUUCGGGACGGCCGGUCCAGCCGUCUGCUUGGGCCGGGUUCCUGGAGGAGACCCUGGCGGCGAUGGCUCAGGCGCGAUGCUGACAUCUUUCUUCGAGGUGGAGAUCCUUCGACCGUGUCGCCGUCCGAGGCUGGGUCGUACUCCGCCGAAGGUGGAGUCGAUGCCGAGGGUGCUGCUGCUCCCCCUAUUGAUGUAUGAACCUGCAGGAACAGUUUAUCUGUAGUGUGCGUAUGUUUUUUUGCGGCCACCAAGGCCUAAACAUACCGUCGUCGUGUUGUAAAGCUGCGUUUCUUUUCCCCUUGUUUCGAGUAUCAGGACUUGUUUGUCAGUAACAGAAUUGUUUAUCCGAGCGAGAGUUACUUAUCGCGGAAGGUGAUGAGUGAGGUAUCCGUAUCCCGGGGGCGUAGGAGUCCCUCGGCUCGGUCGACCUAGCCGCUUACGUGUACUCUUACUCGUCCGUAGGAUUCUGUUAUCGAUAUAGUUGAGAAGGCACGAAAAAUCGUUUCGACAGAAAAGCCUUCGAGCGUUAAGACUUGUUCGGUCAGCGGAAUUGCUUAUCCGAGCGUGAGUUACUUAUCGCAGAAGGUGAUGAGUGAGGUAUCCGUAUCCCAGAGGCGUAGGAGUCCCUCGGCUCGGUCGGCCUUGCCUGCUUACGUGUACUCCGUCGUUUUCAGGAUCCCACUAUCGAAGUAGUAAAAAAGCACGAAAGAUGUUCUGGCAGAAAGAUUUUUUCUGAGGAAAAUUUUGACGCAGAGGGGGUUCCCCCCUUCUAGCCCCCGAGGGAGGGUCGGGCUUUGCCGAGGCAAGGCUAACCCUUCCUUGAUGGUUAGACUUUGUUUGUGUAUGUAAACGAGGUAUAUGAACGAACGACUUGAAAACAUCUUAAGGGUAGAAGCAACGUAGCUGUCGGAUAUUCCAAGCGUUGCUGUAGACCUCGCCUUGACUGUUGGCCAGCUUGUACGCUCCGGGCUUCAAAAUCUUGGCGAUGAUGAACGACCCUUCCCAGGGAGGCGUGAGCUUGUGGCGCCCUUGGGCGUCUUGGCGUAGCCGAAGCACGAAGUCGCCUACCUGGAGGUCUCGGGACCGAACCCCUCAGGCGUGCUAGCAUCGCAGGGACUGCUGAUACCGCGCCGAGUGUAGUAAGGCCAUGUCCCGAGCCUCUUCCAGCUAGUCCAAUGAGUCUUCUCGGUUGGUCCGAUUGCUUCGGUCGUCGUACGCCCUCGUACUCGGGGAUUCGUAUUCUAAGUCUGUGGGCAAGAUAGCCUCGGCCCCAUAGACUAGAAAAAACGGUGUGAAGCCCGUGGCUCGGCUUGGCGUCGUUCUCAGACUCCAGACCACCGAGGGGAGUUCCUUCAUCCAUCGCCUGUCGAACUUGUUGAGGUCGUUGUAGAUCCGUGGCUUGAGUCCUUGCAGAAUCAUGCCGUUGGCACGCUCUACCUGCCCAUUCGUCAUGGGGUGAGCUACGGCGGCCCAGUCCACCCGGAUGUGGUGGUCCUCGCAGAAGUCCAUGAACUUUCUGCCAGUGAACUGGGUGCCGUUCUCGGUGAUGAUGGAGUUCGGAACCCCGAAGCGAUGGAUGAUGUUGGUGAAGGAUGCCACCGUCUGUUCGGACCUGAUGCUGUUUAGGGGUCUGACCUCGAUCCACUUGGAGAACUUGUCGAUGGCGACCAGCAGGUGCGUGUAGCCCCUGGGUGCCUUCUGCAAGGGACCGACGAGGUCUAGACCCCACACAGCAAACAACCAGGUGAUGGGUAUUGUUUGCAGAGCCUGAGCGGGCAGGUGGGUCUGCUUUGCGUAGAAUUGACACCCUUGGCAGGUGCGUACAAUCCUAGUGGCAUCAGCCACCGCGGUUGGCCAGUAGAAACCCUGUCGGAAGGCGUUUCCAACAAGGGCUCGAGGCGCUGCGUGAUGACCGCAAGCCCCCGAGUGUAUUUCUUAUAAUAACUCCUGACCUUCAGCGAUGGAUAUGCAUCGCUGGAGGAUGCCUGAGGGGCUGCGGUGGUAGAGCUCCUUCCCAUCACCCAGCAAGACGAACGACUUGGCGCGCCGUGCCAGUCGCCGAGCUUCAGCUCCGUCAAGGGGUAGCUCCCCUCAGUGGAGAUAUUGCAGGUACGGGGUCUGCCAGUUUCGAUUAGGCGUGACCCCAUUUCGCUCUUCCUCGACGCGCAGUGCCUCACCCUCGGGGCUGAGGGUGCCUCGGGCUCAGCCGAGGGUGCCUCGGGCUGAACUGAGGGUGCCUCGGGCUGAACCGAGGCCUUCUCGGGCUCGGGCGUGUCGUCGGUCUUGACUGAGGGUUGAUCUAGGUCUCGGGAGAAGACGUCCGGAGGAACCGUUGUCCGCCCCGAGGCUAUCUUAGCCAGCUUGUCCGCAGUCUCAUUGUAUCGUCGGGCGAUGUGGUUGAGCUCGAGCCCGUAGAACUUGUCCUCCAGGCGCCGAACCUCAUCGCAGUAGGCUUCCAUCUUCGGGUCGCGACAAUGGGAGUUCUUCAUGACUUGGUCGAUGACAAGCUGCGAGUCGCCCCGAGCAUCGAGGCGCCGAACCCCUAGCUCGAUGGCGAUGCGCAACCCGUUAACUAGAGCCUCGUACUCAGCCACGUUGUUGGACGCCGGGAAAUGGAGGCACAGCACGUAGCGGAGGUGCUUCCCGAGGGGUGAGAUGAAGAGCAGGCCCGCGCCCGCUCCUGUUUUCAUCAACGACCCAUCGAAAAACAUGGUCCAGAGUUUCGGUUGGAUCGGAGCUGCUGGAAGCUGGGUGUCGACCCAUUCAACCACAAAGUCUGCUAGGACUUGGGACUUGAUCGCCUUCCGAGGGGCGAACGAGAUUGUCUCGCCCAUGAUCUCCACCGCCCACUUUGCAAUCCUACCCGAGGCCUCUCGACACUGGAUGAUCUCCCCCAGGGGGAAGGAUGACACCACAGUCACCGGAUGAGACUCGAAGUAGUGUCGCAACUUUCGCCGCGUCAGAAUUACCGCGUACAGUAGCUUCUGAAUUUGCGGGUAGCAGAUCUUGGUCUCGGACAGUACCUCACUGAUGAAGUAGACCGGCCUCUGGACGGGCAAUGCGUGCCCCUCUUCUCGUCUCUUGACCAUGAUCGCGGCGCUGACCACCUGAGUGGUAGCGGCGACGUAGAUCAAGAGGGCUUCUCCGGCAGCGGGGGGCACCAAGAUGGGCGUGCUUGUAAGGAGCGCCUUUAGGUUCCCGAGGUCUUCCUCGGCCUCGGGGGUCCAAGUGAAGUGCUCGAUCUUCCUUAAGAGGCGGUACAGAGGUAGGCCUCUUUCGCUGAGGCGCGAGAUGAAGCAGCUCAGAGCCGCAAGGCAUCCCAUGACCCUCUGUACUCCUUUCAAGUCCUUGAUGGGGACCAUGUUGGUGAUGGCCGCAAUUUUCUCCGGGUUGGCCUCGAUGCCCCGCUCGGAGACGAUGAAACCUAAGAGCAUGCCUCGGGGGACUUUGAAGACACACUUCUCGGGAUUGAGUUUUACGCCUUUCUCUUUGAGACACUUGAAUGUCGUUUCGAGGUCAGAGAGGAGGUCGGAGGCUUUCCUCGUCUUGACUACGAUGUCAUCGACGUAAGCCUCAACCGUUCGACCAAUGUGCUCUCCAAACACGUGGUUCAUGCACCUUUGGUAUGUCGCACCCGCAUUCCUCAAACCGAAUGACAUAGUAAUGUAGCAGUACAUGCCAAAGGGUGUGACGAAAGAAGUCGCGAGCUGGUCGGACUCUUUCAUCCUGAUUUGGUGAUACCCUGAGUAGGCAUCGAGGAAAGACAGGGUUUCGCAUCUAGCAGUGGAAUCCACGAUUUGAUCGAUGCGAGGCAGAGGGUAGGGAACUUUCGGACAUGCUUUGUUUAGACCAGUGUAGUCUACACACAUCCGCCAUUUCCCGCCUUUCUUUCUCACAAGCACAAGGUUGGCUAGCCAUUCGGGAUGGAAUACCUCUUUGAUGAACCCUGCAGCCAUCAGCUUGUGGAUCUCCUCGCCUAUGGCUCUGCGCUUUUCUUCGUCGAAUCGGCGCAGAGGCUGCUUCACGGGUCGGGCUCCAGCUCGGAUAUCCAGUGAGUGCUCGGCGACAUCCCUCGGUAUGCCAGGCAUGUCCGAGGGACUCCACACAAAAACCUCGGCAUUCGCGCGGAGAAAGUCGACGAGCACUGCUUCCUAUUUGGGGUCGAGCUCAGAAUCGAUCUAGACUUGCUUGGAGGCGUCGUUGCUGGGGUCGAGAGGGACGGACUUAACCGCCUCUGCUGGUUCGAAGUUUCCGGCGUGGCGCUUCGCAUCUGGCGCUUCCUUGGAAAGGCUCUCCAGGUCGGCAAUGAGGGCCUCGGAUUCGGCGAGGGCCUCGGCGUACUCCACGCACUCCACGUCACAUUCGUACGCGUGUCGGUACGUGGAGCCGACGGAGAUGACCCCGUUGGGGCCCGGCAUCUUGAGCUUGAGGUAGGUGUAGUUGGGGACGGCCAUGAACUUGGCGUAGCAUGGUCUCCCCAGCACUGCGUGGUAGGUUCCUCGGAACCCGACCACCUCGAACGUGAGGGUUUCCUUUCGGAAGUUGGAGGGAGUCCCGAAGCAGACGGGCAGAUCGAGUUGCCCAAGGGGUUGGACGCGUUUCCCGGGGAUGAUCCCGUGAAAGGGCGCCGCGUCGGCCCGGAUCGAGGACAGAUCGAUCUGCAGGAGCCUGAGGGUUUUGGCAUAGAUGAUGUUGAGGCUGCUGCCUCCGUCCAUGAGGACCUUGGUAAGCCUGACGUUGCCGAUGAUGGGAUCGACAACGAGCGGGUACUUCCCCGGGCUCAGCACGCGGUCGAGGUGGUCGCCUUGGUCGAAGGUGAUGGGCUUGUCGGACCAGUCUAGGUAGACUGGCGCCGCCACCUUCACCGAGCAGACCUCCCGGCGCUCUUGCUUGCGGUGCUGAGCCGAGGCGUUCGCCACUUGCCCACCGUAGAUCAUGAAGCAAUCAUGGACCUCGGGGAACUCUUCUGCCUUGUGGUCCUCCUUCUUGUCGUUGUUGUGGGCUGUGCCACCUUCCGCCGGGGGCUCGGCCUUGUGGAAGUAGCGCCGAAGCAUGACACACUCCUCAAGGGUGUGCUUGACGGGACCCUGAUGAUAGGGGCACGACUCCUUGAGCAUCUUGUCGAACAGGUUGGCGCCUCUGGAGGUUUCCGAGGGUUCCUGUGCUCGGCGGCGGCGACAAGAUCUGCGUCGGUGGCGUCGCAUUUCGCUUGCGACUUCUUAUUGGCCUUCUUCUUGGUGCUGCGCUGAGCGGACGCCUCGGGGACGUCUUCCGGUUGGCGCCCCUGAGGCUGCUUGUCCUUCCGGAAGAUGGCCUCGACCGCCUCCUGACCAGAGGCGAACUUGGUGGCGAUGUCCAUCAGCUCGCUCGCCCUGGUGGGAGUCUUGCGACCCAGCUUGCUCACCAGGUCACGGCAAGUGGUGCCGGCGAGGAACGCGCCGAUGACAUCCGAGUCGGUGAUGUUGGGCAGCUCAGUGCGCUGCUUUGAAAAUCGCUGGAUGUAGUCCUGAAGGGAUUCUCCCGGUGAGAGCACCUAGAGGGGGGGGUGAAUAGGUGAUCCUGUUAAACUUGAAAACUUAAGCCACAAAACUUGGUUAAUCGUUAGCACAAUAAUUGCCAAGUGGCUAGAGAGGAAUUCUCAACAAAACACAAUAACCAACAAGGAUCAAUCACAGAGAUGGCACGGUGGUUAUCCCGUGGUUCGGCCAAGACCAACGCUUGCCUACUCCACGUUGUGGCGUCCCAACGGACGAGGGUUGCAAUCAACCCCUCUCAAGCGGUCCAAAGACCCACUUGAAUACCACGGUGUUUUGCUUACUUUUUCUCAAUCCCGUUUGCGAGGAAUCUCCACAACUUGGAGCCUCUCGCCCUUACACUUGAAAUUCACAAAGAACACGGAGCAAGGGAGGGAUUAGCAACGCACACAAGACACAAGAAUCAGAGUGUCAACACGCACACAAGUCGCAACAAGAGCUCGCAACACAACUCAAUGAGUUCACAACUCCACUAGAGCUCUAUAUGCUAUCACAAUGAAACGAAUGCGCGAAAUCGAUGUCUUGGUGCUUAGGAAUGUUGUAGGAAUGCUUGGUGUACUCCUCCAUGCGCCUAGGGGUCCCUUUUAUAGCCCCAAGGCAGCUAGGAGCCGUUGAGAGCAAUCAAGGAAGGCUGAUCUUGCCUUCUGUCGACUGAUGCACCGGACAGUUCGGUGCCUGAUUUCCUUCCAUAAAUGGCGCAGUCGACCGUUGGCAGCCUGAGAGCCGUUGGCGCACCGGACAUGUCCGGUGCACACCGGACAGUCCGGUGCCUCCUACUAGCCGUUGGCCCGGCCACGUGUCCCGCGCAGAUCGCGCGGCCGACCAUUGGCCCUGCCGACCGUUGGCUCACCGGACAGUCCGGUGCACACCGGACAGUCCGGUGAAUUAUAGUCGUACGUCGACGAUGAAUUCCCGAGAGCGACGAGUUCGCCUGUGAACGGCCCACCGGACAGUCUGGUGCACCACCGGACAGUCCGGUGAAUUAUAGACGUACACCGCCGUCGAAGUCCCGAGAGCAGCCACUUUGCUCGAGUCAGCCUGGCGCACCGGACACUGUCCGGUGCACCACCGGACAGUCCGGUGCUCCAGACUGAGCAAAGUCUUGGCUGCUCGAGUCAAGGCAUUUCCAGUUGGUCUUUUCCUGUUUCCAGCACUUAGACACAAUACAUUAGUCUCUAAAACAAUGUACUAAGUCUGAGAAACAUACCUUUAUCCUUGAUUUGUACUUUGUCCACCAUUUUACACUCAGACACUUGUGUUGGACACUAAACCACCAAAAUACUUAGAAAUGGCCCAAGGGCACAUUUCCCUUUCAAUCUCCCCCUUUUUUGGUGAUUUAUGCCAACACAACAUAAAGCAAGUAGAACAAGUACAAAAUCACUUCAAAUAAAAACUCAAAUUGUUUUGAUUCAAAUUUGACAUAUAUGGAUCAUUCUAUGCCACCACUUGGUUUGUUUUUGCAAAUCAAACUCAAAUUCCUAUCUCUAAGUCAAAUCCACUUGUAGAGACAUAAAGAGAGGUUUUCCAAAGAAAUUUGAUCAAGGAUUUCAAAAACUCCCCCUUUUUCCCAUAAUCAACACUUCUCCCCACAAGAGGCCAACUUUUCAUACAGGAGACAAUAAAAGAGUUUUGACAAACCCCCCCUUUUCCCAUAAUCAACACUUCUCCCCACAAGAGGCCAACUUUUGAUACAGGAAACAAUAAAAGAGUUUUGACAAACCAAAAGCUCUAAUCUACUAUUUUCAAAAUUUCUCAAGUGGUAGUUGAUCCAUCUAUUGCUUUGGCCUUUAUUUUCUCCCCCUUUGGCAUCAAGCACCAAAACGGGAUCAAUCUUGGCCCUUUAACCCCAUUGCCUCACCAAAAUCUUCAACGAAGAGCAAAUAGGCAAUAAGAGGAUAAAGAUGAACUUGGAAAAGUUACUCUUUUCAUCGGAGUGCAGUGGAAGUCUUGCAUGGUCCAAGUCCACCUUUUCCCUUUCAAUUCUCCUUGGAGACUAAAACAACCAAACUCAAGUACAUGGUUAGUCUCAAAGGGUCAAGUUGUAGCACAGCUCCCCCUAAAUAUGUGCAUCACUUGCAACACGAACUUGUGAGGUCCAGGGAGUGUUUGUACAACUUGAGCACCACAAUAAGCAACAAAAUGCAGAAUGAACAUGAUCAAAGGCAUAAACACAUGUAUGCUACAAUUCAAUCCAAGUUCCACGAAUCUAGGACAUUUAGCUCACUACGCAGCCUGCAAAAGGUCUUUUCAUCUAAAGGCUUAGUGAAGAUAUCGGCUAGCUGGUUCUCGGUGCUAACAUGAAACACUUCGAUAUCUCCCUUUUGCUGGUGGUCUCUCAAAAAGUGAUGCUGGAUGUCAAUGUGCUUUGUGCGGCUGUGCUCAACAGGAUUUUCCGCUAUUCGGAUAGCACUCUCAUUAUCACAUAGGAGUGGGACUUUGCUCAGAUUGUAGCCAAAGUCCCAGAGGGUUUGCCUCAUCCAAAGUAGUUGCGCGCAACACUGUCCUGCGGCAACGUACUCGGCCUCAGCGGUGGAUAGGGCAACGGAAGUUUGUUUCUUAGAAUUCCAUGACACCAGGGACCUUCCUAAGAAUUGGCACGUCCCCGAUGUACUCUUCCUAUCGACCUUACAUACAGCAUAGUCGGAAUCUGAGUACCCAAUCAAGUCAAAGUUAGACCCCUUUGGAUACCAGAUCCCGAAGCAAGGCGUAGCGACUAAAUAUCGAAGUAUUCGCUUCACAGCCACUAAGUGACACUCCUUAGGAUCAGAUUGAAAUCUAGCACACAUGCAUACGCUAAGCAUAAUAUCCGGUCUACUAGCACAUAAAUAAAGCAAAGAACCUAUCAUGGACCGGUAUGCUUUUUGAUCAACGAACUUACCUCCUUUGUUGAGGUUGGUGUGUCUGUCAGUUCCCAUCGGCGUCUUUGCGGGCUUGGCUUCCUUCAUCCCAAACCGCUUUAGCAAGUCUUGCGUGUACUUCGUUUGGGAGAUGAAAGUGUCGUCCUUGAGUUGCUUCACUUGAAACCCAAGGAAGUAGUUCAACUCGCCCAUCAUCGACAUCUCGAAUUUCUGCGUCAUAACCCUGCUAAACUCUUCACAAGACUUUUGAUUAGUAGAACCAAAUAUUAUGUCAUCAACAUAAAUUUGGCACACAAAAAGAUCACCAUCGCAAGUCUUGGUAAAAAGAGUUGGAUCGACUUUCCCAACCUUGAAAGCAUUAGCAAUUAAAAAGUCUCUAAGGCAUUCAUACCAUGCUCUUGGGGCUUGCUUAAGUCCAUAGAGCGCCUUAGAGAGCUUACACACGUGGUCAGGGUACCGUUCAUCCUCGAAGCCAGGGGGUUGCUCCACGUACAACUCCUCCUUGAUUGGCCCGUUGAGGAAAGCGCUCUUCACAUCCAUUUGGUACAACCUGAAAGAAUGGUGAGCGGCAUAUGCUAGCAAGAUACGAAUUGAUUCUAGCCUAGCCACAGGAGCAAAAGUCUCCUCAAAGUCCAAACCUGCAACUUGGGCAUAACCUUUUGCCACAAGUCGAGCCUUGUUUCUUGUCACCACUCCGUGCUCGUCCUGUUUGUUGCGGAACACCCACUUGGUUCCCACAACAUUUAGCUUGGGACGAGGCACCAGCGUCCAAACUUCAUUGCGCUUGAAGUUGUUGAGUUCCUCCUGCAUGGCCAACACCCAGUCCGGAUCUAGCAAGGCCUCUUCUACCCUGAAAGGCUCAAUAGAAGAGACAAAAGAGUAAUGCUCACAAAAAUUAACUAAUCUUGAACGAGUAGUUACUCCCUUGCUAAUAUCACCCAAUAUUUGGUCGACGUGAUGAUCCCUUUGGAUCGUUGCUCGAACUUGGGUUGGAGGUGCCUGAGGUGCUUCUUCCUCUUCAACUUGAUCAUCCUGUGCUCCCCCUUGAUCAUGUGCCUCCACUUGAGGUACCUGUUCGUCAUCUUGAGUUGGGGGAUGCACCAUAGUUGAGGAAGACGGUUGAUGUUGCUCCAAUUGUUCCUGAGGCCGUACAUCUCCAAUCGCCAUGGUGCGUAUCGCGGCCGUUGAAACGUCUUCUACAUCAUCAAGAUCAACAACUUGCUCUCUUGGAGAGCCAUUAGUCUCAUCAAAUACAACGUCGCUAGAGACUUCAACCAACCCCGAUGAUUUGUUGAAGACCCUAUACACCUUUGUAUUUGAAUCGUAACCUAAUAAAAACCCUUCUACGGCUUUGGGAGCAAAUUUGGAAUUCCUACCCUUCUUCACUAGAAUGUAGCAUUUACUCCCAAAUACACGAAAGUACGAUACAUUGGGUUUGUUACCAGUCAGCAGCUCAUAUGAAGUCUUCUUGAGGAGGCGGUGAAGGUAGACCCUGUUGAUGGCGUGGCAAGCCGUGUUCACGGCUUCCGACCAAAAGCACUCGGGGGUCUUGAACUCUCCAAGCAUAGUCCUCGCCAUAUCUAUGAGUGUCCUGUUCUUCCUCUCUACCACACCAUUUUGCUGAGGUGUGUAGGGAGCGGAGAACUCGUGCUUGAUCCCCUCCUCCUCAAGGAACUCCUCCACUUGAAGAUUCUUGAAUUCGGACCCGUUGUCGCUCCUUAUCUUCUUCACUUUGAGCUCAAACUCAUUUUGAGCUCUCCUGAGGAAGCGCUUGAGGGUCCCUUGGGUUUCAGACUUAUCCUGCAAAAAGAACACCCAAGUGAAGCGGGAAAAGUCAUCAACAAUAACUAGACCAUACUUACUUCCUCCUAUGCUCAGAUAGGUGACGGGUCCGAAGAGGUCCAUAUGCAGCAGCUCCAGAGGUCUUGACGUGGUCAUCACAUUCUUGCUAUGAUGUGCUCCUCCCACUUGUUUACCUGCUUGACAAGCUGCAGAAGGUCUAUCUUUUUCGAAAUGAACAUUGGUUAGACCUAUCACGUGUUCUCCCUUUAGAAGCUUGUGGAGGUUCUUCAUCCCCACAUGUGCUAAGCGGCGAUGCCACAACCAGCCCAUGCAAGUCUUAGCCAUUAAGCAUGCAUCUAGACCGACCUCUUCUUUUGCAAAAUCAACUAAGUAAAGUUUGUCGUCUAGUACACCCUUAAAAGCUAGUGAACCAUCACUUCUUCUAAAGACAGACACAUCUACAUUUGUAAAUAAACAAUUAUAUCCCAUAUUACAUAAUUGACUAACAGAUAGUAAAUUAUAUCCAAGACUCUCAACUAAAAACACAUUAGAGAUAGAAUGCUCAUUUGAUAUUGCAAUCUUGCCUAAACCUUUCACCUUGCCUUGGUUCCCAUCACCGAAUAUGAUUGAAUCUUGGGAAUCCUUAUUCUUGACGUAGGAGGUGAACAUCUUCUUCUCCCCCGUCAUAUGGUUUGUGCAUCCGCUGUCGAUAAUCCAGCUUGAACCCCCGGAUGCAUAAACCUACAAGGCAAAUUUAGGCUUGGGUCUUAGGUACCCAACUCUUGUUGGGUCCUACAAGGUUAGUCACAAUUUCCUUAGGGACCCAAAUGCAAGUUUUAUCACCCUUGCAUUUUGCCCCUAAUUUCCUAGCAACUAUCUUCCUAUCCUUUCUACAAAUAGCAAAGGAAGCAUUCAAAGCAUGAUAAAUUGUAGAGGGACCAUUCAUAACUUUCCUAGGAGCAUGAACAAAAUUCUUUCUAGGCACAUGAUGAAUAUUUUUCCUAGGCAUAUCUCUACAAUGCAUAUAGGAAGAACUGGAAGCAUACAUAGCAUAAGAAUCAUAGGCAUGUGAAUCAAAAGCAUUACAACUCCUAUGAGACUGUCUUCUAUCAUUGUACAUAAAAGCAUGGUUCUUUUUAGUACUACUUGCCAUAGGGGCCUUCCCUUUCUCCUUGGCAGAGAUGGGAGCCUUAUGGCUUGUUAAGUUCUUGGCUUCCCUCUUGAAGCCAAGUCCAUCCUUGAUUGAGGGGUGUCUACCAAUCGUGUAGGCAUCCCUUGCAAAUUUUAGCUUAUCGAAAUCGCUUUUGCUAGUCUUAAGUUGGUCAUUAAGACUAGCUAUUUCAUCAUUUAAUCUAGAAAUUGAAACUAGGUGUUCACUACAAGCAUCAAUAUCAAAACCCUUACACCUAGUGCAAAUCAUAACAUGUUCUACACAAGAAUUAGAUUUAUUUGCUACUUCUAAUUUAGCAUUUAAAUCAUUGUUAACACCUUGUAAAGUAGAAAUGGUUUCAUGACAAGUAGAUAGUUCAUAAGAAAGCAUUUCAUUUCUUUUAACUUCUAAAGCAUAGGAUUUUUGUGCCUCUACAAAUUUAUCAUGUUCAUCAUACAACAAAUCCUCUUGCUUUUCUAAAAGCCUAUUCUUAUCAUUCAAGGCAUCAAUCAAUUCAUUAAUUUUAUCUACCUUGGUUCUAUCUAGGCCCUUAAAUAAACAUGAAUAAUCUAUUUCAUCCUCAUCACUAGAUUCGUCCUCACUUGAAGAAGCAUAAGUAGAGUUUCGAGUACAUACCUUCUUCUCCCUUGCCAUAAGGCAUGUGUGACGCUCAUUUGGGAAGAGGGAUGACUUGUUGAAGGCGGUGGCGGCGAGUCCUUUAUUGUCGGAGUCGGAUGAGGAGCAAUCCGAAUCCCACUCCUUGCCAAGAUGUGCCUCGCCCUUUGCCUUCUUAUAGUUCUUCUUCUUCUCCCUCUUGUUCCCUUGAUCCUGAUCACUAUCAUUGUCGGGACAGUUAGCAAUAAAAUGACUAAUCUUACCGCAUUUGAAGCAUGAGCGCUUCCCCUUGGCUUUGGUCUUGCUUGGCUGUCCCUUGCGACCCUUAAGUGCCAUCUUGAAUCUCUUGAUGAUGAGGGCCAUCUCUUCAUCAUUAAGUCCAGCCGCCUCAAUUUGUGCCACCUUGCUAGGUAGCGCCUCCUUGCUUCUUGUUGCCUUGAGAGCAAGGGGUUUAGGCUCGUUGAUUGGACCAUUCAAUGCGUCGUCCACGUACCUCGCCUCCUUGAUCAUCAUUCGCCCGCUUACGAAUUUUCCAAGGACUUCUUCGGGCGACAUUUUGGUGUACCUGGGAUUCUCACGAAUAUUAUUUACCAAAUGAGGAUCAAGAACGGUAAAGGACCUUAGCAUCAGUCGGACGACGUCGUGGUCCGUCCAUCGCGUGCUUCCGUAGCUCCUUAUUUUGUUGAUAAGGGUCUUGAGCCUGUUGUAUGUUUGUGUCGGCUCCUCGCCCCUUAUCAUCGCGAAUCGUCCAAGCUCGCCCUCCACUAGCUCCAUCUUGGUGAGUAAGGUGACGUUGUUCCCCUCAUGUGAAAUCUUGAGGGUGUCCCAGAUCUGCUUGGCGUUAUCCAAGCCGCUCACUUUGUGGUAUUCAUCCUUGCACAAUGAAGCUAGAAGAACAGUAGUAGCUUGUGCAUUCUUAUGAAUUUGCUCAUUAAUGAACAUGAGACUAUCCGAGCUAUCAAAGUGCAUUCCACUCUCUACAAUCUCCCAUAUACUAGCAUGGAGAGAGAACAAGUGACUACACAUUUUGUGACUCCAAAAUCCGUAGUCCUCUCCAUCAAAAUGAGGAGGUUUACCAAGUGGAAUAGAUAAUAAAUGAGCAUUUGUACUUUGAGGAAUACGAGAGUAAUCAAAAGAAAAGUUCGAAUUGACCGGUUUCCUUCUCUCGUAGUCGUUGUGGUCGUCGUCCUUUUGGGAAGAAGUAGACUCAUCGCUGUCGUCGUAGUAGACGAUCUCCUUGAUGCGCCUCGUCUUCUUUUUCUUCCCAUCUUUCCGUCUAUGGCCCGAGCCCGAGUCGGUAGGCUUGUCAUCCUUCGGCUCGUUGAUGAAAGAUUCCUUCUCUUUAUCGUUGAUCACGAUACCCUUCCCCUUAGGAUCCAUCUCUUCGGGCGAUUAGUCCCUUUGUGAAGAGAACGGCUCCGAUACCAAUUGAGAGCACCUAGAGGGGGGUGAAUAGGUGAUCCUGUUAAACUUGAAAACUUAAGCCACAAAACUUGGUUAAUCGUUAGCACAAUAAUUGCCAAGUGGCUAGAGAGGAAUUCUCAACAAAACACAAUAACCAACAAGGAUCAAUCACAGAGAUGGCACGGUGGUUAUCCCGUGGUUCGGCCAAGACCAACGCUUGCCUACUCCACGUUGUGGCGUCCCAACGGACGAGGGUUGCAAUCAACCCCUCUCAAGCGGUCCAAAGACCCACUUGAAUACCACGGUGUUUUGCUUACUUUUUCUCAAUCCCGUUUGCGAGGAAUCUCCACAACUUGGAGCCUCUCGCCCUUACACUUGAAAUUCACAAAGAACACGGAGCAAGGGAGGGAUUAGCAACACACACAAGACACAAGAAUCAGAGUGUCAACACGCACACAAGUCGCAACAAGAGCUCGCAACACAACUCAAUGAGUUCACAACUCCACUAGAGCUCUAUAUGCUAUCACAAUGAAACAAAUGCGUAAAAUCGAUGUCUUGGUGCUUAGGAAUGUUGUAGGAAUGCUUGGUGUACUCCUCCAUGCGUCUAGGGGUCCCUUUUAUAGCCCUAAGGCAGCUAGGAGCCGUUGAGAGCAAUCAAGGAAGGCUGAUCUUGCCUUCUGUCGACUGGUGCACCGGACAGUCCGGUGCCCGAUUUCCUUCCAUAAAUGGCGCAGUCGACCGUUGGCAGCCUGAGAGCCGUUGGCGCACCGGACAUGUCCGGUGCACACCGGACAGUCCGGUGCCUCCUACUAGCCGUUGGCCUGGCCACGUGUCCCCAGGGCGCACGUAUGUGCCCUGGAAGUUGCCGGUGAAAGCUUUGACCAGGUCGUCCCAGUUGGAGAUCUGCGCAGGAGGCAGAUGCUCCAGCCAGGCUCGGGCGGCGUCGGAGAGGAACAGGGGGAGGUUGCGGAUGAUGAGGUUGUCAUCGUCCAUUCCACCCAGUUGGCAGGCCAGCCGAUAGUCCGCGAGCCAUAGUUCCGGCCUUGUCUCCCCCGAGUACUUGAUGAUGGUAGUCGGGGUUCAGAACCGGGUCGGGAACGGCGCCCGUCGUAUGGCCCGGCUGAAAGCCUGCGGACCGGGUGGUUCAAGCGAGGGGCUCCGAUCCUCCCCGCUGUCGUAGCGUCCCCCACGCCUGGGGUGGUAGCCUCGGUGCACCUUAUCGUCGAGUUGGGCUUGACGGUCGCGGCGGCGGUGCUCGUUGCCGAGGCGACCCGGGGCCGCAGGUGCCGUGUUCCGCGUGCGCCCGGUGUGGACCGAGGCUUCCCGCAUGAAUCGGGAAGUCGUGGCGCGAUGCUCCGGGGGGUACCCCUGCCUUCGGGAGGCAGAGCAUUCGGCCCGUCGGACCGCGACAUCCUCCAAGAGAUUCUUGAGCUCUCCCUAGAUACGCCGCCCCUCGGUGGUAGAUGGUUCCGGCAUCGCUCGGAGUAGUAUUGCUGCUGCAGCCAGGUUCUGGCCGACCCCACUGGAAGCCGGGGGCAGCCUUGCCCUGGCAUCGUCGGUGAUGCGGUGCCUGACGUCCUAGGCCAGAUGACGCGCUUCUCCGGCCGGUGCUCGGCCUGCCCACUCCUGCCCGAUAUUUUGCCGAAGCUGCCCAAGUUGUCCUGCUUCCUCGUCGAGCCUGGCCUGCACCUCGCGGAUUUGCUCGAGCUGUGCGUCCUGACCCCCCGCAGGGACUAGGACCACAGCUAGCUCCCGUAGGAUGUCAACGCGAGGCGCAGGCCUAAGGGGAUCGCCGUCCUCCGACAUACCAAUGUGGUUGCCUUCGUCGAGACCCCCUAGAUCGACGUGGAAACAUUCGCGACUUGGGCCACAGUCCUCGUCGCCGAGGCUGUGGCUACUAUCGGAGCAAUCGGAGAGGCAGUAGUCACAUGCGGUCAUGAAGUCCCGCAUGGCACUAGGGUUAUCGAGCCCGGAGAAAUCCCAACCAUAGUCGGGCUCGUCAUCUUCCUCGGAACCCGGGGGCCCGUAGGUCGAGACGGUCAUCAGUCGGUCCCAGGUUGACCGCAUAUGAUACCCCGGAAGGUUCGGAUAUGCCUUUAUGAAAGCAUCCACCGAAGCGGGGUCGCUUGGUGGGUCGAAGCUGAAUCUAAAAGGCAUAGGAUGGGAAAUGGACGGUACCUCUUGAUCGACGGAUGGUGAUGAAGUCACGUCAGGGACGGAUUGCACCGUUAUCUCAGGUACGAGGCUAACGCCCAGCAAGUCCUUCGCGAGCGUGCUGGCGUCGUCCGUCUGCUUGGGUUUGGCGUGUUGCGGGGAAACGACGCUCGUCUUCGUCUCAGACGCGAGGUCAACGCCCGACGUGUCCCUCGUUGGGGCGCCAGUGCCAUCGACUCGCUCGACAGCCGACGAAGUGCCGCCUCCUGCUUGGCCAUGCCUGCCCCGCCUCCUCCUCCGUCGGCGGGGAAGGUGACGGGACAGACCCGGAUGUUGCUCUUCCGCCACGUGGGGAAGACGUCGUCGAUUCCGCCGCUGAUGGGCGGGCUGACGGCUGCCAUUGUCGUUGUCGCGCGGCGGAGGAAGGAGUAUCAUGUCGUAGCUGCCGUCGAGGGACAUGAACUCAAGGCUCCCGAAAUGGAGCACCGUCCCGGGUUGGAGAGGUUGCUGGAGACUACCCUUCUGGAGCUUGACGGGAAGCUGUUCGUCAACACGCAGUAGACCCCUACCUGGCGCGCCAACUGUCGGCGUUUCGACCCCGGGGGUCCCUGGACCGAUGAGUAAAUUGUCGCUGCGUGUCCCAGCCAAGAUGGGUCGGCGCGAGACGGAACACAAGGGAAAAACAGUAAGGGGAAACCGCGGCCUCGUGUUGUCCUGCGCCCAGGGCGGAUGCGCUUGUAGUAGGGAGUUACAAGCGUUCGCGAGAGAGAGACUGUCCGCCAGCCCGUUCUCCCGCGCGGCCACCUUCUCGUACGAGAGCCCUGGACCUUCCUUUUAUAGAUGUAAGGAGAGGGCCCAAGUGUACAAUGGGGGGUGUAGCAAUGUGCUAACGUGUCUAGCAAAGGGGAGCCAGAGCCCUAUGUACAUGUCGUCGUGGCUGUCGGAGAUGUGUUGCUGCCCUGUUCAUGUGAUGUCGUAGGGCAUGUUUAGUUCGCUGUCUAACUUGCCACACUUUACCUAACUUUUGUGCCUAAGGUUAGUUCCUCAAUUCGAACGACUAACCUUAGGCAAAGUGUGACAUAGUUAGCCACAAACCAAACAGGUCUAAGUUACAAACAUCCAAAUUUAUCGGUUCGGUGCCUUUCCACAUUUUUGAAUUGGGUUGGGCAUGAGACAACGAUGCGGCCCAGGCGGCCCACCUCCCCUCUCCUAUAUACACACUCGAUACCUAGGGUUUCCUUCUCUCACUUCUGUACCCAAUCAGAAGAGCGGCGGCGCGGGCGGACAAGGAGCAGGCGGAGGAGGAGUUGUGCCAAGCCACAAUGGGUAAGAUUCCAUCCACCCGCUUCUCGUUUUGCCUGUACUGACAUAGCUGCCCCGGUGGUUCUCCGAUUUGAGCGACGCUGCCGCAGUCGUUUCCGGUUUGAUCGACGUUGCCGCGAUGGUUCUUCGGUUUGGGCGAUGAGAUGCUAAUGGGUGCCUCUGCGGAUGGUUUGGAUGUAUCCGUGCAGGUAUCUCGCGUGACUCGAUGCACAAGCGCCGAGCCACCGGUGGAAAGCAGAAGGCCUGGAGGAAGAAGCGAAAGUAAUGACCGUUUCUCUUCCCUAUGUUAUUGACGGCUGGAUUCACCUAGCUCUGCUUUUGUUCUGUAGUACGCUGCUGCUUGAUUAGAUCACCGGUCCUAACUUGUUAACUUUGCAUGCCGAUUCCCUGUGGAUCGUGUAGUGGUUGCAGCGGUAAUGCGGUAUUAAUUGGUCUUAGUUGUAUCAAGGAUUCAAAUAAUGUUUUUCUCUCUUGACAUUAUUAGUUGAACUCCGGUGAUUUAUGCUUGUCGCCCUUAAUUGUGAGGUUACUGAGUAUUGCCUAAUAAAAAAUUAUCUGUGACUGUUAAAAUUGUUUACCAUGAUGCUUCCAAUGAAAUGCCUGAGCCUUGACAGUUCAUAAGCAAUUGUAUCUGUCAAUUCUAUGUAUUUUUCAAUUUUCUUGAAGGCAAUUAGCCAAUUUGAAGUUGGUGUUUCUCAGAAUAGUCUUUUUUUAUCACAACUAGUCCAUUCUACGUGUUUGAGGCAGCACUAAAAUUGUAGAUCAUUUGUGUGCAAGUUUCAUCAAACUGAAUUGGUGUCAUCAGCUUGCUUAAAAGAGUUGUUUAUCGACGUGGCUUUGUUGUGUCGCAGUACUAUGCUAGGACUUACGUUCAGAGGUUUAUUCUGCUUGUCAUUUCUCUUGAAGGUAUGAGCUUGGUCGCCAGCCAGCCAACACCAAGUUGUCAAGCAAUAAGACGGUGAGGAGGGUCCGUGUUCGGGGAGGUAAUGUGAAAUGGAGGGCUCUUCGCCUUGAUACUGGUAACUACUCAUGGGGAAGUGAAGCUGUUACCCGCAAGACCCGUAUCCUCGACGUGGUCUACAAUGCAUCAAACAAUGAGCUUGUGAGGACACAAACCCUUGUGAAGAGUGCCAUUGUGCAAGUUGAUGCUGCCCCAUUCAAGCAGUGGUACCUCACUCACUAUGGAGUUGACAUUGGUAGGAAGAAGAAAACCCCUGCUGCAAAGAAGGAUAAUGCUGAGGUAUUCUUUCUUGGAACACAGCUUCUCACUAUUUACCACUGAAUGUUUUAGUAAGGUAUUGGCUUCGUAGUUCAUACAUCAUUUUUUGUAGCUGACAAAUAUAAGCUUGUUAGAUAACUCUUCUUUUCAACCACGUGAAUAGCUUGUUUCUGCACUAGCCUAUUUUAGAUUUCUCUAUGAAAAAAUGUAGAAGUUGAUAAUUUUUAUCAAUAUAUUUUGUUUACUUGAAGUAUUUCCAGAAAGCAGAUGUCAGUAGUUCAUUACUUUUCAUUUUCUUUACUCUAGUAGCUCAUAUGUUUCCUCUGGUGAUUCAUUUAUUAUUUGAUAUAAUAUCCAUCCAGGGACAAGAGGUUGAGGCAGCAGCUGAGGAAACGAAAAAGAGCAACCAUGUCACGAGGAAGCUUGAGAAGCGCAAGGAGGGACGUACCCUUGACCCACACAUUGAGGAGCAAUUUGGCAGUGGACGGUUGCUGGCAUGCAUUUCUUCCCGUCCUGGACAGUGUGGCCGAGCUGAUGGGUACGAAAUAAUGGACCUCCACCAGACUUUCUUAGUAUUUUUAGAGCAGCAUAUCUGUGUGUGUACUACAAACUUCUGUUGCUUAAAUCAUAUGAUGGUCGUUUUGAUUUUAGAUAUCUUGUCAUGCUAUCCUUCUUGGCUUCAAGUUAUCUCCUUGUUUCACCACCUAUAACGUUACCUGCAGCUCCUUAGUAGCCUUGUCUUUUUAUAUAACAGGUACAUCCUUGAGGGUAAAGAGCUUGAAUUCUACAUGAAGAAGCUACAGAGGAAGAAGGGCAAGAGCGCUGUAGCUUAGAGCAUUCUCAUGGAUUGUCUUGCACCGAAAUGUGUGUCCUGAUGAGUACACUUUUUUGGUUAGUCGUCUCAAGUUCAGAGCGUUAUGCCAUAUUUUCAGACCUGAUUUGUACACUGUUUUCUAAAAGCGAUUGAGCUCUAGUCCAAUUUGAGCAGGGUAUGAUUAUUUGUUGAUGAA